CGGCCUUGAUCUUCUCCUCGGUGGUGUCCACCUCACCAAUGGUGAAGUACUUGCUCGUGUUCUUGCACACUGAGCCUCCCUCGGGCGACGCGGUGAUCUUCGCCUCGUAGCUAAUCUUCUCGAAGGUGGUGCCCAGCACGUCGCCCUUAAUGAUCGAGUAGCUGUAUGUGAAGUUCUCCUUGUCCAAGGCCUCAACCUUGUGCUUCAUUGUCUUGUACUGACUGCCUAUCAAAGAAAAAAGUAAUAUUCAUCUUUAGAACUCGCCAGUUUCAACAUCGCAAGCAACGAUCUUGAUGGCAUCAAUUGGGCCAUUUAGGUUGUUCCGACCGCAAUCCAAUACGAUUGACUUAGACAUGGCCUGAUUUCGCUCGAUCGGAAUCAAGCACAUGAUCACUUGUGAAAAAUCAAUUAUUAAAAACAUCUUAAUUAACCAAGUUACAUAUCUAUCUUUUUAAACAUUCAUGAUGAUGUUCCAUAAGGUUGGAACCACCUUGAUCCUGGGCAAUCCUAACACAGACAACCUAACCUUCGCUGAAAGUGAUCAACUUGAUGGUCCUGGGACCUCCAUUGCCCUUGAAGACUUCGACACUCUUGAUGGCUUGCGGGAGCACCUUGGGAAUGAGGUUAUCAUUGUCGAGGACAACAGCCUUGAACAUCUUGGCCAAAGGGACCGGGGUCGUGAUCUCAAAGUCGUAACUGACGACACCCAUGAUUGGAUUCGAAUUGAGUUGCUGAAACUAAGAAGGGGGUGAUCGGGAAAGGCUGAGCAGCAGUGAUGAAGUUAGUCUCUAGGAGUCAGGACUUGCGAGUGAAGAGAAGAGGCUGAACCGAAGCUCACAUAAAUAGAGAGAGAUUAAGGCUCCAUUCGUUUUACGGAAAAUAAUUUCUGGGAAAAUAUUUUUCGGAUUUUCCGGCGUUCGUUUCACAAAAAAUGAAUUCCUUGGGGAAAAUGUUUUUCAUGAAAGGAAAAAAAAGUGUUCUAAAUUAAGGGAAAUUUUUUUCUACUUUUGAAAAGUGGAAAACAUUUUCCUCACUUGAUCUCUCUUAUCUCACACCUCUACAAAUCCUCACUUCCUCCCAUUUCUUUUUCUUCUUUUCUUUUUUUGUUCAAAUUAUUUUUUAAUUAUUUUUUUCUUUUUUUAAUUCAAAUUAUUUUUAAUUUCCUUUUUCUUUUCUAUUUCUUUUCUUUUUUUCUUUUUCUUUUUUUUUCUUUGUUUCCAAUCUUUUUCUUUCUUGACUAGUUGUUGGCCAUUGCUAGGCGAAUCUCGAGCUCAUCGAUCUCAAGCUCGCGCUCUACACUCUUGCUUAUCAUUUUCUUUAUUUAUUCUAUCCUACAGUUGUACAUUGCUCAAGUAAAGUGCUUUAUAUGCUUUGCUUCUUUUUUCUUUUGUUUAUUAGAACACAAAAGACGUAGGGGGAGAACAGGCCACUCAACUGGAAGAUUCUCAUGAGGGUUGUACAUGCUUUGCUUCGUUUCUCUUUUGCUUCUUUUUAAAAUUCAUACGAACAUUUUUUAGAGUAGAUGAGCGUUUGGUGAUAAUGAGGGAACAAAGAUAUGAAGUAAGUUUGUUUGAUUUAAAGACAAGUUCAUAUUUGAUGGAUUUAUAAGUCGGUAAGUGAUGCAUGCCUAAGUGGUGAUGUCUUAGAAAAUAUUUUCCUUACCGGACACUGGAAAAUAUUUUCCAAAACAUUUUUAGGUUUUAACCGAACACCAGAAAAUAUUGUCAUUUUUCUAAAAAAAUAACUUAUGCGAAAAUAUUUUCUGGAAAUGACCCAUUUUCUGUGAAAUGAAUGGACCCUAAAUGUAAAAAGGUUUUCUUAACUAGAUAUUCUCUUCUCACUUGAUUGUGCGAUUAUUUCACGGAAAGUAAAUGAUUUAAAAUAUAUAUAUAUUUUAAAUAAUCAUUUAUACCAUUUAAAAUAAUUAGUUAAUGGAAAAUAUUUUCACUUUUUCUUCUUUUUUUAAACUAUACAAGCAAUCAAUUUGAGGAAACAUUUUUCAAAUUAUCCGAUUUCUAUGGAACAAAUCAAGUUAAAAAAAAAAACUUUAAUUGGUUUGUGAUCAAGUUCAAUCAUGAUAUGGACUUUGUUUAUAAAAUAAAAAAAUGUCCAUAUGAUAACAGAAUAUUAGUCAAAGAAGGCAUCUUCCUAGAAAAAUACCAAUCAUGAUUCCAUUUCCUUUUCAUGUAUUGACUUUCUAUCCAGGGGCAUUUGCUCGGCCAAUUCUUGGAUUUUUUCUUUAGCUAGAAUUCUUGGUUCAGCUUUGCUGAUUUCUUACAGUCUUAUCAUAGUGGAAAAUCUCAAGCCCUUUUGACUACAAAUGUCGUAUGGAUUUUUAAUCGAGAUAGGACUAAAUAGGAUGUGACAUAAAAAAAAAUUGAUAUUGUUUGGUGAUUAUAGUAAUAUAGUCGUAGAAAUCCACAUCAUAUUAUAUAUAUUAUUUGGUAUAAAUGACACAUUAGUAAAAAUGAACCAAAAUUUUUAUAAAUGGAAAUGGUAAAAAUCUCUCGCGAUACUCUAGCUUACUUUUAUUUUAUUUGGUUUUUUUUUUUUUGUGGCAUCCUAAAACUUCAUGACAACCCUUAGAUAUGCUAUGAACCAUGAAUAGGUGAUGGAAACACCAUCAAAUUAUAUUGUAGCCAUUAGACUCAUGAUUUGCAAUAAUAUUAAGGCCGAGCUUUUCAAUUGACCAUUAUUUGAUAGGAAAAUUUUAUUCUUGGCCAUACGUUUUAUAAGUUGGAUUUUAUUGAUUUAUGUUACAUAAUAUUAUGGCCAUAUGAAUUGGUAAUUAGGUGUAUACUUAGGUGAAGAUUAAAUGGGAAAAAUUAGAGAAGAGUGGAUUGAUUUUCUUAAGCCCAAGACCAGCCCCACCAUUCGGCCACUAAGGCCUGGCUUGCGAAGCCCAAAGGACUGCUGUCGAUUGGAUGGAGGAGUUGGCCCAAAGGAUGGCCCAUCAACCUACAUGAAAAUUAACAGGUAGAUAAAAGGAUUAGCCAAGUGGCAUCUACAUGCAAUCAAAUGAUUGCUAAUCAUUGCCGAAGGGAAGAAAAGAGAGGGAGAUUGAGCGGAGUGAGCGAGGAGUACUGAGAGAGAGAGAGAGAGAGAGAGAGAGAGAGAGAGAGAGAGAGAGAGAGAGAGAGAGUUGUCAUGCGAGAGAAAGAGAGACAGAGAGAAAGAGAGAAAGUAGGUGUGUGAGAGAGAAAGAGGAGGAGGAAGAAAACUGUUGUUGCCGAGCGUCCGCCUAGUCCUGCUGUCGAGCCCGCCUUGUCCCGCCGUCGUGUUUGCUGCAAUUUUCUUUGGAUUAGAGGAAAGUAGAGUCCGUUAGCCUACACUUUGCUUGCUGUGAUUGUGCUGUUGAAUGCUGGAAAUGCUUGAGUUGUGAUGUUGAAUGCUGGAAAUUCAAGUGAAUGGUGGUGGUUUUCCAAGUGAGCUGUUGCAUGUAGGAACAGUUCGACUUUUGGUGAUUUCGUGAGCUGCAUACGAUUUUGUAAUUGGAAUCUCACUUCAACUUUUUGAUGAAAGUUGUAGAGGACUUCUUGGAGAUUAAUAUAUCAAAAUUUGAGAGAAAACAGACAAUUAUUCAUUAGUGAAACCAUUUUUCUUCAAAGAUACUAGAUCUGGAAACUGUUAUGUUGAUCUAUUGUGAUUAUGUGAAUUUUGUGCAAGUAUCCAUUCUGAAUUUGAUCUUGUGUCCUUGAUAAUAGUUGUAGAAGACAUCUUGAGAAAUAACAUACUAAAAUUUGAGAAGAAACGGACAAUUAUUGGUCGGUGAAAUGAUUUUUCUUUGAAAUGGUUAGAUCUGGAAAGCGUCACUGAGGGUUAGGAAGAGUAUGGUGACUGUAGCUUUUGAUCUAUCACGAAUCUGACUUCGAUUUAUUCACGAAAAUUUUACCAAUAUGUCUUAGUUAUAACAUGUUGAAAUCGCAGAAUUUUUGGAGUUCAUUUAAGGGCUUAAUCGAAAUUAUUUCCGAAACUGUGCAAAAAGGGGUGCUGGAAUUUCUUUUGCUGUGAUGUAUGGACCUAUGUGAUUGAUGUGAAACUUUCUUGACAUGGUGUUCUGCAUGAAAUAUUUUUCUCUAGGUCUUUUUUACAUCAUGUGAAAUUUUUAGAAUUUAUUGAGAUCGUUUAUUAAUUUUUCCAGAAUUUUUAUUAAAGAAGUGCAUUCUGCUUUAUUCGAAAAUUGUCCUAUUUUGAAAAACAAAUGAAUUGCUUUAUGAAAUAUGAAGUAUUGAGUGGUUAUUUAUGCUGCAUAUGUGGUGACAUUUGGCAUAUCAUAUGACAUCAAAAGGCAGGUUUAGACCUCGAAUAUUAUUGCGUCAAAUGCUUAUUUGAAAAUGAGAUAUAUAUAUAUAUAUAUAUAUAUAUAUAUAUAUAUAUUGUGGUGAUGAUGAUAUCGUCGGAGGUGUGAGCCGACGAUGCCCCGGGAGUGUCAGGAUGCCCAAAUGUUCGAAUGAGUCGAUGCCCUUUGGAUGCCUGAUUGUAUUAUGAAUACAUGCCCAAAGGGUCCUCGGGAGUUUCGAGAUGCCUGGUGGUAUACGGUAUGUAAUUCCAGGGGGAUACCUGGUGGUAUGUUGGUAUGUAAUUCCGGAAGCCCUGGAGGUGUGUGCCGGGGGGAUCCUCAUGAUGCUAGUUGGAGUGCGAGAUGCCCGGAGGUUUGUGCCAGAAGUUCCUCGCGAUGCCAGGUUGUAUGCGAGCGAUAAAUGAGGGAUGCAAGCAGUGGUCCCUAGGAGAAUGAUGGGAUCCUUUUGAAUAUCAAAAUGAGAAUUGAAUCAUGCAUGUGUGUGUGUGCAUAUGGCAUGUGAUAUAAUUGCCUGUGAAAUUGAGUUGAUACUAUUUGGCAUCGAAUGGAUCUCAUGAGGAUAUAUACAUGAUUAUGUGGAUGACAUGAAUUAUGCGUAUGGAUAUGUGCAUAUGGCAUGAGAUAUAAUUGUCCAUGAACUUGAAUUGGUAUUACUUGGCAUGGGAAAUAUGACUAGUAAGGUCGUGAAUGAAUCUCAUGGACAUAUAUGCAUGAUGGCAUGGAUGAUAUAUGCAUGUCGCAUGAAAUUGUGUUGUCUUGCCUAAUGCAUUGUGUAGUUUGAUGGAUAUUUACUACUGAGUGGUUGUACUCACCCCUUUGGGGACCAACAUUUCAGAUUGAGCGAUGCCUCUAGCAUCUGUCACAUGUGGUACAUUCGAUGGUAUACCAUCUGAUGUUGAGGUCGAGUGCAAGGAACACCCCUGCGUCGGUGUUCAUGGUCUGGUGUUUAUCCGCGUCCAUGUCUUGGUCAUGUAUGAUGUGAGCCUACCUGAUAUAGUAUAGGAGUUUCUAUCUGUCCAUGUUUGUCGAGAUAAGAGGAUGAUAGGGAUGCUGCCGCCGCCACUGGCCGAUGCAUCGAGAUGGGUGUGAUAGGAGUGUGUGAUUGGUGGAGGUUGAUACUUUUUGGGAUGGCUGACACUAGCUUAUGGAUAGAUGUACAUGUAUGAUGUAUAGUUGGGUUCUUUUGGGUUUAGCCGAGCUUAGUUAAAGUCUUGGCCUUUUGUUGUACCGACUUGUGAAAUCCAUCUUAGUUAUGUAAAUAAAAGUGAUUCGGCCCUAAUAUAUAUAUAUGAAAGGUUGUAUUGCAUUGUAUUAUUUAGUUUGUGUAUGGGUUAGGGAGAUGAUGAGUAUGCUUCCGUUAUAUGAACUGCGCUGGGACCGAUUAAGGUUAUACGAACCCCCAAGGAUUUAUGGACCCGCUACAAUUGAAAUGGUAUUAGAGUAGCAUGUUAUUAGGACAAGUGAAAGGUAAGCAAAUUGUGGCGACCCUAGCAAAUUGGGGGCUGUGUCGAGGGGCGCACAUUUUUAUUUUAUUUUCCCCUCUUUUAUUAAUUAAUCUUUUUUAUUUUUUCCCCUCCCAUCAUUCUCUAAUAAAUUUUUAUUAAAUAGUAGAUUGUACUAAUAUAAUCAAAAUACUAAUAUAUUGAAAUUAUUUUAUAAAAAAUAAUUAAAUUCGAAUAUAUGAAAAUAAAAAUAAGAUUAAAUUAUAAUAAUUAAUUCAUUAUUUUUUUGUUUUUUGAAUUUCUUAUAUUAGAAUUCAAAUAUUAUUUAUAUUGAGAUAUAAUUUUAAUUUUGUUAAUUUAAAAAAGUUGUCCUUUGGUUCAAUGUGCAAUGUAAUCCAUGAACUUUUAAUUUGUUCAAUAUGAUCAAUAUAUUUUUUAUACAUGUUUAAUGUUGUCUUUAAGUGGUAUGUAAAUGUUCAAUAUAGUCUUUUAUUAAUUCAAAAUCAGGGUGAACAUUUUCAUAUAAUCUAGUGACUAAAUUGAAUAUAUACAAAAAAAAAAUCAAAUAUUACAUUAAACAAAUUAAAAGUUCAAGAACUGCAUUGCACAUUGAGUUAACAUUGAUAGAUCAUAUUAAAUAAAUUAAAAAUUUAGAGAUCACAUUAUACAUUAAGUUAAAAUUCAUGAAUUAUUUGUAUCAUUUUUCCAUAUGAAAAAGCUUACACAAAAAGUCCCGACACAUGGAUAUCAACCCUCCAUAAAUUUCGCCCAUAAAGUAACUCUCGCUUAAUUGCAUGUGAUAGAAAAGUAAAUUGUUCCAUUUACCUUAGGAGCAUCUCUCCUCCCAUGGAGAGCUAAACCCCUCAAAACCCAAUAAAUUGCCCGUACAACAAAUGAUUCACUUUAGGAUUAACUUUUAUUUCAAUCACCCCAUUCUUUUGCUAAAGCAACAUAAAGCUUCUGCAAACCCUUUUUAUUUUUUUUAUUUUUUAUUUUUUUUCGAAUUUUAACUUUGUCUUCAUGGACUACGGGGAGAGGGAGGGAAGCUUUGGCCAUUUUCCUUAGAUGCAUCUCUCCCUUGUUCAGCCUCCAACCUUUUGCAACCCUCUCCAUGCAUUGACUGCUCUUUCAUGUUAUUGUUGUGAUAUUAUCUUGUUCCUAGUUUUGUCUGGUUAUCAAAAGCAAAUUGAAAACUAUGAUGGGUCUCUUGUUUCUGAUUGGGAAUUAUCCCCAGACAAAUCCAUUUUUCCUCGGCCAAAAGGUUAAUUAAUUGUUUGCAUGAAAUGAUUCCAGAAGGAUAUUGCAAUAUGAGCAUAUAUAUGUUACCUUUUCCCCAUUGUAAGCAAGAACUUAAUACAUGUUUUUCUUGAUCAAAGCUAGCCUAUCUCUAGUUUCUUUUUCAAAUGCUUUUCUUAGAAUAGGCCUUUUGUGUAAUAUUGGCCUUUAGUGGGACCAAAAAACACAAGGAAAAAAAAGGGGUUGAAAAGUGAAAAGAAAAAAAUUAAGUGGAUGCUUUAGCUUAUAAAGAAAAGCAAAGAGGAAAAGAAAAGAAAGAAAAAGAAAGAAAGGGGAAAAGAGAAAGAGCUUUGUGUGUACAUGCUAUGGGAGCCUCACUAGGCUGGAGUUACUUUGAUUUGCAAUGUAUGGUAAGUGCUUGCACCUCUUAUUCUUCUAAUCGGAGUAGUUUUUGGAGUUAUGUCGUAGUUUUGGGAAUUAUGUCAUAUAUUCAAAGUUUUGUGAAAAUCAAGUUGCGAAAUCCGAUUAUUGAGUUGUUGAGUUAUGAGAUUUUAUGAAAAUGGUGGGUUAUGGUUUCGUGAAGCCAUAGGGUUUGUCGAGAGUUGUUUUUGAGUGAUAGUUUAUUUGGAGUGAGAGUCUUAGGAUUUCACAUUCACAUUCCGUAUGGUGAACAUCUUAAAUAAUCACUUCAAUGAGCGAUUUAUUAGUGCGUAGAAGUUGUUUUGUUCGUGUUUAGAUGUAGUUUAGCCAUUUUGUAGUUGAGGUAGAGUAUUACUUAGUUUUAAUGUUGAUUCUCGUUUAAUUGAUAGAACUAUGAAAUCAUCAACCCGUUUAGCUACACGUUGGUUGAUUUGGGCAUUCAUACGUUAGUAAACUCAUUUCUUAAAAAUUAUAGAAAUUUGAUAUAUUAUAAGUUAUUACAAUUUGAUAUUUGUAAAUGGUUUGCCAAAUGUUUUUGGAAAGUUGUUGAGAAAGGUUAUAUGUAUAUGUAUGGGUUGAUUUGUAAAUAUGGCUUAUGAAGUGGAUUUUGAAAUGGUUUGUGAAACGUAUUAUGAUUUAUAAAAUGGAUUUCGAAAUGGUUUGAGAAAUGCCUCGUAAAAUGUAUUAUGUUUGAUGAAUGGAGUUGAGAGAAAGAUUAUAUGUUUGGUUUGUGAAACCGUUUUGUGAUAUUGAUUCCAAAUUAGCUUGUGAAUUGUGAAGGAUAUUGUUGUGAAUUUUUGUUGGUACUUAAUAUCGCUAUGAGCCCAAUAAGGGGUUUGUAGGUAUGCAUACUAGUUAGGAUAUUCUUGUGAGCUAGCUACCGUCAAUAUAAGUGGAAACCUUGCCAAAGGUGAGCUUGGUUACCUUGUCAUGGAGCAUUAUGCAUGUCGUGGUAGAAUUUAAGUAGGGGUUUGGCCAAUGGAUGGACUAUUGACAUGUGACUUGAUAUUAGUUGAUAUAAUGGACCAUUGACAUGGUUUUUUUUUUAGAUUGAUUAAUGGACUUAAACAUGGACUUAACCAUUGAUGUUUGUCAUAAUGAUAUUGAUUUAAGGAGUAUUUUUUUUUAUAUGUAUAUAGUUAUGUUAAAAUGAUAGAACUCAUCUUUAUCUUAUCUGUGUAUUAUGUUAUGAAAUUGAGAUAAAUGAGUUUUAAUAUUAUUUUGUAAAGUACAUAGUGGAUACUCUAUCUACUUAGAAGAUAUGAGUACUACUCAUUAGGCUAUGGUUACUCAUUCCAUUCAUCUUUCAUGCUUUUCAGGUCCUCAAUUAGUGGCUAUUAGAGUGAGAGUGUUAUUCAGGAGAUUUUUGAAGUUGACUUUUGACACGCCCUAAACCUCCGAGCAUGUGCACAUCCCACUUCGGUCGAUAGAAAUGCGACUUCCUAAGACACAUCGCCAACCCAUUUAUGUUAUUACGCAUGCGGAAGCAAAACAAAUCCCUUGACAACAUUUAACUUGGGAUAGAAAAUCAGGAAAUCAAUCACAACCAAUCAAGCUUUCUUAUAAACACAUAGGUUUAUAUACAACACUGGAUUGUCUACAAAAUAGACUGGCUCAACAAAAAGGGGACUGUCUUAACAUCCACUAGUCAAACCCAUUUGCCGAUUCUUUAGCCUCCACUUUCCGAACUCCAGGACUUCCGGUCCUCCACGAUCAUCAUCUAGGGACCUGAAAUAUUGUCCCACAACCGGAAUGAGAUGAUAUCUCAGCUAGUCCUACCCUCUAAGACCCGAUUAGGAAAAAAAUACGCCUCACGGCACUCUAGCCACACAAAUAGGAUGGAGUACUUACCUCGCCUUAGUCAUUUUCUGCACUUCAGUACAAUUCAAUUCUCAAUCACACAAUUGAGCCAACUAUUCAAUUCAAUCAUACUAUCUAUCUUUCCAUUUCAAUUCGUACUAUCUAUCUUUCGAUUUCAAUCUGUACUAUCUAUCAACCAUUAUUAUCUAUCAUUCAAUACUGUCUAUCAAACCAGUUGUUAAUACGACACAUGCUCUCCAAAGCUGUAAUAUAUAGACGGUAACUCGCUCAAGCUGUAUAGAUAGAUAAUAGCUCGCCCAAGCUGUAUAGAUAGAUAAUAGUUCGCCCAAGCUGUAGAUAGAUAAUAGCUCGCUCAAGCUAUAGAUAGAUAAAUCGUGCUUGCACAAGCUGAUAAAAUGAUCUUAGCUCACACAAGCUUAUAUAUAUGUAUAUAAUAUUUGCUCGCCCAAGCUGAUACAUAUAUAUAAACUAAUGCUCGCCAAAGCUAUUCAUUCAAUAAUAAGCCAAUCCAUACUUCAAUUAAAUCAAUCAUCAAUCCAAUCAAUUCAAACUGGUCAUACAAACCAAUUACGGUGCUAAAAGCCAACACCGAGUAUUUUCAAGUUAAAUACCAAAACUUCUCCAAUUUCACACAAUCCCACACUUUUGGAAUUAUUAACCAUAAUUAUCAAUCACUCAAAUUUUCAAUUUAAACAUACAAUUAGCACAAACUGACCACACCAAUGCGAUUAGCGUGAAAUUCUAAUGAUCGGCCGUUCUGGCAAAAUUUUCGAAAUUAUUAAAUAAUUAAAUAUUAAAUUAUAAUAAUAUAAUUUAAUAAAUUAAUAUUUAUAAAUUCGAAAUAAUUAAUUAAUUAAAAAUAAUUAAUUUGGGCUUAAACAAGAUUACAUUAAUUUAAUCAUACAAUUAGCCAUAAUUAAACAUCCAUUAAACUAAUCAUAUAACUAAUCUAAUUUACAUUAAAAUAAUCUAAUCUAACCACCUAAACCUAAUUAGACUAAUUUAAACACCUCUUAAGCAUAAUUAACUUACUAAGCAGGGAUUAGAGGAUAAACUCACCGGUUUUGCGCGCCAGUGAGUUCACGGCGACCACGACGCCAAGGCGGUCGAUAAACCCCGAAGCGACGAUACCAACGUAGGCCGGGAAGGGCUUGAAAACGGGCCACGAAGUCUCCAAAACCUUGCUGUCUUCUGCUUCUGAUCUGGGCUGAACUGCAGAGAAGAAAACAGCAACUUCAACGGCGAAAACAGGCUGAUCUGAGCUCCGGCGAGCAGGUGGUUGGCAACCGGCGGCUCCUGGAGGUCAAGGGAAUCUUAUUGGAGGUUUGGAUGGGCAGAGGAAGGACUGGAAUGGGAGAAAAAUGGCCGAAAACGCGAAACAGUGCAGGCUGCAGGCAGGCUGACGGACUGGCGACCGGUUCCUUCCCGGCAGCGCCCAUGCCGUCCGGCGGCUCCGUUCGGGACGAAAUUGGGCUCGUUGGAACGGUCUGUCUCUCCUGGUCACAGUAAUAGGUGGCUCAUUGACUGAUUCAUCUGGGAAGACGACUUUUAACUCGAUUCUUCACUGAAGGGUCAGCUGGAGCAGAAACUGAAGGAGAGGGAAAACGAGGAGAGAGAGAGCUUCGUUCGAGGGAGGCCGAAUGGGGGAGAGAGAGAGUGAAGUGAGGGCUGUCAAGACCCCCAUCAAUGCUUGCUUCAAGUCCCCAUGCCAAGCCAUCAUCAUUUUCUCUCUCUUCUCUAGCCUUUUCUCCCUACAACUAGGGGUAUUUUGGUCAUUUCACCUUGCAAAAAUUACAAAUCUGACAUUGGGCUGAAGUUGGUGGGUGGACCUAAGGAUUGGGCUUGGCCAUGAAUAGGAAUGGGCUUGGGAAUUUGUUGGGCUUGAAAUGGAUAAGAAUUGGCCCAUGGGCUUAGAAGAUAAAUAGUAGGUUUUGCCCAAUGGGCUUAUUUGCUUGACUUAGGCCCAUUAAGGUGGCUGUCCAACUUUGGGCCUAGGGCCCACACUGGCUUGGCCCGGCCCACGACCUCACGAGCUCGCUUCCUCGAUUCAAAAAUCCAUUUUCCAAUUGCUCGGCUUAACUGGCUCUGUCAACUGUUUGAUGUAGCUUCAUCCAAAGUCUGUCCCGGACAUUCCCAAUAAUUCGAAGUCCAAUCCUAAGUUCUUUUGCCAUGUCAAUUUCGCCAAAUGCCAUUUCGAUUACAACUCAAACUAACGGGUGGCUGUGAGGAUUUACGCGUGACCGACUCGUGCCAAACCACGUUCAAGACAUCUCGACGCAUGGACGUCCUUGACUGUAUAAAAUUAUGGAGGAUAUAUUCUUAUUUCAAAAUACACGAUUACUAAGGAUCAACAUAAGGUCGUUCAUGGAUUCGAUAACAGUAAAUGGAAUCACUCGUCGUUCCAUUAUGUUCUGCCUGCGAAUCGACUUUUAGUUGUCCUUAGAACCGGCAUGGCUAUCUAUAGGAUCGUCCUCACGUAAAUUUCACGGUCAAGUCGUUUUCCUAGGUCGAGUCCUUUAGUCGUACGAGUUCUGUCCUCAUUAGUCUUUCCCCUCAAGGUCAGUAUCUCAUGAGUGAUCAAUUCCGAGCGAGAUCAACCAACAAUGCAUUGACGAAAUUCACCUUCACUCAUCCCUCAGAGAGCUUGAAUUUCAGGAUGUCACAACUUUUGGGUAGAUAGAGGCUACAUCGUUCAGGUGGAAAGAUAGCCGUCCUAUUCCCUUUUUUGCUAGAAUUUGAGGUGUGGUAUUUUGUUUCUUCAAGUUUAGAAUCAGUUUGAUCGAGUGUCCUUUCCAUUUGAAUUGGUGGCCAUCUUAUCAAAAAGUUAUUCUACAAGUGUGAACUCAACCACAAAUUUGGGCCCCAAAAUCUGGGUUAGGAUAAAUUUCUAUGGUUUCAUGUAUACAAUGUUUUCCAUGUACUUCUCUUGAAUGCUAAAACUGACAUAAGCAACGAGUGUAAUUGGGGUAGGAUCGUUACAUACAUUGUUUGUGAUGUCUAACAUGAUGAAAUCAUUUAUGAAUUCACACACUUUUAAGUAUGAUAUCUUUAAAAAAAAAAGGACCGCUGCUAAUGCAAAGUCGGUCUAUAAAUAUCUUGAAUUGCCUUUAUAUAUGUCGAUUUCAAUGAAUUGUAAAAGAGGUACAAGGGAAAGGGGUAACUAUGUGUGGCACCCCCGACACGGCCCCUGAACCGUUAGGGUCACCACAGUUCAAUUACCAUCCUCUUGCUUGGCCUUCAAUCUUAGGGGUUUACAUCAUUUAGAUCGGUCCCUGCGCAAUUUAUAUGGCGGAAGCGUAUCCAAUAACUCCCUUCCCUAUAUUUAGAAAACGAUGCACACCUACUAAACAUUUAUAGGUAAAAGUUGAACACUUUUAUUUACUUAAACCAGAUGGACAUUAUUCAAUGAUACAUCAAAAUGCUGUAGUCUUCUAUACUCGGCUAUACUUCAAAAGAUGACCGACAUCUCAUCCAACAGUCGUAUACUUAAAGUCCAUCGAUCAGUAUCGACGUCCAAAAGUUCCUUCAUUUGCUAUCCUCCUCCUCACGGUCAUAUCCAACCACUCGAUCCAUCUACCUUUGGCAGUGGCCGCAGAGGUACUUAUCUAGUUUGAAAUGUUAGUACCAAAACGGGGUGAGUACAACCACUCAGUAGUAAAGAUCUAUCAAACUACACAAUGCAACAAGCAAGACAACCACAAUUCAUGCAAAAUGCACAUAUCAUUCAUGCCAUUAUACAUAUAUGUCCAUGAGAUUCAUUCACGACCUUACUAAUCAUAUUUCCCAUGCCAAGCAAUACCAAUUCAAGUUCAUGGACAAUUAUAUCUCAUGCCAUAUGCACAUACCCAUACACAUGAUUCAUAUCAUCCACACAAUCAUGUAUAUAUCCUCAUGAGAUCCAUUCAAUGCCAUCAUGAUCGCAUUCUCAAUGCCAAAUAGUAUCAACUCAAUUUAACAGAUAAUUAUAUCACAUGCCAUAUGCACACACACACAUGCAUGAUUCAAUUCCCAUUUUGAUAUUCAAAAGGAUCUCAUCAUUCUCCCAAGGACCAGUGUUUGCAUCCCUCAUAUAUCGUUCGCAUCCAACCUGGCAUUGCAAGGAACCUUCGGCACAAACCUCCAGGCAUCCGGCAUAAACCUCCAAACAUUUUGCAUCCCACCUGGCAUCACGAGGAAUCCCCCCGGCACACACCAGGGCUUUCGGAAUUACGUACCGACAUACCACCAGGCACCCCCUAGAAUUACGUACCAUAUACCACCGGGCAUCUCGAAACUCCCGAGGAUCCUUUGGGCAUGUAUUCAUAAUACAACUAGGCACUCACAGGGCAUCGACUCAUUCGAACCUUUGGGCAUCCCGACACUCUCGGGGCAUCUUCGGCUCACACCUCCGACGGUAUCAUCAUCACCACAAUGUAUAUUCACACACACAUCUCAUUUUCAAAUAAGCAUUUGAUGCAAUAAUAUUUGAGGUCCAAACCAGCCUUUUGAUGUCAUAUGAUAUGCCAAAUGUCACCACAUAUGCAGCAUAAAUAACCACUCAAUACAUCAUAUUUCAUAGAGCAAUUCAUUUGUUUUUCAAAAUAGGACAAUUUUCGGAUAAAGCAGAAUGCACUUCUUUAAUAAAAAAAUCUGGAAAAAUUAGUAAACGAUGUCAAUAAAUUAUGAAAAUUUAAAAUGAUAUAAAAAAGACCUAGAGAAAGAGAUUUCAUGAAGAACACCCUGUCAAGAAAGUUUCACAUCAAUCACAUAGGUCCAUACAUCACAGCAAAAGAAAUUUCAGCACCUCUUUUUGCACAGUUUCAGAAAUAAUUUUGAUUAAGCCAUUAAAUGAACUCCAAAAAUUCUGAGAUUUUAACAUGUUAUAAUUGAGACAUAGAGGUAAAAUUUUUGUGAAAAAAUAAAAGUCAGAUUCGUGAUAGAUCAAAAUCUACAGUCACUCUUCCUAACCCUUAGUGACGCUUUCCAAAUCUAACCAUUUCAAAGAAAAGUCAUUUCACCGACCAAUAUUUGUCCAUUUAUUCUCAAAUUUUAGUAUGUUAUUCCUCAAGAUGUCGUCUACAACUCUUAUCAAGAACACAAGAUCAAAUUCGGACUGGAUACUUACACAAAAUUCACAUAAUCACAACAGAUCAACAUAACAGUUUCCAGAUCUAGUAUCUUUGAAGAAAAAUGGUGUCCGUUUUCUCUCAAUUUUGAUAUGUUAAUCUCCAAAAAGUCCUCUAUAAAUUUCAUCAAGAAAUCGAAGUGAGAUUCCAAUUAUAAAAUCGCAUGCAGCUCACGAAAUCACCAAAAGUCGGACUGUUCCUACAUGCAACAGCUCACUUGGAAAAACCACCACCAUUCACUCGAAUUUCCAGCAUUUAACAUCACAACUCAAGCAUUUCCAGCAUUCAACAUCACAAUAAUAGCAAGCAAAGUGUAGGCUAACGGACUCUACUUGCCUUAAAUCCAACGCAACCACAGCAAGCAAAAUGGAGGACUCGGGAUCUCGGAUGCUGCUCGGUGACGGCGGACUCGAGCGGUGUCGACGGUGGUAGCUCGGACACGGCACGAGCGAAGGGUGGCCUUCCUUCUCUGCCCUCACACGCACGGACCGCUCGCUGCUCACCCUCUCUCUCUAACUCUCACUCGAAUUCUCUCUCUCCCUCACACUUGCUCGCCCCCCCCCCCCCCCCCCCCCCCCCCCCUCACUCUCUCGGCCUCACUCUCCUUUUACCGAUAGUUUUUGCUUUUCUUUGAUUAACUAAUUCACUAAUUUUGUAUGCAGGUGACAAGUGUUCUCAUGGAAAGGACAAGUAGAAGAUGCAUGGACAAGUGGCUUCAAAUAAUGAACAAGUGGAGGCAAUUCAAGGACAAGUGUUAGAAUGGCAUCCCCUUCUCACGAGCCCUCUCUCUCUGUCCGAAUUCUUUUCUCUCUGGUUAGUACAAGUGAGCUGAUUAGUCGCUGGUUUUUCACCAAAACCAGUCAACUAAGAGAUAAUUUUUCCAUGGUUUGGCUGCAUGAAGGGCAGCUGGAUCCGUACGCGUCCAGCAUGCUUCUCUUCCUUCGACACUUGCUCCUCUCUUGCAACGUUUCUUCAGCCAUUUAACUAAUUCUUUUCUUAAUCCCAAUUUGCUGGCCGACCGCGAGAAAGCAACGUGGCAUCAAUGGUCAGAAAUUUUCCUCUCAUAGUUGGCUAGGGUGUCGACCAAAUGGAGAGAGGUUGGGGCAGCCUUGGGCGCGGACGAUUCCUCCUUUUCCGCAUGGGUGUGCAUGUCCCUCAUGCACGGCUGAAUUCUAUUUCCUCGGCUCAGAAUUUUAAUUAAUAGAAGUCCAGAAUUUCCCUCUCAUUUCGUAUACAUUUUAGUGGUACAAUUGUGUAGCGUCAUCAAAGCAAUUUGCACAACUCAAUAAGGUUGAAUGUAGUACUAACGAUGAUGAAUUCCAAUAGUAGUUUCGUCAAUCCAUGACGUUUCAAAUAUGGGUGAGAUUGGUCUCACUAAUAACCUUAUGUAAAGAGGCUUUUGACAAUACUCUAGUCUAUCCCACAAUCGGACUAUUUUCUAAACAUGAGGUACGGUCCAUUAAAUUGCUCGGCCUUAAUUAAAUUAAAAUCUAUUAGCCAAAGACCAUAACAUAGUCCGAUGACGCUUCCAUCACCUAUUCAUGGUUCAUGGUAUGUCUAGGGGUUGCUAUGAAAUUCUAGGAUGCCACACUAUGGUUAGAGUUCUGUAGUCUCUGGUUCUAAGAAAAAUCCUGUCAAAUCUCUUCUCUAGGUGUAGGUGUCGUCGACAAUGAAAUGGAAGAAUUGCAUUGGUUUCUUUUUUGCUUCUUCUAAAAUAUUUUACUUCUCAAACUCUCCAUAGAGCUUCAUGCUUUUUACUAUUCUUAGGUUAUGGUUGCCUGAUGGUAUGAUUUAUGUAAUUAUGCUUCCCUUGUAGACUGCAAAAGUUAUAGGGGCGGCCAUCCAACCAUUACUAUAGUCAGUUGGUCGGCUGCAGCUUGUUGUCGCUCGGGUUCAGGCCCUUUAUAUCUCUGCUUCAGAUAUUUUUGAGCUUGACAGUCUCUAAAAUUGGUAAACGUUGUCUUCCAACAGAUUGACAAGGCCACGCAUGAUCAAACUAGAGAUUCUCUUCACGAGCGUCAAGCUGAUGAAAGUGAUGAUGAGGACGAAGACAUCGAUCAUGUCUUUUACAGGGAUGAGGAUGAAUCUGGACAAACUAGCGAUGAUACAAAUGAUGACGAGAAGCUCUAAAUUUUAAGAGUUAGUCAACCUUGCUGGUGUUAAAUUUGAUUUGUCGUGUUGCAUCUUCAUAAACUAUGGAUUGUUGGGGUAAUUACUAAUUAGUGGGUAAAAAAGUAGGUGAAGGCUAUAAGACUAUUUUCGAGGUGAGGACACCUGGAGUGCCAUAACUUGGCACGUCGGGACACUUAAGUGCCAUAACUUUAAAAUGGUACACUUAAGUGCCAUCAUCGGAGUAAAAUGGGACACUUAAGUGCCACUCCGGCGAAAAUCCGGCCAAAUGGCUGACGUGGCGACUUUCUGGCGAGCUCGGUCCAAAACGGCGUCGUUUUGCAUGCUGACGUGGCGGAGAAAAUGCAAAAACGACGCCGUUUCGCGUCUAUGUGUAAAUAAUAGUAUAUAAAUUAAUUAAAUUAGAUUUAAAAUAUUCAAAAAUUUUAAAAAAAAUAAGAAAAAUUUUAAAAAUUUUAAAAAUUUUAAAAAAUUUUAAAAAUUAGAAAAUUUAAAAAAAUUUAAAAAAUAAGAAAAUUUAAAAAAAAUUUAAAAAAUUAAGAAAAUUUUAAAAAUUUUAAAAAUUAAGAAAAUUUUAAAAAUUUUAAAAAAUAAGAAAAUUUUAAAAAUUUAAGAAAAAUUUAAAAAAAAUUUAAAAAAUUAAGAAAAUUUUAAAAUUUUUUUAAAUUAAGAAAAUUUUACAUUUUUUAAAAAUUAAGAAAAAUUAUAAAAAAAAUUAAAAUUAUAAAAAAGUUAUAAAAAGGGGGGGGGGGGGGGAGGCCGAACGGGGCGGCUCCCUUGCCGCUGCCGGCGGCUCCCUCACCGCCGCCACCUCCCCCCCCCUUUUUCUAAAUUUUUUAAUUUUUAAAUUUUUUUUAAUUUUUUUUAAAUUUUUAAAAUCUUUUAAAAUUAAAAUUUUUAAAAUUUUCUUAUUUUUUAAAAUUUUUAAAAUUUUCUUAUUUUUUAUUUUUUUAAAAUUAAUUUUUUUUAAUUUACUUUUUUUUUUAAAAAAAAUUUAAAAAAAAAAUUUUUUAAAAUUUUUUUUUAAAAUUUUUUUAAAAUUAAAAAUUUUAAAAUUUUCUUAUUUUUUUUAAAUUUUUAAAUUUUUUUAAAUUUUUUAAAAUUUUUUAUUUUUAAAUUUUUUUAAAAUUAAAAUUUUUAAAAUUUUCUUUUUUUUUUAAUUUUUAAAAUUUUUUAAAAUUAAAAUUUUUUAAAAUUUCUUUUUUUUUAAUUUUUAAAAUUUUUAAAAUUUUCUUAUUUUUUAAAAUUUUUUUUAAUUUUUUGAAAUUGAAAUUUUUAAAAUUAAAACUUUUAAAUUUUUAAAUUUUUUUAAAAUUUUUAUGCUGAUUUGGAGCUCCGGCGAGCCACGUAGGCAAAAAAUAAUAAUAAAAUAUUGCCACGUAGGAUUUCCGGCAAGGGUCGCCGGAGGUGGCACUUAAGUGUCCCACUCUAGAAAAAAAGUGGCACUUAAGUGUACCGUUUUGAAGUUAUGGCACUUGAGUGUCCCGGCGUGCCAAGUUAUGGCACUUGUGGUGUACUUCUGCCGACUUUUUUCUCUGAUUCCAUUUUCAGGUAAAGUCUUAUAUUCCACUGCGAGAAGUGAGUUCCAUACAGCUUCUUGUAGAUAGACUAUUUUGAUAUUUCGACUAAGAACCAGUUAAACAUGAUCCCCUCGGAGAAAUUCAUACAUAUGCUGCCAAUUUCGCGCCCUCCACAAAUUUUAUGAUUCCGAUUGCAUGUGCUGGUCUCAAGCAAUCACCCCGACGACAGAGACCACCAUAGACUAGCCGUUGUGGUAGCGGUGGUUGCCCUGCAGCGGAUUAUGGCAUCUCUAUGUAUACUUUUCCUGAAAAUUGUUUAUUCAAUUAUACAAUCAUAUCCUCCGUUUAUCAAACACUCUGUAGGACCGUUUAUCUGCACCUGCCCUUGUAUCCGGUGUGUUUGCAUACAAGGAAUUUGAUACCAAAAAUCCGCAGGACUUCUUGUUCGAUCUUAAUGUAUCCCUUUCGACUUUAUUUCUUAGCGACCGAAUGCGGCGUAAGAGUAGAACAUGACAAUUUACCCUCGACGAGUUGACAGAGUACAUGUCGCAUUCUUUAGAUAUAAUUCCAAAAUCUGAGACCCAGAAACUUUAGAUGACCAUCUCACUGACCUGGGAUGCUUUAGAUGUCCUCACUUGGAUUGCACCGCACGGCAACCUAAAAACCGUUCUGGCAUUUUAACAUCAUAUGCUGUAUGCUGGAUAUAAUUAUCAAAGGUUCUAAAUCCAAUAAUUAUGUAAAGCGAAGUCAGCUAAAAGCCAAGAGAUCGCUAUUGAGACAUUUGACAACAUUAAAAUGAUACCAUAGUUUCACACAUAAAACAUGGAAUAUGACACAUAGAAUUCCAAGUUCGUUCGGGUAAGAGAAACGACAAAAAGCAAAGCGAGUUCAAAAGGAAAAGCGAAAAUGGUUGCUGUAUUUGGUUUUAAAUGAUUCGUUCGAUUUUGCAGGGUUUCAAUACGUCCCGAUCCAAAUUAAGCUGCAUAUUUAUCAUGAAACUCAAAGUGGGGCACACGCAACUAUCGAGACCGAAAGAAAAGAAAGAAAACGGGGGGCCGCACGCUACGAUAAUCACUCAAUUGAGGACCACAUCGGACCAAAGUUUAUUCGGACAACACUUCAUAUGGGCUUGCGAACGAAGCAAGUACAGCCAAUUUACGAGACAUUUCCCAGAACCACCAUCAUAUUGGCCUAAGACACGAGCAGUCCUCUCUCACAGGGUGACAUCCCCUUGGCGGACACAUACAGGAUGGAAGAGAACUGAGUCUCACGGACUCCGCCUCCGCAUGAGCCUGGAUGGCCCUGAACAUCACGGACGCCUUCUCUCUCAUGGGCCUGAUCAUCUCCUCCUCCGUGAUAUCCCCUUGGCCGACGGUGAAGCACCUGCCCGCGUACUUACAGACCGAGCCACCCUCCAGGGGCAACGCAACGAUCUUCACCUCAUGGCUGGUUUCCUUGGAGAUUCUGCUCUGCUCAUCACGAUCGACGGUCGAGUGGUUGUAGACGAAGGGCUCCUGGUCCGGCGCUUUAACUGUGUGCCUCACCGUCCUGCGCUGUCUGCCUAUAAAAGUAACCAAAUCGACAUUUGCGCUAAUCCGUUGUAUGAGUUUAUUCGUACCGAGGGUUCAAAUCCCUCUCUUUCCAUUUCCCUUAAUGACUCGUUAUUUUAUUUAUAUUUAUUUUCAAAACUUUUCUUUGUUUUUUUUUUUUAUAUUUUAAUUUCAUAUAGUAAAUAAGGAUGUGCAAUAGAUAAAAUCCUAAGUAAGUUAAUUGAAAAAUUAUGCAAGAAAAAAGAAAAGCCUUUUUAUUUUUCGUGUCUAGGAUUACCUCCUGGAUCAUUGGAUAGGAAUCCAAAAAUGAAAGAGAGUGUAAACAAAGAGCUUGAAAAUAAACAUUACACAAUCUCCACUUUAUUUCUUUUUUCAACAUUAUGAGCACCAAUCUUAGUGUUGUUGAUCAGGGCAUCUAGGGGACCACGCCCAAUUAUAAUCGUAAAGCAAUAUGAUUGAUAUGUGAUUUUAAUUGUAAGGAACAUUUCAAUUGACCCAGUACCUUCGACAGAGAUCGUCUCCUGGAUGUCGGCAUUUUUGAUGGCUGGUAGGAGGGUGUGGGGGAAGAAGCCCUUGGCUUCGAGAAAAGCCUCGACCAACCUAGCCUUAGGGAUCGGGUGCGUGAUCUCGGCCUUGAGAGUAACUUCUACCAUCGAUUGAAUCCGAAUAGAAUUUGCUGAACUGAAAAGGGUAUAAAAAAUCUCAAAAGAAAGAAAGAAAGGAAGGAAUGAGGAGAAGGAGCUUUGAAUUGAGGUGAAGUAAAAGGUCGAUAUAUAUAGUGAUAAGAAAAGGGAUAAUUAUACAAAUGAUCCCACAACUUUGAUCCAAUGUGUAAUAUGGUCUCUAAACUUUUAAUUUAUUUAAUGUGAUCCUUGAACUUUUGGUAAAUAUUCAAUAUAGUCCAUGAACUAUUUGAAAAUGUUUAAUUUAGUCCUUCAUUAAUUCAAGAUCAGAGACACCGUUGAAUAUAUUCAUAUAAUUCAGGGACUAAUUGAACAUGUACCAAAAAUCCAAAAAUCUCAUUGCACAUUGGGUUAAAGUUCAUAAAUCAUUCAUGUCAUUUUUCAGUAUGGACAUCGACCUUCCAAAAAUUUUGCUAUAGAGUAACUUCUGCUUAAUUGCAUGUAGUAGAAAAGCAAAUUAUUUCAUUUUCCUAGAAAGCAUCUCUCCUCCCAUAAAAAGUUGAACCCCUCAAAACCCAAUAAUAUUACCCAUACGACAAAUGAUUAACUUUAGGUUGAAUUUAAUUUAAUUAUCUCCCUUCCUUUGCUAAAACAACAUAAACCUUCCGCAAACCUUUUUUUUUUAUUUAUUUAUUUGAGUUUUAACUUUGUCUCCACGGACUCUGGAGAGGGGGGGGGGGGGGGGGGGAGAAAGAAAACUUUGGGCCUUCCCCUUAAAAGCAUCUCUCCUUUGUUCAGCCUUUAACCCUUUGCCAGAAAAUUUUGACUUGUCUGCAUGUUAUUGUUAUGAUAUUAUCUUGUUUCUAGUUUUGUCUAGUUAUCGAAAGCAAAUUGACAACUAUGAUGGGUCCCUUGUUUCUGAUCGGGAAUUAUCCCGAGACAAAUCCUGUUCUCCUCGGCCAAAAGGAUAAUUAAUCAGUUGCAUGAAUGAUUCCAUGAGUAUAUCGCAAUGGAAGCAUCUUUAUGUCAGCUUCUUGAGGUAAGCAAGAGUUUACUCCAUGCUUUUCUUGAUCAAAGGUUAGCCUAUCUCUUGUUUCUUAUUCAAGUGCUUUUCUUAGAAUAGCAGUUUUGUUUAUUCAAGUUUAGAAUCACUGUGGUUGAGUGUCUUUUCUAUUCGAAUCGCUAACCAUAUCAUCAGAAAGUUAUUCCACAAGUCUGAGCUCAGAACCAUAAAAUUGGACCCCACAAUCUGGGUUAGAAUAAAUUUCUAUAGUUUAAUGAAUACAUUAUUUUCUAUGUACUUUUGUUGAAUGCUAAAACCAAUGUAAGCGACGAGGGUAAUUGGGGUUGUGUCAUAAUAUAUGCAUUUCUCGUAAAUGUCUAAUACUGUUGUGAUAUUAAUGUGGAAAUGAUAGGAUUUUACAAAUUAAGUCAAUGCGAAAAAAUUAGAGAAAUAAGCGAGGAAUAAUAGAACAUCCGAGAUUUACGUGAUUUGAUCCGAGUAUCGGUACAUACAUAAACAGAGAGAGCCAGUAACAAAUAAUCUAUUAUAAUUGAACAAUCAGAUUUAUAAUUGCUCAUAUGCUCGAGUAUUUCUCACACCUAAUUUAAGUUCAAACCCAAAAUAUUUACAAAUAAAUAUUUAAUUAGACGAAAACUUACGGCACGAAAUCGCCACGUAUUCAUGUCGGUGCGGCCAAGAGACAUCUCCUUCGUGCGUCCAAGAAGUCCUCCGAUCGGCUUCUUGAAUCUUCUCUUGGCAGCGUCUAUACCACCCGCAAAGAACCCCCUGGCGGCUAUUUCUCGUGCGGCUCUUUUUCACUCAAGAAAAAUCCUUGAUUUUAUUUUAUUUUAUUUCCUUUUGUGCAGCUAAAGGAGUCCCAUGAAAUACUCCUUUGUUGACCGACCAGUCACAGGAUUAGGAUUCGAAGCAGACGUCCACUGUACGGACCUAAAGCGGAUUUCCUUUCCUGUGCUAUUUUCUCCGACAGAAAAGAAAUCUUCACGAGUCACUAUGAAAAACUUAUCCAAACGGUUCAAAUAUGGAAAAACUUAUCCAAGCAAAUUGCAUUUAGUAAAUACUCAAACUCGAGAUAUAAUUUAACAAAUACGAUGAAAUUAUUUCCGAGUUCACAUGCUUCUAAGUUAGAAAUCUAAAAAGAAAAAUAGCUACUGCUGAUGCAAACUUUGCUCAUAAAUAUCUUAUGUCACCCUUAUACACGUUUAAUUCAUUGAAUCCUAAAAGUGGUAUGAGGGAAAGGGGUAACUAUGGCUAGAGAUCUGAAGAGUUUUGUAAUCUCUGGUUCUAGGAAAAAUCCUGUCCAUCUUUUCUCUAGGUGGAGGUUGCAUGAACAAUGGCUUGUAAGAAUUGCAUUGGUUUCUUUUUUGCUUCAUCUAAAUUAUUUUACUUCUCAGACUCUCCAUAGAGCUUCACGUUAUUUAUUGUUCUUGGGUUAUGGUUGCCUGAGGGUAUGAUUUAUAUAAUUAUUGUUUCCUUUGCAGACUGCAAAAGCUAGAGGAACGGCAAUUCAAUCGUUACUGCAGUUAGUUGGUGGGCUGCAACUUCUUGUUGCUCAGCUUUAGGCUCUUUAUGUCUUUGCUUCAGAUAAUCUUUUGAGUUUGACAGUCUCUAGUUUUGGUAAACGUUGCCUUACAACAGAUUGACAAGGCCAUGCGUGAUCAAACUAGAGAUUCUCUUCACAAGUGUCAAGCUGAUGAAAGUGAUGAUGAGGACGAAGACAUCGAUCCCGUCUUUUACAGGGAUGAGGAUGAAUAUGGAUAAACUAGCGAUGAUACUGAUGUUGAGUAGAAGCUCUAAAUCUUAAGAGGUAGUCAUUCUUGCUGGUGUUAAAUUUGAUUUGCCGCGUUGCACCUUCGUAAACUGUGGAUUGUUGGGGUAAUUAGUGGGUAAAGAACAGGUGAAAGACUGAAAGACUUUUUCUCUGAUUACAUUUUCAGGUUAAAGUCUCAUAUUUCACCGCGAGAACUGAGUUCGAUAAAGCAUCUUGGAUAUGGUCUAUUUUGCAGUUUCGAUUAAGAACCAGUUAAACGUGAACAGCUCUAGUUUAUAUACGCAAUUUACUGGAAGUUCUACUGCUGAUCAUGAUCAAGAGUUCCCAUGUGUUAAUUCUGGCUUUUAAUUUUCCAUGCUCAUGGCAAGUAGCCUUUAUCCUCUAAACGUCAGUUUGAGUUGGAUUUGUUUUUGCUGCUUUGUAGUGUGAAACUUGCUCAUGAUGGAGAUGCUCGCUUGGGGCAACUCACUGGUCAAGUUGCAGCUGCCCCAGGAGAAAUUCAGACAUAUGCUGCCGAUUUCGUGCCCUCCAAAAAUUUCUUAUCCCGACCACAUGUGCUGGUCCCAGGCAAUCACCAUGACGACAGAGACCACCAUAGACUAGCCGUCGUGGUAGUGUUUAUUGCCUUACUGUGGAUUAUGGCAUCUCUAUUUGUGACAUCCCGAUUUUCCAAUUCUAUUUUCAAUAAAUUGAGACGGGCAUUUCGUUGGCACGCAUGUAGUUCAUUUUCUUGAGUCGGCCACUCAUGUGAAAACUAGUCUAUCAGGUGAAGUCGUUAAGAAAUUCAAAUGCAUUAGACUCGAGAAUUUGACCAGGAAGCGAUCUUUCGACCGAGCUAAUCUGCAAGGGUCAUUGCGGCACAAUUGAAAAUCGAUUAGAGAUCGGAGAUAGGUCAACUCGACAGAGGCAUGUGAUCAGGUGUGGGUGAUUCCACCAGAUCGCACAAUUCUUGUCGAUCGGCACUGGAUCGACUUUUCUAUCGAUUGGGUACCCUGUGCUCGUAUUUGAAACCUUGAGAUUACCCCCGACAACUGAAAGUCGUCAAUGUUUCAGAUGCAUGAAAAUGCAUGAAAAUUUCUAAAGGCUACCCAAUAGGUUGGAUAGCGCUGGUAUCGUGCCAAAGUGAAAUUAACUGUGAAAUUGAGAUCGAAUUCAGAAAUUGGAAGUCGAGGUGUGUCACAAAUCAUUUCAGGAUCAUUGAAUCAUCUUUGGAAGAUUUUUCAUGUAAUCAGAAUUUUUCAGCAAGUAAAUCAGAAAAUGGCUAAUUUUGCUCGAGAAAUUAGUAGGCCCGCUUUUGAUCAUACUUCUGGGACUUAAGUUGGUUCUACGAACAAGUGAAGAUGUGAAUUGAAGUGUGGUGACGUUGGAUUAAUUUUAUAGGCUUUAAUUUAAUUCAAUUGAAAGAGAAUUAAUGGGAAUUGAAGAAAUUGGAUGUACAAGAUUUGGACCCCAGCGGAAAAUGAAAGUGCAACCAUUGGAGAAGUUAUGGGAGGGGGUUUGAGUGAGUGGAAGAUGACAUAGGAUGAUGUCAUGGUGGUUGAAGCCAAGGGUUGAGAUCUUGACAAAAGGAGGGUGGAGAUUGGCUCUUGAAAAGGUGGGCUUUCACUUCAUCUUCAACCUUGGGAAGAAAGAGAGAGAGAGAGAGAGGGGGGAAGGAAGGGAGCAGCUCGUGCGUGCAGUAGCCCGACGGAAGCCAAUCGAGCUCGCGCCAGCACGCCCGUUGCCGGAGCUUGCCGUCGUCGCCGCCGCCGCCGUGCCGCCCGUGUGCCUCGCCGCUCGCCCUACCUACUCGCAUCUCCAUCUUCAUCUUCUUCUUCUUCUUCGAAAGCCCAGCAAACCAGCGAACUAGAGAAGCUUCGUCUGAAGUCACCGCCGCUCAUCGCCGUCGUCGGAGUCGUCGCCGUCCACGCCCGCUCGCCCGCACGACCAACCAGCUUACCGCUCUGCCUCUGCCCAACCGCUGUUCGUGCGACCCCCGACCCUCCAUCAUCUUCGUUAGCCGCUGUUUUUGGUCGUCCAGCUCGUCGGAGAGCUGCCGUGAGCUGAGCUAGCUGAAGCCAGCUUGCCGCUCGUGCCGCUUCUCCUCCGCUCGCACGACCGGCCGGCUCGUGCUCAGCUCAGCCGCUGCUCGCGCGACAAGGACCCUCCAACGUUGUCGUCCGACCGUCCAGCCGCCCGUUCGUCAUCGCCAAGGCCGCCGGAGGCCCCGCCUAGCCGCCGUGAGCCACUACCCGAGCUACCACCUCCUUCCUCCGCCGUUCCUCCGCCCGAUUAAGCUCGGAUCUGCCCUCCUUCGGCCCCAAGUAGCAGCCAAGAAAAUGGGUAUGGCAGCCCAUGUUUGGCCCGUUUUGGCCGCCUUCCCGAGCCCGGACGCUCGGCCCGCCUUGAGGAAAGUCGAUCCUCGCGUCGUCCUCGUCGUUUUGGUCCGCUCGGCUCGCUAAUCCGGUGAGUUUAGCUCACUAAACCUCGCUUAGAUGAUUAAUUAUGCUUAGGGAGGUUUAGUUUAUGUUAAGUAUUAUUAGGUUGUUAGUUUAGGAUAUUUAAGAGUAGAUUAGAUUAAGGUGGUGUUUUAAUUUAAAGUGUGCUUAAUUAAGGAUAAGUAGGUUUAUUUAAAAUAAGCCUUGAUUUGGCAUAAAUGAAUUUACUUUUGAGUUAUUUAAAUGUCCCGAAAUUAUUAAAUAAUUUAAUAAUAUAUUAUUAUUCGAAAUUAUUAAAAUAUUAUUAUUUAAUUAUUUGCGGAAUAAAUUUAAUUAUUUAUUAAAUUCCGAAAAUUUUGUCAGGACCCUAAAUUCUCAGAAUUUUGUGCCGGUCGCUGCUGUGUAGUCAGAUUUUGAAAUUGACGAUUGGAUAUUAUAAAUUGAGCGUGUAUUGUGAAAUAUAUGGAUAUUAUUAUUUAAUUAAUUUUCGGAAUAAAUUUAAUUAUUUGUUAAAUUCUGAAAAUUAUUUUGGAACCUUACUCUGUUAGAAUUUUAUGCUGAUCGCUGCUGUGUAUUUAGAAUUUGAAUUUGAUGAUUGAUUGUGGCAAAUGGAGUGUGAUUGUGAUAAAUAGGGAUUCCUUAUAAAAUCCUAAGUGUAGAAAUUGAUGGGAGAUUAGCCAUAAUUGAUCACCUAUUAGAGGUCGUGCCCAGUGAGGCCGUGAUAGACCACCUAUGAGAGGUCGUGCCUAAUAGGGCCGUGAUGAACCACCUAUGAGAGGUCGUGCCCAGUGAGGCCGUGAUGUACCACCUAGGAGAGGUCGUGCCCAGUGAGGCCAUGAUGAACCACCUAGGAGAGGUCGUGCCCAGUGGGGCCGUGAUAGACCACCUAUGAGAGGUCGUGCCUAAUAGGGCCGUGAUGAACCACCUAUGAGAGGUCGUGCCCAGUGAGGCCGAGAUGUACCACCUAGGAGAGGUCGUGCCCAGUGAGGCCGUGAUUGACCACCUAUUAGAGGUCGUGCCUAGUGAGGCCGUGAUGGACCACCUAAUUAAAGGUCGUGCCGAGUGGGGCUGUGAUUGCCACUGUUUGUUAAACCUUCCUAUAGGGCCGGGAUUGAGAGCAAUGAUUGAUUUGCUAGAAUAACAUGUAAUCGGCCGAGUCGAUUGAUCGAUGAGACGAUCCAAGUGGUUGAAUUGUUUUGAUAAUGUGAUUGUGCCAUGGUUGUUUGGUUAUCAUAAUUGUACGUGGUUGAAUUAUGUAAAUUGUGCUAACCUGCAGAUGAAGGCUGAGGCGAGGUAAGUCUUCUGUAUGAUGUGGCUAGGCCACUCGGGGCGUAUUUUCUUUUUAAUAGGGGUUUAGGGGGUUGAACUUGCUGAGACAUCGUCUCAUCUUGGUUGUGGGAUUAAAAUUUCAGGUCCCCGGUGGACGGAGCGGGCAUAUAGCUUCGGUUGGCCUUGAGGAGUCGCAGAUGUGAAGUUAUAAGGAUUGGAGAGCGUGUCCGACUUGUAGGUCGUAGGACAAUUCCUUUUUAAGGGCCGGUCUUUUGUAGACUGUUGGCCGUAGACCUCUGUUUGUAAUUAUGUUGAAUUGUGAAAGUGUUAUGUGGUGAUUUUGCUUCCUGCUUUUCUAUCCCAUAUUUUAUUGUCAGGGGUUUUAUAAUAUGCUUCCGCAUGUGCAUUAAAGAUUGGAUUGGGUCGGCGACUUAACCUGGGAACGUCGCAUUUGAUCGACCACAGUGGGAUGUGUUCGCGCUCGAGGUUCGGGGCGUGACACUAUUUAUACUUUCCUGAAAAUUAUUUCUUCCAUUAUUCGACCAUAUCAUCCGUCUAUCAGACACUCGAUUGAUUGUUUAUCUCUAUCUGUCCUUGUCUCCGGUGUUUUCUCAUACAAGGAAUAUGAUAUAAAAAAUCUGCAGGACUUCUUGUUCGAUCUUAAGACUUCAUUUCUUAGUGCCCAAAUGCAGCAUAAGAGUAGAACAUGACAUUUUACCCUCCACGAGUUGACAGAGUACAUGUGACAUUCUUUAGAUAUAAUUCCAAAAUCUGAGACUCGGAAACUUUAGAUGACCAUCUUACUGAACUGGGAUGCUUUAGAUGUCCUCACACCGCGUGGCAACCUAAAAACCAUUUUAGCAUUUUGAUAUCAUCUGCUGUAUGCUGGAUAUGAUUAUCAAAGGUUCUAAACCCAGUCAUUAUGUGAAGUGAAGUCAGCUAAAGCCAAGAGGCUGCUUUUGAGACAUCUGAUAACGUUAAAAUGAUGCGGCAGUUUUGCACAGAAAAAGUGGAAUAUGAUGAUUGAAUUCCGAGUUCGUUUGUGUAAGAGAACAAACAACGAAAGGCAAAGGGAGUUCAAAAGGAGAAGCGAAAAUGGUUGCUGUAUUCGGUUUUAAAUUAUUCGUUCGAUUUUGCAGGGCUUCUAUACGUCCCGAUCCAAAUUAAGCUGUAUGUAUCGUGAAACUCAAAGUGGGGCACACGCAACUAUCGAGACCAAAAGGAAAAAAAGAAAAGAAAGAAAACAGGGGCCGCACGCUACGAUAAUCACUCGAUCGAAGACCACAUCGGACCAAAGUUUAUUCGGACAACACUUCAUACGGGCUUGCGAAGGAAGCAAGUAGAGCAAUUUUACGAGACAUUUCCCAGAACCACCAUCAUAUUCACAAAUAUCGCCUUGGCGGAGCGCUUACAGGAUCAGGACUACUGGGUGAUUAGGGCCAAUACGGUAAUUUCGCAGUGGGAUAAUCCAGACUGGGUUUCAUGGAUUUCGCCUCCGGAUAAUCCAGGAUGGCCUUGAACAUCACAGACGCCUUCUCUCUCAUGGCCCCGAUCAUCUCCUCCUCCGUGAUAUCCCCUUGGCCGACGGUGAAGUACCUGCCCGCGUACUUACAGACCGAGCCACCUUCCAGGGGCAACGCAACGAUCUUCACCUCAUGGCCGGUUUCCUUGGAGAUUCUGCCCUUCUCAUCACGAUCGACGGUCGAGUGGCUGUAGACGAAGGGCUCCUGGUCCGGCGCUUUAACCGUGUGCCUCACCGUCCUGCGCUGUCUGCCUAUAAAAGUAACCAAAGUGACAUUUGCGCUAAUCCGUUGUAUGAGUUUAUUCGUACCGAGGGUUCGAAUCCCUCUCUUUACAUUUCCCUUAAUGACUUGUUAUUUUGUUUAUAUUUAUUUUCAAAACUUUUCUUUGUUUUUGUUUUUUUUUUUCAUAUAGUAAAAAAGGAUGUACAAUAGAUAAAAUUCUAAGUGCAUUGAAAAAUUAUGCAAGAAAAAAGAAAAGCCUUUUUAUUUUUCGUGUCUAGGAUUACCUCCCGGAUCAUUGGAUAGGAAUCCAAAAAUGAAGAGUGUAAACAAAGAGCUUGAAAAUAAACAUUACACAAUCUCCACUCUUUUUUUUUCUCAACAUCAUGAGCACCAAUCUUAGUGUUGUUGAUCAGGGCAUCUGGGGAUCACGCCCAAUUAUAAUCGUAAUGCAAUAUGAUUGAUAUGUGAUUUAAAUGGUAAGGAACAUUUCAAUUUACCCAGUACCUUCGACAGAAAUCGUCUCUUGGAUGUCGGCAUUUUUUAUGGCUGGUAGGAGGGUGUGGGGGAAGAAGCCCUUGGCUUCGAGAAAAGCCUUGACCAACUUGGCCUUAGGGAUCGGGUGCAUGAUCUCAGCCUUGAAAGUAACUUCUACCAUCAAUUGAAUCCGAAUAGAAUUUGCUGAAUUGAAAAGGGUAUAAAAAUCUCAAAAGAAAGAAAGAAAGGAAUGAAGAGAAGGAGCUUUGAAUUGAGGUGAAGUAAAAGGUCGAUAUUUAUAGUGAUAAGAAAAGGGAUAAUUAUACAAAUGAUCCCACAACUUUGAUCCAAUGUGUAAUGUGGUCCCUAAACUUUUAAUUUGUUUAAUGUGAUCCUUGAAUUUUUGGUAAAUGUUCAAUAUAGUCCAAAAACUAUUUGAAAAUGUUUAAUUUAGUCCUUCAUUAAUUCAAGAUCAGAGAGACCGUUGAAUAUUUUCAUAUAAUUUAGGGACUAAUUGAACAUGUACCAAAAGUCCAAAAAUCACAUUGCACAUUUAGUUAAAGUUUAUAAAUCAUUUAUGUCAUUUUUUAGUAUGGACAUCAAUCUUCCAAAAAUUUCACUAUAGAGUAAUUUCUGCUUAAUUGCAUGUAGUAGAAAAGCAAAUUAUUUCAUUUUCCUAGAAAGCAUCUCUCCUCCCAUAAAAAGUUGAACCCCUCAAAACCCAAUAAAUUACCCAUACGACAAAUGACUAACUUUAGGAUUGAAUUUAAUUUAAUUAUCUCCCUUCUUUUGCUAAAACAACAUAAAGCUUCUGCGACCCAAUUUAUUUAUUUAUUUAUUUAUUUUGAUAUUUAACUUGGUCUCCAUGGACUUUGGAGAGAGGGAGGGAAGCUUUGGCCAUUCUCCUUAAAAGCAUCUCUCCUUUGUUCAACCCCUAACCCUUUGCUAGAAAAUUUUGACUUGUCUGCAUGUUAUUGUUAUGAUAUUAUCUUGUUUCUAGUUUUGUCUGGUUAUCGAAAGCAAAUUGACAAUUAUGAUGGGUCCCCUUGUUUCUGACCGGGAAUUAUCCCAAGACAAAUCCUUUCUCCUCGGCCAAAAGGAUAAUUAAUCAGAUGCAUGAAAUGAUUCCAUGAGUAUGUUGCAAUGUAAGCAUCUAUAUGUCAGCUUCCUGAGGUAAGCAAGAGCUUACUCCAUGCUUUUCUUGAUCAAAGGUUAGCCUAUCUCUUGUUUCUUAUUCAAGUGCCUUUCUUAGAAUAGGAGUUUUGUUUAUUCGAGCUUAGAAUCACUGUGGUUGAGUGUCUUUUCUAUUUGAAUCGUUGACAAUCUCAUCAGAAAGUUACUCCACAAGUUUGAACUCAUAACCACAAAAUUGGACCCCACAAUCCGGGUUAGGAUAAAUUUCUACAGUUUCAUGAAUGCAUUAUUUUAUACGUACUUUUGUUGAAUGCUCAAACCAAUGUAAGCAAUGAGGGUAAUUGGGAUUGUCAUAAUAUAUACAUUUCUCAUAAAUGUCUAAUACUGUUGUGAUAUUAACGUGGAAACAACCGGAUCUCGCAAAUUAAGUCAAUGCGAAAAAAAUAAGAGAAAUAAACGAGAAAUAAUAGAACACCAAAGAUUUACGUGAUUUUGAUCCGAGUAUUGAUACCUAUAUGCAUAAAGAGAGCCAAUAGCAAAUAAUUCGGUACAAUCGGAGAAUUAAAUUUAUAAUCACUCACACGUUCAAGUAUUUUUCACAUCUAAAUUUAAGCUCAAAAUCAAAGUGUUUAUAAAUAAGUACUCAAUUAAAUGUAAACUCACAGCAUGAUAUCACUGUAUAGUCACAUCGCUGCGGCCGAUAGAGACAACUCCGUCGUGCGUCCAAGAAGUCCUCUGAUCGUCUUCUUGAAUCUUCUCUGUGCAGCGUCCAUACCACCCACGAAGAACCCUCUGGCGGCUAUUUCUUGUGCGGCUCUUUUUCACUCAAGAAAAAUCCUUGAUUUUAUUUUAUUUUAUUUCCUUUUGUGCAGCUACAAGGAGUCCAAUGAAUCGCUCCUUUGUUGACCGACCAAUCACACACUGUACGGACCUAAAGCGGAUUUUCUUUCUUGUGCUAUUUUCUUCAACAGAAAAAGAUAUCUUCACCAUUAAAUAUGAAUAACUUAUCCAAAUGGUUAAAAUAUGAAAAAACUUAUCCAAGCAAGUAGAAAACCCUUAAACUCGAGACAUAAUUUAACAAAUACGAUGAAAUUAUUUCCGAAUUCACACACUUCUAAGUUAGAAAUCUAAAAAAGAAAAAUGGUUGUUAUUGAUGCAAACUGUGUUCAUAAAUAUAUUAUAUCGCCGUUAUACAAGUAGAUUUCAUUGCUAGAGAUCUGAAGAGUUAUGUAAUCUCUGGUUCUAGGAAAAAUCCUGUCCAUCUUUUCUCUAGGUGUAGAUUGCAUGAACAAUGGCCUGAAAGAAUUGCAUUGGUUUCUUUUCUGCUUCAUCUAAAUUAUUUUACUUCUUAGACUCUCUAUAGAGCUUCACGUUAUUUAUUGUUCUUUCUAUCUUUGGUUAAGAUAAUUUUUCGAGCUUGACAGGCUCUAAAUUUGGUAAAUGUUGUCUUCCAACAGAUUGACAAGGCCACGCAUGAUCAAACUAGAGAUUCUCUUCACGAGCGUCAAGCUGAUGAAAGUGAUGAUGAGGAUGAAGACAUCGAUAACGUCUUUUACAGGGAUGAGGAUGAAUCUGGACAAACUAGUGAUGAUACAGAUGAUGAGUAGAAGCUCUGAAUUUUAAGAGGUAGUCAUUCUUGCUGGUGUUAAAUUUGAUUUGUUGUGUUGCAUCUUCAUAAACUUUGGAUUUUUGGGGUGAUUAGCGGGUAAAGAUUAGGUGAAGGCUGUAAGACUUUAUUCUCUGAUUACAAUUUCAGGUCAAAGUCUUAUGUUCCACCGCGAGAAAUGAGUUCCAUAAAGCAUCUUGUUUAUAGACUAUUUUGCUGUUCUGUUUAAGAACCAGUUAAACACAAACAGCUCUAGGUUAUAUGCACAAUUUACUGGAAGUUUUACUGCUAAUCGUGAUCAAGAAUAUCCAUGUGCUAGUUAUGGCUUUUAAUUUUCCAUGCUCAUAGCAAGUAGCUUUGUUCCUCUAAACAUCAAUUUGAGUGGGGUGGUUUUGCUGCUUUGUAGUGUGAAACUUGCUCAUGAUGGAGAUGCUCGCUUGGGGCAAGUCACUGGUCAAGUUGCAGCUGCUUCAGGAGAAAUUCAUACAUAUGCUGCCAAUUUCGUGCCCUCCACAAAUUUUAUGAUCCCAACCGCGUGUGCUGGUCUCAGGCAAUUACCAUGACGGCAGAGACCACCAGACUGGUGGUUGCAGUUCGCCCUACAGCUGAUUAUGGCAUCUCUAUUUGUACUUUACUGAAAAUUGUUUCUUUAAUUACACAAUCACAUCCUCUAUCUAUCAAAACUCUAAAGGACUGUUUAUUUGUAUAUGUCCUUGUAUCUGGUGUUUUCUCGUACAAGGAAUAUGAUAUAAAAAAGCCGCAGGAAUUCUUGUUCCAUCUUAACGUAUUCUUUUCGACUUUAUUUCUUAGGGACCGAAUGCAGCAUAAGAGUGAAAAAUGGCAUUUUACCCUCGAAGAGUUGACAAGAGUACAUGUCGCAUUCUUUAGAUAUAAUUCCGAAAUCCGAGACCUGGAAACUUUAAAUGACCAUCUUACUGACCUAGGAUGCUUUAGAUGUCCUCAUUUGCAUUGCACUGCACGGCAACCUAAAGGCCAUUUUGGCAUUGUGACGUCAUCUGCUGUGUGUUGGAUAUAAUUAUUGAAGGUUCUAAACCCAGUCAUCAUGUAGAGUGAAGUCAGCUAAAGCCAACAGGUUGCUGUUGAGACAUUUGAUACCGUUAAAAUGAUACGGUAAUUUUACACGGAAAACAUGGAAUAGGACGGUCGAAUUCCAAAUUCAUUUGGGUGAGAGAAACAACGAAAGGCGAGGGAGUUCCAAAGGUGAAGCGAAAAUGGUUGCCGUAUUCGGUUUUAAAUUAUCGUUCGUGUUCUCGGUCGAUCAUUGGUUCGAUUUUGUAGGGUUUCAAUACGUCCCAAUCGCCUGAUCUGUGGACUUUCCAGAUGAUACGGCUGGAAGCUGUAUGUAUCAUGAAACUCAGAGGGGGGCACACGCAUCUAUUGAGACCAAAAGAACAAAAGAAAAGAGAGAGAAAAAAGAAAAGAAAAAAAAAACAGGGGCCGCACGCUAAGAGUCACUCAGCCGAGGGCACAUCGGACGAAGUUUUACUCCGACAACACUUCAUACGGGCCUGCGAACGAACGAAGUAGAGCAAUUUUACAAAACAUUUCCCAGAACCAUCAUACUCGCGGAAAGGACAAGAACCACAGAGUCCCUCGACGACAAGACAAGAACAGUACUCAAAUGGGUUUUGGGGUUUCGCGGCCGAAUAAGCCUGGAUGGCCCCGAACAUCACGGACGCCUUCUCUCUCAUGGCCUUGAUAAUUUGCUCCUCGGUGAUGUCCACUUGGCCGACGGUGAAAUACCUGCCCGCAUACUUACAGACCGAGCCAACCCCAAGAUAGGGCCACGCUUCGAUCGUCACCUCAUGGCUGAUUUCCUUGGAGAUGUUUCCCUGCUCAUCGCGUUCGACGGUCGAGUGGUUGUAGAGGAAGGACCCCGGGUUCGCGUUAACUGUGGCCCUCACCGUCCUGUGCAGUCUGCCUAUAGAAGUAACAAAAGUGAUAUUCACAUUUAGAACUCACCGGUUUCAACAUCACGAGCACUGAUCUCAGUGUCGUCGAUCAGGUCCAAAUUCAACCGUAAUGCAAAUACGGUUGACAUGCAAUGUCGAGGGUAAGGAACAUUUCGAUUGACCAAGUACCUUCGACAGAGAUCUUCUCCUGGCUGUCAGCACGCAGGACGCCUGGCGAGAGGACGUGGGGGAAAAAGCCAUUGGCUUUGAGAAGAGCCUCGAUCAACUUGGCCUUAGGGAUCGGGUGCGAGAUCUCGGUGUUGUGAGUAACUUCUACCAUUGAUUGAAUCCGAAAUAGAAUUUGCUGAAACUGAAAAAGGGGAUAGAAAAGCUCAAAAGAAAGAAAGAGAGCAGUGAGGAGAAGGAGCUUCGAGUAGAAGGUAAAGUAGAAGGUGGAUAUCCUUAGAGAUAAGGAAAGAGAUAAUAUGACACAAAUGAUUCAUGAACUUUAGUUCAAUGUGUAAUAUGAUCUAUGAACUUUUAAUUUGUUCAAUGUGAUCCAUAUGUUUUUUUAUAUAUGUUUAAUGUAGUCUCUAAGUGACGUGUAAAUGUUCAAUAUAGUCUUUUUUUAAUUUAAAAUCAGGGAUGAUAUUGGACAUUUUCAUAUAAUCCAAUGACUAAAUUGAAUAUAUACAAAAAAUUAAAAUAUUAUAUUAAACAAAUUAAAAGUUUAAGAACCGCAUUGCACAUUGGGUUAAAAUUGAUGGAUCAUAUUGAACAAAUUAAAAAUUUAAAUAUCACAUUAUACAUUAAAUUAAAAUUUAUGGAUUAUUUGUAUCAUUUUUCCAUAUGAAAAAGUUUACAUGAAAAGUCCCGACACACGGACAUCAACCCUCCAUAAAUUUCGCCAUAAAGUAACUCCUGCUUAAUUGCAUGUGGUACAAAAGCAAAUUAUUCCAUUUACCUCAAGACCAUCUCUCCUCCCAUGGAGAGCUAAACCCGUCAAAACCCAAUAAAUUGCCCGUAUGACAAAUGAUUAACUUUAGGAUUAAAUUUUAUUUUAAUCACCCCCUUCUUUUGCUAAAGCAACAUAAAGUUCCGCAUCCCUUUUUAUUUAUUUAUUUAUUUAUUAUAAUUUUUUUUUUUUUGAGUUUUAACUUUGUCUUCAUGGACAAUGGAGAGAGGGAGGGAAGCUUUGGCCAUUUUCCUUAGAUGCAUCUCUCCCUUGUUCAGCCUCCAACCUUUUGCGACCCUCUCCAUGCAUUGACUGCUCUUUCAUGUUAUUGCUGUGAUAUUAUCUUGUUCCUAGUUUUGUCUAGUUAUCAAAAGCAAAUUGACAACUAUGAUGGGUCUCUUGUUUCUGAUUGGGAAUUAUCCCUGGACAAAUCCUUUUUUCCUCGGCCAAAAGGUUAAUUAAUCGUUUGCGUGAAAUGAUUCCAUAAGGAUGUUGCAAUAUAAGCAUAUAUAUGUUACCUUUUCCCCAUAGUAAGCAAGAGCUUAAUACAUGUUUUUCUUGAUCAAAGCUAGCCUAUCUCUAGUUUCUUUUUCAAAUGCUUUUCCCCAUAUAUAUGCUGCCAAUUUCGCGCCCUCCACAAAUUUUAUGAUCCCGAUUGCAUGUGCUGGUCUCAAGCAAUCACCCUGACGACAGAGACCACCAUAGACUAGCCAUUGUGGAAGUGGUGGUUGCCCUGCAGCGGACUAUGGCAUCUCUAUAUAUACUUUUCCUGAAAUUUGUUUAGUCAAUUAUACAAUCAUAUCCUCCAUUUAUCAAACACUCUGUAGGACCGUUUAUCUGUAUCUGCCCUUGUAUCCGGUGUGUUUGCAUACAAGGAAUUUGAUACCAAAAAUCCGCAGGACUUCUUGUUCGAUCUUAAUGUAUCCCUUUCGACUUUAUUUCUUAGCGAUCAAAUGCGGCGUAAGAGUAGAACAUGACAUUUUACCCUCGACGAGUUGACAGAGUACAUGUUGCAUUCUUUAGAUAUAAUUCCAAAAUCUGAAACCCAGAAACUUUAGAUGACCAUCUCAUUGACUUGGGAUGCUUUAGAGUUUAGAUGUCCUCACUUGGAUUGCACCGCACGGCAACCUAAAAACCGUUCUGGCAUUUUAACAUCAUAUGCUGUAUACUGGAUAUAAUUAUCAAAGGUUCUAAAUCCAAUUAUUAUGUAAAGCGAAGUCAGCUAAAAGCCAAGAGAUCGCUGUUGAGACAUCUGACAACAUUAAAAUGAUACGAUAGUUUCACACAGAAAACAUGGAAUAUGACACAUGGAAUUCCAAGUUCGUUCCGGUAAGAGAAACAACGAAAAGCAAAGCGAGUUCAAAAGGAGAAGCGAAAAUGGUUGCUGUAUUUGGUUCUAAAUGAUUCGUUCGAUUUUGCAGGGUUUCAAUACGUCCCGAUCCAAAUUAAGCUGCAUAUGUAUCAUGAAACUCAAAGGGGGGCACACGCAACUAUCGAGACCGAAAGAAAAGAAAGAAAACGGGGGGCCGCACGCUACAAUAAUCACUCAAUUGAGGACCACAUUGGACCAAAGUUUAUUCGGACAACACUUCAUAUGGGCUUGCGAACAAAGCAAGUACAGCCAUUUUACGAGACAUUUCCCAGAACCACCAUCAUAUUGGCCUAAGACACGAGCAGUCCUCUCUCACAUGGGAUAUCCCCUAGGUGCACACAUACAGGAUGGAAGAGAACUAAGUCUCACGGACUCCGCCUCCGCAUGAGCCUGGAUGGCCCUGAACAUCACGGACGCCUUCUCUCUCAUGGGCCUGAUCAUCUCCUCCUCCGUGAUAUCCCCUUGGCCGACGGCGAAGCACCUGCCCGCGUACUUACAGACCGAGCCACCCUCCAGGGGCAACGCAACGAUCUUCACCUCAUGGCUGGUUUCCUUGGAGAUUCUGCCCUGCUCAUCACGAUCGACGGUCGAGUGGUUGUAGACGAAGGGCUCCUGGUCCGGCGCUUUAACCGUGUGCCUCAACGUCCUGCGCUGUCUGCCUAUAAAAGUAACCAAAGUGACAUUUGCGCUUAUCCGUUGUAUGAGUUUAUUGGUACCGAGGGUUCCAAUCCCUCUCUUUCCAUUUCCCUUAAUGACUCGUUAUUUUAUUUAUAUUUAUUUUCAAAACUUUUCUUUGUUUUUUUGUUUUUUUGUUUUUUUGUUUUUGUUUUUAUUUCAUAUAGUAAAUAAGGAUGUACAAUAGAUAAAAUCCUAAGUAAGUUAAUUGAAAAAUUAUGCAAGAAAAAAGAAAAGCCUUUUUAUUUUUCGUGUCUAGGAUUACCUCCUGGAUCAUUGGAUAGGAAUCCGAAAAUGAAAGAGUGUAAACAAAGAGCUUGAAAAUAAACAUUACACAAUCUCCACUCUCUCUUUUUUUUUUUUUUUUCAACAUCAUGAGCACCAAUCUUAGUGUUGUUGAUCAGCGCAUCUAGGGGACCACGCCCAAUUAUAAUCGUAAAGCAAUAUGAUUGAUAUGUGAUUUUAAUUGUAAGGAACAUUUCAAUUGACCCAGUACCUUCGACAGAGAUCGUCUCCUGGAUGUCGGCAUUUUUGAUGGCUGGUAGGAGGGUGUGGGGGAAGAAGCCCUUGGCUUCGAGAAAAGCCUCGACCAACCUAGCCUUAGGGAUCGGGUGCGUGAUCUCGGCCUUGAAAGUAACUUCUACCAUCGAUUGAAAAGGGUAUAAAAAUCUCAAAAGAAAGAAAGAAAGAAAUGAAGAGAAUGAACUUUGAAUUGAGGUGAAGUAAAAGGUCGAUAUUUAUAGUGAUAAGAAAUGAGAUAAUGAUACAAAUGAUCCCAAAACUUUGAUUCAAUGUAUAACGUGGUCCCUAAACUUUUAAUUUAUUCAAUGUAGUCCUUGGAGUUUUGAUAAAUAUUUAAAAUAGUCCAUGAACUGUUUGAAAAUGUUUAAUGUAGUCAUUCAUUAAUUUAAUAUCAGAGACACCGUUGAAUAUUUUCAUAUAAUUCAGUGGCUAAUUUAACAUGUAUCAAAAGUCCAAAAACCAUAUUACACAUUGGGUUACAGUUUAUUGAUCAUUCGUGUCAUUUUCUAAUACGAACAUCAACAUUCCAAAAAUUCUCCAUGGAGUAACUUCCGCUUAAUUGCAUGUAGUAGAAAAGCAAAUUAUUUGUUUUCCUUGAAAGCAUCUCUCCUCCCAUAAAAAGUUGAACCCCUCAAAACCCAAUAAAUUACCCAUACGACAGAUGAUUAACUUUAGGAUUGAAUUUAAUUUAAUUAUCUCCCUUCUUUUGCUAAAACAACAUAAAGCUUAUGCAACCCAUUUUUUUUUUUUAAAUUGAGGCAAGCUUUGGUCAUUUUCCUUGAAAGCAUCUCUCCUUUGUUCAGCCUCUAACCCUUUGCCAGAAAAUAUUGACUGGUCUGCACGUUAUUGUCAUGAUAUUAUCUUGCUCCUAGUUUUGUCUGGUCAUCAAAAGCAAAUUGACAACUAUGAUGGGUCUCUUGUUUCUGAUCGGGAAUUAUCCCAAGACAAAUCCCUUCUCCUCGGCCAAAAGAUUAAUUAACCAGUUGCAUGAAAUGAUUCCAUGAGUUUAUUGCAAUGUAAGCAUCUAUAUGUCAGCUUCCUGAGGUAAGCAAGAGCUUACUCCAUGCUUUUCUUGAUCAAAGGUUAGCCUAUCUCUUGUUUCUUAUUCAAGUGCUUUUCUUAGAAUAGGAGUUUUGGUUAUUCAAGUUUAGAAUCAUUGUGGUUGAGUGUCUUUUCUAUUCGAAUUGUUGACCAUCUCAUCAGAAAGUUAUUCCACAGGUCUGAAUUUAGAACCACAAAAUUGGACCCCACAAUGCAAGUGAGGAUAAAUUUCUACAGUUUCAUGAAUACAUUAUUUUCUAUGUACUUCUGUUGAAUGCUAAAAUCAUUGUAAGCGACGAGGGUAAUUGGGGUUGUGUCAUAACAUAUACAUUUCUCAUAAAUGUCUAAUAUUGUUGUGAUAUUAAUGCGGAAACGAUAGGAUCUCGCAAAUGAAGUCAAUGCGAAAAAAUCAAAGAAAUAAGGGAGGAAUAAUAGAUCACUAGAGAUUUAUGUGAUUUGGUCCGAGUAUCAAUAUCUACAUGCAUGAAGAGAGCUAGUAGCAAAUAAUCUACUACAAUCGAAAAAUCAAAUUUACAAUCGCUCACAUGCUCCAGUGUUUUUCACAUUUAGAUUUAAGCCAAAAUAUAAAAUGUUUGCAAAUAAAUACUCAAUUAGACGUAAACUCACGGCAAUAAAUUACUGUAUAUUCACGUCCGUGCGGCCGAGAGACAACUCCUUCGUGCGUCCAAGAAGUCCUCUGAUCGGCUUCUUGAAUCUUCUCUGUGCAGCGUCUAUACCACCCACGAAAACCCCCUGGCGGCUCUUUCUUGCGCGGCUCUUUUUUGCUCAUGUAGAAUCCUUAAUAUUCUUUUCUUUUAUUUCAUUUUGUGCAGCUACAAGGAGUCCAAUGAAUUACUCCUUUUUUGACCGACCAAUCACAGGAUUAGGAUUUGAAGAAGACGUCCACUGUACGGACCUAAAGCGGAUUUCCUUUCUUGUGCUAUUUUCUUCAACAGAAAAAGAUGUCUUCUCCAUUAAAUAUGAAUAACUUAUCCAAAUGGUUAAAAUAUGAAAAAACUUAUCCAAGCAGGUCGUGUUUGGCAAGCCCUUAAACUCGAGAUGUAAUUUAAUAAAUACGAUGAAAUUAUUUCCAAAUGCACACACUUCUAAGUUAGAAAUCUAAAAAAGAAAAAUGAAUAUUACUUAUGCAAACUAUGUUCAUAAAUAUGUUAUAUUGCCGUUAUACACGUCGAUUUCAUUGAAUUGUAAAGUAGUAUGAGGGAACAGGGUAAUUAUGGCUAGAGUCUGAAGAGUUCUGUAAUCUCUGGUUCUAGGAAAAAUCCUGUCCAUCUUUUUUCUAGGUGUAGGUUGCAUGAACAAUGGCCUGAAAGAAUUGCAUUGGUUUCUUUUCUGCUUCAUCUAAAUUAUUUUACUUCUUUGACUCUCCAUAGAGCUUCACGUUAUUUAUUGUUCUUGGGUUAUGGUUGCCUGAUGUUAUGAUUUAUAUAAUUAUUGUUUCAUUUGCAGACUGCAAAAGCUAGAGGGAUGGCCAUUCAAUCGAUGCUGCGGUUAGUUGGUCGGCCGCAGCUUGUUGUCGCUCAGGUUUAGUCCCUUUAUAUCUUUGCUUCAGAUAAUCUGUUGGCUUGAGAGUCUCUAGUUUUGGUAAACGUUGUCUUACAACAGAUUGACAAGGCCACGCGUGAUCAAACUAGAGAUUCUCUUCACCAGUGUCGAGCUGAUGAAAGUGAUGAUGAGGACAAAGACAUCGGUCACGUCUUUUAUGGGGAUGAGGUUGAAUCUGGACAAACUAGCGAUGAUACAGAUGUUGAGUAGAAGCUCUAAAUCUUAAGAGGUAGUCAUUCUUGCUGGUGUUGAAUUUGACUUAUCGCGUUGCAUCUUCAUAAACUUUGGAUCGUUGGGGUAAUUAGUGGGUGAAGAACAGGUGAAAUGAAAGACCGUAAGACUUUUUCUCUGAUUACAUUUUCAGGUUAAGGUAUUAUAUUCCACCUCGAGAACUGAGUUCCAAAAGGCAUCUUAUAUAUAGACUAUUUUGCUGUUUCGAUUAAGAACCAGUUGAACAGGAACAGCUCGAGGUUAUAUACGCAAUUUACUGGAAGUUCUACAGCCGAUCAUGAUCAAGAGUUUCCAUGUGCUAAUUGUGGCUUUUAAUUUUCCGUACUCACUGCAGGUAGCAUUGUUCCUCUAAACAUUCAGUUUGAGUUGGAUUUGUUUUUGCUGCUUUGUAGUGUGAAACUUGCUCAUGACGGAGAUGCUCGCUUGGGGCAACUCACUGGUCAAGUUGCAGCAGCCCCAGGAGAAAUUCAUACGUAUGCUACCAAUUUCGUGCCCUCCACAAUUUUUUUCUGAUCCUAACCAUGAGUGCUGGUCUCAGGCAAUCACCAUGACGACGGAAACCACCACAGACUGGCCGUCGCAGUAGUGGUUAUCACCUUAUAGUGGAUUAUUGAAUCUCUAUUUAUACUUUCCUGAAAAUUAUUUCUUCAAUUAUUCAAUCAUAUCAUCCGUCUAUCAGGCACUUUAUUGACUGUUAUCUGUAUCUGUCCUUGUAUCUGGUGUUUUCUCAUACAAGGAAUGUGUUCGAUCUUAACGAAUGAUUUUCGACUUUUAUUUCUUAGUGACCAAAUGCCACAUAAGAGUAGAACGUGACAUUUUAGCCUCAACGAGUAGACAGAAUACAUGUCGCAUUCUUUAGCGAUAAUUCCAAAAUAUGAGACCCGGAAACUUUAGGUGACCAUCUCAGUGACGUGGGAUGCUUUAGAUGUCCUCAUUUGCAUUGCACUGCACGGCAGCCUGAAAACCGUUUUGGCAUUAUGACAUCAUCUCCUGUCUGCUGGAUGCAAUUAUCAAAGGUUGUAAAGCCAGUUAUUGUGCAAAGCGAAGUCAGCUAAAGCCAAGAGGUCGCUCUUGAGACAUCUCACAACAUUAAAAUGAUAGGGUAGUUUUACAGAGAAAACAUGAAAUAUGGUGAUCGAAUUCCGAGUUCGUUUCAGUAAGAGAAACAAUGAAAGGAAAGAGGAGUUCAAAAGGAGAAGAUUGUUGCAUUUGAUUUUAAAUUAUUCAUUCGAUUUUGCGGGGUUAGGAGCACACGCAAUUGAGACCAAAAGAAAGAAAGAAAGAAAACAGGGCCGUACGCAAAAAUCACUCAAUCGAGGACCACAUCGGACGAAGGUUUAUUCCAACAACACUUCAUAUGGGCUUUGCAAACGAAGCAAGUACAGCAAUUUUACAGAACAUUUCCCGGAACCAUCAUAUUCGCGGAAAAGACGAGACCAACACACUCCCUCGACGACAAGACAAGAACAGCACUCGACUGGACCUUAUUCGAAGAGAACAUAUGAGACUAAGCUGCCGGAUCAGCUUGGAUGGCCGGGGCCCUGAACAUCACGGACGCCUUCUCUCUCAUGGGCCUGAUCAUCUCCUCCUCCGUGAUAUCCCCUUGGCCGAUGGUGAAGCACCUGCCCGCGUACUUACAGACCGACCCACCCUCCAGGGGCAACGCAACGAUCUUCACCUCAUGGCUGAUUUCCUUGGAGAUUUUGGGAUUGCUGUCUGGGACUUUCGAAGUAGAAGGGAGAAUUAGCAAAAUGUUCUGGUGCUGAAAUUUAUGGUGCCUAAUGUGGCUUAGACGAUCCAUCCUCUUCCUUUUCUCCUGCAAUUACAUUUUCCCUCCUGCUCAACUUAAUUCUUCCAAAUAAGGUAAGUUCUUUUACUUGCUGCCCCCAUUUCGUUCUUUGUUACUUAAAUGAUUUAUUGUGCAUUUGGUUGUUCUAUUUCGUAGAUCUCUUCUUCUUUUUUCAUCCCUUGACCAUUUUGAUUUCUAACAAGGAAUUUUCUUUCACCCAAUCUACCGUUCCUGCUGUUAAUAUCAAAUAUUGCAGCAUUGGACGGAUUUAUCUCUUGUUCCCUCUGCUAAUAUUUUCCUAUACAUUCGGCAGGUUUACGGUUAUGGUGCCACAUCCCAGGCUUGAUAGCUCUUUUCAUGAUGUAGCGGCCAAGUACUGAAAUCUCUGUUGGAUAUCGAUCCAUCGGAAUGGGGUUUGCCACCCUUUGACGAACAGAAAAGCUGAGAAUUCAUUUGAAAAUCAGACGAUGUGCAAUGGCAUCUCGUGUCAAAUUCAUUUGAAAUUCACUGCGUAUUUACGUUCAUGCGGCCGAGAGACAACUCUCUCAUGCGUCCAAGAAGUACUCCGUGCGGCUUCUUGAAUCUUCUCUGUGCAGCGUCUACACCACCCACGAAGAACCCCGUGGCGGCUGUUUCUCGCGCGGCUCUUUUUCACUCAAGAAAAACCCUUGAUUUUAUUUUAUUUUAUUUCCUUUUGUGCAACCACAAGGAGUCCAACGAAUUACUCCUUUGUUGACCGACCAAUCACAGGAUUAGGAUUUGAAGAAGACGUCCACCCACUAUACGGACCUAAAGCGGAUUUCUUUCCUUGUGCUAUUUCCUUGGACAAAAAAUAUCUUCACGAUUAAAUAUGAAAAAGUUGUCCAAGCAAUUAAAAUAUGGAAAAACUUAUCCAAGCAGAUCGUAUUUCGCAAACGCUCAAACUUGAGACAUAAUUCUGACAAAUACGAUAAAAUUAUUUUCGAAUUCACAUGCUUCUAAAUUAGAAAUCUUUGAACAAUAAUAAUAAAAAAAAAGGCUGCUGCUAAUGCAAACUCCAUUCAUAGUUAUCUUAAAUUGCGUUUAUAUACGUCAAUUUCAUUGAAUUGUAAAAGUAGUAUGAGGGAAAGGGGUAAUUCUGGCUAGAGCUCUGAAGAGUUAUGUAAUCUCUAGUUCUAGAAAAAUCCUAUCAAUCUUUUCUCUAGGCGUAGGUGGCAUCAACAAUGAUAUCAAAGAAAUGCCUUGGUUUUCUUUUUUGCUUCACCUAAACUAUUUUACUUCUGAGACUCUCCGUAGAGUUUCACGUUAUUUAUUGUUCUUGGGUCAUGGUUUCCUGAUGGUAUGAUUUAUAUAGUUAUGUUUCCCUCGUAGACUGCAAAAGCUAUAGGGGCGGCCAUCCAACCAUUACUGCAGUUAGUUGGUCGGCUGCACCUUGUUGUCGAUCAGGUUAAGGCCCUUUAUAUCUUUGCGUCAGAUAAAUUUUUGAGCUUGACAGUCUCUAAAUUUGGUAAACGUUGUCUUCCAACAGUUUGACGAGGCCGUGCAGGAUCAAACUAGAGAUUCUCUUCAUGAGCAUCGAGCUGAUGAAAGUGAUGAUAAGGACGAUGACAUCAAUCAUGUCCUGUACAGGGAUGAGGAUGAAUCUGGACAAACUAGCGAUGAUACAGAUGAUGAGUAGAAGCUCCAAAUUUUAAGAGGUAGUCAUCCUUGCUGGUGUUAAAUUUGAUCUGUCGUCUUGCAUUUUCAAAAAAUUGGUUCGUUGGGGGAAUUAGUGGGUAAAGAAUAGGUGAAAUAAAGGCUGCAACAUCUUUUUCUCUGAUCUGCAUUUUCAGGAAAAAGUCUUUUAUUCCACGGCAAGAAGUGAGUUCCAUAAAGCAUCCUGUAUAUAGUCUAUUUUGCUGUUUUGAUUAAGAACCAGUUAAAUGCGAACAGCUCUAUUUUAUAUACGCAAUUUACUGGACGUUCUGCUGAUCGUGAUCAAGAGUUUCCAUGUGCCAAUUAUGGCUUGUAAUUUUCCAUGCUCAUCGCAAGUAGCUUUUUUCCUCUAUACAUCAGUUUGAGUUGGAUUUGUUUUUGCUGCUUUGCAGUAAACUUGCUCAUGAUGGAGAUGCUCGCUUGGGGCAACUCACUGGUCAAGUUGCAGCUGCCCCUGGAGAAAUUCAUACGUAUGCUGCCAAUUUCGUGCCCUCCACAAAUUUUCUGAUCCCGACCGCGUGUGCUGGUCUCAAGCAAUCACCAUGACGAUAGAGACCGUCACAGACUGGCCGUUGCGGUAGUGGUUAUUGCCUUAUAGUGGAUUAUGGCCAGAAGAAGAGAUAGUGGAAUGGACCCUUUUCUCAUGCCAGAGGGGGAAAGAAAAGAGGCCCACUACGAGAGGAGAGAGUGAUUUAGCUGCUAACAAGCGCAGGUUUUUCAUGAAAUGAAUGGUUAUUCAUUCGGGAAGGUCUGUUGAUUAGGAGGUUAUACCUCUAUUUUUACUUUCCUGAAAAUUGUUUUUUCAAUUAUUCAAUCAUAUCAUCCGUCUAAUGGACACUUGAUUGACUGUUUAUCUGUAUCUGUCCUUGUCUCUGGUAUUUUCUCGUACAAGGAAUGUGAUAUAAAAAAUCUGCAAGACUUCUUGUUCGAUCUUAACGAAUCUUUUUUCGACUUUAUUUCUGAGUGCCCAAAUGCAGCAUAAGAGUAGAACAUGACAUUUUACCCUCUAUGAGUUGACAGAGUACAUAUCACAUUCUUCAGAUAUGAUUCCAAAAUCUGAGACUCGAAAACUUUAGAUGACCAUCUUACUGACCAGGGACGCUUUAGAUGUCCUCAAACCACGUGGCAACCUAAAAACCGUUUUGGCAAUUUAAUAUCAUCUGCUGUAUGCUGGAUAUAAUUAUCAAAGGUUCUAAACCCAGUCAUUAUGUAAAGUGAAGUCAGCUAAAGCCAAGGGGUUGCUUUUGAGACGUUUGAUAACGUUAAAAUGAUAUGCAGUUUUACAAAGAAAAAAUGGAAUAUGAUGGUUGAAUUCCGAGUUCGUUUGAGUAAGAGAACAAACAACGAAAGGCGAGGAAGUUCAAAAAGGAGAAGCGAAAAUGGUUGCAGUAUUCAGUUUUGCAGGGCUUCAAUGCGUCCCGAUCCAAAUUAGGCUGUAUGCGCAUCAAACUCAGAGGGGGCCACACGAAGCUCUCUAGACCAAAAGAAAAAAAAUUAAAAAGAAAGAGAAAACGGGGGCCGCACGCUACGUCCAUCAUUCAAUUGAGGACCACAUCGGACGAAAGGUUACUCCAAAAACACUUCAUCCGGGCUUGCGAACGAAGCAAGUACAGCAAUUUUGCAAAACAUUUACCAGAACCACCAUCAUAUUCGCGAAGAGACAAAGACGAACGCACUCCCUCGACGACAAAACAAGAACAGUACUCAACUAGCGCUGACUCGAACAGGACUAGCAGUCUUCUGUCUUAUGGCCCUGAUCAUCUCCUCCUCGGUGACAUCCCCUUGGCGGAGAACUUACUCGAACAGGACUGCGUCUGAUGGCACCUCCAGAUAAGCCUCAAUGGCCCCGAACAUCACGGACGCCUUCCCUCUCAUGGCCCUCAUCAUCUCCUCCUCGGGGAUAUCCCCUGGGCCGACAGUGAAGUACCUGCCCGCGUACUUACAGACCGAGCCACCCUCCAGGGGCAACGCAGUGAUCUUCACCUCAUGGCUGAUCUCCCUGGAGAUUCCGCCCAGCUCAUCCCGAUCGACGGUCGAGUGGUUGUAGAGGAAGGGCUCCUGGUCCUGUGCUUUAACCGUGUGCCUCACCGUCCUGCGCUGUCUGCCUAUAGAAGUAACAAAAAGUGACAUUCGCGCUGAUCCGUCCUAUGAGUUUUUCCAAUCCCCUUCUUCCGUUUCCGUUGAUGACUUAUUAGAUUAUUUAUUUAUUUUUUCAAAAUCUUCCUUUAUUUUUGUUUUUUUAAGUUCAUAUAAUAAAUAAAGAUUUACAAUAGAUAAAAUCCUAAGUAAGAACAUUGAAAAAUUAUGCAAGUAAAAAAAAAAAAAAAACUGGCCUUUUUGUUCUUCAUAUCUAGGAUUAGGUUCUAGAUCAUUAGAUAGGAAUUCAAAGAUGAAGAAAGUGUAAACAGAGCUUGAGAGUAAACAUCACAUAAUCUCCAAUAUCUGUUUUUUUUUUUUUUGUUCUUUUUAUUUUUCAACAUCAUGAGCACCAAUCUAAGUGUUGUUGAUCAGGCCAUCUAGGGAUCAUGCCCAUUUAUAACCGUAAUGCAAUACAAUGAAUAUACCAUUUUAAUGGUGAGGAACAUUUCAAUUGACCAAGUACCUUCGAUCGAGAUUGCCUCCUGGAUCUCAGCAUUUGUGAUGGUUGGCAAGAGGUUAUAGGGGAAGAAGCCACCCGCUCCUAGAAAAGCCUCGACCAACCUGGCCUUAGGGAUCGGGUGCGUGAUCUCGGCCUUGAGAGUAACUUCUACCAUCGAUUGAAUCUGAAUAGAAUUUGCUGAAACUUAAAAGGGGAUAAAAAUCUCGAAAGAAAGAAAGAAAGCAAUAAAAAGAAGGAGCUUCGAGGAGAGGCAAAGUACAAGGUUGAUAUUUAUAGCGAUAAGAAGAUGGAUAAUUGCACAAAUGAUCCCUGAACUUUGAUUUAAUGUGUAAUAUGAUCUAUAAAUUUUUAAUUUGCUCAAUAUGGUCCUUAGAAUUUUUGUAUAUGUUUAAUAUAGUCCCUAAACUGUAUGAAAAUAUUCAAUAUAGUCCUUCAUUAAUUUAAGAUCAUAGACAACAUUAAAUAUUGUUAUAUAAUUCAUGGACUAAUUGAGCAUGUACUAAAAAUUUAGGAACUAUAUUAAACAAAUUAAAAUUUUAAGCACCACAUUGUAUAUUAGGUUAAAGUUUAUAGAUCAUUUGUAUCAUUUUCCUGUACAGACAUCGACCCUCCAUAAAUUUGGACGUAAAGUAACUUCCGCUUAAUUGCAUGUGGUGGAAAAGGAAAUUAUUCCCUUUUCCUUGAAACCAUCUCUCCUCCCAUAAAAAGCUAAUCCCCGCAAGUUUCAGCCAAAAAAAAUAAAAAAAGCUAAACCCCUCAAGACCCAAUAAAUUACCCAUACAACAUAUGAUUAACUUUAGGAUUGAAUUUAAUUUAAUUAUCCCCCUUCUUUUCCUAAAGCAACAUAAAACUUUUGCAACUCAAUUUUUUUAAUUUUUCUUUUUAAAAUUUUGAGUUUUAACUAUCUCCUCAUGGACUCUGGAGAGAGGGAGGGAAGCUUUGGCCAUUCUCCUUAAAAGCAUCUCUCCUUUGUUCUGCCUCUAAUCCUCUGCGGCCCUCUCCAUGCGUUGACUGGUCUGCAUGUUAUUGUUGUGAUAUUAUCUUGUUCCUUGUUUUGUUUGGUUAUCAAAAGCAAAUUGACAACUAAGAUGGGUCUCUUGUUUUUGAUCGGGAAUGAUCCCAAGACAAAUCCUUUCGACUCGGCCAAAAGGUUAAUUAACCAGUUGCAUGAAAUGAUUCCAUGAGUAUGUUGCAAUGUAAGCAUCUAUAUAAAUCAGCUUCCUGAGGUAAGCAAGAGCUUACUCCAUGCUUUUCUUGAUCAAAGGUUAGCCUAUCUCUUGUUUCUUUUUCAAGUGCUUUUUUCAAAAUAGGAGUUUUGUUUAUUUAAGUUUAGAAUCAGUGUGGUUGAGUGUCUUUUCUAUUCGAAUUGGUGACUAUCUCAUCAUAAAGUUAUUCGAGACUUGAGCAAGACUUGAGCAAUUCUUUAAAUGGCUCAAUGGACUCUUUAUGGGGGAAGAACCCUUGAGGGUUUGUACUCCAUUGUAAUCCCUCCUCUUCCCUCCUAUCCAGGAAGAAAAAGAUAGGAUGGGAAUCAGGGGGCUCGUCGGUGGCGAAGCUAAACACCACGUCAAUUGUCACGCCCCGAACCUCGAGCGCGCGCACAUCCCACUACGGUCGAUAAAAAAUGCGACAUCCCAGGAUAUGUUGCCGACCCAUUAAUUUCUUUACGCAUGCGGAAGCGAAACAAAUCCCCUGACAACAUUUAACUUGAGAUAGAAAAGCAGGCAAUCAAUCACAAUACCAAACACUCAUUUACAAACACAAAGGGUUUAAAUACAACACUAGACUUUCUACAAAAUAGAUCAGCUCGACAAAAGGGGAACUAUCCUACAACCAACUAGCAGGACACGCUCUCCAACCCUUAUGACUUCACCUCUGCAACUCAUCAAGGCCAACCAAAGCUAUCUGGCCGCUCCGUCCACCAGGGACCUGAAAUUUUAAUCCCACAACCGGGAUGAGACGAUGUCUCAGCAAGUUCAACCCCCUAAACCCCUAUUAGAAAGAAAAUACACCCCGGAUGGCCUAGCCACAUCACACAGAAGACUUACCUCGCAUCAGCCUUCAUCUACAGGUUAGCGCAAUUUAUAUAAUUCAACCACGUACAAUUAUGAUAACCAAACAACCAUGGCUCAAUCACAUUAUCAAAACAAUUCAACCACUUGGAUCGUCUCAGCGAUCAAUCGAUUCGGCCGAUUACAUGUCAUUCUAGCAAAUCAAUCAUUGCUCUCAAUCCUGACCCUAUAGGAAGGUUUAACAAUUAGUGGCAAUCACGGCCCCACUCGGCAAGACCUGUAAUCAGGUGGUAAGUCACGGCCUCAUCAGGCACGACCUCUAAUAGGUGGUAUUUCACGGCAUCAUCAGGCACGACCUCUAAUAGGUGGUCUAUCACGGCCUCACUGGGCACGACCUCUCAUAGGUGGUUUAUCACGGCCUCAUUGGGCACGACCUCUCAUAGGUGGUUUAUCACGGCCUCACUGGGCACGACCUCUCAUAGGUGGUUCAUCACGGCCUUAUUAGGCACGACCUCUAAUAGGUGGUAUUUCACGGUCUCAUCGGGCAUGACCUUUCCUAGGUGGUACAUCACGGCCUCACUGGGCACGACCUCUAAUAGGUGGUCAAUCACAGCCAAUCUCCCAUCAAUUUCUACACUUAGGAUUUCAUAAAGAAUCCCUAUAUAUCGCAAUCACACUCAAUUUGCCAUAACCAAUCAUCAAUAUCAAAUUCUAAAUGCAAAGCAGCGAUCGACACGAAAUUCUAAGAGUUUAGGGUCCUGACAAAAUUUUCGGAAUUUAUUAAAUAAUUAAAUUUAUUCCGAAAAUAAUUAAAUAAUAAUAUUCAUACUUUUCAUGAUCCACGCUCAAUUUAUAAUAUCUAAUCAUCAAUUUCAAAAUCCGAAUGUACCGUAGCGACCGGCACGAAAUUCUGAGCAACCGGGGUCAAACAUAAUUUUUCUGAUUUUUUUUUUAAAAUAAUAAUAUUUUAAUAAUUUCGGAUUAUAAUAUAAUAUAAUAUUUUCCAGAAUUUUGAAGCACUUAAAUAAUUCAAAACUAAAAUCAUUUUGUGUCACAUCAAGGCUUAACUUUAAAUAAACUAUCUUAGCAUUUAAUUUAACAUACUUUAGAUUAAUCAACAUCUUAAUCUAAAUCAUAAUUAAAUUAACUAAAUUAACCACCUAAGCUUAAUCAACUUAAGCUAAGCACACCUAAAGCAUAAUUAACCCUCUAAGCGAGGUUUAGUGAGCUAAACUCACCGGAUUAGCGAGCGGAGCGGACCAAAACGACGGGGACGACGCGAGGAUCGACUUUCCUUAAAGCGGGCCGAGCAUCCGGGCUCGGGAAGGCAGCCGAAACAGGCCAAGAAGGGGCUGAGAAACCCAUUUUCUGCAGCUGCUGUUCAUGGGCGAAGGAGGGCUGUCCGGCGGCGAUUCGGGCGGAGGAACGGCGGAGGAGACCGGCGAGGGCUUGGACGGGCUGAAGGGGAGGUCGACGGCGGCAGAGGGAGCUCCGGCGAAGGCCCGAGCUACUCGGACAAGCGGCUGGAACGCGGCCUAGCACGGACGAGGGCGACGAGCAGGUGAGCUGACCGGCGGAGCGGCGUGCGGGCGGCGCGAAGCGACGGCGGCGACGGCGUGCGAGCAGGAGCGGGCGGCCAUGGCUGCGGCUUCUUCUUCUCUGCAUUUUUCUGGUCUUCGCACCAGGAGAGACGGAGGGGGAAACCGACGGGAGAGGAAGGGGAAAGGAGAGGGGGUCGGCCAACGGCGGUCCGGCGCGACGGCGAGGCGGCGAACUCCGGCAAUGGGCGGCGGCGUCGAGCGACCAAGCGAGCGGUGAAGGGGCGUGCGGCUGCUGGUUCCGUUCGGAGCUUUCUCUCUCCUCCAAAAUCCAAGAAGAAAAUCCAAAAUGAAGAAGAUGAUGGAGAUGGGUUGGAGGUGACAUCCUACCUUUUGAAGAACAAAUCCUCACCCUCCAUGUGUCAAGAUCCUAGCCACACAAGCCCCACCAUGACAUCACUUGAUGAUGUCACAUUCCACUAUCUCCAAUCUUCCCACAACAAUCUUCGAUGGGUGCAAUUUAUUUUUCCGCCGGGGCAUAAAACUUUGUACAUCAAUUCCUUCAAUUCCAAUCAAUUAUCUCAUAAUUGAAUCAAAUUGAAGUUCAUAAAAUUAAUCCAAUGUCACCACACUUCAAUUCACAUCUUCACUUGUCCGUAGAAUCAACUUAAGUCCCAAAAGCGCGACCAAAAGCGGCAUACUAAUUUCUCGAGCCAAAUUAGCCAUUUCUUGAUUAUUUUGCUAAAAAGCUCGGCUUGCAUGAAAAAUCUUCCAAAGAUGAUUCAAUGAUCUUGAAAUGAUUUGUGACACACCCAGACUUCCAAUUUCUGAAUUCGAUCUCAAUUCCACGGUUAAUUUCACUUUGGCACGAUACUAGCGCGGCCCAACCUACCGGGUAGCCUUUAGAAAUUUUCAUGCAUUUGACAUGUGGUUGAUCAUCUCAAGCCACAAUGUACAUCUUUGAAACAUUGGCGACUUUCGGUUGUCGGGGUAAUCUCAAGGUUUCAAAUACGAACACAGGGUACCCAAUCGACAGAAAAGUUGGCCCAGUGCCGAUCGACAAGAAUUGUGCGAUCUUGUGGAAUCACCCACACCUGAUCACAUGUCUCUGUCGAGUCGACCUAUCUCCGAUCUCUAAUCGAUUUUAAUUGUGCCGUAAUGACCCUUGUAGAUUAACUCGGUCGAAAGAUCGCUUCUUGGUCAAAUUCUCGAGUCUGAUGCAUUAGAAACUCUUAACAGCUUCACCCGAUAGACUAGUUUCCACAUGAGUGGCCGACUCAAGGAAAAGAACUAUAUGCGUGCCAACGAAAUGCCCGUCUCAAUUUAUUGAAAAUAGAAUUGGAAAAAUCGGGAUGUCACAUCAGUUCUUCGAAGCUAGUUAUUGCCUAGGAAGCAUUGAUACUAUCUAAAAAUAUUUGUGUCAUGUUGGCCACUCCAACAUAUGUUUGAUACUCUCUGACACUUUUCGACACUCUCCAAUACUCAAUUAACAGGUCUAAGAAAGUUUGAUACUUAGUCAACUCUCUUGACACUAUCCAACACUCGAGUUCGAAAUUCCAACACGCAACUUUAGAAUUCUGAUAGGUGAUUCUGACACGCACUGAGUCAAUUUUAAUUUUUUUUAAUAAAUAAGGAAUCUAAAUGUAAAUAUGAAAAAAAAUAAUAAAAAAAUAAAAAUAGGUGGAAGAAGAAAAACCUCAUCUUUCUUCUCUUCUGACUUUCACUUAUUAUGAUACAUAAUUCACCUCUCAAAAUUAUUUUUUUCUCUUUUCUUCUGACAUGCAAGACCAGAAUGUGGACUCCUUUUUUUUUUUUUCCUUCCAAGUUAUAUGGAUUAUUGGAAUGGAGUUAAAUUUGUCAAAUUAAAACAAUAAAUAAUAUUAACAAAUGUUGAAUUAAUAUUUUUAGUGUAAAUUCAUGCUAGCCUCUUUUUUAUAAUUUAUUUAUUUAUUUGUGAAUUGAAUUAAAUUAAUUUGAUUAAAUAAUCAUAAAAAUGAUAAUUUAUUAUGUAUAAAUAAAAAUAUACUUUUAAUAUACAACAUGUCUUAACAUGUUAGAGUUCUCUAUUUUUUGAAAAACAACGUGUCGGCGUAUCAUGUUGUGUCGUGUCGUGUCGCGUGUCAGUGUCAAUGCUACUUAGGCCACCGCAAGUUAGGAGAGUAUAGUAGUUCUCCGUGCCUAGGUGAGACAUGGUGGCUUCAAAACUAGUGCUGGGCAAGUAAAAGCUUACUCAAGUCUUUCAACCGACUACUUAGAAUAGGAGUUUUGUUUAUUUGAGUUUAGAAUCAAAGUGGUCAAAUAUCUUUUCUAUUCAAAUUGGUGACUAUCUCAUCAUAAAGUUAUUUCACAAUUCUGAACUUAGGAACACAAAAUUGGACCCCACAAUUUGGAUUAGGAUAAAGUUCUACAGUUUCAUGUAUACAUUAUUUUCUAUAUACUUCUGUUGAAUGCUAAAACCAAUGUAAGUGACGAGGGUAAUUGGGGUUGGGUUGUUAUAUACAUCUCUCAUAGAUGUCUAAUACGAUGAAACUAUUUCCAAAUUCACAGGCUUCUAAGUUAGAAAUCUAAAAUAAAAAAAAAUGGAAAAAAAAGGCUGCUGCUAAUGCAAACUCUAUUCAUAAAUAUCUUAAACCGCCUUUAUAUCCAUCGAUUUCAUUGAAUUGUAAAAGUGGUAUGCGGGAAAGGGGUAAUUAUGGCUAGAGCUCUGAAGAGUUCUGUAAUCUCUGGUUCUAGGAAAAAUCCUGUCUAUCUUUUCUCUAGGUCUAGGUUGCAUCAAUAAUGAUAUGAAAGAAUUGCAUUAGUUUCUUUUUUUGCUUCAUCUAAAUAAUCUUAGUUCUCGGACUCUCCAUAGAGCUUCACGUUAUUUACUGUUCUCAGGUUAUGGUUGAUGGUAUGAUUUAUAUAAUUAUUGUAUCCCUUGUAGACUGUAGAAGCUAGAGGGACGGCCAUCCAACCCCAUUACUACAUUUAGCUGGUCAGCUGCAGCUUGUUGUCGCUCAGGUUUAGGCCCUUUAUAUCUUUGCUUCAGAUAAUCUUUUGAGCUUGAGAGUCUAUAAUUUUGGCCAACGUUGUCUUCCAACAGAUUGACAAGGCCACACAUGAUCAAACUAGAGAUUCUCUUUACGAGCGUCAGGCUGAUGAAAGUGAUGAUGAGGACGAAGACAUCGAUCACGUCUUUUACAGGGAUGAGGAUGAAUCUGGACAAACUAACGAUGAUACAGAUGAUGAGUAGAAGCUCUAAAUCUUAGGAGGUAGCUAUUCUUGUUGGUGUGAGAUUUGAUUCGUCUUGUUGCAUCUUCAUAAAUUUCGGAUUGUUGGGGUAAUUAGGGGGUAAAGAAUUGGUGAAGUGAAGUUUUAUAUUCCACCGCGAGAAAGUGAGUUCCAUAAAGCAUCUUGUAUACGGACUAUUUUGCUGUUUCAAAUAAGAACCACUUGUUCUAGGUUAUAUACGCAAUUUACUGGAAAUUUUGCUGCUGAUCGUGAUCAAGAGUUUCAUGGACUCAUUACAGGUAGCUUUGUUCCUCUAGACAUCAAUUUGAGUGGGGUGCUUUUGCUGCUUUGUAGCGUGAAAUUUGCUCAAGAUGGAGAUGCUCGCUUGGGGCAAGCCACUGGUCAAGUUGCAGCUGCCCCAGGAGAAAUUCAUACGCAUGCUUGCCAGUCUCGUGCCCUCCAAAAUUUUAUGAUCCCGACCACGUAUGCUGGUCUCAGGCAAUCACCAUGACGACAGAGACCACCCAGCCUCGCCGUUGCACUAGUGGUUGUUGCCCUAUGGUGGAUUAUGGCUCUGUAUAUAUACUUCUCCGGAAAAUUGUUUCUUUAAUUAGACAAUCACAUCCGCCGUCUAUCAAACGUUCGACUGGACAGUAUAUCUGUAUCUGUCCUUGUAUCCAGUGUUUACUCGACCAAAGAAUAUGAUAUAAAAAAUCUGCAGGAGUUCUUGCCUAAUCUUAAUAUAUCCUUAUUGACUUUAUUUCUUAGCGACCAAAUGCAGCAUAAGAGAAGAACAUUACAUAUUACCCUCGAUAAAUUGACAGAGUGCAUGUCACAUUCUUUAGCUAUAAUUCCAGAAAUCUGAGAUCUGGAAACUUUAGAUGACCAUCUUCCCUAAAAGCCAUUUUGGCAUUUCGACAUCAUCUCCUGUAUACUUAAUUAUAAUUAUCAAAGGUUCUAAACCUAGUUAUUAUGUGAAGUGAACUUAGCUAAAGCCAAGAGGUCUCUGUUGAGACAUUUGACAACAUUAAAAUGAUAUGGUUUUACAUAGAAAACAUGAGAUAUGAUGAUCGAAUUCCAAGUUCCCAAAUGGUAACCCGUCUGUUCAGGUAAAACAAACAACGAAAGUUGAUACGUUCAAAAGGGAGACACGAGAAUGGCCGCUGUAUUCAAUUUUCAAUUUUUGCAGUGUUCUCGGUUGAUCGUAUUUUCGAUUUUGCAGAGUUUCUAUACAUCUCGAUCCAAAUUGAGUACAAAUCACUGGAUACUAUAAGUUGUUGGUCUGCAUGUAGUGUCGAUAUGAUCGCAAAUAAUCAAGAGAUGCAGUUGCUCAUUUCUGUUUAUCUCACGUUCCAAUUGUCCAAGCUCAAGAAUUUAAAUCCGAUUUCGAAGAACUUGGUUUUCAUGACUCUGGCGAGCUCUAAAUGCUGCAGAUCAAAAUUUGGUCCGUCGAAAUCACAAGACAAAAGUAAAGAAGAUAUGGUAGCUCUUCUUGAGAGCAAGAGCUUUUGUAUGACUCUCAACAAAUUCUUAUGUGUAAACCUAAAUCAUGGCAAAGAAUUACAAACAAUAUUCUUAACGAGGAGGGCGUCGGAACAUGUCCUAGGCGUAGGCCUGUGGGUUCUCUAGGAGGUAAGACUCCACGACCUUGAAUAUGGCCAUGGCCUUCUCCUUCCCAGCCUUGAUCUCCUCUUCUUCAACUUGAAAUGCCUCCUUGGUGUUGUACUUGCUGGUCAUCUUGCACACUGACCCUCCGUCACUGGCGGCAUCAAACUUGACCUCAUAAUCAAUCGACUCGAGCUUGUCGCCCAGUGCAUCACCCUCAAUCAUCGUGUACCUACAAACGAAGUUCUCCUUGUCGAGCUCAUCGAUCCGGUGCCUCACAUACUUGAAAUGACUAGCUGCGUUUGUUACCGAAUGAGAAAUAAAUUCACUGAACUCAUCACUAGAGAGAGGAUCCAAAAGAAUGGUGUAUGCUGAGUCUACGUACCUUCGGUGAAGUUAACUUGCUCGAUGCUCCCGGCUGCUCCAUCGCCUUGCACGAGCUCCACGCUCUUUAUGAACUGAGGAAGGAGCUUCGGGAUCAGGGCAUUCGCCUCGAUGAUCAAGGCCUUGAACAUGCGAGCCGCAGCGAUCGGGCAUGUGAGCUCUUGUGUGAUGCUGGUUGCCCCCAUGGCUAUUAGCAAAGCGAUGAGAAAGAAAUAACCUCAAAGAAGUGAUAUGCUUCUGAGUCCUGUCGAUGCCUCCUAUUUAUGGUUAGAAUUAUGUGAAUAGGUAGGCUUAGUUUGGCAAGAGUCAAGUUUGAGGAAAAUAGAAUGGUCAAGGAUUUGCAGCCUAAAGGAAUGUAAAAGAGUAAAUAAGUUGGUCUCUUUUGUUCUUUUGGUCAUGAAAAUGGUUUCGGUCCAUUUCAGAUUCAAGUUGAAAUGGCAAAGAUGAUGUUCCCAAAGAUGAACACAAGAGAGAGCACGUUCUCAUGUUCACAUGGGCGGCCAUCCCUUUGAAUUGAUUGUUGUGGAGUUUGAUCUAAUAACAAUUUGGUCGGACUACUACGUGACUUGCCGAAUAGAUAUUACAAGGAAAUACCUUGUUUGGAGAAAAGUGAAUUAAUUGAAUGUCAUUUGAUAUGGAGUAAAUGAGAAUCCUUGAUUGAUUAGCGAUAUCACGUCAGCAUGUCAUACUAUAUCAACAUCAUAUAAUUUUUUUGAGGGCUUGAGGGAUGGGGACGCUACGGGUUCCUGUUGUUACGGCUUGUUUGUUCGUUUCAUAGCUUUUGUGUUCUUGCUGGCGCCCUCGGGCUUUUAUCGGAUCCCCGUCACUCUUGCUCCUUUGUUAAGAGUGCUUGUUUGGAUCCGAUCUUUUGUACAUUUGUCCUCCUCAUUAAUAUUAUUACCUUUACCAAAAAAAAAAAAAAAAUGUCACGGCAGAUCUGUUCAAAUGCAUCAAGCAAGGCCAUUCAAUUGGGUUAAGGUUGAUUCAAACUUCUCUAACACCGGCGGUUUGACUGGGUCAAAAUCGGGUCUGCCAAGGGGCGUCUAAGGAUCAGCUUAUCGUCUACGUUGCGGGGAGGUGGGGCCGGCUGCUUUUCCGUUAUACUUUGCUUCUCUUCUUCUUCUUCUUCUUCUUUUUGGUUUUUGAUUUUAUUAUCGUUGAAUCAUUUGAUCUCCAAUCCAAUGUCCCCAUCAAGAGAUAUGAUAGGAUUAUCUUAAAUAGAAUUUCAAAUAGCCGAAGUGUUGUAAUAAGAUAAGUCCAAACCCUAGUCACAUUCAACUAUGUUUUUCAAUAGCUUUUUUAAUAUAUUAUAAGAAUGUACUUUUCCUUAAUAUUCUUACAUAUUGUGGUUUAUGAAAGUUUGUGCCACAUUGAUAGCUUUAGAUGUUAGUUCAAAUUCGAAAUAUCGGGCCAAAGUGUGGUCUUUUAUUGGCCAUUUGGCAUUUCAUUUGUAACUCAUGAAUUCUCUCCUUGUAAAAAAAAUUACUAAAAUUAGAGAAUUUCAUUCUACAAGCUUUGUAUAAACACGUAGCAUAGUUUACCAAAUUCCACAAAACCACUGAACCAGAGUCCUGUCACACCUUUUAUUCUCUUAUUCUCAGCAAAGACAAGAACAACAACACUCACCAGCCCAACAUGCUUAGCUCCAAACAGAGUGACUCAAACUCUUCUUGUCUCCUUUUCAGUUCAGCACAACCAGACAUAUUUAACACAUUACAUAAACAAUAAAAGAUAGCGAUGAGAUCGGCUCAAUAGGCAUCAGGGUUUGCCACGAGAUAAGCCUCGAUGGCCUUGACCAUCGCGGACGCCUUCUCUUUCCCGGCGUUGAUCUACUCCUCGGUGAUGUCCACCUCGCCAACGGUGAAAUAGUUGCUCGUGCUCUUCAACAACGAGCUCCCUGGGGCAACGCCGUGAUCAUCACCUCAUAGCUGAUCUUCUCAAAGGUGGUGCCCAGCACUUCACCCUCGAUGAUUGAGUAGCAAUAGGUGAAGUUCUCCUUGUCCAGGGCCUCAACCUUGUGCUUCGCUGUUUUGUACUGACUGCCUAUCAGUGUAACAAAAAGUCACAUUCACAUUUAGAACUCGCAGGUUUCAAUAUCACGAGCACCGAUCUUCUUGGUGUCGAUCAGGCCAUUUAGGAAUUAACCUAAUUGUUCCGACCGCAAUCCAAUAUGAUUGACUUAGACAUAGCCUGACUUUGCCAGAUCAAAAUCGAGUCACAUAAUCACUUGUGUAAAGUUAAAUGGUUAGAAACAUCUUAAGUAAUGGAGUCAUAUUUCUAUCAUUUUCAAUGUUCAUUAUAGUGUUCCAUAAGGUUGAAUCCGCCUUGAUUCAGAGCAAUCAUAAGUUCCUAAUAUGGAUGGACUAACCUUCACCAAAAGUCAUCAACUUGAUGGUCCUGGGACCUCCAUCGCCCUUGAGGACUUCAAUGCUCUUGACAGCUUUAGGGAGGACCUUGGGGAGGAGGUUAUCGGCUUCGAGGAUAGCGGCCUUGAACAUCUUGGCCAGGGGAAUGGGGGACGUGAGCUCUAAGUCGAAAGUGAUGACACCCAUGACUGGAUCCUAACAGAGUUGUUGAAACUGAGAAGGCAGUGAUGAUCUGGAAAGACUUGAGUAGUAGUGAUGAAGUUGGUCUCUGGGACUUGGGAGUAAAGAGAAGAGGCUGAAUUGAAGUUGACAUAUAUAGAGAGAGGGAGACUGAGUGUGAAGGGUUCUGAUCACUGCAUAUUUUCUUCUUACUAAGAUGCAUUAUAUUUUGCAGGAAAUAAAUAAUUUAGAAAAUAUUUUCCUAAAAAUAAUAACUAAAUUUAGAUAGUGUUUCCAAGCAUAAGUUAUUUGGUGAGUGUGCUGCAUGUUCUAAAUUGAUCUAAAUUGCUAAAUUUAAUGGGCUCACUAGAAUUAAAAGUCUAGAUUCCCUUUAAUAUAAGUAUGACAUUACCUCAUUUUCAAGUUUUCGUCAAAAUUGUGUUGUAUGUACUAAGUUAAUCUAAAUCACUAAAUUUGAUGGGUUCACGUGGGAUCCAUACAAAAUUCACUAGAAUUAAAAGUUCAGAUUUUGCUUACUAUAAAUACAGUGCUCUUUCCUCAAAUUGUGUGGCGUGUACUAAAUUGAUCUAAAUUGCUAAAUUCAAUGGGUUCAAGUGGGACUCAUAUGGAACUCACUUGUCACGCCCCGAUCCUCGAGCGCAUGCCCAUCCCUCUCUGGUCGAUAAAUAUUUUGCGACUUCCCAGAACGAGUCACCGACCCUUUUAUUUUAUUGCACAUGCGGAAGCUAAUAAUAAAUCCCAUGACAGUAACUCUCUCGGGAUAGAAAAGCAGGACAUCGCAUUCACAAACAAACCACACUUUUAUAAACAUACUGAGUCUUUUACACAAGUCUAUAACCAAAAGACUAGUUCUCAAAAAGAGGCUGUCCUAUCUGACCUACUCUUCAGGUCACCUCAGCUUAGCUCCAGGUCCUCCCUCUACGCUCCUGAAAAUUUUAAGCCCACGACGGGGUGAGAUAUAAAUCUCAGCGAGUUCACGGUCUAAGCCCCGAUUAUGAGGGAAAUACACCCAGAAGUGUCCUAACCACACAACCACUCAAUUGGCAUAGAUGACUUACCUCGACUCAGUUUCCUUUCCUGCAUGUCAAUAUAGUUCAUAUCGUAAUGCAUAUAAUCAAUGCACAUAACAACUGGAAAACCUCAUCAUCUCAAUUAAUUACCGGGGUCCUGAUUAUAAGGCCAAACCGUUAUAACACAUCCCAUUCCAUGUCACACAGUUUUAGUCUCAUAAUCGGGUGCAUCAAACUCAACAAUCAUGCGUUCCAAUUGUUAAUUACACCCCUCAAGGGUACGGCCAACUCUAUCGGCGGUCUUCUGGCAUUGCCAGGCGUCGUCUCACCCCCUUUGAGCAUGGCAAUGUCUCUCAAUUAGACGGCUUCCCCGAAGGGGCGUAGGUCCAGCAUCUACUACGACUCGAGUCCCAAUGAAUGGGUAACAUCCGGCUUAACAGCCCAGGACAGUUUCUCUUAACCAACAUACAACCAAUCAAUCUCAGCCCAGGACACUAUGCAUUGCACUCAAAUGUCUCAAUUAAAAUAGUGAACCUGGCAUAUUUUCUUCGUAUUAGAAAUACACGAUAAAAUAGUUGUGCGUGGGUACACGGUCAAUUCACAUUAGAAAAACUGAUAUCCUCCAAUUUAAAAUCACAUUGGUUUAUAUAGUACAUAAAAUCAUUUUCGGUGUUAAAACUUGACACCCGGGAUUUUAAGGAAUUUCACAAAUUUUGGAAUUAAAAAUACUCAAAAUUCCAAUCAGCACUCAAUUUGCACAAAUUAACAUCCAAUUGCAUAAAUUGAACACACCAUUGCAACCAGCACGAAAUUCUGGUCACCGACUAUCCUGGCCUAAUUUUCGGAAAAUAAUUAAUAAUUAAAUAAUUUAUCAAAAAUUAAAUAAAUUACAAAAUAAAUAAAUUUAAAGCAUUUAAUUGAAUUAACCUAAAUUAACUAAACUAAAUAAUCUAACUAACAAUUAAAUCUAACCAUCCUAUUUAAUUUAAUCUAAGUACACUAACUAAAUAAACUAACUAAUUCCUAACUAAUCCACCUAACUAAACUAAUUACACUAACUAAAUACUAACUAUAUACUUAAUCUAACUAAGCCAUCCUAAACCUAAUCAACAUAAUUAAUCCACAAAUUAGCUAACUAACACACCUCUAAGUGUCAAUAGCCCACUAAUAAAGGAUUAGAAUGCAACUCACCGGUUAAGCUCGAAAAUCAGCUCACGGCGACGGUGGCGCAACGGCGGCCGAGACUCGAACUCACGGCAAGGCCAAGGGAACGCUUAGAUUGGCUGAAAACUCGCAAAAGAAACUCACGAACUCAGCUGAGUUCGCUGGAAUCCGCGGCUAGCUUCGGUCUUCAGUGGACUGAGCGAAGCUGGCGUUGGCAAAUCGGCAGAGGAGAAUUCGAUGGAGAGAGGGACGGCUUGGACGCGAAGAGCGUGGGCUUCGGUGAGGGAACAAUGGGCUGCUCGACGAAGACGCGUGGCUCAAGAUGCUGAAGGUUUCACGGUCAACUUUGCUGGAGAAAAACUCCUUUGGUGGACUGAAUUUGAGGUGGCUUCGGACGUGUGGUGCAGAGAAGAAACGGUGGGUGAAUGAUGGUGCAGGUGGCGGUGGGAUGAGGGAAAAACGUGGGGAUGCUUCGGUGAUGGGUUUCUUCGAAGGGAGAAGUGAACAGAAGGAGCUGAAGCCGUGAAAAGCGAGAGAGAGACCAAGAAGAAAGAGAGAAUCGGAUGAGGGAGAGAGGCGGUGGACUGGCGUGCGAAGGAAGCUGCAGCUAAGGAAGAAAAAGUCAAAGAAAAUAUCUUGAUCCUUUAAUGCUUGGUCCCCCUUUGGUCUUCAUGCAUAUCACCAUGUUCCCUUAUUCUUUCUAACAAAUAUAAUCCAAAAAUUAACCCAAUUGAUGCUAAAAUCAGUCCCCAAACCAUAGCUCCGAAUUCCACUGAUUUUAUAAUUCAAUUUCAUCAUCAAAUUCUCAAUUUCAAAAUCCAGUUUUAUCGAAGAAAAAUCUCACACAUGUCCAUAAAUUCCCAUCACCUAGUAGCUCGGUUUGCACAUCAAAAUUUCCUUCAAAUGAGCCCGUCUGAAUAUCUGUUCAAUUUCCGAAUCGAUUUUCCGUAAAAAUCUCGGAAUCUCCGAAAAAUUUUCAGAAAGUGAGUUGACGUUCCUAAAAUGAAUCGUGAUACGGCAGAACUUUCAAUUUUCUGAAAUCGAGCUCAAUUUCGCUGUUAAUUUCAAUUCGACGUGAUUUUAGCGCGUCCCAAUCUACCAGGUAGCUUUUAGGAAUUUUUAAUGCAAUUGACUCAUGGUCGAUUAUUUUCGAGCCACAAUGUACAUCUUCGACACAUUGACGACUCUCGAUUGUCGUAAAAAUCUCGAGGUUUCAAAUACGGACACAAUGUACAAAAAUGACAGAAAAAUCGGUUUAGUACCGUUUGAUAUAAAUUUUGCAAUUAGGUGGAAUCAUCCACGCACAAAUCACAUAUCUCUAUCGAAUCGACCUAUCUCUGGUCUCUGAUUCAUUUUGACGGUGCCGUAAUGACCCUUGCAGAUUAGCACGGUCGAGCAGUCGAUUCCUGGUUGAAUUCUCAUGUCUAUUGUAUUUAGAUUCUUUAACGGCUUUACAUAAUAGGCUAGUUAACUCGUGAGUGGCUAACUUAGAGAAAAAAGCUAUAGACACGUCGAUGAAAAGCCCAUUUCAUCUCAUCGAAAUCAGACUUGAAAAUCAGGAUGUCACAUCACUAGAAUUAAAAGUCCAGAUUUUGCUUAAUAUAAAUAAGUCCCUAGCUCAUUUCCGAGUCUUCAUCAAAAGUGUGUUGUAUGUCCUAAAUUGAUCUAAAUCGCUAAAUCUAACAAGUUCACGUGGGAUCCAUGUGGAACUCACUUGAAUUAAAAGUCCAAAUUCUCCUUGAUGUAAAUACGAUGCUAUGUCAUUUCUAAGUUUUCGUCAAAAUUGUAUUGUAUAUACUAAGUUAAUCUAAAUUGCUAAAUUUGAUGGGUUCAUGUGGGAUCUAUAGGAAACUCACUAAAAUUAAAAGUUCAGAUCAUCUUGAUUAAAAUACAGUGCUCUUUCAUCAAAAUUACGCCGUAUGUACUAAAUUAACCCAAAUCGCUAAAUCUAAUGGGUUCAUGUGGGACCUAUAUGGAACUUGCUGGAAUUAAAAGUCUAGAUUUUGCUUAGUAAAAAUAAGACCCUAACUCAUGUAUGAGUCUUUGUCAAAAGUGUGUUGUAUCUCCUAAAUUGAUCUAAAUCACCAAAUUUGAUGGGUUCACAUAGGAUCCAUAUUGAAUUCACUGGAAUUAAAAGUCCAAAUUCCACUUAAUAUAAAUAUGACGCUAGCUCAUUUCCGUUUAUUCAUCAAAAUUGUGCUAUAUGUACUAAGUUAAUUUAAAUCGCUAAAUUUGGUAGGUUUAUGUGGAACCCAUAUGAACCUCCCUUAGAUAAAACAUCCAAAAUCGAUUAAAUAUAUACCACAUCAACUCAUUUCUGAGUCUCCAUCAAGUGCCUUUUUCUCAUCUCUUUGAAGCUUCCGAUCGCGUGCCAUUCCAUCACAUGUGAGUCGCGAAUGAUUUUCCACGCCAAAGUCUUUGUUAAAUCUCGAGACUUAAAAAUACGAAUGUGAAGUACAAUUGCGUGUCAAAUGCAGAAAAUUCUUAUGUGAAAGAGUUGACCGUCCCUUCUUGAGUCAACUGUUCUCUUCCUUGAUAUGCUUUUCUCAUCUGGCCUCAGACACAGAUGUCAGAUGGUCAAAGGGACGCAUUCAUGUUGACACCUAAAUUUUGAUUAGGUUAUUAAUUAGGCCUUAAUUUAUUUUAUAUUUCCUUUUUUCGGAUAAUAAACAAAACAAAUAACAAAAACAACAAAUAAAUAAAUAAAAACAAAGAAAAAGAACCAAAGCAGCAGCCAUUGGAGUUGGGCCUCCAAGCACAGCCCUAUCCUUUUUCUUCGCGUGGGCUCACACGACCCAACCCACCCCCCUCUCUCCUUCUUCUUCCUUCUUCUUCUUCCUCGCUCCUUCCUUCUCCGCCUCUGUAGUUCACGCGUAGUGACGACGACACACUCGAAGACAACCUAUGGCCGAGGAGGGUAGGCCGACGACGGCCGAGGAGGGUAGGCCGACGUCGGCCGGAAGAGACAGAUCUCAAGCGCCAUUAUUGGUUUCCUUCAAUGCCGAGCAUGCCUUGUUGAAGGAGCUCGGAUGGGACGCCGGGUCAGCCACGGGGGUCUGGUUGGCGUACGAGGGCCGACGGUCGAACCUCCAUCGACCGGCCUCCUCGCCUAUAAAUAGAAGGGCACAACCUCCGUCGAAGAGGACACAAGCCGGUAAGCUUAGAGGGGUCCCUGAGAGACUUCAGGGAGCUCAAAGAGCAAGCAAGGUAGAAAUCGAGUCGCGAGCUCAAACCGACCUCCCUCCAAGAGACUUUGGGGGAGGCCGGCGGCAAGCGAGCCCGAGGGGGAGAAAGGGGCUGAGCGAGAGAAGAAUCGGAGGAGAGAGGGUCGGAUAUGGGUAUGAAGGCUCGUUGCCGUCCCCUAGACGACGUCACCUUGACCAAGUUCCCGACGUUGUGCACCGAUGCCGUCCAAAUCUGAGUGAGUAGGCCGGAGAGAAGAGGAGAUCGGAGGAGAUCCUGUGCCCCGACGCCGCCGCUGCGUCAGAUCUCACCAUGCCGCCGUCCUCACGCCUCGUCUCUGCCGCUUUCCCCAACGUCGUCCAGAUCUAAGUGGGCUUCGAGGAGCAGGGGUCCGUCACCAUCAUUGCCACUGUGUCUGGGUCCUCGCUGUGCUGCCCCCUACCGACGAGCCUCGGUUGAAGUCCUCGAAGCCAGUGAGCAUCUCUGACCCCCCCUCAUCUAUCACCUUUUUUUCUAAGUCAGCCAUGCCGGGGCACGCGAUUAUCGAGCUUGCAUAAGCUCCAACCGCCGGUCGCCCCUUUCUUCGCCGUUCCGCCUUCUCCGCCGUAGCCUCACCACAGUAGCCUAGACGUCGCCCAAACGCUUUCGCUCUUGCCAUCUCCGCCAUAGCCUAUUGAAGCCGCUCUGCCGCCGCUCGGAUGCCUUCCCCUCCUGUCGCCCGUUGCAGCCGUUGGACCGCGAAGGUAGCCGCGGCUGCGAAAAUCGGGUUAGCUAGGUCGGAUCGCGUGACGGUGCCCUAGGGUUUCCAUCAAGCAGGUCGGGUCGUCAGGCUGGGUUUGGAGCUCGGGCUAGGCAUCCCCUUUUUAAUUCAAAUAGGCCCAAUUCCGAUGUGUGGGCUAAGGUUUUUUUAAGAAAAACAAAAACAAAAAUAUGGUCCGCGUUCUAAGCGGACGACUCGGGUCGGACCCAACCCUGGAUCCAACCCGGUUCUUUUUUAAAUUAUUUUAAUAAAUAAAAAAUAAAAAAUAAUUUAUUUUCAAGAAAAUAAAAAAAAUCAAAAAUAUCUAUACUUUCCCCAAAAAUGUCAAAAAUGUCAAAAAAAAAAAUCCAAAAAUGAUUUAUAUUUUCAGAAAAAAGAUCAAAAAUCCAAAAAAUGCUUUUUAUGUCCAAAAAAAUAGAAAAAGACCAAAAAAAAAUGUUUUUUCUCCACGAAUGCAUGGAAAAUCCCUCAAACAUCCAAAAAGCCUCCAGAUUUAAACAAGAUUAGGUACCGAAAGGGCGUUAGUGAUUAACUAGUGUAAUCAAGUCUCCGAUUCUAAUUUCUCUGGUUGCGCAAGAGCGAAUAUUGCUCCUGAUACUUCGCUUGGGUUUCUAAUCGACCCACCCUAAACCGAUUAGUAGCGACUCCAUUUUUAAAAUUAGCCCAGUGGCUCGGACAAUCAAGCUUGAGUGCAUGUAGAUAAUUCUUGCACGACAAACGCAUGGUGGGUCGUGAAUUGAGACUCAUCCGCGUGCACACUAGUGCCACCAUCACCAUGAAUACCACUUCCUUGACCAGUUGGACGGUCGAAAAAGGAAGACAUGGGUCGAGCACAUCCUUCAUUAACACAUUUGAGUCUUCCAAUAAUGUCGACGUUUGUGUCGUUCGUGGGGAAGAGGGAAGAUUUCCUGGAUGCUUCUCCGUCAUAAUCUAGCUUCAUUACUUUUACUGCUGACUCUGUUUCAUGAAAGAAGAAUGAGUCAAUGUUUUGAUCACACGGUUCCUUUCAGAUUCAUGUUGAAAUGUCAAAGUUUAUGUUCCAAAAGAUGAACAUUCUCAAGCUCACAUGGGUGGCCAUCACUUUGAAAUGAUUGUUGUGGAGUUCGAUCUAACAACGAUUUGGUAGGACUACGUGACGAUGAUGUGCCGAUUAGAUAUUAUAACGAAAGGUCCUUAUUCGGAGAAAAGUGUAUUAAUCAAAUUUUGUCUCAUUUAAUAUGUAGCAAAUGAAAAUGCUUAAUUAGUUGGUGAUAUCAUAUUAGCUUCUUGCGCGAUAUAAACAUCAUAUAAUAUAUUUCUUCGUUCAUAAUGCCCUAAUGUCACGGUAGAUCUAAUUCAAAUGUAUGAAGUAAGGCCUUUUGAAAUCAUUUUUAUAACUUAAGGUUGAUUCAAACUUCACUAGCACCGACAGUUUGACUCGGUCAAAAUUGGGUCGGCAGUCGGGGUGUCCCAAGAUCAGCUCAAAUUCUAAAUUUGGGGGAAGUGGAGGCUGUUGCUUUUCCGUUAUAUUUUGCUUCUCUUUUUCUUUUUUAUCAUUAUUAGUGUUGAAGCAUUUGUCUCUAAUCCCAAUGUCCCCAUCAAGAGAUAAGAUAGGAUUAGGUAAAUAGAAUUUCAAAUAGCCCGAGUGUUACAAUAAGAUAAGUCCAAACCCUAAAAAAAUGAACUUUAUUUUGUCGGUAGCUUUCUUGACAUAUAAUAAGAAUGUACUUUUUGUUAAUGAUCAUAUGCAUAACGAUUUCUGAAAGAUUCUACCACAUCGAUAAUUUUAAAUAUUAAUCCAAAUUCGAGAUAUCAUGCCGAAGUUCGGAUUUAUUCAUUUGUUACUCAUGAAUUCUCUUCUUGUAUGAAAUUUGCUGAAAAUUAGAGAAUCUCAUGAUACCAACAAAAUAUCAAGUUUAUUCAACUUUUUUUCAACUUUUUUUUUUUGGGUCCAAAAAAGAAGAUGUAUUAUAAUUCCAGUAACUUACAACCGGAUGCUAGGGCGUCAGGAUAUACAAGGUCUAGCAAAAUAGAAGGUGGGAAGAUGUUCCAAUUUUGGGCCGAAUUUGUAGAAAGGUGGGCCUUAGCAACCUAGUCAGCCACAGUGUUGGCCUCUCGCUUGCAGAAACGAACCGAUAGGUUAGGGAAAAACAAAAGUAAAGCAGUUGCCUCCGCAAGAAGAGGUCGAGUCUCCCAUGGUGACGUCUCCACUCCUGUGACAACCUCAACAACGAUACUACAGUCCGAUUCUAGGACAAUCGGAGCUUGAUGAAGCUCUUGUCUCUGCAGAUGGUGAAGCGCAAAGGUGAUAGCUUGAAACUCCGCGAUUAGUGCAGAUGCAGCAGGAAAUCUCAUAGUAUAAACAUUAGUAAGUCUUCCAUACUGAUCUCUACUUAUAGUAGCCAUCGAAUCAUGUGUGCUUCUUGGUUGAAAAGAUGCAUCAACAUUGCAUUUCAAAAUACCUGGAUCCAGUGGUUUCCAAAUCCGAUGUGGGUGUUGUGGUGCUGUAGGUCUUGUCAAAAGGGCCGGGAUGCUAGCCUGAUACAGUCGAGUUUGUGUUAAGGUGUUCUCUGCUGCUAAGGUUGAGUUUAGACGAUGGCCAGGGAAGAUGAAUCCGUUCCUCAUUCUCUAAAUUUGCCAUAGAAUGUUUGCAACGAGCUCUAGACCAGGUAAGUGAUUCAAUGAAAUAACCUAUUUUGCUAACCAAACUUCUUGUCUAGUGACCGUAUGGGGCUGCACAGCAAUGUUAAUUUGUGGGUGAGCCCAAAUAGCUAUAGUCCACUGACAGAGGAGGAAUAAGUGCUCUAAAGUCUCUGGAAUGCCAUGUUGACAAAUCUAACAGAUUGGAUCAGUAAUAAUAUGUUUCUGAAAUAAGUUAUCUCGAGAUGCAAUGGUGUUUUGACAGACCGAGCACAUAAAUAUAUGAAGUUUUGGAGCUAUUCACAUAGCCCAGAUACGUUUCCACAUAAUUUUAGGAUGCUAGUAUGAUAUUGAUGCUGUAUAGUUGUUGUUGUUGUUGCUGUUGAGAUUAGACAGCACAUGAUAGUUGCUCUUUACCGAAUGUCAGCCAUCCUUAGUGGCUGUCCAGACUAGCUUAUCUUCAGCAUAAGCAGGUCUAACUGGAAUGGUUUGAAUAUCUACUAUAAACUGGUCAUCAAAAAAUCUUUGUAGCAGAGAUGUGUUCCAGCUAUUGUGGAUAAGAUCGAUGAGAUCAGCCACCAGUUUUGGUUCCUCUCUAGUGGUAGGGCCACCAAGAAUUCCUCUUGGUAACCAUCAAUCCUCGCGGAUUCUGAUUUGCCUGCCGUUACCCACUGACCAACUAACAUUAGGUAAUAUAGCAUCCCGGCCCACUAAAUACUCAGCCAUCCCCAUGACGGUCUAGCUCCUCUUAUCGCCCAUUGGAAAUCGGUGGAAUGAAAAUACAAACCCUUGAAAAUCUGACUCCAUAAAGCUUGAGGCUGUUGAAGUAGUCGACACGCUUGCUUACCAAGCAUGGCUCUAUUAAAUUCAAGAAGAUCUCGAAAUCCUAGACCUCCAUUGUCCUUACUCCUCUUUAGAAUAUCCCAUUUCUUCCAAUGUAUCCCUACUCUGUUCUAAUCGUUUUUCCACCAGAAACGAGCUAUAAUUUUUUCUAUAGAUCUGCAAAGAGACACAAGAAGUUUGAAAAUCGACAUAGCAUAGUGAGGAAUUAACUAGAUGACAUAUUUAAUGAGAACUUCCUUUCCUCCUUUUGAAUGAACUUUUCUUUCCAUCCUUCCAACUUUGAUUGUAUUCUUCCCAAGAGCCAAGAAAACAUUUCCUUUUUAGAGCGGCCCCAGUCAGACGGAUUUUUCAACUUGAUACACUACAUAUGUAGCACAAUUUACAAAAUUCCACAAAACCACUACACCAGAUUCCUGCCACACCUUUCAUUCUCUUAUCCUGAGCAAAGACAAGAACGAACAGCACUCAUCAGCCCAACAUGCUUAACUCCAAGCAUAAAGCAACUCAAAACUCAUCUUCUCUCCUUUUGAAUUUAGCACAACCAGACAUAUUUAACAUAGUACGAUGAACAAUCAAGAUAGCGAUGGGAUCUACUCAAUAAGCAUCAGGGUUUGCCAAGAGAUAAGCCUCGAUGGCCUUGAACAUCGCGGGCGCCUUCUCUUUCCAGGCCUUGAUCUUCUCCUCGGUGGUGUCCACCUCACCAAUGGUGAAGUACUUGCUCGUGUUCUUGCAUACCGAGCCUCCCUUGGGCGAUGUGGUGAUCUUCGCCUCGUAGCUAAUCUUCUCGAAGGUGGUGCCCAGCACGUCACCCUCAAUGAUCGAGUAGCUGUAGGUGAAGUUCUCCUUGUCCAGGGCCUCAACCUUGUGCUUCAUUGUCUUGUACUAACUGCCUAUCCAAGUAAGAAAAAAGUAAUAUUCACGUUUAGAACUCGCUAGUUUCAACAUCGCAAGCAACGAUUUUGAUGGCAUCAAUUGAGCCAUUUAGGUUGUUCCGACCGCAAUCCAAUACGAUUGACUUAGACAUGGCCUGAUUUCGCUCAAUCGGAAUCAAGCACAUGAUCACUUGUGAAAAAUAUUAUUAGAAACAUCUUAAUUAACCAAGUUACAUAUCUAUCUUUUUAAACAUUCAUCAUGAUGUUCCAUAAGGUUGGAACCACCUUGAUCCUGGGCAAUCCUAACAUAGACAACCUAACCUUCGCUGAAAGUGAUCAACUUGAUGGUCCCGGAACCUCCAUCGCCCUCAAGGACUUUGACACUCUUGAUGGCUUGCGGGAGCGCCUUGGGAAUGAGGUUAUCACUGUCGAGGAUAGCGGCCUUGAACAUCUUGGCCGAAGAGACUGGGGUCGUGAUCUCAGAGUCGUAACUAACGACACCCAUGAUUGGAUCCGAAUUGAGUUGCUGAAACUGAGAAAGGGGUGAUCGGGAAAGGCUGAGCAGCAGUGAUGAAGUUAGUCUCUAGGAGUCAGGACUUGCGAGUGAAGAGAAGAGGCUGAAUCGAAGCUCACAUAUAUAGAGAGAGAUUAAGGCUCCAUUCGUUUUAUGGAAAAUAAUUUCUGGAAAAAUAUUUUUCGGAUUUUCCGGCGUUUGUUUAACGGAAAAUGAAUUCCUUGGGGAAAAUGUUUUUCAUGAAAGGAAAAAAAGUGUUCUAAAUUAAGGGAAAAUUUUUUCUACUUUUGAAAAGUGGAAAACAUUUUCUUCACUUGAUCUCUCUUAUCUCACACCUCUACAAAUCCUCACUUCCUCCUCCCAUUUCUUUUUCUUCUUUUCUUUUUUUGUUCAAAUUAUUUUUUAAUUAUUUUUUUCUUUUUUAAUUCAAAUUAUUUUUAAUUUCCUUUUUCUUUUCUAUUUCUUUUCUUUUUUUUCUAUUUCUUUUUUUUUCUUUGUUUCCCAUCUUUUUCUUUCUUGACUAGUUGUUGGCCAUUGCUAGGCGAAUCUCGAGCUCAUCGAUCUCAAGCUCGGGCUCUGCACUCUUGCUUAUCAUUUUCUUUACUUAUUCUAUCCUACAGUUGUACAUUGCUCAAGUAAAGUGCUUUAUAUGCUUUGCUUCUUUUUUCUUUUGUUUAUUAGAACACAAAAGACGUAAGGGGAGAACAGGCCACUCAACUGGAAGAUUCUCAUGAGGGUUGUACGUGCUUUGCUUCUUCUCUUUUGCUUCUUUUUAAAAUUCAUACGAACAUUUUUUAGAGUAGAUGAGCAUUUGGUGAUAAUGAUGGAACAAAGAUAUGGAGUAAGUUUGUCCGAAUUUAAAGACAAGUUCAUAUUUGAUGGAUUUAUAAGUCGGUAAGUGAUGCAUGCCUAAGUGGUGAUGUCUUAGAAAAUAUUUUCCUUACCGAACACCGGAAAAUAUUUUCCAAAACAUUUUCAGGUUUUAACCGAACACCAGAAAAUAUUGUCAUUUUCCUAAAAAAAUAACUUCUGCGAAAAUAUUUUCUGGAAAUGACCCAUUUUCCGCGAAAUGAACGGACCCUAAAUAUAAAAAGGUUUUCUUAACUAGAUAUUCUCUUCUCACUUGACUGUGCGAUUAUUUCACGGAAAGUAAAUGAUUUUAAAAUAUAUAUUUUUUAAAUAAUCAUUUAUACCAUUUAAAAUAAUUAGUUAAUGGAAAAUAUUUUCACUUUUUUUUUCAUUCUUUUUUAAAACUAUACAAGCAAUCAAUUUGAGGAAACAUUUUUCAAAUUAUCCAAUUUCUGUGGAACAAAUCAAGUUAAAAAAAAAAAAACUUUAAUUGGUCUGUGAUCAAGUUCAAUCAUGUUAUGGACUUUGUUUAUAAAAUAAAAAAUGUCCAUAUGAUAACAGAAUAUUAGUCAAAGAAGGCUUCUUCCUAGAAAAAUACCAAUCAUGAUUCCAUUUCCUUUUCAUGUAUUGACUUUCUAUCCAGGGGCAUUUGCUCGGCCAAUUCUUGGAUCUUUUUUUUGGCUAGAAUUCUUAGUUCAGCUUCGCUGAUUUUUUACAGUCUUAUCAUAGUGGAAAAUCUCAAGCCCUUUUGACUACAAAUGUCGUCUGGAUUUUUAAUCGAGAUAAGACUAAAUAGGAUGGGACAUAAAAUCAAAAAAAAAAAUUGGUAUUGUUUAGUGAUUAUAGUAAUAUGGUCGGAUAAAUCCACAUCAUAUUAUAUAUAUUAUUUGGUAUAAAUGACACAUUAGUAAAAAUGAACCAUUUAUAAAUGGAAAUGGUAAAAAUCUCUCGCGAUACUCUAGCUUACUUUAUUUUAUUUGGUUUUUUUGUGGCAUUCUAAAACUUCAUGACAACCCCUAGAUAUGCUAUGAACCAUGAAUAGGUGAUGGAAGCACCAUCAAAUUAUAUUGUAGCCAUUAGACCCAUGAUUUGCAAUAAGAUUAAGGCCGAGCUUUUCAAUAGACCAUUUUUUGAUAGGAAAAUUUUAUUCUUGGUCAUACGUUUUAUAGGUUGGAUUUUAUUGAUUUAUGUUACAUAAUAUUAUGGCCAUAUGAAUUGGUAAUUAGGUGUAUACUUAGGUGAAGAUUAAAUGGGAAAAAUUAGAGAAGAGUGGGUUGAUUUUCUUAAGCCCAAGACCAGCCCCACCGUUCGGCCACUAAGGCUUGGCCUGCAAAGCCCAAAGGGCUGCUGUCGACCAAAUGGAGGAGUCGGCCCAAAGGAUGGCCCAUCAACCUACAUGAAAAUUAACAAGUGGCUAAGGGGAUUAGCCAAGUGGCAUUUGCAUGCAAUCAAAUGAUUGCUAAUCAUUGCUGAAGGAAAUAAAAGAGAGGGAGAUCGGGCGGAGUGAGCGAGGAGUACCGAGAGAGAGAGAGAGAGAGAGAGAGAGAGAGAGAGAGAGAGAGAGAGAGAGAGUUGUCAUGCGAGAGAAAGAGAGAAAGCGGGCGUGCCAGAGAGAAAGAGGAGGAAGAAAACCGUUGCUACUGAGCAUCCGCCUGGUCCCGCCGUCAAGCCCACCUUGUCCCGCCGUCGUGUUUGCUGCGAUUUUCUUUGGAUUAGAGACAAGUAGAGUCUGUUAGCCUACACUUUGCUUGCUAUGAUUGUGCUGUUGAAUGCUGGAAAUGGUUGAGUUGUGCUGUUGAAUGCUGGAAAUGGUUGAGUUGUGCUGUUGAAUGCUGGAAAUGGUUGAGUUGUGAUGUUGAAUGCUGGAAAUUCGAGUGAAUGGUGGUGGUUUUUCCAAGUGAGCUGUUGCAUGUAGGAACAAUUCAACUUUUGGUGAUUUCGUGAGCUGCAUGCAAUUUUCUAGUUGGAAUUUCACUUUGACUUCUUGAUGAAAUUUGUAGAGGACUUCUUGGAGAUUAACAUAUCAAAAUUUGAGAGAAAACAAACAAGUAUUCGUUGGUGAAACCAUUUUUCUUCAAAGAUACUAGAUCUGGAAACGUUUAUGUUGAUCUGUUGUGAUUAUGUGAAUUUUGUGCAAGUAUCCAUUCCGAAUUUGAUCUCGUGUCCUUGAUAAGAGUUGUAGAAGCCAUAUUGAGGAAUAAAAUACUAAAAUUUGAGAAGAAACGGACAAGUAUUGGUCGGUGAAAUGAUUUUUCUUCAAAAUGGUUAGAUCUGGAAAGCGUCAUUGAGGGUUAGGAAGAGUAUGGUGACUGUAGCUUUUGAUCUAUCACAAAUCUGACUUCAAUUUCUUCACGAAAAUUUUACCUCUAUGUCUCAAUUAUAACAUGUUGAAAUUUCAGAAUUUUUGGAGUUCAUUUAAGGGCUUAAUCGAAAUUAUUUCCAAAAGUGUGCAAAAAGGGGUGCUGGAAUUUCUUUUGCUGUGAUGUAUGGACCUAUGUGAUUGAUGUGAAACUUUCUUGACAUGGUGUUCUGCAUGAAAUAUUUUUCUCUAGGUCUUUUUUACAUCAUGUUAAUUUUUUAGAAUUUAUUGAGAUCGUUUACUAAUUUUUCCAGAAUUUUUAUUAAAGAAGUGCAUUCUGCUUUAUCCGAAAAUUGUCCUAUUUUGAAAAACAAAUGAAUUGCUCUAUGAAAUAUGAUGUCUUUUGUGGUUAUUCAUGCUGCAUAUGUGGUGACAUUUGGCAUAUCAUAUGACAUCAAAAGGCAAGUUUGGACCUCGAAUAUUAUUGCAUCAAAUGCUUAUUUGAAAAUGAGAUAUAUAUAUAUAUAUGUGUGUGUGUGUGUGUGUGUGUGUGUGUGUGUGUGUGUGUGUGUGUGUGUGAAUAUACAUUGUGGUGGUAAUGAUACUGUCGGAGGUGUGAGCCGACGAUGCCCCGGGAAUGUUAGGAUGCCCAAAGGUUCGAAUGAGUCGAUGCCCUUUGGAUGCCUGGUUGUAUUAUGAAUACAUGCCCAGAGGGUCCUCGGGAGUUUCGAGAUGCCUGGUGGUAUACGGUACGUAAUUCUAGGGGGAUACCUGGUGGUAUGUUGGUACGUAAUUUCAGAAACCCUGGAGGUGUGUGCCGGGGGGAUUCCUCGUGAUACUUGUUGGAGUGCGAGAUGCCCGAAGGUUUGUGCCAGAGAUUCCUCGCGAUGCCAGGUUGGAUGCGAGCGAUAAAUGAGGGAUGCAAGCAGUGGUCCCUGGGAGAAUGAUGAGAUCCUUUUGAAUAUCAAAAUAAGAAUUGAAUCAUGCAUGUGUGUGUGUGCAUAUGGCAUGUGCUAUAAUUGCCUGUGAAAUUGAGUUGAUACUAUUUGGCAUCGAAUGGAUCUCAUGAGGAUAUAUACAUGAUUAUGUGGAUGACAUGAAUUAUGCGUAUGGGUAUGUGCAUAUGGCAUGAGAUAUAAUUGUCCAUGAACUUGAAUUGGUAUUGCUUGGCAUGGGAAAUAUGACUAGUAAGGUUGUGAAUGAAUCUCAUGGACAUAUAUGCAUGAUGGCAUGGAUGAUAUAUGCAUGUCGCAUGAAAUUGUGUUGUCUUGCCUAAUGCAUUGUGUAGUUUGAUGGAUCUUUACUGCUGAGUGGUUGUACUCACCCCUUUGGGGACCAACAUUUCAGAUUGAGUGAUGCCUCUAGCACCUGUCACGCGUGGUACAUUCUAUGGUAUAUCAUCUUAUGUUGAGGUCGAGUGCACAGAACACCCCUGCGUCGGUGUUCAUGGUCUGAUGUUUAUCCGCGUCUAUGUCUUGGUCAUAUAUGAUGUGAGCCUACCUGAUGGCCUUGUAGUACAGGAGUUUCUAUCCAUCCAUGUUCGUCGAGAUAGGAGGAUGAUAGCGAUGCUGCCGCCGCCACCGGCCGAUGCAUCAGGAUGGGUGUAAUAGGAGUGUAUGACUGGUGGAGGUUGAUACUUUUUGGGAUGGCUGCACUAACUUAUGGAUAGAUGUACAUGUAUGAUGUAUAGUCGGGUUCUUUUGGGUUUAGCUGAGCUUAGUUAAAGUCUUGGCGUUUUGUUGUACCGACUUGUGAAAUCCAUCUUAGUUAUGUAAAUAAAAGUGAUUCGGCCCUAAAGUAUAUAUAUAUAUGAAAGGUUGUAGUUGGUGUGUAUUGCAUUGUAUUAUUUAGUUUGUGUAUGGGUUAGGGAGAUGAUGAGUAUGCUACCGUUAUAUGAACUGCGCUGGGACUGAUUAAGGUGAUACGAACCCCCAAGGAUUUAUGGACUCACUACAAUUGAAAUGGUAUUAGAGUAGCAUGUUAUUAGGACAAGUGAAAAGUAAGCACACUAUGGCAACCCUAGCAGAUCGGGGGUCAUGUCGAGGGGUGCCACAUUUUUAUUUUAUUUUCCCCUCUUUUAUUAAUUAAUUUCUUUUUUAUUUUUUCCCCUCCCAUCAUCCUCUAAUAAAAUUUUAUUAAAUAGUAGAUUGUACUAAUAUAAUCAAAAUACUAAUAUAUUGAAGUUAUUUUAUAAAAAAGUAAUUAAAUUCGAAUAUAUGAAAAUAAAAAUAAGAUUAAAUUAUAAUAAUUAAUUCAUUAUUUUUUUUUGUUUUUUGAAUUUCUUAUAUUAGAAUUCAAAUAUUAUUUAUAUUGAGAUAUAAUUUUAAGUUUGUUAAUUUAAAAAAAUUUCCUUCGGUUCAAUGUGCAAUGUAAUCCAUGAACUUUUAAUUUGUUCAAUAUGAUCCAUAUAUUUUUUAUACAUGUUUAAUGUUGUCUUUAAGUGGUAUGUAAAUGUUCAAUAUAGUCUUUUAUUAAUUCAAAAUCAGGGUGAACAUUUUCAUAUAAUCUAGUGACUAAAUUGAAUAUAUACAAAAAAAUCAAAUAUUACAUUAAACAAAUUAAAAGUUUAAGAACCGCAUUGCACAUUGAGUUAAAAUUGAUAGAUCAUAUUAAAUAAAUUAAAAUUUUAGAGAUCACAUUAUACAUUAAGUUAAAAUUCAUGAAUUAUUUGUAUCAUUUUUCCAUAUGAAAAAGCUUACACAAAAAGUCCCGACACAUGGACAUCAACCCUCCAUAAAUUUCGCCCAUAAAGUAACUCCCGCUUAAUUGCAUGUGAUAGAAAAGCAAAUCGUUCCAUUUGCCUCAGGAGCAUCUCUCCUCCCAUGGAGAGCUAAACCCCUCAAAACCCAAUAAAUUGCCUGUACAACAAAUGAUUCACUUUAGGAUUAAAUUUUAUUUCAAUCACCCCCUUCUUUUGCUAAAGCAACAUAAAGCUUCUGCAAACCCUUUUUAUUUUUUUAUUUUUUAUUUUUUUUGAAUUUUAACUUUGUCUUCAUGAACUACGGGGAGAGGGAGGGAAGCUUUGGCCAUUUUCCUUAGAUGCAUCUCUCCUUUGUUCAGCCUCCAACCUUUUGCGACCCUCUCCAUGCAUUGAAUGCUCUUUCAUGUUAUUGUUGUGAUAUUAUCUUGUUCCUAGUUUUGUCUGGUUAUCAAAAGCAAAUUGAAAACUAUGAUGGGUCUCUUGUUUCUAAUUGGGAAUUAUCCCCAAACAAAUCCAUUUUUCCUCGGCCAAAAGGUUAAUUAAUCGUUUGCAUGAAAUGAUUCCAGAAGGAUAUUGCAAUAUAAGCAUAUAUAUGUUACCUUUUCCCCAUUGUAAGCAAGAACUUAAUACAUGUUUUUCUUGAUCAAAUCUAGCCUAUCUCUAGUUUCUUUUUCAAAUGCUUUUCUUAGAAUAGGCCUUUUGUGUAAUACUGGCCUUUAGUGGGACCAAAAAACACAAGGAAAAAAGGGGUUGAAAAGUGAAAAGAAAAAAAUUAAGUGGAUGCUUAAGCUUAUAAAGAAAAUCAAAGAGGAAAAGAAAAGAAAGAAAAAGAAAGAAAGGGGAAAAGAGAAAGAGCUUUGUGUGUACAUGCUAUGGGAGCCUCACUAGGCUGGAGUUACUUUGAUUUGCAAUGUAUGGUAAGUGCUUGCACCUCUUAUUCUUCUAAUCAUAGUAGUUUUUGGAGUUAUGUCGUAGUUUUGGGAAUUAUGUCAUAUAUUCAAAGUUUUGUGAAAAUCAAGUUGCGAAAUCUGAUUAUUGAGUUGUUGAGUUAUGAGAUUUCAUGAAAAUGGUGGGUUAUGGUUUCGUGAAGCCAUAGGGUUUGUCGAGAGUUGUUUUUGAGUGAUAGUUUAUUUGGAGUGAGAAUCUUAGGAUUUCACAUUCACAUUCCACAUUGUGAACGGCUUAAAUAAUCACUUCAAUGAGCGAUUUAUUAGUGCGUAGAAGUUGUUUUGUUCGUGUUUAGAUGUAGUUUAGCCAUUUUGUAGUUGAGGUAGAGUAUUACUUAGUUUUAAUGUUGAUUCUCGUUUAAUUGAUAGAAUUAUAAAAUCAUCAACCCGUUUAGCUACACGUUGGUUGAUUUGGGCAUUCAUAUGUGAGUUGUGCUAUCUCUUCUUUGAAUUAGUAAACUCAUUUCUUAAAAAUUAUAGAAAUUUGAUAUAUUAUAAGUUAUUACAAUUUGAUAUUUGUAAAUGGUUUGCCAAAUUUUUUUGGAAAGUUGUUGAGAAAGGUUAUAUGUAUAUGUAUGGGUUGAUUUGAAAAUAUGGCUUAUGAAGUGGAUUCUGAAAUGAUUUGUGAAACGUAUUAUGAUUUAUAAAAUGGAUUCCGAAAUGGUUUGAGAAAUGCCUCAUAAAAUGUAUUAUGUUUGAUGAAUGGAGUUGAGAGAAAGAUUAUAUGUUUGGUUUGUGAAACCGUUUUGUGAUAUUGAUUCCAAAUUAGCUUGUGAAUUGUGAAGGAUACUGUUGUGAAUUUGUGUUGGUACUUAAUAUCGCUAUGAGCCCAAUAAGGGGUUUGUAGGUAUGCAUACUAGUUAGGAUAUUCUUGUGAGCUAGCUACCGUCAAUAUAAGUGGAAACCUUGCCAACGGUGAGCUUGGUUACCUUGUCAUGGAGCAUUAUGCAUGUCGUGGUAGAUAUUUAAGUAGGGGUCUGGCCAAUGGAUGGACUAUUGACAUGUGACUUGAUAUUAGUUGAUAUAAUGGACCAUUGACAUGGUUUUUUUUUUUUAGAUUGAUUAAUGGACUUAAACAUGGACUUAACCAUUGAUGUUUGUCAUAAUGAUAUUGAUUUAAGGAGUAUUUUUUUUUAUAUGUAUAUAGUUAUGUUAAAAUGAUAGAACUCAUCUUUAUCUUAUAUGUGUAUUAUGUUAUGAAAUUGAGAUAAAUGAGUUUUAAUAUUAUUUUGUAAAGUACAUAGUGGAUACUCGAUCUACUUAGAAGAUAUGAGUACUACUCAUUAUGCUGUGAUUACUCAUUCCAUUCAUCUUUCAUGCUUUUCAAGUCUCCAAUUAGUGGCUAUUAGAGCGAGAGUGUUAUUCAGGAGAUUUUUGAAGUUGACUUUUGACACACCUCGAACCUCCGAGCAUGUGCACAUCCCACUUUGGUCGAUAGAAAUGUGACUUCCUAGGACACAUUGCCAACCCAUUUAUUUUAUUACGCAUGCGGAAGCGAAACAAAUCCCUUGACAACAUUUAACUUGGGAUAGAAAAUCAAGCAAUCAAUCACAACCAAUCAAGCUUUCUUAUAAACACAUAGGUUUAUAUACAACACUGGAUUGUCUACAAAAUAGACCGGCUCAACAAAAAGGGGACUGUCUUAACAUCCACUAGUCAAACCCAUUUGCCGAUUCUUUAGCCUCCACUUUCCGAACUCCAGGACUUCCGGUCCUCCACGAUCAUCAUGUAGGGACCUAAAAUAUUGUCCCACAACCGGAAUGAAAUGAUAUCUCAACGAGUCCUACCCUCUAAGACCCAAUUAGGAAGAAAAUACGCCUCAGGGCGCUCUAGCCACACAAAUAGGAUGGAGUACUUACCUCGCCUCAGUCCUUUCCUGCGUGUCAGUACAAUUCAAUUCUCAAUCACACAAUUGAGCCAACGAUUCAAUUCAAUCAUACUAUCUAUCUUUCCAUUUCAAGCCGUACUAUCUAUCUUUCCAUUUCAAUCCGUACUAUCUAUCAACCAUUAUUAUCUAUCAUUCAAUACCGUCUAUCAAACUAGUUGUUAAUACGACACAUGCUCUCCAAAGCUGUAAUAUAUAGACGGUAACUCACUCAAGUUGUAUAGAUAAAUAAUAGCUCGUCCAAGCUGUAUAGAUAGAUAAUAGCUUGCCCAAGCUGUAGAUAGAUAAUAGCUUGCCCAAGCUGUAGAUAGAUAAAUUGUGCUCGCACAAGCUGAUAAAACGAUCUUAGCUCACACAAGCUGAUACAUAUAUAUAAACUAAUGCUUGCCAAAGCUAUUCAUUCAAUAAUAAGCCAAUCCAUACUUCAAUUAAAUCAAUCAUCAAUCCAAUCAAUUCAAACUGGUCACACAAACCAAUUACGGUGCUAAAAGCCAACACCGGGUAUUUUCAAGUUAAAUACCAAAACUUCUCUAAUAUUCACACAAUCCCACACUUUUGGAAUUAUUAACCAUAAUCAUCAAUCACUCAAUUUUUCAAUUUAAACAUACAAUUAGCACAAACUGACCACACCAAUGCGAUCAGCGCGAAAUUCUAACGACCGACCAUUCUGGCAAAUUUUUUGAAAUUAUUAAAUAAUUAAAUAUUAAAUUAUAAUAAUAUAAUUUAAUAAAAUAAUAUUUAUAAAUUCGAAAUAAAUAAAUAAUUAAAAAUAAUUAAUUAGGGCUUAAACAAGAUUAUACUAAUUUAAUCAUACAAUUAGCCAUAAUUAAACAUCCAUUAAACUAAUCAUAUAACUAAUCUAAUUUACAUUAAAAUAAUAUAAUCUAACCACCUAAACCUAAUUAGACUAAUCUAAACACCUCUUAAGCAUAAUUAACUUACUAAGCAGGGAUUAGAGGAUAAACUCACCGGUUUUGCGCGCCAGUGAGUUCACGACGACCACAACGCCAAGGCGGUCGAUAAACCCCGAAGCGGCAACACCAACGGAGGUCGGGAAGGGCUUGAAAACGGGCCACGAAGUCUCCAAAACCUUUAUGUCUUCUACUUCUGAUCUGGGUUGAACUACAGAGAAGAAAACAACAACUUCAAUGGCGAAAACGGACUAAUCUGAGCUCCGACGAGCAGGUGGUUGGAAACCGGUGGCUCCCGGAGGUCAAGGGAAUCUUAUUGGAGGUUGGGAUGGGCGAAGGAAGGAUCGGAAUGAGAGAAAAAUGGCCGAAAACGUGAAACAGUGCAGGCUGCAGGCAGACCGAUGGAUUGGCGACCGGUUCCUUCCUGGCGGCGCCCAUACCGUCCAGCGGCUCCGUUUGGAACGAAAUUGGGCUCGUUGGAACGGUCUGUCUCUCCUGGUCACAGUGAUAGGUGACUCGUAGGCUGAUUCAUCCGGGAAGACCACUUUUGACUCGAUUCUUCACUGAAGGGUUAGCUAGAGCAGAAAUUGAAGGAGAGGGAAAACGAGGAGAGAGAGAGCUCCGUUCGAGGGAGGCCGAAUGGGGGAGAGAGAGAGUGAAGAAGUGAGGGCUGUCAAGACCCCCAUCAAUUCUUGCUUCAAGUCCCCAUGCCAAGCCAUCAUCAUUUUCUCUCUCUUCUCUAGCCUUUUCUCCCUACAACUAGGGGUAUUUUGCUCAUUUCACCUUGCAAAAAUUACAAAUCUGACCUUGGGCUGAAAUUGGUGGAUGGGCCUAAGGAUUGGGCUUGGCCAUGAAUAGGAAUGGGCUUGGGAAUUUGUUGGGCUUGAAAUGGAUAAGAAUUGGCCCAUGGGCUUAGAAGAUAAAUAGUAGGUUUUGCCCAAUGGGCUUAUUUGCUUGACUUAAGCCCAUUAAGGUGGCUGUCCAACUUUGGGCCUAGGGCCCACACUGGCUUGGCCCGACCCACGACCUCACGAGCUCACUUCCUCAGUCCAAAAAUCCAUUUUCCAAUUGCUCGACUUAAUUGGCUCCAUUGACGGUUUAAUGUAGCUUCAUCCAAAGUCCGUCCCAGACAUUCCCGAUAAUUCAAAGUCCAAUCCUAAGUUCUCUUGCCAUGUCAAUUUCGCAAAAUGUCAUUUCGGUUACAACUCAAACUAACGAGUGGCUGUGAGGAUUCACGCGUGACCGACUCGUGCCAAACCACGUUCAAGACAUCUCGACGCAUGGACGUCUUUGACUGUAUGAAAUUAUGGAGGAUAGAUUCUUAUUUCAAAAUACACGAUUACUGAGGAUUAACAUAAGGUCGUUCGUGGAUUCAAUAACAGUAAAUGGAAUCACCCGUCGUUCCAUUAUGUUCUAUCCGCGAAUCAACUUUUAGUUGUCCUUAGAAUCGGCCUGCCUAUCUACAGGAUCGUCCUCACGUAAAUCUCACGGUCAAGUCGUUUUCCCAGGUCGAGUCCUUUAGUCGUACGAGUUAUGUCCUCAUUAGUCUUUCCCCUCAAGGUUAGUAUCUCAAGAGUGAUCAAUUCCGAGUGAGAUCAACUAACAAUGCAUUGACGAAAUUCACCUUCACUCAUCUCUCAGAGGGCUCGAAUUUCAGGAUGUCACAACUUUUGGGUAGAUAGAGGCUACAUCGUUCAGGUGGAAAGAUAGCCGUCCUAUUCCCUUUUUUGCUAGAAUUCGAGGUGUGAUAUUUUGUUUUUUCAAGUUUAGAAUCAGUUUGAUCGAGUGUCCUUUCCAUUUGAAUUGGUGGCCAUCUUAUCAAAAAGUUAUUCUACAAGUGUGAACUCAACCACAAAUUUGGGCCCCAAAAUCUGGGUUAGGAUAAAUUUCUAUGGUUUCAUGUAUACAAUGUUUUCCAUGUACUUCUCUUGAAUGCUAAAACUAACGUAAGCAACGAGUGUAAUUGGGGUAGGAUCGUUACAUACAUUGUUUGUGAUGUCUAAUAUGAUGAAAUCAUUUCUGAAUUCACACACUUUUAAGUUUGAUAUCUUUUAUAAAAAAAAAAAAAGGACCGCUGCUAAUGCAAAGUCGGUCUAUAAAUAUCUUAAGUUGCCUUUAUAUAUGUCGAUUUCAAUGAAUUGUAAAAGAGGUACAAGGGAAAGGGGUAACUAUGUGUGGCACCCCCGACAUGGCCCCUGAAUCGUUAGGAUCGCCACAAUUCAAUUACCAUUCUCUUGCUUGGUCUUCAAUCCUGGGGGUUUACAUCAUUUAGAUCGGUCCCUGCGCAAUUUAUAUGGUGGAAGCGUAUCCAACAACUCCCUUCCCUAUAUUCAGAAAACGAUGCACACCCACUAAACAUUUAUAGGUAAAAGCCGAAUACUUUUAUUUACUUAAACCAAAUGGACAUUAGUCAAUGAUACAUCAAAAUGCCAUAGUCUUUUAUACUCGACUAUACUUCAAAAGAUGACCGACAUCUCAUCCAACAGUCGUAUACUUAAAGUCCAUCGAUUAGUGUCGGCGUCCAAAAGUUCCUUCAUUUGCUAUCCUCCUCCCCACGGUCAUAUCAAACCACUCGAUCCAUCUACCUGUGGCAAUGGCAGCAGAGGUAUCUUAUCUAGUCUGAAAUGUUAGUCCCAAAACGGGGUGAGUACAACCACUCAGCAGUAAAGAUUCAUCAAACUACACAAUGCAACAAGCAAGACAACCACAAUUCAUGCGAAAUGCACAUAUCAUUCAUGCCAUUAUACAUAUAUGUCCAUGAGAUUCAUUUACGACCUUACUAAUCAUAUUUCCCAUGCCAAGCAAUACCAAUUCAAGUUCAUGGACAAUUAUAUCUCAUGCCAUAUGCACAUACCCAUACGCAUGAUUCAUAUCAUCCACACAAUCAUGUAUAUAUCCUCAUGAGAUCCAUUAAAUGCCAUCAUGAUCGCAUUCUCAAUGCCAAAUAGUAUCAACUCAAUUUUAUAGGCAAUUAUAUCACAUGCCAUAUGCACACACACACGUGCAUGAUUCAAUUCCCAUUUUGAUAUUCAAAAGGAUCUCAUCAUUCUCCCAAGGACCAGUGUUUGCAUCCCUCAUAUAUCGCUCGCAUCCAACCUGACAUUGCAAGGAACCUCCGGCACAAACCUUCGGGCAUCCGGCACAAACCUCCGAACAUCUUGCAUCCCACUUGGCAUCACGAGGAAUCCCCCCGGCACACACCUCCAGGGCUUCCAGAAUUACGUACCGACAUACCACCAGGCACCCCUUAGAAUUACGUACCAUAUACCACCGGGCAUCUCAAAACUCCCAAGGAUCCUCUGGGCAUGUAUUCAUAAUACAACCAGGCAUCCACAGGGCAUCGACUAAUUUGAACCUUUGGGCAUCCUGACACUCUCGGGGCAUCGUCGGCUCACACCUCCAACGGUAUCAUCAUUACCACAAUGUAUAUUCACACACACACACACACACACACACACACACACACACACACACACACAUAUAUAUAUAUAUAUAUCAUUUUCAAAUCAGCAUUUGAUGCAAUAAUAUUCGAGGUCCAAACCAGCCUUUUGAUGUUAUAUGAUAUACCAAAUGUCACCACAUAUGCAGCAUAAAUAACCACUCAAGACAUCAUAUUUCAUAGAGUAAUUCAUUUGUUUUUCAAAAUAGGACAAUUUUCGGAUAAAGCAGAAUGCACUUCUUUAAUAAAAAUUCUGGAAAAAUUAGUAAACGAUCUCAAUAAAUUAUGAAAAUUUAACAUGAUAUAAAAAAGACUAGAGAAAGAGAUUUCAUGAAGAACACCCUGUCAAGAAAGUUUCACAUCAAUCACAUAGGUCCAUACAUCACAGCAAAAAAAAAUUCCAGCACUCCUUUUUGCACAGUUUCGGAAAUAAUUUCGAUUAAGCCCUUAAUGAACUCCAAAAAUUCUGAGAUUUUAAAAUGUUAUAAUUGAGACAUAGAGGUAAAAAAAUUUUGAAGAAAUCAAAGUCAGAUUCGUGAUAGAUCAAAAGCUACAGUCACUCUUCCUAACCCUUAGUGACGCUUUCCAAAUCUAACAAUUUCAAAGAAAAAUCAUUUCACCAACCAAUAUUUGUCCAUUCCUUCUCAAAUUUUAGUAUGUUAUUCCUCAAGAUGUCGUCUACAACUAUUAUCAAGGACACAAGAUCAAAUUCGGACUGGAUACUUACACAAAAUUCACAUAAUCACAACGGAUCAACAUAACAGUUUCCAAAUCGAGUAUCUUUGAAGAAAAAUGGUUUCACCAACGAAUACUUGUCCGUUUUCUCUCAAUUUUGAUAUGUUAAUCUCCAAGAAGUCCUCUACAACUUUCAUCGAGAAUUUGAAGUGAGAUUCCAAUUAUAAAAUCGCAUGCAGCUCACGAAAUCACCAAAAGUCGGACUGUUCCUACAUGCAACAGCUCACUUGGAAAAACCACCACCAUUCACUCGAAUUUUCAGCAUUCAACAUCACAACUCAAGCAUUUCCAGCAUUCAACAUCACAAUCACAGCAAGCAAAGUGUAGGCUAACAGACUCUACUUGCCUUAAAUCCAACGCAACCACAACAAGCAAAACGGAGGACUCAGUAGGGGUGUGCAUGGUCCGGGGCGGGCGGGUCCCGGACUAGAAACCGGGAACCGCCCGCUAAGGACCGGUUCCGAAAAAUUGGAACCGGGAUCCACCCGUUUGUUGCAUGGAUCCACCCGGGAACCGGACCGCCGGUCCGGUCCGGUUCCCGGGUGGAUCCAUGGAUCCGGUCUCACUAACAACGAGAUGAAAAUUUUAAGCUAAGGAAAUCUCAACAUCAAAAGAGAUGACAUAAUUGAUCUCAAUUCUCAAUUGCAUAGCAAGCAUCAUCAAAGCAAGCCAAAAAUUUUCAGCUCCCUAGUUAAACAUCUUCGAUGAACGAUUUAGCAACAAGUUUUCCAUAGCAUAAAUGAGAAUAUCAUACUUACAUUACCUGAUGGACAUUAUAACUAGACUGAUCCAAAGUCAGGAGGAUAAUAUACAACUAACAGCAAGAGAUGCAAAAGAAUGGCAAAAGUGAAUCUUACAAGUGAGGUGAUCAUCUUUCCUCUCACUCCAGCACUUCAAGUAUCAUGUUGGCAAGACUAGGACUCUCAUAAGAAGAGAUCUUUAAGUAGGGAAACAGAAGUGCAUCGACAGCUUAUCCGAUGUCAUGGAAGCCGGACAAGCUUGUUGACAGCAGAAUCUAAAGCAUCAACAUUCCUCCUCAGAAUUUUUCUGAAGCAAUGUCAAGGAAAACACAAAUGAUAGCACAAACCUUUAAUUCAACUGGGGAAAAAAAAAACGAAACUGUGUGGCUUUUACUUUCGAAAGAAUGGGCGUCGCUCGUUUGUAAGAAGUAAAAUGAUGCUUUUCGAUAAAUUUCUAAGUUCACAGGACAAAAAUGUGUUCAGGACAAACACUGCAGCAACGAUAAAGACUUUUUCCAUCUAGUCAAGGAUACAAUUGUGUCGAUGAACAAAUCAAUGAAAGCGGAGUUGGUCCUGCCCCAUCACAUACAGAGUUUGGCUCGCCUCUUGAAGUAACCCCACUUUUCGGAUCAUUAGCAGCAGGAAUUCCCAGCCCAAAGUUUUCAGAGAGUGUAAGUAAUCUGAUCAACCUAAUUAUGUUAAAGGCACGAACUUAGCAGUCCCAUCUUUUUUUUUACUUUCUAAAAGAACAAUGAGCAUCAUACAUCUACAUACAUGUCAUACUAAUGUACAAAUCCUGAUCCAGAAAGAGUAAGUGAUGGUUUCCAGUUUUCCAACCUAGCCAAGAAAACGAUGAAUCUCUUAAAGUUGUACCAAUUGGCCAGACUAUCUCAUUAAUCAUUGAACGAUCAAGCCAAAACUAUUUAGCGCCAAAGAGAAGAAAAAAAAAGCCAGAAAAUUCAGCGCAAUCAUAGAAGCGCCUAACGAAAUGCAAAAACAACGAGGGGAAAAGGAAGGCCGAGUGCAAGAGGGAAGGCCGCAGGCGAGGCGAGGCGACCGACGGACCAAGAGCGAGAUUAGGGGAGAGUUUUUUGAGAGGGCUAGGGUUUUGUCCAUCAAUAUGCGUGAGGAAAGGGGAGGAUUGCGAAAACGCGAGACGCAAGUUCAACUAAAGAAGCGCAAAGCAACAGAGGAAGCAGAGGUAGCAAGCAAGCAAGCAAGCAAGAAGAGAGAAACGCUGCGGGAAUUAGCGAGCAAUUGAGAGGAAGAAGCGAACCUGCAUCAGAGCCUCGACGCGGGAGCGAAGAACGAGAGAAAACGAGGGGACGGACAGCAGAGGCAGAGGAGCAGCGGCUGUGGCGACCGGCUCGAGGGGGUGGACAGCGGCGGAGGAGGAGCGGCGGUGGCGGCGUCGACGCAAGGGGAGGAAUCGAAGAUGAAGAGAAGAGAUUGAGGAAGAGAGAGAGAGAGAGAGAAUCGAAGAUGAUGAAACCGCAGAGGAAGAGACGAGACGCGGACUUAGGGUUUCUUUCUUUUAGUUUUUUUUUUUAAUAUUAAAAAGUGCCGGUCCGGUCCGGGUGGGCGGGCGGGUGGAUCCGCCCAUGGAACCGGGAACCGGACCGGUUCCCCCCGGUUCCCAAAAAUUGGAACCGGGAACCGGACCGGUUCCCUCGAGAACCCCCGGUUCCGAGUGGUUCCGGUCCGGUUCCGGGCGGUUCGGGCGGUUCCCGGGUAUUUUGCACACCCCUAGGACUCAGGGUUUCGGAUGUGGCUCGGCGACGGCGGACUCGAGCAGCAUCGACGGUGGCAGCUCGGACCCGGCACGGGCGGAGGGUGGCCUUCCUUUUCUGCCCUCACACCCACGGACCCCUCGCUGCUCCCCCUUUCUUUUUAACUUUCCCUCGAAUUUUUUUUUUCCCUCACACUUGCUCCCCCCCCCCCCCCCUCCCCCCUCACUCUCUCGGCCUCACUCUCCUUUUAUCGAAAGUUUUUGCUUUUCUUUGAUUAACUAAUUCACUAAUUUUACAUGCAGGUGACAAGUGUUCUCAUGGAAAGGACAAGUAGAAGAUGCAUGGACAAGUGGCUUCAAAUAAUGAACAAGUGGAGGCAAUUCAAGGACAAGUGUUGAAUGGCAUCCCCUUCUCGCGAGCCCUCUCUCUCUGUCCGAAUUCUUUUCUCUCUGGUUAGUACAAGUGAGCUGAUUAGUCGCUGGUUUUUCACCAAAACCAGUCAACUAAGAGAACAUUUUUCCAUGGUUUGGCUGCAUGAAGGGCAGCUGGAUCCGUACGUGUCCAGCAUGCUUCUCUUCCUUCGACACUUGCUCCUCUCUUGCAACGUGUCUUCAGCCAUUUAACUAAUUCUUUUCUUAAUCCCAAUUUGCUGGCCGACCGCGAGAAAGCAACGUGGCAUCAAUGGUCAGAAAUUUUCCUCUCAUAGUUGGCUAGGGUGUCGACCAAAUGGAGAGAGGUUGGGGCAGCCUUGGGCGCGGACGAUUCCUCCUUUUCCGCAUGGGUGUGCAUGUCCCUCAUGCACGGCUGAAUUCUAUUUCUUCGGCUCAGAAUUUUAAUUAAUAGAAGUCCAAAAUUUCCCUCUCAUUUUGUAUACAUUUUGGUGGUACAAUUGUGUAGCGUCAUCAAAGCAAUUUGCACAACUCAAUAAGGUUGAAUGUAGUACUAACGAUGAUGAAUUCCAAUAGUAGCUUCGUCAAUCCAUGACGUUUCAAAAUAUGGGUGAGAUUGAUCUCACUAAUAACCUUAUGUAAAGAGCCUUUUGACAAUACUCUAGUCUAUCCCACAAUCGGACUAUUUUCUAAACAUGAGGUAUCGGUCCAUUAAAUUGCUCGGCCUUAAUUAAAUUAAAAUCUAUUAGCCAAAGACCAUAACAUAGUCCGAUGACGCUUCCAUCACCUAUUCAUGGUUCAUGGUAUGUCUAGGGGUUGCUAUGAAAUUCUAGGAUGCCACACUAUGGCUAGAGUUCUGUAGUCUCUGGUUCUAAGAAAAAUCCUGUCAAAUCUUUUCUCUAGGUGUAGGUGUCGUCGACAAUGAAAUGGAAGAAUUGCAUUGGUUUCUUUUUUGCUUCUUCUAAAAUAUUUUACUUCUCAAACUCUCCAUAGAGCUUCAUGCUUUUUACUAUUCUUAGGUUAUGGUUGCCUGAUGGUAUGAUUUAUAUAAUUAUGCUUCCCUUGUAGACUGCAAAAGUUAUAGGGGCGGCCAUCCAACCAUUACUACAGUCAGUUGGUCGGCUGCAGCUUGUUGUCGCUCGGGUUCAGGCCCUUUAUAUCUCUGCUUCAGAUAUUUUUGAGCUUGACAGUCUCUAAAAUUGGUAAACGUUGUCUUCCAACAGAUUGACAAGGCCACGCAUGAUCAAACUAGAGAUUCUCUUCACGAGCGUCAAGCUGAUGAAAGUGAUGAUGAGGACGAAGACAUCGAUCAUGUCUUUUACAGGGAUGAGGAUGAAUCUGGACAAACUAGCGAUGAUACAAAUGAUGACGAGAAGCUCUAAAUUUUAAGAGUUAGUCAACCUUGCUGGUGUGAAAUUUGAUUUGUCGUGUUGCAUCUUCAUAAACUAUGGAUUGUUGGGGUAAUUAGUGGGUAAAAAAGUAGGUGAAGGCUAUAAGACUAUUUUCUCUGAUUCCAUUUUCAGGUUAAGUCUUAUAUUCCACUGCGAGAAGUGAGUUCCAUACAGCUUCUUGUAGAUAGACUAUUUUGAUAUUUCGACUAAGAACCAGUUAAACAUGAUCCCCUCGGAGAAAUUCAUACAUAUGCUGCCAAUUUCGCGCCCUCCACAAAUUUUAUGAUUCCGAUUGCAUGUGCUGGUCUCAAGCAAUCACCCCGACGACAGAGACCACCAUAGACUAGCCGUUAUGGUAGCGGUGGUUGCCCUGCAGCGGAUUAUGGCAUCUCUAUGUAUACUUUUCCUGAAAAUUGUUUAUUCAAUUAUACAAUCAUAUCCUCCGUUUAUCAAACACUCUGUAUCUGGCCUUGUAUCCGGUGUGUUCGCAUACAAGGAAUUUGAUACCAAAAAUCCGCAGGACUUCUUGUUCGAUCUUAAUGUAUCCCUUUCGACUUUAUUUCUUAGCGACCAGAUGCGGCGGAAGAGUAGAACAUGACAUUUUACCCUCGACGAGUUGACAGAGCACAUGUCGCAUUCUUUAGAUAUAAUUCCAAAAUCUGAAACCCAGAAACUUUAGAUGACCAUCUCACUGACCCGGGAUGCUUUAGAUGUCCUCACUUGGAUUGCACCGCACGGCAACCUAAAAAUCGUUCUGGCAUUUUAACAUCAUAUGCUGUAUGCUGGAUAUAAUUAUCAAAGGUACUAAAUCCAAUAAUUAUGUAAAGCGAAGUCAGCUAAAAGCCAAGAGAUCGCUAUUGAGACAUCUGACAACAUUAAAAUGAUAGGAUAGUUUCACACAGAAAACAUGGAAUAUGACACAUAGAAUUCCAAGUUCGUUCGGGUAAGAAACAACGAAAAGCAAAGCGAGUUCAAAAGGAGAAGCGAAAAUGGUUGCUGUAUUUGGUUUUAAAUGAUUCGUUCGAUUUUGCAGGGUUUCAAUACGUCCCGAUCCAAAUUAAGCUGUAUAUGUAUCAUGAAACUCAAAGGGGGACACACGCAACUAUUGAGACCGAAAGAAAAGAAAGAAAACGGGGGGCCGCACGCUACAAUAAUCACUCAAUUGAGGACCACAUCGGACCAAAGUUUAUUCGGACAACACUUCAUAUGGGCAUGCGAACGAAGCAAGUACAGCCAAUUUACGAUACAUUUCCCAGAACCAUCAUCACAUUCGCCUAAGACACGAGCAGUCCUCUGUCACAGGGUGACAUCUCCUUGGCGGAGCGCUUCCUGGAACAGGACUGGGUUUCAGGGACUUCGCCUCCGCAUGAGCCUGGAUGGCCCUGAACAUCACGGACGCCUUCUCUCUCAUGGGCCUGAUCAUCUCCUCCUCCGUGAUAUCCCCUUGGCCGACGGUGAAGCACCUGCCCGCGUACUUACAGACCGAGCCACCCUCCAGGGGCAACGCAACGAUCUUCACCUCAUGGCUGGUUUCCUUGGAGAUUCUGCUCUGCUCAUCACGAUCGACGGUCGAGUGGUUGUAGAGGAAGGGCUCCUGGUCCGGCGCUUUAACCGUGUACCUCACCGUCCUGCGCUGCCUGCCUAUAAAAGUAACCAAAGUGACAUUCACGCUAAUCCGUCAUAUGAGUUUAUUUGUAUUGAGGGUUCGAUUUCCUUUCGUUUCAGUUAGUGACUCGUUAUUUUAUUUAUAUUUAUUUUCAAAACCUUUCCUUGUUUAUUUAUUUAUUUAUUUCAUAUAGUAAAGAAGGAUGUAUAAUAGAUAAAAUCCUAAGUAAGAGCAUUGAAAAAUUACGCAAGUAAAAAGAAAGGCCAUUUUAUUUUUCGUGCCUAGGAUUGCAUCCUAGAUCAUUAGAUAGGAAUCCAAAAAUAAGAGAGUACAAACAAAGAGAUUGAGAGUAAACAUUACACAAUCUCCAAUAUCUCUUCUUCUUUUUUUUGUUUCAAUAUCAUGAGCACCAAUCUUAGUGUUGUUGAUCAGGUCAUCUAGGGUCACGCCCAAUUGUAAUUGUAAUGCAAUACGAUUGAUAUACGAUUUUAAUGGUAAGGAACAUUUCAAUUGACCAAGUACCUUCGACAGAGAUCGUCUCUUGAAUGUCAGCAUUUGUGAUGGCUGGAAGGAGGGUAUGGGGGAAGAAGCCCUUGGCUUCAAGAAAAGCCUCGACCAACCUGGCCUUAGGGAUCGGGUGUGCGAUCUCGGCCUUGUGAGUAACUUCUACCAUCGAUUGAAUCUGAAUAGAAUUUGCUGAACUGAAAAGGGUAUAAAAAUCUCAAAAGAAAGAAAUAAAGCAAUGAAGAGAAGGAGCUUUGAAUGGAGGUGAAGUAAAAGGUCGAUAUUUAUAGUGAUAAGAAAAGGAAUAAUGACACAAAUGAUCUCAGAACUUUGAUCAAUGCGCAAUGUGGUCCUUAAACUUUUGAUUUGUUCAAUGCGGUCCUUGAACUUUUCGUAAAUGUUUAAUACGGUCCAUGAACUAUUUGAAAAUAUUUAGUGUAAUCCUUCAUUAAUUCAAGAUCAGAGACACCGUUGAAUAUUUUCAUAUAAUUCAAGGAUUAGUUGAACAUGUACCAAAAAUCCAAUGACCAUAUUGCACAUUAAAUUAAAGUUCAUUGAUCAUAUAUAUCAUUUUCCAGUAUGGACAUCAACCUUCCAAAAGUUUCGCCAUAGAGUUACUUCCGCUUAAUUGCAUGUAGUAGAAAAGCAAAUUAUUUAUUUUCCUUGAAAGCAUCUCUCCUCCCAUAAAAAGUUGAACCCCUCAAAACCCAAUAAAUUACCCACACGACAAAUGAUUAACUUUAGGAUUGAAUUUAAUUUAAUUAUAUCCUUUGUUUUGCUAAAACAGCAUAAAGCUUAUGCGAUCCCAUUUUUUUAAAAAAAUUGAGUUUUAACUUUGUCUUCAUGGACUCCGGAGAGAGGGAGGGAAGCUUUGGCCAUUUUCCUUAAAAACAUCUCUCCUUUGUUCAGCCUCUAACCCUUUACCAGGAAAUGCUGACUGGUCUACGUGUUAUUGUUAUCUUGUUCCUAGUUUUAUCUGAUUAUCAAAAGCAAAUUAACAACUAUAAUGGUCCCUUGUUUCUGAUCGGGAAUUAUUCCGAGACAAAUCCUUUUCUCCUUGGCCAAAAAGUUAAUUAAUCAGCUGCAUGAAAUGAUUCCAUGAGUAUAUCGCAAUGGAAGCAUCUUUAUGUCAGCUUCUUGAGGUAAGCAAGAGCUUACUCCAUGCUUUUCUUGAUCAAAUGUUAGCCUAUCUCUUGUUUCUUAUUCAAGUGCUUUUCUUAGAAUAGCAGUUUUGUUUAUUCAAGUUUAGAAUCACUGUGGUUGAGUGUCUUUUCUAUUCGAAUCGCUGACCAUAUCAUCAGAAAGUUAUUCCACAAGUCUGAGCUCAGAAUCACAAAAUUGGACCCCACAAUCCGGGUUAGAAUAAAUUUCUAUAGUUUCAUGAAUACAUUAUUUUCUAUGUACUUUUGUUGAAGGCUAAAACCAAUGUAAGCGACGAGGGUAAUUGGGGUUGUGUCAUAAUAUAUGCAUUUCUCGUAAAUGUCUAAUACUGUUGUGAUAUUAACGUGGAAAUGAUAGGAUCUCACAAAGUAAGUCAAUGCGAAAAAAUUAGAGAAAUAAGCGAGGAAUAAUAGAACAUUAGAGAUUUACGUGGUUUGGACUGAGUAUCAGUACAUACAUACACAGAGAGCUAGUAGCAACAAUCUAUUAUAAUCGAAGAAUUAGAUUUAUAAUCACUCACACAGUCGAGUGUUUCUCACACUUAGAUUUAAGUUUAAAUCCAAAAUAUUUACAAAUAAAUACUCAAUUAGACGAAAACUCACCGCACGAAAUCAUUGUACGAAAUCAUUGUGUAUUCAUGUCGGUGCGGCCAAGAGACAACUCCUUCGUGCGUCCAAGUCCUCCGAUCGGCUUCCUGAAUCUUCUCUGGGCAGCGUCUAUACCACCCACAAAGAACCCCCUGGCGGCUAUUUCUCGUGCGGCUCUUUUCCACUCAAGAAAAAUCCUUGAUUUUCUUUUAUUUUAUUUCCUUUUGUGCAGCUAAAGGAGUCCCAUGAAUUACUCCUUUGUUGACCGACCAGUCACAGGAUUAGGAUUUGAAGAAGACGUCCACUAUACGGACCUAAAGCGGAUUUCCUUUCUUGUGCUAUUUCCUUCAACAAAAAAGAUAUAUUCACGAUUAAAUAUGAAAAACUUAUCCAAAUAGUUCAAAUAUGAAAAAACUCAUCCAAGCAGGUCAUAUUUAGCAAACGCUCAAACUCGAUUCAUAAUUUAACAAAUAUGAUGAAAUUAUUUCCGGAUUCACACACUUUUAAUUUUGAAAUCUAAAAAAGAAAAAUGUCUAUUGCUGAUGCAAACUAUGUUCAUAAAUAUCUUAUAUCGCUGUUAUACAUGUCGAUUUCAUUGAAUUGCAAAGUAGUAUGAGGGAAAGGGGUAAUUAUGGCUAGAGAUCUGAAGAGUUUUGUAAUCUCUGGUUCUAGGAAAAAUCCUAUCCAUCUUUUCUCUAGGUGUAGGUUGCAUGAACAAUGGCCUGGAAGAAUUGCAUUGGUUUCUUUUUUGCUUCAUCUAAAUUGUUUUACUUCUCAUACUCUCUAUAGAAACUAUUGGGUUUUGUCCUUGUGGCCAUCCUUCCAACAUGGAAGGGAGUUUCAGGCGUGGGUUUCGACUCCCAUACUUUGUAAGGAAGCAGGACAAAAGUUUAAGAGUGAGAAUUAAAGUAAGAAUAAAGUAUGACUGACAAAAAAAAAAAACAACUAUCUAUAGAGCUUCACCUUAUUUAUUGUUCUUGGGUUAUGGAUACCUGAGUGUAUGACUUAUAUAAUUAUUGUUUCCUUUGCAGACUGCAAAAGCUAGAGGGACGGCAAUUCAAUCGUUACUACAGUUAGUUGGUGGGCUGCAACUUCUUGUUGCUUGGGUUUAGGCCCUUUAUGUCUUUGUUUCAGAUAAUCUUUUGAGUUUGACAGUCUCUAAUUUUGGUAAACGUUGCCUUACAACAGAUUGACAAGGCCACGCGUGAUCAAACUAGAGAUUCUCUUCACAAGCGUCAAGCUGAUGAAAGUGAUGAUGAGGACGAAGACAUCGAUCCUGUCUUUUACAGGGAUGUGGAUGAAUAUGGACAAACUAGCGAUGAUACUGAUGUUGAGUAGAAGCUCUAAAUCUUAAGAGUUAGUCAUUCUUGCUGGUGUUAAAUUUGAUUUGCCGCGUUGCAUCUUCAUAAAACUGUGGAUUGUUGGGGUAAUUAGUGGGUAAAGAACAGGGGAAGUGAAAGACUGUAAGACUUUUUCUCUGGUUACAUUUUCAGGUUAAAGUCUCAUAUUUCACCGCAAGAACUGAGUUCCAUAAAGCAACUUGUAUAUAGUCUAUUUUGCAGUUUCGAUUAAGAACCAGUUAAACGCGAACAGCUCUAGUUUAUAUACGCAAUUUACUGGAAGUUCUACUGCUGAUCAUGAUCAAGAGUUCCCAUGUGCUAAUUCUGGCUUUUAAUUUUCCAUGCUCAUUGCAAGUAGCCUUUAUCUUCUAAACAUCAGUUUGAGUUGGAUUUGUUUUUGCUGCUUUGUAGUGUGAAACUUGCUCAUGAUGGAGAUGUUCGCUUGGGGCAACUCACUGGUCAAGUUGCAGCUGCCCCAGGAGAAAUUCAGACAUAUGCUGCCGAUUUCGUGCCCUCCACAAAUUUUCUGAUCCCGACCACGUGUGCUGGUCCCAGGCAAUCACCAUGACGACAGAGACCACCAUAGACUAGCUGUCGUGGUAGUGGUUAUUGCCUUACAGUGGAUUAUGCAUCUCUAUUUAUACUUUCCCGAAAAUUAUUUCUUCAAUUAUUCAAUCAUAUCAUCCAUCUAUCAGACACUCUAUUGAUUGUUUAUCUCUGUCUGUUCUUGUCUCCGGUGUUUUCUCAUACAAGGAAUAUGAUAUAAAAAAUCUGCAGGACUUCUUGUUCGAUCUUAAGACUUCAUUUCUUAGUGCCCAAAUGCAGCAUAAGAGUAGAACAUGACAUUUUACCCUCCACGAGUUGACAGAGUACAUGUGACAUUCUUUAGAUAUAAUUCCAAAAUCUGAGACUCGGAAACUUUAGAUGACCAUCUUACUGAACUGGGAUGCUUUAGAUGUCCUCACACCGCGUGGCAACCUAAAAACCAUUUUAGCAUUUUGAUAUCAUCUGCUGUAUGCUGGAUAUGAUUAUCAAAGGUUCUAAACCCAGUCAUCAUGUGAAGUGAAGUCAGCUAAAGCCAAGAGGCUGCUUUUGAGACAUCUGAUAACGUUAAAAUGAUGCGGCAGUUUUGCACAGAAAAAGUGGAAUAUGAUGAUUGAAUUCCGAGUUCGUUUGUGUAAGAGAACAAACAACGAAAGGCAAAGGGAGUUCAAAAGGAGAAGCGAAAAUGGUUGCUGUAUUCGGUUUUAAAUUAUUCGUUCGAUUUUGCAGGGCUUCAAUACGUCCCGAUCCAAAUUAAGCUGUAUGUAUCGUGAAACUCAAAGGGGGGCACACGCAACUAUCGAAACCAAAAGGAAAAAAAGAAAAAGAAAGAAAGCAGGGGCCGCACGCUACGAUAAUCACUCAAUCGAGGACCACAUCGGACCAAAGUUUAUUCGGACAACACUUCAUACGGGCUUGCGAAGGAAGCAAGUAGAGCAAUUUUACGAGACAUUUCCCAGAACCACCAUCAUAUUCACGAAACCACGUAUCGCCUUGGUGGAAAGCUUGCAGGAUCAGGACUCCUGGAUGGACAGACCCAGUCCGGAAAUUCCAGACUGGGAUAAUCCAGGAUGGCCUUGAACAUCACGGACGCCUUCUCUCUCAUGGCCCCGAUCAUCUCCUCCUCGGUGAUAUCCCCUUGGCCGACGGUGAAGUACCUGCCCGCGUACUUACAGACCGAGCCACCUUCCAGGGGCAACGCAACGAUCUUCACCUCAUGGCCGGUUUCCUUGGAGAUUCUGCCCUUCUCAUCACGAUCGACGGUCGAAUGGCUGUAGACGAAGGGCUCCUGGUCCGGCGCUUUAACCGUGUGCCUCACCGUCCUGCGCUGUCUGCCUAUAAAAGUAACCAAAGUGACAUUUGCGCUAAUCCGUUGUAUGAGUUUAUUUGUACCGAGGGUUCAAAUCCCUCUCUUUCCAUUUCCCUUAAUGACUCGUUAUUUUAUUUAUAUUUAUUUUCAAAACUUUUCUUUGUUUUUGUUUUUGUUUUUUUAUUUUAUUUCAUAUAGUAAAUAAGGAUGUACAGUAGAUAAAAUCCUAAGUAAGUUAAUUGAAAAAUUAUGCCAAAAAAAAAGAAAGCCUUUUUAUAUUUCGUGUCUAGGAUUACCUCCUGGAUCAUUGGAUAGGAAUCCAAAAAUGAAAGAGAGUGUAAACAAAGAGCUUGCAAAUAAACAUUACACAAUCUCCACUCUUUUUUUAUUUUUUUAUUUUUUUAUUUCAACAUCAUGAGCACCAAAUCUCAAUGUUGUUGAUCAGGGCAUCUAUGCCCAAUUAUAAUCGUAAUGCAAUAUGAUUGAUAUGUGAUUUUAAUGGUAAGGAACAUUUCAAUUGAUCCAGUACCUUCGAUAGAGAUCGUCUCCUGGAUGUCGGCAUUUUUUAUGGUUGGUAGGAGGGUGUGGGGGAAGAAGCCCUUGGCUUCAAGAAAAGCCUCGACCAACUUGGCCUUAGGGAUCGGGUGUGUGAUCUCAGCCUUGAGAGUAACUUCUACCAUCGAUUGAAUCCAAAUAGAAUUUGUUGAACUGAAAAGGGUAUAAAAAUCUCAAAAGAAAGAAAGAAAGGAAUGAAGAGAAGGAGCUUUGAAUUGAGGCGAAGUAAAAGGUCGAUAUUUAUAGCGAUAGGAAAAGGGAUAAUUAUACAAAUGAUCCCACAACUUUGAUCCAAUGUCUAACGUGGUUCCUAAACUUUUAAUUUAUUCAAUGUAGUCCUUAGAGUUUUCAUAAAUAUUUAAAAUAGUCCAUGAAUUGUUUGAAAAUGUUUAAUGUAGUCCUUCAUUAAUUUAAGAUCAGAGACACCGUUGAAUAUUUUCAUAUAAUUCAGUGGCUAAUUGAAUAUGUACCAAAAGUCCAAAAACUAUAUUGCACAUUGGGUUAAAAUUCAUUGAUCAUUCGUGUCAUUUAUACGAACAUCAACCUUCCAAAAAAUUGCCAUGGAGUAACUUCCGCUUAAUUGCAUGUAGUAGAAAAGCAAAUUAUUUGUUUUCCUUGAAAGCAUCUCUCCUCUCAUAAAAAGUUGAACCCCUCAAAACCCAAUAAAUUAUCCAUACGACAGAUGAUUAACUUUAGGAUUGAAUUUAAUUUAAUUAUCUCCCUUCUUUUGCCAAAACAGCAUAAAGCUUAUGCAACCCAUUUUUUUUUUUUAAAUAACAUAAAAUUGAGGGAAGCUUUGGUCAUUUUCCUUGAAAGUAUCUCUCCUUUGUUCAGCCUCUAACCCUUUGCCAGAAAAUAUUGACUGGUCUGCACGUUAUUGUCGUGAUAUUAUCUUGCUCCUAGUUUUGUCUAGUCAUCAAAAGCAAAUUGACAACUAUAAUGGGUCCCUUGUUUCUGAUCGGGAAUUAUCUCAAGACAAAUCCAUUCUCCUCGGCCAAAAGAUUAAUUAACCAGUUGCAUGAAAUGAUUCCAUGAGUUUAUUGCAAUGUAAGCAUCUAUAUGUCAGCUUCCUGAGGUAAGCAAGAGCUUACUCCAUGCUUUUCUUGAUCAAAGGUUAGCCUAUCUCUUGUUUCUUAUUCAAGUGCUUUUCUUAAAUAGGAGUUUUGUUUAUUCAAGUUUAGAAUCACUGUGGUUGAGUGUCUUUUCUAUUCGAAUCGCUGACCAUAUCAUCAGAAAGCUAUUCCCCAAGUCUGAAUUUAGAAUCACCAAAUUGGACCCCACAAUGCAAGUUAGGAGAAAUUUCUACAGUUUCAUGAAUACAUUAUUUUCUAUGUACUUCUGUUGAAUGCUAAAAUCAAUGUAAGCAACAAGGGUAAUUGGGGUUGUGUCAUAACAUAUACAUUUCUCGUAAAUGUCUAAUAUUGUUGUGAUAUUAAUGCGGAAACGAUAGGAUCUAUCGCAAAUGAAGUCAAUGUGAAAUAAUCAAAGAAAUAAGGGAGGAAUAAUAGAUCACCAGGCUUUACCAAAAAAUAAAAUAAUAGAUUACCAAAUAUUUAUGUGGUUUGGUCCAAGUAUCGAUACCUACAUACACGGAUAGAGUAACAAAUAAACCACUACAAUCGGAAAAUCAAAUUUACAAUCGCCCACAUAUUCCAGUGUUUCCCAUACCUAAAUUUAAGCCCAAAUCCAAAAUGUAUGCAAAUAAAUAUUCAUUUAGACAUAAACUCACCACAAGAAAUUACUGUAUAUUCACGUCCGUGCGGCCGAGAGACAACUCCUUCGUGCGUCCAAGAAGUCCUCUGAUCGGCUUCUUGAAUUUUCUCUGUGCAGCGUCUAUACCACCCACGAAAACCCCCUGGCGGCUAUUUCUUGCGCGGCUCUUUUUUGCUCACGUAAAAUCCUUAAUUUUCUUUUAUUUUAUUUCAUUUUGUGCAGCUACAAGGAGUCCAAUGAAUUACUCCUUUUUUGACCGACCAAUCACAGGAUUAGGAUUUGAAGAAGACGUCCACUGUACGGACCUAAAGCGGAUUUCCUUUCUUGUGCUAUUUCCUUCAACAAAAAAGAUAUAUUCACGAUUAAAUAUGAAAAACUUAUCCAAAUAGUUCAAAUAUGAAAAAACUCCUCCAAGUAGGUCAUAUUUAGCAAUCGCUCAAACUUGAUUCAUAAUUUAACAAAUAUGAUGAAAUUAUUUCCGAAUUCACACACUUUUAAUUUUGAAAUCUAAAAAAGAAAAAUAUCUAUUGCUAAUGCAAACUAUGAUCAUAAAUAUCUUAUAUCGCCCUUAUACAUGUCGAUUUCAUUGAAUUGUAAAGUAGUAUGAGGGAAAGGGGUAAUUAUGGCUAGAGAUCUGUAGAGUUCUGUAAUCUUUGGUUCUAAGAAAAAUCCUAUCCAUCUUUUCUCUAGGUGUAGGUUGCAUGAACAAUAGCCUUUAAGAAUUGCAUUGGUUUCUUUUUUGCUUCAUCUAAAUUAUUUUACUUCUCAUACUCUCUAUAGAAACCAGUGGGGUUUGCCCCUAUGGCCAUUCUUCCAAUAUGGAAGGAAGAGGUGGAGGUUGGAGUGGGGACAAUUUAGUUUCAAGUGAGGGUUUCGACUCCCAUGCCUUGUAAGGAAACAAGGCAAAAGUUUGAUAAUGAGAAUUAAAGUAGGAAUAGAGUAUGGCCGACAAAAAAAAAAAAAAAAACUAUCUAUAGAGCUUCACCUUAUUUAUUGUUCUUGGGUUAUGGUUGCCUGAUGGUAUGAUUUAUAUAAUUGUUGUUUCCUUUGCAGACUGCAAAAGCUAGAGGGACGGCCAUUCAAUCGUUACUGCGGUUAGUUGGUCGGCUACAGCUUCUUGUCGCUCAGGUUUAGUCCCUUUAUAUCUUUGCUUCAGAUAAUCUUUUGGCUUGAGAGUCUCUAGUUUUGGUAAACUUUGUCUUACAACAGAUUGACAAGGCCACGCGUGAUCAAACUAGAGAUUCUCUUCACAAGCGUCAAGCUGAUGAAAGUGAUGAUGAGGACGAAGACAUCGAUCCCGUCUUUUACAGGGAUGAGGAUGAAUAUGGACAAACUAGCGAUGAUACAGAUGUUGUGUAGAAGCUCUAAAUCUUAAGAGGUAGUCAUUCUUGCUGGUGUUAAAUUUGAUUUGCAGCGUUGCAUCUUCAUAAAUUGUGGAUCGUUAGGGUAAUUAGGCUGCGUUUGUUUUUAUUUCUUUUUUCUGUUUUUCAACAACUUUUUUGUUUUUUUGUUCCUGGGAACAAAAAAUGAACAAAAACUUGUUUGUUUGCGUUUUUCUUUCAAAACUAUUUUUUUGUUCCCAGAAACACAUUUGGAACAGAAAUAAGAAACAAAAAAAAAAGUUGUUUCUUGUUUCUGAAACAAAAUUUAUAAACACUUCUCUCUUUUUCCUUUUUCUUUUCUUCUUCUUUUUUCUUUCUUUUUUCUUUGGCCGGUCCCCGGCCUCAGCCAUGGCCGGCGACCGGCCGUCGAGGGUCGGCGACGCCAUUGAGGGCCGACGACCUUGCCGGAGCGUCAUUGGCCCCCGACGAGGCCAAUCGUCGCCGACCCCUGGUGAGGCCGACCUCGCGCUAAGCUGGGCGAGCUUGAUCUCGCCCAGAUCCGAUGAGGCCGACCUCGCCCAGCUACGGCGAGCCUCAUCAUGGCUAGGCGAGGCCACCGGCCCUCAUCGGCCGGUCGCCGGCCAUGGCUGAGGCCAGUGACCGGCCAAAAGAAGAAAAAUGAAAAAAUGAAAAAGAAAAAAGGAAAAAUAAAUAAGAAAAUAAGAAAAAUAAGAAAGAAAAUAGAAAAAAUAAAAUAAAAUAUUAAAAAAUUAAAAAAAAUAAAAAAAAAUUAUACAAAUUUACCAAACGUGUUUCUGUUCAUUUUUUAUUCCCGGAACAAGUUUACCAAACGCAUUUUUUUGUUCAAAAAUUGUUUCUCGAAACAUAAACAUUUUUUUCUAUUUCUGUUUCCUGAAACAAUUUUUAAAUAGAAACGUUACCAAACGCACUCUUAGUGAAUAAAGAACAGGUGAAGUGAAAGACUAUAAGACUUUUUCUCUGAUUACAUUUUCAGGUUAAAGUCUUAUAUUUCACCGCGAGAACUGAGUUCCAUAAAGCAUCUUGUAUAUAGUCUAUUUUGCAGUUUCUAUUAAGAACCAGUUAAACGAGAACAGAUCUAGUUUAUAUACGCAAUUUACUGGGAGUUCUACUGCUGAUCAUGAUCAAGAGUUCCCAUGUGCUAAUUCUGGCUUUUAAUUUUCCAUGCUCAUCGCAAGUAGCCUUUAUCCUCUAAACGUCAGUUUGAGUUGGAUUUGUUUUUGCUGCUUUGGAGUUUGAAACUUGCUCAUGAUGGGGAUGCUCGCUUGGGGCAACUCACUGCUCAAGUUGCAGCUGCCCCAGGAGAAAUUCUGACAUACGCUGCCGAUUUCGUGCCCUCCACAAAUUUUCUGAUCCCGACCACGUGUGCUGGUCCCAGGCAAUCACCAUGACGACAGAGACCCCCAUAGACUAGCCAUCGUGGUAGUGGUUAUUGCCUUACAGUGGAUUAUGGCAUCUCUAUUUGUACUUUCCUGAAAAUUAUUUCUUCAAGUAUUCAAUCAUAUCAUCAGUCUAUCAGACACACUAUUGAUUGUUUAUCUCUACCUGUCCUUUCUCUGGUGUUUUCUCAUACAAGGAUUAUGAUAUAAAAAAUCUGCAGGACUUCUCGUUCGAUCUUAACGUAUGCUUUUCGACUUCAUUUCUUAGUGCCCAAAUGCAGCAUAAGAGUAGAACAUGACAUUUUACCCUCCACGAGUCGACAGAGUACAUGUGACAUUCUUUAGAUAUAAUUUCAAAAUCUGAGACUCCGAAACUUUAGAUGACCAUCUUAUUGACCUGGGAUGCUUUAGAUGUCCUCACCGCAUGGCAACCUAAAAACCAUUUUGGCAUUUUGAUAUCAUCUGCUGUUUGCUGGAUAUGAUUAUCAAAGGUUCUAAACCCAGUCAUUAUGUGGAGUGACGUCAGCUAAAGCCAAGAGGCUGCUUUUGAGACUUCUGAUAACGUUAAAAUGAUGCGGCAGUUUUGCACAGAAAAAGUGGAAUAUGAUGAUUGAAUUCCGAGUUCGUUUGUGUCAGAGAACAAACAACGAAAGGCAAAGGGAGUUCAAAAGGAGAAGCGAAAAUGGUUGCUGUAUUCGGUUUUAAAUUAUUCGUUCGAUUUUGCAGGGCUUCAAUACGUACCGAUCCAAAUUAAGCUGUAUGUAUCGUGAAACUCAAAGGGGGGCACACGCAACUAUCGAAACCAAAAGGAAAAAAAGAAAAAGAAAGAAAGCAGGGGCCGCACGCUACGAUAAUCACUCAAUCGAGGACCACAUCGGACCAAAGUUUAUUCGGACAACACUUCUUAUGGGCUUGCGAAGGAAGCAAGUAGAGCAAUUUUAUGAGACAUUUCCCAGAACCACCAUCAUAUUCACGAAACCCCAUAUCGCCCUGGCGGAGCGCUUGCUAGUUGCAAUAGUAUGGAUUCCAGACUGGGUUUCAUGGAUUUCGCCUCCGGAUAAUCUAGGAUGGCCUUGAACAUCACGGACGCCUUCUCUCUCAUGGGCCUGAUCAUCUCCUCCUCGGUGAUAUCCCCUUGGCCGACGGUGAAGCACCUGCCCGCGUACUUACAGACCGAGCCACCCUCCAGGGGCAACGCAACGAUCUUCACCUCAUGGCUGGUUUCCUUGGAGAUUCUGCCCUGCUCAUCACGAUCGACGGUCGAGUGGUUGUAGACGAAGGGCUCCUGGUCCGGCGCUUUAACCGUGUGUCUCACCGUCCUGCGCUGUCUGCCUAUAAAAGUAACCGAAGUGACAUUUACGCUAAUCCGUUGUAUGAGUUUAUUCGUACCAAGGGUUCGAAUCCCUCUCUUUCCAUUUCCCUCAAUGACUCGUUAUUUUAUUUACAUUUAUUUUCAAAACUUUUCUUUGCUUUUUUUUUCAUAUAGUAAAUAAGGAUGUACAAUAGAUAAAAUCCUAAGUGCAUUGAAAAAUUAUGCCAGAAAAAAGAAAAGCCUUUUUAUUUUUCGUGUCUAGGAUUACCUCCCGGAUCAUUGGAUAGGAAUCCAAAAAUGAAGAGAGUGUAAACAAAGAGCUUGAAAAUAAACAUUACACAAUCUCCGCUCUUUUUUUUCUCAACAUCAUGAGCACCAAUCUUAGUGUUGUUGAUUAGGGCAUCUGGGGAUCACGCCCAAUUAUAAUCGUAAUGCAAUAUGAUUGAUAUGUGAUUUAAAUGGUAAGGAACAUUUCAAUUUACCCAGUACCUUCGACAGAGAUCAUCUCUUGGAUGUCGGCAUUUUUUAUGGCUGGUAGGAGGGUGUGGGGGAAGAAGCCCUUGGCUUCGAGAAAAGCCUCGACCAACCUGGCCUUAGGGAUCGGGUGCGUGAUCUCGGCCUUGAAAGUAACUUCUACCAUCGAUUGAAUCCGAAUAGAAUUUGCCGAACUGAAAAGGGUAUAAAAAUCUCAAAAGAAAGAAAGAAAGGAAUGAAGAGAAGGAGCUUUGAAUUGAGGUGAAGUAAAAGGUUGAUAUUUAUAGUCAUAAGAAAAAGGAUAAUUAUACAAAUGAUCCUACAACUUUGAUCCAAUGUGUAAUGUGGUCCAUAAACUUUUAAUUUGUUUAAUGUAAUCCUUGAAUUUUUGGUAAAUGUUCAAUAUAGUCCAAAAACUAUUUGAAAAUGUUUAAUUUAGUCCUUCAUUAAUUCAAGAUUAGAGACACCGUUGAAUAUUUUCAUAUAAUUUAGGGACUAAUUGAACAUGUACCAAAAGUCCAAAAAUCAAAUUGCACAUUCAGUUAAAGUUUAUAAAUAAUUUAUGUCAUUUUUUAGUAUGGACAUCAAUCUUCCAAAAAUUUCACUAUAGAGUAAUUUCUACUUAAUUGCAUGUAGUAGAAAAGCAAAUUAUUUCAUUUUCCUAGAAAGCAUCUCUCCUCCCAUAAAAAGUUGAACCCCUCAAAACCCAAUAAAUUACCCAUAUGACAAAUGACUAACUUUAGGAUUGAAUUUAAUUUAAUUAUCUCCCUUCUUUUGCUAAAACAACAUAAAGCUUCGGCGACCCAAUUUUUUUUAUUUUUUUAUUUUGAUAUUUAACUUUGUCUCCAUGGACUCUGGAGAGAGGGAGGGAAGCUUUGGCCAUUCUCCUUAAAAGCAUCUCUCCUUUGUUCAGCCCCUAACCCUUUGCCAGAAAAUUUUGACUUGUCUGCAUGUUAUUGUUAUGAUAUUAUCUUGUUUCUAGUUUUGUCUAGUUAUCGAAAGCAAAUUGACAACUAUGAUGGGUCCCCUUGUUUCUGACCAGGAAUUAUCCCAAGACAAAUCCUUUCUCCUCAGCCAAAAGGAUAAUUAAUCAGAUGCAUGAAAUGAUUCCAUGAGUAUGUUGCAAUGUAAGCAUCUAUAUGUCAGUAAGCAUCUAUAUGUCAGCUUCCUGAGGUAAGCAAGAGCUUACUCCAUGCUUUUCUUGAUCAAAGGUUAGCCUAUCUCUUGUUUCUUAUUCAAGUGCCUUUCUUAGAAUAGGAUUUUUGUUUAUUCGAGUUUAGAAUCAUUGUGGUUGAGUGUCUUUUCUAUUUGAAUCGUUGACAAUUUCAUUGGAAAGUUACUCCACAAGUUUGAACUCAUAACCACAAAAUUGGACCCCACAAUCUGGGUUAGUAUAAAUUUAUACAGUUUCAUGAAUACAUUAUUUUAUACGUACUUUUGUUGAAUGCUCAAACCACUGUAAGCAACGAGGGUAAUUGGGAUUGUGUCAUAAUAUAUACAUUUCUCAUAAAUGUCUAAUACUGUUGUGAUAUUAACGUGGAAACGAUCGGAUCUCGCAAAUUAAGUCAAUGUGAAAAAAAAUAAGAGAAAUAAACAAGAAAUAAUAGAACACCAAAGAUUUACGUGAUUUUGAUCCGAGUAUUGAUACCUAUAUGCAUAAAGAGAGCCAGUAGCAAAUAAUUCACUACAAUCGGAGAAUUAAAUUUAUAAUCACUCACACGUUCAAGUGUUUUUCACACCUAAAUUUAAGCUCAAAAUCAAAGUGUUUAUAAAUAAGUACUCGAUUAAAUGUAAAACUCACAGCAUGAUAUCACUGUAUAGUCACAUUGCUGCGGCCGAUAGACAACUCCUUCGUGUGUCCAAGAAGUGUUUAUACCUAUAUGCAUAAAGAGAGCCAGUAGCAAAUAAUUCACUACAAUCGGAGAAUUAAAUUUAUAAUCACUCACACGUUCAAGUGUUUUUCACACCUAAAUUUAAGCUCAAAAUCAAAGUGUUUAUAAAUAAGUACUCGAUUAAAUGUAAAACUCACAGCAUGAUAUCACUGUAUAGUCACAUUGCUGCGGCCGAUAGACAACUCCUUCGUGUGUCCAAGAAGUCCUAUGAUCGGCUUCUUGAAUCUUCUCUGUGCAACGUCCAUACCACCCACGAAGAACCCCCUGGCGGCUAUUUCUUGUGCGGCUCUUUUUCACUCAAGAAAAAUCCUUGAUUUUCUUUUAUUUUGGGCGCAUUUGGUAACGUUUUUGUUCAAAAAUUGUUCCAAGGAACAAAAAAAAAAAAAGUGUUUCUGUUCCGGGGAACAGUUUUUGAACAAAAGAACGCAUUUGGUAAGUGUAAAAAAAAAACUGUUCUUGAAAUAAAAAAAAGAACAGAAACACGUUUGGUAACUGCAGUCAAUUUCUGUUCCUAGAAUAUAAAAAGAAUAGAAACACAUUUGGUAAACUGUACAAAAUUUCUGUUUUAAAUUUUUAAAAAGAAAAUGUUUUUUUUUUAAUAAAGUUUAAACUUGAUAUUGAAUUCUCAUCUCAUGAAAUGCUUAUUAAUUUUAUUUUGUUCAUGGUGAGUGAAGACAAACAUUUUGAACAUGAUCAUAUGGCAUACUUUGUAGAAAAUUUUGUAAGUAAAGUUUGUACCAAAUUUUUUUCAAGUACUUUUUUUACUUUUUAUUUUUAUAACAUAUAAACUUGAUAUUGAAUUCUCAUUCUCAUGAAAUGACGGUGAGGGCGGUGAUCAAGGUGGUGAGGGCGCAGAUGAGCCUGGCACUCAAGGAGGCCAAGGAGCUGAUCGAGGGGCUGCUGAAGAAGUUCAAGGAGGGGGUGUCCAAGGACGAGGCGGAGGACGCGAAGAAGCAGCUCGAGGAGGCCGAUGCGAAGGUCGCCAUUGUUUAGGGAAGGACCCAAUUCGAGGCAAUUGAUACAGAGCCAAUAAGAAGUGAUGGUCUUUUAGGGUUUAAAUCGAAGUGUGAUUUGGUGAGAGGGUUUAGUGUAGUUAUCGUGGGAAGGAAAUGGUUGUUCAUGGGGGGCCUGAGCUGAUGUUGUAUUUGCAUUUGUAAUGAGGAAUUUGACUUGUGCGAAUCUCCAAAUUCUUUUCUUGUUUCUCCGUUCGUUUCGAUCGAUCUUUUUGGGCUUCUUUUUGUUUGGGAUUUCUUUCGAUGCAAUACACAAGACAACAACAUUUGAUUUGACAAAAUUGUAGAGGAAUUGAUCAAUCAAAAAUCACAGAAAAUGAAGUUCAGGAUUCAAGUGCCAACAGCCAUACACGAACGACACAUGAUUUGCAAACUCAGAUACAUCCUUGAUUCAUGGCCCAAAGUCUCUAGCUGAGAAUCAACGACCAAUCUAUUAACAUGAUAAAAUUGGUCAUCCACGAAAUGGAAAUCAAUCAGUCGUCGACAGGGUCCUGAGGAGCUUCAUCUGCGGGCCUUUUGAUGGUUUUGACAGGGCAUUCAGCAUGCUUCACGCAAAAUUCACUAACGGUGCCGACAAAUACCCUGUGAUGUUAUGUGCAUGACAAGAUCACGCAAUGAGGUGUUUCCAGAAAUACGCAUGACAUUAACUAACUCUAAACAGACGAUAGAGAUGUAUCGACAUGCAAGAUGUGACAACUAGUAAGAGAACUUCCACUCAGCCAGCAAGUCAAUGAUGAGGUCAUGAGAGGAAGAUCAAGCUGUCUUGAAGCCUAUGGGGACUCCACAGGGGCAGGCUCUCGAUUUAUGGGAUGUUCAGCUGAAAGCAGAAUCCAGAAAAGAGCUCAAUAUCCUUUGGAAAGGGCCAAGACCCCUGCUUCCCACAACAAGUAAAUCAGGCCUAACUCGCUUCACCUCAUGACAGAUGACCUCUUUUGGAUCUCCUUUCUUGAUCCAUGCUUCACAUUGUACCUAACAUGAACACAUCAUAAGGAAAUGGCGAAUAUUAUUGUUGGCAAAGUUUAUUUAGGAAAAAGAGAGGAGAAAAAUCUCCAAUACCCCGAUUUCAUGACAUCUCUUGACAAAGCACUCCAGUAGAUGAAUUCCUCUUGCCUUGUCCCUCUGUUUCAAGCUCUUAAAAUCAUCCGGAGAUGCAUAUACACUAUCCAUGUCAUCAAAACCUAUGGCAAAGGCAAAGUGAGGCCAUAUAUCAGUGAGGAUGCAGGAUUUCCCCAAACAAUUCGCCUGGGCAACAAGAAUUGCUUAAUCAAAAGGCACGAUUGACUUAUUGCCAUACAUAUAUAAAUGCCACACCCAGAGUCUAACAAGCAAAACCCCACAUUGAUCUUUCUAUGAAGUACUUCUUAUGGAAAUGAUUACAAAACCUGUUGGUUGGGAAUGAUCUCAUUUAUCUAAUCGCUCAGCAUUCUAAAGGCAGAUAAUACUCUCCAAAACCAAUAUGCAAGAAUUCUGAGCCUGGACACCCGGUUCAGCUUCACUCUCAGAGAACAUAUGUGAUCAAAUGUUUCGAGGGCUUUCCCUUUGAGGCCUAGAAUUAAUAACUCAAGUUUCACAUUCUGUAAAUUAAAACUGCAGAGCUAAAUACAACGGCUCAUGCCUCAAGUCUCUUUCUUCUUUUUACAGAAUAAGAGAUGGGAGAGACACAUACAGAUGACUAUGCACUUCUACCGUGUUUUUGGUCACAACAUGACACAUAUCACAAUAAAUCAGUCAGAGCAUUCCAUCGAAAUCUAAAGAAGGAUGAAGUGCCAUGUACAACAUGCUGCAUCUCUCUCAUUCAGCAUGGGCUUCUUCCUAAACACCAAAAUCCCACCCCUCCAUUCGGGAACUUCUUUAAGUAAGAGAGUAGCUUUGAUGACAAGCAGUGACAACAGAUCUGAAGAUCCAGGUCAUCCCUCUCCCUUCCUGCAACUCAUCCUCUCCAGGCUAUUCAAACACAAGGCUUGGUUAAUUAAAGAAGAGGCGUAUUCUCAAGCACCUCAACUUCUUUUUGUGCAGGGGAAAGAGAGAAGAUCAAUCACCAUUGCUGAUUUACUACGACAACAGAACUAGAACAAGAUUUUCAAGCGGCUGCAAAAUAUCCAAGGUCUACAGUUGCUGAAACUCGGACUAGGAAAAGGGGAGAGUACCUAAAUUACCAUAUACAACAUGCGCAACAUAUUCAGUCCUCUUCCAUUUCCCGAGUUCUUUUACAACACUGCCUAGUUCUAAUCGAUUUGAUCGUUCUCAAACUCUUCUCCACAUCUUCCUGCCAUCCACAGCAUCGAUUUUCCGCCGAUCACACUGCCAACGAUAGGUACGCCAAAAACCUCUCAAUGCACACAAAAACCGAGAGAGAGAGCAUCCACAUUCAGUUCUCACACAAAACUAAUCAACCAACAGGCCACUGAUUCGGUUAUCGUCGGACGGUGAAAACCGCGCGAAUAUCUAUUCCUGACGCGAAUGCGACACGAAACCGACCGUACAUCGAUACUAACAGGAAUGCUCGGUGCCUAUCGACGAAACUAACACCGAUCACAUCUCCUCCGAUCGAACCAAAACAAGAAGCGCAAACGCAAAAGCUAGAGAGAGAGAGAGAGAGAGAGAGAGAGAGAGAGAGAGAGAGAGAGAGAGAGGACCGUCUUCGUCGGGGGCCUGGACGUGGAGGAAGAGGAGCUUGAAGCCGGAGGUGUUGGAGCGGACGAUCUCUGGAGAGUCCACUCGAACGCUCCCCGACUGCUUAUCGACGCGUGCGGGUACCCCUUGAUCGUCGAUUCGUUCACUCCCAUCAUCACCCUCGUCGGCUCCCCUUCCAUCUCUCUCUCUCUCUCUCUCUCUCUCUCUCUCUCUCUCUCUCUCUCUGCGCGCGAUGAUCGAUCUUCGUCUUCUCCAGUCGGUGCUAGAAGCUACGCCCGCGUCUGGCUCUGAUAUUUUCUUUUAUUUCCAGUCGGAGAGUCAGCAGAGUGGGGAGUCGCCAGAGAGUCAGCCGAGGGGGAGGCCCCGGAGAGUCAGCCGGUGGUGAACGGAGAAGGGCAUGAACACGAACGAACGGAGAAGGGCACGAUCAAAGGGAGAAGUGUUUCGUUUUUGUUCUUUUAUUUUUGUUCUUUUUAGCCCAUCAAGAAGUGUUUCUGGAUUUCAGAAAUAAGUUUUGUUUCUUUUUUCUGUUCCAAUUUUGUUCUGGGAACAAAUAAACAAAAAAUCUGUUCCAGAACAGAUUUGAGGAACGAAAACAUGCAGGGCCAUUUCCUUUUGUGCAGCUACAAGGAGUCCAAUGAAUCACUCCUUUGUUGACCGACCAAUCACACACUGUACGGACCUAAAGCGGAUUUUCUUUCUUGUGCUAUUUUCUUCGACAGAAAAAGAUAUCUUCACCAUUAAAUAUGAAUAACUUAUCAAAACGGUUCAAACAUAGAAAAACUUAUCCAAGUAGGUCGCAUUUAGAAAAUGCUCAAACUCGAGACAUAAUUUAAGAAAUACAAUGAAAUUAUUUUUCGAGUUUAGAUGCUUCUAAGUUAGAAAUCUUAAAAAAAAGAAAAUAAGAUAACUACUGCUGAUGCAAACUUUGCUUAUAAAUAUCUUAUGUCGCCCUUAUACACGUCUAAUUCAUUGAAUCCUAAAAGUGGUAUGAGGGAAAGGGGUAAUUAUGGCUAGAGAUCUGAAGAGUUUUGUAAUCUCUGGUUCUAGGAAAAAUCCUGUCCAUCUUUUCUCUAGGUGGAGGUUGCAUGAACAAUUGCCUGAAAGAAUUGCAUUGGUUUCUUUUUUGCUUCAUCUAAGUUAUUUUACUUCUCAGACUCUCCAUAGAGCUUCACGUUAUUUAUUGUUCUUGGGUUAUGGUUGCCUGAGGGUAUGAUUUACAUAAUUAUUGUUUCCUUUGCAGACUGCAAAAGCUAGAGGGACGGAAAUUCAAUCGUUACUGCAGUUAGUUGGUGGGCUGCAACUUCUUGUUGCUCAGCUUUAGGUGAAAGAAUGGAUCUUCCAACAUUAGGCCCUUUAUGUCUUUGCUUCAGAUAAUCUUUUGAGUUUGACAGUCUCCAGUUUUGGUAAACAUGGCCUUACAACAGAUUGACAAGGCCAUGCGUGAUCAAACUAGAGAUUCUCUUCGCAAGCGUCAAGCUGAUGAAAGUGAUGAUGAGGACGAAGACAUCGAUUCCGUCUUUUACAGGGAUGAGGAUGAAUAUGGACAAACUAGCGAUGAUACUGAUGUUGAGUAGAAGCUCUAAAUCUUAAGAGGUAGUCAUUCUUGCUGGUGUUAAAUUUGAUUUGCCGCAUUGCAUCUUCAUAAACUGUGGAUUGUUGGGGUAAUUAGUGGGUGAAGAACAGGUGAACUGAAAGACUGUUAAGACUUUUUCACUGAUUACAUUUUCAGGUUAAAGUCUUAUAUUUCACCGUGAGAACUGAGUUCCAUAAAGCAUCUUGUAUAUAGUCUAUUUUGCAGUUUUGAUUAAGAACCAGUUAAAUGCGAACAGAUCUAGUUUAUAUACGAAAUUUACUGGAAGUUCUACUGCUGAUCAUGAUCAAGAGUUCCCAUGUGCUAAUUCUGGCUUUUAAUUUUCCAUGCUCAUCGCAAGUAGCCUUUAUCCUCUAAACGUCAGUUUGAGUUGGAUUUGUUUUUGCUGCUUUGUAGUGUGAAACUUGCUCAUGAUGGAGAUGCUCGCUUGGGGCAACUCACUGCUCAAGUUGCAGCUGCCCCAGGAGAAAUUCAGACAUAUGCUGCCGAUUUCGUGCCCUCCACAAAUUUUCUGAUCCCGACCACGUGUGCUGGUCCCAGGCAAUCACCAUGACGACAGAGACCACCAUAGACUAGCCGUCGUGGGUAGUGGUUAUUGCCUUACAGUGGAUUACGGCAUCUCUAUUUAUACUUUCUUGAAAAUUAUUUCUUCCAUUAUUCAAUCAUAUCAUCCGUCUAUCAGACACUCUAUUGAUUGUUUAUCUCUAUCUUUCCUUGUCUCCGGUGUUUUCUCAUACAAGGAAUAUGAUAUAAAAAAUCUGCAGGACUUCUUGUUCAAUUUUAAGACUUCAUUUCUUUGUGCCCAAAUGCAGCAUAAGAGUAGAACAUGACAUUUUACCCUCCCCGAGUCGACAGAGUACAUGUGACAAUCUUUAGAUAUAAUUCCAAAAUCUGAGACUCGCAAACUUUAGAUAACCAUCUUACUGAACUGGGAUGCUUUAGAUGCCUCACACCGCGUGGCAACCUAAAAACCAUUUUGGCAUUUUGAUAUCAUCUGCUGUAUGCUGGAUAUGAUUACCAAAGGUUCUAAACCCAGUCAUUAUGUGAAGUGAAGUCAGCUAAAGCCAAGAGGCUGCUUUUGAGACAUCUGAUAACGUUAAAAUGAUGCGGCAGUUUUGCACAGAAAAAGUGGAAUAUGAUGAUUGAAUUCCGAGUUCGUUUGUGUCAGAGAACAAACAACGAAAGGCAAAGGGAGUUCAAAAAGAGAAGCGAAAAUGGUUGCUGUAUUCGGUUUUAAAUUAUUCGUUCGAUUUUGCAGGGCUUCAAUACGUCCCGAUCCAAAUUAGGUUGUAUGUAUCAUGAAACUCAAAGGGGGGCACACGCAACUAUCGAGACCAAAAGGAAAAAAAGAAAGGAAAGAAAACACGGGCCCGCACGCUACGAUAAUCACUCAAUUGAGGACCACAUCGGACCAAAGUUUAUUCGGACAACACUUCAUAUGGGCUCGCGAAGGAAGCAAGUACGGUAAUUUUACGAGACAUUUCCCGGAACCACCAUCAUAUUCGCGAAACCACAGAUCGCCUUGGCGGAGCGCUUACUGGAUCAGGACUACUGGGUGGAUAGACCAGUCUGGAAUCAGACUGGGAUAAUCCAGACUGGGUUUCAUGGACUUAGCCUACGGUAAGGCUUUCGCUCCGCAGGAGAAAUUGGGAUGGCUCUCGCUCCGGAUAAUUUCGCUCCGGAUAAUUUCGCUCCCGAGGAAAAAGAGGUUUCACGGAUUUCGCCUCCCGAUAAUUCGGGACGGAAUCCAGACGAAAAAGAGGUUUCAUGGAUUUCGCCUCCGGAUAAUCCAGGAUGGCCUUGAACAUCACGGACGCCUUCUCUCUCAUGGCCCCGAUCAUUUCCUCCUCGGUGAUAUCCCCUUGGCCAACGGUGAAGUACCUGCCCGCGUACUUACAGACCGAGCCACCUUCCAGGGGCAACGCAACGAUCUUCACCUCAUGGCUGGUUUCCUUGGAGAUUCUGCCUGCUCAUCACGAUCGACGGUCGAGUGGUUGUAGAGGAAGGGCUCCUGGUCCGGCGCUUUAACCGUGUGUCUCACCGUCCUGCGCUGUCUGCCUAUAGAAGUAACCAAAGUGACAUUUACGCUAAUCUGUUGUAUGAGUUUAUUCGUACUGAGAGUUCGAAUCCCUCUCUUUCCAUUUCCCUUAAUGACUCGUUAUUUUAUUUAUAUUUAUUUUCAAAACUUUUCUUUGUUUUUUUUUUUAUUUUAUUUAUUUCAUAUAGUAAAUUAGGAUGUACAAUAGAUAAAAUCCUAAGUGCAUUGAAAAAUUAUGCAAGAAAAAAGAAAAGCCUUUUUAUUUUUCGUGUCUAGGAUUACCUCCCGGAUCAUUGGAUAGGAAUCCAAAAAUGAAGAGAGUGUAAACAAAGAGCUUGAAAAUAAACAUUACACAAUCUCCAGUCUUUUUAUUUUUUUUUCAACAUCAUGAGCACCAAUCUUAGUGUUGUUGAUCAGGGCAUCUGGGGAUCACGCCCAAUUAUAAUUGUAAUGCAAUAUGAUUGAUAUGUGAUUUUAAUGGUAAGGAACAUUUCAAUUGACCCAGUACCUUCGACAGAGAUCGUCUCCUGGAUGUCGGCAUUUUUUAUGGCUGGUAGGAGGGUGUGGGGGAAGAAGCCCUUGGCUUUGAGAAAAGCCUCGACCAACCUGGCCUUAGGGAUCGGGUGCGUGAUCUCGGCGUUGAGAGUAACUUCUACCAUCGAUUGAAUCCGAAUAGAAUUUGUUGAACUGAAAAGGGUAUAAAAAUCUCAAAAGAAAGAAAGAAAGGAAUGAAGAGAAGGAGCUUUGAAUUGACGCGAAGUAAAAGGUCGAUAUUUAUAGUGAUAAGAAAAGGGAUAAUUAUACAAAUGAUCCCACAACUUUGAUCCAAUGUGUAAUGUGGUCCCUAAACUUUUAAUUUGUUUAAUGUGAUCCUUGGACUUUUGGUAAAUGUUCAAUAUAGUCCAUGAAUUAUUUGAAAAUGUUUAAUUUAGUCCUUCAUUAAUUCAAGAUCAGAGACACUGUUGAAUAUUUUCAUAUAAUUCAGGGACUAAUUGAACAUGUACCAAAAGUCCAAAAAUCACAUUACACAUUGGGUUAAAGUUCAUUGAUCAAUCGUGUCAUUUUCUAGUACAAACAUCAACCUUCCAAAAAUUUCGCCAUAGAGUAACUUCCGCUUAAUUGCAUGUAGUAGAAAAGCAAAUUAUUUAUUUCCUUGAAAGCAUCUCUCCUACCAUAAAAAGUUGAACCCCUCAAAACCCAAUAAAUUACCCAUACGACAAAUGAUUAACUUUACGAUUGAAUUUAAUUUAAUUAUCUCCCUUCUUUUGCCAAAACAGCAUAAGGCUUCUAAAACCCAUUUUCUUUUUAAAAAAAAAAUUUGAGGGAAGCUUUGGUCAUUUUCCUUAAAAGCAUCUCUCCUUUGUUCAGCCUCUAACCCUUUGCUAGAAAACAUUGACUGGUCUGCACGUUAUUGUCAUGAUAUUAUCUUUCUCCUAGUUUUGUCUGGUUAUCAAAAGCAAAUUGACAACUAUGAUGGAUCCCUUGUCUCUGAUCGGGAAUUAUCCCAAGACAAAUCCCUUCUCCUCGGCCAAAAGGUUAAUUAAUCAGUUGCAUGAAAUGAUUCCAUGAGUAUAUUGCAAUGUAAGCAUCUAUAUGUCAACUUCCUGAGGUAAGCAAGAGCUUACUCCAUGCUUUUCUUGAUCAAAGGUUAGCCUAUCUCUUGUUUCUUAUUCAAGUGCUUUUCUUAGAAUAGGAGUUUUGUUUAUUCAAGUUUAGAAUUACUAUGGUUGAGUGUCUUUUCUAUUCAAAUCGCUAACCAUCUCAUCAUAAAGUUAUUCCACGAGUUUGAACCUGGAACCACAAAAUUGGACCCCACAAAGCAGGUUAGGAUAAAUUUCUACAGUUUCAUGAAUACAUUAUUUUCUAAGUACUUCUGUUGAAUGAUAAAAACAAUGUAAGGGAGGAGGGUAAUUGGGGUUGUGUUAUAAUAUAUACAUUUCUCGUAAAUGUCUAAUAUUGUUGUGACAUUAACGCGGAAACGAUAGGAUCUUCCAAAUGAAGUCAAUGCGAAAAAACUAAAGAAAUAAGCGAGGAAUAAUAGGACACCAGAGUUUUACGUGAUUUGAUUCAAGUAUCAAAACUUACGUGCAUGGAAAAAGCUAACAGCAAAUAAUCUACUACAAUCUGAGAACCAAAUUUACAAUCGCUCACACGCUCGAAUUUUUCCCACACUUAAAUUUAAGUCCAAAUUCAAAGUGUUUACAAAUAAAUACUCAAUUAGAUAUAAAUUCACAGCAUGAAAUCACUGCGGUUUCACGUCCGUGCGGCCGAGAGACAACUCCGUCGUGCGUCCAAGAAGUCCUCUGAUCGGCUUCUUGAAUCUUCUCUGUGCAGCGUCCAUACCACCCACGAAGAACCCCCUGGCGGCUAUUUCUUGUGCGGCUCUUUUUCACUCAAGAAAAAUCCUUGAUUUUCUUUUAUUUUAUUUCCUUUUUUGCAGCUACAAGGAGUCCAAUGAAUUACUCCUUUGUUGACCGACCAAUCACAGGAUUAGGAUUUGAAGAAGACGUCCCCACUGUACGGACCUAAAGCGGAUUUCCUUUCUUGUGCUAUUUUCUUCAACAGAAAAAGAUGUCUUCUCCAUUAAAUAUGAAUAACUUAUCCAAAUGGUUCAAAUAUGAAAAAACUUAUCCAAACAGGUCGUGUUUAGCAAGCCCUUAAACUCGAGACAUAUUUUAACAAAUACGAUGAAAUUAUUUCUGAAUGCACGCACUUCUAAGUUAGAAAUCUAAAAAAGAAAAAUGGUUGUUACUAAUGCAAACUAUGUUCAUAAAUAUGUUAUAUUGCCGUUAUACACGUCAAUUUCAUUGAAUUGUAAAGUAGUAUGAGGGAACGGGGUAAUUAUGGCUAGAGUCUGAAGAGUUUUGUAAUCUCUGGUUCUAGGGAAAAUCCUAUCCAUCUUUUUUCUAGGUGUAGGUUGCAUGAACAAUGGCCUAAAAGAAUUGCAUUGGUUUCUUUUCUGCUUCAUCUAAAUUAUUUUACUUCUUUGACUCUCCAUAGAGCUUCACGUUUUUUAUUGUUCUUGGGUUAUGGUUGCCUGAUGGUAUGAUUUAUAUAAUUAUUGUUUCCUUUGCAGACUGCAAAAGCUAGAGGGACGGCCAUUCAAUCAAUAUUGCGGUUAGUUGAUCGGCUGCAGCUUGUUGUCGCUCAGGUUUAGUCCCUUUAUAUCUUUGCUUCAGAUAAUCUGUUGGCUUGAGAGUCUCUAGUUUUAGUAAACGUUGUCUUACAACAGAAUUGACAAGGCCACGCGUGAUCAAACUAGAGAUUCUCUUCACCAGUGUCGAGCUGAUGAAAGUGAUGAUGAGAACGAAGACAUCGGUCACAUCUUUUAUGGGGAUGAGGUUGAAUUUGGACAAACUAGCGAUGAUACAGAUGUUGAGUAGAAGCUCUAAAUCUUAAGAGGUAGUCAUUCUUGCUGGUGUUGAAUUUGACUUAUCGCGUUGCAUCUUCAUAAACUUUGGAUUGUUGGGGUAAUUAGUGGGUGAAGAACAGGUGAAAUGAAAGACUUUUAAGACUUUUUCUCUGAUUACAUUUUCAGGUUAAGGUAUUAUAUUCCACCUUGAGAACUGAGUUCCAAAAGGCAUCUUAUAUAUAGACUAUUUUGCUGUUUCGAUUAAGAACCAGUUGAACAGGAACAGCUCGAGGUUAUACACGCAAUUUACUGGAAGUUCUACAGCCGAUCAUGAUCAAGAGUUUCCAUGUGCUAAUUGUGGCUUUUAAUUUUCCAUACUGCGGGUAGCAUUGUUCCUCUAAACAUUCAGUUUGAGUUGGAUUUGUUUUUACUGCUUUGUAGUGUGAAACUUGCUUAUGACGGAGAUGCUCGCAUGGGGCAACUCACUGGUCAAGUUGCGGCUGCCCCAGGAGAAAUUCAUACGUAUGUUGCCAAUUUCGUGCCCUCCACAAAUUUUCUGAUCCCAACCACGUGUGCUGGUCUCAGGCAAUCACCAUGACGACAGAGACCACCACAGACCGGCCGUCACAGUAGUGGUUAUUGCCUUACAGUGGAUUAUGGCAUCUCUAUUUAUACUUUCCUGAAAAUUAUUUCUUCAAUUAUUCAAUCAUAUCAUCCGUCUAUCAGACACUCUAUUGACUCUUUAUCUGUAUUUGUCCUUGUAUCGGGUGCUUUCUGGCACAAGGAAUGUGAUAUGAAAAAUCGGCGGGACUUCUUGUUUGAUCUUACCGAAUGCCACAUAAGAGUAGAACAUGACAUUUUACCCUCAACGAGUUGACAGAAUACAUGUCGCAAUCUUUAGCUAUAAUUCCAAAAUAUGAGACCCAGAAACUUUAGGUGACCAUCUCACUGACGUGGGAUGCUUUAGAUGUCCUCAUUUGCAUUGCACUGGCAACCUGAAAACCGUUUUGGCAUUUUGACAUCAUCUGCUGUCUGCUGGAUGUAAUUAUCGAAGGUUGUAAAGCCAAUUAUUGUGCAAAGCGAAGUCAGCUAAAGCCAAGAGGUUGCUCUUGAGACAUCUGACAAUAUUAAAAUGAUACGGUAGUUUUACAGAGAAAACAUGGAAUAUGGCGAUGGAAUUCCGAGUUCGUUCUGGUAAGAGAAACAACGAAAGGCAAGAGGAGUUCAAAAGGAGAAGCGAAAAUGGUUGCUGUAUUUGGUUUUAAAUUAUUCAUUCGAUUUUGCAGGGUUUCGAUAUGUCCCGAUCCAAAUUCAGCUGUAUGUAUUAUGAAACUCGAAGGGGAGCACACGCAACUAUUGAGACCAAAAUAAAAAUAGAAAGAAAGAAAGAAAACAGGGCCGUACGCGAAAAUCACUCAAUCGAGGACCACAUCGGACGAUGGUUUAUUCCAACAACACUUCAUAUGGGCUUUGCAAACGAAGCAAGUACAGCAAUUUUACAGAACAUUUCCCGGAACCAUCGUAUUCGCGGAAAAGACGAGACCAACACACUCCCUCGACGACAAGACAAGAACAGCACUCGACUAGACCUUAUUCGGACAGAACAUAUUAGACUAAGCUGCCGGAUCAGCUUGGAUGGCCCUGAACAUCACGGACGCCUUCUCUCUCAUGGCCCUGAUCAUCUCCUCCUCCGUGAUAUCCCCUUGGCCGAUGGUGAAGUGCCUGCCCGCGUACUUACAGACCGAGCCACCCUCCGGGGGCAACGCAACGAUCUUCACCUCAUGGCUGGUUUCCUUGGAGAUUUUACGCUGCUCAUCGCGAUGGAUGGUUACCUUACCAAAAAAAAAAAAACACACUCCCUCGACGACAAGACAAGAACAGCACUCGACUGGACCUUAUUCGAAGACAACAUAUGAGACUAAGCUGCCGGAUCAGCUUGGAUGGCCGGGGCCCUGAACAUCACGGACGCCUUCUCUCUCAUGGACCUGAUCAUCUCCUCCUCCGUGAUAUCCCCUUGGCCGAUGGUGAAGCACCUGCCCGCGUACUUACAGACCGACCCACCCUCCAGGGGCAACGCAACGAUCUUCACCUCAUGGCUGAUUUCCUUGGAGAUUUUGGGAUUGCUGUCUGGGACUUUCGAAGUAGAAGGNNNNNNNNNNNNNNNNNNNNNNNNNNNNNNNNNNNNNNNNNNNNNNNNNNNNNNNNNNNNNNNNNNNNNNNNNNNNNNNNNNNNNNNNNNNNNNNNNNNNAUUAGCAAAAUGAUCUGGUGCUGAAAUUUAUAGUACCUAAUGUGGCUUAGACGAUCCAUCCUCUUCCUUUCUCUUGCAAUUACAUUUUCCCUCCUGCUCAACUUAAUUCUUCCGAAUAAGGUAAGUUCUUUUCCUUGCUGCCCCCAUUUCGUUCUUCGUUACUUAAAUGAUUUAUUGUGCAUUUGGUUGUUCUAUUUCGUAGAUCUCUUCUUCUUUUUUCAUCCCUUGACCAUUUUGAUUUCUAACAAGGAAUUUUCUUUCACCCAAUCUGCCGUUCCUGCUGUUAAUAUCAAAUAUUGCAGCAUUGGACGGAUUUCUCUCUUGCUCCCUCUGCUAAUAUUUUCCUAUACAUUUGGCAGGUUUGCGGUUAUGGUGCCAGAUCCCAGGUUUGAUAGCUCUUUUCAUGAUGUAGCGGACCAAGUACUGAAAUCUCUGUUGGAUUUCGAUCCAUUGGAAUGGGGUUUGCCCCCCUUUGACAGAAAAGCUGAGAACUCAUUUGAAAAUCAGACGAUGUGCAAUGACAUCUCGUGUCAAAUUCAUUUGAAACCACCGUAUUUACGUUCAUGCGGCCGAGAGACAACUCCCACAUGCGUCCAAGAAGUCCUCCGUGCGGCUUCUUGAAUCUUCUCUGUGCAGCGUCUACACCACCCACGAAGAACCCCGUGGCGGCUGUUUCUCGUGCGGCUCUUUUUCACUCAAGAAAAACCCUUGAUUUUCUUUUAUUUUAUUUCGUUUUGUGCGACCACGAGGAGUCCAACGAAUUACUCCUUUGUUGACCGACCAAUCACAGGAUUAGGAUUUGAAGAAGACGUCCACCCACCAUACGGACCUAAAGCGGAUUUCUUUCCUUGUGCUAUUUCCUUAGACAAAAAAUAUCUUCACGAUCAAAUAUGAAAAAGUUAUCAAAGCGAUUUAAAUAUGGCAAAGNNNNNNNNNNNNNNNNNNNNNNNNNNNNNNNNNNNNNNNNNNNNNNNNNNNNNNNNNNNNNNNNNNNNNNNNNNNNNNNNNNNNNNNNNNNNNNNNNNNNNNNNNNNNNNNNNNNNNNNNNNNNNNNNNNNNNNNNNNNNNNNNNNNNNNNNNNNNNNNNNNNNNNNNNNNNNNNNNNNNNNNNNNNNNNNNNNNNNNNNNNNNNNNNNNNNNNNNNNNNNNNNNNNNNNNNNNNNNNNNNNNNNNNNNNNNNNNNNNNNNNNNNNNNNNNNNNNNNNNNNNNNNNNNNNNNNNNNNNNNNNNNNNNNNNNNNNNNNNNNNNNNNNNNNNNNNNNNNNNNNNNNNNNNNNNNNNNNNNNNNNNNNNNNNNNNNNNNNNNNNNNNNNNNNNNNNNNNNNNNNNNNNNNNNNNNNNNNNNNNNNNNNNNNNNNNNNNNNNNNNNNNNNNNNNNNNNNNNNNNNNNNNNNNNNNNNNNNNNNNNNNNNNNNNNNNNNNNNNNNNNNNNNNNNNNNNNNNNNNNNNNNNNNNNNNNNNNNNNNNNNNNNNNNNNNNNNNNNNNNNNNNNNNNNNNNNNNNNNNNNNNNNNNNNNNNNNNNNNNNNNNNNNNNNNNNNNNNNNNNNNNNNNNNNNNNNNNNNNNNNNNNNNNNNNNNNNNNNNNNNNNNNNNNNNNNNNNNNNNNNNNNNNNNNNNNNNNNNNNNNNNNNNNNNNNNNNNNNNNNNNNNNNNNNNNNNNNNNNNNNNNNNNNNNNNNNNNNNNNNNNNNNNNNNNNNNNNNNNNNNNNNNNNNNNNNNNNNNNNNNNNNNNNNNNNNNNNNNNNNNNNNNNNNNNNNNNNNNNNNNNNNNNNNNNNNNNNNNNNNNNNNNNNNNNNNNNNNNNNNNNNNNNNNNNNNNNNNNNNNNNNNNNNNNNNNNNNNNNNNNNNNNNNNNNNNNNNNNNNNNNNNNNNNNNNNNNNNNNNNNNNNNNNNNNNNNNNNNNNNNNNNNNNNNNNNNNNNNNNNNNNNNNNNNNNNNNNNNNNNNNNNNNNNNNNNNNNNNNNNNNNNNNNNNNNNNNNNNNNNNNNNNNNNNNNNNNNNNNNNNNNNNNNNNNNNNNNNNNNNNNNNNNNNNNNNNNNNNNNNNNNNNNNNNNNGAUGGUUCCUUGUUUCUGAUCGGGAAUUAUCCCAAGACAAAUCCUUUUCUCCUCGCCAAAAGGUUAAUUAAUCAGUUGCAUGAAAUGAUUCCAUGAGUAUAUUGCAAUGGAAGCAUCUUUAUGUCAGCUUCCUGAGGUAAGCAAGAGCUUACUCCAUGCUUUUCUUGAUCAAAGGUUAGCUUAUCUCUUGUUUCUUUUUCAAGUGCUUUUCUUAGAAUAGGAGUUUUGUUUAUUCCAGUUUAGAAUCAGUGUGGUUGAGUGUCUUUUCUAUUCGAAUUGGUGACUAUCUCAUCGUUAGCCCUAGUCUAGGAUAAUUAGCAGAGAGUGGUGAUUUUAACUGACCUCAGGGAUGUGAACAGUGGCAUGCAGUAAUAUAGGGCUUAAUCACAUUAGUUAGGCUGUACAAGACAUAUAAUGGGGGUCUAGAUUUGGGAUUGCUGUCUGGGACUUUCGAAGUAGAAGGGAGAAUUAGAAAAAUGAUCUGGUGCUGAAAUUUAUAGUACCUAAUGUGGCUUAGACGAUCCAUCCUCUUCCUUUUCUCUUGCAAUUACAUUUUCCCUCCUGCUCAACUUAAUUCUUCCGAAUAAGGUAAGUUCUUUUCCUUGCUGCCCCCAUUUCGUUCUUCGUUACUUAAAUGAUUUAUUGUGCAUUUGGUUGUUCUAUUUCGUAGAUCUCUUCUUCUUUUUUCAUCCCUUGACCAUUUUGAUUUCUAACAAGGAAUUUUCUUUCACCCAAUCUGCCGUUCCUGCUGUUAAUAUCAAAUAUUGCAGCAUUGGACGGAUUUCUCUCUUGCUCCCUCUGCUAAUAUUUUCCUAUACAUUUGGCAGGUUUGCGGUUAUGGUGCCAGAUCCCAGGUUUGAUAGCUCUUUUCAUGAUGUAGCGGACCAAGUACUGAAAUCUCUGUUGGAUUUCGAUCCAUUGGAAUGGGGUUUGCCCCCCUUUGACAGAAAAGCUGAGAACUCAUUUGAAAAUCAGACGAUGUGCAAUGACAUCUCGUGUCAAAUUCAUUUGAAACCACCGUAUUUACGUUCAUGCGGCCGAGAGACAACUCCCACAUGCGUCCAAGAAGUCCUCCGUGCGGCUUCUUGAAUCUUCUCUGUGCAGCGUCUACACCACCCACGAAGAACCCCGUGGCGGCUGUUUCUCGUGCGGCUCUUUUUCACUCAAGAAAAACCCUUGAUUUUCUUUUAUUUUAUUUCGUUUUGUGCGACCACGAGGAGUCCAACGAAUUACUCCUUUGUUGACCGACCAAUCACAGGAUUAGGAUUUGAAGAAGACGUCCACCCACCAUACGGACCUAAAGCGGAUUUCUUUCCUUGUGCUAUUUCCUUAGACAAAAAAUAUCUUCACGAUCAAAUAUGAAAAAGUUAUCAAAGCGAUUUAAAUAUGGCAAAACUUAUCCAAGCAUAUCAUAUUUCGCAAAUGCUCAAAAUUGAGACAUAAUUCUAACAAAUACGAUAAAAUUAUUUUCGAAUUCGCAUGCUUCUAAGUUAGAAAUCUUAAAAAAAAAGAAAAAGAAAAAAAGGCUGCUGCUAAUGCAAACUCUGUUCAUAGUUAUCUAAAAUUGCCUUUAUAUACGUCAAUUUCAUUAAAUUGUAAAAGUAGUAUGAGGGAAAGGGGUAAUUUUGGCUAGAGCUUUGAAGAGUUCUGUAAUCUCUAGUUCUAGGAAAAAUCUUGUCAAUCUUUUCUCCAGGCGUGGGUGGCAUCAACAAUGAUAUCAAAGAAAUGCCUUGGUUUUCUUUUUUGCUUCAUCUAAAAUAUUUUACUUCUCGGACUCUCCGUAGAGUUUCACGUUAUUUACUAUUUUUGGGUCAUGGUUUCCUGAUGGUAUGAUUUAUAUAGUUACGUUUCCCUCAUAGACUGCAAAAGCUAUAGGGCGGCCAUCCAACCGUUACUGCAGUUAGUUGGUCGGCUGCAGCUUGUUGUCGAUCAGGUUUAGGCCCUUUAUAUCUUUGCAGAUAAAUGUUUGAGCUUGACAGUCUCUAAAUUUGGUAAACGUUGUCUUCCAACAGUUUGACGAGGCCGCACACGAUCAAACUAGAGAUUCUCUUCAGGAGCAUCAAGCUGAUGAAAGUGAUGACAAGGACGAUGACGUCAAUCAUGUCUUGUACAGGGAUGAGGAUGAAUCUGGACAAACUAGCGAUGAUACAGAUGAUGAGUAUAAGCUCCAAAUUUUAAGAGGUAGUCAUCCUUGCUGGUGUUAAAUUUGAUCUGUCAUCUUGGAUCUUCAAAAAAUUGGUUCGUUGGGGGAAUUAGUGGGUAAAAAAUAGGUGAAAUAAAGGCUGUAACAUCUUUUUCUCUGAUCUGCAUUUUCGGGAAAAAGUCUUUUAUUCCAUGGCAAGAAGUGAGGUCCAUAAAGCAUCUUGUAUAUAGUCUAUUUUGCUGUUUCGAUUAUGAACCAGUAAAUGNNNNNNNNNNNNNNNNNNNNNNNNNNNNNNNNNNNNNNNNNNNNNNNNNNNNNNNNNNNNNNNNNNNNNNNNNNNNNNNNNNNNNNNNNNNNNNNNNNNNNNNNNNNNNNUCAGGUUUAGGCCCUUUUAUAUCUUUGCGUCAAAUAAAUUUUUGAGCUUGAUAGUCUCUAAAUUUGGUAAACGUUGUCUUCCAACAGUUUGACGAGGCCGCGCACGAUCAAACUAGAGAUUCUCUUCACGAGCAUCGAGCUGAUUAAAGUGAUGAUAAGGACGAUGACAUCAAUUAUGUCUUGUACAGGGAUGAGGAUGAAUCUGGACAAAUUAGUGAUGAUACAUAUGAUGAGUAGAAGAAGCUCCAAAUUUUAAGAGGUAGUCAUCCUUGCUGGUGUUAAAUUUGAUCUGUCGUCUUGCAUCUUCAAAAAAUUGGUUCGUUGGGGGAAUUAGUGGGGUAAAGAAUAGGUGAAAUAAAGGCUGCAACAUCUUUUUCUCUGAUCUUCAUUUUCAGGAAAAAAGUCUUUUAUUCCACGGCAAGAAGUGAGUUCCAUAAAGCAUCUUGUAUAUAGUCUAUUUUGCUGUUUCGAUUAAGAACCAGUUAAAUGCAAACAGCUCUACUUUAUUUACGCAAUUUACUGGACGUUCUGCUGAUCGUGAUCAAGAGUUUCCAUGUGCCAAUUAUGACUUGUAAUUUUCCAUGCUCAUCGCAAGUAGCUUUUUUCCUCUAUACAUCAGUUUGAGUUGGAUUUGUUUUUGCUGCUUUGCAGUGUGAAACUUGCUCAUGAUGGAGAUGUUCGCUUGGGGCAACUCUCUGGUCAAGUUGCAGCUGCCCCUGGAGAAAUUCAUACGUAUGCUGCAAAUUUUGUGCCCUCCACAAAUUUUCUGAUCCCAACCGCAUGUGCUGGUCUCGAGCAAUCACCAUGCCGACCGCGUGUGCUGGUCUCAAGCAAUCACUAUGACGAUAGAGAACGUCACAGACUGGCCGUCGUCGUAGUGGUUAUUGCCUUAUAGUGGAUUAUGGCCAGAAGAAGAGAUAGUCGAAUGGACCCUUUUCUCAUGCCAGCGGGGGAAAGAAAAGAGGCCCUCUACGAGAGGAGAGAGUGAUUUAGCUGCUAACAAGCGCAGGUUUUUCAUGAAAUGAAUGGUUAUUCAUUCGGGAAAGGUCUGUUGAUUAGGAGGUUAUACCUCUAUUAAUACUUUCCUGAAAAUUGUUUCUUCAAUUAUUCAAUCAUAUCAUCCGUCUAUUGGACACUUUAUUGACUGUUUAUCUGUAUCUGUCCUUGUAUCUGGUAUUUUCUCGUACAAGGAAUGUGAUAUAAAAAAUCUGCAAGACUUCUUGUUCGAUCUUAAAGAAUCUUUUUCGACUUUAUUUUUUAGUGCCCAAAUGAAGCAUAAGAGUAUAACAUGACAUUUUACCCUCUAUGAGUUGACAGAGUACAUGUCACAUUCUUAAGAUAUGAUUCCAAAAUCUGAGACUCGAAAACUUUAGAUGACCAUCUUACUGACCAGGGACGCUUUAGACGUCCUCAAACCGCGUGGCAACCUAAAAACCGUUUUGGCAUUUUGAUAUCAUCUGCUGUAUGCUGGAUAUAAUUAUCAAAGGUUCUAAGCCCAGUCAUUAUGUAAAGUGAAGUCAGCUAAAGCCAAGGGGUUGCUUUUGAGAAGUUUGAUAACGUUAAAAUGAUAUGCAGUUUUACAAAGAAAAAAUGGAAUAUGAUGGUUGAAUUCCGAGUUCGUUUGAGUAAGAGAACAAACAACGAAAGGCGAGGGAGCUCAAAAGGAGAAGCGAAAAUGGUUGCUGUAUUCAGUUUUGCAGGGCUUCAAUGCGUCCCGAUCCAAAUUAGGCUGUAUGUGCAUCAAACUGAGAGGGGGGCACACGCAACUAUCUAGAUCAAAAGAAAAAAAAAAUUAAAAAGAAAGAGAAAACGGGGGCCGCACGCUACGUCCAUCAUUCAAUUGAGGACCACAUCGGACGAAAGGUUACUCCAAAAACACUUCAUCCGGGCUUGCGAACGAAGCAAGUACAGCAAUUUUGCAAAACAUUUACCAGAACCACCAUCAUAUUCGCGAAGAGACAAAGACGAACGCACUCCCUCGACGACAAAACAAGAACAGUACUCAACUAGCGCUGACUCGAACAGGACUAGCAGUCUCCUGCCUCAAGGCGCUGAUCAUCUCCUCCUCGGUGACAUCCCCUUGGCGGAGAACUUACUCGAACAGGACUGCGUCUGAUGGCACCUCCAGAUAAGCCUCAAUGGCAUCGAACAUCACGGACGCCUUCCCUCUCAUGGACCUCAUCAUCUCCUCCUCGGGGAUAUCCCCUGGGCCGACAGUGAAGUACCUUCCCGCGUACUUACAGACCGAUCCACCCUCCAGGGGCAACGCGGUGAUCUUCACCUCAUGGCUGAUCUCCUUGGAGAUUCCGCCCAGCUCAUCCCGAUCGACGGUCGAGUGGUUGUAGAGGAAGGGCUGCUGGUCCUGUGCUUUAACCGUGUGCCUCACCGUCCUGCGCUGUCUGCCUACAGAAGUAACAAAAGUGACAUUCGCGCUGAUACGUCCUAUGAGUUUUUCGCACCAACAGUUCCAAUCCCUUUCUUCCGUUUCCGUUGAUGACUUGUUAGAUUAUUUAUUUAUUUUUUCAAAAUCUUCCUUUGUUUUUGUUUUUUUAAAUUCAUAUAAUAAAUAAGGAUGUAUAAUAAAUAAAAUCCUAAGUAAGAACAUUGAAAAAUUAUGCAAGUAAAAUAAACAAGGCCUUUUUGUUCUUCAUAUCUAGGAUUACGUUCUAGAUCAUUAGAUAGGAAUUAAGAUGAAGAAAGUGUAAACAAAGAGCUUUAGAGUAAACAUCACAUAAUCUCCGAAUAUCUGUUUUUUGUUCUUCUUCUUCUUCUUUUUCAACAUCAUGAGCACCGGUCUUAGUGUUGUUGAUCAGGCCAUCUAGGGAUCAUGCCCAUUUAUAACCUUAAUGCAAUACAAUGGAUAUGCAAUUUUAAUGGUGAGGAACAUUUCAAUUGAUCAAGUACCUUCGAUAAAGAUUGCCUCCUGGAUGUCAGCAUUUGUGACGGCUGGCAGGAGGUUAUAGGGGAAGAAGCCACCUGCUCCUAGAAAAGCCUCGACCAACCUGGCCUUAGGGAUCGGGUGUGUGAUCUUGGCCUUGAGAGUAACUUCUACCAUCGAUUGAAUCCGAAUAGAAUUUGCUGAAACUGAAAAGGGGAUAAAAAUCUUGAAAGAAAGAAAGAAAGCAAUGAAAAGAAGGAGCUUCGAGGGGAGGCAAAGUACAAGGUUGAUAUUUAUAGCGAUAAGAAGAUGGAUAAUUGCACAAAUGAUCCCUGAACUUUGAUUUAAUGUGCAAUAUGAUCUAUAAAUUUUUAAUUUGCUCAAUAUGGUCCUUAGAAUUUUUGUAUAUGUUUAAUAUAACCCCUAAAUAGUAUGAAAAUGUUCAAUAUAGUCCUUCAUUAAUUUAAGAUCAUAGACAACAUUAAAUAUUGUUAUAUAAUUCAUGGAUUAAUUAAACAUGUACUAAAAAUUCAAGAACUAUAUUAACAAAUUAAAAGUUUAAGCACCGCAUUGUAUAUUAGGUUAAAGUUUAGGAAUCAUUUGUGUCAUUUUCCUGUAUAGACAUCGACCCUCCAUAAAUUUGGCCAUAGAGUAACUUCCGCUUAAUUGCAUGUGGUGGAAAAGCAAAUUAUUCCCUUUUGCUUGAAACCAUCUCUCCUCCCAUAAAAAGCUAAACCCCCAAGUUUUAGCCAAUAAAUAAAUAAAUAAAGCUAAACCCCUCAAAACCCAAUAAAUUACCCAUUCAACAAAUGAUUAACUUCAGGAUUGAAUUUAUUUUAAUUAUCCUCAUUCUUUUCCUAAAGCAACAUAAAGCUUUUGCAACUCAAUUUUUAUUUUUAUUUUUUAUUUUUUAAAAUUUUGAGUUUUAACUAUCUCCUCAUGGACUCUGGAGAGAGGGAGGGAAGCUUUGGCCAUUUUCCUUAAAAGCAUCUCUCCUUUGUUCUGCCUCUAAUCCUCUGCGGCCCUCUCCAUGCGUUGACUGGUCUGCAUGUUAUUGUUGUGAUAUUAUCUUGUUCCUAGUUUUGUCUGGCUAUCAAAAGCAAAUUGACAACUAAGAUGGGUCUCUUGUUUCUGAUCGGGAAUGAUCCCAAGACAAAUCCCUUCGCCUCGGCCAAAAGGUUGAUUAACCAAUUGCAUGAAAUGAUUCCAUGAGUAUGUUGCAAUGUAAGCAUCUAUAUAAAUCAGCUUCCUGAGGUAAGCAAGAGCUUACUCCAUGCUUUUUUUGAUCAAAGGUUAGCCUAUCUCUUGUUUCUUUUUCAAGUGCUUUUUUCAAAAUAUGAGUUUUAUUUAUUCAAGUUUAGAAUCAGUGUGGUUGAGUGUCUUUUCUAUUCGAAUUGGUGACUCUCUCAUCAGAAAGUUAUUCGGGACUUGAGCAAUUCUUUAAAUGGCUCAAUGGACUCUUUAUGGGGAAGAACCCCUGAGGGUUUGGACUCCCCAUUAUAAUCCCUCGUCUUCCCUCCUAUCCAGAAAGAAAAAGAUAGGAUGGGAAUCGGGGGGCUUGUUGGUGGUGAGGCUAUACACCACGUCAGUUCUUCGAAGCUAGCUACCGCCUAGGAAACAUUGAUACUAUCUGAAAACCUUUGUGUCACGUCGGCUACUCCAACAUAUGUUUGACACUUUCUGAAACUUUUCAACACUCUCCAAUACUCAAUUAACAGGUUUCAGAAAAUUUGAUCUUUAGUUCGAAAUUCCAACACGCAAAUUUAGAAUUUUGAUAGGUGAUUCUGACACGCACCGAGUCAAUUUUAAUUUUUUUUUAAUAAAGAAGGAGUCUAAAUGUAAAUAUGUAAAAAAAAAAAAAGGGUGGAAGAAGAAAUACCUCAUCUUUCUUCUCUUUUGACUUUCACUUAUUGUGAUACAUAAUUCACCACUCAAAAAAAAAAAAAAUUUGCUCUUUUCUUCUAACAUGCAAGACCAGAAUGUGGAUUCCUUUUUUUUUUCCCUCCAAGUUAUAUGGAUUGUUGGAAUGGAGUUAAAUUUGUCAAAUUAAAACAAUAAAUAAUAUUAACAAAUGUUAAAUUAAUAUUUUUAGUGUAAAUUCAUGCUAGCCUCUUUUUUAUAAUUUAUUUAUUUAUUUAUUUGUGAAUUUAAAUCAAAUUAAUUUGAUUAAAUAAUCAUAAAAAUGAUAAUUUAUUAUGUAUAUAUAAAAAUAUACUUUUAAUAUACAACAUGUCUUAAUGUAUUGGAGUUCUCUAUUUUUUGUGAAACAACGUGUCGGCGUAUCGUGUCGUGUCGUGUCGUGUCGAGUGUCAGUGUCAGUGUCAAUGCUACUUAGGCCACCGCAAGUUAGUAGUUCUCCAUGCCUAGGUGAGACAUGGUGGCUUCAAAACUAGUGUUGGACAAGUAAAAGCUUACUCAAGUCUUUCAACCGACUACUUAGAAUAGGAGUUUUGUUUAUUUGAGUUUAGAAUCAAAGUGGUCAAAUAUAUUUUCUAUUCAAAUUGGUGACUAUCUCAUCAUAAAGUUAUUUCACAAGUCUGAACUUAGAAACACAAAAUUGGACCCCACAAUCUGGGUUAGGAUAAAGUUCUACAGUUUCAUGUAUACAUUAUAUUCUAUAUACUUCUGUCGAAUGCUAAAACCAAUGUAAGUGACGAGGGUAACUGGGGCUGGGUUGUUAUAUACAUUUCUCAUAAAUGUCUAAUACGAUGAAACUAUUUCCGAAUUCACAGGCUUCUAAGUUAGAAAUCUAUUUUUAAAAAAUGGAAAAAAAAAGCUGCUGCUAAUGCAAACUCUAUUCAUAAAUAUCUUAAACCGCCUUUACAUCCAUCGAUUUCAUUGAAUUGUAAAAGUGGUAUGAGGGAAAGGGGUAAUUAUAGCUAGAGCUCUAAAGAGUUCUGUAAUCUCUGGUUCUAGGAAAAAUCUUGUCUAUCUUUUCUCUAGGUCUAGGUUGCAUCAACAAUGAUAUGAAAGAAUUGCAUUAGUUUCUUUUUUUGCUUCAUCUAAAUUCUUUUAGUUCUCGGACUCUCCGUAGAGCUUCACGUUAUUUACUGUUCUCGGGUUAUGGUUGAUGGUAUGAUUUAUAUAAUUAUUGUAUCCCUUGUAGACUGUAGAAGCUAGAGGGACGACCAUCCAACCCCAUUACUACAUUUAGCUGGUUAGCUGCAGCUUGUUGUCGAUCAGGUUUAGGCCCUUUAUAUCUUUGCUUCAGAUAAUCUUUUGAGCUUGGGAGUCUAUAAUUUUGGUCAACGUCGUCUUCCAACAGAUUGACAAGGCCACACAUGAUCAAACUAGAGAUUCUCUUUACGAGCUUCAAGCUGAUGAAAGUGAUGAUGAGGAUGAACACAUCGAUCACGUCUUUUACAGGGAUGAGGAUGAAUCUGGACGAUGAUACAGAUGAUGAGUAGAAGCUCUAAAUCUUAGGAGGUAACUGUUCUUGUUGGUGAAGAUUUGAUUAGUCUUGUUGCAUCUUCAUAAAUUUCGGAUUGUUGGGGUAAUUAGGGGGUAAAGAAUAGGUGAAGUGAAGUUUUAUAUUCCACCGCGAGAAAGUGAGUUCCAUAAAGCAUCUUGUAUACGGACUAUUUUGCUGUUUCAAAUAAGAACCACUUGUUCUAGGUUAUAUACGCAAUUUACUGGAAAUUUUGCUGCUGAUCGUGAUCAAGAGUUUCCAUGUACUCAUUACAGGUAGCUUUGUUCCUCUAGCAUCAAUUUGAGCGGGGUGCUUUUGCUGCUUUGUAGCGUGCAACUUGCUCAAGAUGGAGAUGCUCGCUUGGGGCAAGCCACUGGUCAAGUUGCAGCUGCACCAGGAGAAAUUCAUACGCAUGCUUGCCAGUCUCGUGCCCUCCAAAAUUUUAUGAUCCCGACCAAGUAUGCUGGUCUCAGGCAAUCACCAUGACGACAGAGACUACCCAGCCUCGCCAUUGCACUGGUGGUUGUCGCCCUAUGGUGGAUUACGGCUCUGUAUAAAUACUUUUCCGGAAAAUUGUUUCUUUAAUUAAACAAUCACAUCCUCCGUCUAUCAAACGUUCGACUGGACAGUAUAUAUGUAUCUGUCCUUGUAUCCGGUGUUUACUUGACCAAAGAAUAUGAUAUAAAAAAUCUGCAGGACUUCUUGCUUAAUCUUAAUAUAUCCUUAUUGACUUUAUUUCUUAGUGACCAAAUGCAGCAUAAGAGAAGAACAUUACAUAUUACCCUCGAUAAAUUGACAGAGUGCAUGUCACAUUCUUUAGCUACAACUCCAGAAAUCUGAGAUCUGGAAACUUUAGAUGACCAUCUUCCCUAAAAGCCAUUUUGGCAUUUCGACAUCAUCUGCUGUAUUCUUAGAUAUAAUUAUCAAAGGUUCUAAACCUAGUUAUUAUGUGAAGUGAACUUAGCUAAAGCCAAGAGGUCGCUUUUGAGACAUUUGACAACAUUAAAAUGAUAUGGUUUUACACAGAAAACAUGAGAUAUGACGAUUGAAUUCCAAGUUCCCAAAUGGUAACCCGUCUGUUUAGGUAAAACAAACAACGAAAGUUGAUACGUUCAAAAGGGAGACACGAGAAUGGCUGCUGUAUUCAAUUUUCAAUUUUUGCAGUGUUCUCGGUUGAUCGUAUUUUCGAUUUUGCAGAGUUUCUAUACAUCUUGAUCCGAAUUGAGUAGAAAUCACCGGAUACUAUAAGUUGUUGGUCUGCAUGUAGUGUCAAUAUGAUCACAAAUAAUCAAGUGAUGCAGUUGCUCAUUUCUGCUUAUCUCACGUUCCAAUUGUCCAAGCUCAAGAAUUUAAAUCUGAUUUCGAAGAACUUGGUUUUCAUGACUCUGGCGAGCUCUAAAUGCUGCAGAUCAAAAUUUGGGCGGUCGAAAUCACAAGACAAAAGUAAAGAAGAUAUGGUAGCUCUUCUUGAGAGCAAGAGCUUUUGUAUGACACUCAACAAAUUCUUAUGUGUACACCUAAAUCAUGGCAAAGAAUUACAAACAAUAUUCUUAACGAGGAGGGCGUCGGAACAUGUCCUAGGCGUAGGCCUGUGGGUUCUCUAGGAGGUAAGACUCCACGACCUUGAAUAUGGCCAUGGCCUUCUCCUUCCCAGCCUUGAUCUCCUCUUCUUCAACUUGAAAUGCCUCCUUGGUGUUGUACUUGCUCGUCAUCUUGCACACCGACCCUCCAUCACUGGCGGCAUCAAACUUGACCUCGUAAUCAAUCGACUCAAGCUUGUCGCCCAGUGCAUCACCCUCAAUCAUCGUGUACCUACAAACGAAGUUCUCCUUGUCGAGCUCAUUGAUCCGGUGCCUCACAUACUUGAAAUGACUAGCUGCGUUUGUUACCGAAUGAGAAAUAAAUUCCCUGAACUCAUCACUUGAGAGAGGAUCCAAAGAAUGAUGUAUACUGAGUCUACGUACCUUCGGUGAAGUUAACUUGCUCGAUGCUCCCGGCUCCUCCGUCGCCUUGCACGAGCUCCACGCUCUUUAUGAACUGAGGGAGGAGCUUUGGGAUCAGGGCAUUCGACUCAAUGAUCAAGGCCUUGAACAUGCGAGCCGGAGCGAUCGGGCAUGUGAGCUCUUGUGUGAUGCUGGUUGCCGCCAUGGCUAUUAGCUAAGCGAUGAGAAAGAAAUAAUCUCAAACAAGUUAUAUGCUUCUGAGUCCUGUCGAUGCCUCCUAUUUAUGGUUAGAAUUAUGUGAAUAGGUAGGCUUAGUUUGGCAAGAGUCACGUUUGAGGAAAAUAGAAUGGUCAAGGAUUUGCAGCCUAAAGGAAUGUAGAAGAGUAGUUAAGUUGGUCUCUUUUGUUCUUUUGGUCAUAAAAAUGGUUUCGGUCCCUUUCAGAUUCAAGUUGAAAUGUCAAAGAUGAUGUUCCAAAAGAUGAACACAAGAGAGAGCACAUUCUCAUGUUCACAUGGGCGGCCAUCCCUUUGAAUUCAUUGUUGUGGAGUUUGAUCUAAUAAUGAUUUGGUCGGACUACUACGUGACUUGCUGAAUAGAUAUUAUAAGGAAAUAAGCUUGUUUGGAGAAAAGUGUAUUAAUUGAAUGUCGUUUGAUCUCAUUUGUAGCAAACGAGAAUUCUUGAUUAAUUAAUAAUAUUACGUCAGUAUGUCACACAAUAUCAGCAUUACAUAAUUUGUAUUUCUUUGCAAGCAACGCCCUAAUGUCACGGCAUUUGGAGCAAGGCCUUUCAAUUGGUUUAAGGUUGAUUCAAACUUCAGAGCAAGGCCUUUCAAUUGGUCUAAAGUUGAUUCAAACUUCACUAACACCGGCGGUUUGACUGGGUCAAAAUCGGGUCGGCAACGGGGUGUCUAAGGAUCAGCUUAUCGUCUAAGUUUGGGGGAGGUGGAGCCGGCUGCCUUUCCGUUAUACUUUGCUUCUCUCUUCUUCUUCUUCUUUUUAUAUAUUAUUAUUGUUGAAUCAUUUGAUCUCUAAUCCAAUGUCCCCAUCAAGAGAUAUGACAGGAUUAGCUUAAAUAGAAUUUCAAAUAGCGCAAGUGUUAUAAUAAGAUAAGUCCAAACCCUAGACACGUUCAACUAUGUUUUUCGAUAGCUUUCUUGAUAUAUUAUAAAAAUGUACUUUUCCUUAACAAUCUUACGUAUUGUGGUUUAUGAAAGAUUGUGCCACAUUCUUUUACCAUAAAAAAAUAAAAAUCAAAAGAUUGUGCCACAUUGAUAGCUUUAGAUGUUAGUCUAAAUUUGAAAUAUCAGGCCAAAGUUUGGUAUUUUAUUGGCCAUUUAGCAUUUCAUUUGUAACUCAUGAAUUCUCUCCUUGUAGAAAAAUUACUAAAAUUAGAGAAUUUCAUUCUACAAGCUUUGUAUAAACAUAUAGCAUAGUUUACCAAAUUCCACAAAACCACUGCACCAGAUUCCUGUCACCUUUUAUUCUCUUAUUCUCAGCAAAGACAAGAACAUCAACACUCACCAGCCCAACAUGCUUAGCUCCAAACAGAGUGACUCAAACUCUUCUUGUCUCCUUUUCAGUUUAGCACAACCACACAUAUUUAACACAUUACAUAAACCAUACAAGAUAGCGAUGAGAUCGGCUCAAUAGGCAUCAGGGUUGGCCACGAGAUAAGCCUCAAUGGCCUUGACCAUCGCGGACGCCUUCUCUUUCCCGGCGUUGAUCUCCUCCUCAGUGAUGUCCACCUCGCCAAUGGUGAAGUAACUGAUCGUGCUCUUCAACACCGAGCUUCCCUCGGGCAAUGCGGUGAUCUUCACCUCAUAGCUGAUCUUCUCAAAGGUGGUGUCCAGCACUUCGCCCUCGAUGAUUGAGUAGCAGUAAGUGAAGUUCUCCUUGUCCAGGGCCUCGACCUUGUGCUUCGCUGUCUUGUACUGACUGCCUAUCAAAGUAACAAAAAGUCACAUUCACAUUUAGAACUCGCAGGUUUCAACAUCACGAGCACCAAUCUUCAUGGUGUCAAUCAGGCCAUUUAGGAAUUAACCCAAUUGUUCCGACCGCAAUCCAAUACAAUUGACUUAGACAUAGCCUAACGUUGCCCGAUCAAAAUCGAGUCACACAAUCACUUGUGUAAAGUUAAACGGUUAGAAACAUCUUAAGUAACCAAGUCAUAUUUCUAUCUUUUUCAAUGUUCAUUAUAGUGUUCCAUAAGGUUGAAUCCGCCUUGAUUUAGAGCUAUCCUAAGUUACUAAUACGGAUGGACUAACCUUCACCAAAAGUCAUCAACUUGAUGGUCCCGGGACCUCCAUCGCCCUCGAGGACUUCAAUGCUCUUGACAGCUUGCGGGAGGACCUUGGGGAGGAGGUUAUCGGCGUCGAGGAUAGCGGCCUUGAACAUCUUGGCCAGGGGAAUGGGGGACGUGAGCUCUAAGUCGAAAGUGAUGACACCCAUGGCUGGAUCCUAACAGAGAUGCUGAAACUGAGAAGGGGGUGAUGAUCUGGAAAGACUUGAGUAGUAGUGAUGAAGUUGGUCUCUGGGACUUGGGAGUGAAGAGAAGAGGCUGAAUUGAAGUUGACAUAUAUAGAGAGAGGGAUACUGAGUGUGAAGGGUUCUGAUCACUGAAUAUUUUCUUCUUACUAAGAUGCAUUAGAUUUUGCAGAAAAUAAAUAAGUUAGAAAAUAUUUUUGUAAAAAUAAUCACUAAAUUUGGAUAGUGUUUCCCAGCAUAAAUUAUUUGGUGAGUGUGCUGCAUGUUCUAAAUUGAUCUAAAUCGCUAAAUCUAAUGGGCUCACUAGAAUUAAAAGUCUAGAUUCCCCUUAACAUAAAUACGACACUACCUCAUUUUCAAGUCUUUGUCAAAAUCAUGCUGUAUGUACUAAGUUAAUCUAAAUCACUAAAUUUGAUGGGUUCACGUGGGAUCCACAUAAAAUUCACUGGAAUUAAGAGUUCAAAUUUCGCUUACUAUAAAUACAGUGCUCUUUCCUCAGAUUGUGUAGUAUGUACUAAAUUGAUCUAAAUUGCUAAAUUCAGUGGGUUCAAGUGGACCCAUAUGGAACUCACUAGAAUUAAAAGUCUAGAUUUUGCUUAAUAUAAAUACGAUCCUAGCUCAUUUCCAAGUCUUCAUCAAAAGUGUGUUAUAUGUCCUAAAUUGAUCUAAAUCCCUAAAUCUAACAGGUUCACGUGGGAUCCAUGUGGAACUCACUCGAAUUAAAAGUCCAUAUUCUCCUUGAUGUAAAUAUGAUGCUAUGUCAUUUCUAAGUUUUUGUCAAAAUUGUGUUGUAUAUACUAAGUUAAUCUAAAUCGCUAAAUUUGAUGGGUUCAUGUGGGAUCCACAGGAAACUCACUGAAAUUUAAAGUUCAGAUCAUCUUGAUUAAAAUACAGUGCUCUUUCAUCAAAAUUAUGCUGUAUGUACUAAAUUAACCCAAAUCGCUAAAUCCGAUGGGUUCAUGUGGGACCUAUAUGGAACUCGCUGGAAUUAAAAGUCUGGAUUUUGCUUAGUAAAAAUAAGACCCUAACUCAUUUAUGAGUCUUUGUCAAAAGUGUGUUGUGUGUCCUAAAUUGAUCUAAAUCUCCAAAUUUGAUGAGUUCACAUAGGAUACAUAUUGAAUUCAUAGGAAUUAAAAGUCCAAUUCCACUUAAUAUAAAUAUGACGCUAGCUCAUUUCUGUUUAUUCAUCAAAAUUGUGCUAUAUGUACUAAGUUAAUUUAAAUCGCUAAAAUUGAUAGGUUUAUGUGGAACCCAUAUGAACCUCCCUAAAAUAAAACAUCCAAAAUCGAUUAAAUAUAAACCACGUCAACUCAUUUAUGAGUCUCCAUCAAGUGCCUUUUUCUCAUCUCUUUGAAGCUUCCGAUUGCGUGCCAUUCCGUCACAUGUGAGUCGCGAAUGUUUUUCCACGCCAAAGUCUUUGUUAAAUCUCGAGACUUAAAAAUACGAAGGUGAAGUAACAAGUGUGUGUUAAAAUGCAGAAAAUUCUUAACGUGAAAGAGUUGAGCGUCCCCUCUUGAGUCAACUGUUCUCUUCCUUGAUAUGCUUUUCUGAUCUGGCCUCAGACACAGAUGGUCAAAGAGGCGCACUCACAUCCAUAAUCUCGCGGCAGUUUCAACUCUGUAAAAGAAUGCCGAGAUCUUUACAAGAUGUUUGACAAGCGUCUUUGAUGACAGCAUGCAGCAUAUCUACCGUUUCAAAACAUAGUUACGGUUCAGUCUCGAUUGUUAAUUUUUCUUGAAAGAGACACGAAUGAAGACAUAAAUUAUGGUGGGAGAUAGAAAGAUCCAGCCAACAUGUAACAACAACUCAAUCGUAAGCAUCAGCGUUUUUGCAAGAGAUGGGCUUCUAUGGCUUUCAACAUUCCCAUGGCCUUCUCUUUGCUGGCCUUGUUCUCGACCCGGUCCAUGGCGAAGUACUUGCUCAUGCUCUUGGCCAUACACCCUCUCUGUCUGGACCCGCCUCAAACUUGACCUCGUUCGGGAUCUUCUCUAGCGCGUUGCCCUGGACGAUGGCGUACGCAUGCGCGAGCUUUCCUUGUCCAGCUUCUCGACUGGUGCUCCACCGAGUUGAACUGUCUACCUGCGAGACACAGAAAAAUGCAGUCAGCUCCCACGUUGGGCUCAUCGAAGAAUGUCGGUAAAUGUCUUGACAUCACAUGUUGAUGCGACACGAUCAAAAUGAAUGAGAUUAGAAGACAGCGCGUGUGCUCGCCUUUGCCGGAAACGACGUGAUGGUGCCGGGACCACCAUCACCUUCAAUGGUUACAAAAUCCAGAUUGGCUUGUGGGAGGAACUUGGGGAUGAGAUUUUUAUCAAGAUCAAAGGCCUUGAACAUUCGUGCAGGUGAGAUGGAAUGCGUCUUCGCCUAAGAGUUCCAAGUCGCAGGGCAAGAGAUAUGUGAGAUUAUGUUGAAAUGCCCUUUAAAUGAUUCUCAAUCGCCUUGUUUAGUAAUCUAAAUCAGCAUCACAAUGUUCUUAAAUGAUAUAAUAAUAAAUUAAAAAAAAAAAAGAGGACAUAAGGCAUGGAUCUCAAGCCCAAAUUAAACUUAUUAGCAUGCGAGAGAUCUUUGAAUGGAGACACCCUUGAGGGGUGGGAAGUCACUAAAUUAUAACUUAUAUAUUCUAACGGCGCCAACGGUUUGGAUAAGCAAGCUUUAGUGCAUGCGGAUAAUUUUGCGCAACAAAAUGCAUGGUCGGUUGCGAAUCGAGACUCAUCCGUGUACACGCUAUUGCCACCAUGACCAUGAAUACCACUACUUUGACCAAUUGGCCAGUCGGAGGAGGAAGAUGUGGGUCGAGCAAAUCCUAUAGUGGCACAUUUGAGUCUUUCAAUAAUUUCGACAUUCGUGUCAUUUGUAGGGAAGAGAGAAGAUUCCUGGAUGCUUCCCCAUCAUUCUCUAGCAUCGGUACUUUUACUGUUGACUCUGUUUCAUGAAAGAAGAAUGAAUCAAUGUUUCCAUCACAACCUCAAGUUGCCUACAAAAUCCAAAUUUUUGAGAUACUGCUAAUACAGACCACUUUUCAAAAUCUGUACUUGCUCUUCCUAAAAGUCUUGUUAGAAUUAUUGCAUGAAUCCAAAUUCAAUAUGUCAAUUAAAGCUAUUUGAUCAACCCGAGACCAUAGGUACAGGGGGGGAAUGUAUUGAUUAGAUUUGAUCAUGUGGCUUACUAGGAACCAUGUAGUCAUAAGAUCCAGCCACUGGGAUCCAAUUCGACGAAUCCGAAUUCAAGAGCCUCACCGUCCCAAAAACCAAAAGUCGAGGCUCGAAGUCCGACUCGAGCAAGAUGUUGUUCAACAUCAUGUCCCUAUGGACAAUAGGCAGUGAGCAAUCGUGAUGCAAGUAGGCGAUCGCAGGAGCCACGCAUUGACCAAUCUUCACUCUCUUGACACAAGUCCAAUUCAACUGCUCCUCUUCCUCCAUGCAAGACCUUUGCCAAAGUUCAGAAAAGAUUGGAUGAUGUCCCUGCGGUUAACCACCACUUUUUUUUACCGUGACGAUGUGGCCGCUGGCCUAUUCGGCCUUGUAAACGCUUCUGAAUCCGCGUUUUCCGAUGCAGUACUCUUCACUGAAGCCAUUGGUGGCCUUGGCAAUAUCGUUGAAUGCAAACUUCAUUCCCCUUUCCCAUAUGAUUUCACGUACUUCAUAAGAUUUCUUAUCUCUUCAUCGAGAUGCUUGUUUCACCGCCAAAGCACCAAAAUCAGAGCAAUAAGAGUCACGAGAAGUAGUAAGCAGCAAACGCAACAAUCAGAUUAAUCAGAAUCUUUCUCCGAUGGUCAGUCGAUUUACUGCUCGACCCACAUGGAGACAUUCCGUCGCGUUUCCUCACAAGCCCGGAUUUGCAAUAAAAGCACUUCCUAGUUAUUGUUGGAAGAGGCGACCACUAGGAACUGCGCCUGUCAGCUUGUUGUACAAGAAGCCCAUGAAGCUUAAACUGCUCAUGCUAGUGAGAGCAGCUGGGAUCGUACCCGACAAAUCGUUAUGCAAAACGUUGAGAUUUUCCAAUUUAGCGAGCUUUGCUAAAUUGGAAGGAAUUGAUCCUACUAGUGAAUUGUGGCUCAGGUCUAGUGGUUCUGUAGCGUGAACGAGUUCCCCAGCUCUGGCGACAUGACACCCAACAGAUUGUUGUUGCUCAAGUUCAGGCUCAGUAAAUUCUCGCAAUUUGCUAACUCUAUUGGUAACGUCCAUAGAGAAGGGAUGUACUUGCCAUAUUGUGGUUUAUGAAAGAUUGUGCCACAUUGAUAACUUUAUAUGUUAAUCCAAAUUUGAAAUAUUGGGCCAAAGUUUGGUAUUUUAUUGACCAUUUGGCAUUUCAUUUGUAACUCAUGAAUUCUCUCCUCGUAAAAAAAUUACUAAAUUAGAGAAUUUCAUUCUACAAGCCUUGUAUAAACAUGUAGCAUAGUUUAUCAAAUUCCACAAAACCACUGCACCAGAUUCCUAUCACACCUUUUAUUCUCUUAUUCUCAGCAAAGACAAGAACAACAACACUCACCAGCCCAACAUGCUUAGCUCCAAACAGAGUGACUCAAACUCUUCUUGUCUCCUUUUCAGUUUAGCACAACCACACAUAUUUAACGCAUUACGUAAACAAUACAAGAUAGCGAAAAGAUAGGCUCAGUAGGCAUCAGGGUUAGCCAAGAGAUAAGCCUCGAUGGCCUCGUACAUCGCGGACACCUUCUCUUUCCAGGUGUUGAUCUCCUCCGCGGUGAAGUAACUGUCCGUGCACUUCAACAUCGAGCCUCCCAAAGGCAACGCGUUGAUCUUCACCUCAUGGGUGAUCUUCUCGAAGGUGGUGCCCAGCAUUUCGCCCUCGAUGAUUGAGUAGCAGUAGGUGAAGUUCUCCUUGUCCAGGACCUCGACCUUGUGCUUCGCUGUCUUGUACGGAUUUCCUACAAUGUAACAAAAAGUCACACUCACAUUUAGAACUCGCAGGUUUCAAUAUCACCAGCACCAAUCUUCAUGGUGUCCAUCAGGCCAUUUAGGAAUUAACCCAAUUGUUCUGACCGCAAUCCAAUACAAUUGACUUAGACAUAGCCUGACUUUGCCUGAUCAAAAUUGAGUCACAUAAUCACUUGUGUAAAGUUAAACGGUUAGAAACAUCUUAAGUAAUAGAGUCAUAUUUCUAUCUUUUUCCAUAUUCAUUAUAGUGUUCCAUAAGGUUGAACCUACCUUGAUUCAGAGCAAUCCUAAGUUCCUAAUACGGAUGGACUAACCUUCGGCAAAAGUCAUCAACUUGAUGGUCCCGGGACCUCCAUCGCCCUCGAGGACAUCAACGCUCUUGACGGCUUGUGGGAGGACCUUGGGGAGGAGGUUAUCGGCAUCGAGGAUAGCGGCCUUGAACAUCCUGGCCUGGGGAAUGGGGGAUGGGAUAUCGAAGUGAAAAGUGAUGACACCCAUGACCGGAUCUUAAUAGAGUUGCUGAAACUGAGAAGGGGAUGAUGAUCUGGAAAGACUUGAGUAGUAGUGACGAAGUUGGUCUUUGGGACUUGGGAGUGAAGAGAAGAGGCUGAAUUGAAGUUGACAUAUAUAGAGAGAGGGAGACUAAGUGUGAAGGGUUCUGUCACUGCAUAUUUUUUUUCUUACUAAGAUGCAUUAUAUUUUGCAGAAAAUAAAUAAUUUAGAAAAUAUUUUCCUAAAAAUAAUCACUAAAUUUAGAUAGUGUUCUGAGCAUAAGUUAUUUGGUGAGUGUGCUGCAUGUUCUAAAAUGAUCUAAAUUGCUAAAUUUAAUGGGCUCACUAGAAUUAAAAGUCUAGAUUCCCCUUAAUAUAAAUACGACACUACCUCAUUUUCAAGUCUUCAUCAAAAUUGUGUUGUAUAUAAAUAUGACCCUAGCUCAUCUCCGAGUCUUUAUCAAAUGUGUGUUGUAUGUCCUAAAUUGAUCUAAAUCGCUAAAUCUAACAGGUUCACGUGGGAUCCAUGUGGAACUCACUCGAAUUAAAAGUCUAGAUUCUCCUUGAUAUAAAUACGAUGCUAUGUCAUUUCUAAGUUUUCAUCAAAAUUGUGUUGUAUAUAAAUAUGACCCUAGCUCAUUUCCGAGUCUUUAUCAAAUGUGUGUUGUAUGUCCUGAAUUGAUCUAAAUCUCUAAAUCUAACAGGUUCACGUGGGAUAAAUGUGGAACUCACUCGAAUUAAAAGUCUAGAUUCUCCUUGAUCUAAAUACGAUGCUAUGUCAUUUCGAAGUUUUCGUCAAAGUAUAUACUAAGUUAAUCUAAAUCGCUAAAUUUGAUGGGUUCAUGUGGGAUCCAUAGGAAACUCACUGAAUUAAAAGUUCAGGUCAACUUAAUACAAAUAUAGUUUUCUUUCAUCAAAGUUAUGCCGUAUGUACUAAAUUAACCCAACUUGCUAAAUCUGAUGGGUUCAUGUGGGACCUAUAUAAAACUCACUCGAAUUAAAAGUCAAGAUUCUCCUUGAUAUAAAUACAAUGCUAUGUCAUUUCAAAGUUUUCGUCAAAAUUGUGUUGUAUAUACUAAGUUAAUCUAAAUCGCUAAAUUUGAUGGGUUCAUGUGGGAUCCAUAGGAAACUCACUAAAUUAAAAGUUCAGGUCAACUUAAUAUAAAUACAGUUUUCUAUCAUCAAAAUUAUGCCGUAUGUACUAAAUUAACCCAAAUUGCUAAAUCUGAUGGGUUCAUGUGGGACCUAUAUGAAACUCACUCGAAUUAAAAGUCAAGAUUCUCCUUGAUAUAAAUACGAUACUAUGUCAUUUCUAAGUUUUCGUCAAAAUUGUGUUGUAUAUAAAUAUGACCCAAGCUCAUUUCCGAGUCUUUAUCAAACGUGUGUUGUAUGUCCUAAAUUGGUCUAAAUCACUAAAUCUAAUAGGUUCACGUGGGAUCCAUGUGGAACUCACUCAAAUUAAAAGUCUAGAUUCUCCUUGAUAUAAAUACGAUGCUAUGUCAUUUCUAUGUCAUUUCUAAGUUUUCGUCAAAAUUGUUUUGUAUAUAAAUAUGACCCUAGCUCAUCUCCUAGUCUUCAUCGAACGUGCGUUGUAUGUCCUAAAUUGAUCUAAAUCGCUAAAUCUAACAGGUUCACGUGGGAUCCAUGUGGAACUCACUUGAAUUAAAAGUCUAGAUUCUCCUUGAUAUAAAUACAAUGCUAUGUCAUUUCUAAGUUUUCGUCAAAAUUGUAUUUUGUAUAUAAUAAGUUAAUCUAAAUCGCUAAAUUUGAUGGGUUCAUGUGGGAUCCAUAGGAAACUUACUAAAGUUAAAAGUUCAAAUUAGCUUAAUAUAAAUAUAGUGCUCUUUCAUCAAAUUACGCCGUAUGUACUAAAUCACUAAAUCUGAUGGUUCAUGUGGGACCUAUAUAAAACUCGCUGGAAUUAAAAGUCUAGAUUCUACUAAAUAAAAAUGAGGCCCUAACUCAUUUCCAAGUCUUUGUCAAAAGUGUGUUGUAUGUCCUAAAUUGAUCUAAAUUGCCAAAUCUGAUGAGUUCACAUAGGAUCCAUAUUGAAUUCACUAGAAUUAAAAGUCCAAAUUCCACUUAAUAUAAAUAUGACGCUAGCUCAUUUCUGUUUCUUCAUCAAAAUUGUGGUAUAUGUACUAAGUUAAUCUAAAUCGCUAUGUUUGAUAGGUUCAUGUGGAACCCAUAUGAACCUCACUAAAAUAAAACGUCCAAAAUCGAUUAAACGUAUAUACUACUUUAACUCAUUUCUAACUCAUUUGAUAGGUUCAUGUGGAACUCAUGAAGCUUCCGAUCGCGUGCCAUUCCGUCACAUGUGAAUCGCGAAUGAUUUUCCACGCCAGAGUCUUUGUUAAAUCUCAAGACUUAAAAAUACGAAUGUGAAGUAACAACUGCGUGUCAAAUGCAGAAAAUUCAUAUGUGAAAAAGUUGACCGUCCCUUCUUGAGUCAACUGUUCUCUUCCUCGAUAUGCUUUUCUGAUCUGGCCUCAAAGACAGAUGGGCAAAGCGGCACAUUCAUAUCUAUAAUCUCGCGGCAGUUUCAACUCUGUUAAAAGAAUGCCGAGAUCUUUACAAGAUGUUUGACAAGCGUCUUUGAUGACAGCAUGCAGCAUAUCUACCGCUUCAAAACAUAGUUACGGUUCAGUCUCGAUUGUUAUUUUUCUUUAAGAGACAUAAAUUAUGGUGGGAGAUAGAAAGAUCCAGCCAACAUGUAACAACAACUCAAUCGUAAGCAUCAGCGUUUUUGCAAGAGAUGGGCUUCUAUGGCUUUCAACAUUCCCAUGGCCUUCUCUUUGCUGGCCUUGUUCUCGACCCGGUCCAUGGCGAAGUACUUGCUCAUGCUCUUGGCCAUACACCCUCUCUGUCUAGACCCGCCUCAAACUUGAUCUCGUUCGGGAUCUUCUCUGGCGCGUUGCCCUAGACGAUGGCGUACGCAUGCGCGAGCUUUCCUUGUCCAGCUUCUCGACGGGUGCUCCAUCGAGUUGAACUGUCUAGCUGCGAGACACAGACAACUGCAGUCAGCUCCCACGUUAGCCUUAUCAAGGAAUGUCGGCAAAUGUCCUCUUUGACAUCACGUGUUAAUGCGACGCAAUCAAAAUAAAUGAAAAUAGAAGACAGCGCAAGCACUGGCCUUCGCCAAAGAUGGCGCGGGACCCCCAUCACCUUCAGGGAUGACAAAAUCCUUAAAGGCUUGUGGGAGGAGCUUGGGGAUGAGAUCGUCGUCAAGAAGAACGGCCUUGAACAUUCUUGCAGGUGGGAUGGAAUCGUCUUCACCUAAGAGUUCCAAGUCCCACGGCAAGAGAUCUGUAAGAUUAUGUUGAAAAUGCCCUCUAAAUGAUUCUCAAUCGCCUCGUUUAGUAAUCUAACUCAACAUCACAUUGGUCUAAAUCAUAUAAUAAAGAAAGAGGACAAAAGGCAUGGAUUUCAAGCCCAAAUGAUACUUGUUAGCAUGCGAGAGAUCUUGNNNNNNNNNNNNNNNNNNNNNNNNNNNNNNNNNNNNNNNNNNNNNNNNNNNNNNNNNNNNNNNNNNNNNNNNNNNNNNNNNNNNNNNNNNNNNNNNNNNNUCUUUCUUUGACUUUUUUGUCAGCAAAACCGAAGAGAUAUAAAGUUAAAAAGAAAAAAGAAAAGACAGAGGGAAAACAGAGGAUUCGACAGAUAAGGGCACGUUUGGUAACGAUUAUGUUAUCGGAAGCUAAUUUUGACUAGAAAUGACUAUUUUUUAUUUUGUUCCCGAAACUGAUUAUGAGUAAAAAAACGCGUUUAGUAACUGUCUAAUUUUUUUAAUUCUAAAAUAGAAUUCAAUUUGAUACCAUGCUAAUUGAUUAUAUUCAAAAUUAAAUUCUUUUCAUUUGUAAAUAAUUUUUUUACUUUUUUUUUCCCUUUUUUCCUAUUCUUCUUCUUCUUCUUCAUGUGGCCAGUCGCUAGACUGGCGACCGGCCAGACGAGGGCUGGCGACCCUCAUCAGAGCGUCAUCGGCCCUCGGCGAGGUUGGCCCUCGUCGGCCGAGCCUCCGGCCAGACGAGGGCUGGCGACGCUCAUCGGAGCGUCAUCGGCCCUCGGUGAGGUUGGCCCUCAUCGGCUGAGCCUCAUUGGCAAUUGGGCGAGGCUCGCCCAGCCCCACCGAGGCUUGGCCUCGCCGGUGGCCAGGCCGACCUCGCCCAGCCUAGCCAUUGACGGGGCUGGGCGAGUCUCGCCAGUGGCCAAGCGAGCCUCGCCNNNNNNNNNNNNNNNNNNNNNNNNNNNNNNNNNNNNNNNNNNNNNNNNNNNNNNNNNNNNNNNNNNNNNNNNNNNNNNNNNNNNNNNNNNNNNNNNNNNNNNNNNNNNNNNNNNNNNNNNNNNNNNNNNNNNNNNNNNNNNNNNNNNNNNNNNNNNNNNNNNNNNNNNNNNNNNNNNNNNNNNNNNNNNNNNNNNNNNNNNNNNNNNNNNNNNNNNNNNNNNNNNNNNNNNNNNNNNUAUUUUCUUUUAUUCUCAUUCUCUUCCCAAUUUAUUCUCGAAAAUAAAAUUUUUACUAAAUGCAAUUCUUGUUCCAAACUGAUUCUGAAAAUAAAAAAUUAGAAUCAAAUCCUGUUUGGCAUGUUGUUAAACAUGCCUUAAGAAAAAGACAAGCGGGAAGAGGACGCAAUCAGGGCGAGUAGAAAGGAAAAGAAAAAAGGUGACCAAAGGAGAGAAAACAGAGAGGACAGGUGGGGAAGAGAGAAAAGAGGAGAGCGUUAGGUGCAUGUGAUGUCUAGAAGGAGGGCUCACAGAAGGAUAAUGAUUUGAUUGCAACCCUAACCUGUCAGGAAAAGAUGUGAAAUAUCAACAGGGACUUGGCGCAAGUCGCACCUCGUUCACCGUGCUGCUUGUGCCUCUGUCCAGACCAGUUCUCAGCUUGCACGGUGGGCGAGCCUUCAGUUCACUGCAAUUUGAUUCGAAUCGAUCAUCAAAAUUCCCUCAUUCAAGUCUAAUCUACCGUUUUGUUUGUGUAGAUUUAUAUGCUAGUGAUAUUAGAAUUUUAAGAAUGUGGUCAAUGGUGGAAUAAUUAGUAUGUGGUCUUAAUUAGUUCAUAAUAUGUGAUGGUUUGAUCUAUAUACGCAAAGAAGUGCAAUAAGCCGCGUUUGAUUCAUUUACCAUCUUUGAAGCGAGAAUUGGUGGCAUCAUGACGACCUGAUGUGCAAAUCCUUUUUAAUUUGUUGUUCAUCACGUCUCCUUUUUCUAGAGGGCCAUCAUUUUUUGCGGUAUUUUCUCGGAACCUACUUGACUUGAUUUGCGGAAGUCUUCAAAUGGGUCGAAACUCGAGCCUUCACCAAAAAAGCAUCGAUUUUUAGUAGAGCAUCACAGCAUGAGAGAGAAAAUAUUGGGUGGUUCGGGAUCGCCACGUCAGCGUGGUCCCAGACCACUCACGCAGCGUCAUGUGUGAGGGGAGGGAACCAAAGGACCUGCCCCUGUCCCAUCUCUCUGACACCCUCUCUCCUCUUUCUCUUCUCCGUCUCCCUCUCUUCACACGUGGCGUCGUGUGAGUGGUCCGGGACCACGCUAACGUGGCGGUUCGGACCACCCAAUAUUUCUCAGCAUGAGAGGCAUUCUUCCAUACGCAAUGAUGGAGCCUAACAUGGCUAAACGACGACCUUUGUACAAGUACUAAUGCCCUCUUGCUUUUUCUAAAGCCACUUUUUUUUUCUCCCUAUUAGGCUGUCAUACGAUAGAAUAAAGUGUGUUGCACAAUAUUUUUGCCAUGGAAAAAUGGAUUCUCUGACGUGGAAUAUCAUAGAGUGGGUCAUCAAAAGCCAAUUCAUGUUGGGAAUGUGAUGUUGAUUUAAUUCUAGCUUUUCAUAUUCCACUAAGUCCAGACCAAUUGAUUUCACAAGACAAUCAUUAUUAGGGUUAAAAGGAAAUUAGGAUUAAAUCUCUCCUCUACUGUGAAUAAGUGCCUCUUGAGAAAAAUGUAGAAGUCAAUCAUUCAAAAUCAAAAUACAUGAUUUUGAGGUAUUUUAUCUUGAAACUCGAUUUGAUUUGGCAUCUUCAAAACUAAAUUAUACAUUACUCAAAUAUUACAGUACCAAAUUAGAAGUGAUUUGAUAUAAAAUAAUUUAAGAAUCUCAUUAAUUUAACAUCAAUGAAAAAAGUUUAGGAGCGGCAAUGUUCCUUGGACAAAGUCAAGGAAUGAAUUAAACAAAUUGAAAGAUUAGGACAUCAUAACAAGUAAACGAAUAAUAGUGAAUUGUUUAAGACAACUAGUUUAGCAUCUACAACAAGUGAGGAGAUCAAGGGGGCUUGAGAUAGACAACGACCAAUGAAGAUAAAUUUGGACUUCUUGCCAAGGCAGAGAUUUAUUGAUUAUGGAGCAAAAUUAAUCUUCGUUUGAAUUGGAAUCAAGUUUGAUGUUUCCGGAUACUCGACGUGUUUGUGGGGGCUUGGAAACGGUGAUAGACGACUGGAGGAUGCAAGAAGCCGGCCCCCCUAGCGCUUGGACAAACCAGGCAACUAGGCAAGCGCUCGGCCAAGAAGUGGCUGGGUUGCUAGACGACCGACAAACCCCCCGAGCUGAAAGUCUUUUCCAACGUAGUGCUCGGGUGAUGGGGCCUAUUUUUGUCAGACACCUAACCCUGAAGUUUAUGUAUAUCUAAUGAACAACUUAUGAGAAAUCUAAAGAGUUUUUAAGAAGAGAGAAUGAUUAUACUCCUUUCUUACUUGAAUCGUUUCGUUUAUUUACUUGCAUUAGUCAUGACAAUAGUUGAUGCAAGAUUCAAACAAUGCAAUUCAGCUAAAAAAAUUCUCCCAAGAGUAGAAAGGUCAAUUACACUAGGAGUAAAAUCUCAUUCUGCCGUUCUAUACUCAGCGGGCACAUCAGAUGGUGAGUGUAUUUUGUCUUUACACUGAAAUCACGUGACAAUUAGGUGAAGCUGAUAAUAAAGACCAAGAGAUAUAAGUCUGAUAGCAUUCCACACAUAAUUGACCACUGUACCCGGAAAUGCAGAUAAUGCCAAACAAGGACUUGGAGGAAAUAGGAAAAAGAGAGACUCCCCAAGUCUUCGUCUCCUCCUUAUUUAUCUCGGAAACUUCUGUGAAGUAUGAAAGAAACUCAAGUGAUGGAGGUUUUGUAUGCAGUGAGCAUGAGAACGCGGAGACAAACAGCAGAUUCACCAUUGUUUAAUCUGUUAAAUAAAAGCUCCAAAGAACGUUGAGCCAUUUGGAAGAAGACCUGCCAUAUGUUUGACAAGUUAAACAUAAGCCAAUGCAUUCCAAGUCUUUGCUUAAGUCCACGUUCUUGGUAAGGUGAGAUGAUGAUGGGAGUCGCUUAAAGUGAAGAACUAAUAUAAAAAGAGGAAGACUUCUUUCGAGCCUAAUAAUAUUUCUUUUCCUCAAUUUUUUUGCUUCUUAGUUAGAGGCUUUCCAAGUUCGAAUGUCUCUCUGUUCACACUUUCCAAUCUGCUACCUUUACUCGAAAGCCAUUGGUAGGCGCAGAGAGAGAGAGACUGUGCGUGUGUGAUAUAAUUGUUUAUUUGGGAGUAACGAUUCAAUUUGACGGAUAACGGCAUCUGCCAAUGUUCUACAUACAUAAAUUUUAGCAAUUACAUCGUUUCCGCAACUUCACUCGAUGUUGAAUUAUAUCUUGGGAGACGUGGCCGCUCAUUCCAUCCUCCAAGACCUCCGAAUUUAUCGAGCUCUGUAGCGGAAAAGUAGUUGCGAUCUUUCUCUUAAUUACCUUCAAAUUCUCAGACCAUUCUUGCCUUGUGGAUUAAGAUGUCAAGAUAUAUCGGUGGGCAAUCGAUAAAUGAGUCAAAAGGACCCCCUGAUGGGGUUUCCAUGGGCAAUAAUUUCGUGCAAAAAUGCUCGUUUUGACAGGAGUUUCCCUCUUCUAUUCUUCUCUCUUUCAUACUGCUUUUUACCCUUGCUUGUACGGCUUCCUGUGCCCGGUCUUUUUGAUUCGCAUCUUAGCACAGCAAUUCAUGGGAAAUUUCUGCGAAGCACAAAUCUAUUCUUCUCUCUUUCACGCUGCUUUUACCGUUACUUGUACAGCUGCCUAUGCUCGCUCUUUUCGAUUCGCAUCUUAGCGCAGCAAUACAUGGGAAAUUUCUGCGAAGCACAAUGAGCCGAAAAUAUCUUCAGAAACAUGGAAAAUGUCCUUUCAGGAGUCGUAAUGGGAGGCGUCCUCCGUUCUUUUGCGGGUCAUUAUUGAGCGGUUGAAGAAGGAAUUUCAAUCUUAUGACUUGCAAUUAACAUGGCAACAACUUGAUCUAAAUGUGUAAUGUGCAUUGCAUUAUGUCCUCCACUUUUUGACAUGGCCAUUCAAUAAAUGAUGGAGUUCGUCACCACAUCAUUGACUAGUGCUCUAAAUGCCCGAUAAUUGUUAUUAAAACUGCUUGAAAUACUCAAUAAUUAAUAGCAAUGUGAUAGUGAUAUCUAAAUUCUUGCUUAAGGUGCAUUAUCAUAAUUGACACUUAAAUAGAUUUAAGAGCAAUGCUUUUCUGAAUUUUGAAUUGAUUCAAUUAGAAUGCUAUACUUUUGUUUAUAGUGUGUGUAAUUGAUUCAUCCCUGGAACUUCUGCUUGUUCUUGUGAAAUUAUAUUAGUAUGUUUCAUAUGGCAUACGCCCAUUGAUUAUCCUAAAGGAAAUUUCUAAAAUGGACAACAAUCUACAAAAGCCAAUAAAUUGAAAAAUAUUAUACAGUUAGAUUUCCCAUGUGUAACAAUCAUCCGAAAUUAGAAAAUAAAUGAUACGCAUUCGGUUUUUAUGUGUGAUUCAUUUUUAACAAACAAAUUUGCUUAGUCCCUUUAAUCAUUCUCAUUCAUCAUAUCAGCUGGUGAGAAGUACAUAGGAUUUUGCUGUUCUUUUCAAAGCAUAGCAAACAAAUCCAUUCUCCAUUUCACAUGAUUUCCAUUGAAUCACGAAGAAGGCACAAAAGGUUUAUCCUAGUCCCAAACCCUUCUCAAACUUAAGACAAUACUGAAUAUUUGAAAAUGAUUUAGGAACCUCGUUAAUUUAUAACCAAUCGAAAUUUUUGUAGCAACAAUGCUCCUCAGCCAAAGCGUAGGACCUACUUGAUAAAUUGAAAGGCCGGGCAUAUCAUUAGACGUUAACUGACAAUGUUGAAUUUUAGGACCAAAAUUCGAAAACUAGUGGUCUCACCGCCCCUAUAUUUGAUGGUACAUUCGUUGACAAAAUCAAUUGGAUUUGCAAUUUUUAAAGAGACUCAAAAAUUAAAUAAGAACUUCCUAUUGGAUGAUAAGAUUAAAAGCAUAUGACCAUUCCGUUUGCACAGCCACAAGCAUUUGCCUUUUAUUGAUCGAACCUUGUUGCUUCGACGUUGGAAAUAGACUAGGUUUUUCUCUCCUUGUACAUCCCUAUGCAACAGAAGUUUGAAGGAACUAUCAGCUGUCGGCAGACUGAGUAGCUUCAUUCGGGGUGCAUGAAUUUUUUUAUUGAAAUCGCGGACAAUCUGUCGAAUACGUCAGCAGACGGAUUUGCAAAUAGAUGAAUCGCACAAAGGGAUAUCACUUGCUUACUUCAAGCCAACUGAAAAAAGGGUGAUCACUUUCCUUAAUUGGGUCGUCUAUUAAAAUAUAUUUAGAAUUUAAGCCCAUUGAACAAAGCCUGACUAAUGAGAAUGCGUGAACUCGACCAUGUGCAAGUCAAAAAUUGGCAUACGAGAAUUGGCUGGCCGAGAUUGCAAAAAGCGUGAAGAAAAAUCAAUAACACGUGACUUUGUUGCCUUCUCCAAGUCCAAUUUAUUGUGCAUAUUGGAUUCUUUGGCAUGCUGAAUUUGUUGCCCUAGAAGAAGGGGCUCACACACACAUAUAUUUACACGUGAUCAUAUUUUACUUUAAAUUGAUUUACUUAGGUUCAAGAACUUUAUUCUAAUAUGCAAUGCAUUCAUGCUUUCACAUGAUUUGUUUAGAUGUCCUACACUUUUGUUUAGUAUGUGAAAUUGGUCCAUCUCUAGAACUUUAGUUUGUUCAAUUCUGUCUCUUGAAAUUACAGGCACCCGAUGAUUAUCGAAAGGGAAUGGCCACAAUGGACAACAAUCAACUGAAGUCACUGGAUACAAAAAUUAUACAAAUAGAUUUCGUGUGUGUAAUAUGUAUCCUAAAUGAUAAAAAAAAAUAAUACUCAUUCAUUUCUUAUGUGUAAUUCAUUUGAAACAAAAGAUUUGCUCGGUCACUUUAAAUGGUGAUUCUUAUUCAUUAUCCCAAAACGUCAGCUAAGUAUGUAUUUUACUGUUCUUGUCAAAGCAUCGCCAACAUUCCGCUCUCCUUUAAUAUAUUACGCUUGGAUCGGGGAGAUAGCACAUUGUUUUGUUAAGUGAGAGGUUUCAUCCUUAUCUGGAAACUUUUUUUGAACUUAAAGAAUGAUAUUUGAAUAUUUGCAAAUAAAUUAGAAACCUCAUUAAUUAAAAANNNNNNNNNNNNNNNNNNNNNNNNNNNNNNNNNNNNNNNNNNNNNNNNNNNNNNNNNNNNNNNNNNNNNNNNNNNNNNNNNNNNNNNNNNNNNNNNNNNNNNNNNNNNNNNNNNNNNNNNNNNNNNNNNNNNNNNNNNNNNNNNNNNNNNNNNNNNNNNNNNNNNNNNNNNNNNNNNNNNNNNNNNNNNNNNNNNNNNNNNNNNNNNNNNNNNNNNNNNNNNNNNNNNNNNNNNNNNNNNNNNNNNNNNNNNNNNNNNNNNNNNNNNNNNNNNNNNNNNNNAACUACAACUCUUUUAACACAAAUCUAGAAUAUAACAAAUAAAUAAUAAGAGAAUUAGUUACGUACACUUAAGAAUAGCUACAUUCAUUUCACAAUAACAUCAAAACAAAUGUCAAUGGUCAAUUCCAUUGAUCAAUCUCAUUAAGUCACACACCAAUGGUUCAUUCCAUUGGUUAGUCUCAUGUCACAUAUCAAUGUUCUAUUCCAUCGAUCCAUCUCAGAGGAAACCACAUGUCGAUGGUCCAUUCUAACGACUAAACUCAAAUCACAUGUUAAUGAUCCAUUCCGUUGACCAAUCCGUUGCUUAAUAUCAAACCAUGGUCACGAUACAACUUUUAGUGACGAGGCGACCAAAAUUUUCCCCUUAACAAAGUCUCCACCUAUUAUUAGCCGUGGCUCGGCCCACAAGGAUACAUUAGCCUAGCAUGCGCAUACCUACAAGCUUCUCGCUAGGCUCACAGUAAUAUUGAGUAUCAAUAUCAAUCCAAAACAACACCAUCCAUAAUUCACAAACCAAAUUCAUAAAUCAUUUCAUAUAUCGCCAAAAGAUUUCACAACUGUUUUUUAUACCAGGUUAGGCAGACAGUGAUGGAGCGGGGGGACGCUGGUUUUGCAAGAACACCGGAUGGAUACUAAAAAUGAAGCAAGCGCAUCAUGUACUGGAAUUCCUUAUGUUCUGAGAUUCUUACACGAAGUGCCGAAGAGAAAAUGAAACAAGAAGAGAGGAGAGAGCAAGCACAUAUAUAGAGGCUUUCCGGGUUCGAAUGUCUCUCUCUGUGUUCAUCUGUUCGAGCUACUCUGCACCCUCCAAUCUGCUGCCUUUACUUGACUAGCCCAUUGGGGCGGGCAGAGGGAAGACGAUACCGAUUACAUUCUCGAGAGAAUUCUAGUGUUUGCCAAUUCUUCUCACCUAAGCCUCAAUCUACGACUGUAGUUGGAUGAGUGUGUCACGACUGAGCAGGAACACUGACCAGACGUUCAAUCAUUUGCAACUGAUCAUAUGGAGCAAUCUGCACAAAGGAGAGGAGUUAAAACAGAGAAAAAGGAUAACGGUUGAUUGAUGAAGGUAUCAUUUGAGUAAAAGUGCUUCACAAACUGUUCGGAACUAACUCCAAUUACUGGUCAACCAUGACGAAGAGUGACAUUAUUCGUUCGAAUGAGACACAGUAGAAAAGCGUUGGUCACCUGAUUAAAUCCGCCUGGCCAAACUAUGGACACGGCAUAGUUUCCCAUUGGCUGAAUCUCUUCUGGUUCGAUGUCUUCUGGAACAUUGGAAUACUGCAGUUUUUGCUCCCCUGUCCACUCAUCCUGAUGUGCAGAUAAGUGGCAUAAGAAAGAAUCUCUUCAGUAGUGCAAGUCACAAUAUCUAAGACAAGCACGGGACGAGUAGAAACUUCGGAAGGAAUAAUUUAAGCUAAAUUCCACACCUAAUCUUCAUCGAUUUUGAGGGAUUAGACUGGAGAAUAACUGCUGUUAUACUAAUCCCUAUGCUGUUCGGCAUUUAUCAGCAUGACAAAGGAUGCCAAAGGAGGAUAUCGGAGUAAAAACUUUUGAGGCAAGAAGUAUUUUUAGUCAACUGAAUAGAUUUAAAUGAAGAAGUUCAAUGCUCUAAAAUCUACCAUGCCAAAUCACUAAUACUCAAGAAUUCAGUUGAUAGAACACUCAGAUUACUGAGAUCUGGUAUGGUUAGCUUAAACCAUCACGUGAAGAUAAGAGGUAAGGUUCGAGUGAAAACAUGCUCGACCUUCAUGUAGGGGUGCUUGGAUUAUGGGUAGUGGCAUGAAAGCUGCUCAAAUCCACUUAUCUACAUAUUUAAAAUGCGACCUUAGACCUCUGAUUUAAUUUAAAAGAAGGGUCAUAAAUUAGCUUGGAGGUCCAUUUGUAGAAUUAAACUAAGCUUGUCUGGUGAAAUGCAGCAACUGGCCUGAACAUUCUAACUAUAGGAUUAGCAUCUAUCUAUUUCCCAAGGUUAUGCAUGAUUGUGUUGACACCGCUGCAAUAAAAACCUACAUAUCUACUUUCCAUUUGCAAAGAUAAAAACAAUCAGAGGAUUUUUCCAGGUCAAAGGAAAGUCCUUAUACCACACUUUGAGCUGAUCGGUCGUUUCUUCUCACGGUUGUGGGGUGUAGAAAGUGACAAUGCUAGUACGAAUACCUAGAGGGGGGUGAAUAGGUAUAUGAAAAUUUUCUUGCAGUUUGCGCAAUACUUAAACAGAUGAAGGAUUAAAAAACAAUCGUAAGACUGAGUAAAAGAAAGAGAGAAUUCAACACGAGGUUUAUAGUGGUUCGGCUUGAUUCAAGCCUACGUCCACUCUUCUGCACUGACAGCCAAUUGGCUGGAUUCCACUAUGAACAAAGAGAUGUUACAGUGUUGAUCUUCCUUGAUUUCUCGAUGUAGAUGACCUACUACACUCGCUCAAGGUAUCACCAAGUACAACCACUCUCUGUGUAUACAAUUUCGCUCGAACAGUCUCGACUAACAAUCAAGGUUCUUCAGACUCUGGAAUUUAUCUAUCGAUCACUCACUUAAAACAACUAGAACGUCUUCCUUUUAUACUCCUUUAUGCCAUCAUAGCCGUUGGCACUUACCAAAGGAAUUCCUCCAAUCUACCCGUUGGACGGAAUCAAUUAAGAAGAUCAUCCGAGCUAUUUAAGGAAUCUGAUGAUAGCCCAUCAAUCCUGUUCGCCCAUACAAUCAGGAUUUUGGUUUCCAAGAAUAGAACAUUCCAAGAAUGUUUCGUCGACCAUCAGAUCUUCAAUUGAUCUUAGAUAAGAAUCAAAAGAAUCCGAAAUGAUUAUCCAACCAAGGGAUCUAUUCCAGAGGAUUGGAUCAAAUCCCCAACCAUAUACUUCGGCUUCGGAUAUCCUACGCAACUGGAUUAGAAAGACUGUCAGCGAGAAUAAUCAUGAGUCUUGAGUCUUGAGUCUUGAGUCUUGAGAUUACAAAGUCUUGAGACUUUAAACCAAUGAUAUCAAGACUAGACUGAUAGAAAUGUUUUGUCAGCUUCAAAAUCUUCUGGAAAGAUUUCUCCAACAAUCUCCCCCUUUUUGAUGGUGACAAAACUUUCUUGUAGAUUUGAACAACUUUGACCUGCAAAAAUAUUUCUCAAGCAAUAUGGCUAACUCAUAAAGAUUAAUAAACAACCAGACUCUGCAUCCACAGCAAAAUUGGUUAGUCUUUCAUGAGUAAUACCAUAUAACAAUACUUAAUAUAAAUGCAAUCAGUCAAGCAUCAAAUUCCACAGUCAUUCAGUCUCAUACUCAAGUUCAAGUUCUCAAGUCAUACAUAAACCAGUAAAAAUCAAAGUUUUUUAAAAAAUGUUUGUUCAAAUUGGUUCUCCCCCUUUUUGUCAUCAUUUAAAAAGAGGGUGAGAAAGGAGUCAUGUCUGCUUGGGAAUGCGCACGAUCUGGAAUUCUCCCAUUGACUGGACUACGCCUUCUAGCCUCUUCAAGUCCUCCCUUAGAUGAGCUACCUCCUCUCCUUUGGCAUUGGCUUGAAUUUGCAGAGCAAGGUCUUUCAUCUUUUCCUCCAGGUUUACUGAAGAUGCUUGUCCAGCAUUUUUCAUAACUUGAAUUUCACAUUCCAGAGCAUAUAUUUGUCCACGCAUUUCCAGAAGAAUAUCCAUGAUACGGCGAAAAUCUGCAGAACUCUCUGUCUGAGUAUAUGCAUCAGCUUUUUCAGAUGGAGUAAAUGUGUACGAUGGCGCUUCUGUAUAGUCUUGCAGAUUUGGUGUAGAUGUAUCACCUUCUUCAGGCAAUUUAGAAACCUGAAAUUCUUCUGAGUCUUCUGGAGAUUGUCUUGGACCUUCACUAUCUGCAGCAUGAGGUGUAGACCUUUCAUGCUCGCCAACUCCCCCUGUCUCAAGUACAUCCAAAGGGGAAGAGUGAUGAUCUUGCUCUAGAUUUCCCUUCUCUCCAGAUUCAGCAGCAGACUUUUCUUUCUCUUCUUCAUCUUCUUUCUCUUUCUCUCUCUGUUCUUCUUCUUCUCUGCUUCUGACUUGCUCUUCUUCUUCUCUCUGUUUCUUCUGAACUUCAGUAGGCUGAGACACAGAACGUCUUGUUCUUGUCAAAGCAGGAAUAGUAGGAUCUUCAUCCUCUUCAUCUUCAUCCUCCAAGAUGAGAGAUCUUUUCUUCUUUUUCGAUGGGGCUCCAAUGGCCUCCUUUCCUUUUCUCUUUGAAGCAGACUGAACAGGAGAUUUCACUCUGAAUUUCUCCAUUGCCUUGGAAAGUUCUUUCAGACGCAUCUUCGAUAACAUCUUCAAACCUAUCACCAUCUUAUCACAUGGUUGAACACAAAGUGUUUGAGGCGGUUCAAUAUUCAUGUGUCUGAAGAUCUUGGUCACCAGACCAGGAUAAGGCAAUUGUCCUUUGUCUUUCGACAUUGCUCUGUACAUAUGGAAGAGAAUAGUGUGCGGGAGAGAGAACUUUCGUCCUGAGUUGAUCGCAUACAUCAACUUUGCUUCAGAAUGAGACACAGUAGUCUUUGACGUAGACUUUGGUCUAAGACAAUUGAUUACAAUCUUAUGAAGCAGAAUGUUGAUAGCAUUCAUCCUGGAAUAGGUAAUUUUCUUCUCUGCGUCCCUAUCUUUGACAAGUUCCAGAGUAAUACGAGCAGGUGAGACUUUGAUUGGAAGAUAACGUCCUCGUUCAACUCCAACUAUAUCAGCCAACAUAUUCACAUCUACCACGUAGACUUUGUCUAGCACACUAAAUGAUAUUCUAUUCGCAUCCAGAAAGCUAAGAUUUGAAUAGAAAUAAGCGGUCAGAUGAGCAUACCCGUCUGUUGAGUCAGAGCAAAAAUUCUCAAGUUGAAACAAAUUCAACUUUUCUCUUAAGUUUAUGUUGAUGGCGUCCAGGAAGUCAAAAUCGACACUUCUAGGGUUUAUCACCCCUCUUUUCAUCAGCCUUGAAAACACUUUUUCUUGAUCCUUGGAUUUGAACAAAUCCAUCUGAUUUCCUUUCACCUUUGCUGCCACUCCCAUUUUCGGUUGAAAUUCAAGGAACAUUCUGUCAUCAUCGUUCCCUUCAAUUAAAUUUUGACCUUUCAUAAGAGGAUCACUUGGAAUGUUCGCAAGUGCUUCCUCUGCUGUUCCUUUCGGGGCGAUUCCCAAUUCCUCCAUUUUCUUCAGAAAUCGAUACUCAUUCCCAUAAUCUUUGUCCUUAAGGAAGUCAUCUAUAAACUUCAACGAAGAACCUGCGCUUUUCAACGCACGAUAAAGUUUAUACAUAAAGGAGGGCUUUUGGACUCUUACUGGGUCAGCAUCCUCGAUUAUCUCUUCUUCCAAAGAAUGACUUGCACCUUGUGGGGCAGGAGGCGUUGAAUGACGUGGAUGAGAGCGAAUCGGACUUUGUUGCUGACUUAUUAAGUCUUCUUCCUCAGUGAGAUCGAAGUGAGUCGGUCCCUUCUCCAUUCUUUGUGGUCCCCUGCUUGCGAUUCUUGAUGAUUUCCUCGAAGAAGACAUCUUUCUUUGUCGCUGGAAGAUUCCUUCUCUUGCUUUCCCAAGAAUAAUGACCACUUUCUCGAAGACGAACAAGCAGUAGAACAGUAUCGGGAGGAGAGUGCCUUUUAGGGUUUUGAAGAUUGGAGAAUAGAAAAACUGUAUAUAUAUAUAUAACUCAGUUUUGAAAAGGGAAGUUCAAACGGUGUAAGGAAAGUGAACAAUUUAUUAUUUUCAAAAUCAAUAACUGCCAAAAUUAUUCCUUUAAGCAGAUAAGACUUUAAAUUUCAUGCGGAUUAUCGAAUAACUGAACGAAAGAUCGUACCUUUUUGAGUUUAAACGAAAAUUCGUACAACUUACAAUCUAUAGCCACGAGUGUCUGAGUCUGAGGAUUUAAAGUCUGAAAGAUUAGAGUCUUAGAGUUGGUGAGUCUCUAGACUUUAACUUCUUCAGGCUUCAAAAUGUUGAGUCUUGAACGGAUAAGAUUGAAUUGAUUUUUCUCCAAAGGCUUUGUGAAUAUAUCCGCUAGUUGACUCUUUGAAUCAACAAAUUGAAUCGAGAUUUCUCCAUUUUGAAUAUGAUCUCUGAUGAAAUGAUGUCGAAUCUCAAUAUGCUUUGCUCUUGAAUGAAGGAUUGGAUUUUUGGUGAGAUUGAUCGCACUGGUGUUAUCACAUCUGAUUUCUGUGCAUGAGUCUUCAAUCCCAAAGUCUUGUAGCUGUUGUUUUAUCCAGAGAAUUUGCGAACAGCAGCUUCCAAGAGCUACAUACUCUGCUUCUGUCGUUGAGAGAGAUACAGUGCUUUGCUUCCUUGAAAACCAAGACACUGUCCUGUUUCCAAGUAUUUGACAAAUUCCAGAGGUGCUUUUUCUAUCGACUCUGCAACCGGCCAGAUCUGCAUCUGAGUAUCCUAGAAGAUUAAAGUCUCCCUUCUUGGGAUACCAGAGACCGAUGCUUGAAGAUGAGGCAACGUAUUUGAUAACACGUUUUACCGCACUGAGAUGGGAUUCUCUGGGAUCUGAUUGAAACCUAGCACAAAUGCAAACACUCAACAAAAUAUCAGGUCUAGAAGCAGUAAGAUAGAGAAGUGAGCCGAUCAUGCUCCUGUACAGCUUUUGAUCUACUUUCUUCCCUUCUUCAUCCUUGUCUAUCUUCUGAGAACAUGACAUUGGUAUGUUAGUCUUUUUGCAAUUUUUCAAUCCAAACCUUUUGACAAGGUCAUUCGCAUAUUUUUCUUGAUGAAUAAAAGUUCCUUCCUUCAUUUGUUUAACUUGAAGUCCAAGAAAGAAUGUUAAUUCUCCCAUCAUACUCAUUUCAAACUCAUCCUGCAUAGACUUAGAAAAUUUCUCGCAUAGACUUUCAUUAGAUGAUCCAAAAAUAAUAUCAUCCACAUAUAUUUGAACAAGUAAAAAGCUUUUGCUUUCCUUUUUGAUAAACAAAGUAGUAUCUACUUUACCUUUGACAAAACCAUUCUUUAAUAAGAAUUUACUUAGUCUGUCGUACCAUGCUCGAGGUGCUUGCUUUAAACCAUACAAGGCCUUUUUCAGUCUAAAGACUGAGUCUUGCUUCUUUGGGUCUUCAAAUCCAGGUGGUUGUUCCACAUAGACUUCCUCAUGGAUGAAUCCAUUUAGGAAUGCACUUUUGACGUCCAUUUGGAAUAACCUGAAAUUUUUAUAACAAGCAAACGCAAGUAAUAGACGAAUAGCUUCUAACCUUGCUACUGGAGCGUAAGUCUCAUCAUAGUCUAUUCCUUCUUCUUGCGUAUAUCCUUUGGCCACGAGUCUUGCUUUGUUCCGUACGACUUUUCCUUCUUCAUUCAUCUUGUUCCUGAAUACCCAUUUAGUUCCAAUAACAGUUUUACCUUUUGGUUUAGAUGUCAAUUCCCAGACAUCAUUGAUGUUGAAUUGUCUGAGUUCUUCUUGCAUAGCUUCGAUCCAACUUUCAUCAGAUAAAGCUUCUUCUAUGCUUUUUGGUUCGAUUUCAGAAAUGAGAGCCACAGCACUAGAUUCUUCAUGCCUUUUUGAUCUGGUGCGGAUUCCUUCAUUCAUUUCGCCAAUAAUGAGAUCUUUAGGAUGACUGGAUUUAUGCUUCCAGUUACUAGUUGUUCUUCCUAGUUGAUGAUCUCUUUCUUUGAUUGAAUCUUCAUGUGCUUCUUGAUGUUGGACUUCCAGAGACUGAGAUGCUUCUUGAGUUGUAAGCAUUGGAAGGUCUGGAGUAGGUUCAGACUCUUCAUACUGAGUCUGUCUAGAUUCAUCUUGCAUUGAGUCUUGGAAUUUAACAUUCGUUGAUUCCUCCACUAUCUGGCUUUUCUUGUUGUAGACUCUGUAGGCUUUGCUUGAUGUAGAAUAUCCAAGAAAGAUGCCUUCAUCUGAUCUUUCUUCAAACUUACCAACUCUAUCAUUUGCAUUUUUCAAAAUAAAACAUUUGCAACCAAACACAUGAAAGUAUGAAACAAUAGGCUCUUUACCUUUGAACAAUUCAUAGGGAGUUUUCUCCAAAAUAGGUCUUAAAAAGACUCUAUUUAUAAUAUAGCAUGCUGUUGAAACAGCUUCAGCCCAAAAUCGUGAAGAAAUUUUGCUUUCAAUUAAAAGAGUUCUAGCCAUUUCUUGAAGAGAUCUAUUCUUUCUUUCCACAACUCCGUUUUGUUCUGGAGUAUAUGGAGAGGAAAACAUAUGAUUAAAACCAGAUUUAUCACAAAAUUUCGUAAAAUCUUUAUUUUCAAAUUCACUUCCAUGAUCUGUUCUUAUGCUUGAAAUUGCACAUCCUUUUUCAUUUUGAAUCUUUUUGGCAAAUUUUUCAAAAUACGAAAAGGUUUCUGACUUACUUGAAAGAAAAUAUACCCAAGUAAAACGGGAGUAAUCAUCCACAAUUACUAGGCAAUAUUUCUUACCUCCAAUGCUCUGGGUUCUGGUUGGUCCGAAGACAUCCAUAUGAAGCAAUUGAAGUACAUGAUUAGUAGAAACAUGAUUUAUUUGCUUAAAUGAAUUUCUUACCUGCUUUCCCAGAAUGCAUGGAGUGCAUGAAUCAGACUUUUGGUAUGGCAAUUUAGGUAGACCUCGAACAAGCUUCUUUGAUGAGAUUUUGGCUAAUUGUUUCAUAUUGACAUGGCCAAGCUUUCUGUGCCAUAAGACUGCUUCAUCUUGAAUUGAAAUUAGGCAUUGUGCUUCAUUUGAUUUUACAUCAAGAAGGUAGAUAUUUCCAUGUCUUCGACCCAUGAAAGACUGAGUUGAGUCUUUGCUAAUUCCAGAACACGUGCCUUCUUGAAAGGAGAUCUUGAAACCAGUAUCACACAAUUGGCUAAUGCUUAGAAGAUUGUAGUUGAGUCCUUCCACUAGAGAGACAUUGCUUAUUGUGAGAUUUCCAAUUUUCACAGUUCCAAAACCCACAAUGCUUCCUUUGCUGUUUCCACCAAAUGAAACUUUUCCACCAUUCACUUGAACAAUCUUUAUGAAGCAAUUUGAGUCUCCUGUCAUGUGUCUUGAACAUCCGCUGUCAAGAUACCACUUCACUUUCUUUUUGACAGAGACCUGCAUUCAAAGAAGAGUCUCACGCUUUCUUUGGUACCCAAAUUUUCUUGGGUCCUUUGGCGUUAGUAGAAAAAACAUUACUAGGCCAUACUCUCUUAACAGGCUUCCAAACCAUAGGACAUUCUUUUUCAAAAUGAUCCUGACUGUUACACUUUGAACACCUUAGAGCACUUCGACCUACAGACUUUACAAAGACUUUCUUGAAAUGAUUUUUGUAAGUCUCCUUUGUUGGUCUAUUCUUAAUUCUUUCUUUUACUUUUGGAAAAUCAAUUAAAGAAAUUGUUUCUGCUGUCAUACCCAAACCAGACUUGUUAAAGUAAGGUCUUUGGACUGAAAGAACUUUUUCAAGUUUUUCAGACCCUAUUGAAAAUUUCUUUGAAAUAUUUGAUAAGUCAGUUUUUAAGAAAGCAUUUUCUUUUGAAAGUUUAUCUUCAUUCUCCUUAAGAGUAGAAAAAUUUAAGUCUAAACUUUUCACUUUUUCUUCUAAAAUAUUUUCCUUUUGUUUUAGAACUAAGUUUUCCUUUUUCAGUUCGGAAAUUCUUUUUAGAGAAGUCUUAAGACUAAAACAUAAUUCAUCAAUAUACUUAGAGACUUUGACAGGAACUUUAUAAUCACUUACCUCACAUUCACUGUCUGAGUCUGAUCCAGAGUCUGAGUCUGAUUGUGCCAUCAGACAUAGGUUAGCAUAUUCCUCAUCACUUUCUUCACACUCUGUAUCGCUCCAAGUUUCGGCUUUGAGAGCUUUUCGAGACUUUUCAGCUUUUCCUCUUUUCUUCUUCAGGAGAGGACAAUUUGGUCUGAUGUGUCCCUUUUUCUUACAUUCGAAACAAACUACAUCUUUGUUUGGUUCCUCAUUAUCAACAAACUUGGUUUGCUGUUUCUGGAAACUUUGUUUCCUUGGGUUGAACCUUCUUCCUUUUCUAUUCAACUUUCUGAAUCUUCUAAUCAUAAGAGCAAGCUCCUCAUCAUCCAGAUCUUCUUCAGAGUCUGUAUCAUCAGAAUCAUCGUUAGAUUUUAAUGCAAUGGAUUUCUUACCUCUUGGAUCUUCUUCUUCAUUAAUUCGUUCCACUUUAUAAGACUGAAGAGUUCCAAUCAGCUCGUCUACAGAUAAUGGCAUAAUUCUUUGCGUCUCUCUUAUUGAAGUCUUUAUAUGAUUCCAAUCCUUGGAGAGUCCACGCAGUAGCUUGUUCACCUUCAUAGGAUCAGAAAUUUUCUGUCCUUGAUUCUCAAGGCCAUUGACAAUAUCUGUAAAACGGCUAAACAUGUCAGUUAUAGAUUCUCCUUGUUUCAUUUUGAAGGCUUCAUAUUGACCAAGGAGAAUGUUGAUUCUGGUCUCCUUCACUCGGUCUGUCCCUUCAUAAGUGAUAUGUAAUCUAUCCCAGACUUCUUUUGCUGUAUCACAAGAAGAUAUUCUGUUAUAUUCAGUUGGUGAUAAAGCACAAUAUAAAGAGUAAAUAGCUUUUGCAUCGAGUGCUUGUCUCUUGUUUAUCUCUUCUUGAGACAUUCCGCUGGGUUCAACAAUAUCUUUCCCUCUUUCAGAUACUGAUGCAGCAGUAGGAGUAAUUCCUCUUUCCACCACAUCCCAUUCCAGAGGAUCCUUUGAUCGUAGAAAAGCUUUCAUUUUGUUUUUCCAGAUGUUGUAAUCCUUUCCAUCAAAGUAGGGUGGUCUUGUAUUGCUUUGCCCUUCCACCAGCCCUGGUGCUAGCAUACUAGCCAUGGAUUUUUUACUCUGAAGUAAAACACUUCAAAUAAAGUAAGAACACAGGCUCUGAUACCAAUUGACAAUGCUAGUACGAAUACCUAGAGGGGGGUGAAUAGGUUUAUAAAAAUUUUCUUGCAGUUUGCGCAAUACUUAAACAGAUGAAGGAUUAAAAAACAAUCGUAAGACUGAGUAAAAGAAAGAGAGAAUUCAACACGAGGUUUAUAGUGGUUCGGCUUGAUUCAAGCCUACGUCCACUCUUCUGCACUGACAGCCGAUUGGCUGGAUUCCACUAUGAACAAAGAGAUGUUACAGUGUUGAUCUUCCUUGAUUUCUCGAUGUAGAUGACCUACUACACUCGCUCAAGGUAUCACCAAGUACAACCACUCUCUGUGUAUACAAUUUCGCUCGAACAGUCUCGACUAACAAUCAAGGUUCUUCAGACUCUGGAAUUUAUCUAUCGAUCACACACUUAAAACAACUAGAACGGCUUCCUUUUAUACUCCUUUAUGCCAUCAUAGCCGUUGGCACUUACCAAAGGAAUUCCUCCAAUCUACCCGUUGGACGGAAUCAAUUAAGAAGAUCAUCCGAGCUAUUUAAGGAAUCUGAUGAUAGCCCAUCAAUCCUGUUCGCCCAUACAAUCAGGAUUUUGGUUUCCAAGAAUAGAACAUUCCAAGAAUGUUUCGUCGACCAUCAGAUCUUCAAUUGAUCUUAGAUAAGAAUCAAAAGAAUCCGAAAUGAUUAUCCAACCAAGGGAUCUAUUUCAGAGGAUUGGAUCAAAUCCCCAACCAUAUACUUCGGCUUCGGAUAUCCUACGCAACUGGAUUAGAAAGACUGUCAGCGAGAAUAAUCAUGAGUCUUGAGUCUUGAGUCUUGAGAUUACAAAGUCUUGAGACUUUAAACCAAUGAUAUCAAGACUAGACUGAUAGAAAUGUUUUGUCAGCUUCAAAAUCUUCUGGAAGGAUUUCUCCAACAGUUCAGAAGUCAAAUAAAUGAGCAAUAUACCAGAUCAGUUUUUCUCCUGUGAAACAUUAUUUGAUACUCUAUGACCUUGGCAAUGGAUGAAAUGACUAUCAUAUGGAAAUUGUACUUUUUCUUGAUGAGCAUGACUGUUUCCAGGAGAUUCACAUGAAAUGGUUGUGGAAUUAGAAGGAAUGGGUGGUGGAGGGAAGAUACAGUUAGAGGUAAGUGUGGAAACAUUUUUAUAUCAAUCACAUAGUUGGAAGCUCUCUUAAAAGGGCGAUUAGGAUUUCUGUUUGAAGACUCUUGACUUCUUGAAAUAAACAUCUAUAUAUGAUUUGUAAUUGUUCAAGAGAAGUUCCAAUUAGAAGGUAGAGUUUUCGUUUAGGCCUAUAGCUUCCAGCAUCUAUCUGUGAAUCAUUGAGCAUUAGCAAGAGCUUUUUAUUAACGUUUGCUUAUUUGAGUACCUGGCAAUUACUGUAUAAGAGCUUUCUCCAAGAUGUUGUAACAUCGUUUCUCUUUUGUUAUUAUGAAUCAGUCGCUGGGUAAAUCUUAGAUGCUUGAAGAACCAGUUUACACCAAUACGCUAUGAACCCUGGACAUCUAAGUCUGCACACACUCCAGCUCAGCCCUUUCCAAUAGGCUAAACUUGCUUUAUUAUAUUGGUGGAAAAGACGACAUUGAAAUACAAAGUAAACCUCUUAUCUGUUUCAAAGACAUGGAAUCAAUCAUGGGGGUUGUUUGUCCAUUUGAUCUUGUAUGUCAAAAUCGAGUAUCUACUGAGAUGCAUAUGACACAAACACGCAGUGCUUGUAAAUUGUCUCACAUGUAUGAAGUGUGAAUAAGAACUACUAAUAAACAAGUUUAAUAACAAUCUUUCAGAAAUCAGACAAUAAUGCUGGGAGGAGAAAAAAUAUUUCCACUAUUGGACUUUGGUAGGAAUAUUAGAGAAUCCUAUCUGAACCAGGCAAAAUUGGUGAUGAGUAUCUGAAUUCCAUUUAUGAGAAUUCUAACCUUGGUUUCGUUAUUGUGGAUUUCUUUCCAUGCUUUACUAAGAUACCAGUUAUCGUCCUUCUGCGUGUUAUGCCGGAAAAAUGAGCAAGCUCACUGGUGAUGCUGUUUCAGAUUAGAUAUAAAAAUUUUGAUGAAAUUGAUGAGGGAAAGAAGUGGUGGAAGCUCCCAUUUGUUUCAGAGUUCCUCAGGCAAAAUGGGUUUGAGUCUACUUUGAAAUCAAUUGUUGGGUCUGAUAGUGUGCCGGCUCGGCAGUUUGUUGAAUAUGCUUUUGGGCAGUUGAAAUCCUUUAAUGAGAUAUAUCCUUGGAAGGAUAAGCUUUUAAAUAGUGGUAAAUAUGUAGCAGAAGGGGAAUCGGUCAAUGCCACUGCUGCACCUGAGAAGUCUUCAUCUGUAGAUGUUCCAUUGCUGAAUGACCAGAGCCUGAAUGAAGAGAACAUUGUUGUUGAGUCUUCCCCUGAUUCAACUGGAUUUGAGAAUGCUAAUGGAGAAAAAAUGCUAGUUGGUGAAUCCAUACAGUUUGACAAACAUUUCUGGAAGAACUUUGCAGAUGUUAUUGUUGGUGUUUUUGUGCGGAAGCGUGUGUGUGUGUGUGCAAGUGUUAUGUAAAAAAAUGGAACACAAGGCAAGGGGGGAAUGGGAAAAAAAGCUUUUAUUUAGAAAGUGUUUUAUUACAAAGAAGUGUGUAGUUUUUUCGGCUACAAGGAACAACAAACAUCAAACAUCCAACUCCUAUUUAUAGGCGUGAGCACCGCCUUCCUCCACCGACAUCUAGUACAAAAACCAAUAUAAAAUUACAAGUUUCCUUUUUUAUCUUCUGCUUGUGCGCGGCUUGUUCCGCAUCUUCUGGUGUCUUCUCCAUUUUUCUGCAAUAUUCUAUUUUCAGCAGCUUUUGUUGACUUUUCUUUGCUUUGGCCUUUUGCUUUCUUGCUGUCCACGUGGUCUGCUGCCCACGUACGAGAAAGUUCUUCAUCAUUUGAGAUUUUUCUUGCCUUUUCCUUGCAUGCAUAUGUACUAGAAUCUUCAGCUUUGUCUUGAACAUAUUGUUGCCACCAUUUUUCUUUCUUGUGUAGUCUAGUAUAGUCUAGAAUUUUCUAAAAAAAUGGAUCACUUUUUUAACACUCCUCCUUGAUCCAUUUUUGUGAUACUCCAAGCAUGCUUCUUAAUAUCUCGAAUUUUGUUGUUGGUAGUGCUUUAGUGAAUAUGUCCGCAAUUUGAUCUUCAGUCUUACAAUACUUUAGCUCGAUCUCUCCUUUACUUUGCACUUCACGAAUGAAGUGAUAUUUUAUAUCAAUAUGUUUCGUUCUUCCAUGGAAUACUGGAUUUUUUGAUAUAGCGAUUGCGGACUUAUUGUCGCAAAGUAUCGGAGUUGAUUCCGUUUGUGCUUCUCCAAUGUCUUCUAAAAUUCUUCGAAGCCAUAUUGCUUGACUGGCGGUCAUAGCAGCAGCGAUGUAUUCAGCUUCUGCAGUAGACUGUGCCACUGAGUCUUGUUUUUUAGAUAUCCAUGAAAAUAUUCCAGAACCCAGUGUGAAUGCAUAACCAGUGGUGCUCCUCCUGUCAUCAGAUGAUCCUGCCCAAUCACUAUCAGUAUAACCGAUCAACUUAGUUGUUGCGCUAGGUCGGUACCAAAUACCAUAAUCAGUGGUUCCUUGUAAGUAUCUUAGAAUUCUCUUGGCUGCUCCAAAAUGAAUUUGGCUUGGACUCUGCAUAAAUCAUGAUAGUAAACUUGUCGCAUACAUAAUAUCUGGCCGUGUAGCAGUAAGAUAUAGUAGACUCCCAAUUAGGCUUCUGUAGAGUGAAGCGUCUACUUUUUCUGCUCCAUCUUCUUUCAAUAGUUUCUCAUUCAUCACAAGUGGUGUUGCCACUAUUUUGCAAUUAUUCAUCUUGAAUUUUUCAAGGAGCUUUUCGGUAUAUUUCUUUUGCGAGAUGAAAAUUCCUUUAUCUUGAUUGACUUCUAUACCGAGGAAAUAGUUCAUCAAGCCCAAGUCCGUCAUUUCAAAUGUCUUCAUCAUUUCUUCUUUAAAUUCUUGGAUCAUUGUCUCAUUGUUUCCUGUAUAUAUAAGAUCAUCUACAUAUAGAGAGACAAUGAGAGUGUCGGACUUACCUUGGGUCUUGAUGUAGAGUGUUGGCUCACUCAUACUCCUCCUGAAUCCUUGCUUGAUAAAGUAUUCAUCGAUUCUACUAUACCAUGCACGUGGUGCUUGUUUUAACCCAUAUAGGGCUUUCUUGAGUUUGAGAACUUUUUCUUCAUUGCCUUUGACAAUAAAGCCUUCUGGUUGAGCUACAUAUAUUUCUUCUUGAAGGUAUCCAUUUAGAAAUGCUGAUUUUACAUCUAGUUGAUAAAUCUUCCAAUCUUUUUGUGCCGCUAAGGCUAUAAGUGCUCGAAUAGUAUCAAGGCGAGCGACUGGAGCAAAAGUUUCAGUAUAGUCGAUACCUGGUUGUUGCAAGUAUCCUUUCGCCACAAGCCUUGCUUUAUGCUUCUGGAUUGAUCCAUCCGCAUUGAGCUUCGUCUUGUAGACCCACUUGACGCCAAUGAUCUCUGUCUUCGGGUCGAUCGACAAGCUCCCAAGUUUCAUUUUUCUCGAUCAUCUUGAUCUCUUCCUUCAUGGCUUUUAUCCAGACUUCUUCUUUGGAUGCUUGUUUGUAGUUUUCUGGUUCCAAAAUAGCAAAGUUGCAUGUAUCGUAAAUUCUUUUAAGGGCUUUUACCCUUAGUACUGGAGACUCUGGAGUAGACUCUUCUUGUGUUGCUCUUGGAGAGCUUGGUGGAGUUAUAUCGUGAGUGGUAGAAUCCGGUACUACUCCUUCUUGUGACAUUGUCUCCUCUUGAGCAGGUGGUAUGUCUGGCAAGGUUAUGUACUUCUUCUCAAUCUUCUCGCUUUCCCAAUUCCAGGCAGCAUUCUCGUCGAACUCGACAUCUCGACUAAUUAUUAGCUUUUUAGUUCUUAGGUUGUAAAUUCGAUAGCCUUUUGAUUGGUUACUAUAUCCAAGGAAUAUUCCUUUUUCUGUUUUUUCAUCUAGUUUACUCCUUUUUUGAGCAGGGAUGUGGACGUAGCAAAUGCAUCCAAACACUUUAAGAUGCUUUGCUGAAGGCUUUCGUCCACUCCAUGCUUCGACUGAAGUUUUAUUUUGUACAGCUUUCGUUGGACACCUGUUUAGUAGGUAUACAGCAGUAUAAACUGCUUCUGCCCAGAAAGUGUUGGGAAGGCCUUUCUCUUUUAGCAUAGACCUUGCCAUCUCCAUGACGGUUCUAUUUUUUCUUUCAGCUACUCCAUUUUGUGCUAGGGCGUAGCCAACAGUUAGUUGAUGAUGGACUCCUUCAUCUUCACAAAAUUUAUUAAACUCCUUUGAAUUGUAUUCUGUGCCUCUGUCACUUCUUAGGACUUUGAUUCUUUGGCCACUUUGAUUCUCGACGUGGUUCUUGAAUUUUCUAAAGAUAGAGAAAACCUCAGAUUUUUCUCGAAGAAAAUAUACCCACGUCAUUCUUGUGUAAUCGUCAAUGAAUAGGAUGAAAUAUUUAUUUUGACUAGGUGUAGGUGUCCUCAUCGGACCGCACACGUCCGUGUGGACAAGUUCUAAUGGCUUCUUAGCUUUCCAUGCACCUCCAGAUGGGAAGGACUGUCUCUGUUGUUUUCCAAGAAGACAGCCUUCACAAACAUCUGAAAUUUCUGUGAUGGCUGGAAAAUCUCUCAUCAUAUUUUUCUGAUGGAGAAUUUUUAGCCCAGCAAAAUUGAAGUGGCCAAAUCUUCGAUGCCAUAGCCAUGAAUCAUCAAGUUGAGCUUUCAUGGCUAUAUCUUUGACCAAUUUCCAUUGAAUAGGAAAAUUGUUAUUUUUCAUCUUAACAGAGGCAAUGACAUUUUUAUAUUUAUCAUAGAUAAUGCAGGUAUCUCUAUUAAAAUAUAGAGAAUACCCACUUUGUAUCAUUUGGCCCACACUUAAGAGAUUUUGUGCAAGACGAGGGACUAGAUAUACAUUACGUAUAUAUUUUGGGCCUUUAUUCGUUUCCACGGCGAUGGUGCCUUUUCCUUUGACAUCUACUAAUGCACCAUUGCCUAACUUUACUUGAGAUUUCACCGACUUAUCGAUAUCGGUGAAUAUAGUUUCGUCCCCUGUCAUGUGAUUGCUACACCCACUAUCGAUGUACCAUAUUUCGCUUUUAUUGUCAUUUACCGCUUGGCCUGCGUAGAAUGUAUUCUCUUCACUUUCUUUUUUUUCUACAUAGUUUGCUCGAUUAUUUGUUUUCGAGCGACAAUCUUUUUCUACGUGGCCAUAUCUUUUACAAAAGCGGCAUUGUUUUUUAUUUUUAAACCAACAAUCCUUCUCCAAAUGAUUUGUUUUCUUGCAAAUACCACAAGGUGGAUAAUUUUCUUUUUUUAUAAUUUCUCCUCCUCUUUUGUUUUUCCAUGAGCUCCUUCCAUCAUUUUUAGUUUGAUGAGACCGUAUAUUUACUUUAGACUGAAAGGCACUUUCGACCGAAUCUUCAUCUUGUGCCAUUAGUCUUUUCUCAUAUGCUUCUAGAGAGCCAAUUAAUUCACUUAUUGAUAGGGUCGUCAAGUCUUUAGUUCCUUCUAUAGUUGUAACUAUGGAGUUGUAUUUUUUGGUAAGUGACACCAAUAUUUUCUCAACAACCCUUUGAUCAGUUAUCCCAUCUCCAUAGGCUCUCAUUUGAUUAACGAGUUCCUUUAAUUUUCCACAAUAUUCUUGUACGGUCUCAUAAUUUUUCAUUUUAGAAUUCUCAAAAUCUCUUCUUAGUGUUUGAAGACGAAUAGUGCGUACCUUUUCCGAUCCUUGAAAUUCUUCUCGUAGUAUAUCCCAAGCCUCUUUUGCAGUCCUUGCUCCAAUUAUUCUCGGAAAUACGGUUUCCGAGAGUGCUUGUUGGAUAAAAUAUAGCGCCCUUGCAUCCUUUUGUAGUUGAUCCUUCGAAACACUUGCAUCUUCUGGCGGAGCCUCGUGACAUUUUUCCACGAUGUCCCAUAAGUCUUGGGCCAUCAAGAAUGUAGUCAUUUUUAUGCUCCAAAAGUCAUAGUUGUUCCCAUCAAAAAUGGGAAUGGGAAAUGAGGACGAGGUAGAGUUGGCCAUGGUUUAGUUAGUGGGUAUUUGGAAAUAGUAGUUUUAGGAGUGGGUGGGUAGGACAAACGCCCGACACCAACCAAAGACGUGGCUCUGAUACCACUGUUGGUGUUUUGCGGAAGCGUGUGUGUGCAAGUGUUAUGUGUGAAUAAAAGGACUAUAAAGGCAAAGGGAGAAUGGGUUAAAAAGAGGGCUUUUAUUAUGAAAACUUUUAUUACAGAGGAAGGGUUUUGGAAGGAGUGUGUGUGGUUUUUCUCGGCUUCUUAAAACGCACAUCCCAACCCCUAUUUAUAGGCGUGAGCACCGCCUCUUCUUCACCGACAUUGAGUACAAGAAAUAAUAAAAAAUUCAGCUUGCUUCUUUGUCUCUGCAUGUUGCGGCUUCUCCCGAAGAAUCUGGUCUCUUCUCAAUUUUUCUGCAUUAUUCUAUUCUUUGCAACUCCCAGCCACUUUUGUUGACUUUUCAACUAAUUUCCAGCUGGCUUUCUUCCUUCAUACGUAGAGUAGUAUAGGGAGUUCUAGAUUUUUCACAAAAUGGAUCAUAUUUUAACAUGUCAUGAGGUUUAGUACACAACUGACUAUAUUAUUCUGAAGAAUUUGAUUCCGUUGAAUACUCGAAACACAGAAAUCUGACAAAUUGGAGUUUGAAUUAUUGAAACUGCGACAACAAUUGAAUAGAAAUGUAAAAGAGACUUGGGGUUGAUGCCUGAUUAUAUAUCGAAAUACCAUGUGUUUGACAUACAGACCUCCUUGUCAAAGCCCUGUAUGCUAUUGGAAAUACGUAUACGUAUUAGGCGCAUUUUGUGGGCUACUACAUGGUCACAUGGUGCACUUGUUUAUAUUUUAAGUUUCAAUGGGUCAGUUUUGUCUACUGGUAAUAUUUUCCUCCAAUCAUACUUUCAAUUAAGAGGUCACAGAUUAUGGACAUUAUCAAUAUGCAAAUUCAAUCAAAAUCAAAUACGAGUGAUGUUAAUAUUUGUGUGAUCCAUCAAUGAAAGUUAUGGCUAAAAAGAGUUCAUCCAGCUAGAGCGUUACAUGUGCAAAUAGAGAUAAAAUAAAUUUAGAAUUCUAUCUGUGAACUUUUACAUCAUUGACUACGGUUGCUAACAAGCAUUUUCAUUGCAAAUUUGACAACAUUUUUGGAUGGCUUUUGGACUAUCGAUGUUGAUUACAUAAUUACGUCGUGAUUCAGUUUGAUCAUGUUCAGAUUUAGUUUUCUUACAUUUAUUUGAAUCUAAGUUACUAUUAUUGCACAUGAUCUAAGCUCCAACAAUAUUCUCACAUGACAUUUCUUGCUUGUCAAUCAUGUGACUUUAAUGAUGUUGUGAUUUAAAUCGGUUACACGUAAAAAGUUUCAGUCAAUAAUUGACACAAAUAGUAGUAGUGGACCGACCACAUAACAUUAUAUUGGCAGUGCAAAAUCUAAUUUCAAGAGAUCAAUAGCAUAACUGCAGCAAAUAUCAAACUUUAGGACCGUGAAUGAAAUUUCUCGGUGUUAAAAAAUAAUUUUCCUUCUCUUGUCGCCGCCACGGAGAAAAUCUUUUAGCACCGCCACUGGAAAAAAGGAUCGUGGUUUUCUUCCAUCACAAAUUUGAUUGGCGAGUUAUCAAAACCUGAAGAAUCAUCCUAGAGACCGAUUCAAGGACAGCAGUUGAUCUACUAGUUGGCAAGAUUACAGAGUCGUUGAGGCCAGAUUGGGUGGUGAAAACCAACACAGCCCGUGAAGGCAAAACGUGCGACGAUUGAUAAGCCAAUGCAGCGUUCUUUAAGAGACCAGAUUUAGUUAUUCACUUGAGUUUAUCUACGGGCUUCAAUUUGUACUUUUUAGGAGAUAAAAGUGGGUGUUAGGAGGCUGGGAGUUGCAUAUGAGAUGUGUUAGAAAUCAAACCAAAUUAAUAAAUGUCGUCAAUCAACUACGAGUUGCUGAUGUCAAUGGAGAAGUUACUGAUAUUAAUGGUUGUCAAUUUCGAUAUUCUAGAAUUUGAUACCGAUGAUUUUGUUUGGUGAAUUGAUACCGAUGAUUGUUCGAUGCUCGAGUUAAUUAGAUUCUUUAUUGUAGCGUUGUUUUUUAGAAGUCUUGACUGUUCGUGUUUCUAAGUGUAAUCAAUGUUUUGUAAGUUCUUAGGAUUUUCUCACUUUAGAACAUUAGCUAUAUUUAUGAGUCAUUUAGUUUAAGAGUUAUGUGUGAAGCAUAUAAAAGUCGAGUCCUGUAAUUGUUUUUGAUAAGGUGAAAAAAAGGUGAAAUAAACAAAUGGAUAUCUGUCUCCUUCUCUUUUUGGUGUUGCGUUAGUGAGUGUUUCAGCUUUAAAUUAUCCCAUCAAGAUGUAGCUUGUAUUUGUCUUUUACGAAAGCUCGAAAUUUUCUAGUUUGAUGCCAUAUGAAAUUACGAAGGAGCACUAUUAGCUAUUAUAGAAGUUUAGAUAAUUAGAUGGAUGCAUUAUUCAGUACUUAAUUGAUAUAAACGUCUUUUUCACGACCCAUGUUCCUUUUCAACAACUAGAUUACUUGCACAGCUUGGGAUCAAUGGAAGGAGAGCUGUCUAUAGAAGUGGAGGAUGGUGGAAUGAACAACUCGAUCGCGGAGGAGGUGAAAAAGGAUGAAAGAGGACCUUUAACGGAAGUGUCGAAGGAUGAAAGGGAUUCUGAAGAAGAAAUCUGGAGAGGUCGACGGGAGAUAAUGAAUAAUGCAUUGACGGCUUCCGCGGGGGGGCAAGAUCCGGCAAAAGCUUACGAAUAUGCUCGAAAACUGGAGCGUGUCAUCAUAGGCGGCAAGGUUGACGAGUUCCUUUCCAUGAUCAAUGUAAAUGAUCCAUUGUUGCGGGACAUCGAUUGGUCUGCCGUUUUAAAUUCCCGACUGGAAUGGAACGAAUCACUGCUCCACAGGGCAGCAGCAACCGAGAACGACGACAUCCUAAGGCUUCUGGUUGAUUAUGUUGGUGACCACCUCAUAACCGCCCAAGAUGAUCGGGGAUAUACCCCACUCCACUGGGUCGCUCGGUUGGGGGGAUCUACUGGAGCUGCAGAGAUGUUGAUUCACCGGGCAAGAGGCCUCCCCAAUGUCGAGGACAAGAACCUCUUGAGGAUGAAGAACAAACGUGGAAACACCGCUUUGCACUAGGCCGUGUGCUCUUAACAUGCCAACUUGGUGCGCUAUUUGUUGAGCGAAGAUUUGGAGCCCGUGUACUGGAAGAACGCGAGUGAGAAAUCUCCCCUGUACCAAGCCCUCGACAUUAACGACUCCGCUGUACAUGAGGCUUUAUUUUCACUCGCUUUGGAACCAUCAAAAGUAGAAGGCUUGCCGCCCAUUCAUGGUGCCAUUAUACGUUCACGACGCGGUACGUACCUAAAUCUGCUUAUAUGGAAAUAUAUUUAUCUAUUUCUGGACUGACUCGUCCCAAAUCUGUGCAAUAACUUUUUGCUCUUACCAGAACCCCUUACCGGUUUUUACUUAAAAUUCCCUACCCUGCUUGUUAAAGUAGUUGGAUACCCAUCGGUUUAGCCGCAUAAUAAACAAAUUAUUCACAUUAGAGCAUAAUAGAUCGGCUUAAAUAUUACAAAUACAACCAUUUCACUAGAAACUCAUGUGUUGUCGAUCUUUGAUUAGAAAGGCUAUAAAGUGCAAAUAUUUAAGAUUGAUGACCAUGAAAAUCUGGAAUCUAACAAUGAUGCCAUGUUUAAGCGAAUGAGAGCCAUGAACCAAAAUGAACAAAUGAAAAUUUAGGGCAUGAAUUAUGAACUGGUAGCAAAUCUGUAGGUUGCGCAAGCAUGCUAUAUUCAUUGGAAAAAGAGGAGGUGAAGGUUCCGUCACUCUCAGCAAAUUGAUGGAACAUCGUUGUUUGUGACAAACAGUCAAUAGGUUUUGAAGAAAUUAAGAAAAAUGGAUUUAAGUAAAGAAAGAAAGUUUGAUUUUUUUAUAAAUGAAUACAGUUAUCAUAAUCUUUGCAGAAAAAGCCAAUACUGUAAUCUAGCCUAAAUUACCUUGACCAUUAACAAUAUUGAGAUAAACUUCAUCAGACACACGAUAAUCAAUUAUGUAGAAUUUUUUGGCUGCUAACGCCAUGGAUCCCUAGUUUACUACUUGAAAAGCGCAUGUUCAUUGAUCAUUAGAUUGGUGGAUUGCAUUCAGGUGUUACAGUCAUAUCAAAUAGGGAGAAUUGUUCAAAAACUUCUAGACUUAUUGUAUGGCUGUCAAUUCAGUCCUAAACAUUCAAUUGUGCUAAUUUAAUAUCCAUUUUAGUUCUAAACCUUUCAAAGAUUUGCCAAUUUAGUCAUUCCGAUCAAUUUUUACUAGAAAUUGCUGACAUGACGAUUUAGUCAAAGCUAGCUGUCCUACAUGAUGUUGAUCGCUUAUGUGGCUUUUUAACAAUAUUUUUUAAUUUUUUGCAUUUUUUCCUUUCCUUUUUUUUUUUUUUAAUCUUUUUUUCCCUCUGCCAGCCUCAAGUGAGGGUUGCCCUCCGACCCUUGCAUAGGGCAACCCUUGCCCUUGCUCAACCUCCACCAAGCAUCAACCGUUGAUGGUUGGGGAGGGGAAAAAGGAAAAAAAAUUAGAAAAAUAAAAUAAAAAAAAAGGUAAGGAAAAAGGAAAAAAAAUUAGAAAUAUAAAAAAAUUAUAAAAAUUAUUCACGUUAGCGUUAGCCGUAUCACGUAGGAUGACCAGUGCUAUUAGACUGCCAUGUUAAUGAUUUCUAAAAAAAAUUGGCUGGAAUGACUAAAAUGACAAAUCAUUAAAAUGUUUAUAAUUAAAUUAGCACAAUCAAAAGAUUUAUGACUAAAUUGGUAAGUUAUUAAAAAUUUUAUGACUAAGUUGGCACAAUUAAAAAAUUUAAUAUUGAAUUAAUCGUCAUAUAAUAGAUUUAAGACUUUUUGGACAAUUUUCCCUAUCAAGUAUAAUUCCAACCCUAGAUGCAGUGACUUUAUUUUUAUCCCGUCGCAAUUUAUUAAUCCAAGCACAUGUUAUUAUUUACAUUGCACGACAUAACAUGUUUAAGGCUCUCUAUUUGAACUGAACAUGCAAAAACAAUUUCAAAUAGACAUAAAGUGAAAAUGCGUAACAAUGUAUUAUGUGAUGCAAAUAAUAAAUUAGCAUACCCAAUAAAUUUAUGUGUCUAAACUUAUGUUGCACCCGUUGAAUAGAUUGUAGAAGUCGACCCGCACACACAACGUUCAUAGUCCAUUUACAAACGGCUUAACUUAUUUGUGAUGAUACGAUUAAACCUAAUUCUACCAUAUUCAACCACGUAGUGAACAUGUAUGUAAAAGGGUCGUUUCAUAGUUUGUCAGCUCAUAAUUCUAAUAAGCACUUUAGAAACUAUACGAAAGUUCCCAUUGAAAUUGGAUUUAUUAUGUAUAUCUUAUUCUUAUUAUCCAAUAUAUAAAAAUCCUUUAUGAAGUACUACUGAUUGAAAUGUCGUAAUAAUAGUUCAGUUUAUUCUUCAUUGAAUGUAAAAGUAGAUGACAUUGUGGAAUGAAUCGAGCCUUGCCAUGGGCUUUUGUAGAUAGGCACUUUAGUUAGGUUAUCAUAGUAGGCAUUUUUUUUUUUUUUUUAAGGUUCAUAUCAACUAAAUGAGGUAAGGUUAUUUCUUUAAAUCUAGUAAUAUUCUUUCACUUAGAAAAAUUAUCCAAAAAGUUCUAAGCCUAUUGCACUUUUACCAAUUCAAUCAUAAACCAUUCAAUUUUGUCAAUUUAAUCCUAAACAUUUUCACUUCUUGCUAAUUGAGUCAAUUUAACUAAUUUUGAUCAAAAUUUGUUAACGUAGAUAAUUUUUAAUAACAUUUUAAUAUUUUUUGAAAUUUUUUAUACUUUUUUUCAUUUUUUUUUCUUUUCUCUUUCUUUCUUCCCCCCUUUCUUCUUCCUAUUAUUAGUGGCCGGCUACCAAUCACAGGCUAUGGCCAACUACCAGCCAUGGCUAGGUGAGCAAAACUUGCCUACCAUAAGUGAUGCCUGGCUGGGUGAGGCCAAGUCUCAGUGAGGGUCGGUCUCGCUUGGCCUCCCCUAGGUUAGGCGAGACCAACCCUCGCCAAAACUGGGCGAGGGUGAGCCCUCCUGCUCGGCCAAGUCUUACUUGGGGCAUGUGAGGCUAGCUGGCUUGGCCAUAGUCAGUGGCUGGCACAAAAAGAAGAAGAAAGCUAAUAAGAAAAUUAGAAAAAAAAAAUUUUAUCUUUAAAAAUUGUUUACAUUAGUGCCGAUUGCGUAGGACUCAAUUAGCAAGAAGUAAAAAGGUUUAGGACUGAUUGAUAAAAUUAAAAGGUUUAUGACUAAAUUGACAUAAUUGCAAUAAAUUUAGAAUUUUUUGGACAAUUUUCACUUUCACUAAUGUACCUAGAAUGUAACCGGUUGCCCAUAUUGCUUAAUUGAAAUUUGUGGCCUGAAUUGCUCUGUCAAUUUCAAGAAUGACGGCAUCCAUCAUUCGAGCAUUUUUUUUUUAAAUUUGUGUAAAACUGAAAUAUGUUUUUUUAUUAUAAAUAAUUUGUAAAAUAGUAUUCUAUUUCAUAUAAAAUUUCCUCAUUUGAAUAGAAUAAAUGUGAAAUUCUUUAUUCAUGUUAUAUAUUAAUGUAAAAUAUAGAGGACUCGACAACAGUUAGAAAAUUCCUAAUUUGUGACUCAUGAAAUUUGUAUUUGUACUUAAUAAUAUUAUUAGAGUAUAUUUUAUAGGAAGUAUUAUAGAAAUGUUAGAAUUUUCAAUAAUUGCUCAUUUGCAGUUUUUGAAACUCAUUAGAACUAAUUUCAAUAAAACUAAUGUCUGAACAAAAGUCAUGGUAUACGAGGCAAACAUAAAUCCUAAUUUGAAGCAAAAUAAAUGGAAAGUGGAAGAAAAACACUCUUUGUGAGGAAAAUAAUCAAUCCCUUACACAUUAGAGCCCUAAAAAUCACUUUUAGAGACAAUUCUUAAAGAAAAAAUCAUUAUUUAUUUAUGUAUAUGUUACAACGGUCUAGAUUAAUUUGCAAAGUUCAUUGAACUUUUAGUAUUAUGGAUGUAAUUUUUCUGGCGGUAAAAUGAGACUCGUUUUGUUUUGUGUUGUGUCAUCACAGCUUAAAUAUGUGGUCGUUAUAGCUAGGAUAUAUAUGACUCCAUGCGAUGCACCUACAAGAUAGAACAUAUAAUGUGAUUUAUUGAGUAAAAAUAUCUGUCCCAGAAUCACUAAAAUUUCACAAAAUAUAUUUGGUCCAUUCACAAGAUAUAAUGGGAUUGAGUAGCACAAUCCCCAAGGAUGAGGUUAUCUCUAAAUCACUCUCGCCUGUCUUUGAAGUCCAAUGGCCACCCACAAUCCUCAAACACCGUUGGAAUAUUCUCAAACAAUUGAAGCACCUCUCUCACAUUAUUGAACCUCUUUACUAGCACCUCCAAAUUUUCAUAGUUGGGGCCAAAAAAAAAUUUCUUUUGGUGGAGCCUUUUCCUUUCUGUAAUUUGUGAUUUAUAAGCUCUACUAUCUUAGAAAUAGAUUCUGGUCACAAAUUUUACUUAGAUUUUGCUCACAAGUUUUGGUAAAUACAUAAUCUCUUAAUUGAGCUGAAUAAGUGCCAUAUACCUUUACGAAGAAGAUGACGUUCAAUCUAGAGAGGGUGGAACAAUUUUAAGGGGGAUUUCGGUACGGUGUUGUGGAGGCUAUUGCAAUGUUCUCGACAAUUAAAUAAGUUUGCUUGAUACUUGCUAGAAUUCGAUGGACAUAAUAUGAAAAGAUCAUUUUCCUUUUCUUGAUCUUGCCCUAGCUUGCAUUACGCCUGCCGACUCUAUAGAUACUUCAUGGCGUGGAAAUGCCAUAUAAAUUGCUAUGUCAUUUAGUAAGAUUUUUAUAGUGAAAUCUUAAGCACCCGUCGAUGUCAUUAACUAGUUUUGGUAUUGCAAUCUAAUCUUGCAAUCUAAUAUGUUAUUGUCGACUAUCAAUACUAGUAGUGAUUAAGGCACAUCAAAGAUGUCCUUACUCCAAAAUGGGUUUAAAUAUAUUGAGACCAACCAAGCUCCAACCAUCCUAAUUUGGAGCUCCUGAUCCCAGAUUUAUUCGACCUGAUACUCAAGAAAAACAUGGAGCUAUUUGCAAUGACCGACUCCAACGGGGGCAAUGUAUUCCAUUUAGCAGCUCACCUGAAUCACGCCUGGGUAUUCGAAUUCUUACGAACAGAAACUGAAUAUUUGACCCUAGAACGGGACAUGAAUGGAGAUCUCCCCAUUCAUAUUGCAAGCAAGAUGGGUUAUGUUGAACAUAUCGAGAAGCUAAGGAAAGUAUCACUAUUGCCAAAUGGGCAAGGGCAAAACAUUCUUCAUAUCGCCGCAAAAUAUGGUAGAGUCUCCGUGGUGAGAUAUAUACUCAGCGAUCCAAUUCAAGGGAUGCUGUUAUAUGCAAUAGAUAAUGAUGGAAAUACAGCUUUGCACUUGGCUGCGAUGCAUUCACAACCCGCUGCUUUGAUUCAUCUUGUGCGGACUGACGGAAUUCUACCAAGCGUGUUCAACAACGAAUGCUUGCUCGCUGCUGACAUUGCUCGACGACGACACAAGGCAGAGGGGUAUAACAUUCGGCAUGUAGGUAACAUGAACAGUCACUAUUUUAUUUAUUAACUUACUGGAGAUUUCGUAGACUAAUGCAUUAGUUAAGGCAGAUCUUGUAUUCAAAUCAUUAUGUCUCCCAGGCCAAAUAGAUAGUAGAAGUAUUGAUCAAAUUUCUAGAAUAGCCGAGACUCCUCUUGGAUAAGUGUUCUGCAAGUCCCUAAUUUAGUCUUGAUAGGAGGUAAAUUAAAAUUUGUGAUCAUGAAUUUCUCUGCAGUUAGAAACAAGUAACGUGUCUUUCAUAACACGGAGAUAACAAUUUAUAUAAUUCGUUUAAUUGAGCCUCUGAAUACGGUCAUGAAUAAAAAGGCAAGGUUUGUCAAGGUUGCAUUCUGUUUUUCAUAAAAAGCCAGGGGUCAAUGUGGCAAAUUUGACCGCUCCAAAUGUAGCACAAUCUCAUAACAUUAUCAUUUUUUGGACCUAUGAAAUGAUUGCCCGCAUAGAUUCCAUUCAUGCCUCUUUUUUCGUCUAAAACGAACUUCGUAAUUUUGUGCUAAUUCUUCAAAAAGAGCAGAAACUGCAUCUUUAGAAGCCAACGUUUCCAGAGUUCAUUCCCGUUAUCGAUAUGGUAUAAGUUUGUUCUUAUUUUCCCUUUUACAUGCUUCCGAUCUCAGCAAUUGGCAUACCUGGCGUUGCUUUGCUCGCACGCGGGAAAAGGUCCACUUGGAAACCAAGAGUUAUUCUUACUUAGAGCGAAAGCUCGAGAUGAAGAGUUAUCAGUAGUCCGCUCGCGCAAAAGCAUGCCGAGCAGGGACAUCGUCAAGGAUUACAUCAAUUCCCGUAUGGUGGUGGCAACGCUUGUGGCCACAGUGACUUUCGCAGCUGGUUUUGCAGUUCCUGGAGGAUUUAACAGCUCGGACACAGACUCCAAAGAUGAGCAGGGCAUGGCUACGAUGCUGGACAAUAAAAUGUUCCAGGCUUUCGCGAUUUGCAACACCAUCGCGAUGUUCUGCUCAAUAACUGUGGUCGUCAACCUCAUCUGGGCGCAGAUAGUUGAUGUCAACGUUGCAGUCGCUGCAUUCGAGCGCACAACGCUACCACUACAAAUUGCACUCCCGGCGAUGUCCACCGCUUUCUUAACUGGUGUCACCUUGACCAUUGGCAAACUCCCGUGGCUUGCUAACACCAUAUUUUAUUUGGGACUCGUUUUCCUCAUUAUCUCAGUUGCUAAAUUGUUAGAGAAGCCUCUCUUCUUUCACAUCUGCGGCCGUCCUCUCCGUCGACUAACAUUCUGGCUUAUUCUGGCUUACAUUUAUGUGUGGAGAGUUGAGACGUACAUUUAUGAUGACGAUGACGCGAAAGAUAACAGAAGGGAGAGCAAGACCUUCGCUAGUCCGCCUGUGGAUGUUGCCGGUGAAUCGAGGACCGGUGACACGGCGAAAGCAAAAUGUGGGGAUGCGUUACAUCCUCCAAGUCACUGAUUUGAAUUGAUCAUUCCAUAUUAUCUGUAAUAUGUAGUAAUAAUAUAUGUUUUCCUUGGUGAGUGUGACUCACUCUACGGUUGCUUUCCUUUAUGUCAGAUCAAAGGUGAUUGUUAAUGUAUGUAAACUAAACCAUGUGUUUCUCUAAUAACUUAACUUAUUAGAAUUGUUGGAUAUAAUUCCAUCAAAUUUCAUAUGUUAUUAAAGCAGAUGUUCUAAGUUCAAACAUUUUCAGGUCCUAUUUGCUUCAUCUAUUAUAUGUUCUCAUGUUUCAAUCUUAGAUCAAUUCAAGUUUACGAGUGAAGAUGAGUAUAAAAAUAUUUGUAUUAAAGUAUUUGAAUUAAACAUCGCAUCCAUCUAAUAAUUUAAGUUUUUAGAACAAUUAAUUGUAGCUUCCCGAAAUUUCAAAGUGAUACACACUUCACGUAAAUUGAAUGGAUGAAUGGCUCAUUGCGUCCAUUUCAUCCCCCUGGAAUCAAAUUGUUAACUUUGAACAUGUGGAACCUUGUGGGUUUAUGAAAUCACUCGUUUGGAAUGGCCAUGUCCGAUUUACUUUGAACCAGUCCAAUUUGCAGCACUCACUUACCCGUCUGGUGUGCAAAGAAAAUAAUUCUCAUCGCCUACUCUCUGAGUCGAGAGUUAGGUGAAGAAAAUCGGAACAAAAUAAUUCUCUUCACUCCUGACAAAAAAAUAGAAUCAAACACCGAACUCAUUUCCAUUUACACCCCUUUCAUUUCCCCACUUCUCCCUCCUAGGCGCCCAAUUUCUGUGCAUGCAAAUGAGUUUUGGUGUUUGAUUCGUGGCGGGGUAUAAUCUUAGUGAGCAGCGGGCGCAGAAGUCUAGUCAAGGGACGACAUAAAAAGGAAUUGCAGUACGCAACUCAAGGAGAAUUGUGGAAAAGUCUGGAUAUGUGAUUUUCCUCCUCUGAUCUCUGAUUUUUAUUUCAAAGCUGGUUGGUAUUGACACGUAGAAUAUAACUCUAAAGUGAUUCUGGACCUAUUUAUUCGACAGUGAACGUAGAUAAUUACAAAAAAUAAAAAGGAUCCCAUUGUACGAAUGUCUAUUGAGCUAUAAACUAUUAAAAUUAAUUGAUCUAAUUUUAAACAUCUUGAUGAUUUGUCAAUAUAAUCUCCAACUUUGACCGAAAAUCGUUAACGUGGACAUUAGCCAUCCUUUGCACAUGACCGGUAUUGAGUUGGACAAUUUUCGUAAUUUUAAAAAAAAAUUCUCAAUUUUUUUCUUUUUUUUUCAUGUUUUCAUUUUCUUCAUUUUCAUUUCUUAUAUUUUCCUUUUUUCUUUUUCUUAUUCCCCUUCGCCAGCCAUUGGCCAGUCCAUGGCUUCGGUGAUUGAUGGCAAGGGCCCAGAUGCCCUCGCCAGCUAGCAAGGGCUGAUGGAUUUGCUGGGGCCACAUACUAAUGGAGGGACAAAGGAAGAAAAAAAAGGAAAGAAAAGGAACUAAAAAAGAAAAAAAAAGUUUUGAAAAAAUUGUAAAAAUUAUUCACAUCAGCAUCGGCACCUAGAUCUGGGCGAGGCCAAUCUCUUCAUGGCCUGGCCUAAAUCUGGGUGAAGCCACCUUGCGCACGGCCCCAAGACCUCGCUCGUGGCCGACGAGACUCAUCAAAGAACCAAAAGAAUCAAGAAGAGAAAAAAAUUAAUUUAGACGUCCCGAUUAAUUAAUGAUUUCCCUAUAGCUUGUACCUCUAAAGUCAAUUAAAUAUUAUUAAUGGAUUAAAGUCGCAUAUGUUGCACUUCGCACUAAGAAUAAUGAGUUAUUAAGGUUCCUUUUAUUUAGCAUAUAAAUGAUUUGAAAAAUAUUUUCCUAAAAACGAUUGUUUAUAUCGCUUAAAAUAAUUAGUUGAUGAAAAAUAUUUUCAUUAUCGACAAUAAUUUAUAUCUAAAUAUUUAUGUGGAUGAUAAAAAUAUUAUUCGUUUAUUCAUUCCUAUAAGUGAUAUUGACAAUUAUUUUUAAUAAAAAAAUUUCUAAAUUAUUCAUUUUACGUGAAAUAAAUGCACCUUACUUGACAAGUUUUGAUAAUUGCGUAAUUCCUAUCAAAGAAAAAUAAAUAUAAUAUAUUUCAACUAAAAUCGCCAAAAUUAAAUACAGGGAGACUUAAAAAUACCUUGUCGAUGGUAUAGGUGUGCAUGUAGAAUUUGAAUAGUUGGAUAAAAGAAAUAAAUAAAUAAAUAAAAAGCGUCCGAAAGGAACUUUGAAAGGGUAAAUGAGGAAAAAAGGAAGAAUUGUGGAGGAAGAGAUGGAAGUCAAAGCCGGCCGGAGCAAUAAACUCGAAUAAAAGAAUAAAUUAGGUUAAAACUUCUUGAUUUUUUUCUCUCCCUUUUGAUUCGUUUUCAUUUCUGCGAUUGAUUUUGUCAUUUUGAGCUUAGGUUGCUACCUAAUAGGCAGAAAUUUUGUAACAUUUGAUAUGAUAUGCAAAUACACAUUACUUGUGUAUAUCUCGAAAAUCUCCACUUUUGGACACUGUUUUUUGCUGGCUUCUAAAAAAUGCCCUUCUAUUAAUCUUCCGAGCGUUAAAAACUACAAAAUACAAACUAAAAAAGUCAGAUUGUGAGAGCAACUUCUGUUUGCUCUUUCUUUUGUUUUGCAUCGCAUAUUGGUCCUUCACCUAUUUUUGUAUGCUGAUAGCUAAUUAUAAACACCAAGUUGCUUCAAAGGUCAAAGUUGAAACAAGCAUAUAUUGAAAUGUAGAGGCAAAAGAAAUUAUGCAGGUUCUCGAAACUCUGGUGAUUGACCGUGGGGACAUCACCCGAUCUCGGUAUGUUGAGCUUUUUGAUGGCGAUGGUUGCCAGUUCGGCCUUGUAAACGCUCCCGAACCAGCCCUUUCCAAAGCAGUACUUUUCACUGCAUUCAUUGCUAGUCUUGGCGAUGUCAUUGAAUGUGAACUUCCCUUCCCUUCCCCAUAUGAUCGACUCGGAUUUCUCUUACUUUACAAGACUCUUGAUCCCUUCAUCGAAUUCCUUGUUUCGCCACCGAACUGCCAGAAUCACAGCAUUUGAAGUCACCAGAAGUAGUAAACAGCAGACUGCCAGGGUCACACCAAUAAGAACCUUUUCCCUAUGGUCGGUCGAUUAUUGCUCGUCCCACAAGGAGAUAAUCUGGUCGCAUUUCCACACAAACCCGGAUUCACGAUUAAAGCACUUCCCCAUGCUUGUUGGGAGAGGCGACUACUACGAACCGCACUGAUUGGCUCGUUGUACGAUAAGUCUAUUGAGCUUCAACUCCUCAUGCUGGUGAGAGGAGCUGGGAUGGUACCCGACAAUUUGUUACGCAAAAGAUUGAGAUUUUCCAAUUCAGUGAGCUUUGCUAAAUUGGAAGGAAUUGAUCCUGCUAGAGAAUUGUGGCUCAAGUCCAGGAGAUUCUGUAACUUGAACAAGUUCCCCAGCUCUGGCAAUAUGACAUCCAACAGAUUAUUGUUGCUCAAGUUCAAGCUCGGUAAAUUCUUGCAAUUCGCUAGCUCUUCUUGUAUGCUACCACUCAAUGCCUUCUCCCCAACAAAUCAAGAUAUUCUAGCUUCGAUAAGUUUCCUAAUGAGGUGGGAAUAUCUCCAGCCAAAUGGUUGUAGCUCAAGUUCAGCUUAAUCAACGCCCCCAGACUUACCAAAUCAUUGGGAAUUUUCCUGGUCGAUUCAUUGCCAUAUGGAGUCAGAUCGCGCAAUUGAGACAAUUUCCCAAGCUCCGGAGAGAUGCAGCUGCGGAUUUUGUUACCAUCUAUCUGCAAAUUCGUGACAUUCGUGCACUCUCCCCAUUCUGCGGAGAGAUUCCCGACAAAUCGGUUGUUGCUGAGGGCCUGAGGCUUAUAAAGUCCGGAUUCAGAUAAACUCCAAGCGCACUCAUGACAUCUGCAGUGAACCGAUUGCUGUCCAGACGGACUCUGGUUAGCCCCGGACAAUUCCUAAGCAGUUGGGCAGCGGCUCGGUGAAGUUACUCCCAUCGACCACGAGAUAUCAAAAAGAGCAAAGCCGCUGCAUAUAUCUGGCGGCAGCUCUCUGGUGAAGCUGUUGUUCAAAAAGCUAACGUUGCCCAGAGAAUGGCUGUACUUGCCGAAAUCACGUGGUAUGCCUCCCGAGUAAUUGUUCAUGAACAAAGAGAUGGACUGUAAGUGAUGCUACGUUAUGGCUUUUUCCUUCCCAGCCCUGAUCUCCUCUUCUUCAACUUGAAGUGCCUCCUUGGUGGUAUACUUGCUCGUCAUCUUGCAAGCCGACCUUCAUCACUGACAGCCUCUCAAACUUGACCUCAUAAUCAAUCGACUUGAGUUUGUCGUCCAAUGUGUCGCCUUCAAUUAUCGUCUACCUACACACGAAGUUCUCCUUGUCGAGCUCAUUGAUCCGGUGCUUCACAUUCUUGAAAUGACUAGCUGCACUUGUGACCAAACAAGACUUACAUUAUGAAACUCCCGGCUUGACGAGUGUCUGUUGAGUGUACGUACCUUUGGCGAUAUUAACUUGCUUGAUGCUUCCGGCUCCUCUGUCGCCUUGCACGAGCUCCAUGCUCUUUAUGAACUGAGGCAGGAGCUUUGGGAUCAGGGAAUUCAACCCGACGAUCAAGGCCUUGAACAUGUGAGCUGGAGCAAUCGGGCACGUGAGCUCUUGUGUGAUGCUGGUUGCACCCAUGGCUAUUGGCAAUGAGAAAGAAAUAACCCCAGAGAAGCUUGUGCUUCUGAGUCCUGUCAAUGCCUCCUAUUUAUGGUUAGAAUUAUGUGAAUAGGUAGGCUUGGUUUGGCAAGAGUCACGUUUGAGGAAAAUAGAAGAGUCAAGGAUUUGCCGCCUAAAGAAAUGUAAAAGAGGAAUUAAGUUGGUCUCUUUUGUUCUUUUGGUCGUGAAAAUGAUUUCGGUCCCUUUCAGAUUCAAGUUGUUGAAAUAUCAAAGUAUAUGUGCCAAAAGAUGAACACGAGAGCGCAUUCUCAUGCUCACAUGGGCGGCCAUCACUUAGAAUUGAUUGUUGUGGAGUUUGAUACAACGAUUCAGCCAGACUAUGUGACGACGUGCUUAUCUAAUAUCGCGAUCAAAUGUCCUUGUUUAGAAAAGCGACUGUUCAUCGAAUUUCAUUUAAUAUGUAGAAAACAAGAAUACUUGAUUAGUUAGUGAUAUGACAACCAUUGUCUAUCCACAAUCCUACUCUCCAAUACAAACCUUGCAAAUACUCAAAAAAUUUGUUUCUUAGCAUGAUCAUAUUCUGGUAGAUAAUAACCAUAUGCAUGUGUCCACUUGAGCACUCGCCUACACUCAACUAUCUGCAAACAUCAAAGGAGCCUAAUUUAGUUUCACAGAAGCAGGUCAGGAUAAUAAAUCAAAAACACCCCAUCAGAUUUUAACCUAUAUAACAGCUGUAUUUACAUUCCAAACUGAAAAUCACAUAAAUCAUAUUUAAGUUGGAUUAAGUAAUAAAACCUGUUGCCAGGCCUCUUUGAUGAACUUCAACUGUGACUCCGGCUGGCAUUGUGUGUCACUAAGCUUAUCGAGCUGACAAGAAGAAAAGACAAAACCUUAUUUAAUCAAUAGCAAAGGGUCAGGAAGCAUCAGCAGCACAACAUAAUAACCAGAUGAAUAGAAAAGCCAUGCAUCUUGCUUCCUAUCACAAGAAAACAAAGAUCAAUUUGUUAAUUUAACAUCAUAAGCAACUUAUCGCAACUCAACCUGCCCAGUUGCCACUAAGCAUCAACACAUUUACCCAGUAUAGAUUCUUCAGACACAACUGCAAUCCUUAGUGUACUCAAUACCCAUGACUGUCAGACUAAAAUGUUAGCCCAAGUACAGAGAGGCAAACACAUACAGAAACAAAGAUCGUCCUGGUCUUGUGGCACUCCUUAAUACAGCAAUGUGAACCUAAGAUCUAUUUCUGCAGAAGUUACAACCAGAAUACAUUUGUCACAAAGACUCUUCAGUAAUAUUAUUAAUUAAUAGAAAAUUUGGUUGUUAGAGAUGCAAAAUGCUAUGAAAUUAAAUAACUGAUAUGGAAUACUAUCGAUUUAGUAAGCGCUUCAUCCUCUUCCUCCAAUUUCCUUUCGUGUCACGGCAACAAAGUUGGGGGUAGGAAUUGGAUAUCACCAUCUCAAAUUGUCGGUUCCCUUGUGUGCGCUAAAAUGUUGCAAUAUUUAGAUCAGUAAUCCAAGACAAUCAAUGUCAUGCCCACCCAUACUCGUUGAAAUGUGGAUAAGAGAAAGAUUACAAUGCACAUAUUGGCCCCCGCAAGCCCAACUCAUCUAUAACUCUACAAAGCAUAAACAACAACCUGUUAGCAGAAUUUCUGUAACAUUAAGCAAAAAUUAUGCACAUCAUGAGCCCCCCAAAAAGUUGACUCUUAGUAUUAUCAAAGUUAAGCUAGCUUUGCUUGAAUUCCCAGAUUCAAUAUCUUGACAUCAAGAUUGUCCAGUUCAAUAGGCUUACUUUUUAAGCAUGCUGUUGAAAAAAAUGACAGAUUAUAUGCAAAUAACAUCAACUGAAUAUGUCGGUGUUAAAAAACCACUGGAAAUGCUCUGAAUUGCUAAUUUUAUCUAAGUAUAUGGUGAAGAUCAUGGAUUAAUCCUCUCCAAAGCCCAACAUUUCUCUUCAGAAUCACUUUGUGUAGAUGCAAAAGUCAUCCUUUGGUUACUCGCAUCCAAAAAAAGGGAGCAUAAAUGUUGACUUUCAGUUGAUUUUUUCCAUCAAAUAUAACCUAUGAAGAUAUCCCAAAGUGGCAAGGAAAGUACAAUAGUCUGCUUUGGAGCCACAAAAAAAAAAAAAACUGAACUUUUUAAAAAUCCAAAUGCCCACUUUGCCUUGGCUCUUGGAGCAAGGAGUGAUCUAUCGGAAUCAGGCACAUUAUCCAUACAACUACGAGCAACCUUUAGGAGGUCAGGAACACAAGCUUGGACAUAUGGAGAUAAGUUCUGCAAGACAUCUGUCGUAACAUCUGGUGUUCGUGGAUCCAAUGGAAGAAAUGGAAGUUUGGCAACCUCCCUCAAAGCAUCCAGAUAUUGACCUGCUCUCGCCAAUUUGUAUAUCAAUAAUAUCGCCUCAAGCUGUCCUAACACUGUUUGUUGCUCCAUAACACUCUCUAAUCAGGACUGCAGGAAUUAUGCAACUGAGAAGUAAAUGUCUAACCGUAGAACAAAAAAGGGGGACAAUUAACUUCAUAGAUGAAUAAGUUAUUUCUAGUCACAAAGCACAGCUUUAGUGCCCUAACUGAAGCAAGCGAUUUGAAUUAUGCAAUUAUAUGGCAGCGGGUAAGGAAAUAUUUAGAAUAGGUGAAAUCUAAAUGAUGGACCAAUUUUCCAGUUUCAUCAUGCUGCAGCAAUAAAUGAUCUAGCAUGACAGAAGCUUUAAAAAGCAUGAAAAUAGUCCACCCAAAAGGAAACUGCCACUUAGAAGACAGACAGCAGCUACCAAGAGAUUACCUGAUUUUAGGACUAUAUUUGUAGGUCUCCAAAAUCUCGUUUCCAGAAUGAAUCAAGCCAGCUGUCUGGCUUUCACCAUCCAACCGUCCGCGUCAAAGAGCACAUCAAGUCUGAAAGGCAUUUUUUAUUGGUGUCCGGGGCCAUUGAGAACGCCCCAAUCCUCUUCAGAAUCUCUAUUGACUGAUUUAAUUAAAGGAAAGAAUAAGCAAAGGAAAAGGGUAUUAAGACCAUCCUAGAUUCGAUAUUAUCCCAAGAUGAAAUAUCCAUUAAAAUUCUAGAUUUAGCAAUGGAGGAUGAUAUAACUGGAACUGUAUUAAAGAUGAAAGUUUAGAUCUCAAUGAAAAGCUACACAUAAAGAGUGAACUAAAGUAGAGUAAAUAAGAAAAUGAACUACCGCUAAUUUAUUUACACAAGCGAAAUGAUCUCCCUCCCUCCCCUCCCUACAUGUAUAAAAAUUUGUUCCAACUCAAUAAAUUAUAUCACGACACAUUUACUUUUGUUAUUGGGUAGCCAAUGAAAUAAUGAUCAGCAGAACAUGAAUCACCUCGAAAAGAUAAUUUCUGAACAAACACAGUCAAUCAAAGUACUUUGGCUCUCAAAGGUUCAUUGAAAACUUAUUUCAUUUGUGACUCCAUAAAAGCAAUAGGAGAAAGGGCAAAUUCCAUCAGCAGUCACUGAACUUGAGUGGAUUUUGCUAACAGCUCGCUGAACUGUAGUUUUGAUCAUCUCAUGUCCAGAACUUUUAUUUCUUUAUAAUUUAUGCACUUUGACCAAAAUCCAGCCAAUUUUCAAGCAAAGUACCGAUGUAGUAUACACAUGGUCAGGUGGCCACCAUGUCAGCAAUUAGCCGACAUUGGGCAAUUGAAGUCAAAGUUCAGUGAUAUGAUUGGAAACACCAGAGUCCAACAUUAAGUAAAGGGAGGAAAACGGAGAGAAAGACCAUACUUUGUCAUAUAUCCCAGCUUCCAAGCACUGCUGGGGCAGCUUCAAGCAUAAUUGGUUGUCUUGUUUUUACGUCCAGUAUAAACCUUAUCAAUUCACCUUCUUCCCCAGAACCUCUUGAACCAAGCCAAAAGUAAAUCUCACCAUCUCGAAAUAACAGCUCCGUGAGGAGUUGUUUCAGCAUCAAACUUCUCUGUCUCUGCUGAUCUGCAUUUCCCCUUCCAGUCCAAAAUGGUCGUCCACCACCCACUGCAGCAGCAGCCUGUGCAUAAUAUUCGAAAGACGUAAAUAUGAAGACCAUGCUGUCGAAUCAUGCUAGAUGCUUCUGCAUAAGCAUCCAUUACACCAAACUUUGAUCCUGCCCCUGUACCUUCCAUAAGGACGCCAUGGUCGGCAAGCACGAUAGCUAUGUGAGUGGCAUCACUGUUGUACCCUUCAUCUCCUGCUUCUUUAGACAAAUAGAGGAUAUCGGGUAGGAACUGGAUGCUUAGGAGCAGAAUAUAUGGGUAUACAAGAGGCUCCUUCCCAUUUUUGGUAUAGUAUGAUGCUGCAAACUUAUUUAGGUAAGCCUGCAAAUCCUCUAAACUAUAGGGGACUGAACUCUCACUAAGGAUAGCAGAUGAACCUCCCAGAGGGAACUCCUUGAUGGCUGACAGUUUAAACCUCAAUGGUGGUGAAAAGUGCCGAUAGAUCUCUCAGCAGCCUUUCGACGAGCCUUCGAGAACCAGAUAUCAUGGCAUAUAGUAACAACCUUUUCUUAUCAUACGUAGCUCGUGAGAGUGCUAGUAUGAACAAAAUAAAGGAGUUAAGGAAGAGAAUAAGAACACGAGAUUUAUAGUGGUUCGGCUUAAUCCAAGCCUACGUCCACUCUCCCACGAUAAUAGCCUUCUUGGCUGGAUUCCACUAUGCAAUCAACAAGAGAUUACAACUUCGAGUGCAAACACUUAGUAGAUCACACUAUCUCACUAAGUCACUCUCUUGGUAUUUCUCUCACGAUUACAAACGUUUAAGCUCUCAAGAGACAAGUAUAUGAUCUAAAGUCGCUUAGACUUUGGAAUUAUAAAUUCUACGCUCCGUCUCUUACUUGCUCAUCGGUCCUUCAUCUUCUUAAAUACUCCUCCACUUCCAAACUACCGUUGGACAGUAUCCCGGAGAAUCGUCUUCCAAUAUACCCAUUGGACAGCUCUGUAUCUAGAAGAUUUGGUAGCCGUUGAGUGACAAAGGUAAAAUUCCAAAUUGAUUCCGAUCGCCCAUACAAACGAAAUCUUGGUUUCCAUAAGUAAAGCUUCUUCGUAUAGAAAGUUCUUGUCUUCAAUCAAAUCAAUCUUGAUGUGGAAUCCAAACCAGAUCACUAGCCGUUAUAUGAUUGGGCUUGAGUUACGAUUCAUCGUAAUCUGGAUGUAAAGUCUGAGUCUUUAGACUUUACGAUAUGAGUCUUGAGACUUUACAAUCUGGGUCUGUAGACUUUAAAAUCUGGGUCUGUACAUAUCUGCUUCUAAACAGAUUUAGCUUUAAGGUCUGUACCCAGUUCAGCUUCAGCAUAGAGUCUGUCUUCUGGUUCAUCAUUCACGUUCAGUCUGGAAUUUGUCAGAGUGAACAGACUUCUGAUGUAGAACAGACUUUGACACUAAAGUCUGGCAGUCUUCAGACUUUGAGUCUUGAGUCUAACAGUCUUCAGACUUUGAGUCUUGCGUCUGGCAGUCUUCAGACUUUGAUAAUAUCCUUUACAUGUUCUAUUAUCUGCAUGGUCUAUUACUCAACCAUCAAACAUGUUAGUAGCCUUUGAUUUAUUUUGUCAUCUUCAAAACAUCAUAAGGGAUUUCCCUAACAAUCUCCCCCUUUUUGAUGAUGACAAAACAAUCUCUGAAUAUGCAGAUUUAAAAAUUUAAAUCAAAGGAUAUCAGAAGAUAGAAAAUAAUUGCAGCUCAAUAUUAUGCAAUAAAUAAUAUCAACCAAUCAGCACAUAUGCAUAUUCAUAUCUUCUCCCCCUUUUUGUCAUAAUCAAAAAGCGAUAAUGGAUUCACGUAGAGAAUGAUAACAAAUAUCUUGCAUGAAUCACAAUUUCCAAAAAUCAGCUUUUAUCGAAUAUUAAAGAUAUGCAAUAUAGCUCACUUCGAUUAUAUCAACAAAUAUCCAAUAAAAAUCACGGAUGCAUCAUAACUUGCACGUACCCUUUUUGUCAUAAUAAAAUGAUAAUAUCAAUAUGAGAUUUGUUAAUGACAAAAGGUAAUAAGAGAUGCACUGACCGGAUUUUGUAGAAUAAAUUCUGACACAAUUACCUUUCCUUCCAUCCAUAAUAAGAUCACGAUCAAUCAAAAAAGAUUUUUCCAUAAUUGAUCAAAGCUCCCCCUCAAUUUGUUGCCUUUUUGAGAUGAUCACGAUUCUUUUCCUUUUCUUUUGGAUUCGAUUUCUCCCCCUUGAUUUCCUUAUCGGAUUCUGAGUCUGGUUCUGAAUCAGACUCUGAUUCUGAGUCUCUGUCUGAGUUAGACUCAGAUUUUGAAUGUGCCAUCAAGCAUAAAUUUUCUUGCUCAUCAUCUUCUUCUUUUUUGUUCUUUUCUGGCCAUUCUGCUUGUAUUUUCUUCCAUCGAAAUAUGGUGGCCUUGUGUUGCUUUGCCCUUCCAUAAGACCUGGUGCCAACAUACUAGCCAUAAAGAAUCUUUAGCUCAAAAGUAAAAACACUUUUAUAAACCGAGCACUUGGCUCUGAUACCAAUUGAGAGUGCUAGUAUGAACAAAAUAAAGGAGUUAAGGAAGAGAAUAAGAACACGAGAUUUAUAGUGGUUCGGCUUAAUCCAAGCCUACGUCCACUCUCCCACGAUAACAGCCUUCUUGGCUGGAUUCCACUAUGCAAUCAACAAGAGAUUACAACUUCGAGUGCAAACACUUAGUAGAUCACACUAUCUCACUAAGUCACUCUCUUGGUAUUUCUCUCACGAUUACAAACGUUUAAGCUCUCAAGAGACAAGUAUAUGAUCUAAAGUCGCUUAGACUUUGGAAUUAUAAAUUCUAUGCUCCGUCUCUUACUUGCUCAUCGGUCCUUCAUCUUCUUAAAUACUCCUCCACUUCCAAACUACCGUUGGACAGUAUCCCGGAGAAUCGUCUUCCAAUAUACCCAUUGGACAGCUCUGUAUCUAGAAGAUUUGGUAGCCGUUGAGUGACAAAGGUAAAAUUCCAAAUUGAUUCCGAUCGCCCAUACAAACGAAAUCUUGGUUUCCAUAAGUAAAGCUUCUUCGUAUAGAAAGUUCUUGUCUUCAAUCAAAUCAAUCUUGAUGUGGAAUCCAAACCAGAUCACUAGCCGUUAUAUGAUUGGGCUUGAGUUACGAUUCAUCGUAAUCUGGAUGUAAAGUCUGAGUCUUUAGACUUUACGAUAUGAGUCUUGAGACUUUACAAUCUGGGUCUGUAGACUUUAAAAUCUGGGUCUGUACAUAUCUGCUUCUGAACAGAUUUAGCUUUAAGGUCUGUACCCAGUUCAGCUUCAGCAUAGAGUCUGUCUUCUGGUUCAUCAUUCACGUUCAGUCUGGAAUUUGUCAGAGUGAACAGACUUCUGAUGUAGAACAGACUUUGACACUAAAGUCUAGCAGUCUUCAGACUUUGAGUCUUGAGUCUAACAGUCUUCAGACUUUGAGUCUUGCGUCUGGCAGUCUUCAGACUUUGAGUCUUGCGUCUGGCAGUCUUCAGACUUUGAUAAUAUCCUUUACAUGUUCUAUUAUCUGCAUGGUCUAUUACUCAACCAUCAAACAUGUUAGUAGCCUUUGAUUUAUUUUGUCAUCUUCAAAACAUCAUAAGGGAUUUCCCUAACAAUCUCCCUCAAGGACUUUGACGCUCUUGAUGGCUUGCGGGAGGACCUUUGGGAUGAGGUUAUUGGCAUCAAGGACAGCGGCCUUGAACAUCUUGGCCGGAGGGAUCUAGACAUGAUCUCGGAGUCGUAAGUGACGACACCCAUGAUUGGAUCCGAAUUGAGUUGCUGAAACUGAGAAGGGGGUGAUGAUUAGGAAAGACUGAGUAGCAGUGAUGAACUUGGUCUCUAGGACUUGGGAAUGAAGAGAAAAGGCUGAACCGAAACUGAUAUAUAGAAAGAGAGACUAACUGUGAAGGGCUUUGAUCAGUGAAUAUUUUGCGAAACAAACAAAGCUUAAGAAAAAAAAAGUUAUUCCAUGGAUUAUUCAGAUUAUGACAUGCCCCUUGUUCCUAAUAAAAAAAUGUCUAUAUGAUGAUAGAACAAAGCGGUGGAUGAUAAUAUUGGGGAGAACCGGGCAACAAUUUACUAAUAACGAAACACAAUUUAGCAUCGAUUUCUCCUCUAAAACUAAACCAACCGAAAUCAACUCAACCCCAGCAACCACCAGCAAUAUGUAAUACCGAAAUGACAAUAAGACAAAGCCGACAACGACACUAAGGUUUUUAACAUGGAAACCAAUAUGGAAAAAAUCGCAUACCCUCCUUACUAACAGUAAUAUGAUACACAAAGUAUUAUUUUCUAAUCACACAGUAGAGACUCAACAUCAAUAAUAUAACCAUAUUUCCUCACUCCAAAGAUAGAUUACUAUAAACGGAGCAAGAAAACCCUAAUCGGUUGGAGAAUCUGGAGGGGGUUCUUAUCGAACGAAAUCAAUCAAUUCGUAGUCCUUGGUUUUACGAAACAACAUUCAAAUUUGAGCAAAUUCCGUCGGCAUCUUGCGUUCGAAUCGGGACCGAAAAGAUUGUGCCCUUUCUUUCGGAACGCUAAGAAAGAAGAGCCCAGGACACAGACAACAAUUACCCACUCACUAAGUUCCGAAAAGCAUAGACGAGCGAAAUGCCUCGCGAAUUAACCUAAGGGUAAUAAGGACGACACAAUUGGCUCUGACAUUGAAUCGACAGUUUAUUCCUGGCCUCCGACGUGAGCAUAUCACGUGGCAUCAUGGCUCAAACUCAUGAAAACAAACCAAUUUAAAAAUAAAUAAAAAAAGACCCAAAGCGACUCCACCACCAUCCUCUCAGAAAUCCAAUCAAAAAAAGGAAAAGAUAAAAAAGGAAAUCGUCCCAGACAAAACAAGCAUGGCAAUCGCCACACGCUGCCAAAAAUUAACCACACACAGAUUCACAAGUCUCAGGGUUCGCGAGGCAAGCGUCGAUGGCCCCAAACAUAGUGAAAGCCUUCUCUCUCACAGCCUUGAUCUUCUCCUCGGUGUUGUCCACGUUGCCCCUGGCGAAGUAUUUGCUAGCGUUCAUGCACACCGAACCUCCCUCCGGUGAUGCACUGAUCUUCACCUCGUAGCUAGUGUUCUCCAAGGUGUUGGCCAGCAUGUUGCUCUCCGUGAUUGAAUUGGAGUAGGAGUAGCUCCCAUCCAGGACCUCGAGCUUGUGCUUCACUACCUUGUUCCGAUGGCCUAUAGAAAACGCAAGUCACAUUUGAGACGCCACCGGUUUCGAAAAUCGCAAGCACUGCUUUGAAACACCAUUGACUCACGACAUCGCCAUGUUAAUGGUCAGGAACAUUUGAAUUAACCAAGUAAAUUUACUAACCUUCGCUGCCAGUGGUCUCCUCGACAAGCUCGGCACUCUUGAGGAAAGGGAAGAAGACUCUGGAGAUGAGGUUUAAGGCCCUAACGAUGGCCUCGAACGCCUGGGCUGGGAGGAUGGAGGACUUGAUCUCAGUCCUGAAGUAUUCCAUGAUUCUCUGUCCGAAAAAAAAUCUGCUAAAAGCUGAAAGGGAAUGAUGAGAAUUGCGAGUAGGAGUGAAGUCUUGAUCUAAAAUUUCGGAGCGCAGUUCCAUAUAUUUAUACAUAGGGUGCGAGAGUGAGAUGUAGAGGAGUCCGUGUGUAUCUAAUGACUCUUUCGGGACGUUUGGGUGGACAAGGGGAACUUUUUUAUGUUUUUUUAGUUGCUUUACGGGUUACUUUUCUCGGCACAGAUCAGCCGGGGUUUCUUUCUGGAUUGGGCGCUUUCAAGAAUUUUGGGUGGACUCGGGGUUUAAACGAGAGGUAGAAAAAGCCAAGGGAACAGGAGGCAGGUGGGACCCUUCAGCCCGUGCUUUUUCCUUUUUUCCAUUGAGAGGACGGAGACGAGGAAAGCAUAUCCGGCCCGCUCGACUUUUGGCAAUGACAGAAGCUCUCUCGUUGAUAAAGCUAGGCCGUGAGGUGUGGGUGCGUUUGGAUGGGCAUUUAGAAAGCCCAUCCAAGCCUCAAAGCCCUUUCACCCUAUUUAGGAGUGGUUGGCAACCAUUGUCCAAGGGGCUUUCAAGUGAAAGUUUACCUUUCGAAGGCCUCUUUAAUGAAAAUAAUAAGUUGUCUAUUUUGCCCUCAAAACUUUAUGGAAAAACCACUUCUGCCCAUUUUAAAACCAAGAAAACCCUAGUUCUCGUUUUUCUUCCCACCCUUCCAUCACUCUCUCCCUCGACCGCUUCUACUCUCUUCGCUCGGCGGGACUCCCUCACCUGCUGCCACCGCCGCUCCAGUCGAUUCCCGCCGCAUUGGUCGAGGCCUUCGCCGCCUCUCCCUCUCGAAGGUAUGGUCGUUGUCGUCGUCGAUAUCAUCGACCACUUGGUCGUUCUGUGCAAUGGCGUCCUGAGUGUGCCGCGCCACGCCUUGUCGUUCGGGAUUAGGUCUUCGUGUGCCGUUUUGAGUUCGCUCGUUGCGGGAGCGCUUGCGUCCUUGAUGUUCUUUUUCUUUUGUAUUUGAGGGAAAUGGCGGUGGUGGGUGGUGUUUGAUUUUUGCUUUGUGGGUGGCUGAAUGCUUCCGAUUCGUUUGCCUUUUUUUGCUGUGGGGGUGCUUUCGAGAUGAUGCUGCUGCUCCGAGAAACAGUGGGGGAACUCUAGGUGCUAAUGUGACUUGUCUUAGUUAAAGUGGGAUGGGUUCUGUUUUAGCUGAGAAUUGGAGGAAAGGGGAAGAGACGGAUAUUCCUGGUUCUUCGUUCCCUUCUGUCUUCUGGCUGUGUCUUGUUACGGUAGGUGAAUUGGUAUUGAGACGACGCCAGUGCAAUGCCGAUACGGUUUUGCUGGAUGGAGAGGAUGAAGAGAGUAACUUGAAAACGGUGAAGUUGUGGAUUAUUCACCGUAAUUGUAAAAUUCCUUUUCUUUCAUUUAAGUUAGCCUCUGGAUGUUCCUUGUCAUUUAUUACAGUCAUCCUACAUAGGAAGGAGGCAGGAUUAUGGAGGCAGGAUUAUAGCAUAAUCCUACUCUUAAUAAUGGACAAUGUUGGGUCAAGCCGGGCACGUAGGCUGUUUUGUAGAAUUGUGCUAGGAAAGGUUACCUUUUGUUGCUAUAGCCGUUGAAAUUUUACUUGUAUUUGGAUAAGUUGCCUUCAUGUCUCGGAUGCUUAAAGUCAUUGGUUUGACCCAUGUAGAAAAAAAUAUUGUAAAUGUGCUCACUGUUCAUUACACCAUUGUUAUCUAAUUUCUCCUCUUCUGCAACUCUUCUGCAACUCUUUAGCUAUAGAGUUUGAGGAUUUCUGAAAUACUUAGCAACUUAAGUAUCUUGUCAUCAAGUACUUAUAUCACGUGCAAUUUUGAUCUGAUGUGCCAGUUAAAGACUGUCAAUUAAACACAUAAUCAAUGUUUUGUAGAUUGCGAAAAAAGUAUUUUCCAAAGUUUUUUGUUUGCAGAAGUUGGGUAAGCAUGGGAUUUAAAAAUUUACUUUGCUGUCUUAGAGUAGAAGUUGGGCCCUUAGGAUUUACUUGUGAAUAUCGAGGUUAGAAUGAAACACUCUUCUGGUCUUUAGCUUGUAUGCCAAGCAAGAAAGCAACAGAUUUAUUAAAUUAUUUAUUUAUUAUUAUUACUAUUAUUAUUUUAAAUUUUUAACAAAAGCAAGGCGCUCUGUAACAUUCUAGUAGUCGAACUAUUGAUCUGCAAUUCAGGCCCCUGAUCCGCUUAAAGUCUUGCUAAAUGUGGAGUGUUUCUAGCCUACAUUCUUUAGGAACCAAAAAUGCAUGGUUGAAAUUAGUUUCUGCACAUUUUACCUUAUAGAUGUAAAAUGAUGACUUAAAACAGGCAAAUAGAAACAUUAUGGAUAUCUGAUUGAACAGAUAAUAAUAUCUCGGUACUUAAUGUGCUUUCUCAAUGCAGCUGAAGCUCAAUAUAUUUCAUUGCUUGUUUGUUACUUCUCCAGGACAAACUAGAAGAUUGGCUACAAAAGGCAAAAAAGCUUCUUCAAGACGAGUUGAAGAACAAAGCUAAAAACUUUGAUUUUACUAGCUGUAUGUUAUAGUGUUAUAGUAUUCUCUCUCUCUCUCUCUCUCUCUCUCUCUCUCUCUCUCUCUCUCACAAUUCUGUGUUUCUUCUAAGGCCCUUGACUAUUGUUGGAAUGAACCAAUUUUCCUAGGGAAUAUUCUGUUCAUGUGCUAUUAAUUGUGCUAAUUGUUGAAAAAGUGACGAUUACCUUCAGUUGUUACUUUUAACUUCUCUCAGAUGUAGCCCCCUCCCCCUGCGAUUCAACUGGGUUGGAGUUAUUAUUCUGAUGACGAUGGAAUCAUGUGUUGGUUGUUUUUUUCUGGCUUCAGUUUCACUUGAUAUCUCUAGAAAAGAGACGGCAUAUCUCAUGAUGAUUCCAGCAAUUGCUUAAAACGUGACCAUAAAUGUUGUAUCACUAUACAAAUUGUUCUUCACAUCUUGCAAUAAGAAGAGUAGAUUUGGAUCCCAAUUUAUAUACAACGGAUCCUGAUAAUGUAAAUGGGGAGGGUAAUGUUUCAAAUGAUGAUGUAACAUUUGAUAUGACACGUUUACGAGAUCAAAUAGCUAUAAAUUUAUGAAGUAAUUAAGGAUAUUUGUAAUUUUUAAGGAUAAUGAACUUCUUUCCUCAAAGCAUAUGUUAUCAUGUUUCUAUUGUAUUGAAAGUAUUUUUAUUCUAAUUGAGAAAGAGAGUACGUAAAUUUUUUCCAUUUGAUGUUUUUUAGCAAAAAAAUGAAUUUUAAUUUUAAUAAAAUUAUUUACACAACAUCUUUAAAAUUGUUGUCAAAUAUAAAUUAAAAAAGUUGCAAACAUUAUUUUUUUAAUUUUAAGCAAAUAAAAAUUAAAAUAUUUAGAUUAAUCACCAAAUUGGCUUUACAAAUGUGUUUUCUACCAAACAGCAUUUAUCUCAAAAUUGCUUUUCAAAGUAGAAUUUACCAAACAGUCUUUGCAUUCUCUCCAAAGCCCUUUAGGCUAAACUGUUUUGCAUUUUCCCAAUGGGCUUUCCAAAUGCCGAACCAAACGCACCCUGAGUAAUGGACAAGUACACCAAAUUGAAACUCUUCCGCACGUGGAGAUAGCUUCAGAUAACUUAGAUGCCGUGAAUUGUGUCAUUUCCUUGGAACUUCUAAGUCCGUCAUCCAGGAUUGUGAUCUUCUAUUGACCCAACUAGAAGCAGGAAUUAAACUAAAAUAGGAACCCAAAGAAACAAAUUGUGUUGCGGAUUGAGUAGUCAAGCUCCGCCGAGUUAGAACCCUUCCAUCCAAUUGGGUUGUUUAUCCCCCUCAUUCCCUUUGGUAAAUUUAAGUCUUGAAUUUGGUACUAGUUAUAAUUCAUCUUUGAGUUAGUAAUCAAAAGUUAUUUUCGACCAAAAAAAAAAAAAAACCACCAAUGACGUACUAAUUCGAUGUUGUUGAUUUUGUGCGUACAAAGUCCAAAUCAACAUUAAUGACGUCAUAUAUGGCGUGCUAAAAGUUGUUUUUUUUUUUUAUUUUUGGUCAGUCCUAUUCUAUUCCUACUCUACACUCACUCGCAGACUUGUGCCCUGCCUCUUGCAGGGCGUGGGAGUCGCAACCCACGCUCGAAACUUACGCGUCCCUACCCCCCAUCCCCCCCUGAGAAGGUGGGGAUUUGAACCCCUCACCUCCCCCUUCCAUGUUGGAAGGAUGGCCACUAGGGCGAACCCCCAGUGGUUGCUAAAAGUUGUUCAAGAGUUGAAUUUUUGCAAUUACGUGUCCAAUGAAUUUUGACGCUCUUGAGUGGGAAAUCACUAAAUUGUUAACUUUUUCCAAAUGCCUGACGGGUUUCAUAGGAUUAGUUUGGCGAGUAGCGAUAAAAAGUUAGCACGCAAGUAAUUUAAAAGCACGGUGUAAAUUCGAUUCUCCCAAUCAAUGAGCAUAAACGAGAACAUGGGGGCGAAAAAGGUUGUUACCAGCAAUGAAAAAGUGGACUUUUGAGAAGCUCCAAUCACUAAAAUGUUGCGUAUUCGGCAAGAUGCAAGUAAGCAUAUCCAUCGAGAGUUAGUAUUUAGAGAAAUGCAUAAACAGAUAUUAAAUCAAUAGAUAUGUUUAGAAAAAUGUCAUACAUAGCUUUUUUAGCUCAGUUAUAUAGAGCUUACUUUAGUAAGCAAGAGGUCUUGACUUUGAUUCUCAACGAGAUCCUUUAUCUUUUGACUUGUAAUAUUUCCUUUUUUCACAUUCAAUCUUCUUCCUAACAAUUUUUUUGAUAAACAAAAAUUCAAUCGAGCCAAAAAAUGAAUUGCUUAAUACAUGAUAGAGCCAACAUAUAUACAUACUAUAUAUGUGUUUUUUCUCAGUACAAAUGGUUAUACGAGGACCCAAUUAGUAAGAGGGAGGUCUUGAAUUUGACUCUCAACAAGAGCAUUUGUCAUUCAAACUUUUUCAUAACAACUAUUUUACUAAAGAAAAAAGUCGAUUGAGCCAAAAAAAAUUGUCACUUAAUACAUCAUAAAGCCAGCAUACACAUAUAAUUCAUUUUUCUCAAUACAAAUGGGUAUACGAGCACCCAUUUAGUAAGUGGGAGGUUUUAAGUUCGACUUUCAAUGAGAGCAUUUAUCUUCUGACUUAUAAUUUAUCCUUUUUGUAAAUUCAAACUUCUUCAUAAUAAUUUUUUAAAGAUAAAAAACCACCAAAAACCCCAAACUUUGCCAAAAAUGACAAAUUUACCCCAACCUUUAUAUUUUGAUAUGAAAAAUCUCGAAUUUUGCCAACUGUGACACAUUUAUUCCAAACUUUUUUUAUGACACAAAAAAUUAUGAACUUGUAUUCAUAUGACACAUUUACCUACCCUAAACUAUAAGGUAUUUUGGUCUUUUACUUUUUAAAAUCUUUUUUUUUUCUUUUUUUUUUCUUCUUCUCUCUUCCCUUCACUAGCCAUGGCAGAGCGGGUGGAGGAAACCAUAGUUAGGCGAGGGCUGCCCUCAUCGGCAUCAGGCGAGGGCUACCCUCCCCAGCGUCAGGCGAGGGUCGCCCUCAGCUACGCUAGCUAGGGCCGCUCGACGCCAGUGAGGGAGGUCCUUGCCCGACCCAGCCAAGGGCGGCCCUCACUCGAUGCUGCCGAGUGCAGCCCUCGCCUGACUCCAACUUCCCUUCACCAUGGCCAGCGAAGGGAAGAGAGAAGAAGAAGAAGAAAAAAAAAAAAGAAUAAGACGAAAAUGCUAUUGGUGGGGUAAAUGUGUUACGGUUUGCAAAAUUUGGGGUUUUUUAUGUCACAAAAGAAGGUUUAGGAUAAAUUUGUCACUUUAGGCAAAGUUAGGGUUUUUGGUGGUCUUUUCCCUUUCAAUCGAGCCAUAAAAAAAGUCACUUAAUACAACAUAGAGCCAACAUAUAUAAUAUAUUUUGUUCCUUUUUCUUGGUAUAAAUGGGAUACUAGCACUCGUUUAGCAAGCCAAAGUCUUGAGUCUGACUCUCAAUGAGAGCACUUGUCUCGUGACUUAUAAUCUUUCUUUCUUCUACAUUCGAACUUUUUUCGUAACAAAUUUCUUGACAAACAUUCAAACUUCUGUCCUCUUGAUGCCGUUAUAAUAAGGGAUACGGAACUCUAGUGUGAACGGAACUCAUUGCCGUGAUGCUAAAGGGAAGGCGAUGCUAACGAAUCCUACUGGAAGAUGCGGGGGACGGAAAAUCUUAGAGCUGGCGGUUAGAUCUGGCUGAGGUUACCAAGGGUUGAUUCUUGCUUAUCGCCCCGCAACUGACUUACCCAGGUCAUGCUCAGCCCUCACCCUUAGAAAAAGGAACUCAAGAAAAAAAAUGCAGUCACUGCUCCAUAAUGAUUAAUGUCCAUCAUAGUUCAAGUAAGGAGAUAUAAGCAAACGUUUAAACAAUAAAAUAAAUAGAUCAACAAAAUAAAUUGAAUACCAGACAUAUAUGAUUCAAUCGCAGUGACCUACCUCUAUAAGAAAAGUAAUGACGAAUUUUAUUGUAGAUCAAACAGUAUAACGGAAAUUAUAACCAUAGUCGAGUUACUUUAAUACUCUUAGUGUUUUCCAAUUCAUAAUUACAUUUAAUAACUCAAGUAAUAUAUAACCUCACAAUUUCUAACAAAAUAAUUUUUUAAUCUCAAGAAGAAAUUAACAAAUCACGAAUUAAACUUUACCAAAAAAAAAAACAAAUCACGAAUUAAACCCUAAUUUCGCUAUAUGUAAUUCACGGAGAAUAUCCAAUGUCAAGCACGCCAACGGCACUACUGAAAAACUUGUGAUAAAAUCACCUCUCCACACUAACAGCGCGUACCUUUAGGGGGUGGGCUAUCAACCUCGGCUUUCAUAUCGACACAGAGAGAGAGAGAGAGAGAGAGAGAAUGUGUGCAUGUCUGUAUUUUUCCUUUGGCAUUUUUGGCGGCUUCUUGCGUGGCAGUCAUCUAAGUGACCGGUGAAAGACCGAUAAAAAGAAGAAGAAGAAGAAUACUUUCUGAGAGAGAGAGAGAGAGAGAGCAAUCAAUAUUGUCAGUGCGCUGUUCGGGGUACAAAGCAAUGAUUUCAUCAUUCUUGAUAGGGUUUUGAAUUUAUGGCUUCUCAAUCCGUUUCAUAUAUAUAUAUUUUUGUCGGUAAAACAUCAAUAUAUAUUAAUACGAGUAACCCAUACAAUCAGCAGCUUUAGCAUCCGCACAUAGCAAAUUCAUGAGAGGAAAGGGCGGAAGAAGAGCCCAACUACGAGUCAAAGGAGUUCUAUUAUGGGCCUUGCAGGCCCAGUCGGCUGCCGCGUUUCCCUAGCGAGAGAUUAGAGAAAAGGGUUAACAGGAAGGCUGCCUCAAAGAAGAGAGUGCGAUCCGUCCAUGGCGGCUGUGUCUGAUGAUUCAACGUUUCCACCAGAGUGAGAUUAUCAUAUUCCACCAGGAGCUUUGCAUUUUGGAGCCCCUUAUCAAGAAGAUGCCGAAGCGUCAAGGAAAGGGCUUGGAUCUUGACCUGUAUAGCGGAGGACACAGCUACACUUUUGGAGAAACCAUCAGUAAGUCUGCCCUGGUGAUCCCUGCAAAUACAAGCUAUUUUGCCUUCAUUUCUACCCUGUUGAUAAGAUCCAUCAAUAUUAAUCUUCAGAACCCCGCCCUUUUGGGAGUAGUCGUGCACUACUCCCCGCCCCCUUCUCUCUCUCAACCGUCGUCUAGUUGAACAAUUUUUAACAGUCCCGACGCGUGCUUUUGCUGUCUGUCCCUCCUGCCUCAGAAUCUUGAAACGGUGCCGAUGCGGACCUCUUCCUCCUGCCUCAGUUUCUUUGAAUAUAAUUAGCCCGUUUCACUGUGUUUGCAAGUGGGGAUUGGAGUGCGUUCCCCUUGUAUAUGCGCGCGACCAUCAACCACCGCCCCNNNNNNNNNNNNNNNNNNNNNNNNNNNNNNNNNNNNNNNNNNNNNNNNNNNNNNNNNNNNNNNNNNNNNNNNNNNNNNNNNNNNNNNNNNNNNNNNNNNNNNNNNNNNNNNNNNNNNNNNNNNNNNNNNNNNNNNNNNNNNNNNNNNNNNNNNNNNNNNNNNNNNNNNNNNNNNNNNNNNNNNNNNNNNNNNNNNNNNNNNNNNNNNNNNNNNNNNNNUGGAUGUGGCGCCCUAAGUUUUUGAAAAGCAGUAAUAUAAGGGGAGGCGCUCCCACACCCCCCCCCACCCCCCCCCCCCAAAACCCAAUCAAAUCUCACUCCAAUCCACUGUUGUCCUUUGGAUUAAUCACCACGGAAAGCGCCGAUUUCACAAGACCGUCGCACCGAAUUCCCGCCCUACCCUUCGGCACCUUCUCAGUAAAAGACAAGGACAAAAGCUCACCAUCGGACUUAAUUUGAGCCCGUAUACAGGGCCCGACUUAAUUUGAGGACGUGCAUCAGUUUGUUGAACCCGAUCUAUUAGGGAAAAAAAAAAUACCAAUAUCACACUUUCAUAUUUAAAUUAGAAUUUAUCUUGAACAGAAUAUUUACAUGAGGAGUUUUGUAAGCAUAGCAGUUUUUAAGUUAUUAUGAAAAUAAUACGAACUGCAUAUUCUUGAAAGAGAGGGUUUCGUAACAAUUUAUAAUUAUUUAUUUUUAUGUAUCAUAAUAUACUAUUAUUCUCAUAUUAAAUUAAAAACGGUCGUUCAAUUAUUUAUCUUCACAUGAGGCGAGUAUUUGGUCUUUGGACAAAUCUCUGGUGGUCAUGAAAAGUGCGAAUCCAUUAUACUCAGAUUUUUUUUCUUCUCUCUUUUUUAUCUGGCCAAUUGAAAAGUUGGACAAAGCCGCGUCUCAGUGGGUUCUGUUUGUUACUUCAGCCGCGCACAGCAAAGGGAUUUCACGUGCCGCACAGUAGGUUUCGUUUCGUGGGAGCAACACCAUGUGAUUUUCCCGCGCCGCUCAGUGUUUACGCUGAGGAUUCUAGGCGGAACCAAUUAUACUGAAGUGAUUUGAAAAAAUUAAGAUGCCGCGAUUUUUAGAAGAUGUUUCACAAGCAUCUUUAAUUACAGCAUUCAGAAUUUCUACCACCACAACAGUUGUCUCACCCACUUCGAAGGCGUCGCAUCUAUUACUGCAGACGAAAAUUAUAACACUUUACCUCAAAACGUAUUCAUUGUUCAUUCACGAUUAUUAUUCAUCUUCAAGAGACGUGAGAAUGUAGACAUAAACCAUGGUGGGAGACAGAAAGAUUGAGCCAACACGCAACAUCAACAACUCAAUUGUGAGCAUCAGGGUUUCGCAAGAGAUGGGCGUCGAUGGCCUUGAACAUUUCCAUGGCCCUUCUGUCUUUGCCGGCCGUGAUCUGCUCCUCCGUGAUCUCGGCCCCGUCCUUGGAUAGUACUUGCUCGAGCUCUUGCACACGCGCCCUCCUUCUGGACCUCACCUCGAACUUGAUCUCGUACGAGAUCUUCUCGAGCCCAUCGCCCUCAACAGUGGUGUACACGAACGUGAGCGAGCUUCCCCUUGUUCAGUUCGUCGACCCGGUGCUUCGCCGAGUUGAGCUGGCUAGCUGCAAGACACAGAAAACCACAAUCAACUCCUAAACUGUCGGGGAAUGUCUUGAGACCCAUGUUAAUGCGGUGCGAUAAAAAUGUGCAAAGUGGGUGAAGUUAAAAGAUGCACGAGGACUCGCCUUCCCCGAAAGCAACUUGCUUGAUGAUUGAAAUGCCCUCUAAAUGAUUCUCAGUCGCCUGUUUAGUAAUCUAAAUCGCCAUCACAAUAGUCUAAAUCGUAUAAUAGAGAAAGAGUACUAAAGACAUGGAUCUCAAGCCCAAAUGAUACUUAUUCGCAUGCGAGUGAUCACCUGAAUUUUGAUGCUCUUGAGGGUGGGAAGUCACUAAAUUAUUAACUUUUUUCCAACACCGGUCGGAUUCCAUGGGAUUGUUUCCGCUAUUAGAGAUAAAAAGUUAGCAUGCAAGUAAUUUAAAAGCACAGUAUAAAUUCGGUUCUCCCAAUCAACGAGUAUAAACGAGAAUAUGGGGGUGAAAAAAUUGUUGCAAGAACUAAAACGUGGACUUUUCGAGAAGCUCCAAUAACAGAAAUGUCGCAUAUUCGGCAAGAUGCAAGUACGUCCAUCCAUCGAGACUUAGUUUUUGGAGAAAUGCACAAACAGAUAUUGAAUGAAUAAAAACGUUUAGAAAAAUGUCAUAAAUAGCUUUUUUAGUUCAGUUAAAUAGAGCUUACUUUAGUAAGCGAGAGGUCUUGACUUUGAAUCUCAACGAGAUCCUUUGUACUAUGACUCGUAAUAAUUUUUUUUUUCACAUCCAAUCUACUUCGUAACAAUUUUUUUUGAUAAAACAAACUUCAACCGAGCCAAAAAAAAUUAGUCACUUUACAUGAUAGAGCCAACAUAUACAUACUAUAUAUGUGUGUGUUUUUUCUUAGUGCAAAUGGUUAGACGAGCACCCAAUUAGUAGGGGGGGAGGUUGAGUUCGACUCUCAACGAGACAAUUCGUCAUUCAAAAUUUUUCAUAACAAUUUUUUUAUAAACAAAAAAUUCAAUUGAGCCAAAAAAAAUGGUCACUUAAUACGUCAUAAAGCCAACAUAUACAUGUAAUUCAUUUUUCUUGGUACAAAUGGGAAUAUGAGCACCCAUUUAGUAAGCUGGAGGUUUUGAGUUCGACUCUCAAAUAAUAUUUCUUUUUUGUAAAUUCAAACUUCUUCAUAAAAAUUUUUUUUAUUAAUAAAAAGAUCGAUCGAACCAAAAAAUUGUCACUUAAUACAUCAUAGAGCCAACAUGUACAUACAAUAUAUUAUGUUCCGUUUUCUCGGUACAAAUGGAAUACGAGCACCCAUUUAGGGCGCGUUUAGUAACGCUUCUAUUCCCGAGAACAAUUUCUAAUCAGAAAUGAUUCUUUUUUAUUUUGUUCCCGGGAAUAAUUUCUAACCAUUUUAAGCCGUUUGGGGUACGUUUGGUAACAUUUAUGUUUAAAAAUUGUUUAUGGGAACAAAAAUAGAAAAAAAAUAUUUCUGCUUCAGGAAACAUUUAAAAAAAACGCGUUUGGUAAAUCUGUUCUAGAAAUUUAAAAAGAAUAGAAACAUGUUUGGUAAAUUUGUAUAAUUUUUUUAUUUCUUUUAAUUUUUUAAUAUUUUAUUUUAUUUUUUCGAUUUUCUUUCUUAUUUUCUUAUUUAUUUUUCCUUUUUUUUCUUUUUUCUUUUUUCUUCUUUUGGCCAGUCGCCGGCCUCAGCCAUGGCCGGUGACCGGCCGAUGAGGGCCGGCGGCCUUGCCCAGCCACGGCGAGGCUCGCCGGCCCCCGACGAGCUCGGCCUCGCCGAAUCAGCUCACCCAGCUCGGUGCGAGGUCGGCCUCGCCUUGGCUAGGCGAGCUCGAGCUCGCCCAGAUCCGGCAAGGCCGAGCUCGCCCAGCCAAGGCGAGGCUAAGCCUCGCCAAGGGCCAGCGACACUCCGGCGAGGUCACCGGCCCUCGGCGGCCCGUCGCCGGCCAUAGAAAAAAAAAAGAAAAAAAAGAAUAAGAAAAGAAGAAUAAAAAAGAUAGAAGAAAAUGGAAGAGAGAGAAAAAGUGUUCAUAAAUUUUGUUCCAUAAACAAAAAAUAACUUCUUUUUUUUGUUUCUUGUUUCCGUUCCAGAUGUGUUUCUGGGAACAAAAACGCAAACAAACGCGUUUCUGUUUCAAAAAACAAAAAUUUGUGUUCUUGGGAAUAGAAACACAUUUUAACAAACAGGCCCUUGGUAACUGUCCAAAAUUUUAAUUCCCAAAAUAGAAUUGCGUUUAGUACUGUGCUCAAAAUUUCUACUCGAAAAUGAUAAUUUUAUUACUUUUUUCCUUUUUUUCUUCUUUUCUUUUUUCCUUUCUCUCUCAUGUUCUUUUUCUUCAAGUGACUAGUCGUCGGACCAGCGACCGGCUAGACGAGGGCCGGCAACCUCACCGGAGCGUCACUAGCGCUUAGCGAGGCUCGCCUAGCCUCACAGGUGGCUAGCCAGGCCUCGACAGGGCUGGGCAAGCCUCGCCGGUGGCCAGGCGGGCCUCACCAAUGGCCGAGUGGGCCUCACCGGGGCUGGGCAAGGCCCCCCCACUGGUGGCUAGGCUUGCCUCCGGCGAACUCGCUGGACCUCGCCCUGGCUUGGCGAGCCUCUGACGAGCUCGCCAGACCGGUUGUCAGCAACCGGCAAUAGUAGGUGGCGGACGGCAACCGCAGCGGUGGAUGAAGAAGAAGGAAAGGGAAGAAGAAGAGAAAAUAUGGACUUGAUUCUUGGGAUUUGUUCUCAAGAACAAGAAUCAACUUUUUUUUUUUAAUUCUUGAUUAUGUUCCAUCCACUUCCUAAAAAAAAAAAAAUUCCCAAAAAACAAAAAUUUUACCAAACACGAUUCCGUUCCAAAACUACUCCCGGGAACAAAAGAAUAAAAUUUGACAUUGUUUGGCUGGUUACCAAACAGGUCCUUAGCAAGCUAAAGUUUUGAGUCCAACUCUUAACGAGAGCAUUUGUCUAGUGACUUAUAAUCUUUCUUUCUUCUACAUUCAAAUUUUCGUAACAACUUUCUUGAUAAACAUUCAAACUUCUGUCUUCUUGAUGCUGUUAUAAUCAGGGAAACGGAACUCUAGUGGGAAUGGAACUCAUUACGGUGAUGCUAGAGGGAAGUUGAUGCUGACGAAUCUCACUGGAACAUGCGGAGGACAGAAAAUCUUAGAGCUGGGGAAAAUGAAUGGGUUUGGGAUUAAAUCUGGCUAAGUUAUUGCCCCGAAACUGACUCACCCAGGCCAUGGUCAGCUCUAAAGGGAACUCUAGAAAAAGAAUAAUGACUAAUGUUCUUUAUUGUUCAAGCAAAGAGACAUUUUCUAUCGGCUAAACCUUAUGCUUCUCACAUUCAAUGCUUGUAUUCCAUCUGAAGUUAUUUCUUACCACAUAAUUGUCGACAAGCUAAUUUGACCAAUAAACGCAGUACAUCUAUAUAGUAUUUGGAGAGCAGCUGUUUCUGCUAGCUAAGGAUUACAUCAAGUAUCUUUUUAGUGGAUGUCUGAGUGUUAGGUCAACCCGUGCGAUACCCCAGUGAGGAAGAUUUUACAAGGAGCUAACAGAGAAGAAAGAGGUUGAUCAGUAUUGGUUAGUGUUGAAAAUUGAGAUCCAUUUUCUAAAACUAGCUUAUUUCUUCUAUUGUAAUCUAGAAGCUCCUAAGUAAAGGUUUUGGUAGUGGAAGUUGUGGUCUAAGAAUGUCCAAGUUAAGAGAUGUUUUGAUGAAUGGCCGUGGACAGUUGUAAAGCAAAAAUAUCUCUGACAAAAAUGGGAUCUUUCCUUGAAGAAUACGGUGGGUGGCUUUAUGAGUAAAGCAAGAACUAGCUUGUGUAAGGUGGUGGAAGCAUCAGAUAAACUCCAGCCACGUGAACAUCCCGUCCUACAAUUAUGUAACGCCACAUUUCUAUCAAAUAAAUAAACGAUAUUCUUGUCUCAUAAAUCUUUUUCUAUAUUUCUCAAAGUAUUCAUCCUUGUCCAUUCCCCUACAUCAACUAUACCAUAAACAUAUACAUUUACACAUACAAACAAAAAAAUAUCUUUGAUAUCAAAGUCAUUCUUCGGCACAAUCUCACAAUUUCCAACAGUUAGAGAAGGCGAUAAUUAAUAUCCCGACCUAGUGGGACGGUCCUGAGAAGUAGAGGCGCAGGGAGAGAAUAUAGACAAGAUUUGUCUUCCAGCUAUGAUAAUGACCUCUGAACAAUUCAUCUUCGUCUUCCCCAGUCAUUUUAGAUGGAACAGCGAUAUCAUUCCACGGUUCUAGUUUUGCAGUGAUCCGAAGCUUGAUCUUGGUAGACGAUGAGAAAGCUGUCUUGUGUAGUUGUUACACCAUCUGUCAUGGAAUUUUCGUGCAAAAUUUCACAAGAACAAGGUCAGAUGAAUGAAGGAUUGAAGGAUUGAAGUCUAUGUCAUUCUGUUUUGUUGCAGUAUGAAUGACUGAGUUCAAGUUGAUUCAAAGCGUUAGAGCAAUUGGGACUUGAUAGGCUGCUUCAUCGGGUGAGGACUUCUUCGUUCCAACUUUUUCUCUCCCUUUUGAUUCGUUUUCAUUUCUGCUAUUGAUUUCGUCAUUUUGAGCUUAGGUUGCUACCUAAUAGGCAGAAUUUUUGUAACAUUUGAUAUGAUAUGCAAAUACACAUUACUUGUGUAUAUCUCGAAAAUUCCCACAUUUAGACACUGCUUUAGCUGGCUUCCAAAAAAAUGCCCUUCUAUUAAUCUUCCGAGCGUUAAAAACUACAAAUACAAACUAAAAAAGUCAGAUUGUGAGAGCAACUUCUGUUUGCUCUUUCUUUUGUUUUGCAUUGCAUAUUGGUCCUUCCCCUAUUUUUGCAUGCUGACAGCUAAUCAUAAACACCAAGUUGCUUCAAAGGUCAUGGUUGAAACAAGCAUAUACUGAAAUGUAGAGGCAAAAGAAAUUAUGUAGGUUCUCGAAACUCUGGUGGUUGACCGCAGGGACAUCACCCGAUCCCGGUAUGUUGAGCUUUUUGAUGGCAAUGAUUUGGCCGCUGGCCAGUUCGGCCCUGUAAACGCUCCCGAACCAGCCCUUCCGAUGCAGUACUUUUCACUGCAGUCAUUGGUAGCCUUGGCGAUGUCAUUGAAUGUGAACUUCCCUUCCCUUCCCCAUAUGAUCGACUUGGAUUGCUCUUGCUUCACAAGACUCUUGAUCUCUUCAUCGAAUUCCUUGUUUCGCCACCGAAGUGCCAGAAUCACAGCAAUUGAAAUCACCAGAAAUAGUAAGCAGCAGAUGCCCAGGGUCACACCAAUAAAAACCUUUUUUCCCUAUGGUCGGUCAAUUUACCGCUCAUCCCACAAGGAGAUAAUCCAGUCGUGUUUCCACACAAACCCGGAUUCGCGAUUAAAGCACUUCCCUAUGCUUGUUGGGAGAGGCGACCACUACGAACCACACUAAUUGGCUUGUUGCACGAUAAGUCUAUUGAGCUUCAACUCCUCAUGCUAGUGAGAGGAGCUGGGAUCGUACCCGACAAUUUGUUAUGCAAAAGAUUGAGAUUUUCCAAUUCAGUGAACUUUGCUAAAUUGGAAGGAAUUGAUCCAGCUAGAGAAUCGUGGCUCAGGUCCAGGAGAUUCUGUAGCGUGAACAAGUUCCCCAGCUCUGGCGAUAUGACAUCCAACAUAUUGUUGUUGCUCAAGUUCAAGCUCAGUAAAUUCUUGCAAUUCACUAGCUCUUCCGCUAUGCUACCGCUCAAUGCCUUCUCCCCGACAAAUCAAGAUAUUCUAGCUUCGAUAAGUUUCCUAACUAGGUGGGAAUAUCUCCAGCCAAAUGGUUGUAGCUCAAGUUCAGCCUAAUCAACGCCCCCAGACUUACCAAAUCAUCAGGAAUUUUCCUGGUCCAUUCAUUGCCAUAUGGAGUCAGAUCGUGCAAUUGAGACAAUUUCUUAAGCUCCGGCGAGAUGCGGCUGGGGAUUUUGUUACCAUCUAUCUGCAAAUUCGUGACAUUGGUGCACUCUCCCCAUUCUGCAGAGAGAUUCCCGACAAAUCGGUUGUUGCUGAGGACCUGAGGCUUAUAAAGUCCGGAUUCAGAUAAACUCCAAACGCACUCAUGACAUCUGCAGUGAACCGAUUGCUGUCCAGACGGACUCUCGUUAGCCCCGGACAAUUCCUAAGCAGUUGGGCAGCGGCUAGGUGAAGUUAUUCCCAUCGACCACGAGAUAUCAAAGAGCAAAGCCGCUGCAUAUAUCUGGCGGCAGCUCUCUGGUGAAGCUGUUGUUCGAAAAGCUAACAUUGCCCAGAGAAUGGCUGUACUUGCCAAAAUCACGGGGUAUGCCUCCCGAGAAAUUGUUCAUGAACAAAGAGAUGGACUGUAAGUGAUGUUACGUCAUGGCUUUUUCCUUCCCAGCCCUGAUCUCCUCUUCUUCAACUUGAAGUGCCUCCUUGGUGGUAUACUUGCUGGUCAUCUUGCAAACCGACCUUCAUCACUGACAGCCUCUCAAACUUGACCUCGUAAUCAAUCGACUCGAGUUUGUCGUCCAAUGUGUCACCUUCGAUUAUCGUCUACCUACACACGAAGUUCUCCUUGUCGAGCUCAUUGAUCCGGUGCUUCACAUUCUUGAAAUGACUAGCUGCACUUGUGACCAAACAAGACUUACAUUAUGAAACUCCCGGCUUGACGAGUGUCUGUUGAGUGUUCGUACCUUCGGCGAUAUUAACUUGCUCGAUGCUCCCGGCUCCUCCGUUGCCUUGCACGAGCUCCACGCUCUUUAUGAACUGAGGCAGGAGCUUUGGGAUCAGGGAAUUCAACCCGACGAUCAAGGCCUUGAACAUGUGAGCUGGAGCAAUCGGGCACGUGAGCUCUUGUGUGAUGCUGGUUGCACCCAUGGCUAUUGGCAAUGAGAAAGAAAUAACCCCAGAGAAGUUCGUGCUUCUGAGUCCUGUCAAUGCCUCCUAUUUAUGGUUAGAAUUAUGCGAAUAGGUAGGCUUGGUUUGGCAAGAGUCACGUUUGAGGAAAAUAGAAGAGUCGAGGAUUCGCGGCCUAAAGAAAUAUAUAAUAAGAAUGUACUUUUCCUUAAUGAUUUUACUUAUUGCGGUUCAUGAAAAAUUGUGCCACCUUGAUAUGUUUCGAUGAUCGAUCCGGAUCGAGCGGGAUUGAUAGUCCAUAUUCGAAAUAUUAGGCCACAGUUUACCAUGAAUUCAUUUCACUCAUGUAUCCUCUCCAUGUAGCGCAGUUUACCAAAUUCCAUAAAAACCACUACACCAGAUUCCUGCCACACCUUUCAUUCUCUUGUUCUCAGCAAAGACGGGAACAACAACAAUCACCAGCCCAACAUGCUUUAACUUCGAACACCAAGUGACUCAAACGCUUCUUGUCUUCUAUUUAGUUUUGCCCAACCGGACAAUAAAAGAUAGCGACGAGAUUGGCGCAACAGGCAUCAGCGUUUGCCACGACAGAAGCCUCUAUGGCCUUGACCAUCGCGUCCACCUUCUCUUUCCCGGCCUUGAUCUCCUCCUCGGUGAUAUUCACCUCGCCAAUGGUGAAGUAAUUGCUCAUGCACUUCAACACCGAGCCUCCCUCGGGCGACGCGGUGAUCUUCACCUCGUAGCUGAUCUUCUCAAAGGCGGUGCCCAGCGCAUCACCCUCGAUGAUUAACAGUAGGUGAAGUUCUCCUUGUUCAAGGCCUAGACCUUGUGCUUUGCCGUCUUGUACCGACUGCCGAUCAGAGUAACAAAAAGUAACAUUCACAUUUAGAACUUGCCGGUUUCAACAUUGUGAGCACCGAUCUUGAUGGUGUAGAUCCGGCCAUUCAGGAAUUAGCCCCCAGCCACAAUCCAAUACUAUUAACUUAGACAUGGCCUGAUUUUGCCUUAUUGAAAUCAGGUCACAUGAUCACAUGUGUAAAUUUAAACAGUUAGAAACGUCUUAAUUAAUCAAGUCAUAUUUCUAUCUUUUUCAAUCAAGUCAUAUAUCUAUCAUUCAGGAAUUAGCCCCCAGCCACAAACCAAUACUAUUGACUUAGACAUGGCCUGAUUUUGCCUGAUCGAAAUUGGGUCACAUGAUCACUUGUGUAAAUUUAAACAGUUAGAAACGUCUUAGUUACUCAAGUCAUAUAUCUAUCUUUUUUAAUGUCCAUUAUAGUGUUCCAUAAGGUUGAACCCGCCUUGAUUUGGAGCAAUCCUAAGUUCCUAAUAUGGAUGGACUAACCUUCGCAGAAAGUCAUCAACUUGAUGGUCUCGGGACCUCCAUCGCCCUCGAAGACUUCAAUGCUCUUGAUGUCUUGUGGGAGGACCUUGUUGAUGAGGUUAUCGGUGUCAAGGAGAGUGGCCUCAAACAUCUCGGCCGGAGGGAUUGGGGACGUAAGUGAUGACACACAUGACUGGAUCCGAACAAAGGUGCAGAAACUAAGAAGAGGGUGAUGAUCAGGAAAGACUUAGUAGUGAUGAAUUUGGUCUCUAGGACUUGGGAGUGAAGGAAGGAGGCCGAAUUGAAGAAGACAUAUGUAGAGAGACUGAGUGUGAAGGGUUAUGAUUUCUGAAUAUUUUCUUCUUUCUUAGGUGGGUUUUGCAGAAAAUAAAUAAUUUAAGAAAUAUUUUCCUAAAAUUAAUCGUCAAAUUUGGAUAGUGUUUCCAAGCAAGAGUUAUUUGGUGAGUGUGCUGCAUAUUGUAAAUUGAUCUAAAUCCAUAUAGAACUCACAAGAAUUACAAGCCUAUAUCUCCUUAAUAUAAAUACGAUGAAAAAAUGCUACCUCAUUUCCGAAUUUUCAUCAAAAUUGUGCUGUAUAUACUAUGUUAAUCUAAAUUGCUAAAUUCAAUGGGCUCACGUGGGAUCCAUACAAAACUCACCAGAGUUAAAAGUUUUGAUUCCGCUUAAAAUGAAUACAGUGCACUUUCGUCAAAAUUGUGUUGUCUGUACUAAAUUGAUUUAAAUCACUAAAUCUGAUGGGUUCAUGUGAGACCCAUAUGGAACUUACUAGAAUUAAAAAUCCAAAUUCAGCUUAAUAUAAAUGCAACCUAGCUCAUUUCUGAGUCUUCAUUAAAAGUGUGUUGUAUGUCCUACAUUGAUCUAAAUCGCUAAAUAUGAUGGGUUUGCGUGGGAUCCAUAUAGAACUUACUAGAAUUAAAAGUCCAAAUUCCCCUUGAUAUAAAUACGACACUACCUCAUCUCCAAGUCUUCGUCAAAAUUCUGCUAUAUGUACUAAGUCAAUCUAAAUCGCUAAAUUUGAUGGGUUCACGUGGGAUCCAUACGAAACUCACUGACAUUGAUUCCACUUAAUAUAAAUAUGAUGCUCUUUCAUUGAAAUUGCGUUGUAUGUACUAAAUUGAUUUAAAUCACUAAAUAAGAUGGGUUCAUGUGGGACUUAUAUGGAACUCACUGGAAUUAAAGGUCCAAAUUCCGCUUAAUAUAAAUUUGACCCUAGCUUAUUUUCGAGUCUUCGUCAAAAGUGUAUUGUGGGUUCAAGUGAGAUCUAUAUGAAACUCAUUGGAAUUAAAACUCCAAAUUUCUCUUACUAUAAAUAUGAUGCUAUCUCAUUUCCGAGUUUUCAUCAAAAUUAUGUUGUAUAAGUUAAUAUACGGGUUUGUUUUAUUAUUAUGACUUUUGAGAUUCCCUUUCAUUUAUCAGUUUGAUAAAGAAUCGAAAUUUCCUUUUGACCCAAAAAAAAAAGUUAAUCUAAAUCACUAAAUUUUAUGAGUUUACAUGAGACCCAUAUAAAACUCAAUAAAAUUAAAAGUCUAGAAUCCACUAGAUAUAAAUACGAUGCUAGCUCAUUUCCAAAUCUCCAUCAAAUGCCUUUUUCUCAUCACUUUGAAGCUUCUGAUCGCACCCCACUCUGUCACACGUGAAUCGGGAAUGAUUUUCGACGCCAAAGUCUUCGUUAAAUCUCAAAAAGAUUGAGCCAACGUGGAACAACAACUCAAUUGUAAGCAUCGGGGUUUUGCAAGAGAUGGGCUCCAAUGGCUUUCAACAUUCCCAUGGCCUUCUAUUUGCUAGCCUUGUUCUCGACCCUGUCCUUGGCGAAGUACUUGCUCGUGCUCUUGCACGUGCACCCUCUCUGUCUGGACUUGAUCUCGUUCGAGAUCUUCUCUAGCACGUCGCCCUCCACAAUGAUGUAAGCGUGCGCGAGCUUUCCUUGUCCAGCUUGUCGACUGGUGCUUCACCGAGUUGAACCGUGUAGCCGCGACACACAGAAAACUGCAGUCAGCUCCCACGUUAGUCUUAUCUAAGAAUGUCAGGCAAAUAUGUUGACAUCACAUGUUGAUGUGUGAUCAAAAUGAGUGAAAUUAGAAGACGCGCAGGUACUCGCCUUCGCCGAAAACGAUGCGAUGGUGACGGGACCGCCGUCACCUUCAAGGGUGACAAAAUCCAGAUUGGCUUGUAGGAGGAGCUUGGGGAUGAGAUUUUUAUCAAGAUCAAAGGCCUUGAACAUUCGUGCAGGUGGGAUGGAAUGCGUCUUAGCCUAAGAUUUCCAAGUCCCAGGGCAAGAGAUGUGAGAUUAUGUUGAAAUGCCCUUUAAAUGAUUCUCAAUCUCCUCGUUUAGUUUCGAUUAAAAAAAAAAAAUCUCCUCGUUUAGUAAUCUAAAUCAGCAUCACAAUGUUCUUAAAUAAUACAAUAAAAAAAGAGGACAAAAGGCAUGGAUCUCAAGCCCAAAUUAUACUUAUUAGCAUGUGAGAGAUCUUUGAAUGCUGACACCCUUGAGGGUGGGAAUUCACUAAAUUAUAAUUUAAAUAUUAAAUGGCGCCAACGGCUCGGACAGGAAAGCUUGAGUACAUGCGGAUAAUUCUUGCGCAACGAAAUGCAUGGUAAGUCACGAAUCGAGACUCCUCCACAUACACGCUAUUGCGACCAUGACCAUGAAUACCACUUCCUUGACCAGUUGGCCAGUCGGAGGAGGAAGACGUGGGUUGAGCAUAUCCUAUAGUGGCACAUUUGAGUCUUUGAAUAAUGUUGACAUUUGUGUCAUUUGCAGGGAAGAGAGAAGAUUCCUGGAUGCUUCCCCAUCAUUCUCUAGCAUCGGUACUUUUACUGUUGACUCUGUUUCAUGAAAGAAGAAUGAAUCAAUGUUUUGAUCACAACCUCAAGUUGCCUACAAAUUCCAAAUUUUUGAGAUACUAUUAAUACAUACCACUUUUCAAAAUCUGUACUUGCUCUUCCUAAAAGUCUUGUUAGAAGUAUUGGAUGAAUCCAAAUUCAAUAUGUCAAUUGAAGGUAUUUGAUCAACCCGAGACCAUAGGUACAGGGGGAAUGUACUGAUUAGAUUUGAUCAUGUAGCUUGCUAGGAACCAUGUAGCCAUAAGAUCCAGCCACUGGGAUCCAAUUCGACGAAUCCGAAUUCAAGAGCCUCACCGUCCCAAAAACCAAAAGCCAAGGCUCGAAGUCCGACUUGAGCAAGAUGUUGUUCAACAUCAUGUCCUGAUGGACAAUAGGCAGUGAGCAAUUGUGAUGCAAGUAGGCGAUCACGGGAGCCACGCAUUGAUCACGGGAGCCACGCAUUGAACAAUCUUCACUCUCUUGACACAAGUCCAAUUCAACUGCUCCGCUUCCUCCAUGCAAGACCUUAGCCAAAGUUAAGAAAAGAUUGGAUGAUGUCCCUGCGGUUAACCACCACUUUUUUUUACCGUGACGAUGUGGCCACUGGCCUAUUCGGCCUUGUAAACGCUUCUGAAUCCGCGUUUUCCGAUGCAGUACUCUUCACUGAAGCCGUUGGUGGCCUUGGCAAUAUCGUUGAAUGCAAACUUCGUUCCCCUUUCCCAUAUGAUUUCACGUACUUCAUAAGAUUUCUUAUCUCUUCAUCGAGAUGCUUGUUUCACCGCCAAAGCACCAAAAUCAGAGCAAUAAGAGUCGCGAGAAGUAGUAAGCAGCAAACGCAACAAUCACAUUAAUCAGAACCUUUCUCCGAUGGUCAGUCGAUUUACUGCUCGACCCACAUGGAGACAUUCCGUCGCGUUUCCUCACAAGCCCGGAUUUGCAAUAAAAGCACUUCCUAGUUAUUGUUGGAAGAGGCGACCACCAGGAACUGCGCUUGUCAACUUGUUGUAUAAGAAGCCCAUGAAGCUUAAACUGCUCAUGCUGGUGAGAGCAGCUGGGAUCGUACCCGACAAAUCGUUAUGCGAAACAUUGAGAUUUUCCAAUUUAGUGAGCUUUGUUAAAUUGGAAGGAAUUGAUCCUACUAGUGAAUUGUGGCUCAGGUCUAGUGGUUCUGUAGCGUGAACGAGUUCCCCAGCUCUAGCGACAUGACACCCAACAGAUUGUUGUUGCUCAAGUUCAGGCUCAGUAAAUUCUCGCAAUUUGCUAACUCUUUUGGUACAAUCCAUAGAGAAGGGAUGUACUUGCCAUAUUGUGGUUUAUGAAAGAUUGUGCCACAUUGAUAACUUUAGAUGUUAAUCCAAAUUCGAAAUAUUGGGCCAAAGUUUGGUAUUUUAUUGGCCAUUUGGCAUUUCAUUUGUAACUCAUGAAUUCUCUCCUCGUAAAAAAAUUACUAAAUUAGAGAAUUUCAUUCUACAAGCCUUAGUAUAAACAUGUAGCAUAGUUUAUCAAAUUCCACAAAACCACUGCACCAGAUUCCUAUCACACCUUUUAUUCUCUUAUUCUCAGCAAAGACAAGAACAACAACACUCACCAGCCCAACAUGCUUAGCUCCAAACGGAGUGACUCAAACUCUUCUUGUCUCCUUUUCAGUAUAGCACAACCACACAUAUUUAACGCAUUUCGUAAACAAUACAAGAUAGCGAAAGGAUAGGUUCAGUAGGCAUCAGGGUUUGCCAAGAGAUAAUCCUCGAUGGCCUCGUACAUCGCGGACACCUUCUCUUUCCAGGUGUUGAUCUCCUCCGCGGUGAAGUAACUGUCCGUGCACUUCAACAUCGAGCCUCCCAAAGGCAACGCGUUGAUCUUCACCUCAUGGGUGAUCUUCUCGAAGGUGGUGCCCAGCAUUUCGCCCUCGAUGAUUGAGUAGCAGUAGGUGAAGUUCUCCUUGUCCAGGACCUCGACCUUGUGCUUCGCUGUCUUGUACGGAUUGCCUAUCAAUGUAACAAAAAGUCACACUCACAUUUAGAACUCGCAGGUUUCAAUAUCACGAGCACCAAUCUUCAUGGUGUCCAUCAGGCCAUUUAGGAAUUAACCCAAUUGUUCCGACCGCAAUCCAAUACAAUUGACUUAGACAUAGCCUGACUUUGCCUGAUCAAAAUUGAGUCACAUAAUCACUUGUGUAAAGUUAAACGGUUAGAAACAUCUUAAGUAAUCGAGUCAUAUUUCUAUCUUUUUCCAUAUUCAUUAUAGCGUUCCAUAAGGUUGAACCUACCUCGAUUCAGAGCAAUCCUAAGUUCCUAAUACGGAUGGACUAACCUUCGGCAAAAGUCAUCAACUUGAUGGUCCCGGGACCUCCAUCGCCCUCGAGGACUUCAACGCUCUUGACGGCUUGUGGGAGGACCUUGGGGAGGAGGUUAUCGGCAUCGAGGAUAGCGGCCUUGAACAUCUUGGCCUGGGGAAUGGGGGAUGGGAAAUCAAAGUGAAAAGUGAUGACACCCAUGAUCGGAUCUUAAUAGAGUUGCUGAAACUGAGAAGGGGGUGAUGAUCUGGAAAGACUUGAGUAGUAGUGACGAAGUUGGUCUCUGGGACUUGGGAGUGAAGAGAAGAGGCUGAAUUGAAGUUGACAUAUAUAGAGAGAGGGAGACUGAGUGUGAAGGGUUCUGAUCACUGCAUAUUUUUUUCUUACUAAGAUGCAUUAUAUUUUGCAGAAAAUAAAUAAUUUAGAAAAUAUUUUCCUAAAAAUAAUCACUAAAUUUAGAUAGUGUUCUGAGCAUAAGUUAUUUGGUGAGUGUGCUGCAUGUUCUAAAAUGAUCUAAAUUGCUAAAUUUAAUGGGCUCACUAGAAUUAAAAGUCUAGAUUCCCCUUAAUAUAAAUACGACACUACCUCAUUUUCAAGUCUUCAUCAAAAUUGUGUUGUAUAUAAAUAUGACCCUAGCUCAUCUCCGAGUCUUUAUCAAAUGUGUGUUGUAUGUCCUAAAUUGAUCUAAAUCGCUAAAUCUAACAGGUUCACGUGGGAUCCAUGUGGAACUCACUCGAAUUAAAAGUCUAGAUUCUCCUUGAUAUAAAUACGAUGCUAUGUCAUUUCUAAGUUUUCGUCAAAAUUGUGUUGUAUAUAAAUAUGACCCUAGCUCAUUUCUAAGUCUUUAUCAAAUGUGUGUUGUAUGUCCUGAAUUGAUCUAAAUCUCUAAAUCUAACAGGUUCAUGUGGGAUAAAUGUGGAACUCACUCGAAUUAAAAGUCUAGAUUCUCCUUGAUCUAAAUACGAUGCUAUGUCAUUUCAAAGUUUUCGUCAAAAUUGUGUUGUAUAUACUAAGUUAAUCUAAAUCGCUAAAUUUGAUGGGUUCAUGUGGGAUCCAUAGGAAACUCACUGAAUUAAAAGUUCAGGUCAACUUAAUAUAAAUACGGUUUUCUUUCAUCAAAAUUAUGCCGUAUGUACUAAAUUAACCCAAAUUGCUAAAUCUGAUGGGUUCAUGUGGGACCUAUAUGAAACUCACUCAAAUUAAAAGUCAAGAUUCUCCUUGAUAUAAAUACGAUACUAUGUCAUUUCUAAGUUUUCGUCAAAAUUGUGUUGUAUAUAAAUAUGACCCAAGCUCAUUUCCGAGUCUUUAUCAAACGUGUGUUGUAUGUCCUAAAUUGGUCUAAAUCACUAAAUCUAAUAGGUUCACGUGGGAUCCAUGUGGAACUCACUCAAAUUAAAAGUCUAGAUUCUCCUUGAUAUAAAUACGAUGCUAUGUCAUUUCUAAGUUUUCGUCAAAAUUGUUUUGUAUAUAAAUAUGACCCUAGCUCAUCUCCUAGUCUUUAUCGAACGUGUGUUGUAUGUCCUAAAUUGAUCUAAAUCGCUAAAUCUAACAGGUUCACGUGGAAUCCAUGUGGAACUCACUUGAAUUAAAAGUCUAGAUUCUCCUUGAUAUAAAUACAAUGCUAUGUCAUUUCUAAGUUUUUGUCAAAAUUGUAUUUUGUAUAUAAUAAGUUAAUCUAAAUCGCUAAAUUUGAUGGGUUCAUGUGGGAUCCAUAGGAAACUUACUAAAGUUAAAAGUUCAAAUCAGCUUAAUAUAAAUAUAGUGCUCUUUCAUCAAAUUACGUCGUAUGUACUAAAUAACCCAAAUCGCUAAAUCUGAUGGGUUCAUGUGGGACCUAUAUAAAACUCGCUGGAAUUAAAAGUCUAGAUUCUACUAAAUAAAAAUGAGGCCCUAACUCAUUUCCGAGUCUUUGUCAAAAGUGUGUUGUAUGUCCUAAAUUGAUCUAAAUUGCCAAAUCUGAUGAGUUCACAUAGGAUCCAUAUUGAAUUCACUAGAAUUAAAAGUCCAAAUUCCACUUAAUAUAAAUAUGACGCUAGCUCAUUUCUGUUUCUUCAUCAAAAUUGUGGUAUAUGUACUAAGUUAAUCUAAAUCGCUAUAUUUGAUAGGUUCAUGUGGAACCCAUAUGAACCUCACUAAAAUAAAACGUCCAAAAUCGAUUAAAUAUAUGUACUACUUUAACUCAUUUCUAAGUCUCCAUCAAGCACCUUUUUCUCAUCUCUUUGAAGCUUCCGAUCGCGUGCCAUUCCGUCACAUGUGAAUCGCGAAUGAUUUUCCACGCCAAAGUCUUUGUUAAAUCUCAAGACUUAAAAAUACGAAUGUGAAGUAACAACUGCGUGUCAAAUGCAGAAAAUUCAUAUGUGAAAAAGUUGACCGUCCCUUCUUGAGUCAACUGUUCUCUUCCUCGAUAUGCUUUUCUGAUCUGGCCUCAAAGACAGAUGGGCAAAGCGGCGCAUUCAUAUCUAUAAUCUCGCGGCAGUUUCAACUCUGUUAAAAGAAUGCCGAGAUCUUUACAAGAUGUUUGACAAGCGUCUUUGAUGACAGCAUGCAGCAUAUCUACCGCUUCAAAACAUAGUUACGGUUCAGUCUCGAUUGUUAUUUUUCUUGAAAGAGACACGAAUGAAGACAUAAAUUAUGGUGGGAGAUGGAAAGAUCCAGCCAACAUGUAACAACAACUCAAUCGUAAGCAUCAGCGUUUUUGCAAGAGAUGGGCUUCUAUGGCUUUCAACAUUCCCAUGGCCUUCUCUUUGCUGGCCUUGUUCUCGACCCGGUCCAUGGCGAAGUACUUGCUCAUGCUCUUGGCCAUACACCCUCUCUGUCUGGACCCGCCUCAAACUUGAUCUCGUUCGGGAUCUUCUCUGGCGCGUUGCCCUGGACGAUGGCGUACGCAUACGCGAGCUUUCCUUGUCCAGCUUCUCGACGGGUGCUCCAUCGAGUUGAACUGUCUAGCUGCGAGACACAGACAACUGCAGUCAGCUCCCACGCUAGCCUUAACAAAGAAUGUCGGCAAAUGUCCUCUUUGACAUCACAUGUUAAUACGACGCAUCAAAAUAAAUGAAAAUAGAAGACAGCGCAAGCACUGGCCUUCGCCAAAGAUGGCGCCGGGACCCCCAUCACCUUCAGGGAUGACAAAAUCCUUAAAGGCUUGUGGGAGGAGCUUGGGGAUGAGAUCAUCGUCAAGAACAACGGCCUUGAACAUUCUUGCAGGUGGGAUGGAAUCGUCUUCACCUAAGAGUUCCAAGUCCCACGGCAAGAGAUCUGUGAGAUUAUGUUGAAAAUGCCCUCUAAAUGAUUCUCAAUCGCCUCGUUUAGUAAUCUAACUCAACAUCACAUUGGUCUAAAUCAUAUAAUAAAGAAAGAGGACAAAAGGCAUGGAUCUCAAACCCAAAUGAUACUUGUUAGCAUGCGAGAGAUCUUUGAAUGCAGACAACCUUGAGGGAGUCACUAAAUUAUUAUUAAAAUAUUCUAAUAGAACCCAAUGGCUUAGACAAGCAAGCUUGAGUGCGUGCGGAUAAUUCUUGCUUGACAAAAUGCAUGGUAGGUCGCGAAUCGAGACUCGUCCCCAUGCACAUCCACUUCCUCGGCUAGUUGGCCGGUCGGAGGAGGAAGCCAUGGGUCGAGCACAUCCUUCAGUAGCACAUUUGAGUCUUUCAAAUAAUGUCGAGUUUGUGUCAUUUGUAGGGAAGAAAGAACAUUCAAUGGAUGCUUCCCAUCAUUCUCUAGUGCCACUACUUUUACUGCUGACUCUGUUUCUUGAAAGAAGAACUAGUCAGGGUUUUGCUCACAUCAUCAUCAUCAAGUUGUACACAAAUUCCAAAUUUCUGUGAUACUUUUGAAACAAACCACUUUUCAUAAUCUAUACUUACUCUUCUUUAAAGUAUUGUUAGAAUUAUUGAAUGAAUCCAAAUUCGAUUUGUCCAUUAACCGCAAAGUCACUACAAAGAAUGAAUCAAAGUCAUGAUCAUAAUGUCAAGUUGUACCCAAAUUCCAAAUUUGAACGACACUCUAACACAAACCACUUUUCAAAACCGCAAAAUCCUAAAAGUUCCAUUAGAAUUAUUUGAAUGCAAAGUAUCGAUCCGAGACCAUUUGUACCCGCGAAAUGUCGAUUAGAUUCAAUCAUCUAACUUACCAGGAGCCAUGUAGCCAUAAGAUCCAGCCACAAAUAAGGCCGGAAACUCGCAUGAACCGGAAAGCAGCAGCCCAGUCCGGCGAGCCCGAAACAGGGCAUGGGCACAAAAAAAGCGCGGUCGGCAGAGAGUCCCUACCCAGCUCCCGGCGUCAGACGGCGGACGAGCUCGAUAGAUCGGGCUUCGUCCGUCCGCCUCGCUCGUCUCCUAGCCGGGAUCCUCGGGAAGCCGACCUCGAAUCGGGAAAAACCAAGACGGCCCGAACGGGGACCUUACCAUGGCCUCGAAGUGGACAAGGAGCGGCGGCGGAUCAUCAGUUUUGGUUCGGAAGUGGAGGCCAACAGCGGCUCUCUCAGUCGCGUUCUCUCUCUCUCAACUCACGGUCUCUCUUUCGCGGCCCUCUCUCCUCGGAUCCGAAUCCCUCUCGCCUCGUACUUGACCCCCCUCCGAUUUCUCCCUCCUCCCCGACCUCUGGCCUUCUAUUUAUAGGCUGAGAAGGCCAGUCGGAGGAGGCGCUUCGGCCGCCGGUCCUUCGCGCGCCGACCGGCCCCCCUUGGCUGAACCAGCAUGACAUCACCCGUCGCCUCCACCGCCGCCUGCUCUGCUUUGCGCCUGCUCUGCUCUGCUCUGCUCCUACUGCUGAUUCCGUCCUCGCUGGCGUGAGGAAGAAGCGGGAAGGAGGAAGGAGGGGCCGGGCCAGGGUGAGAAGCACAAGCAGAGUGGGCCCUGGGCCCACUCGGGGAAGAUAGGAAAAAAGAGGGGGGCUCAGGCGAAGGCCCAGCCGCCGUGGGCCCUUUUUUUAUAAAUAAUAUUAAAUAGGGUUAAAUAAGAGAAAAUAAAACGAAAAUAAAACUUAAAAUGCAAAUAAUAUUAAUGCUUAUAUGAUGUGAAAAUCGUUUUUAUUAGGGUCAAAUUGAUUCCAAACUUUUUAUAUAAUUUUAAUUAUAGAUGUUUAGUUAAAAUUUAAGUAUCAAUAAAUAUAAAUCUCAAAUUGCAAGAGUAAAAAUAAAAAAGAAAAGACUUAAAUAAGAGACAAGUGCGGUUGCACCUUUAUCCCAUCAUGUGACUGAAAUUGUUUACGAAAGUAAAAAAAUUCAACGAACAUCAAGUGCUCUAGCUUUAAUUGAAUUAUUGUGGGCCUUAUUUCUCCGCCACGCAUCCCACGUUGAAGUCAUCCUUUAACGUUACAUAUAUGAAUGAAUCGAAAUUUAUCUAUAUGUUAUACGUAGUGACACGUGUAAUGCAGUGUGGCUCUUUUGAUGGGACAAAUUUCCCCACAUCACCAAUUACCUCUUAUUAGGACAAGUUCUUGAAGGAUCCUAUGUUCUUUUUCUUUUCUUUUCUUUUUUGAUAAUAUUGAUAUUGUUUUCGGUGACGUGUUCCUUUUCCAAAUUAAUUGGAAUAUAUCAUUUUAAUAGAUCAAAUCUCUACCUUAAAUGGGAGUAUGAGUUUCAAAAACCUAUGAUAGAUUAUUAUCAAUAGUCACACAAGAAUAACAUGCCAAUUGAUGCUACAGCGUGACACAUAAUAAAUAAAGGGGAAAAGCCAGAUUUUAGUAAAACAAAUUCGAAACCGAGUGUUGAGAUUAUUUAUUGACAUGGACAUCAACCUAUAGCAUCUCCUUUUACUAAUGAAUAGGGCUUGGAUUAAAUAAUCAACCUAGUGAUAGUCUAAAAUAGCUCUUUUUGCCUUGCUCCUCUAUCUUUGGACAUCAACUUUAUUUAUUUUUUAAUUUACUCUGAAUCUUAUUUGGUAAAAUCUAUACAUGUGCAUCGAAAGUGCACGAUCUAAAAGAGUCCAUCAGUAUCGUAGCCACAACCAAGAAGUAUGUGUGAUUUGUUUUUAGAUCCCACAUAAACUGAAAGCAUGCUAACAUUCGGACCAAUAUCAAAUCACUUGUGGAUUGCCGACUAUGAAAGCAUAAAGGAGUAACUAUAUAAAUUAAUCCUAGCUAGGAUCUUCCUACAUUUCUACAUAGGUAGGCAUUUAAAUGAUCAAUGAGAGAGAGAGAGAUUAUAUAUAGAUCAUAAUUCAAAGAGACGAUCUACUCUUUUAAUGAUGAUGAUGAUGAUGAUAAUUAUAUAAAAUUGCGAGGAGCAGAAUUUUUUUUGGCCCGGUAGAGUCUAUGAAAAAACUACACAAUACAUCGGGAUGAUCAUUAGAUGAGAAUGCAUGUUUAGAACAAUGAAAAUCAUUUUGUAGGGUAUAGAUCUCCCAAAUUGUUCAAACAUUGUUUUAAUGGUUUUCCUUGGAUGAAAGAUUCUUCCUCUAACACAUGAUUUACUUAAUUUAAUCAGUCCAAGAGAGAGAUACACCACCCACGUGCCCCAUAAACAAUGGGGAAUUUGUCUAAUACGUUAUGAUGUACAAGACCAUACAAUCCUGUUUGCUCUUUUGAUAAGUAUAAAUUAUUGUGCAAUCAAUGAAUUCAGAUCUAAUGUUAUUAAGAUAUUUCACAUGUCCACAUGUGGUUUUGGUCUAAUAGAUCAAACCAACAUACAAUGUCAACUCAGACAAACACAUUUUUGGUCGUUCACUCUUCCUUGAUAAAAAUCCCUUUAAAGGCCAAAUGUCUGAUAGCCCUUGAUACUUGACACCCUAAAGUUUACUUAGCAAAGGUUCAAUAAGUUAGGUUUUGGAAGGGUCAUCAGGAGUAUUGUAGGUCGGAACGGGUAAAACAAGGAUCUCUGUAAAGUUAACCACCUUGCUGGAGUUGCAUUUGAUGAAUGAAUUGUUCCCAACUGAAAUUCUUUUAGAGCAUGUGUUAACAAGACAAUCACAAAAUUGUUGUCAAAUAAAGCACCCGGAUCAAAAGCGGAAUUGAUCACGAUGAUUUUUGGAUUGAAGUGGUGAAAAAGCUUGGUCGAGAGCUAAUUGGGAAAUAGAGAAAGCUCAAACUUUAGGAUAAGCAAUUUUGUGGCUAAUAAUAGAAACUACAAAAGGUUUUGGCUAAUUGUCCACUGCAUAUAUUCUUGGGCCCCUUCCUUCCCCUUCAUUCCGCGGAGGCAGACGAAGGUACCAGACGGAGGAGGCGCCGCCGGCGGAGCAGAGCCCGAGCCAGAGCCAUGGUUCACGUCUCUUUCUACCGCAACUAUGGGAAGACGUUCAAGAAGCCUCGCCGUCCGUACGAGAAGGAGCGGCUGGAUGCUGAGCUGAAACUUGUUGGUGAGUAUGGGUUGAGGUGCAAGCGAGAGUUGUGGAGGGUUCAGUAUGUGCUGAGUAGGAUCCGUAACAACGCCAGGAUGCUUCUGACCCUCGACGAGAAGAACCCUCGUCGUAUCUUUGAAGGCGAGGCCCUUCUCCGUAGGAUGAACCGCUAUGGGCUUUUGGACGAGAGCCAGAAUAAGCUUGAUUAUGUCUUGGCCUUGACUGUGGAGAACUUCCUCGAGCGCCGCCUUCAGACAUUGGUGUUCAAGUCGGGUAUGGCCAAAUCCAUCCACCAUGCCAGGGUGCUCAUUAGGCAGAGGCAUAUCAGGGUUGGUUGCUGACUUAUACACCCCGUUAGGUGACUCGUUCUCUCGGAUAUUAACCAGAUGGGGUGUAGCUUUACCAACUUUGGAGGCUUAUAAUGAUAAGUUUAUUUGGUGUGGCGAUCCAUCAGCCUCCUUCUCGGUCGCAUCUGCAUGGAAUGUCAUUAGAACCAAGAGAGAUCGGGUGGAGUGGGCUUCUUUGAUUUGGGAUAUUGAUAUAGUCCUGCGCCAUCAGUUUAUUCUAUGGCUUAUAUCUAGAAACCGUCUUCCCACUCAGGUGAGGUUGUUAAAUCAAGGUCGAAUUGAUUUUAAUGUAUGUGCUUUUUGUAGUGAAGAACCGGACUCAAUUGAACACCUAUUCUUCCGGUGUCGCAUCUCUGCUUCCUUGGCCUUUUUUUGGGCAGCCAGAUGUAACUUGCCAUGGAGGAAUAGAUGUUGGAGUGAGGCGCUCACUUGGGCCAAGAAAUUCCUCAUGGGGAAGGAUUUUUACCACAGGAUAGUUUGAUUCUCCUUCGGUGCGUUGUGCCAUCUCAUUUGGAAGAAGAGGAAUGCGAUUAUCUUUGAGGGUGAGUCCUUGGUAAUCCCUGCCCUUAAAAAUCACCUAAUCCAGGUGGUUAAGGACAAAGCACUUACAUUCACGGAAGUUCUUCCUUCUCCGAAGAACAGAAGACUGCAAAGGGGGUGGGGAUUCCACCCAAUGAUCUUUUCAUCUGUAGCUAUUCCUCUUUAGGGUGCUGGUGUUUCGGUCUGCUCUUGUUCUUGUACUUACAGGUGCCUUCCUCCUCCAUUCUCCGCUUUCAGCUUUGAGGGCUUGAGGGAUGGGGACGCUACGGGUUCCUGUUGUUACGGCUUGUUUGUUCGUUUCUUAGCUUUUGUGUUCUUGUUGGCGCCCUCGGGCUUUUUUCGGAUCCCCGUCACUCUUGCUCCUUUGUUAAGAGUGCUUGUUUGGAUCCGAUCUUUUGUACAUUUGUCCUCCUCAUUAAUAUUAUUACCUUUACCAACAAAAAUACAAAAGGUUUUGGCCACUCAUGCACGUGCCAGGUCUGCUCUCACGUGCAUGCGGACCCUGGUCUGUGUCUCGGCCUCUCAAGUCUCUCUUCCCUGUUCUUCAAUCUCCACUUUCCGUCACCCAUUAAUCCCAUCUUCCUCGCUGACAUGAAGUCAUUAACAUUCGAUUUGAUCCCCAGAAAGCGAAAUCAACACUUAUCGCAUGAAUCAAAAGCAAAUACUAUGGAAUCGGUGUCCCGUGAGGCUGAUCUUAUAUGAUAACAUCUUUGUAUCGGCUACAUACAUUAUGUGCAAAUAAAGUGUAAUUAUACUAUCAUAUUUUCGUUAAUUCACCUCUUUGAUCCGAUAUUAUUUGUUGAUGUUGCCCUUUAAAAAUCAGGACAUGACAUCCUCCUUAGUUGAUUGAUAUAUGACAAGGGUCAACAAAAAAGACAGCAUCUAAGUUAACAAUUUGGGAAGAUUAAUGUUUGUGAUGGAGGGUAUUGACUUAUUACGUGACAGAAUCUUUCCGACAUCGUACAAUUAGCUGUCAAGCCAACAUUUUUGCCUUUUGUUUUUCAAGAAACAAACAAUCACAAAUUUUUAAAGAUAGACCACAUGCCCAUUUAGUUGACAGAAAAUUGUUCACAUAAAAGUUUUCCAUAUUUCAAUAUUUAGAUGAUAGAAAAUUAUUCAAUCUACUGAAAGUGUUUUCUGUGGAUUGAAAAUAAUAAAUUUAUAUUUGGAAAAAAAAUUGGUAAGAAAUCAUUUUUCCUAAUUUUUUGCUAAUUCUUAUAGAUUAAAUUAGUCAAAAUUAGACUUUAUUAACGCAUAUUAGUGAAUUCACUUGCUAUCAAACACCAUAAAAUUAUUUUUUCUCCAACAUGUUUUGGCAAGAACGAACACCAGAAAUUUGUUUAUUUUCUCUGGAAUUAAAUUUUUUGAAAAUACUUUUCAGCGAUAAAUUUUUGCUAAAAUAAGCGCAUCAAAGCGACAUUUUUGUUAAGGUUAAUACCCUAAAAAAUCCCAAACCAGUACACCUAUAAUAAAUUUACCCCAAACUGGUAUACUUUUGAUAAAUUUACUACAAACCGGUACUUGUGACAAAUUUAUCCUUUGUUAAUUUUCGAACUAAAUGACAUAUGACACUUGACUAAUAUACUAAUUUUGGAUUUUACACUCUAUUUGUCAUAGUUUACAAUUUUUGUGAUUUUUUUGCGGUGUUAAUCCAAUUUAGCGGAUGGUAUAAUUAUUGCAAAUUUAUUAGUGUGGGGUUUUUUGUGAUCGAAUAAAUUAGUUUUGGAUAAUUUAUCAUAAAUGUAUAAGUUUAGAGUUUUUUAUUAUCAGUCGGGAUAAAUUUUAUUAUAAAUAUAUUAGUUUGGAGUUUUUUAUAAUAAAAAAAUUUAAGUAAAUUUACUAUUAGAAUUUUCUAUUGUAUUAAUCAUUUUUGUUAACCCUCUUCUCCCUUUCUCCUUCUCUCUCUCAGCCGCAGCUGCUCUUUCUUCGCCAGCUGUACAAAAGGCCAAAAAAUAUAAUUGAGUGUCACCAGCAAUUAUGCACCGAAAGUAGCUUUAUUCUCUCUCUGCUGUGCUGCAGCUGCUCCUUCUUCGCCAACCAUACAAAAGGCCAAAAUAUAAUUGAGUUUCACCAGCAAUUAUGCACCUAAAGUAGCUUUGUCCUUCGAUUUGAUGAUAAGGAGCAACCCAUCUUUGUUGGCCUCAGUCCAAUCAGUGUCGGCCAAAUAGGUAUAUCACUCCAGGUCCUUCAUCUGUCGGACUUUCCAUUCCAGAGCAUCAGCGUUAGCAUCGUCCUCCGCUCCCAACACCAUAUUUUUCUUCUCAAGUCCAACCUUUCUUUACUCUUCCGGUUUUCUUGCUUUGAUCUCUUGACUCAUGGCUUCUGUCCUAUGAUAUGCUUCAUGUGCUACCAUGUUCUGGGUUUUAGCGGCGGUUUUUCUGUCUUAUGGGAUCGGACUCUUUUAAGGAUACUCGAACAUCAUAGUUUUGUUGCUUUUUGAACUAUGCAUGCACAUUCAAACAUCACAUGGCUUUUUGCAAUUGCAUUUAGCUUGAUAUAAGAAUGUUUAAUUCUUUGGAUUAGCUAACUUUGAUCUGCAUUUGGUUACUGCUAAUUCUGCCUUGGCCCAGCUUCUAGAUUGCCCUGAUAAAUCUGGUCAUCUUUAGUUUGUUGUGAGCAUAAUUUGAAUUUGCAGCCCACCCAAAAGAGAAAAUCUUAUAUGUUCACAGCGAAAAUUCUAAGUCAAUUAAAGUGAGUUUUCGCAGACUAUCAAGAAAAAGUUGGUUUUUCACAAAAGUGCUCUUAAGUUAUAAAUAAGUCAUAUGGAAAUCAGGUAAUACUUUUUUUUUUUAUCAAUAACUUUUUAACACUUACCAAUUCUUUCAGGAAUUUAUCUGCAUGAAAAAUAUCCGUUUGUUUUAAAAUGGAGUAGUAAAGUUGUCCCUGUGACAUAUGAGAGUUAAUUGCCUUUUUAACAAUUUGCGUCUGGAUGGACUCUCCACUAAACAAGAGGUCUCCUUGUAAAUGGCGUUAUUAUGACUUUUUGGGUGUCGAAUUGUCGUGAUCAUAAUUAUUAUUACUUUUUUUACCAAGAUCAUGUGUUCUCCGUUAGUCCAAUUCUAAGGAAAUUUGUUAGCACCGUAACAGUGGGGUGAAUUGAUUUUUCAAGAUAUUAAAUAUCAAUUUUGUAAAACCUACCCCUAUAAAAAUUGUGCUUCUACUACUGAGUAUACUAGCAAUUUAAACAGGACAAACUAAAAAGUUUAGAGAAAGAAAAAUUGCAAAAUGAGAAUUAUGAAAGUUCGAUUGGGGUAUACAUACUCCUCUUUCUAGCUCUAAUAGCCCAAAUAGACUGAACUCUACUAGCUAUGCCAAGAGUACAAAUACCAUAUUGUUUAGAAAAUUACUCAAUCCGUCUUAAACUUUUCAAUUUUGCCAAUUUAAUUUUAAAUAUUUGUGUAAAAUUUCAAUAUAUUUCUUUCAGUCAUUUUUCGUCGGAAAUUUCUAACAUGACAUCAUCGUUGGCCGUCCUAUGUAGCAUACCACUAUGCCCACAAUUUUCAGCUAAAAUUAGCGAAAAGACUAGACUGAAUUUCACACGAAAGUCUAGUUGAUGACCGAAUUAGUAUCCAUGCAAUAAGUCUAGGAUUGAUUAGACAAUUAGGGUGCGUUUGCUAACAUUUUUGUUUAAAAAUUGUUUUUGGGAAUAGAAAUAGAAAAAAGUAUUUCUGCUUCAAGGAACAAUUUUUGAACAAAAAAACGCGUUUGGUAAAUUUAUUCCAGAAAUAUAAAAAGAAUAGAAAUACGUUUGGUAAAUUUGUAUAAAUUUUUUAUUUCUUUUAAUUUUUUAAUAUUUUUAUUUUAUUUUUAUAUUUCUUUUCUUUUUUUUCUUUUUUUCUUUUUCCUUUUGUUUCUUUUUUCUUUUUCCUUUUUUCUUUUUUCUUCUUUUGGCCGGUCGCUGGCCUCGGCCAUGGCCGAUGACCGGCCGAUGAGGGCCAUCGGCCUCGCCCAGCCACGGCAAGGCUCAUUGGCCCCGGCGAGGUUCGGCGUCGCCGGCCGUUGGGCGAGCUCGGCCUCGCCGAGGCUGGGUGAGAUUGAGCUCACCCAGCCCGGUGCGAGGUCGGCCUCGCAGGGGGCCGGCGAUGCUCUGGCAACCGGCCAAAGAAAAAAGAAAGAAAAAAUAAGAAGAAAAUGGAAGAGAGAGAAAAAGUGUUCCUAAAUUUUGUUCCAGAAAUCCAGAUGUGUUUCUGGGAACAAAAAAAUAAUUUUGGAACAAAAACGCAAACAAACGCGUUUCUGUUCCUUUUUUGUUCCUAGAAAUAAAAAAACAGAAAUUUUUGUUCUAGGAAACAAAAAUAAUUUUUAACAAACAGGCCCUUACUUGUUACAAGUGUAGAACUUGCCGCCACGGAGAACUUGACUUCCUUUUAUAGCAAUCCCGUUGUACACUGAGUAACUUUUGGACCCUCCAAUAGCUGUUCUCACUCCUUGUUCACACGAUACAAAGGUCCUUUUCUAAAUUAUAAACCACACCUCCGACUGUUUACAAAGAGUCCAUUAUACAUUUUAUCUCUUGCCUAGACAAAUAGUGUUCACUCUAAGUAUGUAAAACCACCCUUUUCAUAUGUUUACGAGUGGGUUUGUCCCUCUUGCUAAUAAUUAGAAACAACACCAAAAUGGGUAUUACAAGUUUACGAAAGACACGAACUUAAAAGUUUCCCAAUAAUACUUAAAUUCUCUUGUAGUAGUUAUAUCUAUCUAAUCUUCAAUUAAAAAAAGAAAAAUCUUAGCAAAAUUCCUUAAAAACAAAUGUAUAAAACCUUGUUACAAUCUAGGCCAUCAAUCUGAUCUUCUAUUAAUGCAGGUUUUAAUCAUAUUGUUUCACCAACCUUCUGAGCGAAUUAGUCCCUUUUUUUUGCAUAACUAAUCUUGGGAUGUCACAUUUUAUUGCUAUGACUUGGGGCUUUGAUUUACGAACUCCAAUAGUCGUUAAAUCUAAUCCAUGGAAAGCGCCCGCUAAAAAAUCUGACUGCUUUGCAUAACCUAGUUUGGUUCUACACCUUUCCUCCAGCAGCUUUCCUGACAUAGUAAAAUCCUACUUGUGUACUUGUAAAAUCCGAACCAAGCUUCUGUAUGGUUUAAACAUGAACAUUUGCACACUUAAAUGAAUUUUUUAAAUUCUUGGGUUAAAUUUUGAUAUUAUCAUAAUCUUUUUAGUAUAUUUUCCAAGCAGUUUCUCCAUUUUCAACAAUGACAAACCUAUACCAUUCCUUCAAUAAGAGUGAGUUAUGCACAUAAGCAUGCAUAUUCUGCAGAACUAUUUCACUGUAAAACCAGAGAUGAUUCAUGCAUGCUUCUACAUGCGACGUUUUAAUAGACCAUACAAAUAUGUCUGCGAAACAUAAUAAACUCCCCUUAAUAUGUACACGUAGUGUGAUACUCCCCCUGAGUAUGUGCUUCUCCCCCUUCUUGUUUCUUAAAAAAGCAUUAACAUCAAAUGCCCAGGGAUGAAAACCAUAUAAGCAAAAGCAUUCAUUUAUUUAUAUACAAGAGUGUUCUACAAAGCAUAUUCCGGAAAAAUUAAUAUAAAGGAAAGUGAACAUUAACCAAAAGGAUCACAAACACCGAUUUCAUCCAUCAAGCUAGAAAUGUAUUGUUAUCAAGAGGUUUAUUCAGAAUAUGAGCGAAUUGCAAAUCGAUGCUAACAAAUCCUUUUCAUUGAUUCAUGUUGUGCUGUGGCUGCCAUAAUUAAAUAAAUAAAUAAAAGAAUCGUAUGAAAGAGUCUCUCUUCUUGAAGUUUGACCUAGUUCAGAGCUCCUUGAAAUGGAAGCCACCCCCGUUAAUUAGCACAACUCAUUGUUUAGGGUUAAAUCUUUUAUUAGAAAUCCAAAAUUUAGGUAGUAGAAUACUUGGCCAAUUUUUAAGAUAGUGUGACUCUAAAAAUUGUGCUCGUAUUCAACUGAAACACAAUUAGUAAAGAAAGACUUACCGAUUGCUUAACAAUGUUGCAAUUACACUUAUUUUCAAAUCCUUACAUUAAGGAUGACACGUCCUUAUAUCUCAAUAAGGGCCAUUGACUUAACUAAGAAAUUUUAUCAUUUCCCUUUUUGCUAAUCAAUGUGUCAUGAGGUUUAAUACACAACUGACUAUAUUAACUUGAAGACUUUGAUUCCGUUCAAUACUCGAAAAACAGAAAUCUGACUAAUUGGAGUUUGAAUUACUGAAACUGCGACAACAAUUGAGUAGAAAUGUAAAAGAGACUUAGGGUUGAUGCCUGAUUAUAUGUCGAAAUACCAUGGGUUUGACAUAUAUACCUCCUUCUCAAAGCCCUGUAUGCUAUUGGAAAUAUGUAUACGUAUUAGACACAUUUUGUGGGCUACUACAUGGUGCACUUGUUUUAUAUUUUAAGUUUCAAUGGGUCAAUUUUGUCUACUAGUAAUAUUUUCUUCCAAUCAUACUUUCAAUUAACAGGUCAUAGAUUAUGGACAUUAUCAAUAUGCAAAUUCAAUCAAAAUCAAAUACGAGUGAUGUUAAUAUUUGUGUGAUCCAUCAACGAAAGUUAUGACUAAAAAGAGUUCAUCCAGCUAGAGCGUUACAUGUGCACAUAGAGUUUAGAAUUCUAUCCGUGAACUUUUACAUCAUUGACUACGGUUGCUAACAAGCAUUUUCAUUGCAAAAUUUGACAACAUUUUUGGAUGGCUUUUGGAUUAUUGAUGUUGAUUACAUAAUUAUGUCAUGAUUAAGUUUUAUCAUGUUCAGAUUUAGUUUUCUUAUAUUUUAUUUGAAUCUAAGUUACUAUUGUUGCACAUGAUUGUUGACACAUAAAUUUCUCUAUUUUACUUAAGACUUAAUAGCAUUAAAAAUUAGGAAUUAGUCGCUAAAAAAAUUAAUUAAAAAUUAAUUAUUAAAAAAAAAGAGAGAGAAGAAGAAAAAACCUUAGGGGUCGGGCCGGAUCCGGCCUUUGCCCGGCCCGCCCCCUUCCUCUUCUUUUCCCCCCGCGCGGCCCAAUCUCUUUUCCUUUCGGCCCGCCCGCGCCCCAGCUGUCUUCGCGCGCAAACCUGCAGAGGAGAAGAGACAGCACGCGAGCAGGCGGGACCGGCAGAAAGAAAAGACAGGGUAAAAGCAGAGAGAAGGAGGAGGGGCAGAAAGAAAGUGGAGCAACCAGAGAAAGAAAAACAGAGGGAGAGAGCUCGAGAGGGAGGAAGAGAACCGAAGAGGAGGAGGGGAGUCUCCGGCACUGUCGCCGCCGCCGCCGACGCGUCUCCUAGCCGCCGACCCUCGCUGCCGCCUCCCACACCUCUCCAGCAACCGCCAUCCCCGACGACUGCCGCCGUACUGGGUCACUGCCUCUGCUCCGCCGCGACACCAGCCACCUGCGCCAGUCACCGCAUCGAGCCCCCUCGCCGCGCGACCUGCAACACCCGCCGACGCUGCGGCUGGCCGCCGCCGCUCCCAGUCCCGUGCCGUACCUCCGCGUCACCGCUCCUGCUGCUGCUGCCGUCACCCGCCGUCGCAGCCCUAACCGGAGGGGCCGCCUGUGCUGCCACCAACCACACCUCUCCAGCAAACGCCAUCCCCGACGACCACCGCCGUGUUGCUUCCCCCGCCGUCGCCAGCUGCUGCGUUUUCGUCACCAACCGCUGCGUUCGCCGUCGCCCGCCGCUGCUGUUCCGCCACCGUGCCGUCACCCGCUGCGUCCCAAGUGUCGCCGUCAAGCCCGCGUCGCCGCCGCCUCCGGCGCCGUCCGUACGCCUAGCGACGCCUCAGCCGCGAGAAAAGGAGAGGGACAUCCAUCGGGUCGCGGCCGGGUAGGAUUUUGAUCUUCGGGCAGGCCGCGUCUGGGCCGAAGCAAGGCUUUGGGCCGGUUUAAUAUUAGUUUUUCCUUUUGUGUUGGGCCGGGCUUAGUUUACUUAGGUUUCUUUUUUAGGUGGACUCAGUUUUGAGCUGGACUGGGCCCGUCGUUCAGGCCCAGUCCUAUUGGGGCCUGCCGAAUUUGGCCUCCCCCGACCGGGCUAAACCCGGGUCGGGUCAGACCGGACCCGACCCGGUUCACACAUACUUUAAAAUUAAAAAUUAUAUAUUUUUUAAAAAAGUAAUUAUUUUAAAAAUUAUUUUAAUUAUUUUUAAAAAAAUUAAUUAAAAAAUUAAAAAUUACGAAAAUUAAAAAAUAUAGGGUUUAGUUAGGAAUUGCCAUAUCUUGUAAUUUUAGCAUAAUUAGGUUUUUAUUUUCUUGCAUCUUGAUUAUAUUGCAUGUUUGAGUCGCAUAUUUAAUUAUGUUUGUGGAUGUUCAAUUGCACGUACUGCAGUUAGGAUUUUGGUAGCUACAAUUGUUAUUUUAAUUAUUGUACACUCAUAUGAUAAGUAUAAAAUAAGUCUAAACUGUCUAACAAAUUUUUUUUAUUUUAAAGUAAACAAGAUUAAGUACCAAAAUGGCACUAAUUGGUUAACUAGUUGCGUAGAAAGUGUGGCAUACUCACAUGCUUUGGUUUCUAGUCGAUUCUAAUAGGUUAGUGGCAAUUCAUUUUUGCGAAAUUCUUAAAAAUACUCAAUGUCAUGCGAGAUAUAGACUUGAGAGAAUUUGCGCCUAAUCAUGAGCCUUAGGUUCGUUGUUUAGGCAAUACCCCUGAACCUAUUCCCUCCCCCCCUGAGGGUAGGUCGCAACAAUGAUCUAAGCUCCAACAAUAUUCUUACAUUAUAUUUUUUGCGUGUUAAUCAUGUGACUUUAACAAUGUUGUAAAUUAAAUCGAUUACACAUAAAAUGUUUCAGUCAAUAAUUGACACAAAUAGUAGUAGUGGACCGACCACAUAACAUUAGAUUGGUAGUGCAAAAUCUAAUUUCAAGAGAUCAAUAGCAUAACUGCAGCAAAUAUCAAACUUUAGCAUCCUGAAUGAAAUUUCUCGGUGUUAAAAAAUAAUUUUCCUUCCCUUGUCACGGCCACGGAGAAAAUCUUUUAGCACCGCCACUCCAAAAAAGGAUCGUGGUUUUCUUCCAUCACAAAUUUGAUUGGUGAGUUAUCAAAAUCUGAAGAAUCAUCCUAGAGACCGAUUCAAGGACAGCAGUUGAUCUACUAGUUGGCAAGAUUACAGAGUCGUUGAGGUCAGAUUGGGUGGUGAAAACCAACACAGCCCGUGAAGGCAAAGCGUGCGACGAUUGAUAAGCCAAUGCAGCGUUCUUUUUAGAGACCAGAUUUAGUUAUUCACUUAAGUUUAUCUACGGGGCUUCAAUUUGUACUUUUUAGGAGAUAAAAGUGGGUGUUAGGAGGCCGGGAUUUGCAUAUGAGAUGUGUUAGAAAUUAAACCAAAUUAAUUAAUGUCCUCAAUCGACUACGAGUUGCUGAUGUCAAUAGAGAAGUUACUGAUAUUAAUGGUUGUCAAUGCCGAUAUUCCAGAAUUUGAUACUAUGAUUUUGUUUGGUGAAUUGAUACAGAUGACUGUCCAAUGCUCGAGUUAAUUAGAUUCUUUAUUGUAGCGUUGUUUUUGAGAAGUCUAUUCAUAUUUUUGUUUCAUGACUUUUCAUGUUUCUAAGUGUAAUCAAUGUUUUAUAAGUUCUUAGGAUUUUAUCACCUCAGAUUAGCUAUAUUUAUGAGUCAUUUAGUUUAAGAGUUAUGUGUGAAGCGUAUAAAAGUUGAGUCUUGUAAUUGUUUUUGAUAAGGUGAAGGUAAGGUGAAAUAAACAAAAAGGAUAUCUGUCUCCUUCUCUUUUUGUGUUGUGUUAGUGAGUGUUUCAGCUUUAAAUUAUCCCAUCAAGAUGUAGCCUGUAUUUGUUUUUUUACAAAAACUCGAAGUUUUCUAGUUUUGAUACCAUAUGAAAUUACGAAGGAGCACUAUUAGCUAUUAUAGAAGUUUAGAUAAUUAGAUGGAUGCAUUAUUCAAUACUUAAUUGAUAUAACGUCUUUUUCACGACCCAUGUUCCUUUUCAACAACUAGAUUACUUGCACAGCUUGGGAUCAAUGGAAGGAGAGCUGUCUAUAGAAGUGGAGGAUGGUGGAAUGAACAACUCGAUCGCGGAGGAGGUGAAGAAGGAUGAAGGAGGACCUUUACCGGAAGUGUCAAAGGAUGAAAGGGAUUCUGAAGAAGAAAUUUGGAGAGGUCGACGGGAGAUAAUGAAGAAUGCAUUGGCGGCUUCCGCGGGGGGACAAGAUCCGGCAAAAGCUUACGAAUAUGCUCAAAAACUGGCGGGUGUCAUCGAAGGCGGCAAGGUUGACGAGUUCCUUUCCAUGAUCAAUGUAAAUGAUCCAUUGUUGCGGGACAUCGAUUGGUCUGCCGUUUUAAAUUCCCGAUUGGAUUGGAACCAAUCACUGCUCCACUGGGCAGCAAUAAUCGAGAACGACGACAUCCUAAGGCUUCUGCUUGAGUAUGUUGGUGACCACCUCAUAACCGCCCAAGAUGAUUGGGGACAAACCCCACUCCACUGGGUCGCUCAGUUUGGGGGAUCUACUGGAGCUGCAGAGAUAUUGAUUCGCCGGGCAAGAGGCCUCCCCAACGUCGAGGACAAGAACCUCUUGAGGAUGAAGAACAAACGUGGAGACACCGCUUUGCACUUGGCCGUGUGCUUUAAACGUGUCAACUUGGUGCGCUAUUUGUUGAGCGAAGAUUUGGAGCCCGUGUACUGGAAGAACGCGGGUGAGAAAUCUCCCCUGUACAAAGCCCUCGACAUUAACGACUCCGCAAUACAUGAGGCUUUAUUUUCACUCCCGUUAGAACCAUCAAGGAUAGAAGGCUUUCCGCCCAUUCAUGGUGCCUUUUUACUUCUACAACACGGUACGUACCUAAAUCUGCUUAUGUGGAAAUAUAUUUAUCUAUUUCUGGACUGACUCGUCCCAAAUCUGUGCAGUAACUUUUUGCUCUUACCAGAACCCCUUACCGGUUUUUACUUUAAAUUUCCUACCCUGCUUGUUAAAUUAGUUGGAUACCCAUCGGUUUAGCCGCAAAAUAAACAAAUUAUUCACAUUAGAGCAUAAUAGAUCAGCUUAAAUAUUACAAAUACAACCAUUUCACUAGAAACUCAUGUGUUGUCGAUCUUUGAUUAGAAAAGCUAUAAAGUGCAAAUAUUUAGUAUUAUGGAUGUAAUUUUUAUGGCGGUGAAAUGAGACUCGUUUUGUUUUGUAUUGUGUCAUCACAGCUUAAAUAUGUGGUCAUUAUAACUAGGAUAUAUGACUCCAUGCAAUGCACAUACAAGAUAGAACAUAUAAUGGGAUUUAUUGAGUAAAAAUAUCUUUCCUAGAAUCACUAAAAUUUCACGAAAUAUAUUUGGUCCAUUCAAAAGAUAUAAUGGGAUUGAGUAGCACAAUCCCCGAGGAUGAGUUUAUAUCUAAAGCACUCUCACCUGUAUUUAAAGUCCAAUGGCCACCCACAAUCCUCGAACACCGUCGGAAUAUUCUCAAACAAUCGAAACACCUCUCUCACAUUAUUGAACCUCUUUACUAGCACCUCCAAAUUUUCAUAGUUGGGGCCAAAUUUUUUUUAUUUUGGUGGAGCCUUGCCCUUUCUGUAAUUUGUGAUUUAUAAGCUCUACUAUCUUAGAAACAGAUUCUGGUCACAAAUUUUAGUUAGAUUUUACUCAAAAGUUUUGGUAAAUACAUAAUUUCUUAAUGAGCUGAAUAAGUGCUGUAUACCUUUACGAAGAAGAUGACGUUCAAUCUAGAGAGGGUAAGGGGGAUUUCGGUAUGGUGCUGUGGAGGUUGUUGCAAUGUUCUUGACAAUUAAAUAAGUCUGCUUGACACUUGCCAGAAUUCGACGAACAUAAUAUGAAAAGAUCAUUUUCCUUUCCUUGAUCAUGCCCUAGCUUGCAUUACGUCUGCCAACUCUAUAGAUACUUCAUGGCGUGGAAAUGGCAUAUAAAUUGCUGUCAUUUAACUAGUUUUGGUAUUGCAAUCUAAUCUGUUAUUGUCGACUAUCAAUACUAGUAGUGAUUAAGGUACGUCGAAGAUGUCCCUAUUCCAAAAUGGGUUUAAAUAUAUUGAGACCAACCAAGCUCCGACCAUCCUAAUUUGGAGCUCCUGAUCCCAGAUUUAUUCGCCCUGAUAUUCAAGAAAAACAUGAAGCUAUUCGCAAUGACCGACUCCAGCGGGGGCAAUGUAUUCCAUUUAGCAGCUUACCUGAAUCAGGCUUGGGUAUUCCAAUUCUUACAACCAGAAACUGAAUAUUUGACCCGAGAACGGGACAUGAAUGGAGAUCUCCCCAUUCAUAUUGCGAGCAAGAUGGGUUAUGUUGAACAUAUCGAGAAGCUGAGCAAAGUAUCACAUUGGGUAAAUGGGCAAGGGCAAACUAUUCUUCAUGUCGCCGCAAAAUAUGGGAGAGUCUCUGUAGUGAGAUAUAUACUCAGCGAUCCAGAUCUAGCUUGGAUGUUAAAUGUACAAGAUAAUGAUGGAAAUACAGCUUUGCACUUGGCUGCGAUGCAUUCACAGCCUGCUGCUUUGAUUCAUCUUGUGCGGACUGAUAGAAUUCAUCUCAGCGUUUACAACAAUGAAUGCUUGCUCGCUGUUGACGUUGCUCGACGACACACGGCAAAGGGGUAUAAGAUUCGGCAUGUAGGUAACAUGAACAAUCACUAUUUUAUUUAUUAGCUUACUGGAGAUUUCGUAGACUAAUGCAUUAGUUAACGUGUCUUUCAUAACACGGAGAUAAAAAUUUAUAUAUUUCGUUUAAUUGAGCCUCUGAAAAUAAAAAGGCAGGGUUUGUCAAGGUUGCAUCUGUUUUUCAUAAAAAGCCAGGGGUCAAUGUGGCAAAUUUGACCUCUCCAAAUGUAGCACAAUCUCAUAACAUUAUCAUUUUGUCGACCUAUGAAAUGAUUGCCCACAUAGAUUCCAUUCAUGCCUCUUUUUCCGUCUAAAACGAACUUGGUAAUUUUGUGCUAAUUCUUCAAAAAGAUCAGAAACUGCAUCUUUAGAAGCAAACGUUUCCAGAGUUCAUUCCCGUUAUAAAUAUGGUAUAAGUUUGUUCUUAUUUUCCUUUUUACAUGCUUCCGAUCUCAGCACUUGGCAUUCCUGGCGUUGCUUUGCUCGUUCGCGGGAAAAGCUCCACUUAAAAGCCCGUUAUUCCUACUUAGAGGGGAAGCUCGAGAUAGAGAGUCAUCAGUAGUCCGCUCGCGCAAAAGCAAGGCGAACAGGAACAUCGUCAAGGAUUACAUCAAUUCCCGUAUGGUGGUGGCAACGCUUGUGGCCACAGUGACUUUCGCAGCUGGUUUUGCAGUUCCUGGAGGAUUUAACAGCUCGGACACAGCCUCCAAAGAUGACCGGGGCAUGGCUACGAUGCUGGACAAUAGAAUGUUCCAGGCUUUCGCGAUUUGCAACACCAUCGCGAUGUUCUGCUCAAUGACUGCGGUCGUCAACCUCAUCUGGGCGCAGAUAGUUGAUGUCGACGUUGCAAUCGCUGCAUUCGAGCGCACAACGCUACCACUACAAAUUGCACUCCCGGCGAUGUCCACCGCUUUCUUAACUGGUGUCACUUUGACCGUUGGCAAACUCCCGUGGCUUGCUAACACCAUAUUUUAUUUGGGACUCGUUUUUCUCCUCAUUAUCUCAUUUGCUAAAUUGUUAGAGAAGCCUCUCAUCUUUAAAAUCCUCGGUCAUCCUCUCCGUCGACUAACAUUCUGGCUUAUUCUCGCUUUCAUUUAUUUGUGGAGAGUUGAGACGUACAUUUAUGAUGACGAUGACGCGGAAGAUAACAGAAGGGAGAAGAAGACCUUCGCUAGUCCGCCUGUGGAUGUUGCCGGUGAAUCGAGGACCGAUGACUCGGCGAAAGCAAAAUGUGAGGAUGCGUUACAUCCUCCAAGUCACUGAUUUGAAUUGAUCAUUCCAUAUUAUCUGUAAUACGUAGUAAUAUUAUAUGUUUUCCUUGGUGAGCGUGACUCACUCUACGGUUGCUUCCUUUAUGUCAGAUCAAAGGUGAUUGUUAAUGUAUGUAAGCUAAACCAUGUGUUUCUCUAGUAACUUAACUUUUUAGAAUUGUUGGAUAUAAUUCCAUCAAAUUUCAUAUGUUAUUAAAGCAGAGAUUCUAAGUUCAAACAUUUUCAGGUCCUAUUUGCUUCAUCUAUUAUAUGUUCUCAUGUUUCAAUCUUAGAUCAAUUCAAGUUUACGAGUUAAAUUUUUAGAACGAUUAAUGGUAGUUCACUGAAAUUUCAAAGUGAUACACACUUCAUGUAAAUUAAAUGGAUGAAUGGCUCAUUUCAUCCGUUUCAUCGCCUUGGAAUCAAAUUGUUAACUUUGAACAUGUGGAAGCUCGUGGGUUUAUGAAAUCACUCGUCUGGAGUAGCCAUGUCCGAUUUACUUUGAACCAGUCCAAUUUGCGGCACUCUCGAGUCACGAAAUCCUAAGCACUCACUUACCUGUCUGGUGUGCAAAGAAAAUAAUUCUCAUCGCCUACUCUCUAAGUCAAGAGUUGGGUGAAGAAAACAGGAACAAAAUAAUUCUCUUCACUCCUCACAAAACAAUAGAAUCAAACACCGAACUCAUUUCCAUUUACACCCCUUUCAUUUCCCCUCUUCUCCCUCCUAGGCGCCCAAUUUCUGUGCAUGCAAAUCAGUUUUGGUGUUUGAUUCGUGGCGAGGUAUAAUCUAGUGAGCAGCGGGCGCAGAAGUCUAGUCAAGGGACGAGAUAAAAAGGAAUUGCUAUACGCAACUCAAGGAGAAUUGUGGAAAAGUCUAGAUACGUGAUUUUCCUCCUCCGAUCUCUGAUUUUUAUUUCAAAGCUGGUUGGUUUUGACACGUAAAAUAUAACUCUAAAGUGAUUAUGGACCUAUUUAUUCGACAGUGAACGUAGAUAAUUACAAAAAGUAAAAAGGAUCCCAUUAUACAAAUGUCUAUUGAGUUAUAAACUUUUUUAAAUUAGUCGAUUUAAUUUUAAAUAUCUUGACGAUUUACCAAUAUAGUCAUUACAACCAAUUUUGAUCGAAAAUCGUCGACGUAAACACUAGCCAUCCUAUGGCACAUGACCGGUAUUGAGGUAGACAAUUUUUGUAAUUUAAAAAAAAAAAUUCUCAAUUUUUUUCUUUUUUUCAUGUUUUCAUUUUCUUUAUUUUCUUUUCUUAUUUUCUCCUUUUUUUUUUCUUUUUCUUAUUCCCCUUCCCCAGCCAUUGGCUGGUCCAUGGCUUCGGUGAUUGAUAGCAAGGGCCCAGAUGCCCUCGCCAACGAUUAGCAAGGGCCGAUGGAUUUGCUGGGGCCACAUACUAAUGGAGGGACAAAGGAAGAAAAAAAAAUGGAAAGAAAAGAAACUAAAAAAUGGAAAAAAAAAGUUUUGAAAAAAUUGUAAAAAUUAUUCAUAUUAGCAUUAGCACCUAGAUCUAGGUGAGGCCAAUCUCACCAUGGCCUAGCCUAGAUCUAGGUGAAGCCACCUCAUGCGUGGCCCCAAGGCCUCGCUCGUGGCCGACGAGACUUGUCAAAGAAGCAAAAUAAUCAAGAAGAGAAAAAAAAUAAAAAUAAAAUUUAUUUUAAAAAAUUAUUUAAAAUUGUUACGUCAGUGUUGGCCAAAUGGUUAGUGUCCAUAUCAACACUAGCCAACCAGAAUUGGCCGAAUAAAUUGAAUUGACACAAUUACAAAAAGUUUAGAACUGAAUUAACAUAAUUAUAAUAGAUUUAUGAGUUUUUUUGUAAUUCUCCCAAUCUAUCUGUCAUCUCCAUUUUUAGAUUGCGUCGUGUCCAUUCAAUUUUAGUCCUCACUGCACCUCAUCUAAAUACCAUCAAACCUUAGCAGCGAGGAUGGUACUUGGAGAUCUAUGCAAAUAUUUAUAUAUAAAAAUUACAUUGAGAAAGUAAAGUGUGCUUACCAUCAUCAUAUCAUCACCCAUUAAGUCGAUUCCACGUAAUGAUCUAUUUGUCACUUUCAACAUCUUGGGGGAUUAAAUGUUUCAAUUAAUUAAGGUAGGAUGAGAAGUAUUUUUCAUAAAGAACGGACAUUCAAGAAGUCUUGCUAGAUUGAUAGAUUGAUGUUGCAAAUGGUUCCCUUCUCAAGUAGCAGGAAAAAUUAUGCUACUCAAAUGUAGAGCCUCCUGUUUUCUAUUUUUUUGGCAAAUCUUCCAAAUCAAAUUACAGGAUUACUACUAUGAAAACUCACGGUACAAGUACAAAAAAAUACCAAAUCAAUCAUCUAUUGACUUCUCGAUGCUCAUUAAAUUUGACUCACAAAAUAGGUUGGGACCCAUUUUGCUAGCCCUACUAAAAUCUAAACAUUUUAAUAAAUUAGGGAUUUAUACAGCGUCCUAGUUCACAAAGAUGUGCUGUUGUUGUUGACAAAUCAACAAUGAUUGAUUUUCAUGAACUCUUUGUCAUACUGUUGACAUUCCCAUUAUAUAUGAGCAUAAGAGCGAAUUUGAUUUUUGAGCAUCAAGAGAUAAGAUUGGCUUAAAUAGAAAUUCCAAAUAGCCCAAGUGUCACAAUUAGAUAAGUCCAAACCCCAAACACAUUCAAUUAUGGUUUUUUUUUUCUUAUAACUUUAUUCACAUAUUAUAAGAAUGUACUUUUUGGUUAAUGAUCAUAUAUAUUGCGGUUUAUGAAAGACUAUGCCACAUCAAUAGUUUUAGAUGUUAGUCCAAAUUUGAAAUACCAGGCCAACAUUUGAGAUUUUACUAGCCAUUCGGCAUUUCAUUUUUUACUCAUGAAGUCUAUCGUUGUAUGAAAUUUACUGAAAAUUAGAGAAUCUCACGAUACCAACAAAAUAUCAAGUUUUUUCAACUUUUUUACCCUUGAUACAAUCCACAUGUAGCCCAAUUUACAAAAUUCCACAAAAACUACUACACCAGAUUCCUGCCACACCUUUCAGUCUCUUAUUCUCAGCAAAGACGAACAACAGCACUCAUCAGCCCAACAUGCUCAACUCCAAGCAUAGAGUGACUCGAACUCUUCGUGCUCUUGCACGUGCACCCUCUCUGUCUGGACUUGAUCUCGUUCGAGAUCUUCUCUAGCGCGUCGCCCUUGACGAUGGUGUAAGCGCGCGCGAGCUUUCCUUGUCCAGCUUGUCGACUUGUGCUUCACCGAGUUGAACCGUCUAGCCGCGACACACAGAAAACUGCAGUCAGCUCCCACGUUAAUCUUAUCAAAGAAUGUCAGGCCAAUGUCUUGACAUCACAUGUUGAUGUGACGUGACCAAAAUGAAUGAAAUUAGAAGACGCGCAAGUACUCGCCUCCACCGAAAACGAUGCGAUGGUGACGGGACAGCCAUCACCUUCAAGGGUGAAAAAAUCCAGACUGGCUUGUGGAAGGAGCUUGGGGAUGAGAUUUUUAUCAAGAUCAAAGGCCUUGAACAUUCGUGCAGGUGGGAUGGAAUGCGUCUUCGCCUAAGAUUUCCAAGUCCCGGGGCAAGAGAUAUGUGAGAUUAUGUUGAAAUGCCCUUUAAAUGAUUCUCAAUCUCCUCGUUUAGUUAAUCUAAAUCAGCAUCACAAUGUUCUUAAAUAAUACAAUAAAAAGAGAGGACAAAAGGCAUGGAUCUCAACCCCAAAUUAUACUUAUUAGCAUACGAGAGAUCUUUGAAUGCAAACACCCUUGAGGGUGGGAAUUCACUAAAUUAUAACUUAAAUAUUCUAACGGCGCCAACCGCUCGGACGAGCAAAGCUUGAGUGCAUGCGGAUAAUUCUUGCGCAACGAAAAUGCAUGGUAAGUUGCGAAUCGAGACUCGUCCGCGUACACGCUAUUGCGACCAUGACCAUGAAUACCACUUCCUUGACCAGUUGGCCAGUCGGAGGAGGAAGACGUGGGUCGAGCAUAUCCAAUAGUGGCACAUUUGAGUCUUUGAAUAAUGUCGACAUUUGUGUCAUUUGUAGGGAAGAGAGAAGAUUCCCUGGAUGCUUCCCCAUCAUCCUCUAGCAUCGGUACUUUUACUGUUGACUCUGUUUCAUGAAAGAAGAAUGAAUCAAUGUUUUGAUCACAACCUCAAGUUGCCUACAAAUUCCAAAUUUUUGAGAUACUGUUAAUACAAACCACUUUUCAAAAUUUGUGCUUGCUCUUCCUAAAAGUCUUGUUAGAAUUAUUGGAUGAAUCCAAAUUCAAAUGAUGCAAGCCUAGGGUAGGCUUUCUCAAAUAGUAGGAUCGGGAGAGUGACUCGCACACGGAAUUUCAGCACUGCGCGAGCUCAGGAGAACAUUCAUAUCUUUGUCGAUACAGAUCGGAUCGACCUGAUUCCAAAGCCAAAUGAACAAAAACUUCUCGAUCUACAAUUUCUCUGUUUUGGGUUUUCUGAAAUAAGUACUGUAGGAUAGUCAAAAUUGGGUUGGAAGUAACGAACAGAACAUGAAAAGAUAGAGACUCCGUUGGUUGCUCUUUUAGGCCUCCAAGGAAGUUGAGGGGGGGGGGGGCACCGAUUCUUCUAGAUUGAUGAUUGCAACUCUUCAAGGAUGCAGAUUUCGAAAGCUCCGACUCUUCAAGGACGGAGUGAAAACUCUUCUAGGUUUUCAAAGGGAUGAACUCUACAAGAUUCACGAUACUUGCUUCAAGCAAAGUUUUUCAUUUAUCAAAAGUCGUCUGUCUUGUACAAGGGAUUGGAUGGCAUAUAUCAUCAAAGAAAUAAAAACAGAACAUUGAAACUAGGAGAAAUAAAGACAGCGUUGAAACUAGGAGAAAUAAAAAUGGAGUAUUGAAAAUAUGAGAAAUAGUAAAGAGCAUGGAAACUAUAAGCUAGUAAAAGCAUCACGUGAGCUCCCAAGGUGUCUUUCAAGCUUCCGGAAUGGACUCAAGAUAUCGUUACGGCUUCUCGGUUUCGUCGAGCUUGAAUGCAGGCCGAUCUUCUUGGUCAAGAGAGUUGGUCUUCAAUGCGGGCUGCAUCACAAUAUGUCAAAGCUAUUUGAUCAACCCGAGACCAUAGGUACAGGGGGAAUGUAUUGAUUAGAUUUGAUCAUGUAGCUUACCAAGAACCAUGUAGCCAUAAGAUCCCGCCACUGGGAUCCAAUUCAACGAAUCUGAAUUCAAGAGCCUCACCGUCCCAAAAACCAAAAGCCGAGGCUCGAAGUCCGACGACCUGACCGUUGACCGACGACCGUUGACCCGUUGACCGUUGACUUUGACCGUUGACUCGAAAAAAAGAAAGAAAAGGAAUUUGUUUCUUUUUCAGUUAUGUCUGUGUGGGUUAGAGGUAAUCCAUUUUUUAUUCUGCAUUUGUUGCAUGAAUCAUGGAAAAUUAUGUAUUUUCCAUUUUGUUUAUUGUGGAUUAAAAGUGAUUCAUUUUAGUUCUGCAUUUGUUGCAGGAACUAUGAUACGUUAUGCACGGAUACCUGCAAUCCCGAGAACGGACAAAGGAAGAGCUAGACUGAAAAGGCUGAUGAAAGAGUUAGCUAAUUAUCGGUGGCUUGAUGGUGAUUUAGUAUCACACAUGGUCAAGGUCAAUCAGAUGAUACAGGAAAUCAUCUGGAAUGGUUAUCUUAUGCUGAACUUUGAGAAGGUGCCGGCUUUGAUGAACACUCUUCCACCUGAAUGGCAAGCAGUGUUAGAUCGGCUAUGGGAGGUCAACGUGGUCCCGGAUUACAGAGGGCUAGUGGAAGCUUUUGUAAGAGAGUACUAUAGGAUUGAGUUGGCCAAAACUUUAACCCUUAGAUUGAGCGCCACAUGGCGUAGAGUAAAUGCGCCUUGGUGGCGACAUGAGAGCUCUCCAAAAGUUUUUCCAUGGUUGGCAAAUGUGCCUUCAGUUUUCUCAGAUGUUUUGACUGAUAGAUUAGAAGGGACAUUCCCUAUUUAUUUCUUAGAUUAGUUUGAGAUGUUAUUGAGUGUGAAUAUCUUUUUCUAAGUUGAUAUUUUCUUCUGUGUAUAUUACUUAGUGUAAUGGAUUGUUGUAUUAUGUGAAAGCAUAGUUAUUCUAUUGGAUAUUAAAUUAUCUGUUGCUUUAUGUUAUUGCUGGUUGCUGUGGGUAAUUAGCUGUGGGUAGUUUAGAAGUUUUUGUAGCUUCAUAGAAUUGAUUUUGCAUAUGACAAUCAUAUUAAUGAUAGUUUUAAGUUAGGAUUUUUGGAGGAUGAUUAGAAACGUAGUGACCUUUUGAUUCUAAAACCUUACUUGAAAUUGUUCAUUAAUAUGAUGGGUCUGUGCAAAAGGGAUGCAUAAAUGAUAGGCAUUAAUUAUUUGUGCAUAUAUGUCUGAUGUGUUCAGAUUGAUGGAUUCAGCAACUAAGAACGUAAUUGCUGAUGUGAAUGGUAACAAUUGUGAAAUAUUGAAUAUGGAGAUUCAAUAUGUGCUGGAAAAGCAAGAAGCACUAGAAGCUCUUGACCAUGUUAUGGAAGAUCUUGAGGAUGCUGUGCGCCACCUUGAGCUGGUAGAGGACCGCUUGACGGCAUGUGAGCCGAAAAUAGAUAUUUGCAAUGCUGGUUCUAGCUCAGAAAGGGCUUUGAGCUCUAAGCGCAAACGUAUUGAUUCGUUCAAUAUGUGGGAAAGCAAGGGAUCAAGUCCUUACUGCAAGAGAUCAAGAGUUAACCAACACAAGAGAGGAAAACGUCCUCAAGUGAAGAAAAUGUCAAGGGUGAGGUGUUACAAUUGUGACAAGAAUGGUCACUAUGCUCGCGACUGUUGUGAGCCAAAGAAGGUAAACACCUCUUGUACAUUUGAGAACUUUGCUUAUGUGUCAAGUUCUGUAUUAUUGGCUAAAUCCAAUCCUUUGUGGACUGUAGAUUCAAGAGCAAUAGACGAUGUAGCGAAGGAUAGAGGAUCCUUCGUGGAAUUCCGACGAGUACCAACUGGAACUAUGUGGAUCUAUGUGGGAUAUAACUCCAGAGAUGAAGUUAAAGGGAUUGGCACCUGCCAAUUGAACAUGCGUCAUAGACGCACCUUGUUCCUAAUGAUGUUCUAUAUGCUCCGGAGAUUCGUCGAAAUUUAAGUGUCUAUUUUGGUGUUGGUUAAGCUUGGUUUAUGUGUGAACUUCUGUAAUAGCGGUGUAGAUUUGUAUUUGGAUACAAACUACUAUGGUUAUGGUCACUUUCUGGAUGGUUUUAUUGUACUGAAUGUUGACUGUGGUGAUGUCAAUAUGUUAUUCCCUUGUUUCACGUCUUUUAUUUCAUGUGAUAAUGAUGUGAAUGUGUGGCAUGCUAGACUUGGUCAUAUUGGCCAACAAUGUAUAAAUAGACUAGCCAAAAAGGGCUUGUUGGGCAACAUUGAAAAAGUCGAUUUGUCCAAAUGUGAACAUUGCCUAGUAGGGAAAACGACAAGGAAACCAUUUGGAAAAGGUAAAAGAGCUGAAUUUCCUCUGCAUUUAAUCCAUUCUGACGUCUGUGGUUCAAUGAAUGUGAGAGGAAGGCAUGGGGCUGUUUACUUCAUCACUUUUAUAGAUGAUUAUACUCGAUUCGGAUAUGUCUAUUUGAUUUCUCAUAAAUCUGAAGCAUUAUGUUGUUUCAAAAGGUUUAUGAACUUGGUUGAAAAUCAAUUAGACAAGAAAAUAAAAGUAUUGAGAUCCGAUCGAGGUCGAGAAUAUUUAUCUGAUGAGUUCAGAAAAUAAUGUGAUGAAAAUGAAUAGAAAUACAGUUGUCUAUUCCAUAUACUCCUCAACAAAAUGGUGUUGCAGAGAGAAGAAACAGAACCUUACUGGAAAUGGUUAAGUCCAUGAAGGCGCAUGCUAACUUACAUAUCACUUUUUGGAGUGAUGCGUUGUUAACUGCUGCCUAUAUACUUAACCGGGUGCCUUCCAAAUCAGUUAGUUCCACUCCAUAUGAGUUAUGGACAGGUAGAAAACCAGACUUAAGUUUUCUUAAGUUAUGGGGUUGUGCUGCCUAUACUCAUGAGUCAUCUCACAAGUUUGGGAAAUUGGGUCCCAAAGGAAAUAAGAGUAUUUUCAUGAGAUACUCUGAAUACUCGAAAGGGUAUGUAUUCAUAGGUGAGCAGGAAAGUGGGAGUAUAACUGAAUUUGAAUCACAUGAUGUCACAUUCUUAGUGGAUGAAUUUCCUAAGAAGGGCGAAAUAGGGGAAGAUUACCCCUAUUUGAAACCUUGGAUCAAGAUAAUGAUAUUAAUGUAGUUCAUCCAAGUGGGAGUAAUAUGAGAAGUGAUGAAUUGAAUUCAACUCAUUCUCAAUUACAACCACAUGAUGAGAUGAUAUCGUCAUUAUCUAAUCCGAGUGGGAGCAUAAUGGGGAAUGAUGUGCUAAGUGUACAAUCUCCCAUAUAGCAAACAAGUCGCCAAAGUAUUCCCUGUCGACGUUUUGACAUUGAAGGGGAAAAUUUUAUGGUUGCUCCACAAGAUGAGGAUGAGCCAAGAAAUAUUAAUGAGGCUCUAAAUUGCCCUAAUAAGGAAAAAUGGAUUUAUGCAAUGAAAGAGGAGAUGGAGUCAAUGAAAUCAAACCAAGUCUGGGAACUGGUUGAUCUUCCAAAAGGACGCAGAGCUAUUGGGAACAAGUGGGUUCUCAAAAUAAAGCGAAAGACUGAUGGCUCGAUAGAAAGGCAUAAGGCUCGCCUUGUUGCGAAGGGGUAUAAUCAACAGAAAUGAAUUGAUUAUGAAGAUACGUUUUCUCCUGUAGUGAGAUUUACCUCGAUUCGCAUUAUUCUGGCAAUAGUGGCUAGUCUGAAUCUUGAGUUACAUCAAAUGGAUGUAAAGACUUCUUUCCUCAAUGGAGAAUUAGAGGAAGGAACAUAAAUGGAAUAACCUGCUGGUUUCAUAGUGAAAGGCCAAGAAGAAAAGGUAUGUCGACUUUUGAGGUCGAUAUAUGGCCUUAAGCAGUCGUCAAGACAAUGGUAUAUACGAUUUCAUAAUGCCAUAAUGGCAUAUGAUUUUACAAUGAUAGAUGAGGAUCAUUAUGUAUAUAUCAAAAGAUCCAAUGAUCAAUUUGUGAUCAUAUCAUUAUAUGUUGAUGAUAUAUUAAUUACCGGAAGCAAUAUGGAGCUUGUCAAUACUGUCAAAAGUUGGUUGUCUUCCAAUUUUGAAUUUAAGGAUAUGAGAUUGUAAACCCAUUGACACUCAUAUUGCAAAAGGUGAAGGAUUGAGCCAUAGACUGUGUCCAAGGACUCCACAAGAGAAGGAACAAAUGAAACAUGUUCCUUAUGCUAGUGCUGUUGGGAGCUUGAUGUACGCUAUGAUGUGUACAAGACCUGACAUAUGUUAUGCAGUUGGAAUGGUGAGUAGAUACCAAUCCAAUCCAGGUCAAGCACGUUGGAAAGCCGUUAAAUGAAUACUAAGGUAUCUAAAGGGGACUGUUGAUUAUAUGCUGAGUUAUUAAGGAAAUGAUCUGCAACUCAAAGGCUAUUCUGAUGCUGAUUGGAGAGGAGAUUUAGAUGAAAGAAAAUCUACCUCUGAGUUUGUUUUCUUACCGAAUAAUGGCACCAUAUGUUGGAGUAGUAAGAAACAAAAGUGUAUAGCCUUGUCCACGAUGGAAAAUGAAUUCGUGACAUUAUCAGUAGCAAUAAAAGAAGAUGUUUGGCUUAAGAGAUUAUUGGAUCAUUUAGGUGUUAUUUGAAGUGCUGCAGAUUCAUUGUUGGUUAACUGUGAUAGCCAAGCAGCAAAAGCGUACACCAAAGAUCCAAAAUAUCAUGGUAAGACCAAACAUAUAGAUACCAAGUAUACUUUUAUCAAGGAUAUGAUUGCACGAAAAUAUGUGAACUUAGAGUACAUACUACGCAUAGAAUGGUAGCAGAUCCUAUGACAAAGCCAAUACCUAGAGAUGUGUUUUGUGGCCAUAUGAAAUCUCUAGGAUUGCAUAGAGGAUGAUGUACUGAAUAUUGUAAUUUCCCUAAGUGUUCACAUUUGAUGAAUUUGUGUUUUCAUUAUUAAUGCCUAUGAAUCUUUGUUUGAUCUUUAUGCAUCUUAAUGCUUAGUGCAUUACUUUAAGUUAAGAGAAGUAUGUCGGACAGAUAUAAGAUUAGCCCACUCACACGGGUAAUCGCCUCUAUUUACUGUGUGAUAAAUAGAGAUGAGACUGUUUUUAAGCUUAUUAUCUAGGUGAUAAUCGAGAGCUCAAGCUUAAAAUACGCAUGUCGCCUUAACUGAGUGUUAAGAUGAGGACAUAAUACUUAUUAUGUCCGAAAGUAAAAUACCCCACAUAUUUUACUUUAUCUGUCUAAGAUGCCAGAUGUGAGUUCUGAUGAAUUUUGUAAUUGAGUAGAUACGUGAACUCAAGUUAGACAUUGGGUAUGUCUGAACUAUCAUCUGUACGGUAUUGAAAGUGUAGACAUACGCUCCAUGUGAAAGGAGUUAUUACCGUAAUAUGUAUUUCAUACUACGUAUGCAUGAGACGACCAAUGAGAGUGGCAAAAGUUUGAUCUCAACUAUUAUGUCGUGUGAGACUCUUGAGGAAAAGAGUUCCUCAAUUUUUUAGUCCCCUCAUGACUCUUACUUAUUCUCAAGAUUUCUAUUUAGUGUUUGCUAUCUUAGGAUGUUGCCAAUGGUCAUGAGUUUGAUUCGAUCUAAUGGGGCAUUUCUAGAAAAGCAAGCUGAACUGAAAUUGAGAGUUUGAAGGGAAGAGGAAGAUCGAAUUUGGAGAAUCACAUUGUAGUUUUGUAUUCACCGGUUAACCAAUUAUGACUGUCUUUGUGAUAAUCAUAAUUGUGAAUACAAUAUAUAUAUCAUUGUUUAAAAAAGAUCAAGAGAGAUAUAAAUGCGAUCGAUCGAUCUAGGGUACUGCAUAUUAAAUCUACUCGGAGUGUGACGCCCAUUAUGAGCUGCUAUAUAUUCCUAACAGAUGUAUAGUAACGAGCUCUCAAAGUAUGCUGGUCGCACGGAUUAUUCACCGGUAUGAAUGUUGAAGAGAGGUAAAGAGAAUCCUGUUCAGCCCACCAUGUGCGAGUGGGAGAUGAUGGUUUUAAUUGGUGAUGGGCUUAAGGCCCGUCCUCCCAUGCUGGGCCCAAAAGGCCCGGCCCACGGGAAUAGGGCCCGUGGAUGGGGGAAGGUAUAAAAGGGAGGAGAGAGAGAGAGAGAAGACAACGGUUGGAAAUUCAACGUACGUCUUCUCUCCAACGCUCUCUCCCUCCUAAAAAUAAAACAGUAAGCAAACGGCAACACUGUCUUCCCUUCAAGGCGUCAACGGAUCGAACAAGGGACAAUUUCUCUUCCUCUAUCGGCGUCAGUGUCUAAUUUAUGGCUAACAAGGUACGCUCGACUCCGUGGUGUGCUUUACGAUCGGUGAUACGUGUUUUCCCGGGCUUCAUCUUCCGCAUUGAUUUAGGGGUUCAAUUUAGUGUCGAAUCCGGUUUUCGGGGAUCCGUUAUUCCCUACACAAACCACUUUUCAAAAUUUGUUCUUGCUCUUCCUAAAAGUCUUGUUAGAAUUAUUGGAUGAAUCCAAAUUCAAAUGAUGCAAGCCUAGGGUAGGCUUUCUCAAAUAGUAGGAUCGGGAGAGUGACUCGCACACGAAAACAGGACGAACAGGAAUUUCAGCACUGCGCGAGCUCAGGAGAACAUUCAUAUCUUUGUCGAUACAGAUCGGAUUGACCUGAUUCCAAAGCCAAAUGAACAAAGACUUCUGAAUCUACAAUUUCUCUGUUUUGGGGUUUCUGAAAUAAGUACUGUAGGAUAGUCAAAAUUGGGUUGGAAGUAACGAACAGAACAGGAAAAGAUAGAGACUCCGUUGGUUGCUCUUCUAGGCCUCCAAGGAAGUUGAGGGGGGGGGGGGGCACCGAUUCUUCUAGAUCGAUGAUUGCAACUCUUCAAGGAUGCAGAUUUCGAAAGCUCCGACUCUUCAAGGACGGAGUGAAAACUCUUCUAGGUUUUCAAAUGGAUGAACUCUACAAGGUUCACGAUACUUGCUUCAAGCAAAGUUUUUCAUUUAUCAAAAGUCGUCUGUCUUGUACAAGGGAUUGGAUGGCAUAUAUCAUCAAAGAAAUAAAAACAGAACAUUGAAACUAGGAGAAAUAAAGACAGCAUUGAAACUAGGAGAAAUAAAAAUGGAGUAUUGAAAAUAUGAGAAAUAGUAAAGAGCAUGGAAACUAUAAGCUAGUAAAAGCAUCACGUGAGCUCCCAAGGUGUCUUUCAAGCUUCCGGAAUGGACUCAAGAUAUCGUUACGGCUUCUCGGUUUCGUCGAGCUUGAAUGUGGGCCGAUCUUCUUGGUCAAGAGAGUUGGUCUUCAAUGCGGGCUGCAUCACAAUAUGUUAAAGCUAUUUGAUCAACCCGAGACCAUAGGUACAGGGGGAAUGUAUUGAUUAGAUUUGAUCAUGUAGCUUACCAAGAACCAUGUAGCCAUAAGAUCCCGCCACUGGGAUCCAAUUCAACGAAUCGGAAUUCAAGAGCCUCACCAUCCCAAAAACCAAAAGCCGAGGCUCGAAGUCCAACUCGAGCAAGAUGUUGUUCAACAUCAUGUCCUAAUGGACAAUAGGCAGUGAGCAAUCGUGAUCCAAGUAGGCGAUCGCGGGAGCCACGCAUUGAAAAAUCUUCAUUCUCUUGACACAAGUCCAAUUCAACUGCUCCUCUUCCUCCAUGCAAGACCUUUGCAAAGUUCAGAAAACAUUGGAUGAUGUCCCUACAGUUAACCAUCACUUUUUUUUUUACCGUGACGAUGUGGCCGUUGGCCUAUUUGGCCUUGUAAACGCUUCUGAAUUCGCGUUUUCCGAUGCAGUACUCUUCACUGAAGCUGUUGGUGGCCUUGGCAAUAUUGUUGAAUGCAAAUUUCGUUCCCCUUUCCCAUAUGAUUGUUGGAAUUUAAUCCAAAGAAAACGACACUGUUUGUUAUAAUCAGAACAUUAAUGUAAAGAAGACGAUAACAGCUAUAUAAUAUCCUUUUUUUUUUUUUUAUGUAAACUUACAAAUCUUGGAGAAAAAUAAAAUAAGAUAUCACUGGAAAAAUAACAUAAAAUUGGAGGUGAGGUACGGAUAUCCGAAUCUCCUUAAGGCGAUUAGUUCCUGCCAAUGGUGCUCCGUAGAUUCACGAACUAUGCCUCUCAAGAUACAACACCUUGAACCUGUUUGGAUUAGCAGUAUAUAAAUAGAAUUCAGUCGAACCGUUCAAUUGAACCAGCACAUAGAAAAAUCAGAAGAGUAGAGAAGUAUAUCAAAACCUUUUAGGAAUCGAGUCGGAAAAACCAAAACCAAAACCGUUAAGAAGCUCUAUGUUCCUAUCUAUUUAUAGAGCUUUUUAGUUCAUGUAUAGAAGAGAUAUAUAGAAGAGAUACAUAAAUUAAAUAGACGCAUGUAUCAACGAAAUUCAUGAAUCAAGAGAUACGUGAAUCCAAGAGAUUCAUGAAUUCAGAGACACGUGAAUUCAAGAGAUUCGUGAACUCAAUAAAUACAUGAACUAAAAGAUACAUUAAUCUAGGAAAUUCAUGAAUUGAAUAGAUACGUGAACAUAAAAAUUUAGAAAAUUCAUGAAUCCAAAAAGAGAUACGUGAACCAAAAAGACGUAUCUUAAUUUAUUGGCUUUCGUUGAUCCAUUAACCAUAAUUAUAACCAUAAUUAUAACAAUCGCCCACAUUAAUAGAUCAACAAAACAUUUUUGACUCGAAGGAAUCUGAGCAUGCCCGUUGAAAUACACUGCAUCAAGAUAGGUAGUUUUCGCUUUGAACCUUCUAUAGUGAAAGCCUAUCGAACUUACUUAACUAGUCAAUGGACUAAGCCUUAAAUCACCAGUUGUUUGUGUAAGCCUAGAUAAUAAACCUCACACAGAGUAUUUCCAAUUCAAGAUUGGUUCUCGGUUGUGUUCGUUCUUUCGAUCCUGAAUCUCUCGGGAUUCGUGUGUGCUUUAGAAAAUCUAGCCUUUAAAAAUUUUCAUAGAGUCGACCAGCUCCAUGCAUAUAGGUGCAUUCCUAUUAAAGAUAUCCUACCAUAUCUUACUUGGAUGUUACAUUCCAAGUUAUAGGAAUCAUUAAAUAGGAAAGCAUUGUUGCAUCAUAGGAAUGAGAGACAAUGCUUACACUAGAGUUUCCAAAAUUUGUGUUGUUCUAUUGAACCUAGACCAUGGGAUCUCCAAUCGCAUAGGUUAGGUUUCCACCCUGGAAUCUCUUUAUUGGGUUAAGGCUCUUAAACUCAUUCCCCUCGAUGCGCAGUUUAUCUGCUCUCUUGACAAACCUUUUGUUAGCGGAUCCGCAAUAUUUUCCUUUGACUUUACAAAGUCUAAAGAAAUAAUUCAAUUUAAGAGCAACUGCCUUACGGUAUUGUGUCUACGAUAAAUGUGUCUAGACUUACCAUUAUAAAUUACAUUAUACACCCCCACACUGUUAGAAAAUUAUAGGAUUGCAACUUUCCAUUCCAUAACUCGUAUAGAGUUUUACCUAUCAUUUUGUGAGGUAUUUUAUUAAGAAUAUAAUUUACAAUUAAAACUGCCUCCCCCACAAGUUUUGAGGUAAACCUGAACUCAAAAGCAAAGCGUUAGCCAUCUCCUUUAGUAUUUUGUUCAAUCGUUCAACAACUCCAUUUUGUUGUGGAGUAUAAGGUGUAGUCGUUUGGAGAAUUAUUCCAAAACUAACACAAAAUUCUUUGAAAUUGAUUGAAUUGUAUUCUCCUUCUCUAUCAGACCUAAGCACUUUAAUUCGUUUAUCAAGUUAGUUUUCAACUUCAUUUUUAUACUUGACAAACAUGCUCAUAGUCUCAUCUUUGCUAGUUAGUAAAUAAACAUAGCAAAACCUCGUACAGUCAUCCACAAAUGUGAUGAAGUACUUCUUUCCACCUCUACUUUCUACAAACUUUAAAUCACAUAGAUCACUAUGGAUUAAUUGUAGAGGUUCACUUGUUCUUUCAACGGAUUUGAAAGGUUUCUUGGAAAACUUGGCCUCAACACAAGUCUCACACUUGUAAUGGGCAUCCAAUUCAAAUUUUGGAAUUAACCCCAAGUUUGCUAUUCUCUUCAUUGUACCAUAGUUUACAUGUCAUAAUCUACCAUGCCAUAGAUAAGGAGACACAACAGUGUAAACUGAAGACUUUUCUUUAUUAAUAAUCUUUAGGUACACAUAAUUCGAGUUUACAUCAAUGAUUGCCACAUUGGCUUUAAAUAGGUCAUUACACAAGUACCAUUUCCCUACAUACAUUCCUCAUUUUGAAAGUACAAACUUGUCAAAUUCAAAUACAACUUUGAAACCCUUCUUGACAAGUAUGAGGCCGGAAAUUAGGUUUUUCUGAAUCUCUGGUACAUGCACCACAUUCAGCAGGGCAACCUCCUUGCUAAAUGUAAACUUCAGGAUCACCUUUUCUCUUCUGGCAAUCUUUACUGAUGCAGAGUUAGCCAUAUAAAGCUUCUCAUCUUCCUCAAACUUCUCAUAAGAUAAGAACAUGUGUUUAUCUGCACAGAUUUGAUUUGUGGCACUUGUAUCUAGCCACCGGCCAUUAGUGUUUGACACCAGAGAUGCUUCAGACAUUACCACAGCAAACAGUCUCCUAAUAUUGUCAUGUUCUGUCAAAUUUAGCACAAUGGCCAGGCUUGUUGCAUAUAAAACACGUCAUUUGGAAUUUCUGGAACUGUUCCUUCUGCUUGCCUUUUCCUUGAAAAGACAUCUUCCUUUUUUCUAUCUUGCUUAGAUUUGGAAGAUUCCACAAUGUUGACCUUUGGCUCAAAAGAAGGGUUCGCACUCCUUCUAUUGUCCUCUUCAAUUAUGAGGCACAAAAUGAGAUCUUCUAAGCUCAUCUCAUUCCGUUUGUGCUUCAAAUAAUCUUUUAAGUCUGACCAGCCCGGAGGUAGUUUCUCAAUCAUAGCCGCCACUUGGAAUGAUUCACUAAGUAUCAUUCUCUCAGCAAAGAUGUCACUCAGAAUUAAUUGUAAUUCUUGAACCUGACUCAUGACAAAUUUAGAAUCCACCAUCUUGUAGUCCAAGAAUUUAGCAACCACAAAUUUCUUGGUAUCAGCGUCCUCAGUCUUGUUUUUCUUCUCUAAGGACUCCCAUAACUGUUAGCAUAAUCAAUAUUACAAUAAACAUUAUAAAGAGAAUUCACUAAACAGUUAAGGAUAUAAUUUCAGCAUAAGAAGUCCCCAUGCUUCCAAGCCUCCAAUGCACCGAGCGUCGUGACAUCUUGCUCAUCUGGACUAAUUAUUGAGCACACCUCUGAUAAAUAUUUUGUCAGAUUGAGCACAGUCAGAUAGAAGAACAUCUUAUACUAUCACUGUUUAAAGCCCACUCCGGUGAAUUUCUCCGAUUUCUCAUUAGUUGUAACUGGAGGUGUUACUAUCACAGUAGGCAAGGUUCAUUGAACUACCCCUCCAAAAACGGAGCCAAAAGCCAUUUGGCCUGUACUAUUCUGAAAAACAGUCUCGGGCAUACCAAUCGUAUGACUUGUACCCACACCACCAAAAUUGGUGUUGGCCCAAGGGCCCAUAGCAUUGGCUGCUACAAAUUCAGACCCUAAGGCUUGAACAUUUAACGGUCGAAUCAAUCAUAGGAACGUCUCCUGAAACAUUCGAGACAUUGAAGUGCACUUGAUUGUUUUCAGCCAUCUCAAUACUCUGACAAGAACAACAAAAAAUAAGUGAAUAAUCGCCUUAAGAAGAUUAGUUUCUACCAAUGGUGCUCCAUAGAUUCACGAACUAUGCCUCCCAAGAUACAACACCUCGAACCUGUUUGGAUUAACACUAUGCAAACAAAACUCAAUCGAACCGUUCAAUUGAACCAGUACACUCAGAAAAAUCAAAAGAGUAGAGAAGUAUAUAAAAGCCUUUUUGGAAUCGAGUCGGAAAAACCAAAACCAAAACCGUUAAGAAGCUCUAUGUUCCUAUCUAUUUAUAAAGCUUUUUAGUUCAUGUAUAGAAGAGAUACAUGAAUUAAAUAUUUAUACAUGAACUAAAUAGACGCAUGUAUCCACGAAAUUCAUGAAUCAAGAGAUACGUGAAUCCAAGAGAUUCAUGAAUUCAGAGACACGUGAAUUCAAGAGAUUCGUGAACUCAAUAAAUACAUGAACUAAAAGAUACAUUAAUCUAGGAAAUUCAUGAAUUGAAUAGAUACGUGAACAUAAAAAUUUAGGAAAUUCAUGAAUCCAAAAAGAGAUACGUGAACAAAAAAGACGUAUCUUAAUUUAUUGGCUUUCGUUGAUCCAUUAACCAUAAUUAUAACAAUUUCAAAUACUUCAUAAGAUUUCUUAUCUCUUCAUCGAGAUGCUUCUUUCACCGCCAAAGCACCAAAAUCAGAGCAAUAAGAGUCACGAGAAGUAGUAAGCAGCAAACGCAACAAUCACAUUAAUCAGAACCUUUCUCCAAUGGUUAUCGAUUUACUGCUCAACCCACAUGGAGACAUUCCGUCCUCACAAGCCUGAUUUUGCAAUAAAAACACUUCCUAGUUAUUGUUGGAAGAGGUAACCACCAGGAACUGCGCCCGUCAGCUUGUUGUACAAGAAGCCCAUGAAGCUUAAACUGCUCAUGCUGGUGAGAGCAGCUAGGAUUGUACUCGACAAAUCGUUAUGCGAAACAUUGAGAUUUUCCAAUUUAGUUAGCUUUGCUAAAUUGGAAGGAAUUGAUCCUACUAGUGAAUUGUGGCUCAAGUCUAGUGGUUCUGUAGCGUGAACGAGUUCCCCAGCUCUGGCGACAUGACACCCAACAGAUUGUUGUUGCUCAAGUUCAGGCUUAGUAAAUUCUCGCAAUUUGCUAACUCUUUUGGUACGAUCCAUAGAGAAGGGAUGUACUUGCCGUAUUGUGGUUUAUGAAAGAUUGUGCCACAUUGAUAGCUUUAGAUGUUAGUCCAUAUUCAAAAUAUCGGCCAAAGUUUGGUAUUUUAUUGGCCAUUUGGCAUUUCAUUUGUAACUCAUGCAUUCUCUCCUUGUAAAAAAAUUACUAAAUUAGAGAAUUUCAUUCUACAAGCCUUGUAUAAACAUGUAGCAUAGUUUAUCAAAUUCCACAAAACCACUGCAGCAGAUUCCUAUCACACCUUUUAUUCUCUGAUUCUCAGCAAAGACAAGAACGACAACACUCACCAGCCCAACAUGCUUAGCUCCAAAUAGAGUGACUCAAACUCUUCUUGUCUCCUUUUCAGUUUAGCACAACCAGACAUAUUUAACACAUUACGUAAACAAUACAAGAUAGUUAAGAGAUCGGCUCAGUAGUCAUAAGGGUUUGCCACGAGAUAAGCCUCGAUGGCCUCGACCAUCGCGCACAACUCCUCUUUCCCGGCGUUGAUCUCCUCCUCGGGGAUGUCCACCUCCUCGCCAAUGGUGAAGUAACUAGCCGCGCACUUAAACACCGAGCCUCCCAAUGCCAAUGCGAUGAUCUUCACCUCAUAGCUGAUCUUCUCAAAGGUGGUGCCCAGCACUUCGCCCUCGAUGAUUGAGUAGCAGUAGGUGAAGUUCUCCUUGUCCAGGGCCUCAACCUUGUGCUUCGCUGUCUUGUACUGACUGCCUAUCAAUGUAACAGAAAGUCACAUUCACAUUUAGAACUCGCAGGUUUCAAUAUCACGAGCACCAAUCUUCAUGGUGUCCAUCAGGCCAUUUAGGAAUUAACCCAAUUGUUCUGACCACAAUCCAAUACAAUUGACUUAGACAUAGCCUAACUUUGCCUGAUCAAAAUCCGAGUCACAUAAUCACUCGUGUAAAGUUAAAUGGUUAGAAACAUCUUAAGUAACAGAGUCAUAUUUCUAUCUUUUCCAUAUUCAUUAUAUUUUUCCAUAAGGUUGAACCCGCCUUGAUUCAGAGCGAUCCUAAGUUCCUAAUACGGAUGGACUAACCUUUGCCAAAAGUCAUCAACUUGAUGGUCCCGGGACCCCCAUCGCCCUCGAGGACUUCAACGCUCUUGACGGCUUGCGGGAGGACCUUGGGGAGGAGGUUAUCGGCAUCGAGGAUAGCGGCCUUGAAUAUCCUGGCCCGAGGAAUGGGGGACAGGAUAUCGAAGCGAAAAGUGACGACACCCAUGACCGGAUCCUAACAGAGUUGCUGAAACUGAGAAGGAGGUGAUGAUCUGGAAGUAGUGAUGAAGUUGGUCUAUGGGACUUGGGAGUGAAGAGAAGAGGCUGAAUUGAAGUUGACAUAUAUAGAGAGAGAGGGGGACUGAGUGUGAAGGGUUCUGAUCACUGCAUAUUUUCUUCUUACUAAGAUGCAUUAUCUUUUGCAGAAAAUAAAUAAUUUAGAAAAUAUUUUUCUAAAAAUAAUCACUAAAUUUAGAUAGUGUUUCGAGCAUAAGUUAUUUGGUGAGUUUGCUGCAUGUUCUAAAUUGAUCUAAAUUGCUAAAUUUAAUGGGCUCACUAGAAUUAAAAGUCUAGAUUCCCCUUAAUAUAAAUAAGACACUACCUCAUUUUCAAGUCUUCGUCAAAAUUGUGUUGUAUGUACUAAGUUAAUCUAAAUCACUAAAUUUGAUGGGUUCAUAUGGGAUCCAUACAAAAUUCACAGGAAUUAAAAGUUCAGAUUUCACUUGCUAUAAAUACAGUGCUCUUUCCUCAAAUUGUGUAGUACGUACUAAAUUGAUCUGAAUUGCUAAAUUCAAUGGGUUCAAGUGAGACCCAUAUAAAACUCAUUAGAAUUAAAAGUACAGAUUUUGCUUAAUAUAAAUACGACCCUAGCUCAUUUCCAAGUCUUCAUCAAAAGUGUGUUGUGUGUCCUAAAUUGAUCUAAAUCGCUAAAUCUAACAAGUUCAUGUGGGAUCCAUGUGGAACUCACUCAAAUUAAAAGUCCAGAUUCUCCUUGAUGUAAAUACGAUGCUAUGUCAUUUUCUAAGGUUUCAUUAAAAUUGUGUUGUAUAUACUAAGUUAAUCUAAAUCGCUAAAUUUGAUGGGUUCAUGUGGGAUCCAUAGGAAACUCACUAAAAUUAAAAGUUCAUAUCAGCUUAAUAUAAAUACAGUUUUCUUUCAUCAAAAUUACGCCGUAUGUACUAAAUUAACCCCAAUUGCUAAAUCUGAUGGGUUCAUGUGGGACUAUAUAAAACUCACUCAAAUUAAAAGUCUAGAUUCUCCUUGAUAUAAAAACAAUGCUAUGUCAUUUCUAAGUUUUCGUCAAAAUUGUGUUGUAUAAAUAUAGUGCUCUUUCAUCAAAAUUACGCCGUAUGUACUAAAUUAACCCAAAUCACUAAAUCUGAUGGGUUCAUGUGGGACCUAUAUAAAACUCGCUGGAAUUAAAAGUCUAGAUUCUACUAAAUAAAAAUAAGGCCCUAACUCAUUUCCGAGUCUUUGUCAAAAGUAUGUUGUAUGUCCUAAAUUGAUCUAAAUUGCCAAAUCUGAUGAGUUCACAUAGGAUCCAUAUUGAAUUCACUAGAAUUAAAAGUCCAAAUUCCACUUAAUAUAAAUAUGAUGCUAGCUCAUUUCUGUUUAUUCAUCAAAAUUGUGCUAUAUGUACUAAGUUAAUCUAAAUUGCUAUAUUUGAUAGGUUUAUGUGGAACCCAUAUGAACCUCACUAAAAUAAAACGUCCAAAAUCGAUUAAAUAUAUAUACCGCUUUAACUCAUUUCUAAGUCUCCAUCAAGUGCCUUUUUCUCAUCUCUUUGAAGCUUCCGAUCGCGUGCCAUUCCGUCACAUGUGAAUCGCGAAUGAUUUUCCACGCCGGAGUCUUUGUUAAAUCUAAAGACUUAAAAAUACGAAUGUGAAGUAACAAUUGCGUGUCAAAUGCAGAAAAUUCUUAAGUGAAAGAGUUGACCGUCCCCUCUUGAGUCAAAUGUUCUCUUCCUUGAUAUGCUUUUCUGAUCUGGCCUCAGACACAGAUGGUCAAAGGGGCGCAUUCAUAUCCAUAAUCUCGCGGCAGUUUCAACUCUGUAAAAAGAAUGCCGAGAUCUUUACAAGAUGUUUGACAAGCGUCUUUGAUGACAGCAUGCACAGCAUAUCUACUGCUUCAAAACAUAGUUACGGUUCAGUCUCGAUUGUUAUUUUUCUUGAAAGAGACACGAGAAUGAAGACAUAAACCAUGGUGGGAGAUAGAAAGAUGGAGCCAACGUGCAACAACUCAAUUGUAAGCAUCAGGGUUUUUGCAAGAGAUGGGCUUCAAUGGCUUUCAACAUUCCCACGGCCUUGUCUUUGCUGGCCUUGUUCUCUUCCCGUCCAUGACGAAGUACUUGCUCGUGCUCUUGCCCAUGCACCCUCCCUGUCUGGCCCCGCCUCGGCCUUGAUCUCAUUUGAGAUCUUCUCUAGCGCAUCGCCCUCAACGAUGGCAUAUGUGUGCGUGACGCAAAAAACUGCAGUCAGCUCCCACGUUAGCCUUAUCAAAGAAUGUCGGCAAACAUCUUCUUGACAUCACAUGUUAAUGCGACGCGAUCAAAAUGAGUGAAAUUAGAAGACAGCGCAAGCACUCGCCUUUGCUGAAAACGACGUGAUGGUGCCGGGACCGCCAUCACCUUCAAGGGUGACAAAAUCCUCAAUGGCUUGCGGAAGGAGCUUGGGGAUGAGAUUGUCAUCAAGAACAAAGGCCUUGAACAUUCUCGCAGGUGGAAUUGAAUGCAUCUUCGCCUAACAGUUCCAAGUCCCUCGGCAAGAGAUGUGUGAGAUUAUGUUAAAAUGCCCUCUAAAUGAUUCUUAAUUGCCUCGUUUAGUAAUCUAGAUCAACAUCACAAUGGUCUAAAUCAUAUAAUAAAGAAAGAGGACAAAAGGCAUGGAUCUCAAGCCCAAAUUAUACUUAUUAGCAUGCAAGAGAUCUUUGAAUGCAGAUACCCUUAAGGGUGGGAAGUCAUUAAAGUAUCAUUUAAAUAUUCUAACGGUGCCAACUGCUCGGACAAGCAAGCUUGAGUGCAUGCAGAUAAUUCUUGCGCAACGAAAUGCAUGGUAGGUCGCAAACCGAGACUCAUCCGCGCACACGCUAUUGCCACCAUGACCAUGAAUACCACUUCCUUGACCAGUUGGCCAGUCGGAGGAGGAAGACAUGGGUCGAGCACAUUCUAUAGUGGCACAUUUGAGUUUUUUAAUAAUGUCGACAUUUGUGUCAUUUGUAGGGAAGAGAGAAGAUUGCCUGGAUGCUUCCCCAUCAUUCUCUAGCAUUGGUACUUUUACUGUUGACUCUGUUUCACGAAAGAAGGAUGAAUCAAUGUUUUGAUCACAGCGUCAAGUUCCAAUUUUUUGUGAUACUAUUAAUACAAACCACUUUUCAAAAUCUAUACUUGCUCUUCCUAAAGGUCUUGUUAGAAUUAUUGGACGAAUCCAAAUUCGAUAUGUCAAUUAAAGCUAUUUGAUCUACCUGAGACCAUAAGUACAGGGGAUGUAUUGAUUAGAUUUGAUCUUGUAGCUUACCAGGAACCAUGUAGCUAUAAGAUCUAGCCACUGGGGUCCAAUUUGAUGAAUCCAAAUUCAAGAGUCUCACCAUCCCAAAAACCGAAAGCCGAGGCUCGGAGUCCAGCUCCAGCAGAUGUUGUUCAACGUAAUGUCCCAAUGGACAAUAGGCGGUGAGCAAUCAUGAUGCAGGCAAGCGAUCGUGUGAGCCACACAUUGAACAAUCUUCACUCUCUUGACACGAGUCCAAUUCAACUGCUCCUCUUCCUCCAUGCAUGACCUUUGCCAAAGUUCAGAAAACAUUGGAUGAUGUCCUCGCGGUCAACCACCACUUUGUUUUGACAGUGACGAUGUGGCCGAUGGCUUGUUCGGCCUUGUAAACGCUCCUGAAUCGGCCUUUUCCCAUGCAGCACGCUUCGCUGAAGUCGUUGGUGGCCUUGGCAAUAUCGUUGAAUGCAAACUCCGUUCCCCUUUCCCAUAUGAUUUCACGUACUUCAUAAGAUUUCUUAUCUCUUCAUCGAGAUGCUUGUUUCACCGCCGAAGCACCAAAAUCAGAGCAAUAAGAGUCACGAGAAGUAGUAAGCAGCAAACGCAACAAUCACAUUAAUCAGAACCUUUCUCCGAUGGCCAGUCGAUUUACUGCUCGACCCACAUGGAGACAUUCCGUCGCGUUUCCUCACAAGCCCGGAUUUGCGAUAAAAGCACUUUCCACUGAUUGUUGGAAGAGGUGACCACUAGGAACUGCGCCUGUCAGCUUGUUGUACAAGAAGCCAAUGAAGAUUAAACUGCUCAUGCUGGUGAGAGCAGCUGGGAUCGUACCCGACAAAUUGUUAUGCGAAACAUUGAGAUUUCCAAUUUAGUGAGCUUUGCUAAGUUGGAAGGAAUUGAUCCUGCUAGUGAAUUGUGGCUCGGGUCUAGGUGGUUCUGUAGCGUGAACGAGUUCCCCAGCUCUGGCAGUGACCCAACAGAUUGUUGUUGCUCAAGUUCAAGCUCAGUAAAUUCUCGCAAUUUGCUAGCUCUUUCGGUAUGCUACCGCUCAAUGCCUUCUCCCCAAAAAACAAGAUAAUCUAGCUUUGAUUAGUUUUCUAACGAGUUGGUAAUAUCUCCGGCCAAAUGGUUGUUGCUCAAGUUCAGCCUUACCAACUCCCCUAGAUUUCCCAUCUCGUCGAGAAUUUUCCCGGUCAGUUCAUUGCCUUAGGAAGUCAGAACAUCCAAUUGAGACAAUUUCCUGAGCUCCGACGAGAUGCGGCUGGCGAUUUGUUACCAUCUAUCAGCAAAUUCGUGAGAUUCAUACACUCUCCCCAUUCUGCAGAGAGAUUCCCGACAAAUCGGCUGUUGCUGAGGCUUAUAAAGUCCAGAUUCGGUCUGAACGAACUCAUGAUAUCUGUAGUGAACUGAUUGCUGUUCAGACGGACUCUCGUUAGCCCCGGAAAAUUCCUCAAGAAGUCAGGCGGCAGCUCAGUGAAGUUAUUCCCAUCGACCGUGAGAUAUCCAAGAGCAAAGUCGCUGCAUAUAUCUUACAGCAUUUCUCCGAUGAAGCUGUUGUUCGAAAAGGUAACGAUCCCCAGAGAAGGGCUGUACUUGCGGAAAUCACGUGUUAUGCCUCCCGAGAAAUUGUUCUUGAACAAAGAGAUGGACCGUAAGUUGGCAAGGCGAGAGAUGGUCUCACAAGAAAAUAUUGUGUACACAAGUGAUGCUACGUCAUGGCUUUUCCUUCCCAGCCUAGAUCUCCUCUUCUUCAACUUGAAGUGCCUUCUUGCUGUUGUCCUUGCUCGUCAUCCUGCAGACCGACCCUCCAUCGCUGGUGGCCUCAAACUUGACCUCGUAAUCGAUCGACUGGAGCUUGUCACCCAGCGCAUCGCCCUCGAUAUCGUGGUCCUACACAUGAAGUUCUCCUUGUCGAGCUUGUCGAUCUGGUGCUUCACAUUCUAGAAAGGACUAGCUGCAAUUACGUUAUGAAACUCCCUGCUCGAUGAGUGUUGAGUGUACAUACCUUCGGUGAAAUUUAACUUGCUCAAUGCUCCCGGCUCCACUGUCACCUUGCACCGGCUCCACCGUCGCCUUGCGCCAGCUCCGCACGCUCUUUAUGAACUGAGGCAGGAGCUUCGGGAUCAGGGUAUUUGACUCGACAAUCAAGGCCUUAAGAAUGCGAGCCGGAGCAAUCGGGCAUAUGAGCUCUUGUGUGAAGCUGGUUGCCAUGGCUAUUGGCAAUGAGAAAGAAAUAACCCCAGAGAAGAGUGCUUCCGAGUCCUGUCACUGCCUCCUAAUGUAUGGUUGGAAUUAUGUCAAUAGGUAGGGUCGGGUUGGCAAGAGUCACGCUCGAGGAAAAUAGGAGAGUCAAGGAUUUGCAGCCCAAAGGAAUGGAAAAGAGGAAUUAAGGUGGUCUCUUUUGUUCUUUUGGUCAUGAAAAUGAUUUCGGUCCCUUUCAGAUUCAUGUUGAAAUGUCAAAGUUUAUGUUCCAAAAGAUGAACAUUCUCGUGCUCACAUGGGCGGCCAUCCCUUUGAAAUGAUUGUUGUGGAGUUCGAUCUAACAAUUUGCCGAUUAGAUAUUAUAAUGAACUGUCCUUGUUUGAAGAAAAGUGUAUAAAUCGAAUUUUGUCUUGUUUAUGCAGCAAACAAAAAUACUUAAUUAGUUGGUGAUAUCACGUUAAUUUGUUGCGCAAUAUAAACAUCACAUAAUAUAUUUCUUCAUUUGUAAUGCCCUAAUGUCACGGUGGAUCUGAUUCAAAUGUAUGAAGUAAGGCCUUUUGAAAUCAUUUUCAUGGGUUGAUUCAAACUUCACUAGCACCGACAGUUUGACUCGGUCAAAAUUGGGUCGGCAAUCGGGGUGUCCCAAGAUCAGCUCGUCGUCUGAGUUUUGGGGGAGGUGGAGGCUGCUGCUCUUACGUUAUAUUUUGCUUCUCUUUUUCUUUUUUUCUUUUUAUCAGUGUUGAAGCAUUUGAUCUCUAUCCAAUGUCCCCAUCAAAGAUGUCCCCAUCAAAGAGAUAAGGUAGGAUUAGCUUAAAUAGAAUUUCAAAUAGCCCAAGCGUUACAAUAAGAUAAGUCCAAAACCCGAACACUUUAACUUUAUUUUUCUAUAGCUUUCUUGACAUAUAAUAAGAAUGUACUUUUCAUCAAUGAUCAUACGCAUAACAAUCUUUGAAAGAUUCUACCACAUUGAUAGUUUUAAAUGUUAAUCCAAAUUUGAAAUAUAAGUUUGGAUUUAUUCAUUUGUUACUCAUGAAUUCUAUUCUUUUGUGGAAUUUAUUGAAAAUUAGAGAAUCUCAUGAAUCCAACAAAAUAUCAAGCUUAUUCAACUUUUAUUCCCUUGAUACGCUAUUUAUGUAGCACAAUUUACAAAAUUCCACAAAAACCACUUCACCAGAUUCCUGCCACACCUUUCAUUCUCUUAUUCUCAGCAAAUACAAGAACAGCUACGCUCACCAGCCCCACAAGCUUUACUGCAAACACAGAGUGACCCAAACUCUUCUUCUCUCCUUGUGAAUUUAGCACAACCAGACGUAUUUCACACAGUACAGUGAACAAUCCAAGAUAGCGAUGAGAUCUACUCAAUAGGCAUCAGGGUUUGCCAAGAGAUGAGCCUCGAUGGCCUUGAACAUCUCGGACGCCUUCUCUUUCCCGGCCUUGAUCUUCUCCUCAGUGAUCUCCACCUCCCCGAUGGUGAAGUACUUGCUCGUGUUCUUGCACACCGAGCCUCCCUCGGGCGAUGUGGUGAUCUUCACCUCGUUGCUGAUCUUCUCGAAGGUGGUGCCCAGCAUGUCGCCCUCGAUGAUCGAGUAGCAGUAGGUGAAGUUCUCCUUGUCCAGGGCCUCAACCUUUUGCUUCAUUGUCUUGUACUGACUGCCUAUCAAAGUAAGAAAAAAUAAUAUUCACGUUUAGAACUCGCCCGUUUCAACAUCACGAACAACGAUCUCGAUGGUGUUGAUCGGGCCAUUUAGGUUGUUCCAACUGCAAUCUGAUACGAUUGACUUAGUAGACAUGGCCUGAUUUCCCUCGAUUGGAGUCAAGUCACGUGAUCACUUGUGUAAAUCAAUGAUUAGAAACAUCUUUAAUUAACCAAGUUACAUAUCUAUCUUUUUUAAUGUUCAUUAUGAUGUUCCAUAAGGUUGAAAUAGCCUUGAUCCAGAGCGAUCCUAACACGGACGGACUAACCUUCGCCGAAAGUGAUCAACUUGACGGUCCCGGGACCUCCGUCACCCUCGAGGACUUCAACGCUCUUGAUGGCUUGCGGGAGCACCUUGGGGAUGAGGUUAUCGGCGUCGAGGACAGCGGCCUUGAACAUCUUGGCCGGAGGGAUUGGGGUCGUGAUCUCAGAGUCGUAACUGACGACACCCAUGAUUUGGAUCCGAAUGGAAUUGCCGAAAGAAAGAAGAGGGUGAUCGGGAAAGGCUGACUAGCAGUGAUGAAGUUGGUCUCUAGGACUUGGGAGUGAAGAGAAGAGGAUGAACUGAAGCUGACAUAUAUAGAGAGACCGAGUGUGAAGGGUUCUCGUCAUUGGAUAUUUUCUUAAGUGUGUUCGUUUGGUACAAAAUAAAUAAUUAAAUAAUUAUUUGUAUCAUUUGGUAUAAUUAUUUGAUGAGAAAGUUUUGCAUUAUUGACAAUAAUUUAUAUAUAAAUAUUUUUUAUUCGUUUAUUUUUGUAAUUUAUAUAAAAAAAAUAUUUUUUUUACGAAACAAAUGAAGCUUAAUAAAAAAAUCUUAAUCGGUCUGUGGGUUGUUCAAUCAUGACAUGGAGGGGAGCGUGUGACGACAAAGUCAGUUCUUCUUACCGUUCGUGGCCCGGCUUUCGGUCGUCGGCUCGGCUCGCCUUGCGUUUUGGAAACGGCAUCUUCUCUCUCUCUCUCUUUCCUUCUCUCGCCCGCUCUUCCCUGCCCCGCCCCCCGGGCUUUGCUGUGGUCGCGACCAGAUGGAACUUUGACCGUGGAUUAGAUCGUUCGUUCGGUGGUGUUGGUGUCGAGGGUCGUUUGUCUUGUCCGUGCACAAAUUCCUUUCUUUCUUUUUUUUUUUUUUUGCUUUUUUUUUCUUUAUUCGAUGAGGUCGUCGUUCGAUGAGGUCGACCUUGACCUCGCCGGUUGCCAUGGUCCGUCGACUAGAGGAAGAAGAUGAGAAGAAAAAAAUAAAAAUAAAAAUAAAAAUUCAAAAAAAUUACAAUAUUAUUAGAAGUUGUCCACGUCAUCGUGUUUAGUCAGCAAAAUCCGGUCAAAAUUGACCGGAAAUGACUGAAUUGGUAUAAAGUAAAAAUAUUUAGGACUAAAUCAGCACAAAAACAAAAUGUUUAGAACUUUUUAGGCAUUUUUCCCCUAAAAUGGGUAUUACAAGUUUACGAAAGGUACGAACUCAAAAGUCUCCCAAUAAUACUUAAAUUCUCUUGUAGUAGUUAUAUCUAUCUAAUCUUCAAUUAAAAAAGAAAAAUUUCAGUAAAAUUCCUUAAAAACACAUGUAUAAAAUCUUGUUAUCUUCUAUUAAUGCAGGUUUUAAUCAUAUUGUUUCACCAACCUUCUCAGCGAAUUAGUCCCUUUUUUUAGCAUAACUAAUCUUGGGAUGUCACAUUUUAUUGCUAUAACUUGGGGCUUUGAUUUAGGAACUCCAAUAAUCAUUAAAUCUAUCCAUGGAGAGCGCCCGCUAAAAAAAUCUGACUGCUUUGCAUAACCUAGUUUGGUUCAACACCUUUCCUCCAGUAACUUUCCUGACAUAGUAAAAUCUUACUUAUGUACUUGUAAAAUCCGAACCAAGUUUCUGUAUAGAUUAAACAUGAACAUUUGCACACUUAAAUGAAUUCUUUAAAUCCCUGGGUUAAAUUUUGAUAUUAUCAUAAUCCUUUAUUUUCCAAGUAGUUUCUCCAUUUUCGACAAUGACAAACCUAUAACAUUCCUUCAAUGAGAGUGAGCUAUGCACAUAAGCAUGCAUAUUCUGCAGAACUAUUUGAAUGUAAAACCAGAGAUGAUUCAUGCAUGCUUCUACAUGUGACAUUUUAAUAGACCAUACAAAUAUGUCUGCAAAACAUAAUAAACUCUCCUUAAUAUGUACACAUAGUGUGAUACUCCCCCUGAGUAUGUGCUUCUCCCCCUUCUUGUUUCUUAAAAAAGCAAGAACAUCAUAUGCCCAGGGAUGAAAACCAUAUAAGCAAAAGCAUCCAUUUAUUUAUAUACAAGAGUGUUCCACAAAGCAUAUUCUGGAAAAAUUAAUAUAAAGGAAAGUGAACAUUAACCAAAAGGAUCACAAACACCGAUUUCAUCCAUCAAGCUAGAAACGUAUUGUUAUCAAGAGGUUUAUUCAAAAUAUGAGCGAAUUGCAGAUCGAUGUUAACAAAUCCUUUUCAUUAAUUCAUGUUGUGCUGUGGCUGCCAUAAUUAAAUAAAUAAAUAAAAGAAUCAUAUGAAGGAGUCUCUCUUCUUGAAGUUUGACCUAGUUCAGAGCUCCUCGAAAUGGAAGCCACCCCCGUUAAUUAGCACAACUCAUUGUUUAGAGUUAAAUCUUUUAUUAGAAAUCCAAAAUUUAGGCAAUUAAAUACUUGGCCAAUUUUUAAGACAGUGUGACUCUAAAAAUUGUGCUCAUAUUCAACUGAAACACAAUUAGUAAAGAAAGACUUACCGAGUGCUUAACAAUGUCGCAAUUACACUUAUCUUCAAAUCCUUACAUUAAGGAUGACACAUCCUUAUAUUUCAAUAAGGGCCAUUGACUUAACUAAGAAAUUUUAUCUGUUGAAUACUUGAAACACAGAAAUCUGACUAAUUGGAGUAUGAAUUACUGAAACUACAACAACAAUUGAGUAGAAAUGUAAAAGAGACUUAGGGUUGAUGCCUGAUUAUAUAUCGAAAUACCAUGGGUUUGACAUAUAGACCUCCUUGUCAAAGCCCUGUAUGCUAUUGGAAAUAUGUAUACGUAUUAGGCGCAUUCUGUGGGCUACUACAUGGUGCACUUGUUUUAUAUUUAAAGUUUCAAUGGGUUAGUUUUGUCUACUGGUAAUAUUUUCCUCCAAUCAUACUUUCAAUUAAUAGGUCAAAGAUUAUGGACAUUAUCAAUACGAAAUUUAAUCAAAAUCAAAUACGAGUGAUGUUAAUAUUUGUGUAAUCCAUCAAUGAAAGUUAUGGCUAAAAAGAGUUCAUCCAGCUAGAGCGUUACAUGUGUAAAUAGAGAUAAAAUAAAUUUAGAAUUCUAUCCGUGAACUUUUAUAUCAUUGACUACGGUUGCUAACAAGCAUUUUCAUUGCAAAAUUUGACAACAUUUUUCGAUGGCUUUUGGAUUAUCACAUAAUUAUGUCGUGAUUCAGUUUUAUCAUGUUCAGAUUUAGUUUUUUUACAUUUAUUUGAAUCUAAGUUACAAUUAUUGCACGUGAUGGUUGACACUUAAGGGCCUGCAUGGUUGGCACUUAUUUCUGUUCCCAGGAACAGAAAUUUCUGUUUUUUUGUUCCUGGGAACAAAAAAGGAACAGAAACGCGUUUGUGUGCGUUUCNNNNNNNNNNNNNNNNNNNNNNNNNNNNNNNNNNNNNNNNNNNNNNNNNNNNNNNNNNNNNNNNNNNNNNNNNNNNNNNNNNNNNNNNNNNNNNNNNNNNNNNNNNNNNNNNNNNNNNNNNNNNNNNNNNNNNNNNNNNNNNNNNNNNNNNNNNNNNNNNNNNNNNNNNNNNNNNNNNNNNNNNNNNNNNNNNNNNNNNNNNNNNNNNNNNNNNNNNNNNNNNNNNNNNNNNNNNNNNNNNNNNNNNNNNNNNNNNNNNNNNNNNNNNNNNNNNNNNNNNNNNNNNNNNNNNNNNNNNNNNNNNNNNNNNNNNNNNNNNNNNNNNNNNNNNNNNNNNNNNNNNNNNNNNNNNNNNNNNNNNNNNNNNNNNNNNNNNNNNNNNNNNNNNNNNNNNNNNNNNNNNNNNNNNNNNNNNNNNNNNNNNNNNNNNNNNNNNNNNNNNNNNNNNNNNNNNNNNNNNNNNNNNNNNNNNNNNNNNNNNNNNNAAUAAAAAAAUUAUACAAAUUUACCAAACAUGUUUCUGUUUAUUUUUUAUUCUCGGAACAAGUUUACCAAACGCGUAUUUUUGUUCAAAAAUUGUUCCCCGGAACAGAAAUACUUUUUUCUAUUUCUGUUCCUGGAACAAUUUUUAAACAGAAACACAACCAAACGCGCCCUAAAUUUCGCUGUUUUUCUUCCUCUUCUUUUGUCCCCGCGCGGCCCAAUCUCGUUUUUCCUUUCGGCCCGCCCGCGCCCCAGCUGUCUUCCUUGUCCUGUCUUCGCGCGCAAACCUGCAGAGGAGAGACAGCAGCAGCAGCAGCACAGCAGCAGCACGCCAGCAGGGGGAGCAGGAGCAGAGUAGAAAGCACGCGAGCAACAGGCGGACCGGCGGAAAGAAAAGACAGGGGGAAGCAAGGGGCAGAAAGAAAGUGGAGCAACCAGAGAAAGAAAAACAGAGGGAGAGAGCUCGAGAGGGAGGGAGAGAACCGGAGAGGAGGGGAGUCUCCGGCACUGUCGCCGCCGCCGCCGACGCUCGCUGCCGCCUCCCACACCUCUCCAGCAACCGCCAUCCCCGACGACCACCGCCGUGUUGCCUCCCCCGCCGUCGCCUGCUGCUGCGUUUUCGUCACCAGCUGCCGCGUUCGCCGUCGCCCGCCGCUGCCUUUCCGCCACCGUGCCGUCACCCGCUGCGUCCCAACCGUCGCCGUCAAGCCCGUCGCCGCCGCCGCCGUCCGUACGCCUAGCGACGCCUCAGCCGCAAGCAAGGAGAGGGACGUCCAUCGGGUCGCAGCCGGGUAGGAUUUUGAUCUUCGGGCAGGCCGCGUCUGGGCCGAAGCAAGGCCUUUGGGCCGGUUUAAUAUUAGUUUUUCCUUUUGUGUCGGGCUGGUUUAAUAUUAGUCUUUCCUUUUGUGUUGGGCCGGGCUUAGUUUACUUAGGUUUCUUUUUUAGGUGGACUCAGUUUUGAGCUGGACUGGGCCCGUCGUUCAGGCCCAGUCCUGUUGGGGCCCUGCCGAAUUUGGCCCUCCCCCGACCAGGCCGAACCCGGGUCGGUCAGACCGGACCCGACCCGGUUCGCCCAUUUUUUUAAAAUUUAUUUUAUUUUUUAAAAAUAAUUAAAAAUGUAAAAAUUUCGAAAAUUUAAAAAAUGUUGGGUUUAGUUAGGAAUUAUCAUGUCAACAUAAUUAAGCUUUUAUUUUCUUGUACCUUGAUUAUAUUGCAUGUUUAAUUAGCAUAUUUGAUUAUGUUUGUGGAUGUUUAAUUGCACAUGUUUAAUUUUACUGCAAUUAAGAUUUUGGUAGCUAUUAUUGUUAUUCUAAUGAUUGUACAUUUAUACAAUUACAUUAUAUGUUAGUGGAUAUGUGUAAAAUCAAUCCACAUUGCCUGACAAAAAUCAUUUCUUUUUAAAAUGAACAAUAUUAAGUAUUGAAAAGACACUAAUUGGUUAAUUAGUAUAAUCAUAUUCCCGACCCUAGAUUCUUUAGUUGGUAAGAAGUGUGGUAUACUCUCAUGUCUCACUUGGUUUUUAACCGACCCCAAUAUAGCUUACUCUAAUAGGUUAGUGGCGACUCUCUUUUGCAAAAUUCUUAAAAAUACCCAAAUGUCACGUGAGAUAAAGCUUAUGAGAGCCUAUGCCUAAUCAUAGGCUUUAGAUUCGUUGUUUAGGCAAUACCCUUAAACCUAUUCUUUCCCCCUGAUGGUAGGUCACGACAAUGAUCUAAGCUCCACCAAUAUUCUUACAUGACAUUUUCUGCUUGUCAAGCAUGUGACUUUAACGAUGUUGUAAAUUAAAUCAAUUACACGUUAAAAGUUUCAGUCAAUAAUUGACACAAAUAGUAGUAGUGGACCGACCGAAUAACAUUAGAUUGGCAAUGCAAAAUCUUAUUUCAAUAGAUCAAUAGCAUAACUACAGCAAAUAUCAAACUUUAGGACCGUGAAUGAAAUUUCUCGGUGUUAAAAAAUAAUUUUCCUUCUCUUGUCACGUCCACAGAAAAUCUUUUAGCACCACCACUACAAAAAAGGAUCGUGGUUUUCUUCCAUCACAAAUUUGAUUGGCAAGUUAUCAAAAUUUGAAGAAUCAUCCUAGAGACCGAUUCAAGGACAGCAGUUGAUCUACUAGUUGGCAAGAUUACAGAGGCGUUGAGGUCAGAUUGGGUGGUGAAAACCAACACAGCCCGUGAAGGCAAAACGUGCGACGAUUAAUAAGCCAAUGCAGCGUUCUUUCAGAGACUAGAUUUAGUUAUUCACUUAAGUUUAUCUACGGGGCUUCAAUUUGUACUUUUUAGGAGAUAAAAGUGGGUGUUAGGAGGCCUGGAGUUGCAUAUGAGACGUGUUAGAAAUUAAACCAAAUUAAUAGAUGUCCUCAAUCGACUACGAGUUGCUGAUGUCAAUGGAGAAGUUACUGAUAUUAAUGGUUGUCAAUGUUGAUAUUCCAUAAUUUGAUACUGAUGAUUUUGUUUGGUGAAUUGAUACGGAUGACUGUCCGAUGCUUGAGUUAAUUAGAUUCUUUAUUGUAGCGUUGUUUUUGAGAAGUCUAUUCGUAUUUUUAUUUCAUGUCUGUUCAUGUUUCUAAGUGUAAUCAAUGUUUUGUAAGUUCUUAGGAUUUUAUCACCUCAGAUUAGCUAUAUUUAUGAGUAAUUUAGUUUAAGAGUUAUGUGUGAAGCGUAUAAAAGUGGAGUCUUGUAAUUGUUUUUGAUAAGGUGAAAAAAAGGUGAAAUAAACAAAAAGGAUAUCUGUCUCCUUCUCUUUUUUGUGUUGUGUUAGUGAGUGUUUCAGCUUUAAAUUAUCCCAUCAAGAUGUAGCCUGUAUUUGUCUGUUACAAAAACUUGAAAUUUUCUAGUUUUGAUGCCAUAUGAAAUUAUGAAGGAGCGCUAUUAGCUAUUAUAGAAGUUUAGAUAAUUAGAUGGAUGCAUUAUUCGAUACUUAAUUGAUAUAACGUCUCUUUCACGACCCAUGUUCCUUUUCAACAACUAGAUUACUUCAACAGCUUGGCCUCAAUGAAAGGAGAGCUGUCUACAGAAGUGGAGGAUGAUGGAAUGAACAACUCGAUCGCGGAGGAGGUAAAGAAGGAUGAAAGAGGACCUUUAAUGGAAGUGUCAAAGGAUGAAAGGGAUUCUGAAGAAGAAAUCUGGAGAGGUCGACGGGAGAUAAUGAAUAAUGCAUUGGCGGCUUCCGCGGGGGACAAGAUCCGGCAAAAGCUUACGAAUAUGCUCGAAUACUGGCGCAUGUCAUCAAAGGCGGCAAGGUUGACGAGUUCCUUUCCAUGAUCAAUGUAAAUGAUCCAUUGUUGUGGGACAUCAAUUGGUCUGCCGUUUUGAAUUCCCGAUUGGAAUGGAACGAAUCACUGCUCCACAGGGCAGCAGCAAACGAGAACGACGACAUCCUAAGGCUUCUGGUUGAUUAUGUUGGUGACCACCUCAUAACCGCCCAAGAUGAUUGCAGAUAUACCCCACUCCACUGGGUCGCUCGGUUGGGGGGAUCUACUGGAGCUGUAGAGAUGUUGAUUCACCGGGCAAGAGACCUCCCCAACGUCGAGGACAAGAACCUCCUCUUGAGGAUGAAGAGCAACCGUGGAAAAACCGCUUUGCACUUGGCCGUGUGCUCUCAACAUGCCAACUUGGUGCGCUAUUUGUUGAGCGAAGAUUUGGAGCCCGUGUACUGGAAGAAUGCAAGUGAGAAAUCUCCCCUGUACCUAGCCCUCGAGAUUAAUGACUCCACAAUACAUGAGACUUUAUUUUCACUCUCGUUGGAACCGUCAAGGAUAGAAGGCUUGCCGCCCAUUCUUGGUGCCAUUGUACUUGGACGACACGGUACGUACCUAAAUCUGCUUAUGUGGAAAUAUAUUUAUCUAUUUCUGGACCGACUCGUCCCAAAUUUGUGCAAUAACCUUUUGCUCUUACCAGAACCUUUUACCGGUUUUUACUUAAAAUUCCCUACCCUGCUUGUUAAAGCAGUUGGAUACCCAUCGGUUUAGCCGCGCAUAAUAAACAAAUUAUUCACAUUAGAGCAUAAUAGAUUGGCUUAAAUAUUACAAAUACAACCAUUUCACUAGAAACUCGUGUUAUCGAUAUUUGAUUAGAAAAGCUAUAAAGUGCAAAUAUUUAAGAUUGAUGACCAUGAAAAUCUGGUAUCUAACAAUGAUGCCAUUUCUUAAGCGACUUAGAGCCAUGAACCAAAAUGAACAAAUGAAAGUUUAGGGCAGGAAUUAUAAACUGGUAGCAAACCUGUAGGCUGCGCAGGCGUGAUUUUUUCAUUGGAAAAAGAGGAGGUGAAGGUUCCGUCACUCUCAACAAAUUGAUGGAACAUCAUAAACCGUGAAUUUGUUUGUGACCAACAGUCAAUAGGUUUUUAAGAAAUUAACAAAAGUGGAUCUAAAUAAAGAAACAAAUUUUUGACUUUUUUUUAAAAAUGAAUACAGUUAUCAUAAACUUUGCACAAAAAGCCGAUAUCGUAGUCUAGCCUAAAUUACCUUGACCAUUAAAAAUAUUGAGUUAAAAUUCAUCAGACACGCGAUAAUCAAUUAUGCGGAAUUUUUUGGCUGCUAAUGCCAUGUAUCCCAAGUUUACUACUUGAUAAGCAUAGCUAACGUUCAUUGAUCAUCAGAUUGGUAGAUGGCAUUCAAGUGUUACAGUCAUAUCAAAUAGAGAGAAUUGUCCAAAAAGUGCUAGACUUAUUAUAUGAUUGUCGAUUCAGUUAUAAACAUGUUAAUUGUGUCAAUUUAACCUCUAUUUUAGUCCUAAACUUUUAAAAGAUUUGCCAACUUAGUCCUUCUAAUCAAUUUCUACUGGAAAUCAAUUUAUGCUGGAAAUUGCCGACAUGGCGGUCUAGUCAAAGUUAGCCAUCCUACAUGAUGUUGAUCGCCUAUGUGGCUUUUUUACAAUAUAUAUAUUAUUUUUUUAAUUUUUUGCAUUUUUUUCCUUUUCUUUUUUUUUAAUCCUUUUUCUCCCUCUGCCAGCCUCAGGCGAGGGCUGCCCUCUGACCCUUGCGUAGAGCAACCCUUGCCCUUGCUCGACCUCCACUAGGUGUCAACUGUUGAUGGUUAGAGAAGGGAAAAAGGAAAAAAUGAAAUUAGAAAACAAAAUGAAAAGAAAAAGACAAAGGAAAGGAAAGGAAAAAGGAAAAAAAAAUUAGAAAACUAAAAAAAUUGCAAAAAUUAUCCAUGUUAGCGUUGACUAUGCCAUGUAGGACAAUCAAUACUACUAGACCGCCAUGCCAAUGAUUUCCAACAAAAUUGGCUAGAAUGACUAAAAUAACAAAUUGUUAAAAGAUUUAUAACUAAAUUGGCAAGUUAUUAAACAUGGAAGGCUUCGCAGCUAUCCAGAAGAGAGCCUUACUCUAUAGGGGUGCUAACGCUUUACUAAGGUAUAGGAGAAGGGGCGGUUGGCUUAGUAAAGAGAGUAUAAAGUUCCACUUUGUGAAUAGUGCCUCGGCUCGGUUGAGUAAUGUAGUUCGCAAUUGUUAUGACUAAAUUGGCAUAAUUGAAAUAUUUAAGACUAAAUUAAUCAUCAUACAAUAAAUUCAAGACUUUUUGGACAAUUUUCCCUAUCAAGUAUAAUUCCAACCCUAGAUGCAGUAACUUUAUUUGUAUCCUGUCCCAAUUUAUUAAUCCGAGCACAUGUUAUUAUUUACAUUGCACGACGUAACAUGUUUGAGGCUGUCUAUUUAAACUGAACAUGCAAAACAAUUUCAAAUAGACAUUAAGUGAAAAUGCGUAACAAUGUAUUGUGUGAUGCAAAUAAUAAAUUAGCAUACCCAAUAAAUGUAGGUGUCUAAACUUACGUCGCACUCGUUGAAUAGAUUAUAGAAGUCGACUUGCACACAUAACGUUCAUAAUCCAUUUAUAAAUGGCUUAACUUAUUUGCGAUAAUACAAUUAAACCUAAUCCUACCAUAUGUAACCACGUUUCAUGUAGUGAACAUGUCUGUAGAAGGGCUGUUUCAUAGUUUGUCAGCUCAUAAUUCUAAUAAGUACUUUAGAAACUAUACAAAAGAUCCCAUUGAAAUUGGAUUUACUAUAUAUUUCUUAUUCUUACUGUCCAAUAUAUAAAAAUCCUUUUAUGAAGUACUACUAAUUGAAAUCUCAUAAUAAUAGUUCAUUUUAUUCCUCAUUGAAUGUAAAAGUAGAUGACAUUGUGGAAUGAAUCGAGCAUUGCCAUGGGCUUUUGUAGAGAGGCACUUUAAUUAGGCUCUCAUGAUAGGUAAGGUUCAUAUCAAUUAAAUAAGGUAAGGUUAUUUCUUUAAAUCUAGUAGUAUUCUUUCACUUGGGAAAAUUAUCCAAAAAGUCCUAAGCCUAUUGCACUUUUGCCAAUUCAAUCCUAAAUCAUUCAAUUUUGUCAAUUCAGUGCUAACCAUUUUCACUUCUUGCCAAAUGAGUGUAUUCCGCUAAUUUUGACCAGAAUUCAUUGAUGUGGAUAAUUUUUAUUAAUAUUUUAAUCAUUUUUUAAAAAAAUUAUACUUUUUUCUUUUUUUCUUUCUUUAUUCCCCCCUCUCUUCUUCCUUUUAUCAAUGGCUAGCUACUAACCACCAGUGAUGGCCAACUACCGGCCAUGGCUAGGUGAGUUGACCUUGCCCGCCGUAAGUGAUGCCUGGCCGGGCAAGGCCAAGCCCCAACAAGGGUCGGCCUCACCUAGGUUAGGCGAGACCAACCCUCGCCCAAACUAGGUGAGAUCGCCUAGGCGAGGGUGAGCCCCUUGUUCGACCAUGUCUUACUGAGGCAUGCGAGGCUAGCUAGCUCGGCCAUAGUUGGUGGCUGGCACAAAAGGAAGAAGAAAGGGAAAAAAAAUUUAAAAAAAAUAAAAAAAUAUUUUUAAGAGUUUACAUUAGUGUCAACCGUCUUACAAGACACCGCUAGUGUCCACAUCAGCGAAUUCCUAUCAAAAUUAGCCGGAUGGACUCAAUUACCAAGAAGUAAAAAGGUUUAUGACUGAAUUGACAAAAUUAAAGAGUUUAUGACUGAAUUGAUAUAAGUGCAAUAGAUUUAGAACUUUUGGGAAAUUUUCACUCUUUCACUAAUGUAUCUAGAAUGUAACUAGUUACCCAUAUUGAAAUUUGUGGCCUGAAUUGCUCCGUCAAUUUCAAGAAUGGUGGCAUCCAUCAUGCGAGCACCUUUUUUUGUAUGUGUAAAAUUGAAGUAUGUUUUUUAUUAUAAAUUAUUGGUGAAAUAUUAUUCUAUUUCAUAAAAAAAUUCUUCUUUUGAAUAGAAUAAAUGCAAAAUUCUUAAUUCAUGUUAUAUAUUAAUGUAAAAUAUAGGGGGCUCGAUGAUAGUUAAAAAAUUCCUAAUUAUUGUUGUUAUAACUCAUGAAAUUUGUAUAUGUACUUAACAAUAUUAUUAGAGUAUAUUUUAUAGGAAGUAUUAUAGAAAUGUAAGAAUUUUCAAUAAUUGCUCAUUUGCAGUUUUUGAAACUCAUUAGAACUAAUUUCAAUAAAACUAAUGCCUCUUUUGUUGAACAAAAGUCAUGGUAUAAGAGGCAAACAUAAAUCCUAAUUUGAAGCAAAAUAAAUGGAAAGUGGAAGAAACACUCUUUGUGAGGAAAAUAAUCAAUCCCUUACAAAUUAGAGCCCUAUAAAUCACUUUUAGAGACAAUUCUUAAAGAAAAAAUCAUUAUAUAUUUAUGUAGAUGUUACAAUAGUCUAGAUUAAUUUGCAAAGUUCACUGAACUUUUAGUAUUAUGGAUGUAAUUUUAUGGCGGUGAAAUGAGACUCAUUUUGUUUUGUGUUGUGUCAUCACAGCUUAAAUAUGUGGUCGUUAUAGCUCCGAUAUAUAUGACUCCAUGCAAUGCACAGACAAGAUAGAACAUAUAAUGUGAUUUAUUGAGUAAAAAUAUCUUUCCCAGAAUCACUAAAAUUUCACAAAAUAUAUUUGGUCCAUUCACAAGAUAUAAUGGGAUUGAGUAGCACAAUCCCCAAGGAUGAGGUUAUCUCUAAAUCACUCUCGCCUGUCUUUGAAGUCCAAUGGCCACCCACAAUCCUCAAACACCGUUGGAAUAUUCUCAAACAAUUGAAGCACCUCUCUCACAUUAUUGAACCUCUUUACUAGCACCUCCAAAUUUUCAUAGUUGGGGCCAAAAAAAAAUUCCUUUUGGUGGAGCCUUUUCCUUUCUGUAUUUUGUGAUUUAUAAGCUCUACUAUCUUAGAAAUAGAUUAUGGUCACAAAUUUUACUUAGAUUUUACUCACAAGUUUGGUAAAUACAUAAUCUCUUAAUUGAGCUCAAUAAGUGCCGUAUACCUUUACGAAGAAGAUGACAUUCAAUCUAGAGAGGGUGGAACAAUUUUAAGGGGGAUUUCGGUAGGGCGUUGUGGAGGCUAUUGCAAUGUUCUUAACAAUUAAAUAAGUCUGCUUGAUACUUGCUAGAAUUCGACGGACAUAAUAUGAAAAGAUCAUUUUCCUUUUCUUGAUCUUGCCCUAGCUUGCAUUACGUCUGCCGACUCUAUAGAUACUUCAUGUCGUGGAAAUGCCAUAUAAAUUGCUAUGUCAUUUAGCAAGAUUUUUAUAGUCAAAUCUUAAGUUCCUGUCGAUGUCAUUUAACUAGUUUUGGUAUUGCAAUCUAAUCUGUUAUUGUCGACUAUCAAUACUAGUAGUGAUUAAGGCACGUCAAAGAUGUCCUUACUCCAAAAUGGGUUUAAAUAUAUCGAGACCAACCAAGCUCCAACCAUCCUAAUUUGGAGCUUCUGAUCCCAGAUUUAUUCAACCUGAUACUCAAGAAAAACAUGAAGCUAUUCGCAUUGACCGACUCCACCGGGGGCAAUGUAUUCCAUUUAGCAGCUUACCUGAAUCAGGCCUGGGUAUUCGAAUUCUUACAACCAGAAACUAUAUAUUUGAUCCGAGCAAGGGACAUGAAUGGAGAUCUCCCCAUUCAUAUUGCGAGCAAGAUGGGUUAUGUUGAACAUAUCAAGAAGCUGAGGAAAGUAUCAAAUUUGCGAAAUGGGCAAGGGCAAACUGUUCUUCAUGUUGCCGCAAAAUAUGGGAGAGUCUCCGUAGUGAGAUAUAUACUCAGUGAUCCAGAUCUAGGGGAGCUGUUAAAUAAACAAGAUUUUGAUGGAAAUACAGCUUUGCACUUGGCUGCGAUGCAUUCACAGCCCGCUGCUUUGAUUCAUCUUGUGCGGACUAACGGAAUUCAACUCAGCAUUCUCAACAACAAAUGCUUGUUGGCUGUUGACAUUGCUGGACGACGCGUAGCAAUGGGGUAUGAUAUUCGGCAGGUAGGUAACAUGAACAGUCACUAUUUUAUUUAUUAACUUACUGGAGAUUUCGUAGACUAAUGCAUUAGUUAAGGCAGAUCUUGUAUUCAAAUCAUUAUGUCUCCCAGCCAACUAGAUAGGAGAAGUAUUGAUCAAAUCUCUAGAAUAACCAAGACUCCUCUCGGAUAAAUGUUUUGCAAGUCCCUAAUUUAGUCUUGAUAGGAGGUAAUUAAAAUUUGUGAUCAUGAAUUUCUCUGCAGUUAGAAACAAGUAACGUGUCUUUCAUAACACGGAGAUAACAAUUUAUAUAUUUCGUUUAAUUGAGCCUCUGAAUACAGUCAUGAAUAAAAAGGCAGGGUUUGUCAAGGUUGCAUUCUGUUUUUCAUAAAAAGCCAGGGGUCAAUGUGGCAAAUUUGAACGCUCCAAAUGUAACACAAUCUCAUAACAUUAUCAUUUUGUCGACCUAUGAAAUGAUUGCCCGCAUAGAUUCCAUUCAUGCCUCUUUUUUCGUCUAAAACGAACUUGGCAAUUUUGUGCUAAUUCUUCAAAAAGAGCAGAAACUGCAUCUUUAGAAGCAAACGUUUCCAGAGUUCAUUCCCGUUAUAAAUAUGGUAUAAGUUUGUUCUUAUUUUCCUUUUUACAUGCUUCCGAUCUCAGCACUUGGCAUACCUGGCGUUGCUUUGCUCGCUCGCGGAAGAAGGUCCACUUGAAAACCAAGAGUUACUCCUAGUUAGAGCGGAAGCUCGAGAUGAAGAGUUAUCAGUAGUCCGCUCGCGCAAAAGCAUGCCGAGAAGGGACAUCAUCAAGGAUCACAUCAAUUCCCGUAUGGUGGUGGCAACGCUUGUGGCCACAGUGACUUUCGCAGUUGGUUUUGCAGUUCCUGGAGGAUUUAACAGCUCAGACACAGCCUCCAAAGAUGACCGGGGCAUGGCUAUGAUGCUGGACACAGAAUGUUCCAGGCUUUCGCGAUUUGCAACACCAUCGCGAUGUUCUGCUCAAUGACUGUGGUCGUCAACCUCAUCUGGGCGCAGGUAGUUGAUGUCAACGUUGCAGUCGCUGCAUUUCAGCGCACAACGCUACCGCUACAAAUUGCACUCCCGGCGAUGUCCACCGCUUUCUUAACUGGUGUCACCUUGACCAUUGGCAAACUCCCGUGGCUUGCUAACACCAUAUUUUAUUUGGGACUCGUUUUCCUCCUCAUUAUCUCAUUUGCUAACUUGUUCGGGGAGCCUUUCUUCUUUAAAAUCCUCGGUCAUCCUCUCCGUCGACUAACAUUCUGGCUUAUUCUCGCUUGCAUUUAUUUGUGGAGAGUUGAGACGUACAUUUAUGAUGACAAUGACGCGGAAGAUAACAGAAGGAGAAGAAGACCUUCGCUAGUCCGCCUGUGGAUGUUGCCGGUGAAACGAGGACCGAUGACUCGGCGAAAGCAAAAUGUGAGGAUGCGUUACAUCCUCCAAGUCACUGAUUUGAAUUGAUCAUUCCAUAUUAUCUGUAAUAUGUAGUAGUAAUAUAUGUUUUCCUUGGUGAGUGUGACUCACUCUACGGUUGCUUUCCUUUAUGUCAGAUCAAAGGUGAUUGUUAAUGUAUGUAAGCUAAACCACGUGUUCCUCUAAUAACUUAACUUAUUAGAAUUGUUGGAUAUAAUUCCAUCAAAUUUCAUAUGUUAUUAAAGCAGAGGUUCUAAGUUCAAACAUUUUCAGGUCCUAUUUGCUUCAUCUAUUAUAUGUUCUCAUGUUUCAAUAUUAGAUCAAUUCAAGUUUAUGAGUGAAGAUGAGUAUAAAAGUAUUUGUAUUAAAGUAUUUGAAUUAAACAUCGCAUCCGUCUAAUAAUUUACAUUUUUAGAAUAAUUAAUUGUAGUUCCCGAAAUUUCAAAGUGAUACACACUUCAUGUAAAUUAAAUGGAUGAAUGGCUCAUUUCACCCGUUUCAUUGCCUUGGAAUCAAAUUGUUAACUUUGAACAUGUGGAAGCUCGUGGGUCAAUGAAAUCACUCGUCUAGAGUGGCAAUGUCCGAUUUACUUUGAACCAGUCCAAUUUGCGGCACUCUCGAGUCACGAAAUCUUACCUGUCUGGUGUGCAAAGAAAAUAAUUCUCAAAUUCUCAUCGCCUACUCUCUGAGUCGAGAGUUGGGUGAAGAAAACCGGAACAAAAUAAUUCUCUUCACUACUCACAAAAAAAAAAAAAUAGAAUCGAACCCCGAACUCAUUUCCAUUUACACCCCUUUCAUUUCCCCACUUCUCCCUCCUAGGCGACCAAUUUCUGUGCAUGCAAAUGAGUUUUGGUCUUUGAUUCGUGCCGAGGUAUAAUCUAGUGAGCAGCGGGCACAGAAGUCUAGUCAAGGGACGAGAUAAAAAGGAAUUGCAGUACGCAACUCAAGGAGAAUUGUGGAAAAGUUUGGAUAUGUGAUUUUCCUCCUCCGAUCUCUGAUUUUUAUUUCAAAGCCGGUUGGUAUUGACACGUAGAAUAUAACUCUAAAGUGAUUCUGGACCUAUUUAUUUUGAAAGUAGAUAAUUACAAAAAAUGAAAAGGAUCCCAUUGUACAAAUAAUCGAUUUAAUUUUAAACAUCUUGACGAUUUGCCAGUAUAGUCAUUCUGACCAAUUAUGACCGAAAAUCAUUGACGUAGAUGCUAGCCAUCCUAUCGCACAUGACCAGUAUUGAGGUGGACAAUUUUUGUAAUUUAAAACAAAAUUCUCAUUUUUUUUUCUUUUUUUCAUGUUUUCAUUUUCUUCAUUUUCCUUUCUUAUAUUUUCCUUUUUAUUUUUUUCUUAUUCCCCUUCGCCAGCCAUUGGCCGGUCCAUGGCUUCGGUGAUUGAUAGUAAGGGCCCAAUGCCCUCGCCAGCGAUUGCAAGGGCUGAUGGAUUUGCUGGGGCCACAGACUAAUGGAGGGACAAAGGAAGAAAAAAAAAGAAUGACAGAAAAGAAACUAAAAAAAGGAAAAAAAAAAGUUUUGAAAUAAUUGCAAAAAUUAUCCACAUUAACAUCCGCGCCCAGAUCGGCGAGGCCAAUCUUGUCAUGGGCUGGCCUAGAUCUGGGUGAAGCCGCCUCGCGUGCGGCUCCGAGGCCUCACUUGUGGCCAAAAGAAUGAAGAAGAGAAAAAAAAUAAAAGGAAAAAUAAAGAAAAUUAUUAAAAAAUUAUUAAAAAAUUAUUAAAAAUUGCCACGUUAGCAUUGACCGAAUGACUAUCGUCCACAUCAACGCUAGCCGACCAAAAUUGGCCGAAUAGAUUGAAUUAACACAAUCACGAAAAGUUUAUAACUGAAUUAGCACAAUUGUUAUGAAUUUACGACUUUUUUGGUAAUUCUCCCAAUUUAUUUGUUAUCUCCAUUUUUAGAUUGUGACAUGUGUCCAUUCAAUUUUAGUCCUCACUGCACUUCAUCUAAAUACCAUCAAACCUUAGCAGCGAGGAUGGUAAUUGGAGAUCUAUGCAAAUAUUUAUAUAUAAAAAUUACAUUGAGAUAGUAAAGUGUGCUCACCAUCAUCAUAUCAUCAUCCAUCAAGUCGAUUCCACAUAAUGAUCUAUUUGUCACUUUCAACAUCCUGGGGGCUUAAAUGUUUCAAUUAAAUAAGGUAGGAUGAGAAGUAUUUUUCAUAAAGAACGGACAUUCAAGAAGUCUUGCUAGAUUGAUAGAUUGAUGUUGCAAAUGGUUCUCUUCUCAAGUAGCAUGAAAAAUUAUGCUACUUAAAUGUAGAGCCUCCUUUUUUCUAUUUUUUUUGGCAGAUCUUCCAAAUCAAAUUACAAGGUUACGACUAUGAAAACUCAUAGUACAAGUACAAAAAAUACCAAAUCAAUCAUCUAUUGACUUCUCGAUUCUCAUUAAAUCUGAUUCACAAAAUAGGUUGGGACCCAUUUUGCUAGCCCUACUAAAAUCUAAACAUUUUAAUAAAUUAAGGAUUUAUACGGCAUCCUAGUUCACAAAGAUGUGCCGUUGCUGUUGACAAAUCGACAGUGAUUGAUUUUCAUGAACUCGUCGUCAUAUUGUCGACAUUCCCAUUAUAUAUGAACAUAAGAGAGAACUUUGAUUUUUGAGCAUCAAGAGAUAAGAUUGACUUAAAUAGAAUGCCAAAUAGCCCAAGUGUCACAAUUAGAUAAUUCCAAACCCCAAACACUUUUUUUUUAACCCCAAACACAUUCAACUAUGGUUUUUUUUUCCUUAUAACUUUCUUCACAUAAUAUAAGAAUGUACUUUAUGGUUAAUGAUCAUAUAUAUCGCGGUUUAUGAAAGACUAUGCCACAUCAAUAGUUUUAGAUGUUAGUCCAAAUUCGAAAUACCGGGCCAACGUUUGAGAUUUGAUUGGCCAUUCGGCAUUUCAUUUAUUACUCAUGAAGUCUAUCAUUGCAUGAAAUUUACUGAAAAUUAGAGAAUCUCACAAUACCAACAAAACAUCAAGUUUAUUCAGCUUUUUUACCCUUGAUACACUCCACAUGUAGCCCAAUUUACAAAAUUCCACGAAAACUACUGCUCAGCAAAGACGAACAACAGCACCCAUCGGCCCAACAUGCUUAACUCCAAGCAUAGAGUGACUCGAACUCUUCUUGUCUCCUUUCAGUUUACCACAACCAGACAUAUUUAAUAAAGUACCGUGAACAAGACAAGAUAGCGAUGAGAUCUACUCAAUAGGCAUAGGGUUUGCCAAGAGAUAAGCCUCGAUGGCCUUGAACAUCGCGGACGCCUUCUCUUUCCCGGCCUUGAUCUUCUCCUCAGUGAUGUCCACCUCACCGAUGGUGAAGUACUUGCUCGUGUUCUUGCACACCGAGCCUCCCUCGGGCGAUGCGGUGAUCUUCACCUCGUAGCUGAUCUUCUCGAAGGUGGUGCCCAGCACAUCGCCCUCGAUGAUCGAGUAGCUGUAGGUGAAGUUCUCCUUGUCCAGGGCCUCGACCUUGUGCUUCAUUGUCUGGUACUGACUGCCUAUCAAAGUAAGAAAAAAGUAAUAUUCACGUUUAGAACUCGCCGGUUUCAACAUCACAAGCAACGAUCUUGAUGGUGUCCAUUGGGCCAUUUUGGUUGUUCCAAUUGCAAUCUGAUACGAUUGACUUAGACAUGGCCUGAUUUCGCUCGAUUGGAAUCGAGUCAUGUGAUCACUUGUGUAAAUCAAUGGUUAGAAAUUUUUUUAAUUAACCAAGUUACAUAUCUAUCUUUUUCAAUGUUCAUUAUGAUGUUCCAUAAGGUUGAAACAGCCUUGAUCCAGAGCGAUCCUAACACGGACGGACUAACCUUCGCCGAAAGUGAUCAACUUGAUGGUCCCGGGACCUCCGUUGCCCUCGAGGACUUCGACGCUCUUGAUGGCUUGCGGGAGCACCUUGGGGAUGAGGUUAUCAGCAUCGAGGACAGCGGCCUUGAACAUCUUGGCCGGAGGGAUUGGGGUCGUGACCUCGGAGUCGUAACUGACGACACCCAUGAUUUGGAUCCGAAUGGAGUUGCCGAAAUAGAGAAGAGGGUGAUCAGGAAAGGCUGAUUAGCAGUGAUGAAGUUGGUCUCUAGGACUCGGUAGUGAAGAGAAGAGGAUGAACCAAAGCUGACAUAUAUAGAGAGACCGAGUUUGAAGGGUUCUCGUUAUUGGAUAUUUUCUUCAAGUGUGUUCGUUUGGUACAAAAUAGAGAAGAGGAUGAACCGAAGCUGACAUAUAUAGAGAGACCGAGUCUGAAGGGUUCUCAUCAUUGGAUAUUUUCUUCAAGUGUGUUUGUUUGGUACAAAAUAAAUAAUUAAAUAACUAUUUGUAUCAUUUGGUAUAAUUAUUUGAUGAGAAAUUUUUGCAUUAUUGACAGUAAUUUAUAUCUAAAUAUUCCCGUGAAUGAUGAAAAUAUUUUUUAUUCAUUCCUUUUAUAAGUUAUAUGAAAAAAAAUAUUUUUUUACAAAACAAACGAAGCUUAAUAAAAAAAAUCUUAAUCAGUCUGUGGGUUGUUCAAUCAUGCCAUGGACUUUGUUCAUAAAAUAAAAUUUGUCUAUAUGAUAAUGGAAUAUUAGUCAGAGAAGGCACCAUCCUAGAAUGAUACCAAACGUUCUUCCAUUUCCCUUUCAUGUAUAGACUUGACUUUUGAUCCAGGAGCAUUUGCUCAGCAAACUCUCUUGGCUGAGCUUCACUGAUUUCUUACAUAGUGUUACUAUCAUAGAAAAUAUCAAGCCCUUAGCUGCAUAGGUCGCGAUCCACCCAGAUCUCAUCCUACUUCUUUUCAAUCCGUUCGGUAGAGGCCUCGGGAAGAAUUAUCAUCAAUUUCAUACUCAUAAAUAAUAUUCGCUUAACUCUGUGCAGUAGAAAAACUCGAAAAAUCGAGGCACAAUUUUUCCUGCUGGGUGAUCUCGGUGCUUCAUGUUUCUGUUGAGCUUCCAUCGAUAAGAAAAAGUACAGAUUGAUCUCAAUGUUGCACUAAUCCAAUUUAGCAGAAAAAAAUGGGAAAGGUAGUUUGGUAAUUACAAGGCUUUGUUACUUUUAGUCAACAAAGGCUGCUCUGAAAAUCAAGAUGGACGUCUAUAGAUUUUGAAUUUUUCUACUUGCUUUCAUGUGUCUAGUCCUUUUAAAUAAUAUUAUUGCGAACCAUUUUCUGCUAAUUGUCUGGUGGAAGUGUGGUGGAUCAAGCGAGAUUGGCUCACGGGUCACUUGCUCAUUAAACAUUUUUUUAAUUUUCCUUUUUAUCUAACGGUAUAGCGACGUAGAUUUUUAGAAACGCUUUCUUCGUAUUUAAUUUUCUUCUUUUGUCUAGUUCAUCUUGUCGUAGUCACGGACCAUGUGAACGUAUAGGAGAAUGUCCAUGGGUGUUAGAUCAGAUUAAUUAAUGAAUUUCGUCGUAUUGAGACAAAAUUGAUUAAACUUGUCAAUCAUCUCACUGCGACGGAAGAUUCGGAAAAUAUUAAUGCAUAACAACAGCAUAUGUUUUGGGAGAAAAGUAUUGGAGAGGGGCAUGGAUGCAUUGCUGAAGUUAUUUGAUGAGCAUGUCAUAUGUACUAAAUUAAUCUAAAUAGCUAAAUUUGAUGGAAUUCAUAUGAAACCUAAAUGGAACAUAUAGAAAUUAAAAGCCGAAUUUUGCUUUAUAUAAAUACGACGCUAGCUCAUUCUCGAGUCUUUGUCAAAAUUGUGUUGUAGGCAAUUGAAUGUGAACCUCCCUUCCCUUUCACAUAUGAUCGACUCAAAUUUCUCGUACUUCAUUGACUUCCUUGUUUCGCUGUUGAAGCAACAAAAUCACAGCAAUUGAAGUCACCAGAAGUAGCUCGCAUCAAUAAGGACCUUUUCCCUAUGGUCGGUCGAUUUACUGUUCAUCCCACCCCACAAGGAGAUAACCUCGUCACAUUUUCACACAAGCCUGGAUUUGCGAUAAAAGCGCUUUUUGGUGCUUAUUGGAAGAGGCGACCACUAGGAACCGCACCUGUCAGCUCGUUGUACAAUAAGUCUACGGAGCUUAAACAAGUUAUAUGUCCAUUUUUUUCAAUGUUCAUUAUAAUGUUCCGUAAGGUUAAAACCACCUUGAUCGAGAGCGAUCCUAAGUUCCUAAUAUGGAUGGACUAACCUUUGCCGAAAGUGAUCAAAUUGGUGGUCCCGGGACCUUCAUCGCCCUCGAGGACUUCGACGCUCUUGAUGGCUUGCAGGAGGACCCUAGGGAUGAGGUUAUCGGCGUCGAGGACAGUGGCCUUGAACAUCUUGGCCGGAGGGAUCUGGACGUUAUCGCAGAGUCGUAAGUGAUGACACCCAUGAUUGGAUCCGAACUGAGAAACUGAGAAGGGGGUGAUGAUCAGGAAAGACUGAGUAGCAAUGAUGAAGUCGGUCUCUAGGACUUGGGAAUGAAGAGAACAGGCUGAACCGAAACUGAUAUAUAGAGAGAGACUAAGUGUGAAGGGCUUUGAUCAGUGAAUAUCUUGCGAAACAAACAAAGCUUAAGAAAAAAAAAUUAUUCCGUGGAUUAUUCAGAGUAUGACAUGCCCCUUGUUCCUAAUAUAAAAAUGUCUAUAUGAUGAUAGAACAAAGCGUUGGACGAUCAUAUUGGGGAGAAUCGGGCAACAAUUUACUAAUAACGAAACACAAUUUAGCAUCAAUUUCUCCUCUAAAACUAAACCAACCGAAACCAACUCAACCCCAGCAACCACCAGCAAUAUGUAAUACCAAAAUGACAAUAAGACAGAGCCAACAAUGACACUAAGGUUUUAACAUGGAAACCAAUACAUAAAAAAUCACAUACCCUACUCACUAACAGUAAUAGGAUACAAAAAGUGUUAUUUUAUAAUCACACAUUAGAGACUCAACAUCAAUGAUAUAACCAUAUUUCCUCACUCCAAAGAUAGAUUAACAUAAACGGAGCAAGAAAACCCUAAUCGGUUGGAGAAUCUGGAGGGGGUUCUUAUCUAACGAAAUCAAUCAAUUUGUAGUCCUUGAUUUUACAAAAUAACAUUCAAAUUUGAGCAAAUUCCAUCGGCAUCUUGCAUUCCAAUCGGGACCAAAAAGAUUAUGCCCUUUCUUUCGGAACGCUAAGAAAGAAGAGCCCAGACACAGACAACAAUUACCUACUCACUAAGUGUAACAUUAGGCUAGUGGGCCCCAAAAGAAGAAAUAGAAAACGAAGUUUUAAAGGCCCCAAAGAAGAAACUGAAAAAGAAACCGAAAAGUCAUUAAAGCAAAAAGGAGAUGGGAGAGGGCUCGGCUAAAUAGAAGCUGAGAGUUUCCUCGACCAAAAAGAAAAGAAAGAAAAGAAGAAGAAGAAGAAGAGAAAAGGGAAGAAAGGAAAGAAGUUUUGGCACGUGCACGCCUCGGAUGCCUUGCCAAGCCAAUUUGACUCCAUAACCCGGUAAGAGAUCAAGCCCCUCGUUUGUCCGAUUGAAGUAAUUUUUGGAUUUAGGACUCAAAUUCGGAAUUUUUGGAAAAUCGAGCGGCGAAGUCUAAUUUUGGAGUCGUUGAGCCACACAUUUUUGUAAGAAUGGUAAUUUAGGGUGUUGUGGAACCGUGGGAUUUUUCGGAUCGUGAUUUGAGCUUAUGGUUUGUCCAAAACAAAAUUCCAAAGUUUCCCGCGCGCAGUGAACAGUACGCGUCCAGCAGCUUUGGGCCCGUAUUUUGUCAUUUUUUCGGCUUGAUUUUGGGAUGACCAAUUUGGGAUUCUUGUAAUAUGUGUCAAGGGCUCUCUAUUGACUAUAAGUACGUUCGGAUCGGGGUUCGGAAGAGAAAGUUAAGGCUCGAUCAAGUUUUGCGCUUAAACUUCAUGUUGCGAAUGGCUUAAACAAUCAAUUUGGAUAUGCGACUUGUUAGUGCACAGAAGUCCUUUUGUUAGAGUUAAGGCGUAACUUAGUCAUUUUGUAGUCGAGAUAGAAUUUUAUUAGAUUUUAACAUUAUUCUUCGAUUAUUUGAUAGGGCUUUGAGUUCGAAGAUACAAGUAUCAUUUGUCGUUUGGUCGUAGACGAUAAGGUGAGUGGUACUAUAUCUUCUUUGGUUUUAUAAAAUCAUGUCUUGAAGUAUGUAUGUAUAUAUAUUGAAUCAAGAAGAGCAUUUUUAUUGCAUAAAAGUCAGAUCGAGCAAUUGCUACCCUUUGGUUGAUUGUGAAUCUUUGAAAAGCACAUUAUACAAGGUUUGUGGAGAAACAUAUAUGAAAUUGCUUUGCGACUGAUUUAUGAAAAGGUUUAUGAUGAUUUGAGAAACGAGUAUGAAAUGGAUGAUGGGCUAUGUUGCAAAAUAUUAUUUGUUUGGUUUAAGAUAUUGAUUUUUGGAUUGAAUUUCUGGUAUUGGAGAAUGGUUAUUUAUGCUCAAUAUGACUGUGAACCCAGUGAGGGGUUUUUGGGGUAUGCAUACCAGGUUUAGGAUAUCCUUCUGGGCCGAGCCACCGGCUUUGUAGGUGGAGACCUUGCCAAGGGGAGAAUCUUGGUCGCCUUGUCACAGGACGUUGUGUCGUGACCAUGGUUAGUUAUUGAGCAAAAGAUUGAUCAAUGGAUAGACCAUUGAUACUUGAAUUUUGAUGGCGAUUCAAAUGAGUUUUCCAUAUUACUAUAAAUCUUGAUGAUAAGAAAUAACUCAUAAGAUUCAAUACUUAUUUUAUAUAUUGAGUUGGCUUAUGAAAUUUGGUAUUGUUUUGUAUACAUGCAUAGUGGUUGUUCGAUCUGCUUAAAAGAUAUGUACUACUCACUGAGCUGUGGUUGCUCAUCCCAUUCCUCAUUUGAUCUUUUCAGGUUCCUCAGCUAGUGGCAAAUAGAGCGAGUGCGCCGUCGUGGGAAACUUUUGGGGAGUUCUAUUUUGUUUUUGGUAUGGUUUAGGGAAGUGGUGCAAAUGAUCUUUACUAGUGGUUGAAUCGUCUAAGUUUUGAAGUAUAUAUUUUCUCUUUUUGGUGGAUUAUAGAAAUUCUAAUGUUGCAACCAAUUUGAAGGUUUAUCUGAUAUUUAUACUUGUAACAUCCUGGACCCCACUGUGUAAUAUUGUCCGCUUUGGGUCACCCGCCCUGGCACGGACGAACCGCCAUCCCAGCCGCGAUCUUUUCCCUCACGGCUUUAAAACGCGUUACACAGGUUAGAGGGAUCCAAGCCUUAUAAGCUGACCAAUAUCUCCCUCCCUAGGCGAUGUAGGACAAGAGAGGAGGCUGUCACACUCUCCACCUCUUAACAGAAUAGCGUCCUCGCUAUGGCCCCACGGGUAUCAGAACAACAUUCAAGCUGUGGUCCCACACGCGGUCGGGAGUCGGCUCUGAUACCACUUGUAACAUCCCGGGCCCCAUUGUGUAAUAUUGUCCGCUUUGGGUCACCCACCCUGGCGUGGACAAACCGUCAUCCUAGCCACGGUCUUUUCCCUCACGGUUUUAAAACGCGUUACAUAGGUUAGAGGGACCCAAGCCUUAUAAGCUGACCAAUAUCUUCCUCCCUAGGCGAUGUAGGACAAGAGAGGAAGCUGUCACAUAUAUAAGUUAAUAUCAGUUUGUAGGUUAUGUUUGAGGCUGCGUCCUUUGUAAAGAAGGAUGGCCGUGUCAUCCCCAUUCUUUGUAGUUUUUGGGGUGUGACACUAAGUUCCGAAAAGCAUAGACGAGCGAAAUGCCUCACGAAUUAACCUAAGAGCAACAUAAACACGCCGAGAUAGAAAACGGUAGAAGCCGACGCCUCAAAUUGCAAACUUCUUCGACCCAAAAAAAAAAAAUAUUGCAAACUUCGAGCUACAAAAUGGCGAUUAAGCACGGAGGGCCGGAGAUGGGGUGGAGGGAGCACCUUGAUGUCGAAAUCGACGCCGGCGGUGGCGAGGAGGGGAGAGGGGGUGGAAAUCUAGGGUUAGGACAGGUUUGGUCUCGUGCCAAUUCAUCUGGACCGUGCCUCCCUUCAUAUCUCCUCUGCCCGCUCCGCCGCUUCCUUCCUUCCCCCUCUCUCUCUGAAAUCGAAGCCUUCUUCCUUGAUUUCUUAGCGAACGAAAUCGAUCAAUUCGUGGAAUUCGUGAGAUUCGUGCGCUCUCCCCAUUCCGCGGAGAGAUUCCCGACAAAUAGAGAUUAGAUUGUAGGCUUGUCCAUCGUCGUUUCAGUAAAGCGAGUGUAAUGCCAAAAAAGGGAAAUAAGGACGACACAAUUGGCUCUGACAUUGAAUUGACAGUUUAUUCCUGGCCUCCUACGUGAGCAUAUCACGUGGCCCACCCAUCAUGGCUCAAAUUCAUGAAAACAAACUAAUAAAAAAAAGAUCCAAAAUAGACUCCACCACCAUCCUCUCGGAAAUCCAAUCAAAAAAAGGAAAAGAUAAAAAAGGCAAAUCAUCCCAGACAAAACAAGCAUGGCAUUCGCCACACGCUACUAAAAAUUAACCACACACAGAUUCACAAGUCUCAGGGUUCGCGAGGCAAGCCUCGAUGGCCCCAAACAUAGUGAAAGCCUUCUCUCUCACGGCCUUGAUCUUCUCCUCGGUGUUGUCCACGUUGCCCCUGGCGAAGUAUUUGCUAUCGUUCAUGCACACCGUGUUAGACAAUUCAUAUAAAACUUGAUGCGGAAAUUCAUAACAAAUCAUUGAUCUUUGAUCUUCAUGAUUUUCACAAAUAGAUUCAGACAAACCUUUAUCCAUAGCGCUACGCUUGAUGAUGAUCGUUGUAGAAAACCCAAUGAUCUCGAACCAAAAGGAGAAAUCCGAUUUCUCUCCCUUAACCCACUAAACCUUAAUGUAUUCAAUUGAUGGAGGAGAGAAUAUGUUCUUUUCAGUUAUUGUUGUUCGUAUGUGGGUGGAGAGAGGACCGGACUCUUUUAUACGUUCGUUGAAAAUGUGCCUUCCAUCAAAGCGAUAUACCCUUUCGUUUUAUUAGAGUCGUACCUUCUCAUAACCAAUAUUAUUUAUAGCAUUUCAAUCAUUAUUAAACCAUAUAAUAAAUCACAUAAUAUGGGCCACAAUAAUUCUUACAUUCUCCCACUUGGCCCAUAUGAUUCUCCUUUCAUGGUUUAAUGAAGACUAUAAUGUGCACAAUAAGAUUAUGCUAUAAAAUUUCAUUAAAUUGGCAAUCACAUAAUAAUCACAAUUAAGUAAAGAAAACUAAUGCGAGUCAUAGCGGUUAUAUGUCAUUAAUCGACAUAGUCCCUUCUAUGUACUACAACUAUAGCACUUUACUUAACAUGAUCCAUAAAUGAGAAGUACAGUAAUAGUCCAACCAUAAUGUUUCUUUAGAAACUAUCCUGUUUAAAAUUAAUCUAUUUCCAUAAUGUAUACUAAAUAGAAAACAGGAAAUAUCAUAAACAUGUAAGUGAGCUCAAAGUGUCAAAUACAUAAACUUAAUACAAUCAUAAUACAAACAUUAAUGACGUCCAAUAAUGCCCAUCCUUUCAACAUGCUCAUUAAAUGUUUUGGGCGGCAAUCCUUUUGUUAAGGGAUCUGCUAUCAUAAGAUUGGUGCUAAUGUGCUCAAUUGACACUCUUUGUUUCUGAACUUCUUUUUUGACAGACAAGUAUUUGAUCUCCAUAUGCUUAACACCCUUAGAAUACUUGUCGUUCUUAGAGAAGAAAACUGCUGCAGAGUUAUCACAAUAGAUUUUCAGCGGCUUGGCAAUACUGUCGACGAUCACAAGCCCUGAAAUAAAAUUCCGCAGCCAUAAUCCAUGAAUUGUGGCCUCAAAGCAUGCCACAAAUUCAGCUUCCAUAGUGGAUGCAGCAAUAACUGACUGCUUCGCACUCUUCCAUGAAAUUGCCCCUCCAGCCAGAAGAAACAAGUAACCAAAUGUUGAUUUUCUUGUAUCGACACAUCCGGCUAAGUCUGAAUCUGAAUAUCCAAUCACCUCGAGAUGAUCAGAUCUUUUAUAAGUGAGCAUAUGAUUCUUUGUUCCUUGCAAGUAUCUAAGAACUUUCUUUGCGGCUUUCCAAUGAUCCAUUCCAGGAUUACUUUGAUACCUACCUAGCAUUCCGACAGCAAAAUUGAUGUCUGGUCUGGUGCAAGUUUGUGCAUACAUUAAGCUUCCCACAAUAGAUGCAUAAGGAAUAUUAUUCAUUUGUCCUCGUUCCAAUUCACUUUUCAGACAUUGCAUAAGGCUAAAUUUAUCACCUUUCUGAAUUGGAACUAUUCCUGCUGAACAUUUACUCAUAUUAAAUCUCUCUAAAAUUUUCUCAAUGUAGGCUUUCUGAGACAAUCCUAAUAAUCCUUGUGAUCUAUCACGGAAUAUUUCUAUUCCUAUCACAUAUGUUGCCUCUCCCAUAUCCUUCAUUUCAAAAUUCUUAGAGAGAAAUUUCUUGGUUUCAUGUAACAAACCAAGAUCAUUAGCAGCAAGCAAAAUAUCAUCAACAUACAGAACUAGAAAAAAAAAACUUGCUCCCACUAAUCUUCAUAUAUAUACACCGAUCAACGGUGUUUUCCUUAAAUCCAAAUGAAGUUAUGGUAUCGUUAAACUUAAGAUACCAUUGUCGAGAAGCUUGUUUAAGUCCAUAUAUUGACUUCUUUAAUUUACAUACCAUGUGUUCCUUUCCUAUAACUGAAAAGCCUUCGGGUUGGUCCAUAUAAACCUCUUCCUCUAAAUUCCCAUUAAGAAAUGCGGUUUUUACAUCCAUUUGGUGUAACUCCAAGUCAUAAUGAGCCACCAAAGCCAUAAUGAUUCUAAGUGAGUCUUUCUUAGAGACCGGUGAAAAUGUCUCUUUAUAGUCAAUGCCUUCUUUCUGAGUAAAACCAUUUGCAACAAGUCUGGCUUUAUGUCGUUCAAUAUUGCCUUUUGAGUCGCGCUUGGUCUUAAAGACCCAUUUACACCCGACCUUCUUACAUCCUUUAGGCAAUUCAACAAUAUCCCAAACUUGAUUUUCAUGCAUGGAUUUUAACUCUUCUUCCAUGGCAUUAAACCAUUCAUUAGAAUCUUCACAUUCCAUGGCUUGGGAAAAUGAAUCUGGAUCAUUUCCAAUUCCUAAGUCAAUUUCUGACUCUUGUAGAUAAACCAUAUAGUCAUCAGAAAUAGCCGACCUCUUUUCUCUUUGAGAUCUCCUUAAUGCUAUUUCUUGUGACUCGGUUAUUGGAGGUUCAUUAUUGACAUCUCCAUUAUUUGGUGUUUGUUGUUCUCGAUUAUUGUUAGAUUGUACUACAAUAUCAGAAACAACAACUUUAGAAGCUUUAGGCAUAGGAACUUCUACCCUUACUUCUUGAAUGCAAGCAUCACGCAUUCUUUCACUCCCACUGAUGUCACCAUUCUCAAUGAACCUAGUAUUUCCAGAUUCAACAAUUCUUGUACUAUGAUUAGGACAAUGAAAUUUAUACCCUUUGGAUUUCUCUGCAUAACCAAUGAAAUAACCACUGGUCGUUCUUGAAUCCAAUUUCCUUUCAUGUAUUGUAAAUUCUUACUUCUGCUUGACAACCCCAAACAUGCAGGUGUCGUAAACUAGGUUUCCUUCCCGUCCACAAUUCAAAUAGAGUCUUUGGAACUGCCUUACUAGGAACCCUAUUUAAUAAGUACAUAGAAGUCUUUAAAGCAUACAUCCACAAAGAUAAGGGUAAAGAUGAAUGACUUAUCAUACUCCUAACCAUUUCCAUUAAAGUACGAUUACGCCUUUCUGCUACACCAUUUUGUUGUGGUGUACCUGGCAUUGUGUAUUGAGCACAUAUGCCAUGUCUUUCAAGGAAUUUAGCAAAUGGACCUGGACAUUGUUCCGAUUCAUCAUACUUUCCAUAAUAUUCACCACCUCUAUCCGAUCUUAUUAUUUUCACAUUUCUAUCUAAUUGCCUCUCAACCUCUUUAAUAUACACUUCAAGUACAUUUAAUGAUUGAGACUUAUCAUGCAAUAGAUAAAUGUAACCAUAACGUGAAAAAUCAUCAAUAAAGGUUAUGAAAUAGCUUUCCUUACUAAAAGAUGGAACAUCGAAAGGACCACAUAUGUCAGUAUGUAUAAUCUCAAGAAGCUAUGUGCUUCUUGUGGCACAUUUCUUAGUGUGCUUUGUUUGUUUACCUUUAAUACAAUCAAUACACACUCUAAAGUCAGUAAAAUCCAAAUUUGGAAUAAUUUCAUUCUUCACUAAUCUUUGCAUUCUUUCUUUGGAUAUAUGACCCAACCGUUUAUGCCACAAGUAAGCAGAAUUUUCAUUCACCAAACUUCGUUUAGUGCCAACAUUAUGAUGCAAGGUCAUUAAUGUCUCAACAAAAGUAUUAUCAAGUCUAAAUUUGUAGAGACCAUCACAUAAAGUUCCAGUUCCAAUAAGAGCAUCACUCUUAAAUAGACUGAAAGAUUCAGAUCCAAACUUACAAUAAAAUCCCGCCACAUCAAGUCUUGGCAAAGAAACUAAAUUGCGAGAAAAUGUAGGUACAUAAAGGGUUCGAAAAAAAUCCAAAUAAUGCCCAGUAUCUAAUAUCAAACGAUAAGUGCCAAUGCCUUCAACUGGAGCUUUGUCUCUGUUCCCCGUAAUCACAUAACUUUCAUUUGGAAAAUGUAGGUACAUAAAGGGUUCGAAAAAAAUCCAAAUAAUGCCCAGUAUCUAAUAUCAAACGAUAAGUGCCAAUGCCUUCAACUGGAGCUUUGUCUCUGUUCCCCGUAAUCACAUAACUUUCAUUUGGCUUUAUAGUUUGGAUCUUAAGAAAUCCCUGCAUCGUAUUUGACACAUGAGUGGUGGCACCAGAAUCAAUCCACCAAGUAUUAUAAGGAACUUCAGUAAAAUUUGAUUCAAAACAUACUAAAGCACAAGGCUUACCUUUCUUUUCGAACCAAGCCUUACAUUUCAGACAAUCUUUCUUCAAGUGUCCAAUUUUGUUGCAAAAAUGACAUUUAAUAAGAUUGUGUUCCUUCUUGUGGAUUUGAGAAGCCUUUGAAGAGUCAUUCAGGACGUGUAGUCCUUUCUUCUUGCUCCUUCCACCUUUCCUCUUAAAAUUCUUUCGAACUUCUUGAUGACUUGAGAGAUGAAUAGAAUGAGCAUUUUGAUUCUUUAUCCUUAUUUCCUCUUGAACUAGCAUACUGGCCAAUUCGUUUACAUUCCACUUAUCCUUUAUAGUGUUGUAAUUCAUUUGAAAUGGCACAUAUUGCUCAUGAGGUAAGGAAUUAAGUAUAAAUUGUACUAAAAAGUACUCAUCCAUAUUCAUUCCCAAAGUCCUUAACUUUGCUGCUAAAUUGGUCAUCUCAAGUAUAUGCUCAUGCAUGGUACGCGAACCAUCAUAUUUCAUGGUGGUCAGUGUGCUCAUCAGUGUACCAGCAAGUGACUUAUCAGCAGUUUGAGAACGCUCUUCCACAAAUUUCAUAAAUUCCUUAGCAUUGUUAGUCUUGGGAAGAGAAGUUUUUAAGUUGUUUGCAACUGUCAUUCGCAUGAACAUUAAGCUCAGUCUGUUCGAUCUUUCCCAAGCUUUAUGGAAAGACUUUUCAUCAUUGCUACUUUCAUCAGUAAUAGCAGCUGGUUUCUCAGCUUGAAGUGCUAAAUCAAGAUCCAGGACACCUAAGUGAAACUGGACUUGUUCACUCCAAUCAGGAAAAUUUAUCCCAUUGAAUAAGGGAACAGAUGAGGCGUGCGAAUGGAGUGAAACAGGUACAGAUACUACAAAUGUGCAAGAAAAUACUCAUACAUUAAUGCUUUGAGAAUAUCAUAUAAUCAGAUUAAACUAAACUACACAUGCACAUCAUAGUUCUCCUUUGAGCGAUCCUAUGAUAUACAAAUAUAUAUAAACCAUAAUGAUGCUAAUAACUUUUAUUUGAUAAUUGUAAAUAUAUCUUAUUAAAAUUUAUUUGUUAUCUUUGGAUAUACAAACAAAUUUAACAAAUCAUAUUAAUUAUCAACCAUCAUGUUCAUGGAUUAUAAGAAAAUAAUUAACCUUUGGGUUAAUCCCUAAGUUCUUAUAAUAAAUGAACUUCAAUAUACCCAUAACUCCAAUAAUGAUAUAAAACAUAUCAAUUUCAUAUAUAUAGCAUCAAUUAAUCAUGGGUAAUUGAAUAAAAUAAUUUACGAUAUUAAAAAAAUUCAAAAGACUUCAAGGUUCGGCCACUUUGGUGACUAACAAACCUUUCAUAAUAUGAAUUUUUAAUAUUGCAAAAUACAAAUAUUUACCAAAUUGCACACAAGGACAUAAAAUGCAAUCAAAGCAUAAGGGCAAAAUCGUAAAAUCAUAAUUCCAUAAGGGUAGAACCAUAAAAUUAUAAUCCAGGGGCAAAAUGGUAAAUAAUCAGCAAUGGCAGAAUCGUAAUUAUAAAUUAAACAGGGGUAGAACAGUAAAUAACCAUCAAAAGGACGGCAAAACGGUAAUUAGGAGCCUCGGGAGGGGCAAAAGCGUAAAAGUCCGCGCGGGGACGUCAGGCGCGUGCCUCGCACGCGCCUGCAACCGCGCGGGAAGCCCCGCGCGCGUGGAUCCCACGCGCGCAGCGCUUGCGCGCGCGUGAAGGCGCGUGGCGCGUGGGUUCCACGCGCCUGCAACCGCAGCGCGCGCGUGGAGCCCACGCGCCUUCUUCCUCGCGCGCAGACGCGAUUCUUCGCCGGUUUUUCGCCGUUCCACCGCCGUUUCGCCGCCCGUUUCUUCUCCGACAGCCCAUUACAGACACAAAUAAUUAAUGGGUUUUGAAGAGCAUGCCGGCACGACCACAUGGGUCCAAAUUUCGGAGAAAAUGACCAAAAAUUGGCCCCAAAUCAAACCAAAGUUUCAGAACACAAAAACUCCACCACCGCCGCUUCCGCCGCUCGAUUAGCCGCCGGCGAACACCAAUAUACGGGAAAAAUCAUGGCUAAUGUUCCUCAUGACAGUGCGACGGUGUGGGUCCGAAAUCAAGCGGUGGGUUGCCGGAUUUUACCCGGAACCGGCGAGUUUCUUCCUUGCCCUCAAAAUUCCGAAUUCCACCAUUUUUGUCAUUUUCCACUCGUGCACACACAGUAACUUUUCUUCACAAUUUUAGUCCAUGAAAAACGUUCUAUCAUUCGGAUUUUCUUUAACAGAACCUUCCAAAACAUUUCAACAACAACAAAUGCUAUAAACAUGAUCGUUUAACAAAUCAUCAAACAUCAACUAUAAUAUUUCUUUAAACGGAAAAAUCAUGAGAUCAUAAACCAAACGCUCUGAUACCAACUGUUAGACAAUUCAUAUAAAACUUGAUGCGGAAAUUCAUAACAAAUCAUUGAUCUUUGAUCUUCAUGAUUUUCACAAAUAGAUUCAGACAAACCUUUAUCCAUAGCGCUACGCUUGAUGAUGAUCGUUGUAGAAAACCCAAUGAUCUCGAACCAAAAGGAGAAAUCCGAUUUCUCUCCCUUAACCCACUAAACCUUAAUGUAUUCAAUUGAUGGAGGAGAGAAUACGUUCUUUCAGUUAUUGUUGUUCGUAUGUGGGUGGAGAGAGGACCGGACUCUUUUAUACGUUCGUUGAAAAUGUGCAUUCCAUCAAAGCGAUAUACCCUUUCGUUUUAUUAGAGUCGUACCUUCUCAUAACCAAUAUUAUUUAUAGCAUUUCAAUCAUUAUUAAACCAUAUAAUAAAUCACAUAAUAUGGGCCACAAUAAUUCUUACACACCGAACCUCCCUCCGGUGAUGCACUGAUCUUCAGCUCGUAGCUAGUGUUCUCCAAGGUGUUGGCCAGCAUGUUGCUCUCGAUGAUUGAAUUGGAGUAGGAGUAGCUCCCAUUGUCCAGGACCUCGAGCUUGUGCUUCACUACCUUGUUCCGAUGGCCUAUAGAAAACGCAAGUCACAUUUGAGACGCCACCGGUUUCGAAAAUCGCAAGCACUGCUUUGAAACACCAUUGACUCACGACAUCGUCAUGUUAAUGGUCAGGAACAUUUGAAUUAACCAAGUAAAUUUACUAACCUUCGCUGCCAGUGGUCUCCUCGACAAGCUCGGCACUCUUGAGGAAAGGGAAGAAGACUCUGGAGAUGAGGUUUAAGGCCCUAACGAUGGCCUCGAACGCCUGGGCUAGGAGGAUGGAGGACUUGAUCUCAGUCCUGAAGUAUUCCAUGAUUCUCUGUCCGAAAAAAAUCUGCUAAAAGCUGAAAGGGAAUGAUGAGAAUUGCGAGUACUGAGUAGGAGUGAAGUCUUGAUCUAAAAUUUCGGAGCGCAGUUCUAUAUAUUUAUAGAUAGGGUGCGAGAGUGAGAUGUAGAGGAGUCCGUGUGUAUCUAAUGACUCUUUCGGGACGUUUGGGUGGACAAGGGGAACUUUUUUAUGUUUUUUUCUAGUUGCUUUACGGGUUACUUUUAUCGGCACAGAUCAGCCGGGGUUUCUUUCCGGAUUGGGCGCUUUCAAGAAUUUUGGGUGGACUCGGGGUUUAAACGAGAGGUAGAAAAAGCCAAGGGAACAGGAGGCAGGUGGGACCCUUCAGCCCGUGCUUUUUCCUUUUUUCCAUUGAGAGGACGGAGACGAGGAAAGCAUAUCCGGCCCGCUCGACUUUUGGCAAUGACAGAAGCUCUCUCGUUGAUAAAGCUAGGCCGUGAGGUGAGUUGAGUCAUGCACAAGUACACCAAAUUGAAACUCUUCCGCACGUGGAGAUAGCUUCAGACAACUUAGAUGCCGUGAAUUGUGUCAUUUCCUUGGAACUUCUAGGUCCGUCAUCCAGGAUUGUGAUCUUCUAUUGACCCAACUAGAAGCAUAAAUUAAACUAAAAUAAGAACCCAAAGAAGCAAAUCGUGUUGCGGAUUGAGUAGUCAAAGACCCACCGAGUUAGAACCCUUCCAUCCAAUUGGGUUGUUUAUCCCCCUCAUUUCCAUUGGUAAAUUUAAGUCUUGAAUUUGGUACUAGUUAUAAUUCAUCUUUGAGUUAGUAAUCAAAAGUUAUUUUCGACCAAAAAAAAAAAAACCACCGAUGACGUACUAAUUCGAUGUUGUUGAUUUUGUGCGUACAAAGUCCAAAUCAACAUUAAUGACGUCAUAUAUGGCGUGCUAAAAGUUGUUCAUGAGUUGAAUUUUUGCAAUUACGUGCCCAAUGAAUUUUGACGCUCUUGAGUGGGAAAUCACUAAAUUGUUAACUUUUUCCAAAUGCCUGACGGGUGUCAUAGGAUUAGUUUGGCGAGUAGAGAUAAAAAGUUAGCACGCAAGUAAUUUAAAAGCGCAGUGUAAAUUCGAUUCUCCCAAUCAAUGAGCAUAAACGAGAACAUGGGGGCGAAAAAGGUUGUUACCAGCAUUGAAAAAGUGGACUUUUGAGAAGCUCCAAUCACUAAAAUGUUGCGUAUUCGGCAAGAUGCAAGUAAGUCUAUCCAUCGAGAGUUAGUUUUUAGAGAAAUGCAUAAACAGAUAUUAAAUCAAUAGAUAUGCUUAGAAAAAUGUCAUACAUAGCUUUUUUAGCUUUUUUAGCUUUUUUAGUAAGCAAGAGGUCUUGACUUUGAUUCUCAACGAGAUCCUUUUUCUUUUGACUUGUAAUAUUUCCUUUUUUCACAUUCAAUCUUCUUCCUAACAAUUUUUUUGAUAAAAAAAAAUUCAAUCGAGCCAAAAAAUGAAUUGCUUAAUACAUGAUAGAGCCAACAUAUAUACAUACUAUAUAUGUGUUUUUUCUCAGUACAAAUGGUUAUACGAGGACCCAAUUAGUAAGAGGGAGGUCUUGAAUUUGACUCUCAACAAGAGCAUUUGUCAUUCAAACUUUUUCAUAACAACUAUUUUACUAAAGAAAAAAAUCGAUUGAGCCAAAAAAAUUGUCACUUAAUACAUCAUAAAGCCAGCAUACACAUAUAAUUCAUUUUUCUCACUACAAAUGGGUAUACGAGCACCCAUUUAGUAAGCAGGAGGUUUUAAGUUCGACUUUCAAUGAGAGCAUUUAUCUUCUGACUUAUAAAUUUUCCUUUUUGUAAAUUCAAACUUCUUCAUAAUAAUUUUUUUAAGAUAAAAACCACCAAAAACCCCAAACUUUGCUCAAAGUGACAAAUUUAUCCCAACCUUUAUAUUUUGAUAUGAAAAAUCCCGAAUUUUGCCAACUGUGACACAUUUAUCCCAAACUUUUUUUUAUGACACAAAAAAUUCUGAACUUGUAUUUAUGUGACACAUUUACCCUAAAUUGUAAGGUAUUUUGGUCUUUUACUUUUAAAAUAUUUUUUUUACUUUUUUUUUUCUUCUUCUCUCUUCCCUCCACCAGCCAUGGCAGAGCCGAUGGAGGAAGCCAUAGUUAGGCGAGGGCUACCCUCACCGGCGUCAAGCGAGGGUCGCCCUCAGCUAGGCUGGCUAGGGCCGCCCGACGCCAGUGAGGGAGGUCCUCGACCGACCCAGUCGAGGGUGGCCCUCGCUUGAUGACGCCGAGUGCAGCCCUCGCCUGACUCCAACUUCCCUCCGCCAUGGCCAGCGAAAGGAAGAGAGAAGAAGAAGAAAAAAGAAAAAAAAAGAGAAUAAGACGAAAAUGCUAUUGGUGGGUUAAAUGUGUUACAGUUUGCAAAAUUUGGGGUUUUUAUGUCACAAAAGAAGGUUUAGGAUAAAUUUGUCACUUUAGGCAAAGUUAUGGUUUUUGGUGGUCUUUUCCCUUUCAAUCGAGCCAUAAAAAAAGUCACUUAAUACAACAUAGAGCCAACAUAUAUAAUAUAUUUUGUUCCUUUUCUUGGUAUAAAUGGGAUACCAGCACUCGUUUAGCAAGCCUAAGUCUUGAGUCCGACUCUCAAUGAGAGCACUUGUCUCGUGACUUAUAAUCCUUCUUUCUUCUACAUUCGAACUUUUCCGUAACAAAUUUCUUGACAAACAUUCAAACUUCUAUCUUCUUGAUGCCGUUAUAAUAAGGGAUACGGAACUCUAGUGUGAAUGGAACUCAUUGCUGUGAUGCUAAAGGGAAGGCGAUGCUGACGAAUCCUACUGGAAUAUGCGGGGGACAGAAAAUCUUAGAGCUGGCGGUUAGAUCUAGUUGAGGUUACCAAGGGUUGAUUAUUGCUUAUCGCCCCGGAACUGACUUACCUAGGUCAUGCUCAGCCCUCACCCUUAGAAAAAGGAACUCAAGAAAAAAAAUUCAGUCACUGCUCCAUAAUGAUUAAUGUCCAUCAUAGUUCAAGUAAGGAGAUAUAAGCAAACGUUCAAACAAUAAAUAAAUAGAUCAACAAAAUAAAUUGGAUACCAGACUUAUAUGAUUCAAUCGCAGUGACCUACCUCUAUAAGAAAAGUAAUAACAAAUUUUAUUGUAGAUCAAACAAUAUGACGGAAAUUAUAAUCACAGUCGAGUUACUUUAAUACUCUUAUUGUUUUCCAAUUUCUAAUUACAUUCAAUAAUUCAAGUAAUAUAUAACCUCACAAUUUCUAACUAAAUAAUCCUUUAAUCUCAAGAAGAAAUUAACAAAUCGCGAAUUAAACCCUAAUUUCGCUAUAUGUAAUUCAAGGAGAAUAUCCAAUGUCAAGCACGCCAACGGCACUACUUGCGGCUGAAAAACCCGUGAUAAAGUCACCUCUCCACACGAGAGAGAGAGAGAGAGAGAGAGAGAGAGAGAGAGAGAGAGAGAGAGAGAGAGAGAGAGAGAGAGAGAGAGAGAGAGAGAGAAUGUGUGCAUGUCUGUCUUUUUCCUUCGGCAUUUUUGGCGGCUUCUUUUGUGGCAGUCAUCUAAGGCCUCGCAUGGUAAUGUUUCUGUUCCUUUUCUGUUCCCGGGAACAGAAACAAAAAAAAAAAAGUGUUUCUGUUCCAGGGAACGGUUUUUGAACAAAAGAACGUGUUUGGUAACGUUUGUUCCGGGAAUAAAAAAUGAAUAGAAACACGUUUGGUAAAUUUUAUUCUUUUUUUGUUUCUUUUAAUUUUUUAAUAUUUUUAUUUUAUUUUCCAUUUUUUCCUUUCUUUUUUAUUUUUUUCUUCUUUCGGCCGGUCGCCGACCUCCGGCGACCAGCCGACGAGGCCGGCAGCCUCGCCCGGCCACGGCAAGGCUCGCCGGCCCCCGGCAAGGCCGAGCCUCGCCGUGGUUGGGCGUGGCUCGGCCUCGCCGGAUCUAGGCGAGCUCGAGCUCGCCCAGCCAUGGUGAGGCUCGGCCUCGCCGGAUCUAGGCGAGCCCGAGCUCGCCCAGCCAAGGCAAGGCUCGGCGUCGCCAGUGCGGGCGAGGCCGAGCCUCGCCGCCCUGCCGUCGGAGCCAAGCACCUGCGCCCCGAAGCCCGCAGCUCAACGCCGUCCUGAUCUCACCACACCAUUCGCGACGCCGUCCACCGGCAAGGCCCGUGUCGCCCCGUGUCGAUCCCGAAGCCUCUAGUACGGCGCUGCCGUCGCACCGUCCUCCGGAGCCCCUCGCCGGAACCCUAGCCGAAGAUCUCCCAUCGAGCGAGGCCGAGCCUCGCCUUGGCUGGGCGAGCUCGGCGUGGGCGAGGCUCGGCCUCGCCAGGGGCCAGCGACGCUCCGGCGAGGUCGUUGACCCUCGAGGGCGUCGCCAGCCCUUGACGGCCGGUCGUCGGCCAUGGCCGAGGCCGGCGACCGGCCAGAAGAAAAAAGAAGAAAAAAGAAGAAGAAAAGAAGAAGAAAAGAGAAGAGAGAGAAGAAGAGAAGCGUUUCUUUUUGGCUUUGAAGAAGUUUUUCUUUUCUCCAGAAACAACUUUUUUGUGUUUCUUUUUUUUUGUUCCAAUUUUGUUCUGGGAACAAAAAAACAAAAAAAGAACAUAAACGCAACCAAAUGCGUUUCUGUUCUUUUUUUGUUCCCGGGAACAAAAAAAGUACAAAAGUGUUCCAGAAACACUUUUUUGGAGCGUUUCCAUGUAGGGCCUAAGUGACCGGUGAAGAAAGACCGAUAAAAAGAAGAAGAAGAAGAAGAAGAAGAAUACUUUCUGAGAGAGAGAGAGAGAGAGAGAGAGCAAUCAAUAUUGUCAGUGCACUGUUCGGGGUACAAAGCAAUGAUUUCAUCAUUCUUGAUUAGGGUUUUGAAAAUAUGGCUUUUCAAUCCGUUUCAUACAUUCUCCGGUUCCCUUUUGGGAGUAGUCGUGCACUACUCCCCGCCCCCUUCUCUCUCUCAACCGUCGUCUAGUUGAACAAUUCGUAACAGUCCCGACUCGUGCUUUUGCCGUCUGUCCCUUCUGCCUGAGAAUCUUGAAACGGUGCCGAUGUGGACCUCUUCCUCAACGGCAUCGCCGGCCCUCAACGGCCAUGGCCGAGGCUAGCGACCGGCCAAAGAAAAAAGAUAGAAGAAAAUGGAAGAGAGAGAAAAAAGUGUUCAUAAAUUUUGUUCCAGAAACAAUAAACAACUUUUUUUUUUCUUGUUUCCGUUCCAGAUGUGUUUCUGGAAACAAAAAAAUAAUUUUGGAACAAAAACGCAAACAAACGCGUUUCUAUUUCAAAAAACAAAAAUUUGUGUUCCUGGGAAUAGAAACACAUUUUAACAAACAGGCCAUUAGUAACUGUCCAAAAUUUCAAUUCCCAAAAUAGAAUUGCGUUUAGUAAUAUGCUCAAAAUUUCUACUCAAAAUCAUUUUCUUUUAAUUUUUAAAUAAUUUUAUUACUUUUUUCCUUUUUUUUCUUCUUUUCUUUUUUCCUUUCUCUCUCAUGUUCUUCUUCUUCAAGUGGCUAGUCGCCGGACCAGCGACCGGCUAGACGAGGGCUGGCAAUCUCAUCGAAAUGUUAAUAGCACUUAGCGAGGCUCGCCUAGCCUCACCGGUGCCUAGCCAGGCCUCGACGAGGCUGGGCAAGCCUCGUCGGUGGCCAGGCGGGCCUCGCCGAUGGCCGAGUGGGCCUCACCAGGGCUGGGCAAGGCCCCCCUGCUGGUGGCUAGGCUUGCCUCCGGCGAACUCGCUGGACCUCGCCCUGGCUUGGCAAGCCUUUGACAAGCUCGCCAGACCGGUUGUCAGCAACCAGCAAUAGUGGGUGGCGGACGGCAACCGCAGCGAUGGAUGAAGAGGAAGGAAAGGGAAGAAGAAGAAGAGAAAAUAUGGACUUGAUUCUUGGAUUUGUUCUCAAGAACAAGAAUCAACUUUUUCUUUUAAUUCUUGAUUAUGCUCCAAAUCCACUUCCCUAAAAAAAAAAAAUCCCAAAAACAAAAAUUUUACCAAACACGAUUCCGUUCCAAAAUUACUCCUGGGAACAAAAGAAUAAAAUUUGACACCGUUUGGCUGGUUACCAAACAGGUCCUUAGCAAGCUAAAGUUUUGAGUCCAACUCUUAACGAGAGCAUUUGUCUAGUGACUUAUAAUCUUUCUUUCUUCUACAUUCAAAUUUUCGUAACAACUUUUUUGAUAAACAUUCAAACUUCUGUCUUCUUGAUGCUGUUAUAAUCAGGGAAACGGAACUUUAGUGGGAAUGGAACUCAUUGCGGUGAUGCUAGAGGGAAGUUGAUGCUGACGAAUCUCACUGGAACAUGCGGAGGACAGAAAAUCUUAGAGCUGGGGAAAAUGAAUGGGUUUGGGAUUAAAUCUGGCUAAGUUAUUGCCCCGAAACUGACUCACCCAGGCCAUGGUCAGCUCUAAAGGGAACUCUAGAAAAAGAAUAAUGACUAAUGUUCUUUAUUGUUCAAGCAAAGAGACAUUUUCUAUCGGCUAAACCUUAUGCUUCUCACAUUCAAUGCUUGUGUUCCAUCUGAAGUUAUUUUUUACCACAUAAUUGUCGAAUGAUGGUUUUAAUUAGUGAUGGGCCUAAGUUGGCCCGUCUGCCCAUGCUGGGCCCAAAAGGCCCGGCCCACGGGAAUAGGGCCCGUAGAAGGGGAAGGUAUAAAAGGGAGGAGAGAGAGAGAGAGAAGACAACGCUUGGCUGAACGUACGUACGUUCUCUCCCUCGCUCUCUCUCCAAAAGGACAACAAGAACAGUAAGGCAAACGGCACGUUCUUCUUCCCUUCAAGGCGCCAUCGGAUCGAACAGGACCAGAAUUUCUUCUCGAUCUUUAGCAUUGGUGUCUAAUCUGUGGCUAACAAGGUACGCUCGAAUCCGUGGUGUGCUUUAUGAUCGGUGAUACGUGUUUUCCCGGGCUUCGUCUUCCGCAUUGAUUUAGGGGUUUGAUUGAGUGUCGAAUCCGGUUUUCGGGGAUCAGUCAUUCCCAACAUUGGUAUCAGAGCCCUAGUUCACGUUUUUCCCGAUCAAUUUGAUGUUUUUGAUUGAUCUUUCGCGAAAGAACUUCGGCCGUACGGAUCGGGGCGAAAAAUCCCGACACCCGAGCGCUGUUCGGCCAUUUUUCUGAGUUUUCGUAAGUCGAAAUUGAAUUCUGAAAGCACUGAGUGAAAGAGGUCGUCGAGACGAGUCCGGCGACAUGUUGUGCGUCGCCGAACGACGCCGCACGCACACACAUGCGCGGCCACAAGCCUCUGCGCGUGGGCGCCACGCGCCCGAAGCGCUGGCAAUGGCCAACGCGUGCGCCACACGCGCCGGUGACGAACCGGCACGUGCGUGCCGGCGACCGGCGAAACGGCACACGCCGGUCCGCGGACCAACGCGUGCUGACGUCACGUGAUGACGUCACCGUGACGUCAUCCAACGGUCGGUAACCGCUCGGAUGACGUCAUCGCCGACGACGUUUCGCCGGGCGGUUACUGGCCGGCGACCCGACCCAACGACGACCCGACCCGAACCGCGACGCCCGGCACGCCCGCGGCACGUGCCGGGUGACGUUUGCGUGACGUCAUCCCGCGCACGCGUGCGGCACGUGCGGACGGUUCGCCCGAACCAGCCCGACCGGUCUGCCCGGUCCGUCCGGCGACCGUUGACCCGUUGACCGACCGUUGACCGUUGACUUUGACUGUUGACCGUUGAUGAAAAAAAAAAAAGGAAUUUGUUUCUUUUUCAUAUAUGCCUAUGUGGUUUAUAUGUAAUCCAUUAUUUAUUCUGCAUUUGUUGCAUGAAUUUUGGAAAAUUAUGUGUUUUCCCUUAUGUUAAUUAUGGAUUAUAAGUGAUCCAUUUUUUAAUUCUGCAUUUGUUGCAGGAAUUAUGAUGCGUCAUGCACGAAUACCUACAAUCCCGAGAACGGACGAGGGAAAUGCAAGACUUAAAAGGCUGAUGACAGAGUUGGCUGAUUAUCGGUGGCAUAACGGUGAUUUAGUAUCACAUGUGGUCAAGGUCAAUAAGAUGAUACAGGAAAUCAUCAAUAAUGGUUAUCUUAUGCCGGAUUUUUAGAAGGUGCCGGCUUUGUUGAACACUCUUCCACCUGAAUGGCAAGCAGUGUUAGAUCGGCUAUGGGAGGUCAACGUGGUCCCGGGUUAUAGGAGGCUGGUGGAAGCUUUUGUAAGAGAGUACUAUAAGAUUGAGUUUGCCAAAACUUCAACCCUUAGAUUGUGCGCUACGUGGCGCAGAGUGAAUGCGCCUUGGUGGCGACAUGAAUGCUCUCCAAAAGUUUUUCCAUGGUUGGCAAAUGUGCCUUCAGUUUUCUCAGAUGUUUUGACUAAUAGAUUAGAAUGGACAUUCCCUAAUUAUUUCUUAGAUUAAUUGUGGGAUUUUUUUUUAUGGAUGUAAAUAUCUCUUUCCAUGUUGAUAUUUUUCUCUGUAUAUAUUGCUUAGUGUAAUGUAUAGUUGUAUUAUGUGAAAGCACUAUUAUUCUAUUGGAUGUUAGAUAAUAUUUGCUUUCUGUUACUGCUGAUUGCUGUGGGUAGUUAGCUGUGGGUAGUUCAUAGAAGUUUUUGUAGCUUCAUAGAAUUGUUUUUGCAUAUGACAAUCAUAUUAAUGAUAGUUUUAAGUUAGGAUUUUUGGAGGAUGAUUGGAAACGUAGUGACCUUUUGAUUCUGAAACCUUACUUGAAAUUAUUCAUUAAUAUGAUGGGUCUAUGCAAAUAGGGAUGCAUAAAUGAUAGGCAUUAAUUAUUCGUGCACAUAUGUCUGAUGUGUUCAGAUUGAUGGAUUCAGCAACUAAGAACGUAAUUGCUGAUGUGAACGGCAACAAUUGUGAAAUAUUGAAUAUGAAGAUUCAAUAUGUGCUGGAAAAGCAAGAAGCACUAGAAGCUCUUGACCAUGUUAUGGAAGAUCUUGAGGAUGCUGUGCGCCACCUUGAGUUGGUAGAGGACCGCUUAACGGCAUGUGAGCUGAAAAUAAAUAUUUGCAAUGCUGGUUCUAGCUCAGAAAGGGCUUUGAGCUCUAAGCGCAAGCGUAUUGAUUCGUUCAAUAUGUGGGAAUGCAAAGGAUCAAGUCCUUAUUGCAAGAGAUAAAGAGUUAACCAAUACAAGAGAGGAAAACGUCCUCAAGUUAAGAAAAUGUCAAGGGUGAGGUGUUACAAUUGUGACAAGAAAGGUCACUAUGCUCGCGACUGUCGUGAGCCAAAGAAAGUAAACACCUCUUGUACAUUUGAAAACUUUACUUUUGUGUCAAAUUCUGUAUUAUUAGCUGAAUUCAAUCCUUUGUGAACUGUAGAUUCAGGAGCAACAGACGAUGUAGCGAAAGAUAAAGGAUCCUUCGUGGAAUUCCGACGAAUACCAACUGGAACUAAGUGGAUCUAUGUGGGAAACAGCUCCAGAGUUGAAGUUAAAGGGAUUGGCACCUGCCAACUGAACAUGUGUGGUGGACGCACCUUGUUCCUACAUGAUGUUCUAAAUGCUCUGGAGAUUUGUCGAAAUUUAAGUGUCUGUUUUGAUGUUGGUUAAGCUUGGUUUUGAUAUGAACUUCCAUAAAUAAAGUGUAGAUUUGUGUUUAGAUACAAACUACUAUGGUUGUGGUCACUUUCUAGAUGGUUUUAUUGUACUAAAUGUUGACUGUGGUGAUGUCAAUAUGUUAUUCCCUUGUUUCACGUCUUUUACUUCAUGUGAUAAUGAUGUGAAUGUGUGGCAUGCUAGACUUGGUCAUAUUGGCCAACAACAUAUGAAUAGACUUGCCAAAGAGGGCUUGUUGGGCAAUAUUGAAUAAGUCGAUUUGUCCAUAUGUAAGCAUUGCUUAGAAGGGAAAACGACAAGGAAACCAUUUGGAAAAGGUAAAAGAGCUGACAUUCCUCUGCAUUUAAUCCAUUAUGACGUUUGUGGUUCAAUGAAUGUGAGAGGAAUGCAUGGGACUGUUUACUUCAUCACUUUUAAUAGAUGAUUAUACUCGAUUCGGAUGUGUCUAUUUGAUUUCUCAUGAAUCUGAAGCAUAAGUUGUUUCAAAAGGUUUAUGAACUUGGUUGAAAAUCAAUUAGACAAGAAAAUAAAAGCAUCGAGAUCUGAUCGAGGUCGAGAAUAUUUAUCUGAAAAGUUCAGAAAAUUAUGUGAUGAAAAAGGAAUAGAAAGACAGUUGUCUAUUCCAUAUACUCCUCAACAAAAUGGUGUUGCGGAGAGAAGAAACAGAACCCUACUGGAAAUAGUUAGGUCCAUGAUGGCGCAUGCUAACUUAGAUAUCACUUUUUUGGAGUGAUGCGUUGUUAACUGCUGUCUAUAUACUUAACCGAGUGCCUUCCAAAUCAGUUAGUUCCACUCCAUAUGAGUUAUGGACAGGUAGAAAACCAGACUUAAGUUUUCUUAAGCCAUGGGGUUAUGCUGCCUAUACUCAUGAGUCCUCUCACAAGUUUGGGAAAUUGAGUCCCAGAUAAAAGAAGAGUAUUUUCAUGAGAUACUCCGAACACUCGAAAGGGUAUAUGUUCAUAGGUGAGCAGGAAAGUGGGAGUAUGACUAAAUUUGAAUCACAGGAUGUCACAUCCUUAGUGGAUGAAUUUCCUAAGAAGGGCGAAAUAGGGGAAGAUUAGUCCCUAUUUGAAACCUUGGAUCAAGAUAAUGAUAUUAAUGGAGUUCGUCCAAGUGGGAGUAAUAUGAGAAGUGAUGAAUUGAAUUCAACUCAUUCUCAAUUACAACCACAUGAUGAGAUGAUAUCGUCAUUAUUUAAUCCGAGUGGGAGCAUAAUGGGGAAUGAUGUGCUAAAGUGUACAAUCUCCCAUAUAGCGAACAAGUCGCCAAAGGAUUCCCCGUCAACGUUUUGACAUUGAAGGGGAAACUUCUAAUGAUUGCUCCACAAAAUGAGGAUGAGCCAAGAAAUAUUAAUGAGGCUCUGAAUUGCCCUAGUAAGAAAAAAUGGAUUUAUGCAAUGAAAGAGGAGAUGGAGUCAAUGAAGUCAAACCAAGUCUGGGAACUGGUUGAUCUUCCAAAAAGGGGACGCAAAGCUAUUGGGAACAAGUGGGUUCUCAAAAUAAAGCAAAAGGCUGAUGGCUCGAUAGAAAGCAUAAGGCUCGCCUUGUGGCGAAGGGGUAUAAUCAACAGAAAGGAAUUGAUUAUGAAGAUACAUUUUCUCCUGUAGAGGGAUUUACCUCGAUUCGCAUUAUUCUGGCAAUAGUGGCUAGUAUGGAUCUUGAGUUACAUCAAAUGGAUGUAAAGACUGCUUUCCUCAAUGGAGAAUUAGAGGAAUAAAUAAAUAUGGAACAACCUGUUGGUUUCAUAGUGAAAGACCAAGAAGAAAAGGUAUGUCGACUUUGGGGGUCGAUAUAUGGCCUUAAGCAGUCGUCAAGACAAUGAUAUAUACGUUUUCAUAAUGCCAUAAUAGCAUAUGAUCUUACAAUGAUAGAUGAGGAUCAUUGUAUAUAUAUCAAAAGAUCCAAGGAUCAAUUUGUGAUCAUAUCAUUAUAUGUUGAUGAUAUAUUAAUUGCCGGAAGUAAUAUGGAGUUUGUUCAUACUGUCAAAAGUUGGUUGUCUUCCAAUUUUGAGAUGAAUGAUAUGGGAUUGUAAACACAUAAACACUCCUAUUGCAAAAGGUGAAGGAUUGAGCCAUAGACUGUGUCCAAGGACUCCACAAGAGAAGGAACAAAUGAAACAUGUUCCUUAUGCUAGUGCUGUUGGGAGCUUGAUGUAUGCUAUGAUGUGUACAAGACCUGACAUAUGUUAUGUAGUUGGAAUGGUGAGUAGAUACCAAUCCAAUCCAGGUCAAGCACGUUGGAAAGCCGUUAAAAAAAUACUAAGGUAUCUAAAGGGGACUGCUGAUUAUACGCUGAGUUAUUAUGGAAAGGAUCUGCGACUCUAAGGCUAUUCUGAUGAUGAUUGGGGAGGAGAUUUAAAUAAAAGGAAAUCUACCUCUAGGUUUGUUCUCUUACCGAAUAAUGGCACCAUGUGUUGGAGCAGUAAGAAACAAAAGUGUAUAGCCUUGUCCAUGAUGGGAAUUGAGUUCGUGGCAUUAUCAGCAGCAGUAUAAGAAGAUGUUUGGCUUAAGAGAUUUUUUGGAUCAUUUAGGUGUUAUUGGAAGUGCUGCAGAUUAAUUGUUGGUUAAUUAUGAUAGCCAAGCAGCAAAAGUGUACACCAAAGAUCCAAAAUAUCAUGACAAUACCAAACAUAUAGAUACCAAGUAUAAUUUUGUCAUGGAUAUGAUUGCACGAAAAGAUGUGAACUUAUAGUACAUACUACGCAUAGAAUGGUAGCAGAUCCUAUGAUAAAGCCAAUACCUAGAGAUGUGUUUUGUGGCUAUAUGAAAUCUCUAGGAUUGCGUAGAGGCUGAUGUACUGAAUAUUGUAAUUUCCCUAAGUGUUCACAAUUUGAUGAAUUUGUGUUUUCAUCAUUAAUGCCUAUGAAUCUUUGUUUGAUCUUUAUGCAUCUUAAUGCUCAGUGCAUUACUUUAAGUUAAGAGAAGUAUGUCGGACAGAUAUAAGAUUAGCCCACUCACACGGGUAAUCGCCUCUAUUUACUGUGUGAUAAAUAGAGAUGAGACUGUUUUUAAGCUUAUUAUCUAGGUGAUAAUCGAGAGCUCAAGCUUAAAACACGUAUGUCACCUUAACUAAGUGUUAAGAUGGGGACAUAAUACUUACUAUGUCCGAAAGUAAAAUACCCCACAUAUUUUACUUUAUCUGUUUAAGAUGCCAAAUGUGAGUUCUGAUGAAUUUUGUAAAUGAGUAGAUACGUGAACUCAAGUUAGACAUUGGGUAUGUCUGAACUAUCAUCUGUACGGUAUUGAAAGGUGUAGACAUACGCUCCAUGGGAAAGGAGUUGAUACCGUAAUACGUAUUUCAUACUACGUAUGCAUGAGACGACUAAUAAGAGUGGCAAAAGUUUGAUCUCAACUUUUUUUUUAUGUCGUGUGAGACUCUUGAGGAAAAGAGUUCCUCAAUUUUUUAGUCCCCUCAUGACUCUUACUUAUUCUCAAGAUUUCUAUUUAGUGUUUGCUAUCUUAGGAUGUUGCCAAUGGUCAUGAGUUUCAUUCGAUCUAAUGGGGCAUUUCUAGAAAAGCAAGCUGAACUGAAAUUGAGAGUUUGAAGGAAAGAGGAAGAUCGAUUUUGGAGAAUCACAUUGUAGUUUUGUAUUCACCGGUUAACCAAUUAUGACUGUCUUUGGGAUAAUCAUAAUUGUGAAUACAAUAUAUAUAUAUAUAUAUAUAUAUAUAUAUAUAUAUCAUUGUUUAAAAGAGAUCAAGAGAGAUAUAAAUGUGAUCAAUCGAUCUAGGGAACUGCAUACUAAAUCUACUCGGAGUGUGAUGCCCAUUAUGAGCUGCUAUAUAUUCCUAACAGAUGUAUGGCAACGAGCUCUCAAAGUAUGCUAGUCGCACGGAUUAUUCACUGGUAUGAAUGUUGAAGAGAGGUAAAGAGAAUUCUGUUCGGCCCACCAUGUGCGAGUGGGAGAUGAUGGUUUUAAUUAGUGAUGGGCCUAAGUUGGCCCGUCCGCCCAUGCUGGGCCCAAAAGGCCCGGCCCACGGGAAUAGGGCCCGUGGAAGGGGAAGGUAUAAAAGGGAGGAGAGAGAGAGAGAGAAGACAACGCUUGGCUGAACGUACGUACGUUCUCUCCCUCGCUCGCUCUCCAAAAGGACAACAAGAACAGUAAGGCAAACGGCACGUUCUUCUUCCCUUUAAGGCGCCAUCGGAUCAAACAGGACCAGAAUUUCUUCUCGAUCUUCAGCAUUGGUGUCUAAUCUGUGGCUAACAAGAUACGCUUGAAUCCGUGGUGUGCUUUAUGAUCGGUGAUACGUGUUUUCCCGGGCUUCAUCUUCCGGAUUGAUUUAGGGGUUUGAUUGAGUGUCGAAUCCGGUUUUCGGGGAUCAGUCAUUCCCAACAGUUGACAACCUAAUUUGACCAAUAAACGCAGUACAUCUAUAUAGUAUCUGGAGAGCAGCUGUUGUUGCUAGCUAAGGAUUACAUCAAGUAUCUUUUUAGUGGAUGUUUGAGUGUUAGGUCAACCCGUGCGAUACCCCAGUGAGGAAGAUUUUACAACGAGCUAACAGAGAAGAAAGAGGUUGAUCAGUAUUGGUUAGUGUUGAAAAUUGAGAUCCAUUUUCUAAAACUAGCUAAUUUCUUCUAUUGUAAUCUAGAAGCUCCUAAGUAAAGGUUUUGGUAGUGGAAGUUGUGGUCUAACAAUGUCCAAGUUAAGAGAUGUUUGGAUGAAUGGCCGUGGACAGUUGUAAAGCAAAAAUAUCUCUGACAAAAGCAGGAAUCUUUCCUUGAAGAAUACGGUGGGUGGCUUUAUGAGUAAAGCAAGAACUAGUUUGUGUAAGGUGGUGGAAGCAUCAGAUAAACUCCAGCCACGUGAACAUCCCGUCCUACAAUUAUGUAACGCCACAUUUCUAUCAAAUAAAUAAACGAUAUUCUUGUCUCAUAAAUCUUUUUCUAUAUUCCUCAGAGUAUUCAUCCUUGUCCAUUCCCCUACAUCAACUAUACCAUAAACAUAUACAUUUACACAUACAAACAAAAAAAUAUCAUUGAUAUCAAAGUCAUUCUUCGGCACAAUCUCACAAUUUCCAACAGUUAGAGAAGGCGAUAAUUAAUAUCCCGACCUAGUGGGACGGUCCUGAGAAGUAGAGGCGCAGGGAGAGAAUAUAGACAAGAUUUGUCUUCCAGCUAUGAUAAUGACCUCUGAACAAUUCAUCUUCGUCUUCCCCAGUCAUUUUAGAUGGAACAGCGAUAUCAUUCCACGGUUCUAGUUUUGCAGUGAUCCGAAGCUUGAUCUUGGUAGACGAUGAGAAAGCUGUCUUGUGUAGUUGUUACACCAUCCGUCAUGGAAUUUUCGUGCAAAAUUUAACAAGAACAAGGUCAGAUGAAUGAAGGAUUGAAGUCUAUGUCAUUCUGUUUUGUUGCAGUAUGAAUGACUGAGUUCAAGUUGAUUCAAAGCGUUAGAGCAAUUGGGACUUGAUAGGCUGCUUCAUCGGGUGAGGACUUCUUCGUUCCAACUUUUUCUGUCCCUUUUGAUUCGUUUUCAUUUCUGCUAUUGAUUUCGUCAUUUUGAGCUUAGGUUGCUACCUAAUAGGCAGAAUUUUUGUAACAUUUGAUAUGAUAUGCAAAUACACAUUACUUGUGUAUAUCUCGAAAAUUCCCACAUUUAGACACUGCUUUAGGCUGGCUUCCAAAAAAAUGCCCUUCUAUUAAUCUUCCGAGCGUUAAAAACUACAAAUACAAACUAAAAAAGUCAGAUUGUGAGAGCAACUUCCGUUUGCUCUUUCUUUUGUUUUGCAUUGCAUAUUGGUCCUUCCCCUAUUUUUGCAUGCUGACAGCUAAUCAUAAACACCAAGUUGCUUCAAAGGUUAUGGUUGAAACAAGCAUAUACUGAAAUGUAGAGGCAAAAGAAAUUAUGUAGGUUCUCGAAACUCUGGUGGUUGACCGCAGGGACAUCACCCGAUCCCGGUAUGUUGAGCUUUUUGAUGGCAAUGAUUUGGCUGCUGGCCAGUUCAAUCCUGUAAACGCUCCCGAACCAGCCCUUCCGAUGCAGUACUUUUCACUGCAGUCAUUGGUAGCCUUGGCGAUGUCAUUGAAUGUGAACUUCCCUUCCCUUCCCCAUAUGAUCGACUUGGAUUGCUCUUGCUUCACAAGACUCUUGAUCUCUUCAUCGAAUUCCUUGUUUCGCCACCAAAGUGCCAGAAUCACAGCAAUUGAAAUCACCAGAAAUAGUAAGCAGCAGAUGCCCAGGGUCACACCAAAAAAAACCUUUUCCCUAUGGUCGGUCGAUUUACGCUCAUCCCACAAGGAGAUAAUCCGGUCGUGUUUCCACACAAACCUAGAUUCGCGAUUAAAGCACUUCCCUGUGCUUGUUGGGAGAGGCGACCACUACGAACCACACUAAUUGGCUUGUUGCACGAUAAGUCUGUUGAGCUUCAACUCCUCAUGUUGGUGAGAGGAGCUGGGAUCGUAACCGACAAUUUGUUAUGCAAAAGAUUGAGAUUUUCCAAUUCAGUGAACUUUGCUAAAUUGGAAGGAAUUGAUCCUGCUAGAGAAUCAUGGCUCAGGUUCUCCUCUGUAGCGUGAACAAGUUCCCCAGCUCUGGCGAUAUGACAUCCAACAUAUUGUUGUUGCUCAAGUUCAAGCUCAGUAAAUUCUUGCAAUUCGCUAGCUCUUCCGCUAUGCUACCGCUCAAUGCCUUCUCCCCGACAAAUCAAGAUAUUCUAGCUUCAAUAAGUUUCCUAACUAGGUGGGAAUAUCUCCAGCCAAAUGGUUGUAGCUCAAGUUCAGCCUAAUCAACGCCCCCAGACUUACCAAAUCAUCAGGAAUUUUCCUGGUCCAUUCAUUGCCAUAUGGAGUCAGAUCGUGCAAUUGAGACAAUUUAUUAAUCUCCGGCAAGAUGCGGCUGGGGAUUUUGUUACCAUCUAUCUGCAAAUUCGUGACAUUCGUGCACUCUCCCCAUUCUGCAGAGAGAUUCCCGACAAAUCGGUUGUUGCUGAGGACCUGAGGCUUAUAAAGUCCGGAUUCAGAUAAACUCCAAACGCACUCAUGACAUCUGCGGUGAACCGAUUGCUGUCCAGACGGACUCUCGUUAGCCCCGGACAAUUCCUAAGCAGUUGGGCAGCGGCUAGGUGAAGUUAUUCCCAUCGACCACGAGAUAUCAAAGAGCAAAGCCGCUGCAUAUAUCUGGCGGCAGCUCUCUGGUGAAGCUGUUGUUCGAAAAGUUAACAUUGCCCAGAGAAUGGCUGUACUUGCCAAAAUCACGGGGUAUGCCUCCCGAGAAAGUGUUCAUGAACAAAGAGAUGGACUGUAAGUGAUGCUACAUCAUGGCUUUUUCCUUCCCAGCCCUGAUCUCCUCUUCUUCAACUUGAAGUGCCUCCUUGGUGGUAUACUUGCUGGUCAUCUUGCAAACCGACCUUCAUCACUGACAGCCUCUCAAACUUGACCUCGUAAUCAAUCGACUCGAGUUUGUCCUCUAAUGUGUCACCUUCGAUUAUCGUCUACCUACACACGAAGUUCUCCUUGUCGAGCUCAUUGAUCCGGUGCUUCACAUUCUUGAAAUGACUAGCUGCAUUUGUGACCAAACAAGACUUACAUUAUGAAACUCCCGGCUUGACGAGUGUCUGUUGAGUGUUCGUACCUUCGGCGAUAUUAACUUGCUCGAUGCUCCCGGCUCCUCCGUUGCCUUGCACGAGCUCCACGCUCUUUAUGAACUGAGGCAGGAGCUUUGGGAUCAGGGAAUUCAACCCGACGAUCAAGGCCUUGAACAUGUGAGCUGGAGCAAUCGGGCACGUGAGCUCUUGUGUGAUGCUGGUUGCACCCAUGGCUAUUGGCAAUGAGAAAGAAAUAACCCCAGAGAAGUUCGUGCUUCUGAGUCCUGUCAAUGCCUCCUAUUUAUGGUUAGAAUUAUGCGAAUAGGUAGGCUUGGUUUGGCAAGAGUCACGUUUGAGGAAAAUAGAAGAGUCGAGGAUUCGCGGCCUAAAGAAAUAUAUAAUAAGAAUGUACUUUUCCUUAAUGAUUUUACUUAUUGCGGUUCAUGAAAAAUUGUGCCACCUUGAUAUGUUUCGAUGAUCGAUCCGGAUCGAGCGGGAUCGAUAGUCCAUAUUCGAAAUAUUAGGCCACAGUUUACCAUGAAUUCAUUUCACUCAUGUAUCCUCUCCAUGUAGCGCAGUUUACCAAAUGCCAUAAAAACCACUACACCAGAUUCCUGUCACAUCUUUCAUUCUCUUAUUCUCAGCAAAGACUGGAACAACAACAAUCACCAGCCCAACAUGCUUUAACUUCGAACACCAAGUGACUCAAACGCUUCUUGUCUUCUAUUUAGUUUUGCCCAACCGGACAAUAAAAGAUAGCGACGAGAUCGGCGCAACAGGCAUCAGCGUUUGCCACGACAGAAGCCUCUAUGGCCUUGACCAUCGCGUCCACCUUCUCUUUCCCGGCCUUGAUCUCCUCCUCGGUGAUAUUCACCUCGCCAAUGGUGAAGUACUUGCUCAUGCACUUCAACACCGAGCCUCCCUCGGGCGACGCGGUGAUCUUCACCUCGUAGCUGAUCUUCUCAAAGGCGGUGCCCAGCGCAUCACCCUCGAUGAUUGAGUAACAGUAGGUGAAGUUCUCCUUGUUCAAGGCCUAGACCUUGUGCUUUGCCGUCUUGUACCGACUGCCGAUCAGAGUAACAAAAAGUAACAUUCACAUUUAGAACUUGCCGGUUUCAACAUUGUGAGCACCGAUCUUGAUGGUGUAGAAUCGGCCAUUCAGGAAUUAGCCCCCAGCCACAAUCCAAUACUAUUAACUUAGACAUGGCCUGAUUUUGCCUUAUCGAAAUCAGGUCACAUGAUCACAUGUGUAAAUUUAAACAGUUAGAAACGUCUUAAUUAAUCAAGUCAUAUAUCUAUAUUUUUCAAUCAAGUCAUAUAUCUAUCAUUAAGGAAUUAGCCCCCAGCCACAAUCCAAUACUAUUGACUUAGACAUGGCCUGAUUUUGCCUGAUCGAAAUUGGGGCACAUGAUCACUUGUGUAAAUUUAAACAGUUAGAAACGUCUUAGUUACUAUCUAUCUUUUUUAAUGUCCAUUAUAGUGUUCCAUAAGGUUGAACCCGCCUUGAUUUGGAGCAAUCCUAAGUUCCUAAUAUGGAUGGACUAACCUUCGCAGAAAGUCAUCAACUUGAUGGUCCCGGGACCUCCAUCGCCCUUGAAGACUUCAAUGCUCUUGAUGUCUUGUGGGAGGACCUUGUUGAUGAGGUUAUCGGCGUCAAGGAGAGUGGCCUCAAACAUCUCGGCCGGAGGGAUUGGGGACGUAAGUGAUGACACCCAUGACUGGAUCCGAACAAAGGUGCAGAAACUGAGAAGAGGGUGAUGAUUAGGAAAGACUUAGUAGUGAUGAAUUUGGUCUCUAGGACUUGGGAGUGAAGGAAGGAGGCCGAAUUGAAGAAGACAUAUGUAGAGAGACUGAGUGUGAAGGGUUAUGAUUUCUGAAUAUUUUCUUCUUUCUCAGGUGGGUUUUGCAGAAAAUAAAUAAUUUAAAAAAUAUUUUCCUAAAAUUAAUCGUCAAAUUUGGAUAGUGUUUCCAAGCAAGAGUUAUUUGGUGAGUGUGCUGCAUAUUGUAAAUUGAUCUAAAUCCAUAUAGAACUCACAAGAAUUACAAGCCUAUAUCUCCUUAAUAUAAAUACGAUGAAAAAAUGCUACCUCAUUUCCGAAUUUUCGUCAAAAUUGUGCUAUAUAUACUAUGUUAAUCUAAAUUGCUAAAUUCAAUGGGCUCACGUGGGAUCCAUACAAAACUCACCAGAGUUAAAAGUUUUGAUUCCGCUUAAUAUGAAUACAGUGCACUUUCGUCAAAAUUGUGUUGUCUAUACUAAAUUGAUUUAAAUCACUAAAUCUGAUGGGUUCAUGUGAGACCCAUAUGGAACUUACUAGAAUUAAAAAUCCAAAUUCAGCUUAAUAUAAAUACAACCUAGCUCAUUUAUGAGUCUUCAUUAAAAGUGUGUUGUAUGUCCUACAUUGAUCUAAAUCGCUAAAUAUGAUGGGUUUGCGUGGGAUCCAUAUAGAACUUACUAGAAUUAAAAGUCCAAAUUCCCCUUGAUAUAAAUACGACACUACCUCAUCUCCAAGUCUUCGUCAAAAUUCUGCUAUAUGUACUAAGUCAAUCUAAAUCGCUAAAUUUGAUGGGUUCACGUGGGAUCCAUACGAAACUCACUGACAUUGAUUCCACUUAAAAUAAAUAUGAUGCUCUUUCAUUGAAAUUGCGUUGUAUGUACUAAAUUGAUUUAAAUCACUAAAUAAGAUGGGUUCAUGUGGGACUUAUAUGGAACUCACUGGAAUUAAAAGUCCAAAUUCCACUUAAUAUAAAUUUGACCCUAGCUUAUUUUCGAGUCUUCGUCAAAAGUGUAUUGUGGGUUCAAGUGAGAUCUAUAUGAAACUCAUUGGAAUUAAAACUCCAAAUUUCUCUUACUAUAAAUAUGAUGCUAUCUCAUUUCCGAGUUUUCAUCAAAAUUAUGUUGUAUAAGCUAAUAUACGGGUUUGUUUUAUUAUUAUGACUUUUGAGAUUCCCUUUCAUGGAUCAGUUUGAUAAAGAAUCGAAAUUUCCUUUUGACCCAAAAAAAAAAAAAGUUAAUCUAAAUCACUAAAUUUUAUGAGUUUACAUGAGACCCAUAUAAAACUCACUAAAAUUAAAAGUCUAGAAUCCACUAGAUAUAAAUACGAUGCUAGCUCAUUUCCAAAUCUCCAUCAAAUGCCUUUUUAUCAUCAUUUUGAAGCUUCUGAUCGCACCCCACUCUGUCACACGUGAAUUGGGAAUGAUUUUCGACGCCAAAGUCUUCGUUAAAUCUCAUAAAGAUUGAGCCAACGUGGAACAACAACUCAAUUGUAAGCAUCGGGGUUUUGCAAGAGAUGGGCUCCAAUGGCUUUCAACAUUCCCAUGGCCUUCUAUUUGCUAGCCUUGUUCUCGAACCUGUCCUUGGCGAAGUACUUGCUCGUGCUCUUGCACGUGCACCCUCUCUGUCUGGACUUGAUCUCGUUCGAGAUCUUCUCUAGCACGUCGCCCUCCACAAUGAUGUAAGCGUGCGGGAGCUUUCCUUGUCCAGCUUGUCGACUGGUGCUUCACCGAGUUGAACCGUGUAGCCGCGACACAGAAAACUGUAGUCAGCUCCCACGUUAGUCUUAUCUAAGAAUGUCAGGCAAAUAUGUUGACAUCACAUGUUGAUGUGUGAUCAAAAUGAGUGAAAUUAGAAGACGCGCAGGUACUCGCCUUCGCCGAAAACGAUGCGAUGGUGACGGGACCGCCGUCACCUUCAAGGGUGACAAAAUCCAGAUUGGCUUGUAGGAGGAGCUUGGGGAUGAGAUUUUUAUCAAGAUCAAAUGCCUUGAACAUUCGUGCAGGUGGGAUGGAAUGCGUCUUAGCCUAAGAUUUCCAAGUCCCAGGGCAAGAGAUGUGAGAUUAUGUUGAAAUGCCCUUUAAAUGAUUCUCAAUCUCCUCGUUUAGUAAUCUAAAUCAGCAUCACAAUGUUCUUAAAUAAUACAAUAAAAAAAGAGGACAAAAGGCAUGGAUCUCAAGCCCAAAUUAUACUUAUUAGCAUGCGAGAGACCUUUGAAUGCUGACACCCUUGAGGGUGGGAAUUCACUAAAUUAUAAUUUAAAUAUUCUAACGGCGCCAACGGCUCGGACAGGAAAGCUUGAGUACGUGCGGAUAAUUCUUGCGCAACGAAAUGCAUGGUAAGUCACGAAUCGAGACUCAUCCGCAUACACGCUAUUGCGACCAUGACCAUGAAUACCACUUCCUUGACCAGUUGGCCAGUCGGAGGAGGAAGAUGUGGGUUGAGCAUAUCCUAUAGUGGCACAUUUGAGUCUUUGAAUAAUGUCGACAUUUGUGUCAUUUGUAGGGAAGAGAGAAGAUUCCGGGAUGCUUCCUCAUCAUUCUCUAGCAUCGGUACUUUUACUGUUGACUCUGUUUCAUGAAAGAAGAAUGAAUCAAUGUUUUGAUCACAACCUCAAGUUGCCUACAAAUUCCAAAUUUUUGAGAUUCUGUUAAUACAUACCACUUUUCAAAAUCUGUACUUGCUCUUCCUAAAAGUCUUGUUAGAAGUAUUGGAUGAAUCCAAAUUCAAUAUGUCAAUUGAAGGUAUUUGAUCAACCCGAGACCAUAGGUACAGGGGGAAUGUACUGAUUAGAUUUGAUCAUGUAGCUUACCAGGAACCAUGUAGCCAUAAGAUCCAGCCACUGGGAUCCAAUUCGACGAAUCCGAAUUCAAGAGCCUCACUGUCCCAAAAACCAAAAGCCAAGGCUCGAAGUCCGACUCGAGCAAGAUGUUGUUCAACAUCAUGUUCCGAUGGACAAUAGGCAGUGAGCAAUUGUGAUGCAAGUAGGCGAUCACGGGAGCCACGCAUUGAACAAUCUUCACUCUCUUAACACAAGUCCAAUUCAACUGCUCCGCUUCCUCCAUGCAAGACCUUUGCCAAAGUUCACAAAAGAUUGGAUGAUGUCCCUGCGGUUAACCACCACUUUUUUUUACCAUGACGAUGUGGCCGCUGGCCUAUUCGGCCUUGUAAACGCUUCUGAAUCCACGUUUUCCGAUGCAGUACUCUCCAUUGAAGCCGUUGGUGGCCUUGGCAAUAUCGUUGAAUGCAAACUUCAUUCCCCUUUCCCAUAUGAUUUCACGUACUUCAUAAGAUUUCUUAUCUCUUCAUCGAGAUGCUUGUUUCACCGCCAAAGCACCAAAAUCAGAGCAAUAAGAGUCACGAGAAGUAGUAAGCAGCAAACGCAACAAUCACAUUAAUCAGAACCUUUCUCCGAUGGUCAGUCGAUUUACUGCUCGACCCACAUGGAGACAUUCCGUCGCGUUUCCUCACAAGCCCGGAUUUGCAAUAAAAGUACUUCCUAGUUAUUGUUGGAAGAGGCGACCACCAAGAACUGCGCCUGUCAACUUGUUGUACAAGAAGCCCAUGAAGCUUAAACUGCUCAUGCUGGUGAGAGUAGCUGGGAUCGUACCCAACAAAUCGUUAUGCAAAACGUUGAGAUUUUUCAAUUUAGUGAGCUUUGCUAAAUUGGAAGGAAUUGAUCCUACUAGUGAAUUGUGGCUCAGGUCUAGUGGUUCUGUAGCGUGAACGAGUUCCCCAGCUCUGGCGACAUGACACCCAACAGAUUGUUGUUGCUCAAGUUCAGGCUCAGUAAAUUCUCGCAAUUUGCUAAUGCUUUUGGUACGAUCCAUAGAGAAGGGAUGUACUUGCCGUAUUGUGGUUUAUGAAAGAUUGUGCCACAUUGAUAACUUUAGAUGUUAAUCCAAAUUCGAAAUAUCAGGCCAAAUUUUGGUAUUUUAUUGGCCAUUUGGCAUUUCAUUUGUAACUCAUGAAUUCUCUCCUCGUAAAAAAAUUACUAAAUUAGAGAAUUUCAUUCUACAAGCCUUGUAUAAACAUGUAGCAUAGUUUAUCAAAUUCCACAAAACCACUGCACCAGAUUCCUAUCACACCUUUUAUUCUCUUAUUCUCAGCAAAGACAAGAACAACAAUACUCACCAGCCCAACAUGCUUAGCUCCAAACAGAGUGACUCAAACUCUUCUUGUCUCCUUUUCAGUAUAGCACAACCACACAUAUUUAACGCAUUACGUAAACAAUACAAGAUAGCGAAAAGAUAGGCUCAGUAGGCAUCAGGGUUUGCCAAGAGAUAAGCCUCGAUGCCCUCGUACAUCGCGGACACCUUCUCUUUCCAGGUGUUGAUCUCCUCCGCGGUGAAGUAACUGUCCGUGCACUUCAACAUCGAGCCUCCCAAAGGCAACGCGUUGAUCUUCACCUCAUGGGUGAUCUUCUCGAAGGUGGUGCCCAGCAUUUCGCUCUCGAUGAUUGAGUAGCGGUAGGUGAAGUUCUCCUUGUCCAGGGCCUCGACCUUGUGCUUCGCUGUCUUGAACGGAUUGCCUAUCAAUGUAACAAAAAGUCACACUCACAUUUAGAACUCGCAGGUUUCAAUAUCACGAGCACCAAUCUUCAUGGUGUCCAUCAGGCCAUUUAGGAAUUAACCCAAUUGUUCCGACCGCAAUCCAAUACAAUUGACUUAGACAUAGCCUGACUUUGCCUGAUCAAAAUUGAGUCACAUAAUCACUUGUGUAAAGUUAAACGGUUAGAAACAUCUUAAGUAAUCGAGUCAUAUUUCUAUCUUUUUCCAUAUUCAUUUUAGUGUUCCAUAAGGUUGAACCUACCUUGAUUCAAAGCAAUCCUAAGUUCCUAAUACGGAUGGACUAACCUUCGGCAAAAGUCAUCAACUUGAUGGUCCCGGGACCUCCAUCGCCCUCGAGGACUUCAACGCUCUUGACGGCUUGUGGGAGGACCUUGGGGAGGAGGUUAUCGGCAUCGAGGAUAGCGGCCUUGAACAUCCUGGCCUGGGGAAUGGGGGAUGGGAUAUCGAAGUGAAAAGUGAUGACACCCAUGACCGGAUCUUACUAGAGUUGCUGAAACUGAGAAGGGGGUGAUGAUCUGGAAAGACUUGAGUAGUAGUGACGAAGUUGGUCUCUGGGACUUGGGAGUGAAGAGAAGAGGCUGAAUUGAAGUUGACAUAUAUAGAGAGAGGGAGAUUGAGUGUGAAGGGUUCUGAUCACUGCAUAUUUUUUUCUUACUAAGAUGCAUUAUAUUUUGCGGAAAAUAAAUAAUUUAGAAAAUAUUUUCCUAAAAAUAAUCACUAAAUUUAGAUAGUGUUCUGAGCAUAAGUUAUUUGGUGAGUGUGCUGCAUGUUCUAAAAUGAUCUAAAUUGCUAAUUUAAUGGGCUCACUAGAAUUAAAAGUCUAGAUUCCCCUUAAUAUAAAUACGACACUACCUCAUUUUCAAGUCUUCAUCAAAAUUGUGUUGUAUAUAAAUAUGACCCUAGCUCAUCUCCGAGUCUUUAUCAAAUGUGUGUUGUAUGUCCUAAAUUGAUCUAAAUCUCUAAAUCUAACAGGUUCACGUGGGAUAAAUGUGGAACUCACUAAUUAAAAGUCUAGAUUCUCCUUGAUCUAAAUACAAUGCUAUGUCAUUUCGAAGUUUUCGUCAAAAUUGUGUUGUAUAUACUAAGUUAAUCUAAAUCGCUAAAUUUGAUGGGUUCAUGUGGGAUCCAUAGGAAACUCACUGAAUUAAAAGUUUAGGUCAACUUAAUACAAAUACAGUUUUCUUUCAUCAAAGUUAUGCCGUAUGUACUAAAUUAACCCAAAUUGCUAAAUCUGAUGGGUUCAUGUGGGACCUAUAUAAAACUCACUCGAAUUAAAAGUCAAGAUUCUCCUUGAUAUAAAUACGAUGCUAUGUCAUUUCAAAGUUUUCGUCAAAAUUGUGUUGUAUAUACUAAGUUAAUCUAAAUUGCUAAAUUUGAUGGGUUCAUGUGGGAUCCAUAGGAAACUCACUAAAUUAAAAGUUCAGGUCAACUUAAUAUAAAUACGGUUUUCUUUCAUCAAAAUUAUGCCGUAUGUACUAAAUUAACCCAAAUUGCUAAAUAUGAUGGGUUCAUGUGGGACCUAUAUGAAACUCACUCGAAUUAAAAGUCAAGAUUCUCCUUGAUAUAAAUACGAUACUAUGUCAUUUCUAAGUUUUCGUCAAAAUUGUGUUGUAUAUAAAUAUGACCCAAGCUCAUUUCCGAGUCUUUAUCAAACGUGUGUUGUAUGUCCUAAAUUGGUCUAAAUCACUAAAUCUAAUAGGUUCACGUGGGAUCCAUGUGGAACUCACUCAAAUUAAAAGUCUAGAUUCUCCUUGAUAUAAAUACGAUGCUAUGUCAUUUCUAAGUUUUUGUCAAAAUUGUUUUGUAUAUAAAUAUGACCCUAGCUCAUCUCCUAGUCUUUAUCGAACGUGUGUUGUAUGUCCUAAAUUGAUCUAAAUCGCUAAAUCUAACAGGUUCACGUGGGAUCCAUGUGGAACUCACUUGAAUUAAAAGUCUAGAUUCUCCUUGAUAUAAAUACAAUGCUAUGUCAUUUCUAAGUUUUCGUCAAAAUUGUAUUUUGUAUAUAAUAAGUUAAUCUAAAUCGCUAAAUUUGAUGGGUUCAUGUGGGAUCCAUAGGAAACUUACUAAAGUUAAAAGUUCAAAUCAGCUUAAUAUAAAUAUAGUGCUCUUUCAUCAAAUUACGUCGUAUGUACUAAAUAACCCAAAUCGCUAAAUCUGAUGGGUUCAUGUGGGACCUAUAUAAAACUCGCUGGAAUUAAAAGUCUAGAUUCUACUAAAUAAAAAUUAGGCCCUAACUCAUUUCCGAGUCUUUGUCAAAAGUGUGUUGUAUGUCCUAAAUUGAUCUAAAUUGCCAAAUCUGAUGAGUUCACAUAGGAUCCAUAUUGAAUUCACUAGAAUUAAAAGUCCAAAUUCCACUUAAUAUAAAUAUGACGCUAGCUCAUUUCUGUUUCUUCAUCAAAAUUGUGGUAUAUGUACUAAGUUAAUCUAUAUCGCUAUAUUUGAUAGGUUCAUGUGGAACCCAUAUGAACCUCACUAAAAUAAAACGUCCAAAAUCGAUUAAAUAUAUACACUACUUUAACUCAUUUCUAAGUCUCCAUCAGGCGCCUUUUUCUCAUCUCUUUGAAGCUUCCGAUCUCGUGCCAUUCCGUCACAUGUGAAUCGCGAAUGAUUUUCCACGCCAAAGUCUUUGUUAAAUCUCAAGACUUAAAAAUACGAAUGUGAAGUAACAACUGCGUGUCAAAUGCAGAAAAUUCAUAUGUGAAAAAGUUGACCGUCCCUUCUUGAGUCAACUGUUCUCUUCCUCGAUAUGCUUUUCUGAUCUGGCCUCACAGAUAGAUGGGCAAAGCGGCGCAUUCAUAUCUAUAAUCUCGCGGCAGUUUCAACUCUGUUAAAAGAAUGCCGAGAUCUUUACAAGAUGUUUGACAAGUGUCUUUGAUGACAGCAUGCAGCAUAUCUACCGCUUCAAAACAUAGUUACGGUUCAGUCUCGAUUGUUAUUUUUCUUGAAAGAGACACGAAUGAAGACAUAAAUUAUCGUGGGAGAUAGAAAGAUCCAGCCAACAUGUAACGACAACUCAAUCGUAAGCAUCAGUGUUUUUGCAAGAGAUGGGCUUCUAUGGCUUUCAACAUUCCCAUGGCCUUCUCUUUGCUGGCCUUGUUCUCGACCCGGUCCACGGCGAAGUACUUGCUCAUGCUCUUGGCCAUACACCCUCUCUGUCUGGACCCGCCUCAAACUUGAUCUCGUUCGGGAUCUUCUCUAGCGCGUUGCCCUGGACGAUGGCGUACGCAUGCGCGAGCUUUCCUUGUCCAGCUUCUCGACUGGUGCUCCACCGAGUUGAACUGUCUAGCUGCGAGACACAGACAACUGCAGUCAGCUCCCACGUUAGCCUCAACAAAGAAUGUCGGCAAAUGUCCUCUUUGACAUCACAUGUUAAUGCGACGCAAUCAAAAUAAAUUAAAAUAGAAGACAGCGCAAGCACUGGCCUUCGCCAAGGAUGGCGCCGGGACCCCCAUCACCUUCAGGGAUGACAAAAUCCUUAAAGGCUUGUGGGAGGAGCUUGGGGAUGAGAUCAUCGUCAGGAAGAACGGCCUUCUUGCAGGUGGGAUGGAAUCGUCUUCACCUAAGAGUUCCAAGUCCCACGGCAAGAGAUCUGUGAUAUUAUGUUGAAAAUGCCCUCUAAAUGAUUCUCAAUCGCCUCGUUUAGUAAUCUAACUCAACAUCACAUUGGUCUAAAUCAUAUAAUAAAGAAAGAGGACAAACGGCAUGGAUCUCAAGCCCAAAUGAUACUUGUUAGCAUGCGAGAGAUCUUUGAAUGCUGACAACCUUGAGGGAGUCACUAAAUUAUUAUUAAAAUAUUAUAAUAGAACCCAAUGGCUUAGACAAGCAAGCUUGAGUGCAUGUGGAUAAUUCUUGCUUGAUGAAAUGCAUGGUAGGUCGCGAAUCGAGACUCGUCCCCAUGCACAUCCACUCCCUCGGCUAGUUGGCCGGUCGGAGGAGGAAGCCGUGGGUCGAGCACAUCCUUCAAUAGCACAUUUUAGUCUUUCAAUAAUGUCGACGUUUGUGUCAUUUGUAGGGAAGAAAGAACAUUCAAUGGAUGCUUCCCAUCAUUCUCUAGUGUCACUACUUUUACUGCUGACUGUGUUUCUUGAAAGAAGAACUAGCCAGGGUUUUGCUCACAACGUCAAGUUGUCCACAAAUUCCAAAUUUCUGUGAUACUUUAAAACAAACCACUUUUCAUAAUCUAUACUUACUCUUCCUAAAAGUAUUGUUAGAUUUAUUGAAUGAAUCCAAAUUCGAUUUGUCCAUUAACCGCGGAGUUACUACUAAUUUUAUUUUUCAAGAAGAAGAAUGAAUCAAAGUCAUGAUCAUAAUGUCAAGUUGUACCCAAAUUCCAAAUUUGAACGACACUCUUAACACAAACUACUUUUCAAAACCGGUACUUGCAAGAAUCCUAAAAGUCCCGUUAGAAUUAUUUAAAUGCAAAUUAUCGAUCUGAGACCAUUUGUACCUGCGAAAUGUUCGAUUAGAUUCCAUCAUCUAACUUACCAGCAACCAUGUAGCCAUAAGAUCCAGCCUCAAAUAAGGCCGGAAACUCGCAUGAACCGGAAAGCAGCAGCCCAGUCCGGCGAGCCCGAAACAGGGCAUGGGCAAAAAAAAGCGCGGUCGGCCGAGAGUCCCUACCCAGCUCGCGGCGUCGGACGGCGGACGAGCUCGAUAGAUCGGGCUAUGCCCGUCCGCCUCGCUCGUCUCCUAGCCGGGAUCCUCGGGAAGCCGACCCCGAAUCGGGAAAAACCAAGACCGCCCGAAGGGGUACCUACCAUGGCCUCGAAGUGGACAAGGAGCGGCGGCGGAUCAUCAGUUUUGGUUCGGAAGUGGAGCCCAACAGCAGCUCUCUCAGUCGCGUCCUCGGAUCCGAAUCCCUCUCGCCUCGUACUUGACCCCCUCCGAUUUCUCCCUCCUCCCCCCGACCUCUGGCCUUCGAUUUAUAGGCUGAGAAGGCCGGUCGGCGGAGGCGCUUCGGCCGCCGGUCCUUCGCGCGCCGACCGGCCCCCCUUGGCUGAACCAGCAUCACAUCACCCGUCGCCUCCAGCGCCGCCUGCUCUGCUUUGCGCCUGCUCUGCUCUGCUCUGCUUCUACUUCUGAUUCCGUCCUCGCUGGCGUGAGGAAGAAGCGGGAAGGAGGAAGGAGGAAGGAGGGGCCGGGCCGGGGUGAGAAGCACAAGCAGAGUGGGCCCUGGGCCCACUCGGGGAACAAAGGAGAAAAGAGGGGGGCUAAGGCGAAGGCCCAGCCGCCGUGGGCCCUUUUUUUAUAAAUAAUAUUAAAUAGGGCUAAAUAAGAGAAAAUAAAAUGCAAAUGAUAUUUAUGCUUAUAUGAUGUGAAAAUCGUUUUUAUUAGUGUCAAAUUGAUUCCAAAUUUUUUAUAUAAUUUUAAUUAUAGAUAUUUAGUCAAAAUUUAAGUAUCAAUAAAUAUAAAUCUCAAACUGCAAGAGUAAAAAUAAAAAAAGAAAAGAAUUAAAGAAGAGACAAGUGCGGUUGCACCUUUAUCCCAUCAUGUGACUGAAAUUGUUUAAGAAAGUAAAAAAAAUUGGGAUAAGUGCAUUAGAAAUCUUAAAAAUUAUCAUGAAAAUGCAAUUGAGUCAUAAAACUUUCAAAAAGUGCAAUUAAGUCCUAAAAAUUGGUACGAAAGUUCAAUCAAAUCCUAAAACUUUCAAAAGAUUCAAUAAAAUCUAAAAACUUGUUUCGAAAGUACAACCGAAUCCUAAAACUUUCAAAAAUGCAAUCAAUUGAAGGACUUAGAUUGAACCACUUUAAUAAGUUUUAGGACCUGAUUGUAUUUUUUGAAAUUUUUAGGACUUAAUUGCAUUUUAUAACAAGUUUUAUGACUUAAUUACCUUUUUUAAAAGUUUUAGAACUUAAUUACAUUUUCAUGACAAAUUUUAGGACUUCAAAUGUACUUAUCCCUAAAAAAUUCAAUGAACAUCACAUGCUCUAGCUUUAAUUGAAUUAUUGGGGGAGGGGGGUUAUUUUUUCCCUAUAAAAAGAACUCGCCACACGACGAUAAUUGGGGGUUUUAAUUUUUUUGGAGGACCUCGAAGGGAUUUUAUUUUCUCUCCCAGUUUCUAGGUGAAGAAAUUCAAGAAAAAGAGAGAAAAAUUCCCCUUCGUUGAAGGGAAAGUCAACCAAAGGGUUUUUCCCUUGUGGUUUUUUCCUUUUGCUGAAAGUACAAGGGCAGUAGAAUUGAGAAAAUAUUGGGUACCUUAAAAAUGCCAUGUAAUUUGUGCUCUGAACCAUUUAAAGUGUGACAUAUGUUUGUGUGUCAAUCCAUGUCGUCCCACUUCUCGAUUUCAAACCAACGCACGGGAGGUUCUCUCUCUGCUCUCUCAAGCAUAAGCCCUGGCCCACCUCUUUGCAUGCUCUAACGCUCUCUUUCCUUUGCUCUCCUUUGCAGAUCAUCUCUCUCCUCUUUCUCCUCUCUGUCUCUCUCCUCAUUCUCUGUUCCGUUGCGAGGAGAACAAAAUUGUGGAGGGUUAAAGGAAAACAUAAAAGUUGAGCCCCUCCGCCUCCACUAGUUGCUUCCAUCGCCUCCCUCUCACGACAUUUGCUCUGCUCUGCUCUGCUCUCUCUCCCCUCCAUGAAGUCGUGCCUCUCUUCCAGCGAAAUGUGACGCCGAUGGUCCUCCACCUCCACCUCCACCGGUUGCCUCCAUCGCCCUUGACUCCGACGCCGAUGCCCCUCCGCCUCCCUCUCACAACCUCUACUCCACUCUCUCCCUCUUUCCUCUACGGAGCGCCCUUAUUGGCCAACCCUGAUGCCGACGAACCCCUGCUCACGUUUUGGCCUCCCUCUCAGCGAGUGAAGGUCGCUUGCUCUUUCUGUCUUUCCUCUGUGAAGCACCCCCCAUUCCUGAACGUGGACGCCGCUGACACCGAUGCCGUCGCCUUCCUAAGCCCCACCGAUAGCCACCCCACUGGCGAUUCCCGUACGUCCAAAGGUUCUUUUUUCUUUUCUUUUCUUUUUGGAUUCUACUUGGUAGAAUUCGGUAACAUGUUUAAGUUUAUAGAUACAUUUGCAUUAGGUACUGCUUUAUCUUACUUGUUGCUGACUUGCUGUGUUAUUCAGAUAGUGAAGAUUGGAAGAAAGUGAAACGGUGGUAUCUUUUGAGAUUGUUUGCAUAUAGUCCUCCUAAGGGAUUAGAGGCUUCUGAGCCUAAAUUGGUCACUCCAUGCUUUUAUUUUCUCCCAAAAUCACAUGUCUGUUGGAGAAGUUGAUCCUUGCGUGCUUCUGAAUAGUCAUUUGCGUUGCAAUUCCAAAGGUGUAACUCAGUUGUGAAGGAUAAGAUCAAAAUAUCUCUCUAAGAUCUACCUUCUUGGUCCACUGAUCUAUUAGAAAUAGGUAGUUUACUUAGGCAAAUUCAUUGCAGCUUGGGCUGUUUAAACCAACAAGUACCUCUUAUUUUGUUCAUGUGCCAACGAGAGAUAUGGUGGGACAUCCUCACAAGCAUGGAGCCAGAAGCUUAUCUCUCUGUUUGCUUUGCGAGAGAGCCAUUGAAAAUUGCAGGUUUCUUGUGUUUAGCUGAAUUUGACAUACAGAGACUAACCAAAUUUGUGAAGAUGACUAAUUUCACGUUGUUGUUUUUUUAAGCAUAAACAAAGGUUUGAUUUGAUGUUUAUGGUUUUAUCCUAAUUCCACUUAUUUAGAAUCUCUUGGAUAUUGGACAGGGUUAGACUUUCUUGCUUUAUCUCGUCAUAGUAGAUGCCAUGCACUGGAUUAUAUUAUUUAGCAUGCGCCGUUUCUCUGUAAUUAGAGCUGCCUUUUGUUCAUGCUAAACUUUUGAACAACUGCUUUGCCUUACCUAUAUGAACUACAGAUCCUGAUAGACCUAAGAAUGACAAGGGAACCAUUCUUACGGACACAAUCCAGGUGCUGAAGGAUUUAAACACGGAAGUUAACAAAUUGAAAGCUGAAUGUGCAGCUCUUACUGAAGAAUCUCGUGAGGUGAUCACUUAGUUGGCAUUUGCUUAGCUCUUCUCACCGCAUCGGCUUGCUCGCGAAGGAAAAUGUUAUGAAAGGAAAAUGCAAAUCAUGCUCUUGGGCUGUCUCUAUUCUUUUAAGCUUUUAAAGCAUUUGUCUUCGUAGUUUGUCCUCUUCAAACAAGUUCUUAACAUCUACAUCUACAUAAACAGAGUAUCCUAGAAGCAUCCAUUUCAUGAUCAGCAUUCCAUGCUAAAUGCAAAUCAAGUGGUGCAAUUCUCAGCAACCCAACAUCAGGGGAACCAACUAUAACAAGUAAAUUCUCUAGGCUAUGCCACAAAUGAGCACGCGACUUCACCUGUGUCCACAAUUAUUGGUAUCAACGGAGCCGCCGCGCAGACCGACCUCGCAGUCACUGCCAUUUCCGGCGGCCUGAAGACAUUCAGAAGAAACGGCUCAAAGAUUCGAACUUUAGCAUUCGAAACUCACAUACCCACUUCACAUGCAAAAGCGGGGAAUCGCAACCGGGCAUCAGGACGACGCCCUGAUCCUCUAUCAGCCGGUGCACGCGCGUCUGCCGCGUCGUCAUCCUGACCGUCGGGGAAGAAUGAGAAGUGAGAUGGGGCAUGUUUGUUGCCGAGCGCAGCUUGAGGACAAAUCAGUGAGAAAAGUGUCGGAAGAACAUUGAAGUUGUUGACAAAGGUGGAGUGUGAAGAGUUGUUGUCUCGUGGGACAGAAUACCCAUGAGAGAGAGAGAGAGAGAGAGAGAGAGAGAGAGAGAGAGAGAAGAGAAUCAAGACCCGUGAAGCACAGACAAAAAGUAAUAGAGCUUGUACACAAAUCAAUAAUGUAAAUGAAAAUCAUGAGGGAUGGAUGAUAGCAAGGGGAAAAAGCCUAUGAUGUAAUGCUUAAUGCUUGAUCAUAUAGCACAUGGUGAUGCUAACACGUUGUCAAUUUGUUUUUUGGAUUGCAUAUAUGGCAUUCGGAACGCUCAAAGGCAAAGAAUGCAAAAUCAUUUAAUUCAAGUGCAUCAGGUUCCGUAUAAAAAGGCACCUGACGUUGUAUCUAAAGUUUUUUUAGGAGGAAGACAUAAUUCCAACAAGAAAAUAAUUAUCGCAUUUGCAUGAAGCGUGUCUAAUCAUUCAGCCAAUUAUCAUACCAUCAUGAUUGAGGAUUCACAAGAUUCUUUGCUGUAUUUAGAACUUCGCCGCAUUUGUAAUCUCGUGCAAUUAAUAAAGGAGAGCAUUCUUCUUCCAACAACCAUGACAUAAUUGAUUGGAACAUAUGCCUGAAACUUGAACAAUGAGGGCACAUUCAUUACUUUUUUAAGGGUUUAGCUCCAGCAGCCAUGACAUAAUUGAUUGGAGCUCAGAUUUUGCAUCCAAACUAUCUUGCGACUUUUGACCUGCCAUGAGGCAUAAGCCAGGUUGUACUCCUGCAUGAGUCACUCGCAUCGUGUAGUAGUGAUGCCCUGGUGGUUAUUAGAUAAAAAGAGUCUCCAGAGAUGCUGUCGUCAAGAGGUAACGAAUCAGUGUACCGAUGGAGAUGCGAGCUAGCAUACGCUUUUGGGUGUUCCCAUCAUCAUUGACCGGAGCAAAAAAAGGCGAAUUCCUACAUUCGCUAUUCUAUUGGCCAUGAUUCAACGCGAUGAUGAAUGGCUCUUUAAACCAAGAAGCGUCACCCUAAAUAAUAUGAUCAAUUUAUCUUCGUUAAUGGCUGCUCAGCAUACAUCUCUAAAUCCUUCACAGAAAAAGCAGGUGCAUUGCUCAUCUCUGAGAGAGACUGAAAAAUGUUUACACUUGAUUCAUUUGCGAUGCCAAAAAAAUUGGGAAAAGAGAAGGCCUUACAAGUAAAAAAGCAUUGCCCAUUCUGUAAUAGAACAAACCCUUCAUGAAUGCUGUCACCAGCGACCUCCUCGAUCAGCACGGCAUCCGAUAUCUCUCUCACAUCAUCCUCCGCAAGAUGGGGUUCACUUCACGUGAGACGAAAUCGGCUUCUCCUUUCUUCACCGCCUUGUCAGCAGCUUCCAUUAUUAUGUGUCCCAAGCUCGCUCCGAGAGAGAAAGAGAGAGAGAGAGAGAGAGAGGGAAAGGGUCAGGAAAGGGGGAGGAAGUUAUGAAGGUAUGGAGGAAGGCAGGAGGGGAGGGGAGAUGGGCAAAGAUGGUGGAGAGUGUGGCCUGCCCAGAUACGCGCAGAAAGAAAGAGAGAGAUGGUCAGCUGCAACCAAAACGGCAAAAAAAGACCACGAUCUAUUAACCCCUUGCGGAACAUAAACAAAUCAGCGAGUAGGAAAACGGGGUCGCAAUCCCCGGAGAAAGAUCUCAUUCAAGACAGACCGACGGGCAAGAAAAAGGGGUCGCGGUCCUCGAAGGGAGAUCUCCACCAGGUCAAAUCGCACCUCGUGCUUCUGUUCGGGUCGCCAUCGCGUCCCUUGAUGGCCAAGGUCUGUUGCUGCUGGUUCUGCUUACUCUGAGCGAGCUUCUCGCUUGGGUCGUUGCUAAUGAGGAAGGAAGACGAAGGAAGGAAUCCCCGGAGGGAGAUCUCCGCCAGGCCGAAUUGCACCCGGUGCUUCCGCUUAGGGUCACCAUCGCGUUCCUUGAUGGCCGGGGCCCGUUGCUGCUGAAUCUGAGCAAGCUUCUUGCUUGGGUCGUCGCCGAUGAGGGAGGAAGACGAAGGAAAGAACGUGAGGGGAGAGAGAGAGCCCUUGAAAAUUGAAAAGAGGAAAGAGGUUUUUGUUGAGCGGGAGUGCGAAGGAAAGAACGUGAGGAGAGAGAGCGCCCUUGAAAAUUGAAAAAAGGAGAGGUUUUUCUUGAGCAGGAGUGCGCUUUUACUGUUCUGUCUUUUCUCCGUGCGUUCCCCAGAGGAGAGAGAGGGGAAGAAGGCUAUGGGUCCCAUGUGGACACGUGUUGCGCUCCCACCAUCUUCUUGUUUGCCUAGAGCGUAAGACGAACGCAAUAUUAUUCUCUCACCUCUCACGUCUCCAAAAAGGAGAGGAAGCAGAGGCAGCCAGCCCCGAGCGUCGACGCCGUUGUUUCUGCUCCGCCCCCCAGCCGCGACGCUUCCGCCUGCCGGUCUCCGCUGCACCGGUUGCCACAGUCGCUCCUCCAGCAACCCGCAGGCCACCCUCACGCCGUUCACCGCGCCGGCUACCACCGCUCGUCUCCCCGCGAAGCCACCGUUCCCUUGCCGAUCGCUGUUGUUGACCCGCGAUACCCCUGCUCGACUCCAUACGUCGCUCUGCCGGCCAACGCUGCUCCGCGCCCCCGAAGUCGCGACGCCGCCUCUGCCGGCCCCGCCUCUGUCCAGAUCUUCCGUGCCGGAACGCGACCCCGAGUCAUCGCGCGUCCGCGCGUCGCCACUGCUGCAAUCCGACACCAGAAGCCGCCUCUCCCGCGCCUGAGCGACCUGCAGCACCCAACGUCCCCCUCUCCUCUGCUGCUCGUGCCGCGUAACCAACAGGGUUACCCCUCGCCCGCGAGCUCGCACCGCCGCCCCGCCGUGCCGAUCCGCGACGAUCUGACGCCUCCGCGUUGCUGCUUCUGGCCACGUCUCCGCCAGCCACUGCCGUGCACCAUCGCCGACCUGCAGCUUCUACCCGAGCCCUCUGCCGCCAGCCUCCGCCUUCGAUCGACGCAGUUGCAGCCCAACGCCAGAAGCAGCAGCUCCCUGCUCCGUCGUACCUCAGUCACUGUUCUGCCUCGCCGUUCCCGUUCCACCCCAGCCGCGACGCAGCCUCUGCCGGACCGACGCCUGCUGCCCUGCCUCCUGCACCAGCGCCGACGCCCGAGCUCUAUCGCCGGGACUGCCGUCGCACCUCCCCGCCGCCGGUCUCCUCGCACACCGUGCCAGCGCUAGCCCGCCGAGCCGGUCCGCCUGCACGCCGGCUGCCGCCCUUCGCCGGAGCUCCGACCGCCGGCAGCUCCACCGCCCUUGGCCGCGCACCACCACAGCUGCCGAGCCUUGUUUGGAAAAAAAAGAAAAAAUCAAAUUAGGUAGGUUUAUUUUAUUUUAUUAGGUUGAUUUAUUUUAUCUUAUUUUAUUUUUUGAAAUAUUUCUCCAUGCAUAAUUAAAAUUCCCGGCAUACCACCUAAUUCGUAUAAAGUUUUAGAUGGGAUAAUUGAUUGAUAUCUUGAUGUUUAAGGUUUAAGAUCAAUUUAUUAAUUUUAUUAGCAAAAUAAUCAGGUUUAAUUAGAUAUCGUUUUUAAAUUCGAAUGAUGGAUAAUAUCUUUGAUGCCAUGGAUGAUUCGUUGUUUAUUUUUUUUAAUUGCUUUGUUUAUUGCAAAAAAAUACAAAAAAAAAAAUUUGUAUUUUGCAUAUCAUGUGGAUUAGAAUUGUUUUCUUAGAUAGAAUUGCAUGGUAGAAUAGUUAGAUUCUUUUCUAGUUAUAUUAAAAUGCUUGUAGUAUCUAGGUUAGAUAAUAUUUUUUGGAUUAAAUUACAUGACGAGAUAAUUUUCUAAGUUAAGAUAGGAUUCAAAUUGGUCUAUUCUUAACUUAAAAUAGAUAAUAUCUCACUUUAGUUAGAUUUUAUAUUUUAGUACUUUUAAUUACGAAUUUUUAUUUAAAAAAAUGCCAAAAAAAAAUCAUACGCAUAUCAUAUAGAAUUAGGUUCAUGAAAUGCACAUCAUUUAGUGUUUGUUGCUAGGUUCAUUUAAUUAGAAAUUAACCAUCAUUAGAAUUAAAUCAUUUGGUUAAUUUAGAUUGCACAUUUAAUUAUUGCAUUUUUUUAAUUUCGAAUUCAUGAGAAAAAUCCAAAAAAAUUGUCUUUGAAUAAAUUAAUUUCAUUUUCUAGGAUAGAUUGCAUGCUCAUUAAGCAAACACAAAAUAUUUCACGUCAUAUAGUUUAGGUCAUGUUUCCAUGUUAUAUCAUUUAAUGUUAGAUUAGUGGCAUGUAUUGCAUAAAUAAUUCUCAUUAAAUAAGUAAGAACAAAAAAAAAUUAAUUGCGUGUUAAUUAGAAAUCAUAUGUAGAACUGUCGAUGUGAAUUCUAAUCUAACCUUGCAAAUGCUUUUGAUGCCAUGAGAUAAGUCCUGAAAUUUAUUCAUUGCUUUAUCUGGGUAUUAAAUUAAUGGUUUGCACACUCGCAUGAUCAUUGAGAUAAAUUAAAAUCAAUUCAAGCUACUUGCCAAAUAUUUUUUCAAAAUAAAAGAAAAAUGUACCGAAAUUGCAUUAAAGAAAUCUAACGUAAUCAAGUCUCCGAACUCAUAAUCUCUAGUUUACAGAAGUAAAGUAAAUCUCCUAUUACUUUACUUGGAAUUCUAAUUGACUCAUCGAAAAUAGAUUAGUGACAACUCCUAAUUAAAAUUUGCAUAUUAAGAACUUGAACUUAAGUAGCGAAUUAGUAUGGGCUAGGGAGAGCCCGAGCUAUGUUUAGGCUUAGUAAUCUAUUAGCCAAAUCCUAGGUAGUGCAUCUGAAAUUUUGGUCGCGACAAAUGUCGUCAAUCAACUAUGAGAUGCCGAUGUCAAUGGAGAAGUUACUGAUAUUAAUGGUUGUCAAUGCCGAUAUUCCAGAAUUGAUACCGAUGAUUUUGUUUGGUGAAUUGAUACCGUUGACUGUUCGAUGCUCGAGUUAAUUAGAUUCUUUAUUGUAGCAUUGUUUUUGAGAAGUCUGUUCGUAUUUUUAUUUCAUGACUGUUCAUGUUUCUAAGUGUAAUCAAUGUUUUGUAAGUUCUUAGGAUUUUAUCACCUCAGAACAUUAGCUAUAUUUAUUAGUCAUUAGUUUAAGAGUUAUGUGUGAAGCAUAUAAAAGUGGAGGCCUGUAAUUGUUUUCAAUAAGGUGAAGAAAAGGUGAAAUAAACAAGAAGGAUAUAUGUCUCCUUCUCUUCUCUGUGUUGUGUUAGUGGGUGUUUCAGCUUUAAAUUAUCCCAUCAAGAUGUAGUCUGUAUUUGUCUUUUACAAAAACUCGAAAUUUUCUAGUUUUGAUGCCAUAUGAAAUUAUGAAGGAGCACUAUUAGCUAUUAUAGAAGUUUAGAUAAUUAGAUGGAUGCAUUAUUCAAGACUUAAUUGAUAUAACGUCUCUUUCACGACCUAUGUUCCUUUUCAACAGCUAGAUUACUUGCACAGCUUGGGAUCAAUGGAAGGAGAGCUAUCUAUAGAAGUGGAGGAUGGUGGAAUGAACAACUUGAUCGAAAUCUGGAGAGGUCGACGGGAGAUAAUGAAGAAUGCAUUGGCGGCUUCCGCGGGGGGACAAGAUCCGGCAAAAGCUUACGAAUAUGCUCGAAAACUGGCGCGUGUCAUCGAAGGCGGCAAGGUUGACGAGUUCCUUUCCAAGAUCAAUGUAAAUGAUCCAUUGUUGCGGGACAUCGAUUGGUCUGCCGUUUUAAAUUCCCGAUCUGAAGGCAACGAAUCACUGCUCCACAUGGCAGCAGCAAUCGAGAACGACGACAUCCUAAGGCUUCUGGUUGAUUAUGUUGGUGACCACCUCAUAACCGCCCAAGAUGAUCGGGGAAAUACCCCACUCCACUGGGUCGCUCGGUAUGGGGGAUCUACUGGAGCUGCAGAGAUGUUGAUUCACCGGGCAAGAGGCCUCCCCAACGUCGAGGACAAGAACCUCCUAUUGAGGAUGAAGAACAAAUGGGGAAACACCGCUUUGCACAUAGCCGUGCACGAAGGUCACGCCAACUUGGUGCGCUAUUUGUUGAGCGAAGAUUUGGAGCCCGUGUACUGGAAGAACGCGAAUGAGAAAUCUCCCCUGUACCUAGCCCUCGAGACUUACGACUCCGCUGUACAUGAGGCUUUAUUUUCACACUCGUUGGAACCAUCAAGGAUAGAAGGCUUGCCGCCCAUUCAUGGUGCCAUUAUACGUUCACGACACGGUACGUACCUAAAUCUAUUUACGUGGAAAUAUAUUUAUCUAUUUCUGGACUGACUCAUCCCAAAUCUGUGCAAUAACUUUUUGCUCUUACAAAAACCCCUUACCGGUUUUUACUUAAAAUUCCCUACCCUGCUUGUUAAAGUGGUUGGAUACCCAUCGGUUUAGCCGCAUUAUAAACGAAUUAUUCACAUUAGAGCAUAAUAGAUCGGCUUAAAUAUUACAAAUACAACCAUUUCACUAGAAACUCAUGUGUUGUCGAUCUUUGAUUAGAAAAGCUAUAAAGUGCAAAUAUUUAAGAUUGAUGACCAUGAAAAUCUGGAAUCUAACAAUGACGCUGUGUGCCAUGAACCAAAAUGAACAAAUGAAAGUUUAGGGCAUGAAUUAUAAACUGGUAGCAAACCUGUAGGCUGCGCAGGCGUGAUUUUUUCAUUGGAAAAAAAGGAGGUGAAGAUUCCAUCACUCUCAGCAAAUUGAUGGAACAUCGUAAACCAUUAAUUUGUUUGUGACAAACAAUCAAUAGGUUUUUAAGAAAUUAAGAAAAGUGGAUCUAAAUAAAGAAAUAUAUUUUUUAUUUUUUAUUUUUAAAUUAAUACAGUUAUCAUAAUCUUUGCAGAAAAAGCUGAUACGGUAGUGUAGCCUAUAUUACCUUGACCAUUAAAAAUAUUGAGAUAAAAUUCAUCAGACACAUGAUAAUCAAUUAUGUGAAAUUUUUUGGCUGCUAAUGCCACGUAUCCCAAGUUUACUACUUGAAGUGCAGCUAACGUUCAUUGAUCAUCAGAUUGGUAGAUGGCAUUUAGGUGUUACAGUCAUAUCGAAUAGAGAGAAUUGUCCAAAAAGUUAUAAAUGUGUCAAUUGUGUCAAUUUAACCUCUAUUUUAGUCCUAAACUUUUUAAGGAUUUACCAACUUAGUCCCUUCUAAACAAUUUCUAUUGGAAAUCGCUAACAUGGCGGUCUAGUCAAAGCUAGCCAUCCUACGUGAUGUUGAUCGCUUAUGUGGCUUUUUUACAAAAUAUUUUUUAAUUUUUUGCAUUUUUUCCUUUUCUUUUUUUUUAAUCCUUUUUUCCCUCUACCAGCCUCAGGCGAGGGCUACCCUCUAACCCUUGCAUAGAGCAACCCUUGCCCUUGCUCGACCUCCAUUAGGUGUCAACUAUGGAUGGUUAGAGAAGAGAAAAAGGAAAAAAAAAAAGAAAUUAGAAAAAGAAAAGGAUAAAGGUGGGCCCGGCGGAUCCUAGGUCACCAAAAAAAUAAAAGACAAAGGAAAUGAAAGGAAAAAGGAAAAAAAUUGCAAAAAUUAUCCGCAUUAGCAUUGGCUAUGCCAUGUAGGAUAUUCAGUACUACUAGACCACUAUGCCUAUGAUUUUCAACAAAAUUGGCUAGAAUGACUAAAAUGACAUAUCGUUAAAAUGUUUAUGAUUGAAUUGGCAAGUUAUUAAAAUUGUUAUGACUAAAUUGACACAACUGAAAGAUUUAAGACUAAAUUAAUCAUUAUACAAUAUAUUCAAAACUUUUUGGACAAUUUUCCCUAUCAAGUAUAAUUACAACCCUAGAUGCAGUAACUUUAUUUUUAUCCUGUCCCAAUUUAUUAAUCCGAGCACAUGUUAUUAUUUACAUUGCACGACGUAACAUGUUUGAGGCUCUCUUUUUGAACUGAACAUGCAAAACAAUUUCAAAUAGACAUAAAGUGAAAAUGCGUAACAAUGUAUUGUGUGAUGCAAAUAUUAAAUUAGCAUACCCAAUAAACGUAUGUGUCUAAACUUACGUUGCACUCAUUGAAUAGAUUAUAGAAGUCGACCUGCACACAUAACGUUCAUAAUCCAUUUAUAAAUGGCUUAACUUAUUUGUGAUAACACAAUUAAACCUAAUGCUACCAUAUUUAACCACGUUCCAUGUAGUGAACAUGCAUGUAGAAGGGCUGUUUCAUAGUUUGUCAGCUCAUAAUUCUAAUAAGCACUUUAGAAACUUUACAAAAGAUCCCAUUGAAAUUGGAUUUACUAUAUAUUUCUUAUUCUUACUGUCCAAUAUAUAAAAAUCCUUUUAUGAAGUACUACUGAUUGAAAUCUCGUAAUAAUAGUUCAGUUUGUUCUUCAUUGAAUGUAAAAGUAGAUGACAUUGUGGAAUGAAUCGAGCGUUGACAUGGGCUUUUGUAGAUAGGUACUUUAAUUAGGUUAUCAUGAUAGGCACUUUUUUUAAGGUUCAUAUCAAUUAAAUAAGGUAAGGUUAUUUCUUUAAAUCUAGUAAUAUUCUUUCACUUGGGAAAAUUAUCCAAAAAGUCCUAAGUCUAUUGCACUUUUGCCAAUUCAAUCACAAAUCAUUCAAUUUUGUCAAUUCAAUACUAAACAUUUUCACUUUUUGCCGAUUGAGUGUAUCCGGCUAAUUUUGACUAGAAUUUAUUGACAGGGAUAAUUUUUAAUAAUAAUUUAAUUCCUUUUGAAAUUUUUUGUACUUUUUUUCUUUUAUCUUUCUUUCUUCCCCCCUUUCUUCUUCCUUUCAUCGGUGGCUAGCUACCAACCACCGGUGAUGGCUAGCUACCGGCCAUGGCUGGGUGAGUUGACCUUGCUCGCCGUAAGUGAUGCCUAGCCAGGCAAGGCCAGGCCCUAGCAAGGGUUGGCCUCACCUAGGUUAGGCAAGACAGCCUCCUAGGUUAGGCAAGACCAACCCUUGCCCAAACUAGGCGAGAUCGCCUAGGCGAGGGUGAGCCCCCUUGUUCGGCCACAUCUUACCCGAGGCAUGUGAGGCUAGCUGGCUCGGCCAUAGUCGGUGGCUGGCACAAAAGGAAGAAGAAAGGAAAAAAGAAAAUGAAAAAAUAUUUUUAAAAAUUGUUUACAUUAGUGCCGACCAUCUUACAAGAAACCGCUAGUGUCCACGUCAGCGAAUUCCUAUCAAAAUUGGUUGGAUUGACUCAAUUAAUAAGAAGUAAACAUGUUUACGACUGAAUUGGCAUAAGUGCAAUAGAUUUAGAAUUUUUUGGACAAUUUUCACUCUUUCACUAAUGUAUCUAGAAUGUAACCGGUUACCCAUAUUGAAAUUUGUGGCCUGAAUUGCUUCGUCAAUUUCAAGAAUGACGGCAUCUGUCAUGCGAAUAGAAUAAAGGUGAAAUUCUUAAUUCAUGUUAUAUAUUAAUGUAAAAUAUAGGGGGCUCGACGACAAUUAGAAAAUUCCUAAUUAUCGUUGUUAGAUGACUCAUGAAAUUUGUAUAUGUACUUAACAAUAUUAUUAGAGUAUAUUUUAUAGGAAGUAUUAUAGAAAUGUAAGAACUUUCAAUAAUUGCUCAUUUGCAGUUUUUGAAACUCAUUAGAACUAAUUUCAAUAAAACUAAUGCCUCUUUUGUUGAACAAAAGUCAUGGUAUAAGAGGCAAACAUAAAUCCUAAUUUGAAGCAAAAUAAAAGGAAAGUGGAAGAAAAACACUCUUUGUGAGGAAAAUAAUCAAUCCCUUACAAAUUAGAGCCCUAUAAAUCACUUUUAGAGACAAUUCUUAAAGAAAAAAUCAUUAUUUAUUUAUGUAGAUGUUACAACGGUCUAGAUUAAUUUGCAAAGUUCACUGAACUUUUAUUAGUAUUAUGGAUGUAAUUUUUCUGGUGGUAAAAUGAGACUCCUUUUGUUUUGUGUUGUGUCAUCACAGCUUAAAUAUGUGGUCGUUAUAGCUAGGAUAUAUAUGACUCCAUGCAAUGCACAUAUAAGAUAGAACAUAUAAUGUGAUUUUUUGAGUAAAAAUAUUUUCCCAGAAUCACUAAAAUUUCACAAAAUAUAUUUGGUCCAUUCACAAGAUAUAAUGGGAUUGAGUAGCACAAUCCCCAAGGAUGAGGUUAUCUCUAAAGCACUCUCGCCUGUCUUUGAAGUCCAAUGGCCACCCACAAUCCUCAAACACCGUUGGAAUAUUCUCAAACAAUUGAAACACCUCUCUCGCAUUAUUGAACCUCUUUACUAGCACCUCUGAAUUUUCAUAGUUGGGGCCAAAAUAAAUUUUCUUUUGGUGGAGCCUUUCCUUUCUGUAAUUUGUGAUUUAUAAGCUCUACUAUCUUAGAAAUAGAUUCUGGUCACAAAUUACUUAGAUUUUACUCACAAGUUUUGGUAAAUACAUAAUCUCUUAAUUGAGCUGAAUAAGUGCCAUAUACCUUUACGAAGAAGAUGACGUUCAAUCUAGAGAGGGUGGAACAACUUUAAGGGGGAUUUCGAUACGGUGCUGUGGAGGCUAUUGCAAUGUUCUCGACAAUUAAAUAAGUUUGCUUGAUACUUGCUAGAAUUCGACGGACAUAAUAUGAAAAGAUCAUUUUCCUUUUCUUGAUCUUGCCUUAGCCUGCAUUACGCCUGCCGACUGUAUAAAUAAUUCAUGGCGUGGAAAUGCCAUAUAAAUUGCUAUGUCAUUUAGUAAGAUUUUUACAGUGAAAUCUUAAGCACCUGUCGAUGUCAUUAACUAGUUUUGGUAUUGCAAUCUAAUCUGUUAUUGUCGACUAUCAAUACUAGUAGUGAUUAAGGCACGUCAAAGAUGUCCUUACUCCAAAAUGGUUUUAAAUAUAUUGAGACCAACCAAGCUCCAACCAUCCUAAUUUGGAGCUCCUGAUCCCAGAUUUAUUCGACCUGAUGCUCAAGAAAAACAUGGAGCUAUUUGCAAUGACCGACUCCAACGGGGGCAAUGUAUUCCACUUAGCAGCUCACCUGAAUCACGCCUGGGUAUUCGAAUUCUUACGACCAGAAACUGAAUAUUUGACCCGAGAACCGGACAUGAAUGGAGAUCUCCCCAUUCAUAUUGCAAGCAAGAUGGGUUAUGUUGAACAUAUUGAGAAGCUAAGGGAAGUAUCACUUUUGCCAAAUGGGCAAGGGAAAAACAUUCUUCAUAUUGCCGCAAAAUAUGGUAGAGUCUCCGUAGUGAGAUAUAUACUCAGCCAUCCAAUUCUAGGGAAGAAUCCAAUUCUAGGGAAGAUGUUAAAUGCAGCAGAUGAUGAUGGAAAUACAGCUUUGCACUUGGCUGCGAUGCAUUCACAGCCCGCUGCUUUGAUUGAUCUUUUGCGGACUGACGGAAUUCUACCAAGCAUUUUCAACAAUGAAUGCUUGCUUGCUGUUGACAUUGCUCGACGACGACACCAGGCAGAGGGGUAUAACAUUCGGCAUGUAGGUAACAUGAACAGUCACUAUUUUAUUUAUUAACUUACUGGAGAUUACGUAGACUAAUGCAUUAGUUAAGGCUGAUCUUGUAUUCAAAUCAUUAUGUCUCCUAGCCAACUAGAUAGUAGAAGUAUUGAUCAAAUUUCUAGAAUAGCCGAGACUCCUCUCGGAUAAAUGUUCUACAAGUCCCUAAUUUAGUCUUGAUAGGAGGUAAUUAAAAUUUGUGAUCAUGAAUUUCUCUGCAGUUAGAAACAAGUAACGUGUCUUUCAUAACACGGAGAUAACAAUUUAUAUAUAUCGUUUAAUUGAGCCUCUGAAUACAGUCAUGAAUAAAAAGGCAGGGUUUGCCAAGGUUGCAUUCUGUUUUUCAUAAAAGGCCAGGGGUCAAUGUGACAAAUUUGACCGCUCCAUAUGUAGCACAAUCUCAUAACAUUAUCAUUUUGUCGACCUAUGAAAUGAUCGCCCACAUAAAUUCCAUUCAUGCCUCUUUUUUCAUCUAAAAUGAACUUGGUAGUUUUGUGCUAAUUCUUCAAAAAGAGCAGAAACUGCAUCUUUAGAAGCAAACGUUUCCAGAGUUCAUUCCCGUUAUCAAUAUGGAAUAAUUUUGUUCUUAUUUUCCUUUUUACAUGCUUCCGAUCUCAGCAAUUGGCAUACCUGGCGUUGGCUUGCUCGCUCGCGGGAAAAGGUCCACUUGGAAACCAAGAGUUACUCCUACUUAGAGCGAAAGCUCGAGAUGAAGAGUUAUCAGUAGUCCGCUCGCGCAAAAGCAUGCCGAGCAGGGACAUCGUCAAGGAUUACAUCAAUUCCCGCAUGGUGGUGGCAACGCUUGUGGCCACAGUGAGUUUUGCAGCUGGUUUUGCAGUUCCUGGAGGAUUUAACGGCUCGGACACAGCCUCCAAAGAUGAGCGGGGCAUGGCUACGAUGCUGGACAAUCGAAUGUUCCAGGCUUUCGCGAUUUGCAACACCAUCGCGAUGUUCUGCUCAAUGACUGUGGUCGUCAACCUCAUCUGGGCGCAGACAGUUGAUGUCGACGUUUUAGUCGCUGCAUUCGAGCGCACAACGCUACCACUACAAAUUGCACUCCCGGCGAUGUCCACCGCUUUCUUAACUGGUGUCACCUUGACCGCUGGCAAACUCCCAUGGCUUGCUAACACCAUAUUUUAUUUGGGACUCGUUUUCCUCCUCAUUAUCUCAUUUGCUAAAUUGUUAGGGGGGCCUAUCUUCUUAGAAAUCUUCGGUCAUCCUCUCCGUCGACUAACAUUCUGGCUUAUUCUCGCUUACAUUUAUUUGGGGAGAGUUGAGACGUACAUUUAUGAUGACGAUGACGCCAAAGAUAACAGAAGGGAGAAGAAGACCUUCGCUAGUCCGCCUGUGGAUGUUGCCGGUGAAUCGAGGACCGAUGACUCGGCGAAAGCAAAAUGUGAGGAUGCGUUACAUCCUCCAAGUCGCUGAUUUGAAUUGAUCAUUCCAUAUUAUCUGUAAUAUGUAGUAAUAAUAUAUGUUUUCCUUGGUGAGUGGGACUCACUAUACGGUUGCUUUCCUUUAUGUCAGAUCAAACGUGAUUGUUAAUGAAUGUAAGCUAAACCAUGUGUUUCUCUAAUAACUUAACUUAUUAGAAUUGUUGGAUAUAAUUCCAUCAAAUUUCAUAUGUUAUUAAAGCAGAGGUUCUAAGUUCAAACAUUUUCAGGUCCUAUUUGCUUCAUCUAUUAUAUGUUUUCAUGUUUCAUUCUUAGAUCAAGUCAAGCUUACGAGUGAAGAUGAGUAUAAAAGUAUUUGUAUUAAAGUAUUUGAAUUAAACAUCCCAUUUGUCUAAUAAUUUAAAUUUUUAGAACGAGUAAUUGUAGUUCCCCGAAAUUUCAAACCGAUACACACUUCAUGUAAAUUAAAUGGAUGAAUGGCUCAUUUCAUCCGUUUCAUCGCCCUGGAAUCAAAUUGUUAACUUUGAACAUGUGGAAGCUCGUGGGUUUAUGAAAUCACUCGUCUAGAGUAGCCAUGUCCGAUUUACUUUGAACUAGUCCAAUUUGCGGCAAUCUCGAGUCACGAAAUCCUAAGCACUCACUUACCUGUCUAGUAAGGGUGUGCAAAAUAUCCGAAAACCGCUCGGACUGCUCGGAACCAAACCGAAAUCGCCAAGUACCGGUGGUUCUUGAGGGAACCGGUCCAGUUCCUGGUUCCAAUUUAUGGGAACCGGUGGGUACCAGUCCAGUUCUUGGUUCCAUUGGCGGAUCCGCCCGCCCACCCACCCGGACCAGAUCGGAACCUUUUUAAUAUUUAAAAAAAAAAUUACUAAAAGAAACCCUAGAUCUCAUCUCACUCCCUUCAUCUUCGGCUCCUAAUCCUAUUGUCAUUUCGCUGCGUUUACUUCUCUCGCUGUUCGCAUCUCCACGUACUUAAAUUUGAUUUUUCUUUCUUUGGCUUGCUUUGAUGUCACGUAGUCCUUCUAUGUUGAAAAUCAAAAUUGUUUCGCGUCAAGAUCAGUUCCAUGGAUCCACUCGGGAAUCGGACCGCUCCGGUCAGGUUCCUGGAUGGAUCCAUGCAACAAACGAGUGGAUCCUGGUAUCAAUUUUUGGGAACCGGUUCUUAGCGAGUGGUUCCCAGUUCUAGAUCAGGAACCGCCCACCCAAACCAUGCACACCCCUACUGUCUGGUGUGCAAAGAAAAUAAUUCUCAAAUUCUCAUCGCCUACUCUCUGAGUCGAGAGUUGGGUGAAGAAAACCGGAACAAAAUAAUUCUCUUCACUACUCACAAAAAAAUAGAAUCAAACACCGAACUCAUUUCCAAUGACACCCCUUUCAUUUCCCCACUUCUCCCUCCUAGGCGCACAAUUUCUGUGCAUGCAAAUGAGUUUUGGUGUUUGAUUCGUGGCGGGGUAUAAUCUAGUGAGCAGCGGGCAGAAGUCAAGUCAAGGGACGAGAUAAAAAGGAGUUGCAAUACGCAACCCAAGGAGAAUUGUGGAAAAGUCUGGAUAUGUGAUUUUCCUCCUCCGAUCUCUGAUUUUUAUUUCAAAGCUAGUUGGUAUUGACACGUAGAAUAUAACUCUAAAGUGAUUCUGGACCUAUCUAUUCAACAGUGAAUGUAGAUAAUUACAAAAAAUAAAAAGGAUCCCCUUGUACGAAUGUCUAUUGAGUUAUAAACUAUUAAAAUUAGCCGAUUUAAUUUUAAACAUCUUGACGAUUUGUUAAUAUAGUCAUUUCAAUCAACUUUGACCGAAAAUCGUUGACGUAGACGCUAGCCAUCCUAUGGCACAUGACUAGUAUUGAGGUGGACAAUUUUUGUAAUUUAAAAAAAAAAAUUCUCAAUUUUUUUUUUUUUUUUCAUGUUUUCAUUUUCUUCAUUUUCUUUUCUUAUAUUUUCCUUUUUUCUUUUUCUUAUUCCCCUAUGCAGCCAUUGGCCGGUCCAUGGCUUCAAUGAUUGAUAGUAAGGGCCCAGAUGCCCUCGCCAACUGGCAAGGGCUGAUGGAUUUGCUAGGGCCACGUACUAAUGGAGGGAUAAAGGAAGGAAAAAAAAAGUUUUGAAAAAAUUGUAAAAAUUAUUCACAUUAGCAUCGGCACCUAGAUCUGGGCGAGGCCAAUCUCGUCAUGGCUUGGCCUAGAUCUGGGUGAAGCCGCCUCGCACACAGUCCUUAGGCCUCGCUCAUGGCCGACGAGACUUGUCAAAGAAGCAAAAGAAUAAAGAAGAGAAAAAAAUAAAAGGAAAAAUAAAAAUAUAUAUAUAUCAAAAAAAUUAUUAAAAAUUGCCACGUUAGCGUUGACCAAAUGGCCAGUGUCCACAUCAGCGCUAGCCAAUCAAAAUUGAUCGAAUAGAUUGAAUUGACAUAAUCACGAAAAGUUUAGAACUAAAUUGGCACAAUUAUAAUGGAUUUAUAACUUUUUUUUGGUAAUUCUACCAAUUUAUUUGUUAUCUCCAUCUUUAGAUUGCGACAUGUGUCCAUCCAAUUUUAGUCCUCACUGCACCUCAUCUAAAUACCAUCAAACCUUAGCAGCGAGGAUGGUACUUGGAGAUCUAUGCAAAUAUUUAUAUAUAAAAAUUACAUUGAGAUAGUAGAGUGUGCUCACCAUCAUCAUAUCAUCAUCCAUCAAGUCGAUUCCACAUAAUGAUCUAUUUGUCACUUUCAACAUCCUGGGACCGACCCAAAAAAACAUCCUAGGGAUUAAAUGUUUCAAUUAAUUACGGUAGGAUAGAAGUAUUUUUCAUCAAGAACGGACAUUCAAGAAGUCUUGCUAGAUUGAUAGAUUGAUGUUGCAAAUGGUUCUCUUCUCAAGUAGCAUGAAAAAUUAUGCUACUCAAAUGUAGAGCCUCCUUUUUUCUAUUUUUUCAGCAGAUCUUCCAAAUCAAAUUACAGGGUUACAACUUUGAAAACUCACAGUACAAGUACAAAAAAUACCAAAUCAAUCAUCUAUUGACUUCUCGAUGCUCAUUAAAUCUGAUUCACAAAAUAGGUUGGGACCCAUUUUGCUAGCCCUACUAAAAUCUAAACAUUUUAUUAAAUUAAGGAUUUAUACAGCAUCCUAGUUCACAAAGAUGUGUUGCUGUUGACAAAUCGACAUUGAUUGAUUUUCAUGAACUCGUCGUCAUAUUGUCGACAUUCCCAUUAUAUACGAGCAAAGAGCGAACUUUGAUUUUUGAGCAUCAAGAGAUAAGACAGACUUAAAUAGAAUGCCAAAUAGCCCAAGUGUCACGUCCAAACCCCAAACACUUUUUUUUUUAACCCCAAACACAUUCAACUAUUGUUUUUUUUUUUUUUUUCCUUAUAACUUUCUUCAAAUAAUAUAAGAAUGUACUUUAUGGUUAAUGAUCAUAUAUAUCGCGGUUUAUGAAAGACUGUGCCACAUCGAUAGUUUUAGAUGUUAGUCCAAAUUCGAAAUACCAGGCUGAUGUUCGAGAUUUUAUUGGCCAUUCGGCAUUUCAUUUAUUACUCAUGAAGUCUAUCAUUGCAUGAAAUUUACUGAAAAUUAGAGAAUCUCACAAUACCAACAAAACAUCAAGUUUAUUCAACUUUUUUACCCUUGAUACACUCCACAUGUAGCCCAAUUUACAAAAUUCCACAAAAACCACUGCUUAGCAAAGACGAACAACAGCACCCAUCGGCCCAACAUGCUUUGCUCCAAGCAUAGAGUGACUCGAACUCGUCUUGUCUCCUUUUCAGUUUACCACAACCAGACAUAUUUAAUACAGUACCGUGAACAAGACAAGAUAGCGAUGAGAUCGGCUCAAUAGGCAUCAGGGUUUGCCAAGAGAUAAGCCUCGAUGGCCUUGAACAUCGCGGACGCCUUCUCUUUCCCAGCCUUGAUCUUCUCCUCAGUUAUGUCCGCCUCGCCAAUGGUGAAGUACUUGCUCGUGCUCUUGCACACCGAGCCUCCCUCGGCCGAUGUGGUGAUCUUCACCCCGUAGCUGAUCUUCUCGAAGGUGGUGCCCAGUGCGUCGCCCUCGAUGAUCGAGUAGCUGUAGGUGAAGUUCUCCUUGUCCAGGGCCUCGACCUUGUGCUUCAUUGUCUUGUACUGACUGCCUAUCAAGGUAACAAAAAGUAAUAUUCACGUUUGGAACUCGCUGGUUUCAACAUCACGGGCAAUGAUCUUGAUGGUGUCAAUUGGGCCAUUUAGGAUGUUCCAACUGCAAUCUGAUACGAUUGACUUAGACAUGGCCUGAUUUCCCUCGAUUGGAGUCAAGUCACGUGAUCACUUGUGUAAAGUUAUUCCCAUUGACCGCGAGAUAUCCAAGAGCAAAGUCGCUGCAUAUAUCUUGCAGCAUUUCUCCGAUGAAGCUGUUGUUCGAAAAGGUAACGAUCCCCAGAGAAGGGCUGUACUUGCCGAAAUCACGUGUUAUGCCUCCCGAGAAAUUGUUCUUGAACAAUGAGAUGGACCAUAAGUUAGCAAGGCGAGAGAUGGUCUCACAAGAAAAUAUUGUGUACACAAGCGAUGCUACGUCAUGGCUUUUCCUUCCCAGCCUAGAUCUGCUCUUCUUCAACCUGAAGUGCCUUCUUGCUGUUGUCCUUGCUCGUCAUCCUGCAGACUGACCCUCCGUCGCUGGUGGCCUCAAACUUGACCUCGUAAUCGAUCGACUGGAGCUUGUCACCCAGCGUGUCGCCCUCGAUCAUCAUGUUCCUACACAUGAAGUUCUACUUGUCGAGCUCAUCGAUCUGGUGCUCACAUGAAGUUCUACUCGUUGAGCUCAUCGAUCUGGUGCUUCACAUACUUGAAAUGACUAGCUGCAAUUACAUUAUGAAACUCCCUGCUCGAUGAGUGUUGAGUGUCCAUGCCUUCGGUGAAAUUUAACUUGCUCAAUGCUCCCGGCUCCACCGUCGCCUUGCACCAGCUCCACGCUCUUUAUGAACUGAGGCAGGAGCUUCGGGAUCAGGGUAUUUGACUCGACAAUCAAGGCCUUAAGAAUGCGAGCCAGAGCAAUCGGGCAUGUGAGCUCUUGUGUGAAGCUGGUUGCACCCAUGGCUAUUGGCAAUGAGAAAGAAAUAACCCCAGAGAAGAGUGCUUCUGAGUCCUGUCAAUGCCUCCUAAUUACGGUUGGAAUUAUGUCAAUAGGUAGGGUUGGUUUGGCAAGAGUCACGCUCGAGGAAAAAAGGAGAGUCAAGGAUUUGCAGCCUAAAGGAAUGGAAAAGAGGAAUAAAGGUGGUCUCUUUUGUUCUUUUGGUCAUGAAAAUGAUUUCGGUCCCUUUCGGAUUCAUGUUGAAAUGUCAAAGUUUAUGUUCCAAAAGAUGAACAUUCUAGUGCUCACAUGGGCGGCCAUCCCUUUGAAAUGAUUGUUGUGGAGUUCGAUCUAACAAUUUGCCGAUUAAAUAUUAUAACGAAAAUGUCCUUGUUUGAAGAAAAGUGUAUUAAUCAAAUUCUGUCUCAUUUAAUAUGUAGCAAACGAGAAUACUUUAUUAGUUGGUGAUAUCACGUUAACUUGUCGCGCAAUAUAAACAUCACAUAAUAUAUUUCUUCAUUUGUAAUGCCCUAAUGUCACGGUGGAUCUAAUUCAAAUGUAUGAAGUAAGGCCUUUUGAAAUCAUUUUCGUAACUUAGGGUUGAUUCAAACUUCACUAGCACCGACAGUUUGACUCAGUCAAAAUUGGGUCGGCAAUCGGGGUGUCCCAAGAUCAGCUCGUCGUCUAAGUUUUGGGGGAGGUGGAGGCUGCGGCUUUUCCGUUAUAUUUUGCUUCUCUUUCUCUUUUUUAUCAUUAUCAGUGUUGAAGCAUUUGAUCUCUAAUCCAAUGUCCCCAUCAAAGAUGUCCCCAUCAAAGAGGUAAGAUAGGAUUAGCUUAAAUAGAAUUUCAAAUAGCCCAAGCGUUACAAUAAGAUAAGUCCAAAACCUGAACACUUUAACUUUAUUUUUCGAUAGCGUUCUUGACAUAUAAUAAGAAUGUGCUUUUCUUUAAUGAUCAUAUGCAUAACAAUCUCUGAAAGAUUCUACCACAUCCAUAGUUUUAAGUGUUAAUCCAAAUUCAAAACAUAAGUUUGGAUUUAUUCAUUUGUUACUCAUGAAUUCUAUUCUUUUAUGAAAUUUAUUGAAAAUUAGAGAAUCUCAUGAUACCAACAAAAUAUCAAGCUUAUUCAACUUUUAUUCCCUUGAUACGCUAUUUAUGUAGCACAAUUUACAAAAUUCCACAAAAACCACUUCACCAGAUUCCUGCCACACCUUUCAUUCUCUUAUUCUCAGCAAAUACAAGAACAGCUACGCUCACCAGCCCCCACAAACUUUACUCCAAACACAAGAGUGACCCAAACUCUUCUUCUCUCCUUGUGAAUUUAGCACAACCAGACAUAUUUCACACAGUACAGUGAACAAUCCAAGAUAGCGAUGAGAUCUACUCAACAGGCAUCAGGGUUUGCCAAGAGAUGAGCCUCGAUGGCCUUGAACAUCUCGGACGCCUUCUCUUUCCCGGCCUUGAUCUUCUCCUCAGUGAUCUCCACCUCGCCGAUGGUGAAGUACUUGCUCGUGUUCUUGCACACCGAGCCUCCCUCGGGCGAUGCGGUGAUCUUCACCUCGUUGCUGAUCUUCUCGAAGCUGGUGCCCAGCAUGUCGCCCUCGAUGAUCGAGUAGCAGUAGGUGAAGUUCUCCUUAUCCAGGGCCUCGACUUUUUGCUUCAUUGUCUUGUACUGACUGCCUAUCAAAGUAAGAAAAAAUAAUAUUCACGUUUAGAACUCGCCAGUUUCAACAUCACGAGCAACGAUCUCGAUGGUGUCGAUCGGGCCUUUUAGGUUGUUCCAACUGCAAUCUGAUACGAUUGACUUAGUAGACAUGGCCUGAUUUCCCUCGAUUGGAGUCAAGUCACGUGAUCACUUGUGUAAAUCAAUGGUUAGAAACAUCUUUAAUUGAUCAAGUUACAUAUCUAUCCUUUUUAAUGUUCAUUAUGAUGUUCCAUAAGGUUGAAACAGCCUUGAUCCAGAGCGAUCCUAACACGGACGGACUAACCUUCGCCGAAAGUGAUCAACUUGACGGUCCCGGGACCUCCGUCGCCCUCGAGGACUUCGACGCUCUUGAUAGCUUGCGGGAGCACCUUCAGGAUGAGGUUAUCGGCGUCGAGGACAGCGGCCUUGAACAUCUUGGCCGGAGGGAUUGGGGUCGUGAUCUCGCAGUCGUAACUGACGACACCCAUGAUUUGGAUCCGAAUGGAGUUGCCGAAAUAGAGAAGAGAGUGAUCAGGAAAGGCUGACUAGCAGUGAUGAAGUUGGUCUCUAGGACUUGGGAGUGAGGAGAAGAGGAUGAACCGAAGCUGACAUAUAUAGAGAGAUCGAGUGUGAAGGGUUCUGGUCAUUGGAUAUUUCCUUCAAGUGUGUUUGUUUGGUACAAAAUAAAAAAUUCAAUAACUAUUUGUAUCAUAUGGUAUAUUUAUUUGAUGAUAAAUUUUUGCAUUAUUGACAGUAAUUUAUAUUUAAAUAUUUUCGUGGAAGAUGAAAAUAUUUUUAUUUAUUCUUUUUGUAAGUUAUACGGAAAAAAUAUUUUUUUACAAAACAAAUGAAGCUUAAUAAAAAAAAUCUUAAUCAGUCUGUGGGUUGUUCACUCAUGACAUGGACCUUGAUCAUAAAAUAAAAUGUCUAUAUGAUAAUGGAAUAUUAGUCAGAGAAGGCACCAUCCUAGAAUGAUACCAAACGUUCUUCCAUUUCCCUUUCAUGUAUAGACUUGACUUUUGAUCCAGGAGCAUUUGCUCAGCAAAUUCUCUUGGCUGAGCUUCACUGAUUUCUUACAUAGUGUUACUAUCAUAGAAAAUAUCAAGCCCUUAGCUGCAUAUGGUCACGAUCCACCCAGAUCUCAUCCUACUUUGCUUCAAUCCGUUCGCAAAAGUAGCAAUCUUUAAGGUUGGUAGAGGCCUCGGGAAGAAUUAUCAUCGAUUUCAUACGUACAAAUAAUAUUCGCUUAAGCCUGUGCAGUAGAAAAACUCGAAAAAUUGAGGCACAAUUUUUCCUGCUGGGUGAUCUCGGUGCUUCAUGUUUCUGUUGAGCUUCCAUCUAAGAAAAAGUACAGAGUGAUCUCAAUGUUGCACUAAUCCAAUUUAGCAGAAAAAGAUGGGAAAGGUAGUUUGGUAAUUACAAGGCUUUGUUACUUUUAGUCAACAAAGGCUGCUCUGAAAAUCAAGAUGGACGUCUAUAGAUUUUGAAUUUUUCUACUUGCUUUCAUGUGUCUAGUCCUUUUAAAUAAUAUUAUUGCGAACCAUUUUCUGCUAAUUGUCUGGUGGAAGUGUGGUGGAUCAAGCGAGAUUGGCUCACGCGUCACUUGCUCAUUAAACAUUUUUUAAUUUUCCUUUUCAUCUAACGGUAUAGCAACGUAGAUUUUUAGAAACGCUUUCUUCGUAUCUAAUUUUCUUCUUUUGUCUAGUUCAUCUUGUGGUAGUCACGGACCAUGUGAACGUAUAGUAGAAUGUCCAUGGGCGUUAGAUCAGAUUAAUUAAUGAAUUUCGUCGCAUUGAGACAAAAUUGAUUAAACUUGUCAAUCAUCUCACUGCGACGGAAGAGUCGGAAACUAUUAAUGGAUAACAACAGCAUAUGUUUUCAGAGGAAAGUAUUGGAGAGGGGCAUGGAUGCAUUGCUGAAGUUAUUUAAUGAGCAUGUCAUAUGUACUAAAUUAAUCUAAAUAGCUAAAUUUGAUGGAAUUCAUAUGAAACCUAAAUGAAACUCAUUGAAAUUAAAAGUCCAAAUUUUGCUUUAUAUAAAUACGACGCUAGUUCAUUCUCGAGUCUUUAUCAAAAUUGCGUUGUAUGUCAUUGAAUGUGAACCUCCCUUCCCUAUGAUCAACUCAGAUUUCUCGUACUUCAUCGACUUCCUUGUUUCGCUGUUGAAGCACCAGAAUCACAGCAAUUGAAGUCACCAGAAGGAGCUCACAUCAAUAAGGACCUUUUCCCUAUGGUCGGUCGAUUUACUGUUCAUCCCACAAGGAGAUAACCCCGUCACGUUUUCACACAAGCCCGGAUUUGCGAUAAAAGCGCUUUUCGGUGCUUGUUGGAAGAGGCGACCACUAGGAACUGCACCUGUCAGCUCAUUGUACGAUUAGUCUACGGAGCUUAAACAAGUUAUGUGUCCAUUUCUUUCAAUGUUCAGUAUAAUGUUCCAUAAGGUUAAAACCACCUUGAUCGAGAGCGAUCCUAAGUUCCUAAUAUGGAUGGACUAACCUUUGCCGAAAGUGAUCAACUUGAUGGUCCCGGGACCUCCAUCGCCCUCAAGGACUUCAACGCUCUUGAUGGCUUGUGGGAGCACCUUGGGGGUGAGGUUAUCGGCGUUGAGGACAGCGGCCUUGAACAUCUUGGCCGGAGGGAUCUGGACGUGAUGCAGAGUCGUAAGUGAUGACACCCAUGAUUGGAUCCGAACUGAGCUGCUGAAACUGAGAAGGGGGUGAUGAUCAGGAAAGACUGAGUAGCAGUGAUGAAGUUGGUCUCUAGGACUUGGGAAUGAAGAGAACAGGCUGAACCGAAACUGAUAUAUAAAGAGAGAGAGACUAAGUGUGAACGGCUUUGAUCAGUGAAUAUUUUGCGAAACAAACAAAGCUUAAGAAAUAAAAAAUUAUUCCGUGGAUUAUUCAGAUUAUGACAUGCCCCUUUUUCCUAAUAUAAAAAUGUCUAUAUGAUAAUAGAACAAACCGUUGGAUGAGAAUAUUGGGGAGAACUGGGCAACAAUUUACUAAUAACGAAACAUAAUUUAGCAUCAAUUUCUCCUCUAAAACUAAACCAAUCGAAAUCAACUCAACCCCAACGACCACCAGCAAUUUGUAAUACCAAAAUGACAAUAAGACAGAGCCAACAACGACACUAAGGUUUUAACAUGGAAACCAAUACGGAAAAAAUCACAUACCCUCCUCACUAACAGUAAUAGGAUACACAAAACAUUAUUUUCUAAUCACACAUUAGAGACUCGACAUCAAUAAUAUAAUCAUAUUUUCUCAUUCCAAAGAUAGAUUAACAUAAACGGAGCAAGAAAACCCUAAUUGGUUGGAGAAUCUGGAGGGGGUUAUUAUCGAAUGAAAUCAAUCAAUUCGUAGUCCUUGGUUUUACGAAACAACAUUCAAAUUUGAGCAAAUUCCGUCGGCAUCUUGCGUUCGAAUCGGGACCGAAAAGAUUGUGCCCUUUCUUUAGGAACGCAGAGAAAGAAGAGCCCAGGACACAGACAACAAUUACCCACUCACUAAGUCCCGAAAAGCAUAGACGAGCGAAAUGCUUCACGAAUUAACCUAAGAGCAACAGAAACACGCCGAGAUAGAAAAGAAGCCGACGCCCCAAAUUGCAAACUUCUUCGACCCCCCCCCCCCCCCCCCCCAAAAAAAAAAUUUCCAAAAUGAAACCUGAAAAGUGGUGAUUAAGCCCGGAGGCGGGAGGGGGGGGGAAGGGAGCCCCUUGAUGUCCAAAUGGGCGUCCCCGGUGGCGAGGAGCCCCGAGGGGGGGGGGGGGGUGGAAACCUAGGGUUAGGACGGGUUUGGCCUCAUGCCAAUUGAUCUGGACCGUGCCUCCCUUCAUAUCUUCGCCGGCCGCUCCGCCGCUUCCUUCCUUCCUUCCUUCCCUCUCUCUUUGAAAUCGAAGCCUUCUUCCUUCAUUUCUCAUGGAACGAAAUCGAUCAAUUCGUGGAAUUCGUGAUAUUCGUGCGCUCUCCCCAUUCUGCGGAGAGAUUCCCGACAAAUCGACCAGUGCUGAGGUUCAUAAAGACCAGAUCCGGGUAAACUCCGAACGCACUCGUGAGAUCUGCAGUGAACAGAUCACCUUCUAGACGGACUCUCGUUAGCCCCGGACAAUCCCUCAAGCAAUCGGGCAGCAGCCCGGUGAAGUUGUUCCCAUAAACCGCGAGAUACCGAAGAGCGAAGCCGCCGCACAAAUCCGGCGGCAGUUCUCCGGUGAAGCUGUUGUUGGAAAAGCUAACAUAGCCCAGACGAUAUGGAUUCGCAGAAAUCACACGGUAUGCCACCCGAGAAAUCGUUCGUGAACAAAAGAGAUGAACUGUAGGUUUGUCGAUCGUCGUUUCAGUACGGCGAGUGUAGAGCCAAAAAAAAGGGGAAGAAAGAUGACACAAUUGGCUAUGACAUUGAGUGACAGUUUAUUGCUGGCCUCCCCCACGUAAGUAUGUCACGAGGCCCACCCUUCAUGGCUCAAGUUCAUGAAAACAAACUAAUAAAAAAAAGACCCAAAACGUCUGCACUACCAUCCUCGCGGAAAUCCAACCAAAAAAAGGAAAAGAUUAAAAAGGCAACCAUCCCAUACAAAAGCAUUCGCCACACGCUACUAAAAAUUAACCACACAGAGACUCACUAGUCUCAGGGUUCGCCUGGAGGCAAGCCUCGAUGGCCCCGAACACAGUGAAUGCCUUCUCUCUCACGGCCUUUAUCUUCUCCUCGGUGAUGUUUAUGUUGCCCCUGGCGAAGUAUUUGCUGGCGUUUUUGCACACGGAGCCUCCCUCCGGUGAUGCGGUGAUCUUCACCUCGUAGCUGGUGUUCUCCAAGGUGUUGGCCAGCAUGUCGCUCUCGAUGAUCGAGUUGAAGUAGGAGAAAUUCCCAUUGUCCAGGACCUCAACCUUGUGCUUCACUGUCUUGUUGCAAUGACCUAUAAAAGACGCAAAACGUGGCAAAUCACAUCUGAGAAGCCACCGGUUUCAAAAAUCGCGAGCACUGCUUUGCAACAUGAUUGACUCACGACAUCACGGUGUCAAUGGUCAGGAACAUUUGAAUUAACCAAGUAAACUUACUAACCUUCGCUGGAAGUGGUCUCCUCGAUGAGCUCGGCACUCUCGAGGACUGGCAAGAGGACCCCGGAGAUGAGGUUUUCAGCCCUGACCAAGACCUCGAACACCUUGGCCGGGGGGAUGGAGGGCUUGAUCUCGGUCUUGUAGCUGAAGUGUCCCAUGAUUCUCUGCUCGAAAAGAAUUUGCUGAAAGCUGAGAGGGAAGUCUUGAUCUAGGAUUUCGAAGCUAAGACCCCAUGUGUAUAUAUAUAUGCGCGGGAGAGAAAACUUUGCGGACCUGCUUUGGGUCCAUUUCAGAGGAAAACCAAGCAAUCGCGUGCUUUGGGUUGAAAUUCUUCUACCUACAUGAUCGAGUCACUGUCGAGUCUCGACUUUUGGAAUGUGUAAGAAAAAGCAAAACAAUGGUUGAAAUUCUUCUACGCACACGAUCGACUCACUGCGAAGUACUCGACUUUUGGAAUGUAUGGGAAAAAGCAAAACGAUACAGAGGCUAGAGUUUUUUUUUUUUUUUUUUUUGGUCUGUUCCAUAGGAAAACCAAGCAUUCGCGUACUUUUGGUUGAAAUUCUUCUACGCACAAGAUUGGAACGUGUGGGAAAAAGCAAAACAAUGGUUGAAGUUCUUCUACGCACAAGUAACUGUCAAGUACUUAACUUUUGGAAUGUGCGGGAAAAAGCAAAAAGAUAGAGGCUAGAGUUUUUUUUUUUUUUGGGUCCGCUUCAGAGGAAAACCAAGCAUUCACGUACUUUUGGUUGAAAUUCUUCUACGCACACGAUUGCAAUGUGUGGGAAAAAGCAAAACAAUGAUUGAAAUUCUUCUAAGCACAAGUAAUUGUCAAGUACUCAACGUUUGGAAUGUGUGGGAAAUACCAAAAUGAUACAGAGGCUAGAGUUUUUUUUUUUUUUUGGUCGGUCAUAUUUUAAUUCUUAAAUUUUUACUUUGCUUCAUUGUAGAGCGUGAAAGUCGAAACCCACACUUGAAACUAAAUCGUCAUCUGAAAAUGUGGGAAUUUGAACCCCCACAUUCCCUUUCUAUAUUGAAAAUGUGGUCACAAAGACAAAUCCUAGUGUUUACAGGCUAGAGUUGGAAAUAUGUUAUUAAACACAUUCCUUUUAUAGUCUCCCUUCAAAAAUCCCGUAAAAUAAAUAUGCAUGGUCUAAAAUACUCUUAUCUUGUAAUUUGAAAGUCAAAACUCAACAAAAAUCAAAUCAAAUCGAGUACUCAACUUUUGGAAGAAACAAAGUAGGUUACGUCUAGUACUGAAAGGGAAGUCUCGAUCUAGGAUUUAAAAGAUAAGACGCAUAUGUAUAUAUAUGUUUUCGGGUCCUUCUAAGGGGAAUACCAAUUAUCGUUGUUGAGUAGCUCUGCGGGGUCCUUUUGAGGCCAAGAUUGGGUCGGCUUUUCUCUUAAAAAGGCAGAGAACAUGCCAUCCCAAGUCAUAGCGCACUCAUUACGACUGGAUUUCCAACCCAUCACUCCACUUCUGGAUGGAGGGAAUCAAGACUUUUGGAAGAAUGUGUGCACUCGACUUUUGGAUGGAAGAAAUGAAGAAUUUUGGAAGAAUGUGUGAUGGGGAGCGUGUGCAAUUGCCCACACGUGAUGGGAACGUGAGGCAUGGAACUUGUUGCCAAACAAGUCAAUCAAAGAUGCACCAAUUUGAGAACAAGUAAUAAAAGAUAAAAGAAAAUCAAAAUCACAUGAGACGCAAAACUUACGUGAAAAACUCAAAACGAGAAAAAUCAUAGGAAGAGAGAAGAGUCUCAUUAUUUUCAAUAAAGAGCACGAGAAUAUAAUCCAAAAAACUCUAAAACCACUUGAUGAGCCACGAGAUUUGAACAUCUAGCAAGAAGAUAGGAAAAAACAAAACAGGAAACUAUACAGACGCUAGAGUUGGAGAUGUGUUAUAAACACGUUCCUUUUAUAGUCUCCCUUUAAAAAUCCCUUGAAAUAAAAAUGUAUGGUCUAAAAUAUUCUUAUAUCUUAAUUUGAAAGUCAAAACUCAACAGAAAUCAAGUCGAAUCGAGGACUCAACUUUUGGAAGAAACAAAGUAGGUUACGUCUAGUUCAACUUUCUCAAGUAGCUUGGGGGAAAUGUAAAGUAAUGUAAGCCUAAAGGGUUUUGGCAAAAUGUAAAGAUUGUUUGAUAAAAUAUGUUUUGAGAAGUAGCUUUGACAUAAAUGUUGGUUGAUAUAAAAUAUAUUUAAAAAAACUCAUUUGGAUGAUUAAUUUAAACUGUUUUAAUUAAUUAGGGGUUGGAUUUUUUUUAUUUUUUUUAUUUUUUGGUCUGAGGGGUUGGAUACUUUGGGUACUAUUGUGUGGUGUUCUCGAGUGCCCGAGAGUACCUGUAAGUUUUUGUCCAUAGUUAAAGUCUAGAGAGAGAAAUAGAGAGUGCAUCUGCCUUUUAAGGCUUCUGAUGAUUGGAGAUUUUCUCUAAUCAAAUAAUUCAAUUUAAUAAUUUAAAUAGAGAGAGAGAGAGAGUUUGUGCAUAUCUUUAAUAGGCGUCAUAAUUAGAGAGAGAGCAGAGCAGCGCAGAGCAGAGCAGAGCAGAGAUUUUCUCUAAUUAAAUAAUUCAAUUUAAUAAUUUAAACAGAGAGAGAGUAUGUGCAUAUCUCUAAGAGGCAUGCCAUAAUGAGAGAGAGAGAGAGAGAGAGCAAUAUGGACUAAGCAUCCAAUCUCUUCUACUUCUACUAAUGAAGAAAUAAUUUGACCUCGUCACUUCACAACACAUUCCGGGCUGAAUAAUGGAGCUUUGGGGACAUGGUGGUGAAUAACAAGUGAUAUAGAAGAGAUGAUACGCUAUUAAAUUAUUGUCUCAAGUUUAAGUCCGUGUACAAGAUUCGACUUGAUUUGAAUAUGUAGAAAACCGAAUCUAUUAGGAAAAAAAAAUACCAAUAUCACAUUUGGUAUUUGAAUUAUAAUUUAUCUUGAAAAGAAUAUUCACGUUAUAUAUACUGAGACGAGUUUUUUGUGCAUUCCCCCAAAAGUCAAACCCCCACAGUAACCCCCUUUUUCUCUAACUCCCGCACCCUAUUUCCAUAUAUAUGGAUCUUCACUUCCAAAUCCGAUCGAGAUGCUGAUAAAUACUAAAUAGUGUUCGAAUGGGGGGGGGGGUGGGGGGUGGGGGGGUGGAGACAUUGCUUGCUGAUUCAUGUUGUGAAAUGCGUGCUCUCUUCUUCUUUUCGCUAAGAAGCUGACGAGUAACAACAGAGAAAGGAAUAUGUCCCCGUAUCGAUAAACUCUCGGUAGAUAGGAAGAUACAAUUAAGACGCAAUCAAAACGACAAGGAUGAAAGCGAGGUGAGAGAUAAAAUUAAGGCGAAAAGAUAAAACAGACAAAGGCGCGAAAUACUGCAGCAUCUUAGCGUAAAGAAGAAAGAAGAGAGAAGUUGGCACCCAAUUGAGGUAUGUUGUCCGUGAGGAGAUGAGUGUUUCAAGACUUGAGGUAAUUUUCCAUGAGAUUGAACACUGUGAGCUUGGGUGCAAUUUAGGGGUGAGAAACAUUCAAACAUUUAGUCGAUUGUAACUCUUUGAUUCUCCAAUUGUUAGUGGAUUAUUUUCUCUUCCCCAACUGACACUUAGACCGAAUUACGUAAAUCUUAUUAGUUUCCGCGUUAUAUCACAGCAACAACAACUGGUUUGAAAAGUGGCGUCAAAGUGUUUAUGCUAGAAAUCUUGGGGUGGAACAAAUUGUGCUAAAGUGAUUUGAAAAAAUUAUGCCAUGAUUUUUACAAGAUGUUUGACAAGUAUUUUUAAUUACAACAUUCAGAAUUUCUACCACCUCAACUGUUGUCUCACCCACUUUGAAGGAGUCGCAUGUAUUACUGAACACAAAUUAUAACACUUCAUGCCAAAAUAUAGUUACAGUUCAGUCACGAUUAUAAUUUUUCUUAAAGAGAUGGGAGAAUGUAAACAUAAACCAUGAUGGGAGACAGAAAGAUUGAGCCAACAUGCAACAUCAACUCAAUUGAAAGCAUCAGGGUUUUGCAAGAGAUGGGCGUCAAUGGCCAUGAACAUUCCCAUGGCCUUCUCUUUGCCGGCCUUGAUCUGCUUCUCCGUGAUCUCGGCCCCGUCCUUGGCAUAGUACUUGCUCGUGCUCUUGCACAUGCAUCCUUGGCUAGCUGCAAGGCACGGAAAACCACAAUCAACUCCUAAGCGUUGGUCUCAUUUAAACUGUCGGUGAAUGUCUUGAGACCCAUGUUGAUGCGGUGCGAUUAAAAUGUGCGAAGUGGGUGAAAUUGAAAGAUGCGCGAGGACUAGCCUUCAUAGAAAGCGACAUACUUGAUGAUUGAAAUGCCCUCUAAAUGAUUCUCAAUCGCCUGUUUAGUAAUCUAAAUCGCCAUCACAAUAGAUAAAUCAUAUAAUAGAGAAAGAGUACUAAAGACAUGGAUCUCAAGCCCAAAUGAUACUUAUUAGCAAGCGAGUGAUCGUUUGAAUUUUGAUGCUCUUGAGGGUGGGAAGUCACUAAAUUAUUAACUUUUUUCCAACACCGGUUGGGUUCCAUGGGAUUGUUUCCACUAUAGAGAUAAAAAGUUAGCAUGCAAGUUGUCGCGACCUAUCCCUCGGGGGGAGGGAAUAGGUUUAGAGAUAUUGCCUAAAAGAUGGACUUAAGGCUCAAGAUUGGGUGAGAGCUCUCCCAAACCUAUACUUCGCGUGACAUUAGAGUGUUUUUAAGAAUUUUUCAAUGAGUCACCACCACUAGCCUAUUGGGGUUAGCUAAAAACCAAGUAAGGCAUGUGAGUAGAUCUCGCUUCCUACACAACUAGAGAAUCUAGGGUCGAUAACUUGAUUACAUUAAUUAAUCAAUUAAUGCUCUUUCGAUACCUAAUCUUAUUUAUUUUAAAAGAAAAUAUUUUUGUCAAGUAGUGGAUUAAUUUUAUACUUAUCCACUAACAUGUGAAGUGAUCAUGCAAAUACACAAUCAUUAAAGUAACGGUCAAUAACCAAGAAAGUAUUAAAUAAAUUACAAGGAAAAGCAAUAAUCUAACAUAAAUAAUAAUAAUAAUAAUAAUAAUAAUAAUAAUAAUAAUAAUAAUAAUAAUAAUAAUAAUAAGAAAAAUUGACAUUCCUAACUAGGUUAAAGGGAAAUCACAAUCAAUAUAUUGAAAGUGCACCAUCAUUUGAUAAUUUGUCUCAAGAAGGGAAAUAUUAGAACCCUAUUGCAAGGCCUUAAGAGUUUGUUCAAUUUUGAGCCCUAUUUUGGUCGAUGAUUUUCCCACACUUUAAGAGAAAACUGUUCAAAAACAAAUAAAAAAAUUCGAAAUUUUUUUAAAUAUAUAUUUUUUUGCAAUUUUUUUAUUCCGAAAUAGCAACUCGGGCCGGGCCCUCGGCCCGAUUCAAAAGUGGGUCGGGUAAAGAUUCAUGGGUUUGGGCAAUGAACACUAAAAGCCAAAUUGAAGAAGUGGGUUCAAUGACUUAAAUGCAUUCGAAAAAGGGCCAAGAUCAAGCCCAAAUUUAUCAAAGGAAAACACUUAAUCCCCUUUACACUAAGAUCACUUUAAAACAACUUCCAGCACAUCCUAAAUAAGCCCAGCUCCGAAAUUAGCCCACUUACUUGACCUAUCCACAAACUCCUUCUUAGGCACCAAAAUAACCCCUGAACAGCAGCUUCUCUUUCUGCGACUCCUCCUUCCCGAAGUCAUUUUUACCUUUUCAUAGUUUACUUUUUUUUUUUUUGCUUGUUUUCUUUUUUAUUCUUUAUCCUUUUUUUUUUUUUUUACUUCAUCCCUUCCCCUUCCCUGCACCUAUCUUCUUCCUCGACGACUCCCUCCGAAAUGGGUUCCCUUGCCGAACCAUAACCAAAAUAAAACCACGUCCGACGAGCCCUCACCAAUGUUUGGGAUCGCCGCCAAACCACCAUCGGGCGUCGGUCGUUCAGUCCGACCGAUGCCGGCCACGGCCGUUGGCCGAGACACGGCUCGGCCCCCACCGAGGUUAGCCGAGGGACGAAACUCGGCCUGAACGACCGGGUACCAUUCAACAUAGCCCUGAUACCGACAUCCUCCAAUACCUAACGGUGCCAUCACCGGUCACCGUCCCUUUCCCGGCACCAUCCACGACCAACCCAUAGAAAGAACAAAGAAAAUAUAUGCAGACCUAGCCUAGACAUAAUGUCGAGCACCUGUGUGCGUCGACUGAAAAGCUAACGAAAACUCAACUGGGAGAUGAAUCAACAGUCAAGGCAGAAGCAACAACCAAGCAAAGUCUAAGACAACAAAAUCGCAGCUCACCGGGAUCGGAGACUCGUGCGGGCCAGAGAACCGCGAGCUCCGGUCUGGUGAACUAGAAAAAUCUGAAUAAAAGGAGGUGCUCGGGUGACGGGGCCCUACUCGGCUCGAUAACGGCGGCCUGCAAGCAGGUUCGAAAUGGCACGAACCGUGGCCGACCACCCUAGUGUCAUCAAGACGAGAUCAUCGGGUUAAAGGGGACUGAACUCGAAAGGAGACUUACCGGAAGAAUGGAUGCCGGGAGGCGAGGUCACGGGCGCGGCCGAGCUUCUUUCCCGCUCUCUCCUAUCAAUUUCUCGCUUUGCUCUCACUCACGAUGCUCUGUCCCUCCGACUUUCUCCUGGUUCGGUCUCUCUCCAGCUCUCUCCCCUUCAAGCUCUCUCCCUCUGUCUUGCGGUGCUUCUGUUCUCUCCUCCCCCCCCCCCCCCCCCCCCCCCCAAAACCCAUUUUUUGCCCCUGCCUCCGGCUGUUCCCCCUGCUCCGCUCUGCUGUUCUGCUUUUCUUCUUUUUUACAGGCGCGCGAGGAAGGACUGCAGGAGGAGGACGACCAGCUGGCGGGCCGCGAGGAAGGCGGAGCUGGGCCUCCGUGGGGGAAAGAAAAGGAAGAGAUGGACCGCGCCCAGGCCCGCGCGGGGGAAGAAGAAAGAGAGGCGGGCCGGGCUAAGGUCGGAUCCGGCCCGACCCGGCCUCUCUUGUUCGUUUUUUAAUUAAUAAUUUGUUAAAUAAUAAUAAUUUUAAUUUUUUUAAAUUUUUUUAAAUUAAUUUUUUUUUACCAAUUCCUAACUUUUAAUGCUUUUAAGUCUUAAGUAAAAUUGGCAAAAUUUAGGUGUCAACACAAAUAAUAUAAAAGCACAGUAUAAAUUUGAUUCUCCUAAUCAAUGAGUAUAAAUGAGAAUAUGGGGGUGAAAAAAAUGUUACAAGAACUAAAACGUGGACUUUUCGAGAAGCUCCAAUAACAGAAAUGUCGCAUAUUCGGCAAGAUGCAAGUACGUCCAUCCAUCGAGAUGUAGUUUUUGGAGAAAUUCACAAACAGAUAUUGAAUGAAUAAAAACGUUUAGAAAAAUGUCAUAAAUAGCUUUUUUAGCUCAGUUAAAUAGAGCUUACUUUAGUAAGCGAUAGGUCUUGACUUUGAAUCUCAACGAGAUCCUUUGUACUAUGACUCGUAAUUUUUUUUUUUUUUCACAUCCAAUAUACUUCGUAACAAUUUUUUUGAUAAACAAAACUUCGACCGAGCCAAAAAAAUUAGUCACUUAAUAUAUGAUAGAGCCAACAUAUACAUACUAUAUGUGUGUGUGUGUGUGUGUGUUUUCUUAGUACAAAUGGUAAUACGAGCACCCAAUUAGUAGGGGGGAGGUUGAGUUCGACUCUCAACGAGACAAUUUGUCAUUCAAAAUUUUUCAUAACGAUUUUUUUUAUAAACAAAAAAUUCAAUUGAGCCAAAAAAUUUGUCACUUAAUAUAUCAUAAAGCCAACAUAUACAUGUAAUUCAUUUUUCUUGGUACAAAUGGGGAUACGAGCACCCAUUUAUUAAGCAGGAGGUUUUGAGUUUGACUCUCAAAUAAGUUUUCUUUUUUGUAAAUUCAAAAUUCUUCAUUACAAUUUUUUUAUUAAAAAAAAGAUCGACCGAACCAAAAAAAUUGUUAGUUAAUACAUCAUAGAGCCAACAUAUACAUACAAUAUAUUUUGUUUCAUUUUCUUGGUACAAAUGGGAUACAAGCACCCGUUUAGGGCGCGUUUGGUAACGCUUUUAUUCCCGGGAACAAUUUUUUAUCAUAACUGAUUCUUUUUUAUUCUGUUUCCGAAAGCAAUUUCUAAGCAUUUUAAGCCGUUUGAUAAUUGUUCAAAAUUUCAAUUCUCAAAAUAGAAUUGCGUUUGGUACAAUGUUUAAAAUUUUUAUUCCAAAUCAUUUUCUUUUAAUUUUUAAAUAAUUUUAUUACUUUUUCCCUUUUUUUCUUUUCUCUCUCAUAUUCUUCUUCUUCAAGUGGCCGGUCGCCGAGUCGAGGGCCGGCAAUCUCACUGGAGCGUUGCCAACCCUCGGUGAGGCCUGUCCUUGUCAGCCGAGCCUCGCCAGCAACUAGGCAAGGCUUGCCCAGCCUCGCCAGUGGCUAGGCAGGCCUUGACGGGGCUGGGCAAGCCCCACCGGUGGCUAGACGGGCCUCACCUGUGGCUGAGCAGGCCUCGCUAGGGUUGGACGAGGCUCCUCUCACUAGUGGUUGGGCUUGCCUCCGGCGAGCUCGCUAGACCUCACCCUGGCUUGGCGAGCCUCCAACAAGCUCGCCAAAUCGGUUGUCGGCGACCAGUGAUGGUGGGUGGCGGACGGCAACCGCAACGAUGGAUGAAGAAGAAGAAAAGGGAAGAAGAAGAAGAGAAAAUAUGGGCUUGAUUCUUGGAUUUGUUCUCUGAAACAAAAAACAACUUUUUAUUUAUUUUUUAUUCCGUUCCAAAACCACUUCCGGGAACAAAAAAAUAAAAAUUUGUUCCCAGGAACAAAAAUUUUACCAAACACGGUUCCGUUCCAAAACUACUCUCAAGAACAAAAGAAUAAAAUUUGGCACUGUUUGGCCGAUUACCAGACAGGCCCUUAGCAAGCCAAAGUUUUGAGUCCGACUCUUAACGAGAGCAUUUGUCUUGUGACUUAUAAUCUUUCUUUCUUCUACAUUCAAAUUUUUUCGCAACAACUUUCUUUGUAAACAUUCAAACUUCUGUCUUCUUGAUGCUGUUAAAAUCAGGGAUACGGAACUCUAGUGCGAAUGGAACUCACUGCGGUGAUGCUAACGAAUCCCACUGGAAUAUGCGGAGGACGGAAAAUCUUAGAGCUGGGGAAAAUGAAUGGGUUUGGGAUUAGAUCCGGCUUGGUUAUUGCCCCGGAGCUGACUCACCCAAGCCAUUAGAAAAGAGAACUCUAGAAAAAGAAUAAUGACCAAUGUUCUUUAUUGUUCAAGCAGAGACAUUUUCUAUCGGCUAAACCUUAUGCUUCUCACAUUCAAUGCUUGUGUUCCAUCUGAAGUUAUUUCUUACCACAUAAUUGUCGACAACCUAAUUUGACCAAUAAAUGCAGUACAUCUAUAUAGUAUCUGGAGAGGAGCUGUUUCUGCUAGCUAAGGAUUACAUCAAGUAUCUUUUUGGUGGAUGUCUUAGUGCUAGGUUAACCCGUGCGAUGCCCCAGUGAGGAAGAUUUUACAAGGAGCUAACAGAGAAGAAAGAGGUUGAUCAGUAUUGGUUAGUGUUGAAAAUUGAGAUCCAUUUUCUAAAACUAGCUAAUUUCUUCUAUUGUAAUCUAGAAGCUCCUAAGUAAAGGUUUUGGUAGUAGAAGUUGUGGUCUAAAAAUGUCCAAGUUAGAGAUGUUUGGAUGAAUGGCCGUGGACAGUUGUAAAGCAAAAAAAUCUCUGACAAAAGCAGAGAUCUUUCCUUGAAGAAUACUGUGGCUGACUUUAUGAGUAAAGCAAGAACUAGUUUGUGUAAGGUGGUGGAAACAUUAGAUAAACUCCACCCACGUGAACAUCCCAUCUUACAAUUAUGUAACGCCACAUUUCUAUCAACUAAAUAAACGAUAUUCUUGUCUCAUAAAUCUUUUUCUAUUUUCCUCAAAGUAUUCAUCCUUGUCCAUUCCCCUACAUCAACUAUACCAUAAACAUAUACAUUUACACAUACAAACAAAAAGAUAUCAUUGAUAUCAAAGUCAUGCUUCGGCACAAUCUCACCAUUUCCAACGGUUAGAGAAGGCGAUAAUUAAUAUCCCGACCUAGUGGGACGGUCCUGAGAAGUAAAGGCGCAGGGACAGAAUAUAGACAAGAUUUGUCUUCCAGCUAUGAUGAUGGCCUCUGAACAAUUCAUCUUCGUCUUCCCCAGUCAUUUUAGAUGGAAUGGCGAUAUCAUUCCACGGUUCUAGUUUUGCAGUGAUCCAAAGCUUGAUCUUGCUAGACGAUGAGAAAGCUGUCUUGUGUAGUUGUUACACCAUCUGUCAUGGAAUUUUCGUGCAAAAUUUCACAAGAACAAGGUCAGAUGAAUGAAGGAUUGAAGUCUAUGUCAUUCUGUUUUGUUGCAGUAUGAAUGACUGAGUUCAAGUUGAUUCAAAGCGUUAGAGCAAUUGGGACUUGAUAGGCUGCUUCAUCGGGUGAGGACUUCUUCGUUCCAACUUUUUCUCUCCCUUUUGAUUCGUUUUCAUUUCUGCUAUUGAUUUUGUCAUUUUGAGCUUAGGUUGCUACCUAAUAGGCAGAAUUUUUGUAACAUUUGAUAUGAUAUGCAGAUACACAUUACUUGUGUAUAUCUCGAAAAUUCCCACUUUUAGACACUGCUUUUGGCUGGCUUCUAAAAAAUGCCCUUCUAUUAAUCUUCCGAGCGUUAAAAACUACAAAUAAAAACUAAAAAAGUCAGAUUGUGAGAGCAACUUCUGUUUGCUCUUUCUUUUGUUUUGCAUUGCAUAUUGGUCCUUCACCUAUUUUGUAUGCUGACAGCUAAUUAUAAACACCAAGUUGCUUCAAAGGUCAUAUUUGAAACGAGCAUAUACUGAAAUGUAGGGGCAAAAGAAAUUAUGCAGGUUCUCGAAACUCUGGUGGUUGACCGUGGGGACAUCACCCGACCCUGGUAUGUUGAGCUUUUUGAUGGCGAUGAUUUGGCCGCUGGCCAGUUCGGCCUUGUAAAUGCUCCCAAACCAGCCCUUUCCGAUGCAGUACUUUUCACUGCAGCCAUUGGUAGCCUUGGCGAUGUCAUUGAAUGUGAACUUUCCUUCCCUUCCCCAUAUGAUUGACUUGGAUUGCUCUUGCUUCACAAGACUCUUGAUCUCUUCUUUGAAUUCCUUGUUUCACCACCGAACUGCCAGAAUCAUAGCAAUUGAAGUCACUAGAAGUAGUAAACAGCAGACUCCCAGGGUCACACCAAAAAGAACCUUUUCCCUAGGUCGGUCAAUUUACCGCUCGUCCCACAAGGAGAUAAUCUGGUCGCGUUUCCACACAAACCUGGACUCGCGAUUAAAAAACUUCCCUGUGCUUGUUGGGAGAGGCGACCACUACGAACCGCACUGAUUGGCUCGUUGUACGAUAAGUCUAUUGAGCUUCAACUCCUCAUGCUGGUGAGAGGAGCUGGGAUCGUACCCGACAAUUUGUUACGCAAAAGAUUGAGAUUUUCCAAUUCAACAAGCUUUGCUAAAUUGGAAGGAAUUGAUCCUGCUAGAGAUAUGUGGCUCAGGUCCAGGAGAUUCUGUAACGUGAACAAGUUCCCCAGCUCUGGCAAUAUGACAUCCAACAGAUUGUUGUUGUUCAAGUUCAAGCUCAGUAAAUUCUUGCAAUUCGUUAGCUCUUCUGGUAUGCUACCGCUCAAUGCCUUCUCCCCGACAAAUCAAGAUAUUCUAGCUUCGAUAAGUUUCUUAACGAGAUGGGAAUGUCUCUGGCCAAAUGGUUGUAGCUCAAGUUCAGCCUAAUCAAUGCCCCCAGAGUUACCAAAUCAUAGGGAAUUUUCCUAGUCAAUUCAUUGCCAUAUGGAGUCAGAUCGCACAAUUGAGACAAUUUCCCAAGCUCCGGCGAGAUGCGGCUGGGGAUUUUGUUACCAUCUAUUUGCAAAUUCGUGACAUUCGUGCACUCUCCCCAUUCUGCAGAGAGAUUCCUGACAAAUAGAUUGUUGCUAAGGGCCUGAGGCUUAUAAAGUCCAGAUUCAGAUAAACCCCAAACACACUCAUGACAUCUGCAGUGAACCGAUUGCUGUCCAGACGGACUCUCGUUAGCCCUGGACAAUUCCUAAGCAGUCGGGCAGCGGCUCGGUGAAGUUAUUGUUAAAGCUCAUAAAACAACAAUCAAAACAGAAAACAUAUAUGUUGUUUGAGGGAGAGAAAGGAUAAAAAAACAGAGCAUAACACUUCAUACGUUUUGUGCAAAAGAAAAAACUGUCAAGUACCACAACUAAAUACAAAGCAAAAACUGCUCACAUACGUGCUAUUAACUUCCUAGAAAAUAGCAAAAACACUAAAUGCAUAACUAAAUGAACUUGGCUAUUAAAAAAAUAACAAAGGAAAAUAGAGGAAAAAACACGACCGAAAACAGCAGCACUGAGACAAUUCCAACAAACUCCUCCUUGGAUCACUUGUUGCUGCAAAUUCCUAUUUUCUCUCUUAACAGCUCAAAUUUUCCAGCCUGAAGUGGUUUUGUGAACGUAUUUGCAAGCUGAUCUUCAGAUCUGCAAUAGAUCAACUUAACUUCACCACUUUGUUACACCUCACGCAGAAAGAAAAAUUUGACUUUAAAAUGCUUGGUUUUGCCAUGGAAAACUGGAUUCUGUGAUAUUGCUAGAGCAACCUGAUUGUCCACAUUGACUUCGAUACAAUCACUGGAAUUCAACCACAAAUCCUUCAUUAUCUUCUUUAGCCACAAAGCUUGAUUUGCAGCUGUAGUAGCUGCUAUAAACUCAGCCUCUGCAGUAGACUGAGCUACAAUCUCUUGCUUUUUAGAACAUCAGGAGAAACAAGCAAAACCAAAACUGAAACAAUAUCCAGACGUACUCUUCAUGUCAUCUAUUGAACCGGCCCAGUCACUAUUAGAAAAUUCUUGCAAAUUAAACUUCUGACAUUUCUUAAACUUCACACCAAAGAACAAUGUUCAUUUGAGAUAUCUCAAGACCUUUUUUACUGCAAUCAAAUGUAACUGACUAGGACUAUUCAUAAACCUGGAUAAAAUACUUACAACAAAUAGAAUAUUUGGUCUGGUUGCUGUAAGAUACAUGAGACACCCAAUCAGACUUCUAUACAUAGAAGUAUCUACUGCAUCUGUUCCAUCAUUCUUGUGCAGCUUCUCUUUAGCAACCAUAGGAGUGCUUACACUUCAACAAUCUUCCAUCUGAAACUUCUUUAGAAUUUCCUUCAUCUAUUUUUUCUGACAGAUGAAGAUCUCAUUUGAAGCUUGUUUGACUUCCAAACCCAAAAAAUAAGUCAUUUUUUCCAAGUCCGAUAUCUCAAAAACUGCAAAUAGAUCUCGCUUCACCUUCUCUAUCAAUUCCAUAUCAUUCCCUAUCACUAAUAGAUUAUCUACAUAAAGUGACAGAAUUAUAACAUUGUGAUUCACCUUCUUGACAUAAAGAGUGAACUCACUUAAGCUUUUUACAAAGCCAAAAUCCUAUAAAUAUCGAUCUAUAUUCCCAUACCAAGCUCUUGGAGCCUGCUUCAGUCCAUAUAGAGGUUUCCUUAACCUAUAUACACUCUCUUCUUGCCCGUUGAUACUGAAGCCUUCAGGUUGUUCAACAAAAUCUCCUCCUCAAGCUCUCCAUUCAGGAAUGCAGACUUGACAUCUAACUGAAAUAUAGGCCACCCCUUCUCUGUUGCAAUAGCUAACAGUGACCUUAUUGUAUCAAGUCGUGCAAUAGGAGCAAAUGUUUCAGAAUAGUCUACUCCCCAUAUUUGUGCAUAGCCUUUUACCACCAGUCUAGCUUUGUGUUUAUUGACAGAACCAUCAGGAUUAAGUUUUAUUAUAAACACCCACUUAACCCCAAUCACAUUCUUAUCAGAUGGUCUAUCAACAAGCUCUCAUGUGUGGUUUUUCUGGAUCAUUGCAAUCUCCUCCUACAUUGCUGUAAUCCACCUCUAAUCCUCCUUAGCUUCCACAAAGUUAGAUGGUUCGAGCAUUGCCACAUUGCUUUUUUCAUAGAUUUCAGCAAGUGACCUUGUGCCUCUCAUGUGACACCCCGAACCCUUCGCAGGUCGUCACCAGCGCCGGUGUUACAUCUUUUACCAUCUCUAUCUCUUGGCUAAAUUAAGCCUUGCCAGAUUACAGGCAUUUUUUUUUCUUUUUCUUUUAAAGCGGUCCCAUGCGCGACUCAUAACGGAAGCAAAAUUCACAUCGUCAUCUAUCUCCCUUCUAACCCAUGAUACAAAUACACACCAGCUAAACAUCAUGAUUUUAUAAACGAACAUCGACACAUUAUUUACAUAUAUUUUCAAGAUGGGAUUACUCUCGGGUCGGUACAUAACAAGGAAAAGCUAGGACUCAGCCAUGUCCAGCCUAAAACCUCAAAAAGAAACCUCGACCCUUAACAUCAUGUGAACAAAGAACCCUCCCAUCGAAAGCGUCGGUUUUCUACAUCAAAAAGUGAUCUAGCUCCUACUCCUCGCGUACAGGUCUCACACCCAACCCGGUGUGUCAGGUGGUGGCGGCAGCAGCAUCCCUCGCAUCGCUCCAUCCCGUCGAACGUGCACAGAUAGGAACUCUUGUAUGAUAGGGCCCCCAGCCAGGCCGAUAUCAUACAUAACUAAGCAUCGCACUCGGAUAAACGUCAAUCCGGGCACAGAGGGACAAUCUAUCUCCGUACACUCCACCUCAACAUCAGACGGUAGACCGUAAAAUACCCCACGCAAAACAGCAGGUAGCGGCAUAGUGCUAAUCUGAAAUGUUAUCCCCAAAAGGGGUGAGUACAACCACUCAGCAGAUAGGGAAAUCUAAUGACAACUCAGUGCACCAUGCAUACCAUCAUACAAUGCAGGCAUUGCUUACCUUUUUUAUGUCAAGCGUAUUCAUGCAUCAUCAUAGCAUAUAUAUAUCAUCAUCAUGGCGUCUCAUAUAUCAUUAUCAUCACAUCAUCAUUAACCAUGCAUCACCAUGCAUAUCACAUCAUAUCAUCAUUAGCCAUGCAUCACCAUGCAUAUCACAUCAUCAUUAGCCAUGCAUGACCAUGCAUAUCACAUCAUAUCAUCAUUAGCCAUGCAUCACCAUGCAUAUCACAUCAUAUCAUCAUUAACCAUGCAUCACCAUGCAUAUCACAUCAUAUCAUCAUUAGCCAUGCAUCACCAUGCAUAUCACAUCAUCAUUAGCCAUGCAUCACCAUGCAUAUCACAUCAUAUCAUCAUUAACCAUGCAUCACCAUGCAUAUCAUAUCAUCAUUAGCCAUGCAUCACCAUGCAUAUCACAUCAUCAUUAGCCAUGCAUCACCAUGCAUAUCACAUCAUAGAUCAAUUUCCACUUUUAUUUAUCAAUUGAUCCCCACAUUAUCUUUUCUCAAAUCAUCAAAUUCACCAUCAUCACCAUCCCUUCGGGCAGAAACCUCCGACAGGGAUCCCAGUAACCCAGCCAUCUCAUGGCCACUGGGCUUCCGGCCCCCCACAUUCCGGGCAUCUCGCAUCUCAACUAGCAUCACGAGGCAUUCCCUUCGGACAGAAACCUCCGACAGGGCUUCCGGCCUUUACCCUUCUAACCGGGGAUCUCGCACCCUAAUCCUGGCAUCGCGAGUCACUCCCUUCGGGCAGAAACCUUCGACAGGGCUUCCGGCCCCCCACAUUCCGGGCAUCCUGAAACUCCCAGGGAAUCUCUGGAAUUAUGCCACUCGGCCACCAGAUAUCAUCCUCCGCCACAACCUCUUACUCACAUACCAUUUUCCACUUUUUAUCAUCCUUUUCAUCUUGUUAUUUCAUGGCAUAUGAUUUACAUACAUGCAUCACAAUUCAUGAUCAUUCAUACAUCAAUGCCAUAUAACAAUACAUCAUAAUUCAUGAUCAUACAUGUAUCAAUGUCAUGUAGCAAUGCAUCAUAAUUCCAUAGGACUCAUGGCCAAUAAAAUAAUCCACCUUUUAUUUUAUUAUUAUUUAUUAUUAUAUUAUUAUAUUAUUAUAUUAUUAUAUUAUUAUAUUAUUAUAUUAUUUAUUUUCAUAAAUAAAUAUUAUAUUUAAUAUUUAUGAUUUUCCAAAAAUCAUAAUCUUCAAUCAAUCAUUAAACAAACAAUUAGAAUCAAAUUUCACAUAAAAUCCAUGGCUAAUUUGCAUUUUACAUAAUUUCCCAAAUUUCCACAAAAUACACACAACAUUCGGAUCAUGGCCAGAUUGCACAGUUUUCGAAUUAAUUCAAUUAAAAUACUCAUAUGACCUCCGAAAAUUCCCAAAUUUUACAGGAUGAUAGCCAACACAUUUUCGUGCAUUUUUCAUGAAUAACUCUAAGCAAAAUUCUUUAUAUAUUAAUUUAUAUAACUCCACGAAGCUUCUGGAACCUCUACCGUUUCGUCCAGAACGUACAUCACCGAAAAACUUAGGUUCGACCCAUCAAAUCUCUUUCGUUUCUCCUGAAAUUCGAGUAUGUUAUAUAUCAAUGUGUCCUUUACAAGUUUCAUGAAGAGAUCUAGGUUAAAUAACCAAAGCAUGAUCCUCUUUUAAGUCCUUGAAGUCUCGGGUGUCUCGGUUCACUUCAACAGAACCAUCCGUCUCAAAGAUCUAGCUGGUUAACUAGGCUAUACUCAUUUUUUCUCCUAAAAUUUGAGUAUGUUAUAGUUUAUGAUGUUAUCUACAACAUUCAUGAAGACAACAAAGUGAGAUCUCCAACAGAAAUCAACAUGCAACCAAGAAAUCAACAAAAGGUCAGUAGGAAAUUCGCAGAUCUAAAGCCUCCGUGAAAUAGAACUUUUGACCCCUCAUAUCACCAUAGUUUUCCAUGAAAUUCGAGUAUGUCAUACCUCAAGAUGUUAUCUUCAACUUUCAUGAAGACACUGAAGCCAAAAUCACACUUCAAAUACACAUGCAAGCUCGAAUAAGAUACUGUCUACCACCAACCGAACGGAAACAGCCACAUAACAUGAACACAUUCAACCCUUACUUCGGUAUUUCGCCCAAAUCACCCCUAAACCCGAACAUGCAACCAUCAAAACAACAUGCAAGAGAAGUUAAGGACCCCCCACUUGCCUCCAAAAUGAACGAACAGCAAGCACAAGGCGGCGUAGGAUGGUCGGACAAGGUGGCGACGGCGAGACACGACGGCGGCAACUCUCGGCUCCACCUCCUCUCUCUCGGUCUCUCCCCUUUCUCGAACACUCUCUCUCUCUCUCUCUCUCACCUUUCUCGGCCAAAAUGAGCUAGAGGAACCGGCCACUCUCUUUCCUAAUCCCCUUUUUAUAUCCCCUCAAUUGCAAUGAUUAACUCACCUCAACCAUGGCCAAUGCAUGAGGGCUUGUCUUGCCACUUGUAAUUCUUGUUUUUAAAUUUGAAUUUCAAUGGGCUUGGGCUUAGGCCCAACCGGCCAUUUCUCCUUCUUGGGCUGGUCGAACUCCCCUCUUGGGCCCAAUGGGCCGACUAGCUUGGCCCACCAAGCUCUAGGCUAAUGGGUCCAAGGCCCAUUUCGAAAAUAACCCUAUUUUCUCUUCUUUUUUUUUUUGAAUUCCUAUUUAUAAAUAUUUCUAAAUUCAAAUUUCAUCUUGGCCAAAGUCUUGGGAUAUUUCAAUUAUUGAAAUUUAAAUCAUAUGGCCAAGCAUUUAAAUUUAAAUUUCCACAACACAAGCAAAAUUCAUCAAAUUAAAAGACAAAUUGGCUAAAGCAUAAGCCAUAAAAUUCUAUCACCUAAUUAAAGACAUUUAACACACCUUAAGGCUUGGCUUUGAAUUUCCGGGAUGCCACAUCUCACUAGUAAAUCAUCCAUACUGUCUUCUAAUCCAUCUAUAACUUCAUCAACCUCUACAUCUGUUGCAGGUUGUUUUUCGAACUGCUGUUGUUUUGCACUCUUUCCUUCCAUCCAAUUCCACUCAUCUUCCCCUAGAAAAAUAACAUCUCUACUCACAAUCACCUUCCUUGUCAUGGGAUGGAAAAUCCUAUAAGCCUUUGAUUGAAGAUUAUACCCAAUAAAGAUUCCAAGCUCUACUUUCUUAUUCAGCUUGUCCCUCUUGACCUCAGGAACAUGAGUGUAACACAAACACCCAAAAACCUUCAAAUUCUUCAUAGAAGGUCUAACACCAUGCCAGACUUCAAAAGGUGUUGACUUCUCUAAGGCCUUUGUGGGCAAUCUAUUCAAUAGAAACACUGCAGUAUUAGCUGCCUCAACCCAGAACUUCUUAGGUAACUUCUUCUCCUGCAUCAUACAUCUAGCCAUCUCCAUAAGGCUUAUGUUUUUCCUCUCACUCACCCCAUUCUGUUGAAGUGAAUAGGGAGCAGUGAACUGCUGUACAAUUCUUGCUUGCUCACAAUUCAACUUAAACUUGUGAGCUGUAUACUCAGAACCAUUAUCAGACCUGAGCAUUUUAAUUUUCUUCCCACUCUGAUUCUCAACUAAGGCUUUGAACUUCACAAACACAUCAGCAACUUCAGACUUGGCUCGCAGAAAAUAAAUCCAACUCAUCCUAGUCAUAUCAUCAGUGAAAGUAAUGAAAUACCUACUACCAUUGAGAGAAGACUCGGACAUAGGUCCACAUAAAUCUGUGUGGACUAAUUGUAGCUUCUCACAUGCUCUCCAGCCUCCUCCUUUGAAAGGAAAUUUGGCUUGCUUGCUAAGAAGACAAGUUAUGCACCGUGGAAAUUCCUCCUCCAAACUUGGCAAGUCAUCUGCCAAGUUAUUCCUCUGCAUAAACGACAUGCUCUUCUUGUGAACAUGCCCAAGUCUUUUAUGCCAUAGCUUUGCAUUUUCUUCUUUGCACUUUAAAGCCAUUUGUUGCAUCUCUUGUGGCUUGAACAUGAAACUCUUGUCCUUCAUUGGGAUUCUUAGCACUUCUUUGCUAUAUGCAUUAUUAAUAAGAUGUUCCUUCUCUUCGAACUUCACUUUAUAGCCCUUCUCAACUAAUUGACCAACACUUAACAAAUUCUAGUCAAUAUUUGGCACAAAAAGAACAUCACUGAUCAGCUUCACCUCCCGAUUUCCUUCAAUAACCACUGUACCCUUCCCUUACACUUCGAUAUACUGUCCAUUUCCAAUUCUAACUCUGGACCUGACUGACCUGUCUAGACUCCUAAACAACUUCGAAUUGCCAGUCAUAUGAUUGGUACAGCCACUAUCCACCAGCCAUGCAUCAUUCCCAACAGAAGAUCCAGGAAAUGAAGCUACAAACAAGUGCUCUUCCUCAAUUUCAUUCACUGCAACCUGUGCUUCUCCUGCUUGCUAGUAAUUUUUCUGUUUGUAGAUGGUUUCCAUGUGACCCAACUUGUGACAUCUUCUACACCUAGCAUCAGGCUUUCUCCAACAUCUAAAAAACUGAUGAUUAGUUCCACCACAAUAUUGACAAGGUUUUUUGUUCUUCUUCCAUUUGCUAGACUCACCAGAAUUUCCUUCUUUUGCUAUAAACUUGGAAUCACCAGCAUUUCCUCUCAACUGAAUCCAUUUCUUCCAUUUGCCUCCAUCAUUGGACUUCACUCUAGCUUGCAGUGCACCCUCUACAUGCUCUUCUCUUUUCAUCAGUCUUCUGUGCUCCUGUGCCUGCAGAGCAUUUAAUAAUUCUGCAAGCUUUAUAUCAGCUAAGUCUCUUGUAUUUUCCAAAGACGCUAUGGUGGCUUUGAACUUCUCUAGAAGAGACACCAGGAUCUUCUAAACAAGCCUUUCAUCCUUCAAGUUAGUUUCUAAAACUUUGAUUUUUUCAGCUAUCUCAACCAGCCUAUCAAAGUACUCCUUCACUGACUCUGAAUCCUUCAUCUAUUGUCUCUCAAACUCCCUCAAGAGAUUCAGCACCUUCAUGCCUCUUAUCUUCUCAUCUCCCUCGUAUUCAUCCUUCAAGAAGUUCCAUAUUGCCUUUGCAGAAUCACAUCUCAUGAUCCUUGUGAAGACAGUGGGUGAAACAGCAGCAUACAUGCAAGACUUUGCCUUAGCCUUCUUUGGGAUUCUCUCUUUAUGGUACUUUAUCUGAUUUAAGGUCGGAUUAACUGGAAGUGGAGCAACCUCAUAAUCAUUCUCCACAGCCUCCCAUAGAUUGUGACCCUCCAAGAAUGCUGUCAUCUUGACAGCCCAAGCUUGAUAAUUUUCCCCAGUAAAGACUGGAGCAACCAUUGUAGAGAAUCAACUCGAUCUUGCCUCCAUCAGCUUUUUCUUUGCAAAUUGGAAGCAAUCUUCACUCACUUACCCUCACUUCACAGUCCCUUAAGAUCCUACAAACGCUCUAAUACCAAUGUUAAAGCUCAUAAAACAACAAUCAAAACAGAAAACAUCUUUGUUGUUUGAGGGAGAUAAAGGAUAAAAAAAAAAAAAAAAACAAAGCAUAGCACUUCAUAUGUCUUGUGCAAAAGAAAAACUGUCAAGUACCACAACUAAAUACAAAGCAAAAACUGCUCACAUACGUGCAACACAUAACUGCACACAAACGUACUAUUAACUUCCUAAAAAAUAGCAAAAACACCAAAUGCAUAACUAAAUGAACUUGGCUGUUUUUUUUUUUUAAAAAAAAAAAAGAGGAAAACAGAGGAAAAAACACGACCGGAAACAGCAGCACUGAGACAAUUCCAAUAGUUAUUCCCAUCGACCGCGAGAUAUCAAAGAGCAAAGCCGUUGCAUAUAUCUGGCGGCAGCUCUCUGGUGAAGCUGUUGUUCGAAAAGCUAAUGUUGCCCAGAGAAUGGCUGUACUUGCCGAAAUCACGUGGUAUGCCUCCCGAGAAAUUGUUCAUGAACAAAGAGAUGGACUGUAAGUGAUACUACGUCAUGGCUUUUUCCUUCCCAACCCUGAUCUCCUCUUCUUCAACUUGAAGUGCCUCCUUGGUGGUAUACUUGCUCGUCAUCUUGCAAACCGACCUUCAUCACUGACAGCCUCUCAAACUUGAUCUCGUAAUCAAUCGACUCGAUUUUGUCGUCCAAUGUGUCACCUUCGAUUAUCGGCUACCUACACACGAAGUUCUCCUUGUCAAGCUCAUCGAUCCGGUGCUUCACAUUCUUGAAAUGACUAGCUGCAUUUGUGACCAAACAAGACUUACAUUAUGAAACUCCCGGCUUGAUGAGUGUUUGUUGAGUGUACGUACCUUCGGCGAUAUUAACUUGCUCAAUGCUCCCGGCUCCUCCGUCGCCUUGCACGAGCUCCACGCUCUUUAUGAACUGAGGCAGGAGCUUUGGGAUCAGGGAAUUCAACCCGACGAUCAAGGCCUUGAACAUGUGAGCUGGUGCAAUCGGGCAUGUGAGCUCUUGUGUGAUGCUGGUUGCACCCAUGGCUAUUGGCAAUGAGAAAGAAAUAACCCCAGAGAAGUUGGUGCUUCUGAGUCCUGCCAAUGCCUCCUAUUUAUGGUUAGAAUUAUGUGAAUAGGUAGGCUUGGUUUGGCAAGAGUCACGUAUGAGGAAAAUAAAAGAGUCAAGGAUUCGCGGCCUAAAGAAAUGUAAAAGAGGAAUUAAGUUGGUCUCUUUUGUUCUCUUGGUCAUGAAAAUGAUUUCGGUCCCUUUUCAGAUUCAAGUUGUUGAAAUAUCAAAGUAUAUGUUCCAAAAGAUGAACACAAGAGAGCGCAUUCUCAUGCUCACAUGGGCGGCCGUCACUUAGAAUUGAUUGUUGUGGAGUUUGAUAUGACGAUUCAGCGAUAUCGUAAUCAAAUGUCCUUGUUUAGACAAGCGAGUGUUCAUUGAAUUUCAUUCAAUAUGUAGCAAACAAUAACACUUAAUAAAUUAGUGAUAUCACAAUAAUAUGUCGCACAAUAUAAACAUCACAUAAAAUAUUUCUUCACACUCGAUGCCUUAAUGUUGUGGUAAAUCCAUUUCAAUUCAUCCAAUAAGGCCUUUCGUAAUCAUUUCCAUAAAAUUUAAAAGAAAAAGGUUAAGGUUGAUAAAGCUUCACUGACACCGGCGGUUUGACUGGGUCAAAAUAGGGUCGGCAACGGGGUGUCCCAAGAUCAGCUCAUCAUCUGAGUGGGAGGGGAUGUGGAGGCUGCUGCUUUUCCGUUAUAAUUUUCUUCUCUUUUUCUUUUCUUUUUUUCUUUUUCUAUUAUUGUUGAAUCGUUUGAUCUCUAAUCCAUUGUCCCCAUCAAGAAUCAAGAUAGGAUUAGCUUAAAUAGAAUUCAAAUAGCCGAAGUGUUGCAAUAAGAUAAGUCUAAACCCUAAACACAUUCAACAAUUUUUGUAUAGCUUUAUUGAUAUUUAAUAAAAAUGUACUUUUCCUUAAAAAUUUUACUUAUUGCGGGUUAUGAAAAAUUGUGCCACAUUGAUAUGUUUAGAUGAUCGAUCUGGGUCAAACGGGAUCGAUUGUCCAUAUUCGAAAUAUCAGGCCGCAGUUUACCAUGAAUUCAUUUGUCACUCAUGAAUUCUCUCCAUGUAGCGCAGUUUACCAAAUUCCAUAAAACCACUACACCAGAUUCCUGCCACACCUUUCAUUCUCUCAUUCUCAGCAAAGACGAGAACAACAACAAUCACCAGCCCAACAUGCUUUAACUUCAAACACCGAGUGACUCAAACGCUUCUUGUCGCCUAUUUAGUUUAGCCCAACCGGACAUAUUUAAUACGUUACAUGAACAAUAAAAGAUAGCGAUGAGAUCGGCGCAACAUGCAUCAGGGUUUGCCACGACAGAAGCCUCGAUGGCCUUAACCAUCGCGUCCGCCUUCUCUUUCCCGGCCUUGAUCUCCUCCUCGGUGAUAUUCACCUCGCCAAUGGUUAAGUACUUGCUUGUGCUCUUCAACAUCGAGCCUCCGUCGGGCGACGCGGUGAUCUUCACCUCGUAACUGAUCUUCUCAAAGUCGGUGCCCAGCGGGUCACCCUCGAUGAUUGAGUAGCAGUAGGUGAAGUUCUCCUUGUCCAAGGCCUAGACCUUGUGCUUUGCCGUCUUGUACCGACUGCCUAUCAAAGUAACAAAGUAACAUUCACAUUUAGAACUCGCCGGUUUCAACAUUGUGAGCACUGAUCUUGAUGGUGUAGAUCCAGCCAUUUAGGAAUUAACCCCCAACCCCAAUCCAAUACUAUUGACUUAGACAUGGCCUGAUUUUGCCCGAUCGAAAUCGCGUCACAUGAUCACUUGCGUAAAUUUAAACAGUUAGAAACAUAUUAAUUAAUCAAGUCAUAUAUCUAUCCUUUUCAAUGUUCAUUAUAGUGUUCUAGGUUGAACCCGCCUUGAUUCGGAGCGAUCCUAAGUUCCUAAUACGGAAGGACUAACUUUCGCAGAAAGUCAUACCUCCAUCGCCCUCGAGGACUUCAAUGCUCUUGACGUCUUGUGGGAGGACCUUGUUGAUGAGGUUAUCGGCGUCAAGGAGAGUGGCUCAAACAUCUCGGCUGGAGGGAUUGGGGACGUGGUCUCGAAGUCAUUAGUGAUGACACCCAUGACUGGAUCCGAACAGAGUUGCUGAAACUGAGAAGAGGGUGAUGAUCAGGAAAAGACUUGGGCGUGAUGAAGUUGGUCUCUAGGACUUGGGAGUGAAGAAAGGAGGCUAAACUGAAGAUGACAUAUAUAGAGAGAGACUGAGUGUGAAGGGUUAUGAUUACUGAAUAUUUCCUUCUUACUUAAGAGGGUUUCGUAGAAAAUAAAUAAUUUGAAAAAUAUUUUCUUAAAAAUAAUCACUAAAUUUGGAUACUGUUUCCAAGCAAAAGUUAAUUGGUGAGUGUGCUACAUAUUCUAAAUUGAUCUAAAUCCAUAUAGAACUCACUAGAAUUAAAAGUCAAGAUUCUCCUUAAUAUAAAUACGAUGAAAAAAUGCUACCUCAUUUCCGAGUGUUCGUCAAAAUUGGUUUGUAUGUACUAUGUUAAUCUAAAUCGCUAAAUUUGAUGGAUUCACAUGGGAUCCAUACGAAACUCACUAGAAUUAAAAGUUCAAAUUCCACUUAAUAUAAAUACGGUGCUCUUUCCUCAAAAUUGUGUUGUCUAUACUAAAUUGAUUUAAAUCACUAAAUCCGAUGGGUUCUUGUGAUACCCAUAUGGAACUCACUAGAAUUAAAAAUCCAAAUUCAGCUUAAUAUAAAUAUGACCAUAGCUCAUUUCCGAGUCUUCAUCAAAAGUGUGUUUGAUGUCCUACAUUGAUAUAAAUCACCAAAUCUGAUGGGUUUGCAUGGGAUCCAUAUAGAACUUACUAGAAUUAAAACUCCAAAUUCCCCUUGAUAUAAAUACGACACUACCUCAUCUCCGAGUCUUCAUCAAAAUUCUGCUAAAGGUACUAACUUAAUCUAAAUCGCUAAAUUUGAUGGGUUCACGUGGGAUCCAUACGAAACUCACUGAAAUUAAAAGUUCAGAUUCCAUUAAUAUAAAUAUGAUGCUCUCUCAUUGAAAUUGCAUUGUAUGUACUAAAUUGAUUUAAAUUGCUUAAUCUGAUGGGUUCAUGUGGGACUUAUAUGGAACUCACUAGAAUUAAAAGUCUAGAUUCUGCUUAAUAUAAAUCAACCUUGGCUCAUUUCCGAGUCUUCAUCAAAAGUGUAUUGUGGGUUCACGUGGGAUCUAUAUAGAACUCGUUGAAAUUAAAAGUCCAGAUUCCUAUUAAUAUAAAUAUGACACCACCUCAUUUCCGAGUUUUCAUCAAAAUUAUAAGUUAAUCUACGGGUUUGUUUUGUUAUUAUGACUUUUGAGAUUCCCUUUCAUGUAUUAGUUUGGUAAUGAAUAGAAAUUUCUUUUUGACCCAAAAAAAAAAUUAAUCUAAAUCGCUAAAUUCUAUGAGUUUACAUGGGACCCAUAUGAAACUAUGGAACUCACUAAAAUUAUAAGUCUAGAAUCCACUAGAUAUAAAUAUGACGCUAGCUCAUUUCCAAAUCUCCGUCAAAUGCUUUUUUCUCAUCACUUUGAAGCUUCCGAUCGCACCCCACUUUGUUGCACGUGAAUCGGGAAUGUUUUACGACGCCAAAGUCUUUGUUAAAUCUCAAAAAGAUUGAGUCAACGUGGAACAACAACUCAAUUGUAAGCAUCGGGGUUUUGCAAGAGAUGGGCUCCAAUGGCUUUCAACAUUCCCAUGGCCUUCUAUUUGCUAGCUUUGUUCUCGACCCCGUCCUUGGCGAAGUACUUGCUCGUGCUCGUGCUCGUGCUCUUGCACGUGCACCCUCUCUGUCUGGACUUGAUCUCGUUCGAGAUCUUCUCUAGCGCGUCGCCCUCGACGAUGGUGUAAGCGUGCGCGAGCUUUCCUUGUCCAGCUUGUGGACUGGUGCUUCACCGAGUUGAACCGUCUAGCCGUGACACACAGAAAACUGCAGUCAGCUCCCACGUUAGUCUUAUCAAAGAAUGUCAGGCCAAUGUCUUGACAUCACAUGUUGAUGCGACGUGACCAAAAUGAAUGAAAUUAGAAGACGCGCAAGUACUCGCCUCCACCGAAAACGAUGCGAUGGUGACGGGACAGCCAUCACCUUCAAGGGUGACAAAAUCCAGACUGGCUUGUGGGAGGAGCUUGGGGAUGAGAUUUUUAUCAAGAUCAAAGGCCUUGAACAUUCGUGCAGGUGGGAUGGAAUGCGUCUUCGCCUAAGAUUUCCGAGUCCCAGGGCAAGAUAUGUGAGAUUAUGUUGAAAUGCCCUUUAAAUGAUUCUCAAUCUCCUCGUUUAGCAAUCUAAAUCAGCAUCACAAUGUUCUUAAAUAAUACAACAAAAAAACAGGACAAAACGCAUGGAUCUCAAGCCCAAAUUAUACUUAUUAGCAUGCGAGAGAUCUUUGAAUGCAAACACCCUUGAGGGUGGGAAUUCACUAAAUUAUAACUUAAAUAUUCUAACGGCACCAACGGCUUGGACAAGCAAGCUUGAGUGCAUGCGGACAAUUCUUGCGCAAUGAAAUGCAUGGUAAGUCGCGAAUCGAGACUCGUCCACGUACACGCUAUUGCGACCAUGACCAUGAAGACCACUUCCUUGACCAGUUGGCUAGUCGGAGGAGGAAGAUGUGGGUCGAGCAUAUCCUAUAGUGGCACAUUUGAGUCUUUCAAUAAUGUCGACAUUUGUGUCAUUUGUAGGGAAGAGAGAAGAUUCCUGGAUGCUUCCCCAUCAUUCUCUAGCAUUGGUACUUUUACUGUUGACUCUGUUUCAUGAAAGAAGAAUGAAUCUAUGUUUUUAUUACAACCUCAAGUUGCCUACAAAUUCCAAAUUUUUGAGAUACUGUUAAUACAAACCACUUUUCAAAAUCUGUACUUGCUCUUCCUAAAAAGUCUUAUUAGAAGUAUUGGACGAAUCCAAAUUCAAUAUGUCAAUUAAAGCUAUUUGAUCAACCCGAGACCAUAGGUACAGGGGGAAUGUAUUGAUUAGAUUUGAUUACGUAGCUUACCAGAAACCAUGUAGUCAUAAGAUCUAGCCACAGGGAUCCAAUUCGAUGAAUCCAAAUUCAAGAGCCUCACCGUCCCAAAAACCAAAAGCCGAGGCUCGAAGUCCGACUCGAGCAAGAUGUUGUUCAACAUCAUGUCCUGAUGGACAAUAGGCAGUGAGCAAUCGUGAUGCAAGUAGGUGAUCGCGGGAGCCACGCAUUGAACAAUCUUCACUCUCUUGACACAAGUCCGAUUCAACUGCUCCUCUUCUUCCAUGCAAGACCUUUGCCAAAGUUCAGAAAAACAUUGGAUGAUGUCCCUGCGGUUAACCACCACUUUUUUUACCGUGACGAUGUGGCCGCUGGCCUAUUCGGCCUUGUAAACGCUUCUAAAUCCGCGUUUUCCGACGCAAUACUCUUCACUGAAGCCGUUGGUGGCCUUGGCAAUAUCGUUGAAUGCAAACUUCGUUCCCCUUUUCCAUAUGAUUUCACGUACUUCAUAAGAUUUCUUAUCUCUUCAUCGAGAUGCUUGUUUCACCGCCAAAGCACCGAAAUCAGAGCAAUAAGAGUCACGAGAAGUAGUAAGCAGCAAACGCAACAAUCACAUUAAUCAGAACCUUUCUCCGAUGGUCAGUCGAUUUACUGCUCGACCCGCAUGGAGACAUUCCGUCGCGUUUCCUCAUAAGCCCGGAUUUGCAAUAAAAGCACUUCCUAGUUAUUGUCGAAAGAGGCGACCACCAAGAACUGCGCCUGUCAGCUUGUUGUAUAAGAAGCCCAUGAAGCUUAAACUGCUCAUGCUGGUGAGAGCAGCUGGGAUCGUACCCGACAAAUCGUUAUGCGAAACAUUGAGAUUUUCCAAUUUAGUGAGCUUUGUUAAAUUGGAAGGAAUUGAUCCUACUAGUGAAUUGUGGCUCAGGUCUAGUGGUUCUGUAGCGUGAACGAGUUCCCCAGCUCUGGCGACAUGACACCCAACAUAUUGUUGUUGCUCAAGUUCAAGCUCAGUAAAUUCUCGCAAUUUGCUAACUCUUUUGGUACAAUAUAUAGAGAAGGGAUGUACUUGCCGUAUUGUGGUUUAUGAAAGAUUGUGCCACAUUGAUAACUUUAGAUGUUAAUCCAAAUUCAAAAUAUCAGGCCAAAGUUUGGUAUUUUAUUGGCCAUUUGGCAUUUCAUUUAUAACUCAUGAAUUCUCUCCUCGUAAAAAAAAUUACUAAAUUAGAGAAUUUCAUUCUACAAGCCUUGUAUAGUUUAUCAAAUUACACAAAACCACUGCACCAGAUUCCUAUCACACCUUUUAUUCUCUUAUUCUCGGCAAUGACAAGAACAACAACACUCACCAGCCCAACAUGCUUAGCUCCAAACAGAGUGACUUAAACUCUUCUUGUCUCCUUUUCAGUAUAGCAUAACCACACAUAUUUAACACAUUACGUAAACAAUACAAGAUAGCGAAGAGAUCGGCUCAGUAGGCAUCAGGGUUUUCCAAGAGAUAAGCCUCGAUGGCCUCGUACAUCGCGGACGCCUUCUCUUUCCGGGUGUUGAUCUCCUCCUCGGUGAUGUCCACCUCGCCAAUGGUGAAGUAACUGUUCGUGCACUUCAACAUCGAGCCUCCCAAAGGCAACGCGUUGAUCUUCACCUCAAAGGUGAUCUUCUCGAAGGUGGUGCCCAGCAUUUCGCCAUCGAUGAUUGAGUAGCAGUAGGUGAAGUUCUCCUUGUCCAGGGCCUCGACCUUGUGCUUUGCUGUCUUGUAUGGAUUGCCUAUCACUGUAACAAAAAGUCAUAUUCACAUUUAGAACUCGCAGGUUUCAAUAUCACGAGCACCAAUCUUCAUGGUGUCCAUCAGGCCAUUUAGGAAUUGACCCAAUUGUUCCGACCGCAAUCCAAUACAAUUGACUUAGACAUAGCCUGACUUUGCCUGAUCAAAAUUGAGUCACAUAUUCACUUGUGUAAAGUUAAACGGUUAGAAACAUCUUAAGUAACCGAGUCAUAUUUUUAUCUUUUUCCAUAUUCAUUAUAGUGUUUCAUAAGGUUGAACCUGCCUUGAUUCAGAGCAAUCCUAAGUUCCUAAUACGGAUGGACUAACCUUCAGCAAAAGUAAUCAACUUGAUGGUCCCGGGACCUCCAUCGCCCUCGAGGACUUCAACGCUCUUGACGGCUUGCGGGAGGACGAUGGGGAGGAGGUUACCGGCAUCGAGGACAACAGCCUUGAACAUCCUGGCCAGGGGAAUGACGGACGGGACAUCAAAGUGAAAAGUGAUGACACCCAUGACCGGAUCCUAACGGAGUUGCUGAAACUGAGAAGGGGGUGAUGAUCUGGAAAGACUUGAGUAGUAGUGACGAAGUUGGUCUCUGCGACUUGGGAGUGAAGAGAAGAGGCUGAAUUGAAGUUGACAUAUAUAGAGAGAGAGGGAGACUGAGUGUGAAGGGUUCUGAUCACUGCAUAUUUUCUUCUUACUAAGAUGCAUUAUAUUUUGCAGAAAAUAGAUAAUUUAGAAAAUGUUUUCCUAAAAAUAAUCACUAAAUUUAGAUAGUGUUCCGAGCAUAAGUUAUUUGGUGAGUGUGCUGCAUGUUCUAAAUUGAUCUAAAUUGCUAAAUUUAAUGGGCUCACUAGAAUUAAAAGUCUAGAUUCCCCUUAAUAUAAAUACGACACUACCUCAUUUUCAAGUCUUCGUCAAAAUUGUAUUGUAUAUAAAUAUGACCCUAGCUCAUCUCCGAGUCUUUAUCAAACGUGUGUUGUAUGUCCUAAAUUGAUCUAAAUUGCUAAAUCUAACAGGUUCACAUGGGAUCCAUGUGGAACUCACUCGAAUUAAAAGUCUAGAUUCUCCUUGAUAUAAAUACGAUGCUAUGUCAUUUCUAAGUUUUCGUCAAAAUUGUGUUGUAUAUAAAUAUGACCCUAGCUCAUUUCUGAGUCUUUAUCAAACGUGUGUUGUAUAUCCUAUAUUGAUCUAAAUCCCUAAAUCUAACAGGUUUACGUGGGAUCCAUGUGGAACUCACUCGAAUUAAAAGUCAAGAUUCUCCUUGAUAUAAAUACGAUGCUAUGUCAUUUUGAAGUUUUCGUCAAAAUUGUGUUGUAUACACUAAGUUAAUCUAAAUCGCUAAAUUUGACGGGUUCAUGUGGGAUCCAUAGGAAACUCACUAAAUUAAAAGUUCAAGUCAACUUAAUAUAAAUACAGUUUUCUUUCAUCAUAAUUACGCCGUAUGUACUAAAUUAACCCAAAUUGCUAAAUCUAACAGGUUCACAUGGGAUCCAUGUGGAACUCACUCGAAUUAAAAGUCAAGAUUCUCCUUGAUAUAAAUACGAUGCUAUGUCAUUUCUAAGUUUUCGUCAAAAUUGUGUUGUAUAUAAAUAUGACCCUAGCUCAUCUCCGAGUCUUUAUCAAACGUGUGUUGUAUGUCCUAAAUUGAUCUAAAUCGCUAAAUCUAACAGGUUCACAUGGGAUCCAUGUGGAACUCACUCAAAUUAAAAGUCUAGAUUCUCCUUGAUAUAUAUAUGAUGCUAUGUCAUUUCUAAGUUUUCAUCAAAAUUGUGUUGUAUAUACUAAGUUAAUCUAAAUCGCUAAAUUUGAUGGGUUCAUGUGGGAUCCAUAGGAAACUUACUAAAAUUAAAAGUUCAAAUCAGCUUAAUAUAAAUCUAGUGCUCUUUCAUCAAAAUUACGUCGUAUAAACUAAAUUAACCCAAAUCGCUAAAUCUGAUGGGUUCAUGUGGGACCUAUAUAAAACUCGCUGGAAUUAAAAGUCUAGAUUCUACUAAAUAAAAAUGAGGCCCUAACUCAUUUCCGAGUCUUUGUCAAAAGUGUGUUGUAUGUCCUAAAUUGAUCUAAAUUGCCAAAUCUGAUGAGUUCACAUAGGAUCCAUAUUGAAAUCACUAGAAUUAAAAGUCCAAAUUCCACUUAAUAUAAAUAUGACGCUAGCUCAUUUCUGUUUCUUCAUCAAAAUUGUGGUAUAUGUACUAAGUUAAUCUAAAUCGCUAUAUUUGAUAGGUUCAUGUGGAACCCAAAUGAACCUCACUAAAAUAAAACGCCCAAAAUCGAUUAAACGUAUAUACUACUUUAACUCAUUUCUAGGUCUCCAUCAAGCGCCUUUUUCUCAUCUCUUUGAAGCUUCCGAUCGCGUGCCAUUCCGUCACAUGUGAAUCGCGAAUGAUUUUCCACGCCAGAGUCUUUGUUAAAUCUCAAGACUUAAAAAUACGAAUGUGAAGUAACAAUUGCGUGUCAAAUGCAGAAAAUUCAUAUGUGAAAAAGUUGACCGUCCCUUCUUGAGUCAACUGUUCUCUUCCUCGAUAUGCUUUUCUGAUAUGGCCUCAAAGACAGAUGGGCAAAGCGGCGCAUUCAUAUCUAUAAUCUCGCGGCAGUUUCAACUCUGUUAAAAGAAUGCCGAGGUCUUUACAAGAUGUUUGACAAGCGUCUUUGAUGACAGCAUGCAGCAUAUCUACCGCUUCAAAACAUAGUUACGGUUCAGUCUCGAUUGUUAUUUUUCUUCAAAUUAUGGUGGGAGAUAGAAAGAUCCAGCCAACAUGUAACAACAACUCACUCGUAAGCAUCAGCGUUUUUGCAAGAGAUGGGCUUCUAUGGCUUUCAACAUUCCCAUGGCCUUCUCUUUGCUGGCCUUGUUCUCGACCCGGUCCAUGGCGAAGUACUUGCUCAUGCUCUUGGCCAUACACCCUCUCUGUCUAGAAAAGCAUAGAACUUGAUCUCGUUCGGGAUCUUCUCUGCGCGUUGCCCUGGACGAUGGCGUACGCAUGCGCGAGCUUUCCUUGUCCAGCUUCUCGACUGGUGCUCCACCGAGUUGAACUGUCUAGCUACGAGACACAGACAACUGCAGUCAGCUCCCACGUUAGCCUUAACAAAGAAUGUCGGCAAAUGUCCUCUUUGACAUCACGUGUUAAUGCGACGCAACCAAAAUAAAUGAAAAUAGAAGACAGCGCAAGCACUGGCCUUCGCCAAAGAUGGCGCCGGUGUUAGGGAAAUCCCUUAUGAUGUUUUGAAGAUGACAAAAUAAAUCAAAGGCUACUAACAUGUUUGAUGGUUGAGUAAUAGACCAUGCAGAUGAUAGAACAUGUAAAGGAUUUUAUCAAAGUCAGAAGACGGCCAGAAGACUGAACGUAACAUAUGUCCAGAGUAUAUUUUGAAGAUUUCCAGACUUCUGUGUCAAAGUCUGAAGACUGUCAGACUCAAGACUCAUAUUGUAAAGUCUACAGACCCAGAUUGUAAAGUCUCAAGACUCAUAUCGUAAAGUCUAAAGACUCAGACUUUACAUCCAGAUUACGAUGAAUCGUAACUCAAGCCCAAUCAUAUAACGGCUAGUGAUCUGGUUUGGAUUCCACAUCAAGAUUGAUUUGAUUGAAGACAAGAACUUUACAUACGAAGAAGCUUUACUUAUGGAAACCAAGAUUUCGUUUGUAUGGGCGAUCGGAAUCCAUUUGGGAUUCUACCUUUGUCACUCAACGGCUACUAAAUCUUCUAGAUACAGAGCUGUCCAAUGGGUAUAUUGGAAGACGAUUCUCCGGGAUAUUGUCCAACGGGUAGUUUGGAAAUGGAGGAGUAUUUAAGGAGAUGAAGGACCGAUGAGCAAGUAAGAGACGGAGCGUAGAAUUUAUAAUUCCAAAGUCUAAGCGACUUUAGAUCAUAUACUUGUCUCUUGAGAGCUUAAAUGUUUGUAAUCGUGAGAGAAAUACCAAGAGAGUGACUUAGUGAGAUAGUGUGAUCUACUAAGUGUAUGCACUCGAAGUUGUAAUCUCUUGUUGAUUGCAUAUUGGAAUCCAGCCAAGAAGGCUGUUAUCGUGGGAGAGUGGACGUAGGCUUGGAUUAAGCCGAACCACUAUAAAUCUUGUGUUCUUAUUUUCUUCCUUAACUCCUUUAUUUUGUUCAUACUAGCACUCUCAGCCGGGACCCCCAUCACCUUCAGGGAUGACAAAAUCCUUAAAGGCUUGUGGGAGGAGCUUGGGGAUGAGAUCGUCGUCAAGAACAAACGCCUUGAACGUUCUUGCAGGUGAGAUGGAAUCGUCUUCACCUAAGAGUUCCAAGUCCCACGGCAAGAGAUCUGGGAGAUUAUGUUGAAAAUGCCCUCUAAAUGAUUCUCAAUCGCCUCGUUUAGUAAUCUAACUCAACAUCACAUUGGUCUAAAUCAUAUAAUAAAGAAAGAGGACAAAAGGCAUGGAUCUCAAGCCCAAAUGAUACUUGUUAGCAUGCGAGAGAUCUUUGAAUGUAGACAACCUUGAGGGAGUCACUAAAUUAUUGUUAAAAUAUUCUAAUAGAACCCAAUGGCUUAGACAAACAAGCUUGAGUGCGUGCGGAUAAUUCCUGCUUGAUGAAAUGCAUGGUAGGUCGCGAAUCGAGACUCGUCCCCAUGCACAUCCACUUCCUCGGCUAGUUGACCGGUCGGAGGAGGAAGCCGUGGGUCGAGCACGUCCUUCAGUAGAACAUUUGAGUCUUUCAAUAAUGUCGACAUUUGUGUCAUUUGUAGGGAAGAAAGAACAUUCAAUGGAUGCUCCCCAUCAUUCUCUAGUGUUGCUGACUCUGUUUCUUGAAAGAACAACUAGUCAGGAUUUUGCUCACAUCGUCAAGUUGUCCACAAAUUCCAAAUUUCUGUUGUACUUUUACAACAAAGCACUUUUCAUAAUCUAUACUUACUCUUCCUAAAAGUAUUGUUAGAAUUAUUGAAUGAAUCCAAAUUUGAUUUGUCCAUUAACCACAGAGUUACUACUAAUUUUAUUUUUCAAGAAGAAGAAUGAAUCAAAAUCACGAUCAUAAUGUCAAGUUGUACCCAAAUUCCAAAUUUGAAACCGACUCUCUAAAACAAAUCACUUCUCAAAACCUAUAUUUGCAAGAAUCCUAAAAGUCCCGUUAGAAUUAUUUGAAUGCAAAUUAUCAAUCCGAGACCAUUUGUACCCGCGAAAUGUUCUAUUAGAUUCAAUCAUCUAACUUACCAGGAGCCAUGUAGCCAUAAGAUCCAGCCACAAAUAAGGCUGGAAACUCGCAUGAACCGGAAAGCAGCAACCUAGUCCGGUGAGCCUGAAAUAGGGCAUGGGCACAAAAAAGCGCGGUCGGCCGAGAGUCCCUACCCAGCUCGCGGCGUUGGACGGCGGACGAGCUCAAUAGAUCGGGCUACGUCCGUCCGCCUCGCUCGUCUCCUAGUCGGGAUCCUCGGGAAGCGGACCCCAAAUGGGGAAAAACCAAGACGGCCCGAACAGGGACCUACCAUGGCCUCGAAGUGGACAAGGAGCGGCGGCGGAUCAUCAGUUUUGGUUCGGAAGUGGAGGUCAACAGCGGCUCUCUCAGUCGCGUUCUCUCUCUCUCAACUCACGGUCUCUCUUUCACGGCCCUCUCUCCUCCGGAUCCGAAUCCCUCUCGCGUCGUACUUGACCCCCUUCGAUUUCUCCCUCCUCCCCAACCUCCGACCUUCUAUUUAUAGGCUAAGAAGGCCGGUCGGCGGAGGUGCUUCGGCCGCCAGUCCUUCAUGCGCCGACCGGCCCCCCUUCGCUGAACCAGCAUCACAUCACCCGUCGCCUCCACCGCCGCCUGCUCUGCUUUGCGCCUACUCUACUCCUUCUGCUACGGCCGCCCUCGCUGGCCUGACGAAGAAGCGGGGAAUGAGGAAGGAGGGGCCGGGCCAGGGUGAGAAGCACAAGCAGAGUGGGCCCUAGGCCCACUCGGGGAAGAAAGGUGAAAAGAGGGGGGCUAAGGCGAAGGCCCAGCCGCCGUGGGCCCUUUUUUUUAUAAAUACUAUUAAAUAGGGUUAAAUAAGAGAAAAUAAAACUUAAAAUGCAAAUAAUAUUAAUGCUUAUAUGAUGUGAAAAUCGUUUUUAUUAGGGUUAAAUUGAUUCCAAAUUUUUUUAUAUAAUUUUAAUUAUAGAUGUUUAGUCAAAAUUUAAGUAUCAAUAAAUGUAAAUCUCAAACUGUAAGAGUUAAAAUAAAAAAUAAAAGAAUUAAAGAAGAGACAAGUGCAGUUGCAGCUUUAUCCCAUCUUGUAACAAAAAUUGUUUACGAAAGUCAAAAAUUUAACGAACAUCACGUGCUCUAACUUUAAUUGAAUUAUUGUAAGCCCACGAAUCCCUCGUUGAAGUCAUCCUUUGAUGUUACAUAUAUAAAUGAAUCGAAAUUUGUCUAUAUGUUAUACGUAGUGACACGUGUAAUGCAGUGUGGCUUUUUUGAUAGGACAAAUAUCCCCACAUCACCAAUUACCUCUGAUUAGGGCAAGUUCUUUCAAGUAAGGACCCUGUCUUUUUUCUUCUUCUUUUUUGAUAAUAUCCCUAUUAUUGUUCAUGACAUGUUUCUUUUCCAAAUUAAUUGGAAUAUAUAAUUUUAAUGGAUCAGAUCGCUACUUUAAAUGGGAGUAUGAGUCUUUCAAAUGCCUAUGAUAUAUUAUUAUCAAUAGUCACACACGAAUAACAUGCCAGUUGAUGCUACGGUGUGACACAUAAUAAAUAAAGAUGAAAAGCUAGAUUUUAGUAAAACAAAUUCAAAAAUGAGUUUGAGUGUUGAGAUUAUUUAUUGACAUGGACAUCAACCUAUAGCAUCUCCUUUUACUAAUGAACAGGGCUUGGAUUAAAUAAUCAACCUAGUGAUAUUCUAAAAUAGCUCCUUUUUGCCUUGCUCUUCUAGCUUUGGACAUCACUUUAUUUAUUUUUUAAUUUUCUUGGAAUCUUAUUUGGUGAAAUCUAUACAUGUUCAUCGAAAGUGCACGAUCUAAAAGAUUUCAUCAGUGUCAUAGCCACAACCAAGAAGUAUGUAUGAUAUAUAUAUAUUAGAAUACCAAACUACAUUCUAGGCAACCGUGCAUUUAAGUACCACAAGAGUUGUAUUUAGAUCCCACAUCAACUAAAAGAACACUAACAUUCGGACCAAUAUCUAAUCACUUGUGGAUUGCCGACUAUGAAACCAUAAAGGAGUAACUAUAUAUAUUAAUCCUAGCUAGGAUUCCCUACAUUUCUACAUGGGUAGGCAUUUAAAUGAUCAAUGAGAGAGAGAGAGAGAGAGAGAGAGAGAGAGAGAGAGAGAGAGAGAGAGAGAGAGAGAGAGAGAGAGAGAGAGAGAGAGAGAGAGAGAGAGAGAGAGAGAGAGAGAGAUUAUAUAUAAAUCAUAAUUCAAAGUGACGAUCUACUCUCUUAAUAAUGAUGAUGACGAUGAUAAUUAUAUAAAAUUGAGAGGAUAAAAAAAAAAAAUUGGCCUGGUAGAGCCUGUAAAGAACUACACAAUACAUCGGGAUGAUCAUUAGAUGAAAGUGCAUGCUUACAACAUUGAAAAUCAUUUUGUAGGGUAUAGAUCUACCAAAUUGUUCAAACAUUGUUUUAAUGGUUUCCCUUGGAUGAAAGAUUCUUCGUCUAACACAUGAUUUACUUAAUUUAAUUAGUCCAAGAGAGAGAUACACCACCCACGUGCCCCAUAAGCAACGAGGAAUUUGUCUAAUAUGUUAUGAUGUACAAGACCAUACAAUCUCAUUCGCUCUUUUGAUAAAUAUAAAUUAACAUGCAAUCAAUGAAUUAAGAUCUAAUGUUAUUAAGAUUUUUUACGUGUGCACACGUGGUUUUGGUCUAAUAGAUCAAACCAACAUACAACGUCAACUCAGACGGACACAUUUUUGGUCAUUCACUCUUCUUGAUAAAAAUCCCCUUGAAGGCCAAAUGUCUGAUAACCCUCGAUACUUGACAUCUUAAAGUUUACUUAGCAAAGGUUCAAUAAGUCAGGUUUUGGAAGGGUCAUUUGGAGUAUUACAGGUCGGAACGGGUAAAACGAGGAUCUCUAUAAAGUUAACCACCUUGCUAGAGUUGCAUUUGAUGAAUGAAUUUUUCCCCAACUGAAAUUCUUUUAGAGCAUAAGUUAACAAGACAAUCGCAAAAUUGUCGUCAAAUAAAGCGCCCGGGCCAAAAGCGGAUUGAUCACGAUGAUUUUUGCAUUGAAGUGGUGAAAAAGCUUGGUCGAGAGCUAAUUGGGAGAAAGAGAGAGCUCAAACUUUAGGAUAAGCAAUUUUGUGGCUAAUCAUAGAAACUACAAAAGGUUUUGGCCUCCACUUCUGAACCAGGUCUGCUCUCACGUGCACGCGGACCCUGGUCUGUGUCUCGGCCUCUCAAGUCCCUCUCUCCUGUUCUUCAAUCUCCACUUUCCGUCACCCAUUAAUCCCAUCUUCCUCGUUGACAUGAAGUCAUUAACAUUCGAUUUGAUCCCCAGAAAGAGAAAUCAACACUUAUCCCAUGAAUCAAAAGCAAAUACUAUGGAAUCGGUGUCCCAUGAGGUUGAUCUUAUAUGAUAACGUCUUUGUAUCGGCUACAUACAUUAUGUGCAAAUAAAGUGUAAUUAUACUAUCAUAUUUUUUGUUAAUUCACCUCUUUGAUCCGAUAUUAUUUGUUGACAUUGCCCUUAAAGAAUCAAGACAUGACAUCCUCGUUAGUUGAUUGAUAUAUGACAAGGGUCGACAAAAAAGACAGCAUCUAAGUUAACAAUUUGAGAAGAUUAAUGUUUGUGAUGGAGGGUAUUGACUUAUUACGUGGCAAAAUCUUUCCGACAUCAUACAAUUAGCUGUCAAGCAAGCUUUUUUGCCUUUUGCUUUUCAAAAAACAAACAAUCACAAGUUUUUAAAGAUCAAAUGCCCAUUUAGUUGAUGGAAAACUGUUUAUGGAAAAGCUUUCCAUAUUCCAAUAUUUAGAUGAUAGAAAAUUAUUCAAUCUACCGAAAGUGUUUUAUGUGGAUUGAAGAUAAUAAAUUUAUAUUUGGAAAAAAAAAAACUUCUGUUUAUGGUAAGAAAUAAUAGAUAAUAAUUUUUUUGAUAAUUCUUAUAGAUUAAAUUAGCCUAAAUUAGACUUUAUUAACGCAUAUUAGCAGAUUCACUUGCUAUCAAACACCAUAAAAUUAAUUUUUCUCCAACAUGUUUUGGCACGAGCGAACACUAGAAAAUUAUUUACUUUCUCUGGAAUUAAAUUUUUUGAAAAUACUUUUGAGCGAUAAAUUUUCGCUAAAAUAAGCGCACCCAAGCGACAUAUUUGUUAACCUUGUUCUCCUUCUCUCCUUCUCUCUCUCUGCUACAGCUGCUCUUUCUUCUUCUUUUUUUUUUUUUUGGUCGAAAAAGGAUUACUAUGAAAUUACUUAGCCACGGUUUGAGACAAAACAUCAAAAGCAUUGGUGCAUAAUAAGUCUAGUAGAGCGGGCGGGGGAUGAAACAACUAAUUAGAGGGAAUGUAACUAAAUCGACAGGCCUUUGCGAGCCAAUCGGCGGGACCGAUUUGCUGUUCUAUUGCAGUGGGCCAGGGAGAUGUCACAGAAUUCCUGUAGUUUCGCUUGGGCCUGGUCCAGGAGCGGUUGAAGCUACCAGUUCACUUCCGUCGAAGCCGUAACCCCCUGCACGAGUGGAAGACAAUCUGACUAUACUUGCAGGGAGAGUUCCGCACGGUUAGAGAGUAGAUCUAGGGUUUCAAGCAGAGCCAAAGCUUCCGCAUGUGCUGUCGAAGCCGCAUCCACCAAUUUCGCGAAGCCAUCCACAAGACAUCCUCGGUAGUCCCUGCAGAUACAUGCUACUGCUGCUCUGUUUUGCGUUUCUCCUCCGGCAUCUGCUUCCAUGGCGUUGAGCUCGGCAAAUGAAGCAUCUAUAUUAAAUUUCAGCGUAUGAGGGGGCGGAGGUUGCCAACGAUCUGGUAUGGCUUUUAUCUUCCUUUCAUCUACUUGUUGUUGGCUCACAGAUUUGAGGUUAUCGCAGAGAGCUUGCGCCUGAAUUAAAACUUGCUGCGGGUGCAGGGGACAACUCUCGAAGAGGUACUGAUUUCAACCCUUCCAAAUACUCCAGAGGAAAGCCACGACUUGGUCAAACUUCUUAGUAUGGGUAGGGUUGGUUUUGAGAUUGUCUAACCAGUCAUCGAGGCGUGUUAACCCAUAUCUGGAUAUUUUGAUCUAUAGGGGCGCGGAACUCCAAAUCUGAUUUGUCCAUGGACAGAGUAGAAGAAUAUGUUCAGUGGUUUCAGCUUCUUUGCUGUAGAUAGAGCAUAUAGGAUCCGGUUACUAGCUUUCUUCUAUAUAAGUUUUCCCUUGUAGGAAGAGCAUUAUGACAUGCUUGCCAGAGAAAGAAUCUGAUUUUUGGAAGGGUUUUAGCUUGCCAAAUGUGUUUCCAGAGAUCUGGAUUUAUAUGAUGCGAUGAGGUUGCUGUUGGGUUUGUGCUUGUUGGGUUAUCUCUGACUGUGAAGUAGCCACUUUUCACUAAAUAGAUACCAGAGUUAUUAUGCAUCCAGACUAGCUUGUCUUUUGAAUCUGGCCUUCCAAUAGGAGUAGCAAGAAUUUCCUUCAUGAUUUUGUCAUCAAACAUCGACUCCACCCUAUGAACAUUCCAUUUGCUAGUCCCUUGUUCAAUUAGUUCUGCCACAUGUUCUGGUUCAUUUCUUGUUGCUGAGCCUCCAAUCAAACCACUUUUUAUCAAUUUAUCUGCUCUUAUCGAUAGUUUUUUCCCAUUCCCAACUAAGUACAUAGUGUGUGGACUUAUAGAAUCCCUACGCCGAGUUAUACUUUGCCAACCCCAUGAAGGUCGGGAGCCUUUUCUAGCUUUCCAGAAGUCUCCAUGCGGAUAGUAUAGGCCUUUCAUCACUCUGCUCAAUAAGAACUAGGAAUUUUGUGAGAUGCGCCAAGCUUGUUUCCCCAACAUAGCUGUAUUGAAUGCUAUUAAGUCUUUAAAGCCUAGGCCCCCCUCCUUCGUUCUAAGUUUCAAUGCUUCCCAAUUCUUCCAGUGUAUUCCAGCAUUUCUACUAUUCGUUUUCCACCAAAAGUUAGCAAUCCUCCUCUCAAUAGCUUUGCAUAUGGAAAUAGGGAUCUUGAAUAUGGACAUGGCAUAUUGAGGGAUAGCAUGUACAACUGAUUUUAUUAAAAUUUCCUUCCCUACUUUUGAUAACAGAUGUUUCUUCCAGCUUUCUAACUUUCUGUUUACCCUCGCAAGGAUCCAUGCGAACAUAUCUUUCUUUGAGCAGCCCAAAUCCGUCAGAAUCCCUAAAUAUUUCCCUGUUUUUUCAAUUUCUGGAACUCUCAAUUCAUUGGCCAUGUUCCUCCUCAAAGUAAUAGGACAACAUUUACUAAAAUAUAUACCAGAUUUGUUGAGAUUAAUAGCCUGACCAGAAGCAUAACAAUAUUCAUGUAGGAUAGCCACCAGGUUUUGGCAUUCUAGGAUUGUACCAUGAAGGAAGAAAAUUGAAUCAUCUGCAAAUAGCAAAUGCGAUAGAGUGGGGCAGCUAUUAUUUAGCUUAAUUCCUCUAAUAGUGCCAUCUUCUACUAUUUUUCCCAUCAUGUAGGAUAGAACAUUGGCAACUAAUAUGAAGAGAUAUGGGGACAGAGAGUCACCUUGUCGAAUUCCACGUGUUGGCUUGAAAAAAGGUAGAGACUCCCCAUUAAAAUUCACACUGAAAGUUACUGUUCAGACACGCUGCAUCACCCAAUGUACCCACUGUUCGCAGAAUCCCAUUUUAGUUAGGCAUGCACUAAGGAAAUCCUAUUCAAUCCUGUCAUACGCCUUCUGCAUAUCUAGCUUUAAGACUGCUUGGAACUUCUUUUUUCUCUCCCGAGUGCGUAAUCUGUCAAGAACUUCCUGUACCAGCAAUAUAUUAUCUUGUAUUAGCCUUUCCCCCACAAAAGCACUCUGCUCUUCUGCAAUUAGAGUUGGUAGCAGGGGUUUUAAUCUGCUAGUCAGCACUUUUGAAAUAAUUUUAUAAAUGAAAUUACAAAGGCUAAUGGGGCGAAACUGUUCCAGCUUUUGUGGAUUUGAAACUUUGGGAAUAAGAGUAAUGAGCAUUCUGUUCAUAGUCGGAUUGAGAUAGCCUGUAUUGAAAAAUCCCUGUAUCUCUGUAUAGAUAUCCUGACAGAUGUCUGGCCAAUGUUUCCUAAAAAAAAAAGGCCAUGCAUACCAUCUGGUCCUAGGGCUUUUCGUGGGCUCCUAAUUGUUGUAUGCCUUGCGUGAUCUCUUCCAUAGAAACAGGUUCUACUAGACGUUGGUUCAUUCUCACAUCCACCGAAGCUGGAAUUUGUUGUAGAAAGGGUUGAAAGUCACAAGGCCCUAUUGACUCGUAAAGCCUUUGAAAUAUGUGCUUGUCAUCUCUUUCAAUCGUUGUUCAUCACGCACCCACACAUCUUCUGGAUUUUCAACAAAGUAACAUGAUUUGUGGUUCUUCUUUGAAUGGUUGUAGCGUGAAAGAAUUUUGUAUUUUUAUCUCCCCAUGCUAACCAAUUAAUUUUGAAUCACAUUCCCCAAUACAUUUCUUCUUGUCGCCACAACUAUUCAAUUUCUUUUGUCAGUGCCUGUGCUGCCUUGCUUUCUUGAGAUACCCAUUGUUGGAGAAAUCCUCGUGAAGUGUUUUGAAGUUGACAAAACGUUUCCAUCAGUCUAGUCUGAAGGUCAGCAGACUCUGUUAGUUAAAGUCUGAAGACUUCCGGACAGCCAGACUCAAGACUCAAAGUCUAUCCUCAUUGACUGUCUCUAAUCCGUUGAAGAAAGGUUAUCCAGAACUGGAUGUUUUGUUCAGGAUUUAUCCUUAUCAUCUGGAGAAGAUCUCGUGGCUGGAGAAGACGUAUCAGAAUCCUUUGAUUGAUCAAGAUUGAUUCAAUGACUGAAGAUUCGAUGAUUGUCUAAAUAUUAUUGGAAGGUUCUACUUAUGGAAACCAAGAUCCUGAUUGUAUGGGCGAACAGGAUUGAUGGGCUAUCAACACAUUCCUUUAAUAGCUCGAACAAUCUUCCUAGAUGAUUCCGUCCAACGGGUAGAUUGGAGGAAUUCCUUUAGUAAGUGCCAACGGGUAUGAUGGCAUAAAGGAGUAUAUAAGGAAGACGUUCUUAGCUGUUCGAGGUGUGCGCGAUAGAAGAAUUCCAAAGUCUGAAGCUCCAAAUUGUUUAGACAAAUCCUUUGAGCGAAUACUUGUAUACAAAAGAGAGUCUAUAUUUGUGAGAGACCUUGAGGAGGUGUGGUAAAACAUCUACACUGUGGAAUCAAGGCAAAGCUGUGCUGUAACUUCUCUUUUGAUCAUAGUGAAAUCCAGCCGGUGGGCUGUCAGUGUGGAAGAGUGGACGUAGGCUUGGAAUAAGCCGAACCACUAUAAAUCUUGUGUUCAAUUUUCUUUUCCUUACUCUCUCUACCUCAAUCGUAUUUCAUUUCGUUAAUUAAGAGAGAAUUUACCUUCCAUCAUAUGUUAAGAAUCGCUUCCGUAUAUCGAUAAAGUAUUUAGGCACCUAUUCACCCCCCCUCUAGGUACUCAUACUAGCAAUAUCAAUUGGUAUCAGAGCUCGUGUACUCACUUUGUUUGAAGUGUUUUACUUCAGAGUUAAAGAUCCAUGGCUAGUAUGCUAGCACCAGGGCUGAUGGAAGGGCAAAGCAAUACCAGACCACCCUACUUUGAUGGAAAGGAUUACAACAUCUGGAAGAACAAGAUGAAAGCUUUCCUACGAUCAAAGGAUCCUCUGGAAUGGGACGUUGUAGAAAAAGGAAUUACUCCUACCACUGCAUCAGUCUCUGAAAGAGGAAAAGAAACUGAAGAAAUCAGCGGAAUGUCUCAGGAAGAAAUAAUCAAGAGACAGACUCUCGAUGCGAAAGCAAUUUACUCCUUAUAUUGUGCUUUAUCACCAACUGAAUAUAAUAGAAUAUCUUCUUAUGGUACAGCAAAAGAAGUUUGGGACAGAUUGCAUAUCACCUAUGAAGGAACAGAUCGAGUGAAGGAAACAAGAAUCAACAUUCUUCUCGGUCAAUACGAAGCCUUCAGAAUGAAACCAGGAGAAUCAAUAUCUGACAUGUUUAGUCGUUUUACAGAUAUUGUGAAUGGUCUUGAAAAUCAAGGUCAACCAACUUCUGACCCCAUGAAGGUAAACAAGCUACUGCAUGGACUCUCCAGGGAUUGGAAUCACAUAAAGACUUCGAUAAGAGAGACGCAGAGAAUCAUGCCACUAUCUGUCGAUGAGCUGAUUGGAACUCUUCAGUCCUAUGAAGUGGAAAGGAUCAAUGAAGAUGAAGAUCCAAAAGGUAAGAAAUCCAUAGCAUUAAAAUCAAAUGAUGAUUCUGAUGUUACAGAUUCUGAAGAUGAUAUGGACGAUGAGGAGCUUGCUCUCAUGAUAAGAAGAUUCAGAAAACUGAAUAGAAAAGGAAGAAGGUUCAACUCAAAGAAACAAAGCUUUCAAAGACAGCAGACCAAGUCUGUUGAUGAUGAGGAACCAAAUAAAGAUGUAGUCUGCUUCGAAUGCAAGAAAAAGGGACACAUCAGACCCAACUGUCCUCUUCUGAAGAAGAAGAGAGGAAAAUCUGAAAAAUUUCGAAAAGCUCUCAAAGCUGAAACCUGGAGUGAUACUGAGUGUGAAGAAAGUGAUAAUGAAUAUGCCAAUCUAUGUCUGAUGGCACAAUCAGACUCAGACUCUGGAUCAGACUCAGACAGUGAAUUUAAGGCAAGUGAUUUUAAAAUUCCUGUUAAAGUUUCUAAAUAUAUUAAUGAACUAUGCCUUAGUCUUAAGACUUCUCUCAAAAGAAUUUCCGAACUGAAAAAAGAAAACUCAGCUCUAAAUCAAAAGGAAAAUGUUUUAGCAGAAAGAGUUAAAAGUCUAGACCUGUCUAUUUCCAAUCUUAAAGAAAAUGAAGAUAAUCUUUUAAAAGAAAAUGCUUUUUUAAAAACAGACUUAUCAAAUAUAUCAAAGAAAUUUUCUAUAGGGUCUGAAAAACUUGAGAAAAUUCUUUCAGCACAAAGACCUUACUUCAAUAAGUCUGGUCUAGGUAUGACAGAAGAAACAAUUCCCUUGAUUGAUUUUCCUAAAGUAAAAGAAAGAAUUAAGAAAAGACUCUCGAGUGAGGUUUACAAAAAUCACUUCAAGAAAGUUUUUGUAAAACCUGUAGGUAGAAAUGCUCUCAGAUGUUCUAAGUGCAACAGCCCGGAUCACUUUGAAAAAAAGUGUCCUAUGGUAUGGAAACCUGUUAAGAAAGUAUGGGCUAAUACUGUUUAUCUUACUAACACCAAAGGACCCAAGAAAAUUUGGGUACCAAAGAAAGCUUGAGACUUUAUUUUAAAUGCAGGUCUCCGUCAAGAAACAGGUAAAGUGGUAUCUUGACAGUGGAUGUUCAAGACACAUGACAGGAGACUCAAAUUGCUUUAUAAAGCUUGCUCAAGUAAAUGGUGGAAAAGUUUCAUUUGGAGGAAACAACAAAGGAAGUAUUGUGGGUUUUGGAACCGUGAAAAUCGAAUCUCUCACAAUAAGUAAUGUUUCCUUAGUGGAAGGACUCAAUUACAAUCUUCUCAGCAUUCGUCAAUUGUGUGAUACUGGUUUCAAGAUCUUCUUUCAAGAAGGAACAUGUUCUGGAAUCAGUAAAGACUCUACUCAGUCUUUCAUGGGUCGAAGACAUGGUAAUAUCUAUCUUCUAGAUGUGAAACCAAAUGAAUCGCAAUGCCUUAUCUCAAUUCAAGACGAAGCAAGCUUAUGGCAUAAAAAGCUUGGUCAUGUCAACAUGAAGCAAUUAGCCAAAAUCUCUUCAAAACAGCUUGUUCGAGGUCUACCCAGAUUACCAUACCAAAAGACUGAUUCAUGUACUCCAUGUAUUCUGGGAAAGCAGGUAAGAAAUUCUUUUAAGCCAAUUAAUUAUGUCUCUACUAAUCAUGUACUACAGUUGCUGCAUAUGGAUCUCUUCGGACCAACCAGAACUCAAAGUAUUGGGGGUAAGAAGUAUUGCCUAGUAAUUGUUGAUGAUUACUCCCGUUUUACUUGGGUAUAUUUCCUUGCAAGUAAGUCCGAAACCUUUUAGUAUUUUGAAAAAUUUGCUAAAGUGAUUCAAAAUGAAAAAAGGAUGUGUUAUCUCUAGUAUAAGAACAGAUCAUGGAGGUGAAUUUGAAAAUCAAGAUUUUACAAAAUUCUGUGAUGAAUCUGACUGUAAGCAUAUGUUUUCCUCUCCAUAUACUCCUCAGCAAAAUGGAGUUGUGGAAAGAAAGAAUAGAUCUCUUCAAGAAAUGGCUAGAACUCUUUUAAUUGAAAGUAAAAUUUCUUCUCGAUUUUGGGCCGAAGCUGUUUCAACAGCUUGCUAUAUCAUCAAUAGAGUCUUCUUAAGAUCUAUUCUUCAUAAAACCACUUAUGAGUUAUUCAAAGAAAAGAAGCCUAUUGUUUCAUACUUUCAUGUAUUCGGUUGCAAAUGUUUUAUUUUGAAAAAUGCAAAAGAUCGAGUUGGUAAGUUUGAAGAAAGAUCAGAUGAAGGUAUCUUUCUUGGAUAUUCUACAUCAAGCAAAGCCUACAGAGUCUAUAACAAGAAGAGCCAGACUGUGGAGGAGUCAAUGAAUGUCAAAUUUCAAGACUCAACACAAGAUGAAUCAACUCAGACUCAUCAAGAAGAGUCUGAACCUGCUCCAGACCCUCCAAAGUCUACAACUCAAGAAGCAUCUAAGACUCUGGAAAACCAGCUUCAAGAUGUUCGUGAAGAUCCAAACAAAGAAAGAAAUCAUCAACCAGACAAAUCAACGAGUAACUGGAAGCAUAAGUCCAGUCAUCCCAAAGAUCUUAUAAUCGGCGAAAUUAAUGAAGGAAUUCGCACCAGAUCCAAAAGGCGAGAAGAGUCUAGUGCUGUGGCACUCGUUUCUGAAAUUGAACCAAAGAGCAUAGAAGAAGCUUUAUCUGAUGAAAGCUGGAUAGAAGCUAUGCAAGAAGAGCUCAGACAGUUCAGCAUAAAUGAUGUCUGGGAAUUGACAUCUAAACCAAAAGGUAAAACUGUUAUUGGAGCUAAAUGGGUGUUCAGAAACAAGAUGAAUGAGAAAGGAAAAGUCGUACGAAAUAAAGCAAGACUCGUGGCCAAGGGAUAUACGCAAGAAGAAGGAAUAGACUAUGAUGAGACUUACGCUCCAGUGGCAAGGUUAGAAGCUAUUCGACUAUUACUUGCGUUUGCCUGUUAUAAGAAUUUCAGGUUAUUCCAAAUGGACGUCAAAAGCGCCUUCCUAAAUGGAUUUAUCCAUGAGGAAGUUUAUGUGGAACAACCACCAGGGUUUGAAGACCCAAAGAAGCCAGACUCAGUCUUCAGACUGAAAAAGGCUUUGUAUGGUUUAAAGCAAGCACCCCGAGCUUGGUACGACAGAUUGAGUAAGUUUUUAAUUCAAAAUGGUUUUGUCAAAGGUAAAGUGGAUACAACCUUAUUUAUCAAAAAGGAAAACAAAAGUUUCUUACUUGUUCAAAUAUAUGUGGAUGACAUUAUUUUCGGAUCCUCUAAUGAGAAUCUGUGCAAGAAAUUUUCUAAGUCUAUGCAGGAUGAAUUUGAAAUGAGUAUGAUGGGAGAAUUAACAUUCUUUCUUGGUCUUCAAGUAAAACAAUUGGAGGUAGGAACUUUUAUUUAUCAAGAAAAAUAUGCUAAUGAUCUUGUCAAAAGGUUUGGACUGGAAAAUUGCAAAAAGGUCGACAUUCCAAUGUCAAGUUCUUUAAAGAUAGACAAAGAUGAAGAAGGGAAGAAAGUUGAUCAAAAGCUGUACAGGAGCAUUAUUGGAUCACUUCUUUAUCUUACUGCCUCUAGACCUGAUAUUUUGUUGAGUGUUUGCAUCUGUGCUAGGUUUCAAUUAGAUCCUAGAGAAUCUCAUCUCAGUGCUGCAAAACGCAUCAUUAAAUACGUCGCUUCAUCAUCAAGCAUUGGUCUUUGGUAUCCUAAGAAGGGAGACUUUAAUCUUCUGGGAUAUUCAGACGCAGAUCUGGCCGGUUGCAGAGUUGAUAGAAAGAGCACUUCAGGAACUUGCCAGUUGCUUGGAAGCAGGACAGUGUCUUGGUUUUCAAGGAAACAAAGCACUGUGUCUCUUUCAACAACAGAAGCAGAGUAUGUAGCUCUUGGAAGCUGUUGUUCGCAAAUUCUAUGGAUAAAACAACAGCUGAGAGACUUUGAAAUUGAAGACUCAUGCACGGAGAUUAAUUGUGACAACACCAGUGCUAUCAACCUCACCAAAAAUCCAAUUCUCCACUCAAGAGCAAAGCAUAUAGAGAUUCGACAUCACUUUAUAAGAGACCAUGUUCAAAAUGGAGAUGUUUCAAUUCAAUUUGUUGACUCAAAGAAUCAACUGGCGGAUAUAUUCACAAAGCCUUUGGAGAAAAUUCAAUUUGAGUCUAUACGCUCCAGACUCAACAUUUUGAGGUAUGAGGAUAUCAAAGUCUAAACACUUUCAGACUCAGGCUAGCAAGACUUUAUCUACUGUCUUGGCUCGACCUUCAGACUGUAAGUCUUUCUCUCUCCAAUAUUAUCUUGAAAAGGUACGAUCAUCAGACUGUGUUUAAAGUAUUGCAUCGAUUCAUUUUCAAAAAGGUAGUUAUUUUUGAAAUGGCUAUUUUUGCGGAAAAAGACAGUUAUUUUGAAAAGGCAUAUUUUUAUUUCCUUUGUGACGGUUCGUUUACUCUUCUUUUUAACCGAUUGUGCACUGUCGAUUUCUCUUCAUUUUUCUAUUCACUUUUCUCUCAAAAACCCUAGAAAGCAUCGAUCCUCAAUUCCCGUUUGUCUUCUUCGCUCAAUCUUCAAAAAGUUGUCAUCUUUUCUGGGAAAGUCAAGCAAUGAAUCUUCCAAACACUGAGAAAGAUGUCAUCUUCACGAAAGUCCUCAAGAAUCGCAAGCAGGGGACCACAGAGAAUGAGUGAGGGGCUUACGCACUUCGAUCUUACAGAGGAGGAAGAGAAUCCUGAACAGCAAGCGAGCCCACAACUUUCUCAGCAGCGUCAUUCUUCACCAUCUAGUCCUCAAGGAGAUGAUCAUCAGCAACAGGAAGAAAUCAUCGAGGAUGCAGACCCCGUAAGAGUUCAAAAGCCCGCUUUUAUUUACAAGCUUUAUCGUGCCUUAAAAGGAAUUCGUACUCCUUUGAACUAUGUUGAUGAGUUUCUUAGAGACAAAGGAUAUAGGAACGAAUAUAUCUUUCUGCGAAAAAUGGAAAGUAUGGGAAUCGCUCGUAAAGGGGUGGCUGAGGAAACCCUUGCAAAUAUCCCAAGUGAUCCUCGUGAUUGGGGACCGAAUCCUGUAGAUGGGAAUGACGAUGACAAUCUGUUCAGUCUAUUUCAACCGAAAAUGGGUAUUGCGACUGAAAUUCAAGGAAAAAGGGGAGAUUUGUUCAGAUCAAAGGAACAAAAGGAUUUGUACUCGAAACUGCUGAAGCGUGGGGUAAUAAACCCUAGAAGUGUGGACUUUGAUUUUCUGGAUGCUAUGAAAGUGAACUUGAGGGAAAAGUUCAGUUAUCUUCAACUUGAAAAGUUUUGCUCUGACUCAACUGAGGCCUAUGCUGGAUUAACUGCUUAUUUCUAUUCAAAUCUUAGCUUUUUGGAUGCGAAUAGAUUCUCUUUCAGCGUUAAAGAUCAAGACUAUGUUGUGGAUAUGGACAUGCUGGCAGAUGUGUUAGAAGUUGAGAGAGGCAGAUAUCAACCAAUCAAAGUUUCCAUUGCUGGGGCCACACUUGAACUGGUGAAGGACAGGAGAACAGAUGAGAAGAUCACCUACUCACGGAUGAAUGCAUUCAACAUCUUGCUCCACAAGAUUGUGAUCAAUUGCCUUCGGCCGAAAUCAACUUCCAAAACUGAUGUUUCAAGCUCUGAGGCAAAGUUGAUGUAUGCCAUCCUCUGUGGUAAGAAGUUUUCUCUCCCUCAUACUGUUAUGUUUCACAUGUAUAGAGCAGUGAUGAAGGACAGAGGUCAACUCCCUUACCCAAGCCUUGUUACAAAGUUAUUCAGACAUCUGAAUAUUUAGCCUCCGCAAAUCUUUUGUGUUCGAUCAUGCGAUCAUAUGGUGGUAGGACUGAAAAUGGUGACCAAAAUGCGUCUGAAGGAACUGAGCAAGGAAUUGGAGAAAUUCAAGGAGAAGACUCCUUCCAAAUCUCAUCAACUCUCUUCUGCUGCUAAGAGAAAAGGGAAGGAGCCCAUGGUUGCUUCAUCAAAGAGAAGAAGAGCUCUCCUUGUUGAGGAUGAAGAUGAUGACGAAGACAUCACUAUCUCUGCAUUGGCCUUGAAGAAUUUAGGUCGUCCUGUUCCACAGAAAGAAUCGGAACAAAAGACGAAAGAAGCAGAGGAGAAGGAAGAAGAAGAAAGAGAAGCAGAGGAGAAGGAAGAAGAAGAAACAGAAGCAGAGCAAGAAGCAGAGAAAGAAAGACCUGAAGAAGAAACAAGAAAAGAAGGAGAACCUGAGGAAAUCUUUUCUCCACCUGAAGGCAUGGAAACAGGGGGAGAUAAGGAGAAAGGAAUGACGUCUUCAUAUCCUGAUGCAAGUGAAGGAGUCAGUCGCUCGCCUGCAGACCCAGAAGAUGUUUAUGCAUCUCAAUUUCCAGAGGAAUGUCAUGAAGUGUCAUCGCCAAAUCUGCAAGACUAUGCUGAUCUACCAUCUUCUGCAGAUCGAGCCGAAGCAAGUACUCAGACUGAUAAUAGAGCAGAUUUUCGCAGAAUCAUGGAUAUUCUCUUGGAGAUGAAAGGUCAGAUUUAUGCCUUGGGAUGCGAAGUUCAAAGUUUGAAGACUGAAAGUCAAGCUUCUUCCUGUUCAUUGAAUGAUAAGAUGCAAGCCCUCUCUAUUCAGAAUCAGGCCAAUGCCAAGAGUGAGGAGGUUGUUUAGCUGAAGGAAGACUUUAAAAGGCUGGAAGGCAUCGUUCAGUCUAUGGAAGAUUUCCAGCUUGUCCGCAUUCCCAAGACUUCAUCUCAUCCUUUUUAAUGAUGACAAAAAGGAGGAGAGAUGCAUGAUUUGAUCAAAAACUUUCAAUCAUUUUUUUUUGAACUGUUUGUUGGAUUGUGUUGUUGUUUAACUAUUUUUAACAGACUUUGACUUUGUUUUGUGUCUAGAUAAGAUCUGAACUAGACUUGGACUUGACUGCUUCUAUUAACAAGUAUUGAUAUCUUAUGGAUGGUUUUAUUAUAUACAAGACUAACCUAUUUUCUGUGGUUGCAUAUUCUAGUGUUAAUCUUUUAGCCAUUCAUCUCUAUAAGAUAUGCAUAUGUGUUUGAGAAAUGUUUUGCAGGUCAAUGUUAUCCAAAUCUGCAGGAAGGUUUUGUCACCAUCAAAAAGGGGGAGAUUGUUGGAGAAAUCCUCGUGAAGUGUUUUGAAGUUGACAAAACGUUUCCAUCAAUUUAGUCUGAAGGUCAGCAGACUCUGUUAGUUAAAGUCUGAAGACUUCCGGACAGCCAGACUCAAGACUCAAAGUCUAUCCUCAUUGACUGUCUCUAAUCCGUUGAAGAAAGGUUAUCCAGAACUGGAUGUUUUGUUCAGGAUUUAUCCUUAUCAUCUGGAGAAGAUCUCGUGGCUGGAGAAGACGUAUCAGAAUCCUUUGAUUGAUCAAGAUUGAUUCAAUGACUGAAGAUUCGAUGAUUGUCUAAAUAUUAUUGGAAGGUUCUACUUAUGGAAACCAAGAUCCUGAUUGUAUGGGCGAACAGGAUUGAUGGGCUAUCAACACGUUCCUUUAAUAGCUCGAACAAACUUCCUAGAUGAUUCCGUCCAACGGGUAGAUUGGAGGAAUUCCUUUAGUAAGUGCCAACGGGUAUGAUGGCAUAAAUGAGUAUAUAAGGAAGACGUUCUUAGCUGUUUGAGGUGUGCGCGAUAGAAGAAUUCCAAAGUCUGAAGCUCCAAAUUGUUUAGACAAAUCCUUUGAGCGAAUACUUGUAUACAAAAGAGAGUCUAUAUUUGUGAGAGACCUUGAGGAGGUGUGGUAAAACAUCUACACUAUGGAAUCAAGGCAAAGCUGUGCUGUAACUUCUCUUUUGAUCAUAGUGAAAUCCAGCCGGUGGGCUGUCAGUGCGGAAGAGUGGACAUAGGCUUGGAAUAAGCCGAACCACUAUAAAUCCUAUGUUCAAUUUUCUCUUCCUUACUCUCUCUACCUCAAUCGUAUUUCAUUUCGUUAAUUAAGAGAGAAUUUACCUUCCAUCAUAUGUUAAGAAUCGCUUCCGUAUAUCGAUAAAGUAUUUAGGCACCUAUUCACCCCCUCUAGGUACUCAUACUAGCAAUAUCACCCAUGUGCUGUUCAUUAAUUGUUCACUAUUCAGCCAAAUAAUCCUCCUCUUUGCAUUGGUAAAUUUUCCCUGACUCCAUUUUAACAACUUUUUUUUCCACUAUCUGCAGUUUCUCAACCACAUUGAGCUGUUGGAAAUCGGAAGCAGCCCAAGUGUCCCUGACGAGGCUCACACAUUCCUCCUCCUCCGCCCAAAAGGCUUCAUACUUAAAGCUCUUCCUCUUCCUUUGUUUCGAUGGGCAAGUAGAUAGAAUAAUUGGAGUGUGGUCAGAGCCAAUGGCUGGUAUGGCUAUACAUUCUGCUAUAGGAUAUUUAAUACGCCAAUCUGAGUAACAUAAUACUCUAUCAAGACACUCCUUGACCAGAUUUUCUCCUUCUCUUUUGUUUGUCUAGGUGUAAGCACACCCUUUACAUUCCAUAUCCAGCAAAUAACAGUGGUUGAGGAAGUCCUUGAAGGCUGCAAGCCUCUAAUUUGCAGCUCUUUUCUUUCCCACUUUUUCCCAGUGAUAUAGGAUUUCAUUGAAGUCACCCAUACACAACCAUGGCAAGUGAUAACAUUGAGACUUUCUAUUAAUAUUCUCCCAUAAUAGAAUUUGCUCCUUAAAUUCAUUCAAAGCAUGUAUAAAUGAAAUGUGCAUACGUUGGUUGCUGGCUGGUAGAUGGCAUCGGGUGAUGAUAACAUGUUUCGUGAAAGAGUCUAUAGUUAAGAUUACCUCAUCAUCCCAAAAUAUUGCUAAACCCCGCUGUACCUUCUGGAUUCACUAUGAAACAAUGCUGAAAGUGGAGUCUCCGCCUCAAUCUUAACACCUUAUGCUCCUGAUUUUUAAUUUCCAUAAUAAAUAUAAUAUUGGGCCUUUCUUGAGUCGUUAAAACCCUUAAAGCUUGAACUGUCAAGGGAGUGCCCAGCCCUUGACAAUUCCAGCUUAAUAUCUUCAUGGAUGAGUUGGUGGCUUAUUAGGGCUAGCCACCAGAGCCCACUGAGCAGACUUGUUCGCCACACGAAUAGGGGUCUCAACCAGCUGAGUAGUGUCAACCAUUACUGUUUUUUUAUGAUUGUGCACCAUAUGUGCAGAAUCUUUUUUCUUUUUUUGAGGAAGACAAUUUAGCGCUUCUUGUUUUCUCCCUUGUUAGGCCUUUUUCCCUAGCUAUAUUCUCCGCCAUUUCUUCUUCAGCUUCUUUUAACUGUUCUUGAUAUAUCACCAUGACAGAUUCAUCAUCAAGGCAAUUGCUACCUCGCUUCUGGGGGCCCUUCUCUUUGAAGAGUACUAAUUCUUGUGAAGAAAAUGUGGGGUUACCUUCCUUUGAGUUUAGGUUUUCGACAUUGCUCAGUUCACCAAGUUGUUGGGUUUGCUGCAUUACAUUUUGCUGUUGUUCUAGUUUAGGGACCUACUGAAUGGGAGUUUCUGGCACACUUUCCUCCUCCUCUGGCUGUAGUUCUUAUUUGCCAUAGAAAAUUUUUCCAUAUGGACUAAGCUCCCGCGCCUCUGCUCGAAGCCAAUGUCCAAAACGACCUGGUAAGUUCUUUGCUAGCCUUGACUCCUCAUAUGGUAUUUCUUGACAAUAAGUUGCAUAGUGCCUAAUCCUACCACAUGAAUAACAAUAAUGUGGGAGCCUUUCGUACUUAAACUCUACCCACAAUCUUUUUCUGUCAAGAUUCACAAGUACACCGGUUUUGAGGGGGUUUUCCAAAUUCAACUUUACUCUAGCCCUGCCAAUCUUGUAGUUGAUGUUCCCUUUCGCUUCUAACUUUACAUCUACUACAUCUCCGAUUUUGGAUGCUAUUUCCCUGACUACUGCAUCUGUUACUCUCCCGAUGGGUAAGCCAAAGAAAUUUACCCAUAAGUCAUAGUGGUUAAAUUCAUAGCAAAUAUCAGGGGUGUCAGGGUCACAUUGCUUUAAGACUAGUAAAUUACUCCCAAAGGACCACGGCCCUGAAUCGAACACUCGCUGUUUUUCAGCCUCCAACUAGAAAGAAAACGAGAAGUAUCCAAGCUCAACGACAGCACAAGUAAAAGUUUCAUUUUGCCAGGCUUUUUUCAUUAUGCCGAUAAAUGCAUUAAAGUUUGUGGUAGGCUUAUUAAAAAAAACUUCCCAAACAGAGUUUUUCGGCAUGUUUGCAGGUUUUCCUCAAGAAUGUCACCUGUAAUAUCUACAACAUCUUCCUCUGACAAGAGAUUGCCCAAACUCUUACAGAGGGCAUCUUCUUGUAUACAGGAACAUAAUCGAAAUAGAGUAUUAAAGCUGGCCUGAUAGAUUGUGGAACCACUAAAUGCGGGAUGAUGAAAUCCUAUGUGAUUGAAGGGAGCUCUGGGUUUGCAGGUGAAGACAGAUGGAAAUUAGCACCAGCUGGUUGAUUAUGGUGGUCUUGGAAAUUUCUCGCUGAAGAACCGGACCGUACGCUCGAAAUAAGAGCUGUGAUGUGAUUUAGGGCACCGCUUGUGAGCUAAUAGAGGGCUUUGUUGGUAGAGAAGGAGGAAUGGGGUUAGGGUUUUCUACCCAUCCUUUUAAAUCAAAUCUGUGGUAUUGGGAAGGAAGAGGGUGGAAUGCAGUAGUGAUGGGUGGUGAGGAUGCAAUUCAACAGUGGGAAAACCUACCCGAAAGGUAGGAGAAGACUACUCAGGCGGUAGAGCAACAGCUCUUUCUUCGCCAGCUGUACAAAAGGCCAAAAAAUAUAAUUGGGUUUCACCAGCAAUGAUGCACCUAACGUAGCUUUAUUCUCUCUCUCUCUCUCUCUCUCUCUCUCUCUCUCUCUCUCUCUCUCUCUCUCUCUCUCUCUCUCUCUCUCUCUACUGCGGCUACUCUUUCUUUGCUAACUAUACAGAAGGUCAAAAAAUAUAAUUGAGUUUUACCAGCAAUUAUGCACCUAAGUAGCUUUGUCCUUCGGUUUGAUGAUAAGGAGCAACCCAUCUUUGUUGACCUCACUCCAAUCAGUGUCGGCGAAAUAGGUAUACUCACUCCAAGUCCUUCAUCUGUUGGACUUUCCAUUCCAGAGCAUCAGCGUUAGCAUCGUCCUCCGCUCCCAACUGUUAAGACUACAAUAAAUAGCAGUAGCUCAGCCACUAAUAAUGCCACCAAGAACAGGAGGAGAAAGCAUAUGAGGAAGAAGUAGAAUGUAUAAAUGCUGCCGAGAAGUGUACAGGAAGAAGAACCACUGUUAAAAACAAAGAAAGAAAAGAAGAUAAAGAUAAGGGUGAUGCUACGGAUUGUAUUAUUGCAUAUGAAUAAUCUGCGAAGCUUGUGAAGCCAAGAGUUCUCUCUCUCUCUCUCUCUCUCUCUCUCUCUCUCUCUCUCUCUCUCUCUCUCUCUCUCUCUCUAAGCUAGAGCUCUCUGUUUAGCACUCUAUUCUUGUACUUUGUUUCUUCUUUGUUUUUCCGGUAAUCAGUUAGUUUUUCUCUUCAAUUAGGUAGUUGUAUUUUCUUCAACUGUUCAAUACAUGUAGAACAGAUUCUUGAGAGAGAGCUAACGUAGAUAUAAAAGGAAAACUCUCCUGAUGUAGUUUUCGUGAAGUUGAAAUAACAGAAAAAGCAUUUUCAUCUCUGUUUUCUCUCAUUUUCUCUCCAUCACUUCCUGCUCAUAAACUUCUUCAUGGUAUCAGAGCCAUGCAUCCUGAAGAAGUCAUCUCGAUGCUACAUAAAAAUGGCUGAAUCUACAGCAGAUUGAAGUCAAAUUCAAAGCUUCAUUGAUCUAUGAGACAUCUAUAUCUUCCAACAAAUCUGUGAGUUGGUAUUUCUCAUCUACAUCUAAAUCUUCAUCAUCAGAAAUAUACUCGUAGCAACAUACUGCAAAACUAGUAGAGUUUGUGUUUGCAACUAAAGUUGUUCGAAGAUCUGGAAGAGUAGAAUGGCAACAAGAAGUUUGAGAUAUCCAUUUCCUAUUCAUGUCAAUAUCUCAAAUUUUGUUACCAUCAAAUUAACUGAGGAUAAUUUCCUUCUGUGGCAAGCCCAAUUUCAUAGGUUCUUAAGAAGUCAAGACCUAUUUGGUUUUGUUAAUGGAGAAGUUCCACCACCUGCUAAAACAUUGCAGGUCCGAGAAGGAGGUCACACUACUGAGGUUUCUAAUCCCGAUUAUAAUGAUUGGAUCAAGACAGAUUAGCUUGUAUCCUCUUGAAUUAUUGGUGCUGUUUCAGAAAACAUACUCAGUUUGAUAAUUGGCUUAAACACUACAUAUGAAGUUUGGCAGACUUUGCUCAAUCGGUUUACACAAAAAUCUAUGGCAAAGGAGUCUGAGUUAAGGGGAAAACUGCAAGCUUGUUAGAAGCGUGAUAGAACAUUAUCAACAUAUCUCAAAGAGUAUAAAUCAAUAUGUGAUCAAUUGAAUGCAAUAGGGAAACCAGUGGAUGAAAUAACAAGAUUGUUUGGUGUUUUGGAAGGUCUGGGGUAUGAGUAUGAGAGCUUUAAAACAACAAUUUACUGUUUAAAGCCUCAAUAGAAUAUGACAAAGUAAUCUCACAUUUAGAAAGAUUUGAAACAAGGCUACAAAACUAUUCUUCGAAUCAGUUCAGUCCAAAUCUAGCCUACUAUGGCCAGAGGAAGACUGAAGUUAUACACAAAGAAGAGUUUAACAGAGAUUUUGUACAACAGAAUAAUAGCCUUGGAAGUUCAAGAGAGAAUAGUCGUGGAGGAAGAAAUUAUGGAAGAGGAAGGUCAUUCAAUAACAGAUAUAGAAACUUUAGAUAUCCUAGAAGAAGUAUGAAUUACAGAAAUAAUAGUUUGAACUAUGAACAGGGAAGUCAGCAGCUUAAGUAGUUUAAUACCUCCUCUACUUUGGGUUUUGGUCAGGGAUUCAGACCAUAUAAUGGCUUAGCACAAAGGUAUUCAGAUACCAAGACCUAUCCAUCUUCAAAUUUAACUCUUCAUAAAAAUAUGCAGGUGGAGAAAACAACAGAAAACACUCGACUGGAGUGUCAAAUCUACAGAAGACCUGGUCAUGAUGCAUUACACUGUUGGUAUCGAUUUGAUAAUUCCUACCAAGCUGAGGAGAUACCAACAGCUUUAUCAACACUACAUAUUAAGAAGCAAAUGGUAAUGAAUGGUAUCUAGACACUGGAGCAACAACUCACAGUACUGCUAAUGCUGGUAUUCUUCAUAACUUUUCUAAGAAUGCUGGUACUGAUACAGUCAUGAUUGGCAAUGGUUCAUGCUUACUUGUUAAAUACAUUGGUAAUGCAUUGCUGAAUACUGCUACUGAUGUCUUACCUCUAAAUGAUGUGUUGAUUGUUCCAGAAAUUAAGAAAAACCUUCUUUCAGUUUCUAAACUAACAGAUGAUUAUCCAUGUUCAUUUGUCUUUGAAAAAACUGGGGUGUACAUAAAGGACAGCAUCACCAACACAACCAAGAUGCUAGGAAGGAAGGUUAAAGGACUUUACAGAGUAGAUCCUUAUGCUGCAGAGGUCUUCUUCACUCAAAGACAAAGGAUUGCUGGAGAGAAUGUCUAGCAUCAACGUCUAGCUCAUACAAAUCAAAAUAUCCUGAAGCAUAUGAAGAAUCAAAAGCUAAUUCAGUGCCAUAUAGAACCACAAUUUGUAUGUAGAAGUUGUCAACUAGCUAAGAGUACUGCUCUACCUUUCCCAUUGUCGAAUUCUACAACUACUAAACCCCUAGAACGAAUUCAUUGUGAUAUCUGGGGACCUUCUCCAAUUAACUCUUUUCAGAAUUUCAAGUACUAUGUCAUUUUUGUUGACAACUUCUCUCGGUUCAGUUGGAUCUAUCCAUUGAAGCUAAAAUCAGACUUUUAUGAUAUUUUUCUCAUGUUUCAGGGACUAGUAGAAAACCAACUCAACUGUAAGAUCAAGAUUUUCCAAUGUGAUGGUGGAGGAGAGUUUAUCAGUCACAAGUUCAGAACUCACUUACAAAACUGUGGCAUUCAACAGCAUGUCUCCUGUCCAUAUACACCUUAACAGAAUGGAAUAUCUAAAAGAAAACAUUGUCAUAUAGUUGAACUUGGUCUGGCUAUACUGUAUCAUGCAAAACUCCCAUUAAAAUUCCGGGUUGAUGCAUUUGUGACAUCUAAUUAUAUUGUCAAUAUUCUUCCCACUCCAAAGUUAAAGAUGCAGUCUUCCUUUAGCAAGUUAUAUCAGCAUAAGCCAAGAUAUGAUCAUCUCAGAGUUUUUGGGUGUGCUUGCUAUCCCUGCCUUCGACCCUAUGCACAACACAAGCUUGAUCCACGAUCCCUUACCUGUGUUUUUCUAGGAUACAAUACUCACCAUAAGGGAUAUCGAUGCCUUGUUCCUACCACUGGUCAUGUGUACAUCAGUCGACAUGUGGUAUUUGAUGAGACCUUCUUUCCUUUCUCUCAGAAAUUAGCAACAACUUAUUCAACUUACACACAUUUGUAUAAGCUAUGGACAGAAGAAGAGAAAUUUUUACAACCUUCCAGUACAAAUUACAUAAACACUUCAUUAUCUCAUCAUACAGGUUAUGUACAAGACCCUACAGUUGAGCAAACAGUUGAACAAAUAAUCUCUACUAGUUCUACAGAACCAGCAGUUCCUGUUUCUACAAAUAAAUUACCUAUGGAUCAAGCUUCUUCUACUUCUCAAAAUAUUUCACAACAAGUAGAAAUACAUGGUUCCACAACAGAGACAACAGCUGAACCAGAUAUGGAACAAGCUGUUCAAACAGCCUUACAAGGUACACUAUCUACUCAACCUAUGUAAACUAGAUCUAAAUCUAGCAUCAUCAAGAUCAAUCCUCGAUAUGCAUGCCUUACUGAAUAUCGAGUUCCCCCAGACCAAAGUCAAUAAAAUUUGCUCUAGCAAAUCCAAGAUGGCAUCAGGCAAUGCAAGAGGAAAUGGAUGCUUUACAUCAAAAUCAAACUUGGUUAUUAGUUCCCCGUACCAAUGACAUGAAUGUUGUAGGCUGUAAAUGGGUGUUCAAGACUAAAUUUACAUCAGAUGGCAGCCUCAAUCGAUUGAAGGCUCGACUAGUAGCUAAGGGGUUUCAUCAGGAAGAAGGAAUAGAUUUCACAGAAACCUUUAAUCCUGUUAUUAAGCAUGCCACUGUUCGAAUUAUACUCUCGGUGGCAAUAAUAAAACACUGGUCUAUACAUCAACUUGAUGUCAAGAAUGCCUUUUUGCAUGGCACCUUAAAUGAAACAGUUUACAUGGAGCAACCCCCUGGCUUUGUACAUCCACAGUACUCUCAGUAUGUUUGUCUUCUUCAAAAAUCACUUUAUGGACUACAGCAAGCACCGCGUGCUUGGUAUGACAAGUUCAGUAAUUUUUUACUUGAAGCUGGUUUUUUCUGCAGCUCAAUUGAUCCUUCUUUGUUCAUACUUCAUAAAGGUCAAGAGACAUUACUUCUAUUGCUAUAUGUUGACGAUAUAAUCCUGACUGGUAGCUCAGAUAAGUUGCUGCAGACAGACACUUAUUCACUCCCUCAGUAUUCAAUUCCAUAUGAAAGACCUUGGCCACCUCCAUUAUUUUCUUGGAAUUGAAGCUACACGAACAUCCACUAAGUUAUUUUUGUGUCAAACCAAAUAUGCUCUUGACUUACUCUCUCGUGCACAUAUGUCUGACUGCAAACCUAUUGCCACACCUCUUUCUCUUAAACCAGUCACACUAAAAACAAAUGCUGAUCUUCUUCCAAAUCCCAUAGACUACAGAAGCUUAGUAGGUGGUGUGACAUCCUGAAAUUCGACCCCGUUUCGAUAAAAUGAAAUGUGCAUAUCGUCGGCGCGCCUAUGGUCCUUUUUCUCUGAGCUGAUCACUCACGAGUUAGCCAACCUAUUGGGUGAAGCCGUUAAGGGAUAUAACCGUGGUAAAAUCCCUAAAAGCUACCUAAUUGGUUGGAUUGGACUAAAAUCGCGUCCGGUCGAUUUUAAUCAUGAAAUUUAAUUCGGUCUCGGGAAAUCGAAUAUUCGAGCGUGUCACAAUUCAUUUUUAGGACCGUCUCAUCGUCUGUCAAUUUAUUGACGAGUCCGAAAUUUCAAUAAAGAAAUUAUCGGGGGAUCAAUCGAAGAUCAAAAGAAAAUAGAAAGGAAAAGGAAAAGAGAAAAGGAAAAUUGAAAUAAAGAAUUAUGCAUUUCCUUUUUUCUUUUUCCUCUCUCUCCCUCUCUUUUCUUUUCUUUCUUUUUCUCUCUUUUCUUUCUCUCUCCUCUCCCCUCUCCCCUCCCCCUCGUGCAAAUUGCCCCCCACCGCUCACUUUCUCUCCCUCUUUUAUUGACCGGUCAACCCUUAUCUCUAUCUUCUCUCUCUCUUCUCUCUCCUCUCUCUCUUUCGCACUCUCUUCUCCCCCUUCUGUUCGAGCGAACCAUGAGCCGAAGGAAGACGAGAAACCAGAAGCUGCAGCCCCGUCGCCGCCCGUCCCGCCGCCGCACCGCCGCCCGCGCCGCACCCGUGCGCCCGCCGCUCACCGCCGUCCCGCCGUCCGCGCACGCCCAGGCCGCGCGAUCCAGCCGCGACCCAACUCUGUUCGCUCCUGUUCCAACCAUCUCCGGCCACCUCCGGCCACCGCCUAGCCCCGCCGGAGCUCCCCUGCGACCCCCUCACCCUCCGCCGGCUUCCCCUCGCCGCCCUAGCCGCCGAAGCAGCCUCGAUCGGCUCCGUUCAGCAGACCCACGAAGUGGGUUUCCAGCACUUCGGGCCCGCUUUUGGGCCGUUUCCUGGCCCCGAACCCGAGCCGUGCUUUGGAGUUUGUUGUUCCUCGUGCCGCCGCCGUCGGAUUGAUCCGAUUUGCGCGCGAUUUGGUGAGUAAUCUCACUAAUCCCUGAUUAGUUGGCUAAUUAUGCUUAGGGUUGGUUUAAAUUUAAUUAAUUAUGUUUAGGUUGUUAGAUUAGAAUUAAUUAGUAAUUAUUAGUCAAUUGUGAUGCGAUUUAGAUAAAUUGAUUGUGUAAUUAACAAGUAGACAUGGUCUACUAAUUAUUGGAAGUGCCUCGGGAUUUUUCCCGACCCUUAGUGGGCUCCAAUUAGGCUUUUCGGGCCUAAGUGGAAUUUUUAGUAUUUAAAUAUUAAUUUUCGGAAUUAAAUUAAAUAAUUAUUUAUUUUCCGAAAAUUCAACGGAGAUGGUCUGGAACCGGAAAAUUAUGCUAAUGACCGUGGUGAAGUCCGUUUAUUUGAUCGGGCUUUAUUUUGAGCUAAAUUGAAUUUUUAAUAUUAAUUAUUUAAUUUUCGAAAUUAAUAAAUUAAUUAAUUAUUUUUCGGAAAUUAAGAUUUUGAUGGCCGACGACCGAAAUCUCGUGCUGAUGGUCGUGGCGUAGUCCGUUUAUUUAUUUGAGCUCUACGUUGUAUGGAAUUGAAUAAAUUGUGAUAUUUUAGGGAUUUACCCUAAAUUGAUUGGAAUUGAUUGAGAUUGAAUUGUUGAUUGGUAAAUGGCCAAGUAUGUUAUUCAGCAUUUAUAUUGCUUUGUUGAGUUGAUUUAAUUAUUUGAUUGAGAAAUCGUUGGGCAUUGGUUGUCAGUAUUGAAAGUAGAUUGGUAAUCGCUUAAAAGAGGACACGUGGGCUCGGUGAAUUGGAAUGUCACCUGGAGAAUGCACGUGAGUUCAGUGGUUGAAUAUUUCACCUUGGCGAAAAGGUCGCCUGAGAGAAUGCACGUGGCUUGGAGACUUGAUAUGUCCUCCUUGAGAAUGCACGUGGCUUGGUGACAGAGUUUGGCAUCUAAAAGGGCACGUGGCUCGGUGAUCUGAUGCGUCACUUUGGUAAGCGAGUACCUUAGAGAAUGCACGUGGGCCCAACAUUCCGGAAUGGCAUCUAAAAGGGCACGUGGCUCGGUGACUUGAUGCAUCACUUUGGUGAGAUGCACCUAAGAGAAUGCACGUGGACCCAGGCAUCUAAAACGGCACGUGGGCUCGGUGACUUGAUGCAUCACUUUGGUGAAAUGCACCUAAGAGAAUGCACGUGAGCCCAGGCAUCUAAAAGGACACGUGGCUCGGUGGCUUGAUGUACCACCUUGGCGAAGAGGUCGCCUUAGAGAAUGCACGUGGGUCCGAGGUUCGAGGCACGUGAACUCGGAGACCUGGAAUGUCUUCCUAGAGAAUGCACGUGGCCUAGCUUGUAAAUAUCCCACAGUGGGGAUUGAUUAGUAUGACAUGUAAUCGACUAGUUCGAUUUAUUUGAAGUGAAUGGGUGUUUAUUGUGAAUUGUACUGACUUGCAGGUGGAAUCUGAGGCCAAGGUAAGUCAUCUGCCCUGUGCGUGUUUAGGCAGCCUUUAGUAUAAUGGUUUACUAAUCGGGCUUAGUGGGGUAGAACUCGCUGAGACAUAGUCUCAUCCCAGUUUGGGGAAAAACAUUUCAGGACCCCAUUGAGGAGCUGAGGAGGAAUCUAAGAAGGAGAACUCGGAGGUGAAACCUGAGUAGAAGGAUUUUUGGAAGAAGAAGAUAAUACCGAGAGAGAUUUUGAGUAUGACCUGAAGGGAUUGAGAUUUUAUCUUCUUUGAUAUCUCCAUUUUGAUGUGAAUAGAGUUUGGAAUAAAAAUUUGUGAAGUGUUUGGGUUUGUGUUUUGUAUAAAAGUUUGGUUAUAAGUUUCAAUAUGAAAAAUAUGGCCCUGCUUUUCUAUCCCAUUGUUUUAUUGUCUGGGGAUUUUAACUGCUUCCGCAUGUGCUUAAUAAAUGAAAGGGUCGGUGAUACAUUGUCCUGGGAUAUCACAUUAUAAAAUCGACCAAGAGUUGAAGGAUGUGCGCGUGCCCGAGGAUCGGGACGUGACAGGUGGCUUACAAUAUCUCACUAUCACUCGUCCUGAUCUUGCAUUUGCAACAAAUAUCUUGUGUCAGAAAAUGCAACAACCCACUGUUGGUGACUUCCUUAAACUGAAGAGAGUACUUCGUUAUGUAAAAGUAACAAUUCACCUUGGCAUCUAUCUUCACUCUCGAAGUUCUCUCAAUUUAUAUGGUUUUUCUGAUGUAGAUUGGGCUGGUUGUGUUCAAACUAGAUGAUCUACCACAGGUUUCUGUACUUAUCUCGGCUCUAAUCUCAUCUCAUGGGCAGCCAAGGAACAAACAACUAUUUUCGUUCUUCCACUGAAGUAGAAUAUAGAGCACUUGCUUCGGCAACAACUGAUCUUACUUCGAUCACUUUUGUUCUAAGAGAUAUUAGCCUUCCUCUACACUCUCCAACCUUACUAUUUUGUGAUAAUCAAUCUGCAAUAUCCCUCACAGCUAAUCCUAUACUUCAUGCUCGAACAAAACAUAUUGAGGUUGAUUUUCACUUUGUUCGAGAAAAAGUUGCCUCUAGAUCCUUGUGUGUUAGAUAUAUUCCCAGCAACAAUCAAAUUGUUGAUAUUUUACAAAGUCUUUAUCCAGACUAACACAUUCUUCUCUUUGUCUCAAAUUAGGAAUUGGCUGUUCACCCUUGCCCAAUUUGCGGGGGGAUGUUAAGACUACAGUAAAUAGCAGCAGCUCAGCCACUAAUAAUGCCAUCAAGAACAGGAGGAGGAAAGCAUAUGAGGAAGAAGCAUAAUUUAUAAAUGCUGCCGAGAAGUGUAUAGGAAGAAGAACCACUAUUAAAAACAGAGAAAGAUAAGAAGAUAAAGAUAAGGGUGAUGCUACGGAUUGUAUUGUUGCAUAUGAAUACUCUGCGAAGCUUGUAAAGCCAAGAGCUCUCUCUUUCUCUCUCUCUCUCUCUCUCUCUCUCUCUGAGCUGGAGCUCUCUGUUUAGCACUCUGUUCUUGUACUCUAUUUCUUCUUUGUUUUUUCGGUAAUCAGUUAGUUUUUCUCUUCAGUUAGGUAGUUGUAUCUUCUUCAACUGUUCAAUACCUGUAGAACAGAUUCUUGAGAGAGAGCUAAUGUAGAUAUAAAAGGAAAACUCUCAUGAUGUAGAUUUCGUGAAGUUGAAAUAACAGAAGAAGCAUUUUCAUCUCUAUUUUCUCUCAUUUUCUCUCCAUCACUUCCUGCUCAUAAACUUCUUCACCAACACCAUAUUUUUCUUCUCAAGUCCAACCUUUCUUUACUCUUCCGGUUUUCUUGCUUUGAUCUCUUGACUCAUGGCUUCUGUCCUAUGAUAUGCUUCAUGUGCUUCCAUGUUCUGUUAGAUCUGGGUUUUGGGUUUGGCGACGGUUUUCCUGUCUUAUGGGAUCGGACUCUUUUAAGGAUACUCGAACAUCAUAGUUUUGUUGCUUUCUGAACUAUGCAUGUACAUUCAAACAUCACAUGGCUUUUUGCAAUUGCAUUUAGCUUGAUAUAAGAAUGUUUAAUUCUUUGGAUUAGCUAACUUUGAUCUGCAUUUGGUUUCUGCUAAUUCUGCCUCACCCCCAGCUUCUAGAUUGCCCUGAGAAAUCUGGUCAUCUUUAGUUUGUUGUGAGCAUAAUUUGAAUUUGCAGCCCACCCAAAAGAGAAAACCUUACGUGUUCAGAGUGAAAAUUCUAAGUCAAUUAAAGUGAGAAUUUGCAGACUAUCAAGAAAAGUGCUAUUAAGUUAUAAAUAAGUCAUAUGGAAAUCAGGUAAUACUUUUUUUUUUUUUAUCAAUAACUUUUUAACACUUACCAAUUCUUUCAGGAAUUUAUCCGCAUGAAAAAUAUCCGUUUGUUUUAAAAUGGAGUAAGUAAAGUCGUCCCUGUGACGUAUGAGAGUUAAUGCAUUUUUAACAAUUUGCGUCUGGAUGGCCUCUUCACUAAACAAGAGGUCUUCUUGUAAAUGGCGUAAUUAUGACUUUUUGGGUGUUGAAUUGUCGUGAUCAUAAUUAUUAUUACUUUUUUGACCAAGAUCAUGUGUUCUCCGUUAGUCCAAUUCUAAGGAAAUUUGUUACCCUCGUAACAGUGGGGUGAAUUUUAUUUUAUUUUUUUGGAUAUCCAGGAUCUGCCAGAGCCUGUGGGGUGAAUUGAUUUUUCAAGAUAUUAAAAAUCAAUUUUGUAAAACCUACCCCUAUAAAAAUUGUGCUUCUACUACCAAGUAUACUAGCAAUUUAAACAGGACAAAACUAAAAAGUUUAGAAAAAGAAAAAUUGCAAAAUGAGAAUUAUGAAAGUUCAAUUCGGGUAUACAUACUCCUCUUUCUAGCUCUAAUAGCCCAAAUAGACUGAACUCUACUAGCUAUGCCAAGAGUACAAAUACCAUCUUGUUUAGAAAAGUACUCAAUCGGUCUUAAACUUUUCAAUUUUGCCAAUUUAAUCUUAAAUAUUUGUAUAAAAUUCCAAUAUAUUCCUUUCAGUUAUUUUUCGCUGGAAAUUUCUAACGUGACAUCAUCGUUGGCCGUCCUCUGUAGCAUACCACUAUGCCCACGAUUUUCAGCUAAAAUUGGCGAAAAUAUUAGAUUGAAAUUUCACACGAAAGUCUAGUUGAUAACCAAAUUAGUAUCCAUGCAAUAAGUCUAGGAUUGAUUAGACAAUUACUUGUUACAAGUGUAGAAUUUGCUGCCACGGAGAACUUGACUUCCUUCUACAGCAAUCCCGCUAUACACUGAGUAACUUUUGGACCCUCCAAUAGCCAUUCUCACAUCUUGUUCACACGAUAUAAAGGUCCUUUUCUAAAUUAUAAACCACACCUCCGACUGUUUACAAAGAGUCCAUUAUACAUUUUAUCUCUUGCCUAGAUACAUAGUGUUCACUCUAAGUAUGUAAAACCACCCUUUUCAUAUGUUUACGAAUGGGUUUGUCCCUCUUGCUAAUAAUUAGACACAACACUAAAAUGGGUAUUACAAGUUUACGAAAGACACGAACUCAAAAGUCCCCCAAUAAUACUUAAAUUCUCUUGUAGUAGUUAUAUCUAUCUAAUCUUCAAUUAAAAAAGAAAAAUCUCAGCAAAAUUCCUUAAAAACACAUGUAUAAAACCUUGUUACAAUCUAGGCCAUCAAUCUGAUCUUCUAUUAAUGCAGGUUUUAAUCAUAUUGUUUCGCCAACCUUCUGAGCGAAUUAGUUCCUUUUUUUUUUUUUGCAUAACUACUCUUGGGAUGUCACAUUUUAUUGCUAUGACUUGGGGCUUUGAUUUAGGAACUCCAAUAGUCAUUAAAUUUAUCCAUGGAGAGCGCCUGCUAAAAAAAUCUGACUGCUUUGCAUAACCUAGUUUGGUUCUACACCUUUCCUCCAGCAGCUUUCCUAACAUAGUAAAACCUUACUUAUGUACUUGUAAAAUCCGAACCAAGCUUCUGUAUGGUUUAAACAUGAACAUUUGCACACUUAAAUGAAUUCUUUAAAUCCUUGGGUUAAAUUUUGAUAUUAUCAUAAUCUUUUUAGUAUAUUUUCCAAGCAGUUUCACCAUUUUCAACAAUGACAAACCUAUACCAUUCCUUCAAUAAGAGUGAGUUAUGCACAUAAGCAUGCAUAUUCUGCAAAACUAUCUGACUGUAAAACCAGAGAUGAUUCAUGCAUGCUUCCACAUGCGACAUUUUAAUAGACCAUAUAAAUAUGUCUGCAAAACAUAAUAAACUCCCCUUAAUAUGUACACAUAGUGCGAUUCUCCCCCUGAGUAUGUGCUUCUCCCCCUUCUUGUUUCUUAAAAAAGCAUUAACAUCAGAUGCCCAGGGAUGAAAACCAUAUAAGCAAAAGCAUUCAUUUAUUUAUAUAUAAGAGUGUUCUACAAAGCAUAUUCCGGAAAAAUUAAUAUAAAGGAAAGUGAACACUAACCAAAAGGAUCACAAACACCGAUUUCAUCCAUCAAGCUAGAAACGUAUUGUUAUCAAGAGGUCUAUUCAGAAUAUGAGAGAAUUGCAAAUCGAUGCUAACAAAUCCUUUUCAUUGAUUCAUGUUGUGCUGUGGCUGCCAUAAUUAAAUAAAUAAAUAAAUAAAAGAAUCAUAUGAAAGAGUCUCUCUUCUUGAAGUUUGACCUAGUUCAGAGUUCCUCGAAAUGGAAGCCACCCCCGUUAAUUAGCACAAUUAAAUAUUUUAUUAGAAAUCCAAAAUUUAGGCAGUUGAAUACUUGGCCAAUUUUUAAGACAGUGUGACUCUAAAAAUUGUGCUCGUAUUCAACUGAAACACAAUUACUAAAGAAAGACUUACCGAUUGCUUAACAAUGUUGCAAUUACACUUUUUUUCAAAUCCUUACAUUAAGGAUGACACGUCCUUAUAUCUCAAUAAGGGCCAUUGACUUAACUAAGACAUUUUAUCUGUUCCCUUUUUGCUGAUCAAUAUGUCAUGAGGUUUGGUACACAACUAACUAUACUAUUAUAAAUAAUUUGAUUCUGUUGAAUACUCAAAACACAUAAAUCUGACUAAUUGGAGUUUGAAUUACUGAAACUGCGACAACAAUUGAGUAGAAAUGUAAAAGAGACUUAGGGUUGAUGCCUGAUUAUAUAUCGAAAUACCAUGGGUUUGACAUAUAGACCUCCUUUUCAAAGCCCCGUAUGCUAUUGGAAAUAUGUAUACGUAUUAGGAGCAUUUUGUGGGCUACUACAUGGUGCACUUGUUUUAUAUUUAAAGUUUCAAUGGGUCAGUUUUGUCUACUAGUAACAUUCUCCUCCAAUCAUACUUUCAGUUAACAGGUCAAAGAUUAUGGACAUUAUCAAUAUGAAAAUUUAAUCAAAAUCAAAUACGAGUGAUGUUAAUAUUUGUGUGAUCCAUCAAUGAAAGUUAUGGCUAAAAAGAGUUCAUCCAGCUAGAGCGUUACAUGUGCAAAUAGAGAUAAAAUAAAUUUAGAAUUCUAUCUGUGAGCUUUUACAUCAUUGACUAUGGUUGCUAACAAGCAUUUUCAUUGCAAAAUUUGACAACAUUUUUGGAUGGCUUUUGGAUUAUUGAUGUUGAUUACAUAAUUCUGUCGUAAUUCAGUUUUAUCACGUUCAGAUUUAGUUUUCUUACAUUUAUUUGAAUCUAAGUUACUAUUAUUGCACAUGAUUGUUGACAUCUGAAUUUCGCUAUUUUACUUAAGACUUAAUAGCAUUAAAAUUUAGGAAUAAGUCGCUAAAAAAAAUUGAUUUUUUUUAAAAAAAAAAAAAAAGAAGAGAGAAGAAGAAAAAACCUUAGGGGUCGGGCCGGAUCCGACCUUUGCCCAGCCCGCCGCCUUCCUCUUCUUUUCCCCCCGCGCGGCCCAAUCUCUUUUCCUUUCGGCACGCCCGCACCCCAGCUGUCUUCCUUGUCCUGUCUUCGCGCGCAAACCUGCAGAGGAGGACAGACAGCACGCGACCAGGCGGGACCGGCAGAAAGAAAAGACAGGGUAAAGCAGAGAGUAGGAGGAGGGGCAGAAAGAAAGUGGAGCAACCAGAGAAAGAAAAACAGAGGGAGAGAGCUCGAGAGGGAGGAAGAGAACCGGAGAGGAGGAGGGGAGUCUCCGGCACUGUCGCCACCGCUGCCGAUGCGUCUCCUAGCCGCCGACAUUUAUGAACAUUGAUCAAAUCCAACAAUUUUCUAAAAUUUAUUUGAAAGGCAAUUGCAUAAAAAUCGACAAGAAGUAAAAUGUCAAAAGGGUACUGACCUUCUUAUGACUCGUGCUCCUUUCUCAAGUUAUAAUUUUAUGCUCUUUUGCCUGGUGAUCUCGUCCUAUCCAUUCUAAAAAGGAAAAGAAACAACAAAUUUAUUGAGAUGUGUGAAAAUAUAAUAACAAAAAUGAAACAAAUUAUGCAGAUUCAUAAUAUUCAUGCCGAGAUAGCAAAAAAUUCACAAUCACAUCUAGAAAAAAGCAAGUUCGUUCAAUAAUUCAUAUGCUUCAUAAUUGUGAUCGAGGAAAGCGAACAUUAAAAUUAAGCCAAAUUUAUUCAAGACCACAUCCCGGAGGAAACAACCAACAACUACAUGCCACAUUUGACAUUUUCCUUUAAAAAUAAUGACAGCAAACUCCCAAAAAAUGAUGAGAAAUGAAUAGAAUAUCUAUGAACUAUUUUAGCAACCAAUAUGCCCUCAAACAAUGUCAUGACCCAACUAAAUCACAUCUAACCCAGAAUAUCCAGCAACUACCAUUGCAAAUGACCUAUGGUAAGGUGUUAGUCUUUAUUUACUUUUAUCUGUUUCUAUUUGCUAAAAAACGUUUGGUUUUGCUAAACGUUGGAGCACCACUACUGUUGACAUCUCCUUCUAUAAUUGCAGUUGGUACCUUUGGAUAUUUGUGGUCAUCUUCUUAUUGCUCAAUGUCCAAGGUGAGAAACCACAUUAAUCACAUAUUGCAAUUUCCAAAUUUACGCGUCAUGAAUACAACAAGGUUUACUUUUCAUUAUUGUAGUUUUUACCCCAGCAAAACAUGGCUGAACACAAUUUAGGCAUGGUUUGGCAUGGCGAUUCUAGUCCUCAUAUUGAGAAGGAAUUUGCACGGAGUUCAAUGGUCCUUUCCGGAGAAACACCUAGGCUGUUGAUGCUUCUGAGCAUACGAGAGUCAAGAGCAGUUAAUAUCAAGUUACCCACAACAUAAUUCCCAUCAAAACCCCUAAAGUAACGCUUAAAGGCCAAUCCUAUAAACGGGGGAUUUAACUAUAACUGAUGAGGGGCUGCAAUCAAUUAUGCAGGCUGGCAUGCAUACUUUUGGAUAUCUUUCAUGCAUACUUUUGGAUAUCUUUUGUUCUCUUUUUGGUGAGUAGAACCGUGUCCCGGCAUUGGGCUGCUUAAGCCACAUUGUACAUCUCUUGAGAAAUGAGUCAUAGUGGGAUUCAGUUUAUUAGUUAUUCUAUUUCCUUUUCUAGCUCUUGCUGUCGGAACAAAGCUGGAGCACGUGAUAAAUCAAUUAGCGCAAGAUGUGAGAGUGCUAGUAUGAACAAAAUAAAGGAGUUAAGGAAGAGAAUAAGAACACAGAAAUUAUAGUGGUUCGGCUUAAUCCAAGCCUACGUCCACUCUCCCACGAUAACAGCCUUCUUGGCUGGAUUCCACUAUGCAAUCAACAAGAGAUUACAACUCCGAGUGCAAACACUUAGUAGUAGAUCACACUAUCUCACUAAGUCACUCUCUUGGUAUUUCUCUCACGAUUACAAACGUUUAAGCUCUCAAGAGACAAGUAUAUGAUCUAAAGUCGCUUAGACUUUGGAAUUAUAAAUUCUACGCUCCGUCUCUUACUUGCUCAUCGGUCCAUGAUCUUCUUAAAUACUCCUCCACUUCCAAACUACCGUUGGACAGCAUCCCGGAGAAUCGUCUUCCAAUAUACCCAUUGGACAGCUCUGUAUCUUAGAAGAUUUGGUAGCCGUUGAGUGACAAAGGUAAAAUCCCAAAUUGAUUCCGAUCGCCCAUACAAACGAAAUCUUGGUUUCCAUAAGUAAAGCUUCUUCGUAUAGAAAGAUCUUGUCUUCAAUCAAAUCAAUCUUGAUGUGGAAUCCAAACCAGAUCACUAGCCGUUGUAUGAUUGGGCUUGAGUUACGAUUCAUCGAAUCUGGAUGUAAAGUCUGAGUCUUGAGACUUUACGAUAUGAGUCUUGAGACUUUACAACCUGGGUCUUUAGACUUUACAAUCUGAGUCUGUACCCAGUUCAGCUUCAGCAUAGAGUCUGUCUUCAGACUUUGAGUCUUGAGUCUGACAGUCUUCAGACUUUGAGUCUCGAGUCUGGCAGUCUUCAGACUUUGAUAAUAUCCUCUACAUGUUCUAUUAUCUGCAUGGUCUAUUACUCAACCAUCAAACAUGUUAGUAGCCUUUGAUUUAUUUUGUCAUCUUCAAAACAUCAUAAGGGAUUUCCCUAACAAGAUGUCGCGGAGAAGCAUGCAGCCGUGGAAGGGGACUUGGUGGUUCAACCUUCUGUUGAUCAUUUCUGGUUCCAUAGACCUCGCAUUGUCCUGCUGCUCAUUCAUAUCCUCCUCUUCCAAAAAGCUUUUGAGCUCGCUUUCUUCUUCUUCAUUUGUGCAAGGGAUAAAAAUAGCUGAAUUGCCAAAAGAAAAUAAGUGCUUACGAUUACUUACUGGAGCUUCCAUGGGGAAAAAACCUGGCAGGUUCAAUAUAGUUUUGACUCGUGCAUAAUGGGACAAGUCGGUUUCAUAAUCCCAAGACUCGUGAUAGGGUAAAAGCCUUCUUCCUUCUCCUCAUAUGUGGAUUUAUCCUUACCAAUAUCACAUGUAUCUGAAUGGCUAGCUACAGGCAAUGUUGUCAGGGUGUUGGUUCACUUCAUGUGCAGCUACAGCACCUUGCCACUCUAUGCGAUAGUUACCCAGGUGACCAAUCUAGGCACAUCGUUUUCACGGUUCAUGACUAUUUACUGCAACAUGAUAUUGAAACUGAUGGCAUACGUACUUGCGUGUUUGCGCUUGGUUGUUAAAGAUGGGAAGCUCAUUCAAGAAGGCUAUAUUUGAGGAACACAUACAUGAGGGGCUCAGCGUCUGGACCCAGCAUGCAAAAAUGAAGAAGAAUGCAAGAAUGACGGCGACUGGCACACGAUUGACCACCCUCCCCGUGGACCCCAAAGUGACUUAACAAUCCCUUGGCGAGCCAACGAAAGAAGCUGAGAUCCAAUAUGAUCCUUCCUUCCAGGGACCAAAAGAGAUGUAGCAACCAUUCGAAACAUUCCCUUCCAAUUUCCAUGUUUCAUCAUCUUUAGACCUCUUAAAUGGGAAAGUCGGCCUGCUUUCUCUACCCCGAUGUUGAUUAUAUUUCAUAACCAGACACCAAACAACAGUCAACAAAAAUGAACCUUCCAUCAAGCUCUAUUUUCUCCGAGACGGUCAUUUCUCAUUCUACAAGGUUACAUGUGAUCAUUUAGAUUUCUAGUUAGGAGAAGAUUAGAGGAUAUAAAAAUUUUGCUAAAUUCUAUCAAUUGUUCGUCGCAGAGAUAAAAUCGAAUAUAUCCACAUCAUAUUAUAUAUAUUGUAUGGUAUAAACAACAUGUCAAUACAAAAUGAAUCUAAAAUUUGCGCAAUAGAUAUGAUAAAAAUCUCUCAUAACUCUCUAACUUCAUUUUUUAUUUGCUAAUUUUUUUUAUAAAAAAAAAAUUCCUAUAUUUUUUUUAAAUUUUUUUCCCCCUUCCAUCAUUCUCUAAUAAAAUUUUAUUAUAUAGUAAACUAUAGUAAUAUAUCUAAAAUACUAAAGUCCUAAAAUAUGUAAUAUUCAUAAUGAAUAUAUGUUUAUAUAUUGAUUAAUAUUAUAAGAUAGAAAUAAAUAAAAAGAGGAUUAAAUAAAAAUGAAAUUUUUGCUUUUUUGUUAUUUUGAAUUUUUUUAUCAGAAUUAAACUAUUAUUUAUCUUCCAAUAUUAUUUUAAUUUUAUAAUAAGAAUUUUUUUUUUUGAGAAAAAAUCUUUUAUAUUAUAGAUAUUAGAAAUCUUAUUUACCUUUAUCUCACCUCUCCAUAAAAUAAUUAUAUCCAUGCUAUAGCCCUCUUAAAUAUUGAACGAACACCAAACAUAAAAUAAAUAUUAUAUCCUAAAUUUUAUUCCGAUUGUCAAAUUAUUCCACACAUUUGGACUUUUAAUACUUAAAAUCUGAUUCUAGGAAAUGAGUCAAUAGUAAAAAGUGAAAUUUUCUUGGUGCGCAAUGUUGCAAUCUUGCAGAUCAUGGAGUAGGAUAUUUUAUGUACCAAGACAGUAAACUCAAGAGAGCAAUUGCCUUAUAUGUAUCUUCUUCGGCAUAAUUUAUUACAAAUACAAAAGGAGAUACAAGAUCAAUAAAUCGUGAUUCAAUGCUUCAAAUUAUUCCCGCCCAAGCUAUUUUUGCUGUCAUAGUGGAGCUGCAAAACCAAGUUAUUUUGCAGACAUUAACUAUAAAAAUGGUUUCAAUAACAAAAAGUAGUGCAUAAUUCAACAAUCAUUACCCAUUAAUUUAAACCUUUCAUGAUUAAUCAAGAAAGUGGUUUGAGACAACAGCUCAAACAUAAACAUCAUGACGGUAACUGACUAUUACACAUAUUCUGCAGCAAAAUAGCCGCCUAUCUAUACUUCCAAUACGCAAAAUUCUCCUUUAUCAAACCGGACCCGGCCGUACCGACCGGUCUAAACCCGGGUCGGGUCAGACCGGACCCGACUCAUUUCGCCCUUUUUUAAAAUUAAAAUUAUUUUUAAAAAAUUUUAAUUAAAAAAUUAAAAAUUAAAAAUUUCGAAAAUUAAAAAAUAUAGAGUUUGGUUAGGAAUUGUCAUAUCUUGCAUUUUUACAGUAAUAUUAGGCUUUUAUUUUCUUACACCUUGAUUAUAUUGCAUGUUUGAUUCGCAUAUUUGAUUAUGUUUGUAGAUGUUCAAUUGCACGUACUCAAUUUUACUAUAAUUAAGAUCUUCAUAACUACGAUUGUUAUUUUAAUGAUUGUGUAUUCAUAUGAUCAACUCAUAUGUUAGUGGAUAUGUAUAAAAUUAAUCUAAACUGUCGAACAAAAAUCAUUAAAUUUUUAAAUGAAUAAAGAUUAUGUACAAAAAUGGCACUAAUUGGUUGCGUAGUAAGUGUGGCAUACUUCCAUGCCUCACUUGAUUUUUUUUUUUCUUUUUGCAAAAUUCUUAAGAAUAUCUAAUGUCAUGCGAGAUAUAGACUUGGAAGAGCUUGUGCUUAAUCAUGGGCCUUUUGUCCGUCAUUUAAUCUAUCCCCUCCCCUUGAGGGAAGUUUGCGACAAUGAUCUAAGCUCCAACAAUAUUCUUACAUGACAUUUUUUGCUUGUUAAUCAUGUGACUUUAACGAUGUUGUAAGUUAAAUCGAUUACACGUAAAAAGUUCCUAUCAAUAAUUGACACAAAUAGUAGUAGUGGACCGACCACAUAACAUUAGAUUGGCAGUAAAAAAUCUAAUUUCAAGAGAUCAAUAGCCUAACUGUAGCAAAUAUCGAACUUUGGCACCGUGAAUGAAAUUUCUCAGUGUUAAAAAAUAAUUUUCCUUCUCUUGUCGCGGCCACAGAGAAAAUCUUUUGACACCGCCACUACAAAAAAGGAUCGUGUUUUCUUCCAUCACAAAUUUGAUUGGCAAGUUAUCAAAAUCUGAAGAAUCAUCCUAGAGACCGAUUCAAGGACAGCAAUUGAUCUACUAGUUGGCAAGAUUACAGAGUUGUCGAGGCCAGAUUGGGUGGUGAAAACCAACACAGCCCGUGAAGGCAAAACGUGCGACGAUUGAUAAGCCAAUGCAGCGUUCUUUUAGAGACCAUAUUUAGUUAUUCACUUAGGUUUAUCUACGGGGCUUCAAUUUGUACUUUUUAGGAGAUAAAAGUGGGUGUUAGGAGGCCGGGACUUGCAUAUGAGAUGUGUUAGAAAUUAAACCAAAUUAAUAAAUGUCCUCAAUUGACUACGAGUUGCUGAUGUUAUGGAGAAGUUACCGAUAUUAAUGGUUGUCAAUGCCGAUAUUCCAGAAUUUGGUACCGAUGAUUUUGUUUGGUAAAUUUUUUUUUUUUUUGUCAGUCUUACUCUAUGCCUACUUUACACUCACUCUCAGACUUCUGCCCUGCCUCUUGUAGGGCUUGGGAGUCGAAACCCACUCCUGAAACUUACGCGUCCCCACCCCAUCCCCCUAAGAAGGUGGGGAUUUGAACCCCACAUCUCCCCCUUCCAUGUUGGAAGGAUGGCUACUGGGAUGAAUCCCACUGGGGUGAAUUGAUACGGAUGACUAUCCGAUGCUCGAGUUAAUUAGAUUCUUUAUUGUAGCGUUGUUUUUUAGAAGUCUAUUCGUAUUUUUAUUUCAUGAUUGUUCAUGUUUCUAAGUGUAAUCAAUGUUUUGCAAGUUCUUAAGAUUUUAUCACCUCAGAACAUUAGCUAUAUUUAUGAGUCAUUUAGUUUAAGAGUUAUGUGUGAAGCGUAUAAAAUUCGAGUCUUGUAAUUGUUUUCGAUAAGGUGAAAAAAAGGUGAAAUAAACAAAAAGGAUAGCUGUCUCCUUCUCUUUUUUGUGUUGUGUUAGUGAGUGUUUCAGCUUUAAAUUAUCUCAUCAAGAUCUAGCUUGUAUUUGUCUUUUACAAAAACUCAAAAUUUUCUAGUUUUGAUGCCAUAUGAAAUUAUGAAGGAGCAUUAUUAGCUAUUAUAGAAGUUUAGAUAAUUAGAUGGAUGCAUUAUUCAAUACUUAAUUGAUAUGACGCCUCUUUCACGACCUGUGUUACCUUUCAACAACUAGAUUACUUGCACAGCUUGGGCUCAAUGGACGGAGAGCUGUCUAUAAAAGUGGAGGAUGGUGGGAUGAACAACUCGAUCGCGGAGGAGGUAAAGAAGGAUGAAAGAGGACAUUUAACGGAAGUGUCAAAGGAUGAAAGGGAUUCUGAAGAAGAAAUCUGGGGAGGUCGACGGGAGAUAAUGAAUAAUGCAUUGGCGGCUUCCGCGGGGGGACAAGAUCCGGCAAAAGCUUACGAAUAUGCUCGAAAACUGGCGGGUGUCAUCAAAGGCGGCAAGGUUGACGAGUUCCUUUCCACGAUCAAUGUAAAUGAUCCAUCGUUGCGGGACAUCGAUUGGUCUGCCGUUUUAAAUUCCCGAUUGGAUUGGAACGAAUCACUGCUCCACGUGGCAGCAGAAACCGAGAAGGACGACAUCCUAAGGCUUCUGGUUGAUUAUGUUGGUGACCACCUCAUAACCGCCCAAGAUGAUUGGGGAAAUACCCCACUCCACCGGGUCACCCAGUUUGGGGGAUCUACUGGAGCUGCAGAGAUGUUGAUUCACCGGGCAAGAGACCUCCCCAACGUCGAGGACAAGAACCUCCUCUUGAGGAUGAAGAACAAACGUGAAAACACCGCUGUGCACUUCGCCGUGCGCUCUCAACAUGCCAACUUGGUGCGCUAUUUGGUGUACUGGAAGAACGCGAGUGAGAAAUCUCCCCUGUACCGAGUCCUCUACAUUAACGACUCCACAAUACAUGAGGUUUUAUUUUCACUCUCGUUGGAACCAUCAAGGAUAGAAGGCUUGCCGCCCAUUCAUGGUGCCAUUGUACUUCUACGACACGGUACGUACCUAAAUCUGCUUAUGUGGAAAUAUAUUUAUCUUUUACUGGACCGACUCGUCCCAAAUCUGUGCAAUAACUUUUUGCUGUUACAAGAACCCCUUACCAGUUUUUACUUAAAAUUCCCUACCCUGCUUGUUAAAGUAGUUGGAUACCCAUCGGUUUAGUCGCAUAAUAAACAAAAUAUUCACAUUAGAGCAUAAUAGAUGGCUUAAAUAUUACAAAUACAACCAUUUCACUAGAAACUCAUGUGUUGUCGAUCUUUGAUUAGAAAAGCUAUAAAGUGCAAAUAUUUAAGAUUGAUGACCAUGACAAUCUGGAAUCUAACAAUGACGCCAUUUUGUUGGUUGCGCAGGCGUGAUUUUUUCAUUGGAAAAAGAGGAGGUGAAGGUUCCGUCACUCUCAGCAAAUUGAUGGAAUAUCGUAAACCGUUAAUUUUUUUGUGACCAACAUUCAAUAGGUUUUUAAGAAAUUAACAAAAGUGGAUCUAAAUAAAGAAAGAAAUUUUUGACUUUUUUUUUUAAAUGAAUACAAGUUAUCAUAAUCUUUGCAGAAAAAGCCGAUACCGUAGUCUAGCCUAAAUUACCUUGACCAUUAAAAAUAUUGAGAUAAAAUUCAUCAGACACGCAAUAAUCAAUUAUGUUGAAUUUUUUGGCUGCUAAUGCCAUGUAUCCCAAGUUUACUACUUGAAAAGCGCAACUAAUGUUCAUUGAUCAUCAGAUUGGUAGAUGGCAUUCAUCUGUUACAGUCAUAUCAAAUAGAGAGAAUUGUCCAAAAAGUUCUAAAUUUAUUGUACGAUUAUCAAUUCAGUUAUAAACAUGUCAAUUGUGUCAAUUUAACCUCCAUUUUAGUCCUAAACUUUUUAAAGAUUUAAUAAUUUAGUCCUUCUAAUUAAUUUCUACUGGAAAUCAAUUUCUUCUGGAAAUCGCUGACAUGGCGGUCUAGUCAAAGCUAGCCAUCCUACGCGAUGUUGAUUGCCUUUGUGGUUUUUUUACAAUAUAUUUUUUAAUUUUUUGCAUUUUUUUCCUUUUCUUUUUUUAUCCUUUUUUCCCUCUACCAGCCUUAGACGAGGGCCGCCCUUCGACCCUUGCGUAGAGCAACCCUUGCCCUUGCUUGACUUCCACUAGGCGUCAACCGUUGAUGGUUAGAGAAGGGAAAAAGGAAAAAAAAAUUAUAAAACUAAAAAAAUUGCAAAAAUUAUCCGCAUUAGCGUUGGCUGUGCCAUGUAGAACAAUCAGUACUACUAGACCACCAUGCUUAUGAUUUCCAACAAAAUUGGCUAGAAUGAUUAAAAUGACAAAUUGUUAAAAGAUUUAUCACUAAAUUGGCAAGUUAUUAAAAUUGUUAUGACUAAAUUGGCACAAUUGAAAGAUUUAGACUGAAUUAAUCAUCAUACAAUAAAUUCAAAACUUUUUGGACAAUUUUCCCUAUCAAGUAUAAUUCCAACCCUAGAUGCAGUAACUUUAUUUUUAUCAUGUCCCAAUUUAUUAAUCCAACCACAUGUUAUUAUUUACAUUGCACGACAUAACAUGUUUGAGGCUUUCUAUUUGAAUUGAACAUGCAAAACAAUUUCAAAUGGACAUAAAGUGAAAAUGCGUAACAAUGUAUUGUGUGAUGCAAAUAAUAAAUUAGCAUACCCAAUAAAUGUAUGUGUCUAAACUUAGGUUGCACUCGUUGAAUAGAUUAUAGAAGUCGACCUGCACACAUAACGUUCAUAAUCCAUUAUAAAUGGCUUAACUUAUUUGCGAUAAUACAAUUAAACCUAAUUCUACCAUAUUUAACCACGUUUCAUGUAGUGAACAUGUAUGUAGAAGGGCUGUUUUAUAGUUUGUCAGCUCAUAAUUCUAACAAGCACUUUAGAAACUAUACAAAAGAUCCCAUUGAAAUUGGAUUUACUGUAUAUUUCUUAUUCUUACUGUCCAAUAUAUAAAAAUCCUUUUAUGAAGUACUACUGAUUGAAAUCUCGUAAUAAUAGUUCAAUUUAUUCUUCAUUGAAUGCAAAAGUAGAUGACAUUGUGGAAUGAAUCGAGCGUUGCCAUGGGCUUUUGUAGAUAGGCACUUUAAUUAGGUUAUCAUGAUAGGCACUUUUUUUAAGGUUCAUAUCAAUUAAAUAAGGUAAGGUUAUUUCUUUAAAUCUAGUAAUGUUCUUUCACUUGGGAAAAUUAUCAAAAAAGUCCUAAGUAUAUUGCACUUUUGCCAAUUCAAUUUUAAAUUAUUCAAUUUUGUCAAUUCAGUGCUAAACCUUUUUCACUUCUUACCAAUUGAGUGUAUUCGACUAAUUUUGAUCAGAAUUCAUUGAUGUUGAUAAUUUUUAUUAAUAUUUUAAUCCUUUUUAAAAAAAAUUAUAUUUUUUUCGAUUUUCUUUCUUUCUUCCCCCCAUUCUUCUUCCUUUUAUCAGUGGCCGGCUACCAAUCACCAGUGAUGGCCAGCUACUAGCCAUGGCUGGGUGAGUUGACCUUGCCGUAAGUGAUGCCUAGCCAGGCAAGGCCAAGCCUCAACAAGGGUCGACCUCACCUAGGUUAGGCAAGACCAACCCUUGCCCAAACUAGGCGAGAUCGCCUGGACGAGGGUGAGCCCCCUUGUUCGGCCACAUCUUACUGAGGCAUGCGAGGCUAGCUAGCUUGGCCAUAGUCGGUGGCUAGCACAAAGGAAGAAGAAAGGGAAAAAAAAUUAGAAAAAAAAUCAAAAAAUAUUUUUAAAAAUUGUUUACAUUAGUGCCGACUAUCCUACAUGACACCGCUAAUGUCCACGUCAGCAAAUUCCUAUCAAAAUUGGCCAGAUAGACUCAAUUAGCAAGAAGUAAAAAGGUUUAUAACUGAAUUGACAAAAUUAAAAAGUUUAUGACAGAAUUGGUAUAAGUGCAAUAGAUUUAGAACUUUUUGGACAAUUUUCACUAUUUCACUAAUGUAUCUAGAAUGUAACCGGUUACCCAUAUUGAAAUUUGUGGCCUGAAUUGCUCCGUCAAUUUCAAGGAUGAUGGCAUCCGUCAUGCGAGCACCUUUUUUUGUAUUUGUGUAAAAUUGAAGUAUGUUUUUUAUUAUAAAUUAUUGGUGAAAUAUUAUUCUAUUUCAUAAAAAAAUUCUUCUUUUGAAUAGACUAAAUGCAAAAUUCUUAAUUCGUGUUAUAUAUUAAUGUAAAUAUAGGGGGGUCAACGACAAUUAGAAAAUUCCUAAUUAUCGCUGUUAUAUGACUGAUGAAAUUUGUAUAUGUACGUAACAAUAUUAUUAGAGUAUAUUUUAUAGGAAGUAUUAUAGAAAUGUAAGAAUUUUCAAUAAUUGCUCAUUUGCGGUUUUUGAAACUCAUUAGAACUAAUUUCAAUAAAACUAAUGCCUCUUUUGUUGAACAAAAUUCAUGGUAUAAGAGGCAAACAUAGAUCCUAAUUUGAAGCAAAAUAAAUGGAAAGUGGAAGAAAAACACUCUUUGUGAGGAAAAUAAUUAAUCCCUUACAAAUUAGAGCCCUAUAAAUCACUUUUAGAGACAAUUCUUAAAGAAAAAAAUCAUUAUAUAUCUAUGUAGAUGUUACAACAGUCUAGAUUAAUUUGCAAAGUUCAUUGAACUUUUAGUAUUAUGGAUGUAAUUUUUUUGGCGAUGAAAUGAGGCUUGUUUUAUUUUGUGUUGUGUCAUCACAGCUUAAAUAUGUGGUCGUUAUAGCUAGGAUAUAUAUGACUCCAUGCAAUGCACAUACCAUAUAAUGUGAUUUAUUGAGUAAAAAUAUCUUUCCCAGAAUCACUAAAAUUUCACAAAAUAUAUUUGGUCCAUUCACAAGAUAUAAUGGGAUUGAGUAGCACAAUCCCCAAGGAUGAGGUUAUCUCUAAAUCACUCUCGCCUGUCUUUGAAGUCCAAUGGCCACCCACAAUCCUCAAACACCGUUGGAAUAUUCUCAAACAAUCGAAACACCUCUUUCACAUUAUUGAACCUCUUUACUAGCACCUCCAAAUUUUCAUAGUUGGGGCCAAAAAAAAAUUUCUUUUGGUGGAGCCUUUUCCCUUCUGUAAUUUGUGAUUUAUAAGCUCUACUAUCUUCGAAAUAGAUUCUAGUCACAAAUUUUACUUAGAUUUUACUCAAAAUUUUUGGUAAAUAUAUAAUCUCUUAAUUGAGCUGAAUAAGUGCCGUAUACCUUUACGAAGAAGAUGACGUUUAAUCUAGAGAGGGUGGAACAAUUUUAAGGGGGAUUUCGGUAUGGUGCUGUGGAGGCUAUUGCAAUGUUCUCAACAAUUAAAUAAGGCCCCGUUUGGUUGGACUUUCCCAAGGGGCUUUUGGGCCCGAAAGCCCCUUGGGGAAAAAUUUUUGUGUUUGGCAAUCAUUUUCAAAUGCUACUUGGCCAAAUGUCAGCAUCCCCAAUCCUGAAAGCCCAAUGCUGGGAGGACCAGCUUUGAGCAUUGGGCAUUUCAGAAAUGCCAGUCCACUGUUCAUCUUCUUCCCCCUUUCUUCUUCGUUCGUCUUCUUCGUCUUCGUCUUCCUCGCUGACUGAGAGUGCGGCUUCUCCGGCAGCCGCCACCGCCGCGUGGGGGUCCCGCGUCCCUGGUGACCACCGCCUGGGGUGGCGAGACCCGCGACCCAGGCGGCGUCGCCUGGCGGGCGCGAGCUAGGCGACGCCACCUGAGGUCGCGCGGACCUCAAGUCGCUAGAUCUAGCCGUCCGGCGGCCAGAUCUAGCGGUCUUGAGGCCAAAUCUUACUGCCGGACGGCCAGAUCUGGCCUCCGCGACCUCAGGCCGCCAGAUCUGGUGGUCCGGCGGCCAGAUCUGGUUGGCCGGCGGUUGGCCGGCCGCCGGAAUUCGAUUUUCUGACUUAAAUAAAAAAUAAAAAAUACCAAAAGUCAAUUACAAAGCUGAAUUUUACCAAACGGUGUUUAUACUAAGUUGCCUUUCAAUGCUACAAUUUACCAAACGGUAUAACAUUCCCAUAAACCCCUUUACCUCAAAGAUAUUUGUAUUCUCCAAAUGGCAUUUCCCCAAAGUUGAACCAAACGGGCCCUAAGUCUGCUUGAUACUUGCUAAAAUUCGAUGGACAUAAUAUGAAAAGAUCAUUUUCCUUUUCUUGAUCUUGCCCUAGCUUGCAUUACGUCUGCCGACUCUAUAGAUACUUCAUGUCGUGGACAUGCCAUAUAAAUUGCUAUGUCAUUUAGUAAGAUUUUUAUAGUGAAAUCUUAAGUACCUGUCGAUGUCAUUAACUAGUUUUGGUAUUGCAAUCUAAUCUGUUAUUGUCGACUAUCAAUACUAGUAGUGAUUAAGGCACGUCAAAGAUGUCCUUACUCCAAAAAGGGUUUAGAUAUAUAGAGACCAAUCAAGCUCUAACCAUCCUAAUUUGGAGCUCUUGAUCCCAGGUUUAUUCGACCUGAUGCUCAAGAAAAACAUGAAGCUAUUUGCAAUGACCGACUCAACGGGGGCAAUGUGUUCCAUUUAGCAGCUCACUUGAAUAUCGCCUGGGUAUUCGAAUUCUUACGACCAGAAACUGAAUAUUUGACCCGAGUAAGGGACAAGAAUGGAGAUCUCCCCAUUCAUAUUGCGAGCAAGAUGGGUUAUGUUGAACAUAUCGAGAAGCUGAGGGAAGUAUCACUUUUGCCAAAUGGGCAAGGGCAAACCGUUCUUCAUAUUGCCGCAAAAUAUGGGAGAGUCUCUGUAGUGAGAUAUAUACUCAGCAAUCCAGAUCUAAGGAGGAUGCUGUUGAAUAAACAAGAUAAUGAUGGAAAUGCUUGUUGGCUGUUGACAUUGCUCGACGACACAAGCCAGAGGGGUAUAAGAUUCGGCAUGUAGGUAACAUGAACAGUCACUAUUUUAUUUAUUAACUUACUGGAGAUUUCAUAGACUAAUGCAUUGGUUAAGGCAGAUCUGGUAUUCAAAUCAUUAUGUCUCCCAGCCAACUAGAUAGUAGAAGUAUUGAUCAAAUUUCUAGAACAGCCGAGACUCCUCUCGGAUAAAUGUUUCGCAAGUCCCUAAUUUAGUCUUGAUAGGAGGUAAUUAAAAUUUGUGAUCAUGAAUUUCUCUGCAGUUAGAAACAAGUAACGUGUCUUUCAUAACACGGAGAUUAAAAUUUAUAUAUUUCGUUUAAUUGAGCCUCUGAAUACGGUCAUGAAUAAAAAGGCAGGGUUUGUCAAGGUUGCAUUCUGUUUUUCAUAAAAAGCCAGGGGUCAAUGUGGCAAAUUUGACCUCUCCAAAUGUAGCACAAUCUCAUGACAUUAUCAUUUUGUCGACCUAUGAAAUGAUUGCCCACAUAGAUUCCAUUCAUGCCUCUUUUUUCGUCUAAAACGAACUUGGUAAUUUUGUGCUAAUUCUUCAAAAAGAUCAGAAACUGCGUCUUUAGAAGCGAACGUUUCCAGAGUUCAUUCCCGUUAUAAAUAUGGUAUAAGUUUGUUCUUAUUUUCCUUUUUACAUGCUUCCGAUCUCAGCACUUGGCAUUCCUGGUGUUGCUUUGCUCGCUCGCGGGAAAAGGUCCACUUAAAAACCCGGAGUUAUUCCUAGUUAGAGCGGAAGCUCGAGAUGAAGAGUUAUCAGUAGUCCGCUCGCGCAAAAGCGUGCCGAGCAGGAAAAUCGUCAAGGAUUACAUCAAUUCCCGUAUGGUGGUGGCAACGCUUGUGGCCACAGUGACUUUCGCAGCUGGUUUUGCAGUUCCUGGAGGAUUUAACGGCUCGGACACAGCCUCCAAAGAUGACCGGGGCAUGGCUACGAUGUUGGACAAUAGAAUGUUCCAGGCUUUCGCGAUUUGCAACACCAUCGCGAUGUUCUGCUCAAUGACUGUGGUCGUCAACCUCAUCUGGGCGCAGAUAGUUGAUGUCGACGUUGCAGUCGCUGCAUUCCAGCGCACAACGCUACCACUACAAAUUGCACUCCCGGCGAUGUCCACCGCUUUCUUAACUGGUGUCACCUUGACCAUUGGCAAACUCCCGUGGCUUGCUAACACCAUAUUUUAUAUGGGACUCGUUUUCCUCCUCAUUAUCUCAUUUGCUAAAUUGUUAGAGAAGCCUCUCCUCUUUAAAAUCCUCGGUCGUCCUCUCCUUCGACUAACAUUCUGGCUUAUUCUCGCUUACGUUUAUGUGUGGAGAGUUGAGACGUACAUUUAUGUUGACAAUGACGCGAAAGAUAACAGAAGGAAGAGCAAGACCUUCGCUAGUCCGCCUGUGGAUGGUGCUGGUGAAUCGGGGACCGAUGACUCGGCGAAAGCAAAAUGUGAGACAUCCUCCAAGUCACUGAUUUGAAUUUGAUCAUUCCAUAUUAUCUGUAAUAUGUAGUAAUAAUAUAUGUUUUCCUUGGUGAGUGCGACUCACGAUACGGUUGAUUUCCUUUAUGUCAGACCAAAGGUGAUUGUUAAUAUAUGUAAGCUAAACCAUGUGUUUCUCUAAUAACUUAACUUAUUAGAAUUGUUGGAUAUAAUUCCAUCAAAUUUCAUAUGUUAUUAAAGCAGAGGUUCUAAGUUCAAACAUUUUCAGGUCAUAUUUGCUUCAUCUAUUAUAUGUUCUCAUGUUUCAAUCUUAGAUCAAUUCAAGUUUAUGAGUAAAGAUGAGUAUAAAAGUAUUUGUAUUAAAGUAUUUGAAUUAAACAUUGCAUCCAUCUAAUAAUUUAAAUUUUUAGAAUAAUUAAUUGUAGUUCCCGAAAUUUCAAAGUGAUACACACUUCAUGUAAAUUAAAUGGAUGAAUGGCUCAUUUCAUCCGUUUCAUUGCCCUGGAAUCUAAUUGUUAACUUUGAACAUGUGGAAGCUCGUGGGUUUAUGAAAUCGCUCGUCUGGAGUGGCCACGUUCGAUUCACUUUGAACCAGUCCAAUUUGCGGCACUCUCGAGUCAUGAAAUCCUAAGCACUCACUUAGUCACUUACCUGUCUAGUGUGCAAAGAAAAUAAUUCUCAUCGCCUACUCUCUGAGUCAAGACUUGGGUGAAGAAAACCGGAACAAAAUAAUUCUCUUCAUUGCUCACAAAAAAAUAGAACCAAACACCGAACUCAUUUCCAUUUACACCCGUUUCAUUUCCCCACUUCUCCCUCCUAGGCGCCCAAUUUCUGUGCACGCAAAUGAGUUUUGGUGUUUGAUUCAUGGCGGGGUAUAAUCUAGUGAGCAGCGGGCGCAGAAGUCUAGUCAAGGGACGAGAUAAAAAGGAAUUGCAACACGCAACUCAAGGAGAAUUGUGGAAAAGUCUGGAUAUGCGAUUUUCCUCCUCCGAUCUCGGAUUUUUAUUUCAAAGCUGGUUGGUAUUGACACGUAGAAUAUAACUCUAAAGUGAUUCUGGACCUAUUUAUUCGACAGUGAACGUAGAUAAUUACAAAAAAUAAAAAGGAUCUCAUUGUACAAAUGUCUAUUGAGUUAUAAACUUUCUAAAUUAGUCGAUUUAAUUUUAAACAUCUUGACGAUUUGCCAAUAUAAUUAUGCUAACCAAUUUUGACCAAAAAUCGUUGACGUUGACGCUAGCCAUCCUAUGGCACAUGACCAGUAUUGAGGUGAAUAACUUUUGUAAUUUAAAAAAAAUUCUCAAUUUUUUUCUUUUUUUCAUGUUUUCAUUUUCUUCAUUUUCCUUUCUUAUAUUUUCCUUUUUUUCUUUUACUUAUUCCCCUUCGCCAUCCAUUGGCCAGUCCAUGGCUUCGGUGAUUGAUAGUAAGGCCCCAAUGCCCUCGCCAGCGAUUGCAAGGGCUGAUGGAUUUGCUGGGGCCACAGACUAAUGGAGGGACAAAGGAAGAAAAAAAAUGAAUGAAAACUUAAAAAAGGACAAAAAAAAAAAGAGUUUUGAAAUAAUUGUAAAAAUUAUCCACAUUAACAUCCGCACCCAGAUCUGGGCGAGUCCAAUCUUGUCAUGGCCUGGCCUAAAUCUGGGUGAAGCCGCCUUGUGCACAGCCCCGAGGCCUCAUUUGUGCCCAACAAGGCUCGUCAAAGAAGCAAAAGAAUGAAGAAGAGAAAAAAAUAAAAGGAAAAGUAAAAAAAAAAUUAUUAAAAAUUGCCACGUCAGCGUUGAGCGAAUGGCCAGCGUCGACAUCAGCGCUAGCCGACCAAAAUUAGUCGAAUAGAUUGAAUUGACACAAUCACAAAAAAAUUAGAACUGAAUUGGCACAUUUAUAAUGGAUUUAGGACUUUUUUGAUAAUUCUCCCGAUCUAUCUAUUAUCUCCAUUUUUAGAUUGCGACAUGUGUCCAUCCAAUUUUAGUCCUCACUGCAUCUUAUCUAAAUACCAUCAAACCUUGGAUGGUACUUGGAGAUCUAUGCAAAUAUUUAUAUAUAAAAAUUAUAUUGAGAUAGUAAAGUGUGCUCACCAUCAUCAUAUAAAAAUUAUCCUGGGGGAUUAAAUGUUUCAAUUAAUUACGGUAGGAUGAGAAGUAUUUUUCAUAAAGAACGGACAUUCAAGAAGUCUUGCUAGAUUGAUAGAUUGAUGUUGCAAAUGGUUCUCUUCUCAAGUAGCAUGAAAAAUUACGCUACUCAAAUGUAGAGCCUCCUUUUUUUCUAUUUUUUCGGCAGAUCUUUCAAAUCAAAUUACAGGGUUACGACUAUGAAACCUCACAGUACAAGUACAAAAAAUACCAAAUCAAUCAUCUAUUAACUUCUCGAUGCUCAUUAAAUCUGAUUCACAAAAUAGGUUGGGACCCAUUUUGCUAGCCCUACUAAAAUCUAAACAUUUUAAUAAAUUAAGGAUUUAUAUGGCGUCCUAGUUCACAAAGAUGUGCCGUUGUUGUUGACAAAUCAACAGUGAUUGAUUUUCAUGAACUCGUCGUCAUAUUGUCGACAUUCCCAUUAUAUAUGAGCAUAAUAGCGAACUUUGAUUUUCGAGCAUCAAGAUAUAAGAUUGGCUUAAAUAGAAUGCCAAAUAGCCCAAGUGUCACAAUUAGAUAAGUCCAAACCCCAAACACGUUCAACUACGGUUUUUUUUUUCUUUUAACUUUAUUCACAUAUUAUUAGACCAUACUUUAUGGUUAAUGAUCAUAUAUAUCGCGGUUUAUGAAAGACUGUGCCACAUCGAUAGUUUUAGAUGUUAGUCCAAAUUCGAAAUACUGGGCCAACGUUUGAGAUUUUAUUGGCCAUUCGACAUUUCAUUUAUUACUCAUGAAGUCUAUCAGUGCAUGAAAUUUACUGAAAAUUAGAGAAUCUCACAAUACCAACAAAAUAUCAAGUUUUUUUUCAACUUUUUUACCCUUGAUACACUCCACAUACAGCCCAAUUUACAAAAUUCUACAAAAACCACUGCUCAGCAAAGACGAACAACAGCACCCAUCGGCCCAACAUGCUUAACUCCAAGCAUAGAGUGACUCGAACUCUUCUUGUCUCCUUUUCAGUUUACCACAACCAGACAUAUUUAAUACAGUACCGUGAACAAGACAAGAUAGCGAUGAGAUCGGCUCAAUAGGCAUCAGGGUUUGCCAAGCGAUAAGCCUCGAUGGCCUUGAACAUCCCGGACGCCUUCUCUUUCCCAGCCUUGAUCUUCUCCUCAGUUAUGUCCGCCUCGCCAAUGGUGAAGUACUUGCUCGUGCUCUUGCACACCGAGCCUCCCUCGGGCGAAGUGGUGAUCUUCAUCUCGUAGCUGAUCUUCUCAAGGGUGGUGCCCAGCGAGUCGCCCUCAAUGAUGGAGUAGCUGUAGGUGAAGUUCUCCUUGUCCAGGGCCUCGACCUUAUGCUUCAUUGUCUUGUACUGACUGCCU
rnacentral:lncRNA from 1 species